UAAUUACCAUAACACCCCUCACAAUAACCUUAAUUAAAUAUGUUUCCAAUUUAGAAUUUGAUACUUUUCGCCGGAACCCUCUGAAUAUCCGUUUGAGCUCAAAUUUGACAGUCAUGUUCGGUUUUACUUAACUCGAAGAAAGAAAUUUUCAUUUUUCAGUUUCGACCCUGUUUGGUCACCGAAAGCUCCACCGAACAACAUUUCUAACAGAUAGCAGUCGGAUUUUAUUUUUCACCUUCCAGCUGUCAGAAUGGUAUGAAACUUUAAAUCUAGCCUCCAAAAAAUAAUCCUGACAUAUCCUCCAGUUUUCAUAAUUUUCUGACACCGUGCAUUUUCUGCUAAAAUAUCAGCCCCGUUCUUUACAGAAAAUUCUAAAUCUUCUGUUUUCGCUCCGAUUUCAACACGAGUCAUUCCAGACUUAUAUUUUACACCCUUAAGUCCAAUAAAAAUAGUAUCUCACGCCAUUUUUAUUCACACUUAAUUUUAUAUUAUUUUGCUCACUUUAAUCAACAGGAACCUCAUAGUACGAUAAUUUUCCUUCGAAGUCGUUUCGCGCCCAAUUUGCGCCGAAAUACUCAUUUAUCUUCGGAAUUCAUUCCCACGCAUCCAAAAUCUCUCGAGGAAGAUACAAAACCAGCUCCAACCCCACUUUGAUUCAACAGAUCAAAGUUGACAUCGCAACUCCCAAAUUCCAUAUAUUACAAUCUCCCCCUGUUAACCAAAGUUUCGUCCGCGAAACUUAGAUACUUAUCUCUUCUUAUUUACCCUACGAAUGGAAAUAAGUUCCAACAAUCCUCAAUAUAGAAUCAUAUCAUUCCCUAGCUUCUGAAUUUCAUUCUAUGCUACCCUGAUUCCUCCGAAUCAGUCUCUACGAACACUUUGUUCGCGUUUCCAAUCUCAGCUCGUCAUCGAUGCUUAUCUUAGCAAUUCUGACUAAAUAAUCCACAGGACCGAGCCUUCGCUCUCACGGUCCCUAUACACUAUCCUUCACUUGGACAUGUUCGAAACACUCACUUCCAAUGCACACGGGUAAACUACUUGUCUCAAUUACCACAGAUCUGUUCGCAAAUCGCUGAUCCGAUGUAGGCCUAUCACUUAACGUCUCUCGCUCGCAAGCGUAGACCCAAUUAUCACGAGACACAGUUCUCACUUGAGAUAUCGCAUACCUGCUCCAACUGGGAGCAAUUUAAUUUGCUAGGGUUAGGUCAAAUCUGCCUUUCCGGCCUAGUACCAACAACACGAUCCAAUACAUGACCUACCACGUUACCGAUCCAAGCUCGGACUACCGUCCUGACCAAACCUCUGUCACACACGGCUAACUGCGCUUGCCGAAAUGGCUCCAGGCUCUGUAGAUCACAAGUGGUCCAGGCACGGAUUGUCUUCAAGCACUAUCCACAAUUGUCGUCUUACACGACGCGUGCUACCGAGCGACACACAACACUACCAGCUCCUAAGCACCUAGUGCGAGCGACCAGCCCUACGAGUGACCUCUAGCACGCUUCACACCUAGCAACGCUAAAGUGCUACUGCCAACACACUCACGGCUGAAUCAAAUCCGUACUCUACGAGCACCUAUGCGCUCGAGCGCUCUAUAUGUCUCUAUUGCGUGUCAUACUAAGCCCAGCAUCAGGCAACUUUUGCCUAUGCACACCGACUACACGAGCACGACCCACCUACCUCAAUUCGAGGUACUACUAGGUCCACGUGCACGUACCUGACCACUAACCGAUCAUUUCCUCAACAGUGAUUCUAUUUUUACUGUUCGAUCUACCGGAACAAUCUGCAAAACGCUCGGUCUCACAAGAGUUUCACGAACAUCGCGACUAGACUCUCGCAAUCAGCAACUCGCAUUAGUGUUGAGAGUUGGUCAACCAUUACCAUCUCUACCAUGAGUCUCACCUCUUAUCCACAGGCUAUCACCAGCGAUUUGCUAGAGCCCUCAGACUCUCUACCUGUUCCAGCAGGUAUUACAUUCCCCCACACAAGCAUACUCGGGUAUCAACACUUAUCUGUUCACUUGAUCACUACUAUAUUAAGGCAUAAAUAGUAGGGACAAUCACCUAAUCAAUGCAUGCAAUGCACCAAUUUACAUCAUAUUGAAAUACAUAAUUGCUUGAAUUAAUUCAUACCUGCCACAUUACGAUCAGUUGCAGCAGGAUCCUCAACCUGGUUCGCGUAUCCAUGGCCACUUGCCGCCAGCUGCGAACCCCGUGGUUGCCUUAUCCUCAUUCGCUUUCCAGACCGUGCCGCAGGUGGCACACCUGCAAGUUGUCUCGGAGAGGAAAAGGCCGUCGCCAGUAUCCUAUCACCUUGCGAACACUCAUAACCUAGGUGCUCCGAUUGUCCACAUCGAGUGCACUUUCCUUCUCGCUGCACGCAACGUCGUGCCCAAUGGGAACCGCCACAAAUCACACAUCUUGGAGAUGAUCGGGUAGAGGACGAUGUCGAGUGGCGUCCAGAACUUGACUGUUCAUCUUACUUAUUUGUUAAUGACCUAAUCCCUCCUUGCUUAUAUUCCUCAAACUCGUGCUCUUCACGCACGAAAACAUUGCCUUGCUCUAUCCAUAGGGCCCGAUCCAAGACUUCAGCAAAAGUUGGCAACUUAAGAUUAUGCACCGCUUUGAAAAUAUCAGGCCGAAGUCCUCGUACAAAACAAUCAGCUCGAUCCUUAUCACCUUGUACCACGUUCGGAACACAGCUCACGAUACGGGAAAAUUCCCGUUCGUAUUCUCUCACAGAGCGAUCUCUCUGCCGCAAUUUCUGAAACCUGUCUGGAAGCUUCCUCUUUUCACUAUCGGGGAAAUAAGUUGAACGUAUUAAUUCCCGAAACUCUUCCCAAAUCAUAGAAGGAAGACUAGGCGAUCGAUUCCGUUUGAUGUCUUUCCACCACACCUUCGCUGACCGUUGCAAACAAUGUACGGCUAAGUGUACCUUGUCCUGCUCCACAGUGUACAAAUCCUCAAACAAAGUCUCCAUGGAGUCGAUCCACAACUCUACGGUCCACGGGUCUAUAUCCUCUCCAUCAAAAGUAGGCGGAUCAAACUUCUUAAAGGUCAUUAGAGCCACCAAAGCACGCUCCCUCUCCGCCUCCACCUCUGAAGUACUAAAAGUCGGAUUGCCCGACCCAGACAGAAACACCUCCGCCGCAACUCCCGGCCGUACUCGACGGGCCGCAACUGGUGCAGUCACCAACUGAUCAACCGUCUCCUGAAGUCUUUUAAUCCGCUCUUCUUGGCGCAGAGCGGCGUCUUGCUGACGCUGCACUACAUCCGCUUGUUGCCUCACCACUCCCACGAGUGUGGCCAACUGAUCGCAAAGCUCCAAGUCUCCGCUCGCCUCGGUCUGCUCAGGGACACCAUUUGUCCCACCCCGCGCCGUUCUAGACGAAGAUCACCUACGCGGUGCCAUCUUUCCCUGAAACACGACAACUCAGUUAAUACCAACUCAAAUCGGGCGAAAGUCAUGCAAGGGCGUCUAUUCUCAUCACUCGGUUUCAUGUUGUGUCGACCCAACAUGAACUCACUUGGCUGAGAAUAAACUGAACCUUGAAUCUACCUCUAAUAUCCGUCUUAGAGGUUUACUAAACUUGACCCAAUCGAUUUAUCUUUCGCCACAUGUCACAAGUCCUCGUCUCUCACGAAUAUAAAUCCUUACGGUUUACUAUCCUAGGUCUCCUAGGUCCAUCUAAACCGUUUCUAUUACUCUUUUAUGCUCUGAUACCAUUAAAUCUGUCACGCCUCGAGCUCCGCCUAUUUGGUCGGAUUCGGCCACGCCGACAGACCGCCGAACGGACAGAGCUUUCCCUGUACGUUAUAGGCGUCACAAUCUAUACAAUGCAAUACAAGAGGUUCCAACCAGGAACUGUAUUCAAACACAGAUUGCAUAAGUAUCAAAAACAUAAAAUGCUAACUAUGCUAUUACAAGCAUUCAUCUCAAGAUUUUACAUUUACAAUAUUACAUAAGCCUUUAAAUUAUCACAAUUUAUACAAAUUUGAUACAAGUUUGUUUCUUUUUUUCAUUCUUAUACUCUGAGCUAGACUGCUUCAGGGUACUGCUAUCUCUGGUCUCGGUGGUAGGGCGCUAUCUACGGAGCUACGCCCUUUCUUCGCGCCGCCGCGCCGCUCGCGUGUGAACCUGUACCCCCAAAAACAACACGGGGGUGAGAACUAUAUAAAUAUAGUUCCCAGUGGGUACGGCCACCCAAGGAAAGAGCUCGACCCACCAAGUCCAAAGGAGGCAGUGUAACAUGUUAGUCCAACAAAUAAUAAUCACAGAUAAUUCAUGCAGAUAUUAAAACAUGUAUGCCUCAAGAUAUGCAAUAUGCCAAUUAUGCAACAAUAUAAAAGUAGAUCUACUGAUCCUACUUUCUAUCUCGCUAUCCAUAGCUCAAAUCACACUAGCUUCUAAGGUUUUAUCUACCUUAAUCAAGCUAUUCACCCGACUCGGCCUCGAGUGAAUCAUCCGCGGAGUACCGCGUCAAGUCAGGCUCGAGGUGAAGGACAUCUCACAAGCACCUCAGCCUUAAGUCCACGCGACACUAGGUCCAUCACAGGGAGAGGAGAACCGUCGAUCCCCGUGAUCCUAAGUCGCUCAAGCUUAACGGGCGAGGAGAACCGUCAAACCCGUUGAGCUCAUACCGGGAGAGGAGAACCGUCGAUCCCGUUGAAUCACUACCGGGAGAGGAGAACCGUCGAUCCCGUAGUUCUGAUUCUAUUUAUGCCAACAGCACCAUUCCUAUGGAUUCCGAAAACCACUUUCACAACUUAAGGGUUUAUUCACUUACCCUAUGUUGACGACCUUCCUAGGUCUAUACCAUUCACUUUCUAGUGGUCCUACUACCACUAUAAUUCAUAACUUAGUUCAAUUUUACUAAGUGUCACUAUACAUCAUAACCUAGGUUCAUUUACACUAGGCUUUAUGUUCUUUUCACCUAGAUUUCGACUCUAGGUUUACUAAUUCAACCUAUGUUCAAUGACACUAGGUUCAUUUCAUGUCCAACCUACAUUUAAUAACACUAGGUUCAUUUCAUGUCCAACCUAUGUUUAAUAACACUAGGUUCAUUUCACUCGAUCUAUUUAUUAUCCUAGUUAUUCACGCCUAGGAUUAUAAUUUUCACAUUUUCAUUUACUUUGUCACCGUCAAGAUUUCUACUCAACUAGAGUUGUCGAUUUAUACCCAAUUCUUAUGGAUUUAACAUGUCCACAAUAUGUCAAUGUUCAUACAAGCUUUAGCCUUAACCAUAAUGUAUUCAUAUGCACCUAGCAUUCACUUUCAUAUAUGUCGAGUCAUAUGCAUCUAGCAUUCACAAUUCAUGCAUUCAUAUGUAUCUAGCAUGUUUAUCACAUGUCAAUAUUCAUUCAUCAUCCAAUAUGAUUAUCAAUAUAUUCGUAUGCAUGUUCCAAUGGUAAAUAACUUUACGUGAUUCAUGCUUUCAUCCUAUCAAUCAUAGUCUACACUAAACAUAUAUGCGUCAAUGAAAAUCAUUCAUUGCUUUGGCAUGGAAGCGACCUAAUCGCUUCGGUGAAGCACAACCCACCUUUACUUGACACCAUAAUGUGAGAAAUCCACUUCCCACACUUUCCCGAGAAUCGCAACCCGCGCUCCCGACAAUUGUAGCCGAAAAUGUCCUUUUUGGCGAUAUCUUCGCGUAGGCUCGACGGAUUGCCGAACCGACUUCGCCAACGCGUUCGUUUUACCCUCAAUUAGGUUUGUACGCGUUCAAUUCCACGUUAGCACUUUAAUCCUGCAAAAGUGUAUUAUCGAGCUUAGGUUCUACAUACAUUGUUUCCAUAUAAUUUCACAAAAUACAUAGAGUAAUUCAACUCAUUCCAUCUCUCUCUCUUUCUCAUUUUCUCUCUUUCAUUCCUUCUUAUUCUUUUCUUUCAUUUCUUUUCUUUUCCUCUCUUCUUUUUCUUUUUCUUUCCUUCUUUCUUUCUUGCUUUCUUUCUCUCUUUCUUGCUGCCCCUGCAGCAGCAACAAUUUGUUGCUGCUGCCGCUGAGCUGCUAACUACUGCUGCUGCUGGUGAGCUGCUGCUGCUGCUGCUGCUGCUAAACUGCUGCUGCUGUUUCUGCUACUGCUGCUGCUGCUGAGCUGAGCUGCUGUCGCUGAGCUGAGCUGCUGCCGCUGAACUGCUGCUGCUGCUCCAGCAGUAGUGUAGCACACUGGACCUUUGCAAAUUGCGAGGUUCGAGUGUUCAAUUUGUAUUCCGAAUUUUUCCACACUUGGUGGAGGGCCGUCGAUGGUAUACCGGCCUAAAAGUUCGAUCUCGAGAGUUUUCGCUGAGUCCUGAGAGUUUUACUCUCGGAGACCGGUCCCUGAUAGGAGAGACCGGUCCCCUAGUGAACAGUGCUGCGUAGCCGGCGAGGCAACUGGUCCCUAGCAGUCGAGACCGGUCCCCGAGCGUGUCUGCGGGGGGAGAGACCGGUCCCGCGCAGGGAGAGACCGGUUCCCGAACGUUGGAUUUUCGGGGGNNNNNNNNNNNNNNNNNNNNNNNNNNNNNNNNNNNNNNNNNNNNNNNNNNNNNNNNNNNNNNNNNNNNNNNNNNNNNNNNNNNNNNNNNNNNNNNNNNNNUUGUGCUCACAAUCAUGCAAUAUCAGACAUUUCAUCAUCUACUUUCCCUAAAAAUGCAUUGCCAACAAUAUAUAAACAAUGCUUCAAAGAAUGACACAUUAGGCAAUAGAGAGAAUUUCAAUGAGUUUGAGAAGCACCACCACACCUUGUAAGGUCUCUUUAGGUGCUCCGACGAUUUUCUCGGGUUUUUAGAUCCUUAGUUCUUUACCUGCGGCAAAACGAAGCCAACUUAGGCCAUUUUGCCAUAACUUUUUCAUGCUUUUCGUAAACGUUAAUCCUGAGCGACCAACCGUCAGAAAUACCCCCAAUUUAGUUUUUAGAGGGUCAAUUGCACUUAGAAACCUUCAUGAGCAAAAGCCCCAAUUUGGGUGCCCUAGCUCCAAUGUACAUCAAAACACUAGGGUUUGAUCUCUUUGAGAAGCAAAAGUAGCUUCACUAUACUCUAAAUAGUCCACUAGAACCAUUCUUAGGCUUUCAAAACCCUAGAUUAGAUUUCACCAUUAGAGGUGCGGGUGAAGCCUCACCUUGAGCUCAACCAUGGUUUUGAUCUCUAAAGAAGCAAAAGAAGCUUCAAAACUCUCUAAACAUUUCACUAAAUCAUUCUAGGUCACUCAAACCCAUUUUAGGGCUCUAUUUCCUAAGAUUAGGGUUCAAAGCUUACCUUGCAAGCUCUUCCUUCUUGCACUAGAGAGGAAGAGAUGAAGCCCCUUUUGCUCUUUGGUCUUCUUCUUCACUUUCUUUCUCUUUUUUCCUCUUUUCUUCCUUUCUCCUUUUCUCUUUUUCUUCUAGAGAGAGAGCAGAGGAGAGAGAGUGUGAGAGGGUGAGGAAAUGAGAGAAAUAUCUCAUUUGCGCUCAUACAUAGGUAUUUAGGUUGCCAAAAUGCAAUAAAACCCCUCAACUUUCGCUUUAAUACGCUGCCGAACUUGGACUGACUGUCGCGCAGGCAGGCGGGACCGGUCUUUCCUUCAGGGACCGGUUCCCCGAACGUUGUCCAGCGCAGCCAGAGCUGCUGCGGCAGUGCAACCGGUCUUUCCUUGGGGGGACGGUCUCUGGGGACCGGUCUCUCAGACAGAGACCGGUUCCGAGAGCUGACCUUCCAGGGGCUUAGCCAAUUUUUUGGCUGUCUCAUUUCAUACGCGUUCGGGGAACGGGUCUCUCCCACCAGGGACCAGUCCCGAGAGCUGAAAAUCUACAGCUUCGCAGAAUUUGAUUCUUUAGCUCUCCGAAAACCUUUCCACAACUCACUUUGAUCAUUUUACACCUUCGGACUUUCCGAAGUGUUCCAUCCUCGCACUUUGGUCAAUUUGACUAAAGUUCGACAUUUUUAUUUUCCGAAUUUCGGUAUAUUACAUGGAGAUGGUGGUUCUUGAUGAUGAUGCAAUGAUGAUGCACUUAGCUUAGUUAUUUUUAGUCUUGAUGAUGAUGUCUUGAUCUUGAUAAUGAUGUAUUUAGCUUUGAUGCAGCAUUUUGUUUAGUGAACUUUAGAUGAACUUUGUUUAGUUAGUGCUUUAGGUGUUUGAUUAUGAACUAUGAUUGAUGCUUUGUUUGACUUUGAUACUUGAAUCUUGAUUAUGUUUUGAGAAUGUUUUUGCAGGAAUAAAUUCAAGACUUCAAGACUCCAUGUCUAAAGUCAUAGAGUUUGUAUUAAGAUUAUGAAAAUUGUAAUUUCGUUUAUUAUGGUCGAUCAUGCAGGAUUAUCGAUUUGGUGCAUUGCGAUGAUCUUUUUUUAUUAUUUUUGUGUUGUGUACGAGUUAUUAGUAUAUUUUGUCGACGAAAUCGCCAAAGGGGGAGAUUGUUAAGGAUUUUAUUAGGUUGGCGAAUUUCGUAAAGUUGCGUUGGAGGUCUUGAAGAGUUGAUAGCGAGAAAGUUUUUGACGAAAAGAUUCAAAUUGAGAAAAUAAGAUUAUUUCGAAAGCUCGAUACCCAGGUAUAAAGGAAAGAUCAUUUGUGGUGAAUAUACCUAAUUAGACUAAGUUCAGAAGGCUUAGAUUACUUCAAAAAUUCUUUACUGAACUUUUCUGAGUGUCUGGAACGCGGUCCCUGAGGUCAAGAGACCGUUCCCCUAAGGUCCUCACUGCUUGAACCUUGAUGCACACACGCGGUCCCUGUGAUGAGAGACCGGUUCCCGAACAUGGUUGUUUGAUCGCGCAGCGAGGGAGCGGGACGGUCUCAAGCUUGAGAGACCGGAUUCCGAACGUUGGGAUUUUUGUCACGCAGUGAGGGACGGUUCCUCACUUGAGAGACCGGUCUCUCACAGACCGGUCUCUCGAGAAGAACGGUCUCUGAGGACGACCAGAGUUUUAAAAAAGGACUUUUUGCAAUCUAAUCUACUUCUAAGUCUUCUAAACAUAUAAAAUAGACUAUGUGGGUCAUCAAAAAGUUCAAGGCUCUGAAUAUUUCACAUAUUCUAAACCCUAAGAACUUGUUUUUCCGUUUCAUGUUUCGAUUCACAUAACCAGUUUUUACAAUCAACAAUCGCUUGAUUCUUCGUUUUUACUCGAUAAUCAUACGAGAAUCAAGUAGAUGUUUGAUUAAAGGUGAACCCUAAUAGCUUAGGUAUUAAAAGGUCAAAUCAUCCACACAUCUUCGAUUCUACAAGCUCCGGAAGGAGGUUCGCGCGCUUGGAUCUCGCGUGAAGCCGAGGAUUCGGUGGUACGCUUCAAGGAAUUGAGGCGUUGACGCUGCGAGGAGUUGCAGCAAGGUCGAUUGGUGGAUUCUUUAUCGAAUCAGAGGACUGGAUAAGAUCAUCAACUAGCGGAAAUUGGUAAAUGAGUGUGAUGUUUUGGUCAAAAUCACUGUUAUCGUGUUUUCUUAUGGAUUUCUCUGCGUGAUUGGUCCGGUGGUGUUUUCACUCCGAUUUGGAGUUUUCCCACGUUAAAUUCUCGGUGUGCCUUUUAUUUUCCGCUAUUUGUUUUAUUUGCAUCUAGAUUUUUCGAGUUUGCCGUUUUUAACACCUAUUCACCCCUCUAGGUGUUAUUUACCUUUUAGGAUUCCUCGGGAUCCAUAUUUACAUAUAGACCACCAUUUUUGUAUAUUUAUUACCUUGUGUAUAGAUAUCUGUGAUUGUAUUUUACCUUAUGGAUUGUGCUAAAUGUUUAGCUCUUUAUUAUUACUUGUCAGUAGAAUUUAGUUGUGGUAUGCUCUGAUAUCCCUAGAUGCUGGUUUAAUUUGCUUUAUUUAUCACUUUAUUGUAGACGGCUUAUAUGUUGUAGGCAUAUGGGCGGGUCUGGACACGCACCAGAGCGGGCUUCCGCUCGGGUCUCGGGGUAUGACAGAGCGUCUGGAUCACACAACAAGGUGAGCACCGUGUAGAGGAUUCUGACGAUCAUUAUAUUUCAAAGAAACCUGAGUUAUCUAACACCGAAUUGACUUGCCGAAAAAGCAAAAGAAGAAAAUUGUCAAAUAAAUCGAACAUGAGCACUAUGUAAACGGCAGAUUCAAGGCAUCGUUACCUGAAACACAGGGGAGACGAACUAGCACCUACGCCUAGAGUGUAUCCGUGCUCACAAGCGGAUAGUCAUCGGAGGCGCCGGAUUGCCGGGACAGCGCUUCGGCAAGAUCAUGGCCUACAAGUCAAGUAGGGGUAGCAGCAAGGAAAUAGCAUCAACCAGGGUUAGCAAGCCAGAGGGAGGGUUGGGAGAACUAUGAUGGGGACACUAACCAGCAGGGGGAGGCCGUCGGAGGUUCGGCGGAUGGCGGUGGCGCUUCAAGCCACGCUGCGCUAGACAGCAGCGACCCAGAUUAGGCGGUGCAGGCAACAGUGGCUGCAACCGAGAGAAAGAGAGGAGAGGUUUGACCACUAUAUAUUAUAUAUAUUAUACAGAGAGAAGAGAAGAUGAUUUAAUCUCUCUUUUUCCUUGCCAGAGGCUGGCCGGAGUACGAUGCGGCACAGGGGAAAGGUGGCGACUCUUGUCAGGAUGAAGGAAGAGGGAGGGGGUGGUGUACUGGCUAGGGUAGGGCUAAUCCCCAAUAAACACCACACCACAUACACACACACACACACACACACACACGUAUAUAUAUAUAUAUUAUAUUAAUAUAUAUAUAUUACUAUAUAUAUAGUAUUAGAGAGAGAGAGAGAGAGAGAGAGAGAGAGAGUCCGGCUAGAAUACAAUCGAUAGCACCAAGGACUUGGUGCUAUCAAGUUUUUCACUGUUAGAUUUAACUAUUUGAUUAUUUUUAUCCGUUAGAUUAUACUAUUCAACCAACCACCCGCUCAACCCUAAGGGGCCCACAUCAUCCUAACCGCACAUUUUUCAAUCCAGGGGCUAAAAAUCUACUAGCACCAAUAGCUUGGUGCUAUUGAUAGUUGUAACACACUGAACUUUAGCAAAUUGCAAGAUUCGAGUGUUUGAUCUGUGCUCGGAGCUUUUCCAGGUUUUCUGGAGAGUCGUUGACAGUGUUCUUACUUGUGACUCGUAUCCCGAGGAACAAGAGUGAAAACUUAGCACCAAAAUCUCAAAAUUUCAUAUUUUGGACUGCUCUUGGGUUGGAUUCUACGAGGCUGCGUACCAGUACUGCAUUGGCCGAAUACCGGUACUGGACCUGGUACCAGUACUACAUCGUGCUGGUAUCGGUACCCAGUGUAUUUUUCUGCUUUGCCGAAGCUCGGGUUUGGCAGCUUUGUGACCUGGUACCGGUACUCUUUCCCGUGUCACCGGUACGCAGUGCUGCGUGCAAACUGCAGAUUUUUUAGGGUUCUUUUUGGAAUUAUAGCAACUCUUUAUAUAACCCCACACCCUCUCUAGGGUUCUUUUAUGCUACAGCCAGAGGUGAAGGGAGGUAAGUUCUCGUCCAUCGCUCUCUAGUUUUCUCCCAUUUCUUGUGGGAUUUCAUGGGUUUGAUCUCUCUUUUCCUCUCCCAUUUGCAUGUUGUUUGCUUUCCACCCUAAAGAAGCUUGGUCAUUGAGGGAUCGAGCUUUGUUUGUGGAUAGAUCUCCAACCCUAGCACCUUCUAGCUUGGCUUGGAGUUUGUGAAGAAGGUUAGUAACCUCUCUAUUACAUUUUGUUGUAGUUUAUGCUUGGAUUUUGGAUGAAAACCUAGUUUUGGAAAAACUAGGGUUUAUUUUGGGGGUUCUUUAUUUGUAGCCUUUUGGGCUAAAUUGAUAGGUGUAGAACCUUUUUCAAGGUUGGAUUUCAAGCUUUCUAGCUUCGCUUUGGGCUUUGAUCAAGUUCUUCUUGACCCUAGGGUGCUAGGAGCUUGGGGGACAACUUCGUUCGAAGGAACGAAAGGGUUCGAAGUGAUUCCGGUGGGUUUGACCUCACCGAAAUGGGUGAACUCCCCCUAUGUCUUCCUUAUGGUUUUAAGACAUAUUUAGAUACUUAUUCAUACUUAAUAUGACAUGUUAGAAUUUAUAAAAACAUAAUAUGCAAAUGUUGUGUAUAGCGAAAAUUUAUGCUCUAUGUAGUAGAGGCAUACAUGUAGAUUUUGGGCACUAAAUGACACUACUUGAUGUUUCUCUCUUAUGCAACCAUGGAAAGCAUGUUAGAGUAUGAAUGAUGUUAUAACUCGUUGGGGGGUACCUAGCGAAUGGGUUAAGUAGUUAACUUGCAUGAUGACAAUAGUACACUUGUUAUAGAUAAGGUGAUUGGAACUUGGCAUUACUUGCAUGAUGACAUUAUAUUUGUUGUAGACAAGAUAAUUGUGACAUUAAGAUAUAGUGCAUGAUAAGGUCACCUUAAAGCUAAGCUUGGUGCACUUAACCUAGUUGAACAACUAGAAAUGGACAUGUGACAUUGUGACUUGGUACACUUAACAUAGUUAAUUCACUAGUAUUGGCCAUUGUGACAUUAUAUUCGAUCUUGGGAUCGAUAGCUAUAUUCCAUGUUUUAGACAUGAGGAAAAGUGGAUUUUAAGCCCUAGGGGCGAACCCUAGUUGUCACGCCCCGGGACCGGCGGAGGCCCUCCCGGUAGCGUGCCCAAACCCGUCAUAUGUCUACACAUAUAAGGCGUCUACAACAACAGCGGAAAUAAAGCAAGAGAUAGAACAAAAAGGGGUAAAAGACAACUAAUGAUAUCAGAGCGGGUAAAGUUCUAUCAUCUAUAACCAAAGUAAAGGAAACAUAACAAAAAACAGUAAAAGAAAGACAUAAAGUAGUACAAUAUCUGUCUCUAGUACAAAAAUGGUGGUUUCUAAACAUAUACGGGUACAACUCUCGACCUCUCGCAAAAAAAAGUAACGAGAGGUAGACCACCUAUCAAAUCGUCCUCGAAGGAAGCUAGCUCGAAACAACUCCCUUCCCGCGGUCCCUAGCCUCUCCCGGCGUGGAACGCUCUGAACAACAUCGAGAGAAAGAGAGCGUGAGAACUAUAAUUUAUAGUUCCCAGUGGGCAAUUACUAACCUCAGCACAAGCUCCACUAGGCCCCAAAAGAGAAGGGUAAGUAACGACAAUAAUAAUAGGCAAUAAAGAGCGAGUAUAAGAACUGCUUAAAGAAAGUAUAAAUGAAAUGCUAUACCACUAGGUCUCAAGUAAGCAUGAUGUCAAAGUAUAGAACAUCUACUCAAUCAGGAUAAGUAUGUCCAAAGCAUGACUAUUGAGUUCCAACCAUAACCGACAAAUAAGCAUCUCGAUGCAGCAUGUCAAUACACAGGGAAUAAGCCCUAUCAAGCAACCAAGUAUACUACAAUGCAAUAAAUGAAACAAGCAAGUAUACCAAAUGUCCCAAAGCUAUGUCAUGAGCAUGUCAAAGUAAUCCAACUACUAAGCCUAUCUAGUAGUGAUCAUUCAUUCUCAACACUGUGUCGAUUUCCAUUUCCAAUUAAGGACUUACCAAAGGUAGUCCAGUUUGUGCCACCUAAGUGCCUGUGGUAGCCCAACAUUCCUACUCUUGGAAUAUAUCUGUCCCACUCGACCCCGUAGGCUUCUCAAUACCGUACGAGCGAACAUAGGUCGCGUAGGCUAACUCUGGAGUGCCGGCUUGUAGGGAACGACCCUAACAAGCAUGUGCGAAUGAGCACAAAUGGCAAGCAAGCGUAGUCCAAGUCUCAAGUAUCCAAUCCUCAUGUCUCUAACAUGGUAUAGUCACUAGCAUCUCGAAGAUCUAGUUCUAUGUCACAAAGUGAAGUUCCAAUGUUCUCUAGGUCUAGUGCCCCUUUAUGACACUUAGACAUUCAAUAUUUAAGCAUGUUCCACAUUCCUCAAUGGCCCUAUCCACUAGGUUCACACAUGUCCCGAGCUCAAUGCCGCUAGAUGACAUUAGCUCUCUAAUUCACAUAAUGUUCUAGUCCGGUGCCCCUAUAUGGCAAUUUUGUUAUCUUUCAUGUCUCAAUUAAACUUAGGUUUAAAUGCAUGAAUCAAAGCUCAAUGUCACAACAGAAAUCAUGAUACCAAGUCUCCACAGGAUACCAAAACAUGUACAAGUUCCAUAUGCUGAUUCUCUACUAUAUAGAGGUUCGAAAUUUCAUCAUACAUAACAUAGGUAUGUUAAGCAUCCUAAAAUUCACAAUAAAUUUAUCUAGUAUGGAAAUGCAUGAAUAAUCACUUAACGAAGCAUAAACCACAAGUUAUGAGAAUUUCUCAUAAUAUAGGCUAGGUCAAACCCACCAAUAUCGCAAUCUUCGUUUCGCCGAACGGAGGUAUCCACUAGCUUCCUAGCACCCUAGGAACAUCAAAAAUGGGGUUACCCAAACGAAACGAAGAGCGAAAAGCUCAAUCAUUAACCUAGAAGCAAGAAAGGCCAAAACUCACCUCAAGAGAAGAAAUCUCUUCCAAAGCUCCAAAAGAGAGCUAGAACCCUUCCAAUCUAGCCCAAAGGAAGGUUCUAAUCCAACUAAUUGAGCUCCGAAAGCUCUAAAACAAAAAUGCCCAAAAUAAACCAUAAAACCUCACUUUAGGGUUUCAUCUUAAAGAAACCUCCAAAAUUCAUAUAUAGAGGAAAGGAUCUUGUCACUUACCUCUUAGAAGCUCCAAUCCAAGCUCAAAGUCUUCAAACUUCAAGGAUCUUCCCUCCACCAAGCUUCAAAUCCAAGUUCCAAGCUCCAACAAUGGUGGAAAUAGCUCCAAUAGGAAAAAAGAGAGGGAAAUCCAUCAAAAUCCAAGAAAUUGGAGAUCAAAUCCAAAGAGGGAAAAAGAGGGGCUCCCUACCUUGCUCCUCCACUGUUUUCAGCUCAGGGAGAGGCCCCAAGGGCGUGGGGACACAUAUAAAAGCCCACAAUUACAAAAACACCCCUGCAGUUCAAACUGCACGAAAUCAGCCUCCUUGUACCGGUACACGGGCCCCUGUACCGGUACAAGACCCACGAAAAUCCCAACCCGAGGCUCGGGUUGCGGGGUUCAGCGGCUCUGUACCGGUACAAGCCCGGUGGCUGUACCGGUACAACCAUCAACCUUGUACUAGUACAACCAUCAGCCUUGUACCGGUACAAGCCCUGCUGAAGGCUACCCGAGAGCUGACCAAAAAUUCGAUUUUUCGGGUUUUGGUGCCAAACUUUAAAUCUCAAUUCUCGAAAUGCGUGCCAUAGGUCGGGACACAGUCAACGACCUACCAGAAAAUCUGGGAAAGCUCAGAACACAGCCAAUCACUCGAACCUCGCAAUUUGCAAAGGUCCAGUGUGUUACACUAGUAGAGAUGAUUGCAUGCAAUACUAGUGGAAUUAAUUAUGUGCAUUAUAAUACUUUUACUCCAUAUAGUGGGGAUGUUAGUAGAAAGAUAUAUGCAUGACAUGCAUUGUGGUACUUGUGGUCAUAACAUAAUCCAUUUGCAUAUGGUAUUAGUAAAUGCUUCUCUUGACAAUUGUUGUAUUUGCAUGUUAAGAACCUAGUUGGAGACUUGAUUGAAAUAGGAAACUAUCUUAAAUAGGAUAAUGACAAGUGCUAUGUAGUUAUGAACUAGUGACUUAUACUUGACAUAGUAACAUGAACGUCAUGUAGUGACAUUUGGAUUAGUAAAUGACUAAACCCUCACAAUGGGAUACCUUAUUGGACCUUUGGGUCGUUGGUACUUAUUCGAUAUUUUAGACAUGAUGACCGAGAGCUGAAUACUAUUGAUCAUACUUGCUUGCCAUUGUGCUCAUUCGCACAUGCUUGUGAGGGUCGCUCCCAACAAGCCGGCACUCCGGAGAUAGCCAACGCCACACAAGCUCGCCCGUGCGGGAUUGGGGGCCGAAAUGGGAUGCCGUGGGGAAGGCUCAUUCCUAGAGUAGGAAUGUUGACUACUACGGGGCCAUUUUUGGCACGGCGCAAGCUGGACUACACACGUGUAGAUCCAUGACGAGAAUUGAACUAUGAUACUUAAAGUAUAAUGUGGAAACUACUACUAGAGAGUGCAUCCUAGUUGGGUUAGUAGACCUGCAGGAUAGUGCAUAUUGUGGACUUUAUGUUAGUUAUUCUUAGCAUUGACAAUCUAGUGGUAGUAUAUCAUACCUAUAUUGAUUGGCAUAUUGUAUGGUUAGAAUAGUAAAGGAAAGCAUAAUCACUCAUUGUAGCAUUAUGGACACCAUGAACAUGCAUGUAAACUAAUAUUGGCAUAUAGUUGGUUGUACAUGUAAACGGAUAUUGGCAUAUAAUGGGAUAAAUGAAACUAGAACAUCAUUUAUAUGAUAGCUAAUUCUUUAGUAGAGGUAUGACUAUGAUAUGAACAUGUUUAAAUUACUUGCUUUUCAUAUAUUGCUUAAUUAUACCCUUAUAGCAUGCCUCAGUUGACCUAGUGGUGUAUUUCACCACUCUCGGCGGCUUACCCACUGGGAACUAUUGUUUAAUAGUUCUCACCCCCAUUUAUUGUCAGUUUUUAUUGCAGAGCCUUACGCGGCGGGAGAGGCUAGGGAUGGUGGAAAGGGCUUAGCAACUAGCUAGAGCCUCUACGGAGAAACUAUAGUUGGGCCCGAUGUCAUCUUUCCUUUUGUACCUAUGGAAAAGAUGUAUUACGUAUUUGAUUUAGAGUUGUUGUUGGACACUUAGAUUUAGUUGUAUAUAUUUGUAUAUUUUGUGGAUCUCUUUGUGAUAUAACGUUAGUGAUUUUGUAUUACUUGCUCUGAUAGCCCUGUUAGGACCUUACUUGUUCACUCUUGUUUUAGUAGACGCCUUGUGUGCAUCGUGGUUGUUUGGUGUACGUGGCGGGUAUCACGCCCCGCAACCGCCAGUUUGGUCGGUUCGGGCACGUCAGGCAGACGCCGAAUGUACAGCACUUUCCCUGUCCGCCCAAGGCUCAACAACAGAGUCAUGUACAUUUUUGUCGCCCAAGAUGACAUCCAACAUACAUGAAGCACCACAAGUGCAAUACAAGCAAGAGCAAGAAUCACAAAUACACAUACAAGUGAACAAGAGAGAGAUAGUUCUAGCUAUUACAACUUUCAUUCAACAUUCAUAUUUUAUUACAUUUACAUCUCCCAAAAUGAAUACAUGAGUUUUAAAACUUCACCUCAUCGUACAUGAUAGCUCUCCAAAAUACAUCAUCUAAUAACCAUGUACACGAGGGUACUCUAAUGCAAAAUGGAAAAGCUACUAGCUACUAGGAACGUCUACAUAGUAUUGAAAUCAGCUAUCAAACUACUAUGCCCAAGAAAUUAUGUCAUUCAUAAGUUCACCCAAUCACUUGGCUAACCUGAAGGUUCGCCCACGACUCACAGUGCAAUCCCACAGGUAAGGAGACCCUCCCGCUCGCAAACCCGAGACCGUCUGCUGGACAGGUACGUUAAUCCAUCACGUGAUGACUCCGGAGCUCACUGCUUGUGUGGAGGACCACCCCAAGCGAAUACAGACUAUGUGAGUAUGAUCCAAUUCUCGCCAACUGAGGAUACCCUACCACCUAGGGUUAAUCAACAACACGGGAAUUCGACUAUCCCUAAGGUUCAUGUUAAGUGUUCCAACUACACUAAGUCCACAUGCAACAUGUCAUAACUUGGGAAAUUCAUCUAUCCCUAAUGUUUCAAGUUCAAGUGUUUCAUCUACACUAUAUUCAUCAUGCCACUCGUCAUCUAUGUCAUUUACAUUGUUUAAAUGCCACUCGUUAUAUCCUCGGAUACAAACACUAAGUUCAUCACUUGUUUAGCAUUAUAGGAUAUCAAUUGUCAAGACCCAAUCCCUUGCGUAUCCAUUACAUCAUGUGCUCAUCUCACAUUAUGUCAUCAACUAGGAAAACAAGUAAGGAAUUGAAUUGCAAUAAGCUACAAUCCUACUAUGCAUUACAACAUGGACAUGCAAGGUCACAAUGCUAUCUUCGACAUAGAAGGGAGUUCAGUUGCUUCGGGUGACACCCCCCACCUUUAAAUGAUGUGACGACGCUAAGAAUCCGGUUUCAUAAUUUUUGGAUGCCGUUUCGGACCUCCAGGCGGAAACGAAGCCAAAAACGCCCUUUUCGCCAAUAUCCUCGCAUAGGGUCGUCGGAUUGCCGAACCGACUUCGCCAACGUGUUAGAAUACCUAGCAAUUAGGUUUGUAUGGGCUCAAUUUAGAUCAAAACACCCCAUUAGCAAAAACCCUCUUUUGGAUGCCCUAGAAUCUCAUUAUUGCAAAAUGCUACCGCUAGCUCAUUACUCAUGCAAUAAAUGAGUUCAACUACAUCUAGAGAUCCAUUAAAUUCCAUUCCUAGGGUUUAUAAACACAUCCCUAGCAAUCUACUGUCACACCCCGGAGCCGCCAAUUUGGUCGGUUCGGGCACGCGAACAGACGCCGAACGGACAGCACCUCCCCUAUCUGCCCAAGGCUCCAACAUCAUGUAUAAUACAAGCAAUUCAUAUAAACGAUUGCAAUUAUAUAAGGUUUGCACGAGGGCAAACAACAACUAAUUCACAUGUGAAAGCAUCGAAACUAACUAAACAUUUAUCCACAUACAUGCCAUUUGAUUACAUUUGAAUCAAACACAAGUAAACCAUUAUUUACAUUCAUUCUUUCCAUUCAUUUACAUUUACAUCAUAUUAGCUAUCAUCCAAAAUACAUGAAUUACAUCAUUUAACAUUUCUAGUUCAACAUACAAAAGUUGAAUAUAUAUAGGGAAUGCCUAUACUCCGAGGGCCGCUAUAUACGGUGCUAGCCCCUUGCCUCGAUCCUCCGCCGCCCUGCUCGCGCAUGGAUCUGCAGGGUUAGUGGUGGUGUGAGAACUAAAACGAAGUUCCCAGUGGGUUCGGCCGCCGACCGCGCCGACUCGCCCACUAGAUCUAUUCAGACAUAUGUAUUUCAAGAAAGUAGAUAACAAACCAACUAAUGCACUACUAAUACAAUGCCUGCAAGAAAGCUGUCAGCAGAUAGAUAGAUAAUCCAAUACAUGAUAAUUAUGCAUGCAUGUUCAUGUCUCAUUCUCUUUGGCCUUUACCCAAUCAUCCCGGGGUACUCUGGUUCACCCCAAAAUCACAAACCACAAUUCCUGUCUAUUGGGGGAGGCUACUAGCACUACCACCCAAGGGAACGAUGACGGGGUCUCUCCCCGUGCUGUCUACACUCCGGAGUACACCGCUUGAGAAGGAGCUACCUCCCUCAAGCCAAGCUAGUGUGAGUGUGAUCCAAUCCUCAAUUUGAGGACGUAGCCAAACCUGUCUCAAUGCACAAAGCCUCAAUGCCGAUAUAGGUUAUUACCAUAUCACCUUUCUACUAUACCUGAGCCACAAUGGUCCUGAUGCCAUUCUAGAUUAAACCUUGUUUAGCCGUUCUUAUUCUCGGUGCCAAUCUCGUCACUAAUGUCAAUGUCACCAUUGUUUACUAUUGUCAUAGUCUCUUUUUCAUACAUUCACAUACACAUAGGGUUUUUCACAUUCAUAGUUCACAUGGUUCUAUAUCAAUUCAUAUGUUCUCUAGCACACAAUUGAAUCUCAACCAAUCAUAUUCAUCACACUACCCUAUAUGCAUGAAUGCUAACAUCAAUAUGCUCAAUAAUGGUAACAUAGACAUAGAAGAAAAUUCGGUGUUUCCGGAUAGCACCCCCCACCUGUGGGUAUGCUAGGAUCCGUGGUCCUAUUUUCAUGAUUUUUAGACCUCUACGUCGCAAGCUUCGACGAUCUGUACCAAUUUAGCCUGUUUCCUCAAUAUCUCUGCGUACGCUCGUCGUAUGGCCGAACCAAGCGCACCAAUGCGUUCGUUGACCUACCAAUUAGGUUAAAAUGAGAUCAAACCCAAGCUUUGACCUCAAAAUUCAAAAACCCCAAUUUUGGGUCACUCAACAAUGUCAUCUUCCCCAAACUAGGUCCUUAUACAUGAGAAACAUGGAGAAAAUCACCAUAAGAGCUCCUAGAUGCAAAUACUAGAAGCAAAUACCAAUACCCUAACUCAAAAUCAUGGAAACUCACUUUAGAGUCCCAAGCUUUCCGUCAAAAGCUCGUCACAAACUAGCCUUCACCUUGGAGAGCUUCUUCUCCAAGCUUUGCUCCUCCAAAUCCCUCCCUUGAUCCAAGCUCUAGAGAGAAGGAGAGAGAGAGAGAGGGUUUUUACAGAGAGAGAUGGAGAUAUUUUUGUGUUAGGGUUGAGGUAUGAGGGCUACAACACAAGCCUCCCUCACAUAUCACACCCACACAUACACUUUUGCACAUAAACCCCUCACAUUUCCACUUUUUUACAUCAGCCCAAAUUAGGCAAAAUUCGCAUACAGGGACCGGUCUCUCCCCGCAAGGACCGGUCCCCGAGAGCACCACUCUCAGGACUUAGCCAAAUUUUCACUUUUUUGGCUGGCUACACGCACAGGGACCGGUCUCUCCUCCAGGGACCCGACCCCAAGAGCUGGACUUUCAGAACUUAGCCGCGGGGCAAUUUUCCAACCUACGGGGACCGGUCUCUCCACCAGGGACCAGACCCCGAGAGCCCAAAAUCUGGGACUUAGCCAUUUUCACAGAUUUUGCUCUCUUGGGUCUUUUUACCUUGCACCAAGGUUCCAAUGCACUUAGAACCCAUUGUAACUUGCUCCAACUUGUCCGACUCCGCGUUCCGCUCGUUUCAACGAAACUCGGCAUGUUUCUCGGGGAUGCGAUACGUGACAUUCCCCACCCCUUAAAAAUUAUUUCGUUCGCGAAACUUAACUCAUACCUUAGCUCACUUGAUCAAACAAGUGAGGAUAGACCCCGCGCAUCUUCUUCUCGAGCUCCCACAUGGAUUUACGCCUCGAGUGAUUACUCCAUUACACUUUCACAUAUGGAAUGGUCCGAUUUCGUAGCUUCUGCUCCUCUCGAGCAAGUAUGCUCACAUGAAACUCUUCAUAAGUGACAUCCUCGUGCAACUCUACCGGCUCAUACUCCAACACAUGUGAGGAGUUACGAAAAUACUUCCGGAGAUUCGACACGUGAAAUACGAUGUGCACUCCCGCAAGCUUCGGCGGUAACGCUAACUUGUACGCUACCGGCCCAAUCCGCUCUAGAAUCUCAUACGGGCCAAUAUAUCGGGGACUAAGCUUCCCCCGAAUGCCAAACCGCUUCACCCCACGCAUUGGCGACACUUUGAGAAACACACGGUCGCCAACCGCGAAUUCCAAAUCCUUUCGGCACUUAUUCGCAUAGCUUCGUUGCCGCGAUUGUGCCGUCAAUAAUCGUUGGCGAGCAACACGGACUUUCUCCUCCGCCUCUCGCACUACAUCCGGACCAAAGGUGACUCUUUCACCCACUUCGCUCCAAUGAAUAGGAGAGCGACACCUACGCCUAUAAAGUGCCUCAAACGGCGCCAUCGCUAUACUUUCUUGAUAACUAUUAUUGUAAGCGAACUCCGCCAUCGGUAAAUACUCAUGCCACCCUCCCCUAUAAUCGAGUACACACGCUCGCAACAUAUCCUCGAGUACCUGAAUUGUCCUCUCUGACUGACCAUCACUCUGAGGAUGAAACGCUGUACUGAAGUUGAGCCGCGUGCCUAGAGCAUCAUGCAAGCUCUUUCAGAAAUGAGAAGUGAACCGGGGUUCUCGAUCUGAUACAAUCGACACGGGAACCCCAUGCAAUCUCACUAUCUCGUCCAAGUAGACUUAUGCUAACUUGUCUCCGGACCACGUGGUGUGGAUCGGCAAGAAAUGAGCCGACUUCGUCAAACGAUCCACAACCACCCAUAUGGCAUCAUGUCCAGCCUGCGAUAGGGGCAGACCGACCACAAAGUCCAUUGCUAUGUCCUCCCAUUUCCACACAGGGAGUCGUAAGCUCUGCAACUUUCCCGUGGAAAAUCGACGCUCGGCCUUCACUUGUUGGCACGUCAAGCACUGCGCCACAAACUCCCCAAUAUCUUUCUUCAUACCCGGCCACCAAUAAUGUAGUUUUAAGUCCUUGCACAUCUUAGUGCCGUCCGGGUGAAUACUAUAAGGGGGAUGAUGUGCCUCUUGCAAUACCGCCUUGCGGAUUUCAUCAUCCUUGGGUACGCACAAUCAGUUUCUGAACCGAAGUGCACCGUCGGAUCCCACGCCGAAGUCGCCGGUGCGUCCGCCGUCAAUGUCAUUCCGCACCUUUUGGAGAUAUGGAUCAUCAACUUGCCGCUCCUUAAUUCGUUCCAAUAAGGUCGGUCGAACCACUAGCGCCGCCAAGAUAGUCGGAACCUCCGGCGCCACCACUUCCAAUCCAAACCGUUGCAUUUCCUUUUGCAACAACGGUUGAUUAGCAAUUGCCGUCGCCAAGUUCUCAACAAAUUUUCUACUUAGCGUAUCGGCAAUGACAUUAGCUUUCCCCGGGUGGUAUAGGAUAGUAAGGUCAUAAUCCUUCAACAGCUCCAACCACCGCCGCUGCCGCAUGUUUAUCUCUUUCUGGGUGAACAAGUACUUAAGGCUCUUGUUGUAAGAAAGUGAAUUCUCGAAAACCGAGGAUUGUACUUCGCCCAGGAUCGACAAACUGUCGAGAGUGUACCCUUUGUGGGAGUUGGAGAUGUCCAAAACACAAAAAGUGCUUUGGAGUCGAGUCCGCGAGAGCAAAUAGGCAAAAUCUGGACUUAGCAGAUUUUUGCUCUCGGGAACCGGUCCCUGGAGGGAAGGACCGGUCCCCGUAGCUGAUGGUCGCUGGGGAGGUCGAUGCGACCGGUCCCUGGAUGAGGGGACCGGUCCCCGUGCGCGACACCCGCGGGAGAAAGCCAAAAUUUGGCUAAGUCCUGAAGGUUCCCCGUUCGGGAACCGGUCUCUUAGGAGAGACCGGUCUCCCAGGGACCGAUCCCUUAGGUGAGGACCGGUUCCCGAACGCGAAAAGUCCCCAGACUGCAGGGAGAGCUCUCGGGGACCGGUCUCCCCGACCAGGGACCGGUCCCUUUGGGCGAAAACUGCCCAGUGAGGGUUGUGCAAUGGGUGAAAAGUUGAAGGGUCUAAAUGCAAAAUGGCCUUUAUUAGAGUGGGCUGGGCCCUCUCUCUCCCUCACAUCCUCUCAUUUUCUCUCUUUCUCACACUCUCUCUUGCUCCCUCUCUCUCUCUCUAGGAAAGAAAGAACAAAAGAGAAGGGGAAGAAGAAAGAGAAGAAGAAGAAGGAGAAGAAGAAGAAGAAGAAGGAGGAGAACAAGAUAGAGAAGGCUUGGAGCAUCUUCCUCUCCUUCUCUCCUCUCUAUUGGUGUAGCUCAAGAGGUAAGAUAAAAACCCUAGCUUGUAAAACUUAGGGUUUUGGGUUUUUAUGCCUUAGAAUGGGUCAAAUGAACCCUAAGGAAGCUUCUAGAUAGAUCAAUCCCAAGAAUCUAGGGAUUUAGUGGGUGGUUUGCUAUAGGUGCAAACCUAGGGCUCCAAAAUGGGGUUUUUGUGAAAGUAUGAGGUUGAUCUCAUUUGAAGCCUUGGAAACCCUAUUGUUAGGUCACAAAACGCGGGGGCGAAGUCGAUUUUGACAUUCGGCGAACCGACGUGAAGUUCUCGGCAAAAUCGGGCCGGGCUAGUGUUGAUUCGGGCGAGGAAGACUAAAGCCUUUUCGUAAAGCUCGCCGAGAGAGAUUUCCGAAACCUCUUCAUCGAUUAAAGGUGGGGAGUGUCAUCCCGAAGCUUUCGAACUCCUUUCUAUGUCUUAGAUUGCAUUUAAUCUCAUCUCUUGCAUGUUACAUUGUAGGAUUGCAUAGUAGCUCCAUUCCUUAUGCUUUCUAAUUGAUAACCUAGUGUACUUAGAACGCUUGGUGACUUAGAUAGGUGAGGAUUGGGUCGGAACGUGGAUCCUAUGAUGCUAAAGAUAGAGAUGAACCCGAUGGGGGUGUGGAUGACAUAGAAAGUAGUGUUAUUGUUAAAGAACAAACGAGUGGCAUCCAAACAUUGAAUGAUGACGAGUGGCAUUAAUGUAGUGUAAAUGACACUAGAGGUCGAUGGACCUAGGGAUAGGCUGAUCCCUUAGAAAAUGCCUUGUGAACAAUGAAUUUAGAAAUGCUAAAUAGCAUUGCAUGAAUGUCGGGAACAAAUGAUUCCGCGAGAGAUGUUGACCCUAGUUGUAGGGCAUCCUCACAUGGAGAGGAUUUGAUUGGGUUGUGGACCCUAGUGAUAGUGCUCCCUCACUUGGAGAGGAUUCGAUUGGGUAUUGACCCUAGAUAUAGGGCAUCCUCACUUGGAGAGAAUAGAUCUGGCUCACAGUCUGCGUUUGGGAUAGUAUAGCCAUCCAAUCCCCACAUGGAGGGGAUUGUCGUCGAGUACUCCGGAGUGUCGUGCGACUAGAACCACUUGGAGGUCCGGACCACAUGGAGGUCCGCAGACGGUCCCGGGCUUGGGUGCACUUGGAGCUCCCUCCCCACUUUGGGAUUGAAAGGUGAGUCAUGGGCGAGCCCUAGGGCCUCGCCACAGAUUGGGUAAAUGGAAAGGUUAAAAGUUUAUUAAUGUCAUUGAACAUUGCUAUUCGAACAUGGAUCGAAUUUGUUAGCAUGAUAGCAAACCUUUAUUAUAUGAUGCAUGCAUUCAUAUUCAUGAUUAUGGGCAUAGUAGCAUAGCUUUCCUACUAUCGCAUUUACAGCUUUCAGAUACAUAUCUAUCUAUCUAUCUAUCUGUUGUUACUUGUGCCCACUUGGACCUAGUGGGGAGAUCGACAGAGUCGGCGGCCGAGCCCACUGGGAACUAUGGAAGAUAGUUCUCACCCCACUCUAUUUCCAGUGGUAGGUUCAGGGCUGCAGAGAGAGGACCGCGGCAAGGGCAUCGCGCCCAACCAGUGAGACCGUGGUAGUAUAGUAGCCUUCCUUUUUGCAUUAGCACACCUAUGUAUUGAGAGAGAGAUUCAUCGUAGGUGAGGAUUUAGAGAGCUAUGUAUUUUGGAUGAAAAAUGUAUUCAUUUAAAGAAAAUGAUGUAAAUGAGAAUGUUGGAACUAUUGUAAUAGUUAGCAAGUACUCUCUUUAUUUCACUUGUUUAUCUUGUGGAUCGCUUGCUCUUUGUGUUGUUGGCACUGUUCGUGCCCUUGUGAAUGUGUAUGCUUAGAAUUUAAUUUCCUGGGUAAAUUCUCGUACACAUUCCUGUUGCUGUGCCUUGGGCGGACAGGGGAGGUGCUGUCCGUUGAGCGGCCCGCCGCGGCCAAACCGUGCCAAAUUGGUAGUGGUUUCGGGGCGGGGCGUGACACUUGUGAUCGGUAUAUACCUCACAAUGCUCACCGUAAAGAUAAUGCCUCCAUAGCUUUAGCGCGAAAAUGACCGCCGCUAACUCAAGAUCAUGUAUCGGGUAGUUCUUCUCAUAACUCUUCAACUGGCGCGAAGCAUAUGCAAUGACUCGCCCAUUCUGCAUAAGAACACACCCGAAACCACUAUAGGAAACAUCACUAUACACCACGAAGCUCUCUCCCGGCGUCGGCAAAGCAAGUACCAAGGUAGACGUCAACUUCUCUUUUAGCUCUNNNNNNNNNNNNNNNNNNNNNNNNNNNNNNNNNNNNNNNNNNNNNNNNNNNNNNNNNNNNNNNNNNNNNNNNNNNNNNNNNNNNNNNNNNNNNNNNNNNNNNNNNNNNNNNNNNNNNNNNNNNNNNNNNNNNNNNNNNNNNNNNNNNNNNNNNNNNNNNNNNNNNNNNNNNNNNNNNNNNNNNNNNNNNNNNNNNNNNNNNNNNNNNNNNNNNNNNNNNNNNNNNNNNNNNNNNNNNNNNNNNNNNNNNNNNNNNNNNNNNNNNNNNNNNNNNNNNNNNNNNNNNNNNNNNNNNNNNNNNNNNNNNNNNNNNNNNNNNNNNNNNNNNNNNNNNNNNNNNNNNNNNNNNNNNNNNNNNNNNNNNNNNNNNNNNNNNNNNNNNNNNNNNNNNNNNNNNNNNNNNNNNNNNNNNNNNNNNNNNNNNNNNNNNNNNNNNNNNNNNNNNNNNNNNNNNNNNNNNNNNNNNNNNNNNNNNNNNNNNNNNNNNNNNNNNNNNNNNNNNNNNNNNNNNNNNNNNNNNNNNNNNNNNNNNNNNNNNNNNNNNNNNNNNNNNNNNNNNNNNNNNNNNNNNNNNNNNNNNNNNNNNNNNNNNNNNNNNNNNNNNNNNNNNNNNNNNNNNNNNNNNNNNNNNNNNNNNNNNNNNNNNNNNNNNNNNNNNNNNNNNNNNNNNNNNNNNNNNNNNNNNNNNNNNNNNNNNNNNNNNNNNNNNNNNNNNNNNNNNNNNNNNNNNNNNNNNNNNNNNNNNNNNNNNNNNNNNNNNNNNNNNNNNNNNNNNNNNNNNNNNNNNNNNNNNNNNNNNNNNNNNNNNNNNNNNNNNNNNNNNNNNNNNNNNNNNNNNNNNNNNNNNNNNNNNNNNNNNNNNNNNNNNNNNNNNNNNNNNNNNNNNNNNNNNNNNNNNNNNNNNNNNNNNNNNNNNNNNNNNNNNNNNNNNNNNNNNNNNNNNNNNNNNNNNNNNNNNNNNNNNNNNNNNNNNGCCCUAGGGCUCGCCCAUAACUCACCUUUCAAUCCCAAAGUGGGGAGGGAGCUCCAAGUGCACCCAAGCCCGGGACCGUCUGCGGACCUCCAUGUGGUCCGGACCUCCAAGUGGUCAUAGUCGCACGACACUCCGGAGUACUCGACGACAAUCCCCUCCAUGUGGGGAUUGGAUGGCUAUACCAUCCCGAACGCAGACUGUGAGCUAGAUCUAUCCUCUCCAAGUGAGGAUACACUAUCACUAGGGUCAACAACCCAAUCCAAUCCUCUCCAAGUGAGGAUGCUAUCAACUAGAGUCAAUACCCAAUCGAGUCCUCUCCAAGUGAGGAUGCCCUACCACUAGGGUCAAUAUCUCAAUUGACUCAUCAACAACCUCUCCAUGUGAGGCUACUUAGGUUUACUAAGUUCUUGUCCACAAGGCAUUUUCUAAAGGAUUCACCUAUCCCUAGGUCCUCAAACCCCUAGUGUCAUAUACACUACAUUAAUGCCACUCGUCAUCAUUCAAUGUUUGGAUGCCACUCGUUUGUUCUUUACAUUUUACACUACUUUCUAUGUCAUCGAUACCCCCAUCGGGUUCAUCUCUAUCUUUAGCAUCAUAGGAUCCACGUUCCGACCCAAUCCUCACCUAUCUAGUCACCAAGGUUCCAAUACAUUAGGAUAUCAUUUAGAAAUCAGAUACAGGAAGGGACUUACUAUGCCAAUCCUACAAUGCAACAUGAGAUUGAUGAUUAAAUGGAACUCUAAGACAUAGAAAAGGAGUUCGAAAGCUUCGGGAUGCACCCCCACUUACUUUAAUCGAGAUGUAGAGGCCUGCGAAAUCUCUCUCGCAGAGCUUUACGAAAGGCUUUAGCCUCCUCGCCAAAUCAAACAUGGCCGGCACCGAUUUGCCGGAACUUCACGUCGGGUUGCGGAAUACCAAACUGACUUCGCCCCCGAUUUGUGACCUAACAAUAGGGUUUCCAAGGCUUCAAAUGAGAUCAAUCUCAUAUUUUCACAAAAAUCCCAUUUUGGAGCCCUAGGUUUGCACCUAUAGCAAACCACCCAAUCAAUCCCUAGAUUCUUCGGAUUUAUCUAUUUAGAAGCUAGCUUAGGGUUCAUUUGACCCAUUCCAAAGCAUAAAACCCAAAAACCCUAAGUUUUACAAGCUAGGGUUUGUAGCUUACCUCUUGAGCUACACCAAUGGAGAAAAAAGAAAGAGAGGAAGAUGCUCCAAGCCUUCUCUAUCUUGUUCUCCUCCUUCUUCUUCUUGUUCUCCUCCUUUUUCUUCUUCUCUUUCUUCUUCUCCUUUUCUUUUGUUCUUUCUUUUCUAGGGAGAGAGAGAGGGAGCAAGAGAGAGUGUGAGAAAGAGAGAAAAUGAGAGGGUGUGAGGGAGAGAGAGGGCUCAGCCCAUUCUAAUAAAGGCCAUUUUACAUUUAGACCCCUCAACUUUUCACCCAUUGCACGGCCCUCACUGGGCAGUUUUCGCCCAGAGGGACCGGUCUCCUCGUGUAAUACACUAAACUUCGGCAAACUAGGAAUCUGAGGGUCGUAAUAGUGAUUAGAACUCUUCUACAACUUUUGUAGGAUUGUUGAGAGGCUUCAGCAAAUCACUGGAGCAAGCAGAUAACUGGAAAUGAAAAAGUGCAUUGCAAGUGCCUUACUCUAUUGCAAUGCUUCAAAUUUGGUCAAUUGCGAAGUUCGAAUGUGGGAAAUGGUAAGUGGAACUACCCUACAUAUUCGAAAGGGCUUAGACAAGUUUUUGGAUAAGUUAGAGGGUGAUUGGAAAGUUAAAAGCAUGAAAGUGCAUUGAAUUGGCGAAAUCAGCAAUUUCCUGCAUUGUGUACCGGUACAGCCAUCACCGUGUACCGGUACACAAUGGCAGAUACGUGGCAGCAAGGUUCUUUUGGUAAUUUCACCUCUUGUCCCUAUCUUAUCUCCCCCAGCACGACUCCUGGAGUAUUUUGGAAGGCAGUAGAGCUCAGAGGAAGGUCUUUGCACCAUCCUCACUCUCUCUCUCUAGGGUUUCUCUCUCUACAUGUAGAAUUCGCCGUUUUGCGCCGAUUUCGCGUCCCGCUCGACGCUUGCUGGUUGGGUGGACUUGGGGCGAACUUUUGAAAGGUAAAGUGAAGUGUUUUUAGCAGUAUUUUUCAUGUUUAUGGCUGGGAGUUGCUGAAAGAAAGCUUUAGAGAGAUAAUUAACUUGAUUUCUCUCUAAUUCAUGGUUUAGUGUCGGAUUUUGAGCCGUUUUGGUGUUGUUGCUCCUAGCUGAUUUGGAGAGGGAUUGCAGCAGCCAAAGAGGAGUUCCUCAGCUGUGAUUUAGCCAUCUUAGACCAGGGAUAAACUACUUCAAGGCUGGACCAAGGUAAUUAAUGGUGUAUGAAGCUAUUUUGUAAUUAUACGAAGUUUAUUUGAAUAACUUAAUGCAGUUUGGAUUGUGCUCUUCGCAGCAGGUUUGCGGAUUAAUUUAAGCUUAAUUGGUGACCUUGGGGACUGGUUAGAAAGUGUUCUAACCUAAGGUAAGCAGGAAUUUCAGUUAGAAAACUGAAACCGUAAGAUUCCGACUAUAGUUAUUAAUAUUUGACGACUUUGAUGCCGUUUUGGAAAUUGUUCGCAGCGGGCUUGCAACGGACUUUCGGAGUGUCUCCGGCUGAUGCGUUAAGGCUUUUAGAAGCUUAACUUGAGGUAUUAACUGAGCCAAAACAGGAAUUUAAGCUAUUGCUUUGUACUAAGUACAAUGUGUGCCGAAAUUGGAUAUUUCGGUCGUAGUUUGAUGCGCCUUCCGUGUUUCGUUUUCAGCAGAGUUGGGGCUCCGUUGAGUUGAGUUUCGGGACUUCUUGUGGCUGGAUUGAGCUUAGUGAUAGGUGGGUCUGACCUUCCCCAAAUGGGUGAAUUCACUCUAUGUCUCCUUCGACAUCUGAGUUGAAGUUAUUCCAUAUUCAUGUGAAUAUAUGUAUAGUUCAGGGCAUUGCGACAUGCAUUGAUGUGUAGUUCAUAUCAGGUAUGAUAGCAUCUUUAAACAUUAAUGAAAGAUUCAUGACUUGUUCACUCUACAUGGUUACAUGUUAAAGUACUACGUGUUCAUGAUACUAGUAGCUUGCAUAUGCAAUUUUAGCUUGAUGUUAUCCAAGAGGAUAUAAUGAUAAAUUCGUGAAUGGACUAAUUAGCUCUGUUGAACAACAAAGAGAUUGAUGUAUUUAGGAUUGAGCUAUGCAAUGUUAUAUAGCAAGCAUAAUUGCUAUACUCUGAAAGAUCAGGUAAAGGCCUUUGUUUGCAUAUGCAUUUCUAAUUGUAGAAUGAAUGGCAUGGAGAUCAUGUGAAGAGUAUUUUAUCGCUUGUUUCACUUGCUUGCAUUACCCUGUUAGUUUCUACUUUCACAUGAUAGACUUAUAUUAUGGUAUAUGUUCUAGUAAGUAACUAGAAUUUCAUAUGAUGGCAUAACUUGAAUGAUUAUUCAGCUGAAUAUAAUCUAGUAAAUAACUAGAUUUGGUUAUGAUAACAUACUCGUAUAGUCAAGUAGAGAUUUAUAUUGGACUACAGGAUAUGUGCCAUGAGUCUUUGAACAGAACAUUAGUAAACUACUUUCCUUAUGUGUAAGUAGUAGUGAGAGAUUGUGAAUGACUGACCAGGUAUAGCCUGAUAGAAUCACUAGUGUGAUGUAAAGCCUUAACUUGUCAAGUUAUACUAGUUAUUGGUAGAAUCAUAUCAACAAGUUGUUGAUAGUGGCUUAUGAUUGGGUACUACAGUGCCGACCUUGGGUCGAGUUGAGAUAUCUGUACCCUGGACUAUAGCUUGCAUGCCAUUACGCUCUUUCGUACAUGCUUGCGGGGGUCGCGCCCCCCAAGCCUCGCGUUCCGGAGUGGCUUGAGUUGAGAUACUAUGUUAGGGACAUGAUGCUGUUGUGAGAUUGGUACUACGGACUACGGCUUACAUGCCAUUGUGCGCGUUCGCACACGCUUGCGGGGUCGCUCCCCCCCAAGCCAGCACUCCCGAACAGCUUAGCGACAGAUGCUCGCAAAUGUAUGAAGUGAGCACCGAAGUGGAAUGCUGUGAGGAGUGUACACUAUCACGGGGCCAUGAGGCAUGGCGCGGCUUGAACUUACCUUGUGUAAGUCUGUUGGAAAUUGGGUUAUGUCAAGUACUUCAACCUUAGCUGGACAUAGUAGUAACGUUACUUUAUGUCUUUGGUUAAGUGAACUUAUUGAUGAACAUACUAGAAAGUUGACAUCUAAAGUGAGCUUAGUGAUGAAUAACCUAGAAGUUGACAUCAUGAUUGGUUAGCAACAUAAUGAAUGACAUUAUGUUUCUUUCUUGCUAAUGAAAAAGGUAAUUACAUGAUAUUAUCUGUAAUUUCAGUAAAGUGAAUUAUGUUACAUACAAUCUGGUAUAUGUUUGGUUAAAUUGUCAAGUAAUCUGAUUGAUAGAAUCUAUCAUGAUAACUGAUACCUGCAAUCUAUUGCUGAUUAUUUAUUAUUAAGCAAAUAGCAUGAGUAGUUUACUUUCAUAUCUGUUGCAUGUAAUUGCUUAUUGCAUUAUCUGCAUUUACUUGUUUAUUUAUUGCUAUCUACUCAUGCCACAGUUGACCUAGUGGUGUACUUCGCCACUCUCGGCGGCUUACCCACUGGGAACUAUUGUUUAAUAGUUCUCACGCCCUCUUUGUUGUUGUUUUUUACAGAGCCUUCCACCGCCGGAAAGGCUAGGGUUUGUGGCAAAGGGUCUGCGGCUAGCUAGAGCCUUUUUGGACGUGUACUAGAUGACCUCUACCAGUUUAUGUAGUUUAGUACAGAAAUGUAUAUUAAGUUUUUGUAAAUUGUACGUUAUUCUUAUUUCCUGUGUUAAGGUUUGGAUUGUAUAAGUUUAAACUUAAAGUCUUGCUCUGAUUAUCUGGUUAGAAUUAUAUGCUUUUACUAUAUGAUUUGUAGACGCCUUGUGUAUACUUGAGUUGUGAUGUACACGGCGGGUCUGUGCACGCGACCGGAUAUACUUUCGUUGGUACCCGGGCGUGACACCCCGACAAGGGACCGGUCCCCGAGAGCAGCCCACGCUGCCAGGGGCCUCUUUCGCGUUCGGGAACCUGUCCUCACCUGAGGGACUGGUCCCUGGGAGACCGGUCUCUCCUGAGAGACCGGUUCCCGAAAGGGGAACCUUCAGGACUUAGCCAAAUUUUGGCUUUCCUUCAAGGGUGUCGCGCACGGGGACCGGUCCCCUCAGCCAGGGACCAGUCGCAUCGACCUCCCUCGCGACCAUCAGCUACGGGGACCGGUCCUUCCCUCCAGGGACCGGUCCCCAAGAGCAAAAUUCUGUUGAGUCUAGAUUUUGCUUAUUUGCUCUCGCGGACUCAACUCCAAAGCACUUUUUGUAUUUUGGACAUCCCCAACUCCCACAAAAGGUAUACCCUCGACAGUUAGUCGAUCCUGGAUGUAGUACAAUCCUCGAAUUUCGAGAAUUCACUUCCUUACAUCCUCCCCUCCUUAAAAAGAGUUUCGUCCUCGAAACUAACUCAAUUCUUUAUUUUAACUUAAAUCCAUACCUUACUCCUCAAAUAGAUGAGGGUGGUGCUUUCUCAUUAGAUCCUCGAGUUCCCAGGUGGCUUCGCGAUCCUCGUGAUUGCUCCACCUGACCUUCACAUAAGCAAUUUCUCGAUUCCUCAACUUUCGCACCUCUCGGGUGAUAAUCCCUACCGGAAACUCUUCAUAGCUCAAGUCUCCUUGAAGUUCCGGCGGUUCAUAUAGCAUCGCAUGCUCAGGGUCGUGAAUAUACUUGCGGAGAUUGGAGACAUGGAACACAUUGUGUACAUCCGCAAGCUUCGGCGGUAAAGCAAGUCGGUAGGCUACCGUGCCGACUCGCUCCAAUAUCUCAUAUGGUCCAAUGUAUCGGGGACUUAGUUUCCCCCGCACUCCAAACAACUUCACACCCCGUAUCGGUGAAACCUUCAAGAAUACGCGGUCACCUACCGUGAAUUCUAUAUCUCGACGGCGCCUAUCUGCAUAGCUUUGCUGUCUCGACUGCGCCGUGAGAAAUCUCUUGCGAGCAAGGCGGACUUUCUCUUCCGCCUCUCGCAACACAUCGGGGCCGAACUCAGCACGCUCACCUACAUCGCUCCAGUGUAUAGGAGAUCGACACGUCCGCCCAUAGAGAGCCUCGAACGGCGCCAUCUCUACACUAGCAUGAUAACUGUUGUUGUAGGCGAACUCGGCCAUAGGUAGGUGGUCACACCAACCUCCCUUAUAGUCGAUGACACACGCUCGCAACAUAUCCUCUAGAGUUUGAAUAGUUCUCUCUGUUUGCCCAUCGGUCUGAGGAUGAAAUGCGGUGCUAAAGUCGAGCAAUGUGCCAAGGGCUCCCUGCAGGCUCUUACAAAAAUGUGAAGUGAACCGGGGAUCACGAUCCAACACGAUCGAUUUCGGCACCCCAUGCAGUCUCACUAUCUCGUCAAGGUAUAACUGCGCCAACUUGUCACCUAACCACGUGGUGUGGAUCGGCAAGAAGUGAGCCGACUUGGUCAAUCGGUCCACAAUUACCCAAAUUGCAUCGUGGCCGCCUGUUGAACGAGGCAAGCCGACCACGAAGUCCAUCGAUAUAUCCUCUCAUUUCCAAAUAGGGAUUGGUAGGCUUUGAAGCUUUCCCGCUGGAAAUCGACGCUCGGCCUUCACUUGUUGGCAUGUCAAGCAUUUCGCCACAAAGCGUCCAAUGUCACUCUUCAUUCCCGGCCACCAAUAGUGCAUCUUUAGUCCACGAUACAUCUUGGUGCCGCCCGGGUGAUCAGCAUAUGGAGAUCGGUGUGCUUCUUGUAAAAUCAAUUCACGAAGCUCUCCACCCUUCGGCACACACCAUCGGUUUCGAAACCGAAGCGCACCAUCGGCGUCUACCCUGAAAUCGCCGCCAUGCCCUUCCUCGAUGUUUCACCGCACCUUUUGGAGUUCUGGGUCUGCAGGUUGCAGACCUUUGAUCCUCUCCAACAAGGUCGGUUGGACAACGAGUGCCAUCAAUUGAGUUGGGACCUCGGGAGCGACCACUUCAAGGUCCAAUCGCUCCAUAUCCAGCCACAAAGGUGUUUGCUGGGUAACGUCAAAUGCGAGAUUCUUCGCCGACUUCCUACUAAGUGCGUCCGCGACCACAUUCGCCUUCCCGGGGUGAUAGAGGAUAUCAACAUCAUAGUCCUUUAACAGCUCCAACCACCGCCGCUGACGCAUGUUGAGCUCCUUCUGUGUAAACAGGUACUUCAAGCUCUUGUGGUCGGUAUAGAUCUCACAGUGGGCACCAUAUGAGUAGUGCCUCCACAGCUUCAAGGCGAAAAUCACCGCCGCUAGCUCCAAAUCAUGAAUAGGGUAGUUCUUUUCAUAGCUCUUCAGCUGACGGGAUGCAUAAGCGAUCACUUUCCCGUUUUGCAUCAAUACACACCCCAAUCCAAGAUAGGAGGCAUCACUGUAGACCAUGAAGUCUUCGCCCUGCACCGGUAGAGCGAGCACCGGAGUCGAAGUCAAUCUUUGCUUCAACUCUUUGAAACUCCGGUCGGACUCUUCGCUCCAAACAAACUUGGUGCCCUUUUGGGUCAGGCGGGUAAGUGGAAUCACUAUCUUGGAAAAGCCUUCCACAAACCGCCUAUAGUAGCCCGCUAAGCCCACGAAGCUUCGAACCUCCGUGACAUUCGUCGGGCGCGGCCAAUCCUUGAUUGCCUCAACUUUCCUCGGGUCUACAGAAACUCCACCCGCAGAAAUCACAUGCCCUAAGAAGGCGACCUCGCGGAGCCAGAAGUCACACUUCUUCAACUUAGCAUAUAGCUUCUCCUCCCGAAGGACUUGAAGCACUAUCCUCAAAUGCUCGGCAUGUUCCUCGUCACUACGAGAAUAAACCAAUAUGUCGUCUAUGAAGACCACGACAAAUCGAUCCAAAAACUCCUUGAAGACACGGUUCAUCAAAUCCAUGAACGCCGCUGGAGCAUUCGUGAGUCCAAAUGGCAUGACCGUGAAUUCGUAAUAUCCAUACCGCGUACGGAACGCGGUCUUCUGCACAUCCUCCGGCUUGAUUUUCAGCUGGUGAUAGCCGGAUUGCAAAUCUAUCUUCGAGUACACACACGACCCCUGCAACUGAUCGAACAAGUCAUCGAUUCGGGGUAGUGGGUACUUGUUCUUGAUCGUGACUCAGUUCAAUUCUCGAUAGUCCACGCAGAGUCGGAACGAUCCGUCCUUCUUCCUUGCAAACAACACCGGGGCUCCCCACGGUGAUAUACUCGGCCGGAUAAAUUGCUUGUCGAGGAGGUCUUGCAAUUGACUCCUCAACUCCUUCAAUUCCGUCGGCGCCAUUCGGUACGGGGCCUUUGAGAUCGGUGCGCUACCGGGAACCAAGUCUAUGACGAACUCGAUCUCUCGAUCCGGUGGUAUCCCCGGCAACUCCGUGGGAAAUACAUGCGGGAACUCCCGCACUACCGAUAACUCCUCUAAUGUUAGAGCUACUCGUUCCACUUCCACAACAGUCACUAAGAAUGCCGUGGAACCGCUGUUAACUAACUUCCUUGCUCUCGUUGCCGACACCGUCGCGACGAAGCACGAGCUUUGACAAGCCCGAUAAGUGAACUCCUCUUAUCCUGGUUCACGGAAAGUGAUCACCUUGUUCUUGCAGUCGAUCAUCGCGUGAUACUUUGAGAGCCAGUCCAUGCCCAGAAUGAUAUCAUAAGCCUCAAGCUUUGUGAGUUCCAGUGUCCGGAUAGGCAUAAUCCAGUCGCCUAUUUGUACGGGACAUGACGCACACUCCGAGUAAGUGUUAAACGUCGACCCAGGGCCCUCCACUCGCCACUUGUCACUCGCUUCUAUGAGUACGUCAUGCAUGAGUGCGAAUGAUCUACUUAUGAAUGAAUGCGUAGCUCCUAUAUCAAACAAAGCCCUGGAGCGAACUCCGUUAAUUAAAACCAUACCUGCCACAAGGCGAUGCUUCUCCACCUCCGCAGGUUCCUCAGCUUGGACCUGAGCGGCGAACACCCGUCCGCUCGGGGCCGAUCGCGCCAUAUCAGGUUGACGCGGCAUCAUCGCGCGUCCAGUCGACGCGGCCGUCGGUGGAGCACCUCCAUAAUGAGCCGGAAUCGCUGGCGCCGAUGAAUCGAUAGGGCAGUUGAGGCUCCUCCUCUCGGGCAGUCCCGAAUGAAGUGCCCCGGCUGCCCACACUUGUAGCACUUGCCUCGGCCUUGCUCACAGCGCGAGACCGGGUGGUCUCCGCCGCAUAUCAUGCAUCGCCGCACUCCACCUCCCUUCUGUUGAGUGCGCGCAUACUUCGGGGGCUUCUUGUAACAUGUUUGUCCCCCAGAACUACCACCACCUUGGCGUUUCUUGCCCUUGUCCUUAGACUCGGCCAAAGCCUCACGCUUCUCCCGAAUGUGGGCAUCUCCGUGCUCCGCCCAUAGCGCUCGAUCGAAGACCUCCGCAAAGGUCGAGAGCUUGAGUAUCUGCACGGCCUUGUAGAUCCCCGGCCGAAGUCCUCGCAAGAACCACUUGGCCCGGUCCCAGUCAUCCUUUACAACAUCCGGGACACAAUUGAUAAUAUGGGAGAAUUCUUGUUCAUACUCCGCCACUGAGCGGUCCUCUUGCUCGAGCUUGCGAAACUUCUCCUUGAGCUUCCGCUUCAAUGUAUCGGGGAAAUAGUUAGCGAACAUCUCCCGCUUGAAUUCCUCCCACAACAUUGGCGGAAUGCCGAGAAGCCGAUCCCGUUUGACUCGCUUCCACCAAACUUUCGCCGCCUUUUCCAAGCAGUGGGUGGCGAGAUACACCUUGUCCCUCUCCAAGGUACGCAAGUCGUCGAAGAGGGUCUCCAUCUAGUCAAUCCAAGACUCGACCAUCUCUGGUUCCACCUUCUCACCCUCGAAGGUUGGCGGAUGGAACUUGUUGAAUUUGAUAAGAGCCGCCAAUGCGCGCUCUCCCUCCACGUCCUCGGCCGACACAUCAGGGGUAGCCGAUCUCGAUGCCGCCUGUGGUAUGAUCGUUGGCGGUGGGCGUGCUGUCACCGGAACCGCCGCUAUGCCCUCACCCUCUGCCGCUCUAGGUAUAUGAGUCGAGGGUGCGGGCGGGCCACCUCCCUCAUUUGCCGUCGCAGCCGCCGCCGCGAUCUGCCGCUCCAAUAGAUCUUGGAAACGCUCGAAUCUGGUCUUCUGGCGCUGCACCACACUGGUCAGCGCGGUCACUUGCGCUUGCAACUCGGUUCCUCCUGCUCGGGCACCUCAGGAGUCGGUGCUGGGGCAGUCCUACGCGUGUAGCGUCUUGGAGACAUUAGUCCCUGAAACGCAAUUACUUGGUCAGUCAUCUUAACCAAUUACCUCGUCGCAAUUACGACACAUGACGAUUCAAAAAUGAAAUCAGGCGGAAGUACACAAGUGUACUCGUUCUAGACUCUUGGUAUCAUGUCGUCGGCCGCCGACACAACCACCUCAAGACAAGAACUCAUACCACUUGAAUACGUCUCUAAUCACAACUAGAGACAUAUUACCAACUUCGACCCAAUCGAAUUAACUUCCGCCAUCGCUAUAAGUUCACGUUUCGCUCACACACCUAUAACCUUAAGGCUUACCAACCUAGGGUCUCCUAGGUCCUCCUAGACUCUCUCUUUACUUACUCUUAUUGCUCUGAUACCAUGCUCUGUCACGCCUCGCCCCGAAACCACUACCGAUUUGGCACGAUUCAGGCGCGGCGAGCGGACCGCCGAACGGACAGCACCUCCCCUGUCCGCCCAAGGCUCAGCAACAGGAAUGUGUACAAGAAUUUACCCAGGAAUUUAAAUUCUAAACAUACACAUUCACAGGGGCACAACAGUGCCAACAACACAAAGAGCAAGCAAUCCACAAGAUAUAGCAUGUGAAAUAAAGAGAGUACUUUACUAAACUAUUACAACAUUUCCAUUUACAUCAUUUUCUUUAAAUGAAUACAUUUUUCAUCUCCAAAAUGCAUAGCUCUCCAAAUCCUCACCUACAAUGAAUCUCUCUCAAUACAUAGGUGUGCUAGUGCAAAAAGGAAAGCUACUAUACUACCACGGUCUCACUGAUCGGGCGCGAUGCCCUUGCCGCGGUCCUCCCUCGACAGCCCUGUACCUACCACUGGAAAUAGAGUGGGGUGAGAACUAUCUUCCAUAGUUCCCAGUGGGCUCGGCUGCCGACUUUGCCGANNNNNNNNNNNNNNNNNNNNNNNNNNNNNNNNNNNNNNNNNNNNNNNNNNNNNNNNNNNNNNNNNNNNNNNNNNNNNNNNNNNNNNNNNNNNNNNNNNNNNNNNNNNNNNNNNNNNNNNNNNNNNNNNNNNNNNNNNNNNNNNNNNNNNNNNNNNNNNNNNNNNNNNNNNNNNNNNNNNNNNNNNNNNNNNNNNNNNNNNNNNNNNNNNNNNNNNNNNNNNNNNNNNNNNNNNNNNNNNNNNNNNNNNNNNNNNNNNNNNNNNNNNNNNNNNNNNNNNNNNNNNNNNNNNNNNNNNNNNNNNNNNNNNNNNNNNNNNNNNNNNNNNNNNNNNNNNNNNNNNNNNNNNNNNNNNNNNNNNNNNNNNNNNNNNNNNNNNNNNNNNNNNNNNNNNNNNNNNNNNNNNNNNNNNNNNNNNNNNNNNNNNNNNNNNNNNNNNNNNNNNNNNNNNNNNNNNNNNNNNNNNNNNNNNNNNNNNNNNNNNNNNNNNNNNNNNNNNNNNNNNNNNNNNNNNNNNNNNNNNNNNNNNNNNNNNNNNNNNNNNNNNNNNNNNNNNNNNNNNNNNNNNNNNNNNNNNNNNNNNNNNNNNNNNNNNNNNNNNNNNNNNNNNNNNNNNNNNNNNNNNNNNNNNNNNNNNNNNNNNNNNNNNNNNNNNNNNNNNNNNNNNNNNNNNNNNNNNNNNNNNNNNNNNNNNNNNNNNNNNNNNNNNNNNNNNNNNNNNNNNNNNNNNNNNNNNNNNNNNNNNNNNNNNNNNNNNNNNNNNNNNNNNNNNNNNNNNNNNNNNNNNNNNNNNNNNNNNNNNNNNNNNNNNNNNNNNNNNNNNNNNNNNNNNNNNNNNNNNNNNNNNNNNNNNNNNNNNNNNNNNNNNNNNNNNNNNNNNNNNNNNNNNNNNNNNNNNNNNNNNNAAAACCCUAAGUUUUACAAGCUAGGGUUUGUAGCUUACCUCUUGAGCUACACCAAUGGAGAAGAAAGAAAGAGAGGAAGAUGCUCCAAGCCUUCUCUAUCUUGUUCUCCUCCUUCUUCUUCUCCUCCUUCUUCUUCUUCUCUUUCUUCUUCUCAUUCUCUUUUGUUCUUUCUUUUCUAGAGAGAUAGAGAGGGAGCAAGAGAGAGUGUGAGAAAGAGAGAAAAUGAGAGGGUGUGAGGGAGAGAGAGGGCUCAGCCCAUUCUAAUAAAGGCCAUUUUACAUUUAGACCCCUCAACUUUUCACCCAUUGCACAGCCCUCACUUGGCAGUUUUUGCCCAGAGGGACCGGUCUCCCCGACAAGGGACCGGUCCCCGAGAGCAGCCCACGCUGCCAGGGGCCUCUUUCGCGUUCGGGAACCGGUCCUCACCUGAGGGACCAGUCCCUGGGAGACCGGUCUCUCCUGAGAGACCGGUUCCCAAAAGGGGAACCUUCAGGACUUUAGCCAAAUUUUGGCUUUCCUUCGAGGGUGUCGCCCACGGGGACCGGUCCCCUCAGCCAGGGACCGGUCGCAUCGACCUCCCUCGCGACCAUCAGCUACGGGGACCGGUCCUUCCUUCCUGGGACCGGUCCCCGAGAGCAAAAAUCUGCUAAGUCUAGAUUUUGCUUAUUUGCUCUUGCGGACUCAACUCCAAAGCAUUUUUUGUGUUUUGGACAUCUCCAACUCCCACAAAGCGUAUACUCUCGACAGUUAGUCAAUCCUGGAUGAAGUACAAUUCUCGGAUUUCGAGAAUUCACUUCCUUACAAUAUAUAUAUAUAUAUAUAUAUGCCGUGGCUACUAUACUAUUAUAAGUAUUGGAGCCGUCGUACUCUUAAGUUGUUUUUGAUGAUGGAGCUUUCGAAUCGAUGAUCCACUCAGUUAAAUAUGAUCUAGAGUAUUUGAAACUUCUAGAAAAUAAAUUUCGUAAAUUUUCGAAAUCAUAAUAAAGUCCAUCAAGCGGGCAUAAAAUGAACGGUCAAAAUCGAACGACGUCCUAAAAAAGGAUGAUCGGAUCCUUCAAAUCAAUAUCAGAGGUUAUGACCUUUACUAGUAGCGAAAUAAAAUUUCUAUCAAAAAAUUCAACAAAUUUGAUUCUUUUACACCGUUAACUAGCAAGUAUUCAUACCGACCAUUAAAAUUGUCAAAUUUGUGACCGUCUUGAUCAUAAGGUAAAUAAUGCGAAAAAUUAUAAAUAUGAUUUGCUAGAAGUUUUAAAUGCUGUAAUAUAACGUUUCACGUAUGAUCUCGAUUCGGAAGACUUAAUCGUCGAAAAUGAUUUAUGACUACAAGAGAGAUUCGUAUCAUAAUGUCAUAGUCGGACCCCCAUUAUAUAUAUAUAUAAGUAAUAUAUUUAUAUAUAUAUAUAUAUAUUAUAAUAUAUUAUAUACAUAUAUAUAUAUAUAUAUAUAGAGGCUACUAUGCUAUCGGAAGCACAAGAGCCUUCCGUGCUUCUAGCUCGUUUUGAUGUGCGACUUUCGAAUCGUCGGAUGCGCUCCGUUAAACUUGAUCUAGAGUAUGUGGAGUACUCUAAGAUAAAAAAUUUAUUAUUUUUCGAUAUCAUUUGCCUAGUGAUCGAAUGGGCUCAAAAUCAACAAUUUCAAUGGCCGUAUGGAACCGUUGUGCAAGUGUAACGUGUUGAAUAUAUCCAAAUCACGUGAAAUUUUGGAUAGAAAAUUCUUUAUACUAAACUAUAAAACAAGAUCAAUAUCUUUGAUUUAAAAUUUUAAUGUCAUAUUACUAUAUUUUAUAAGAUUUUUAUUUUCAGCCGUUGAUUUUGAGCCCCUUCGUUCACUAGGCAAAUUAUAUCGUAAAAUCAUAAAAUUUAUUUUCUAGAUACUUCAAAUACUCUAGAUCAAGUUUAACAGAGCCGAUCGACGAUUCGAAAGUCGCAACAUCGAAAACGAGCUAGAAGCACGGAAGGUUUCGUGCUUCCGAUAGCAUAGUAGUCUCACUCUAUAUAUAUAUAUAUAUAUAUAUAUAUAUAUAUAUAUAACAACACGCACGCUACACCAUAAAUCAUAUUUGGUGGCACUUUUUUAGUGGCUCUUAUAAAAAAUGCCAGUUAUAAUUAGUUAUUAAUGACACUUUUAAAUAAAUGCCUUUAGUUAAUUAAUUAUUAAAUCUAUUUUUAAUUUUUUGAAAAGUUGUGAGGUCACAUCAAAAUUCUACCCAAAAAAAGUCGCCAGCAAGGCGGGAAUUUUUGACUUCGCGCUUAAGGAAAAAAAAAAACCCUCUUCGAUCGAAAAACCCUUUACGCGGUGGCCUAGUUCUCAUCCCAUCUUCAAAAAAAUCCCUUCGUCUUUGCUUCAAACCCGGCCUCCUUCUCCUCCUCCUCCUCGUCCUCCUCCUUUCGCUCUCACCUUCGCCUCGCCGCAAUCUCGUCUCUGCCCCCGAAGCGCCGACGUUGGAGGGAGGAGCCACGAUCUCGUCGCUCGCCCCGCCGCCGCUGCCGAGGGCUCCGAACCCUCGGUCGCCGCCGCCGAUGAUAAGGUGAAACAAUCGUUUAUGGAACCCUUGUUCUUUUAGGUCGAUUAGACCCUGAUAUGUGAAUUUAUGAGAUCUGUUUUAGUUCGAGAAGGGCUCGAUUUUGGCGGAUUUGCUUCUCUUGGAGUUUGCUUAGGUGACUCAGGAGAUAUGCAGGCUAAGUUAUCACUUUUUUUGUAUUUUACUGUUGUGGUUACAAGGAAAAAAAAAAAAUCGUACGUCCUUCAGAUUGUUACCAAUUUAGAUUCUUAAUAGCUUCACACUAGGUAAGGUUUUUCUCAAUAAUGACACAAAUAACAUUCAUUUGGAUGCAGCAAAUUUGGCGAUAUCGAUGAUGAGGAUCACUUCAUCGAGACUCUUACAAAUGAUGUUCGAGUGGUUGAUGCGGUGCCUGAAUUCAUAAUGGAGCGUUUUGGUGACAAUAUGAGUAAUGUAUUCAACUUCAAAAUAAAAGCUUGGUCUUCUAUUCAGUAUUACAAGGAUGCUGUUCUUCCAAAGCUGGUUGAAGAAAAGUGAGUCGAAAAUCCUAUUUAUAUGCCAUUUCCAGCUGUUACUUUCCUCAUUUCGAUUUAUGUGGAAAUUACUAGAUGAAGAUUUUGGCUUUGCUUUAUGUUAGCUUUUUGUCGAAGUUACUCUUUAGCUUAUGUGUAAUAAUCAUUCAACUCCUCAAACUUGUCUUUUUUUUAAAAAAAAAUAUAAUAAAAUAAAACAGGCUUAUAAGGAUUUCUCCUUUCGCAAAUCGGCUAUCAUUUGAUGCCCCUCCUGCCGUCCAACGCUUAAGAUGCUUGGCUAAUUUUGAAGCCUUGCGUUUCUCGAAUCCUAUUGCAACUUUUGGCUGAAAAGUUGGUUUCUCGAAUGAAAGAACGGAGUGUUGAUAACAAUGGCAAAUAUGUUGCAGUACAUCUUCGCUUUGAGGAGGUUUGUUUGUGUUUAUUUUUGUAAUAUUUACAUUCAUACCUCUGCAAAACCAUCUAUUGCACUUACAACCCUACAAAACCUUGAAUUUUGAUACAUGCACUCUAAAACCUUAAUAUCUUGCAUAUGUACCCUUCUACUUGUGAGAAUGCCCCUCCUUAGAAAAAGGAACUUUUUUUAUAAAAAAAUAGCCAUGAAUUGGAUGACUCCCAAACUUUUUUUCAUUUAGUUCUGCAUCCUUCUGCAGCUUUCAUAUUUUGGGUUACAUUGAGGAGUUGAGGACUUGAUAGUAGAUUUACCUAUUUUUCAGGAUAUGGUUGCAUUUUCAUGUUGCAUAUUUGAUGGUGGGGAAGCGGAGAAGCAGGACAUGAAUGCAGCAAGAGAAAGAGGGUGGAGAGGAAAGUUUACUAAACCUGGUCGUGUAAUACGACCUGGUGCAAUAAGAAUGAAUGGAAAAUGCCCACUUACACCUUUGGAGGUACAUACUUUCCAAUUUCUCUUCUUCUUCUUCUUCUUUAGAUUGCGUUACGCACGAAUGUGUCGGAAAUAAUCUUUGUCUCAUUCAAACUAAAAUAUUUUAGCAUAUCUUUAGCAAAAUAUUUUAUCUUUCUAGCUCUUAUAUAUAUCAUAAAUAAAAAAACGUGCAAGCCAUGUUUUAACAUUUUCUCUUAUAUAUAAGUUAAUAGUCUCUUAGCUUAUUUGAAAAGGAAUCUGUGAAUUGGAGACAACACUGUUUGUAAGCUGUAAGUUAACUAUACAGUGAGCAUUUGUGUCGAAAUUGUAAUGCUGUUCUGGUGAAUUCGGGAAAAUUCUAAACGAUGGACUAGGCACGUGCAUAUGAAUUGAGCAUAGUAAACCCAUAAGAUUUGCAUAAAUUGGCCAAUUUAAACUCAUGAAGUGGUAGUUACCUACUCUAUGUUGAUCAUUGUGCUAUAUAUAACUAUCGUUUCUAGAGUAACUUCAGUCAGGAUAUAGUGUAUUUAUGCAAGCUGAGACUGAUUCUUAAUAUCUACCGAUGUUUUUUCUUAGAUUUAAGUUAUAUUCAUAGUUCGCUCCUCCACUCCACUCCUCCACUCGCGUCGCUACGAUCGCGUCACCCUCACCCGCGCCUCACGUUUUAACUCCCUCUUCGACCCCAUCCUCUCCGCCUUCGCCGCUGCUUACUGGAAUAUUUCCCUCCUCGAUGUCGGCGAGCGCUGCUUCCAUUGCGGUGUGCUAGGAACAGUUCGUUCACCCCUUUGCAGGUUCUAGUUUGUUUAGAUUUUAUUGUUUGAUAUGUUUUUUUAAUGGGUUUGGAUUCAAUUUUUGUAUUAUUUUGAUGAAAAUUAAUGGAACUUAGCAAGAAAAACUUCAUGAUUUUUAUUUAUCGACAUAUUCUUCACCCGAAAUGUGUUGGAUUUCAUUGUCAUUUAAUUUUAUUUUGUUAACAAAACCUUAACUAGAGGUUGAUUUUAAGGAGUUCGUGGCGCAUUCGUCUGAUGUCAACUGUGUAACCAUCUGGAAGAACGCGAGGUGAACCUGUGGGCAAUUGGUAAACCAACGCCAUUAUUGGUGAGUCCAUGCUUGCUCUUUCUAUUUAUUUGUUUAUUUUCUCUAAUGUAUCUUAUUACACUCUGUGCUUCAAUUCCUGUGUGCUUCAGUUUCAAUUCCUUUUCUUUUUAUUUCUUGGAUCAUAGUAAACUAAAAUGAUCAAAUUUUAGUUAGUUGGUAGCUUAGAGAAACCGAAGUCUAUCAAGUCCUGGGUGUUUCCUUUUCAACAGUAGUUCUGAUUUGUUAAAGUGCUAAAAUGUGUGAUAAUUUAUUUGAAAUUCAUGCCAUGACUAUAAUUUCACAUGGUAAUACAGGUGUACAGAGGUUACAAAUAUCUUUUAUAUUGUUUUACUUUUUGUCUUUUAAAUGGUGUUUUCAUUCAUUAUGCUAUACAUGAUUUGGAUUACUUGAGUAGUUAGCUCCAACUUUUUCUCUGAUGAUUUUUUUAUGAAACAGAGUUUUACUAUUCAAGUAAUUUAUCUUUGAUACAAAUUUUUGUUAGCAGUGAUUGCAAAAUGUCCCUUGUUUUCUUCCUUUUUCAUCACUAGCAUUUGGAACUCCCAUGUUUUAAGCAAGUUUUAAUCAUCAGAACUAGAAAUAUUUUAGCUCUCAAUAAUGAAGUCAAUAAUGAAAAUGAAUCUGUUGUUAUUGUUGUGAAGAUCGUAAGGACUGUAGAGCAACAGGAGCUACUCUUUGAUUGCUGAAAGUAAGGCCUUUUGGGACAGCAAAAUAUCCUUUUUUUUAUUUGUCAAUCAUAAGCGGAAAGAGGCAGUAAAGAAACUUCUUAAUAACCUUUUGACCAGAUUAAGUAGAGUUUCUGUAGUGUUGGGACUACAUUACUAGCAAUCAAUCAGAUUCAAUCUUUUUUUUCUCUCUUCAUUUUUUAAAAAUUAUGAAGCUUGAGUUCGACUAUGUUUUUUUUCUCUUUGUUUUUUUAAAAAUCUGGUUCAUGUUUCAAUCUGGUAGGAGAAAGUUUAUUCUGUGUGUUGAUUGAGAAAAUGAUAAGCUCCUUUUCGUAGGAUUUUAUUAUCUAGAUGUAGGUUGUAGAUAGUAUACUCUGUUUCAUAGGCUAAUUUAUUUUUAUUUUUGUUCUAAUGCAGGUUUGGUUAUUAGUUAAGAAGAUGAAGUAACCUGUAUAACAAUUUGGAGACUUCAUUUCCUUUAUUUUGUCAAUAUUAAAAUGUGUACUUGGAGAAUAUUGAUAUUGUUUUGUUGUUGGGACUAAACUAAGUCUUUUUUUGUUUAUUAUGGAUAUUGAAUAUAUGAUACUUUUUAAAACUUUAUGAAGUUAUCAUUUUGUAUAUUCUCGAUUAUAUUUACUAAAAUGUGUACUUCAUUUUAUUCGAUGUCGACGUUUGUAUGUGUCUAAAUUUUCAUGACAUUUUGUGUUGACAUGACAUACUUAAUUUGGCUAAUUAAAUAAUCAUUUCGUUGGUAAUGUGUGAAUUAAUUCAUAUUCAUCUAAUUACAAUAUACGAUAUGCAUUAAAAUUUUAACCUUUUGCCGGCACUCUUUCUGUUAGGAUAAAUUCAAUUUUUUGUCGGCACUUUUUCCUGUCAGAAUAUCUAAUUGGGAGUAAUAAUUUUAAAUUUAUGGCCGGCAUUAACAAAUGCCUUUAAAGCUUUGCUGGUAGUAAAAAUUGUUUCUAAAAGAAAGAAAAGCCGACAGGAAUGAGUGCCGAAAAAGAGAAAUUAUUCGGCACUUAUGAGUGCCACUAUAUAUUUUUAUUAGUGGCACUUUAAGGUGCCGGUCAUUUAAUAUUUACCGGCAGUUUGUAAUAAGUGCCAGCAAAACAAUUACCGACCGAGUUUUAGCCAGCACUUGUGGGUGCCACAAACAACCGCCGGUAAAACUUUUUCCUGGCACUUUUCAUACUUUUCCUGGCUGUUUGAAUUGCCUCUAAAAGUUCCUUUUGGUGCAGCCGACAUUGAAGAAUUGUUUGUAGGAAAUUUUUUUUUUUCUCUUUACAGAAGAAUCGUUUGUAGAAAUUUUUUUUUUUCUCUUUACAGCUUGAUGUCUUGAUGUUCUCUCUUUUUUUUUAAUAUUUAUUUUGUCAUGCUUUGACUGUGUAAUACUUAAAUUUAUAACCAAGGGUUAAUGUUUAGAAUUGGUAUUCUAAACAAACUAAAUACAUAUACAAAUUUUUUUCCAAAAAAAUCAUAUAUAAAAGUAUUAUGAUUAGCACAAAAAAAAUUCUUUAAAUACUUAUUACAAAAAUAUUUCUAAAUUGGCAACCAAAUUGGAUUAUAUCAUAUAUAAUAGUAUUACGAUCAGGAUUGGAGGAAAAAAUAAAAUUUUAAAUUAUUCCCGACAAUAAAUUGGAUGCAAAAAAAAUAGUAUAUACAUAAAAAUUAAAUCAAAGAACUUACAAAAUCUGAGGCAAUCAAUCACAGAUCAACGGUACACAGAUAAACGGUACACAGAUAGUCAAUUUCCUGAAACAAAGUAAAAUUAUUCAGUAUUUUUUCAAAAAAAAAAUGAAAUUCAAACAAAAAUGAAAGGUAAAAACUAAAUCAGAAAAAAAAAUAGCACCAGCAGAGAAAUAGAGAGUUUUUACCGCAAAUAAAAAUUUUAAUAGAGGCAUAUUAUAUAGGCAAAAAAAAUAGCAUUCAAAGUAAAAUGACCCUUCGAAUUCAACAAAUACAAAUAUCAGUCGAAGAGAGCGUAAAGAAUGAAUCCGAACCAUUUUUGCACCUGGAGGGCGAUUAAUCGGCAGGAACGAAGCGCUGCUAACAAAAAAAGGCGCGACGGGAAGAAAGGCCGAGAAUGAACUUGACCCAAUUUUCUGUCUAGGAAGGACGUAUCAGGAGUCGAAGAGGCAUCUAGGGGGGCGAGCAGCAUUUAGGAAGGUAAUUUAGUAUGACAGGUAUGUCCCACAAAAGUACAAAAUUAAGCUAAUAUCGCCACGUGGACAAUCGGCAAGAAUAAAGCGUUGCUAACAAAAAAGGCGCGACGGGAAGGACCAAUAAUAAACUUAGCCCAAUUUUCUGUCUAGGGAGGACUUAUCAGGAGUCAGAGAGGCAUCUAGGGAGGCGAGCGACAUUUAGGCAUAGAAUAUUCUUUAUGAACAUAGAACAUAGAAUUAAUUCCUAAUUAAAUAUAGAAUAUUCUUUAUGAAUUAAUCGAGCACGUUCAUAAAGAAUAUUCUAUGUUUAAUUAGAAAUUAAUUCACUAAGAUAUUAAAUUACAACUACGUAUGUAACACGAGCUAGCUCGUUAAAAUAUAGAGCUGAAAAUUCAGCUCGUGUUUGGCUUCAAAGAGCUGGUUUGUUAUUUAGAUCGCCAACCCUACUAUUAGGUAAAUAAAUUGAAAAAAAAAAUAAAGAUUAGAAUUUUAAUCUAAUAAUUAAAACUCACAAAAGUGUGGAGCUACUAUACUAUUAGAAGUAUAUAAAUCCAACUUUGGAUUCCUAGGAUUUACUAGUUGACAGUGCUAAUAAUAUAGAUCCAAAGGUCCAAAGGUUGGAUGUGGGUUCUUCUAAUAGUAUAACUGCUCAACUCUUCACAAACUAUAGUUCUCUACACAUUUACAUUGGCCUAAAAUUCUAGUGGUAUAUAGUUCCAACUUCAGAAUCCUAAGGUUUACUAAUUGACGGUUCUAAUAGUAUAAGAUCCAAAGGCCCAAAAGUUGCAAGUGAGCGCUUCUAAUAGUAUAGUAACUCAACUCUUCACAAAAUAUAGAUUUCUUCAAAUUUAGAUUGGUCUAAAAUCCAAAUAAUAAAAAUUUAUAAUAUAUAUAGUUCGACCAAGGUGCUUUUGAAAGCACGAAGAUAUUGAUACUCUAACAUUUUUUGCUAUUAAAUCAACCCUAGUAAUUCUUAUAUAUAAGCAAUAUAGAGUCGAACACGAGAGAGCUAACCCUAGCUCGUAUUCAGCUCGUUAAGAUUGCUAACUGAAAAAUUCAACUUAUGUUCGACUCGUUUAUAUAACGAGCAAUCAAUUUUGAACUCAUUUUGAAGUUGAACACGAGCUGACUCGAAAUCAGCGAGCUGGAUUGCCACCCCUACUGCACACAUCGCAUGCAAGCGAUUUCUCCUAUCCGCCUAGAAAACAAUCAGAGCUUGCAAUAGUGCCAACUACAAUCAUCCAGGCACAUAAAUUCCAAGUUGGAAAAACCAUCCAGAGUUUGGAACACACAUGCAUUCACUGUAUAUAGAUAACUAUCCUAUAAUCCAGCCAGCAGUUCUACUUUUCCCCCACCCACCCAAUUAACUUCAACAUUCACCGAAAAGAUAAACAAACAAAAUAUAAUAUAAUAAAAUUUACAGCCCUCGGCAGAGAAAUGCAUUUAAAAAGGGCAAAAUAAAUCCACUUGAAAAUCCCCUAAAAUCUGAAGAACCAUUUUAAACUGAAACUAAGAUCAAACAGCAAAACCAACAAAACCAUAUAACCGUGAUACCAUUCCCAUCAUUCAAAAACCAAUUAAAAAGCUGCUAGUUUUCACUCUUCAUAUUUCCUUCCACAUGCACUAAUGCACUGAUAAAUAAGAUCUUUCCCUUUCACAACGGUUGGAUGAUAACACAUUGUGCGCACCAUCAUCAGAUUAACCCUUUCGAAUCCACUGAUUCACCACAAACUUGAUUAACAAGAGGCCGGGAGUGCUCUUAAUUAACCACAAUAAGUGGUGUAGAAGCUCUUGUGUGGGUAGCUUGGCUUUAAUAUGCAUAUUAUCAUCAUGGAUUCGGCGAACCAAUCGGAGGAGCCUUCAGUGAAUGCGCCUUCUGAUUAGCUGAAGCUUGCAUAGCAGAGGAAUUUUUGGCAUUGCUAGAAUCACCCGUCAUGGCCAUUGACUUUUUAAUCUGGAAACCAGCCCAAAGCAAUACAUCAUUAAUUAUGUGAAGACCAAAAGACUAGAAUGUGCAGUUGCAUGCAUGAGUAAAACAACUGUUAUGCAAGAGUAUAACAGCGAAUAACAGUUGUUGUGAGAAAAAAGGAGAGGGAAGAAAAAAAAAAAAAAAAAAGGAACAUGAAAAAUUGUAGCAGCAUGUUAGGACGGGACAAGGUCUGGGCAGAAUGUUCGCUAUCUUUCUCGUCCUUCAAAAGGUUGAAACCUUAUGCUCUCUCUAGAAUGGAGAUGCGAUAUCAUAAAACUAGAUCACCGGGGGGGUGCAAGGAUGUUGAUGUGGGAUUUGACAAGGGUAUUUAGCUUAACAGUUAAAUUGAUAGAAGCUGCGUAGUUUUUUCUGAGCUCAUCUGCAACCUUUCUUUUGCCUUACACUCAUCUCCAAUUAUUGACCCUUUUUUCCCUCUAAACUCAAACCCAAUUAUCAGGGUGAAGGAAUAUAAAGAUCGUCUAUCUUACCAAGGUUACUUUCUAUCUAUACACUAGAAAUUUAUAGCUACUUUUCAUAUUCUCAAGGAACUUUCAGUAUGUUGAGAAAAAUUAGGAGUAAAAAUAUGUAGGAAGACAUCCAUAUUAACUUAUGAGGCCUUUAGGAUAGAACAGUAAUAUACCAUCAACCCACACAUUGCAAUGAGGAAGAAUAGAUGUGCACAAAUCUCUAAAAAGCUACAGACGUAAACUUGUUAAAAAAUAAUAGCACUAAAAUCCGAUUGUGAAUUUGUGAUUAAACUAACUAAUUUUGUAACAGAAUUAUACAACAAACUCACAAGAAAAUCGCAACAGAAAACCUUGGAAUUGUAGAAGAAAAGGAAGCAAACAAACGAUCAAUCCAAGAGCAUGCAUAAUACUAAUCUAAGGCGUAUUUUUGACCUUCGUUUAGAAUUAACCGGAAACACCGCGCUAAAGUGCGACCGGAAUUCAUCCAGCAAGCAUGAUCAUGGAGAAGGUUGACAGAGAAACUUUCAACACCCGAUGGUAAAAAAUAAUAAUAAUAAUAAUAAUAAAUCAAUUGAGAGUGAAGAAAAUAAAAGAAAUAAAAUGAAGCUAAUAAUAAUUUUUUCCCCCUCCAGUCUAUUCAUGCAUAAUGAACAAAUGGAAGAGUAUAAAUAUAUACAGGUAAGUGGGAGCCGAACAAUGUUCAACUCCACGUCCUUUGUUAGUUAGCUGCUGAAACAGCAUAACGUCCGCUCAACUCACAAACAUUUUGAUUCACCUAAUAAAUAAGUAAAAUAAUAAAUAAAUAAAUAUUAAAUAGAAGAAAUAAAUAAUAAUAAUAAUAAUAAUUAUUAUUAUUAUAAAUAAAUGUGAAUUAAUAAAUAAACUCAAAUAAAAUUUUAGGUUUUCACAAAUAAUCACCCAAAAAACUCAAUUGUUGGAAUAAAAAAAUUAAACUCAAUAAUAAAAAGAAGUAAAACCACCGAAUGUUUAUAUUACGUAAUGAGCGAGAUGCCUUUAAGAUAGUUAACCCCACUUAGGAGCCAUUUGGUUGAAUGUAGUUGCAGAAACAGUGUAGUUGAAAAUACAUGCAGUUGCAAAUGCUGUAAUUGUAACUACACCUAGUUUGUUUGGUUUUAUACAGUUGCAACUGCUGCAGUUACAUUUUUUCUGUUUGGUAAUAUGAAGCUGAUAGUUGUAUUUGUAAUUUUUGUCAACUCUUCAGAUAGAGUGGUGAGAUUACCUUCACUAUGCAUAAAAUAAUUGUAUAAUUUUAUUAAUCAUUUAAACUUACUAUUUAUCAAUAAAUAAAUAGAUAUAUAUAUAUAAUAUUUUUAUUUUUUCAACAAUUCUUCAACUUAAUCGCACAUUUAAAAUUUAAUUUAUUUAAUUUUAAUAUUAAAUCAAAUUUUUAAAAUUUAAACAAUUCUCUGAUUUUUUUUAUCAAAUUUAAUAAUUAUAAUUAAUUAAAAACUUAUUAGUUAACAUUCACAAUCACAUUCUAUAAAAAUUUAGGCAAACUAUUUUUAAUUUUAAUAAAAUAAAUUUUAAAAAAUUUAAUUUUUUGCACAAAACUUGUAUUGCCUAAAAAAUUUUAUUAGUAUGAGUUUAUUUACAAGUAUUUUUAUAGAAUUAUAUAUAUAUAUUAUUUAUUUAUUUAUUAUUGUUAAUUUGUGGGUGAUCCUAAUCCUCAGCAACUGCUGCAGUUGGAACUACAACCAAUUUGGAUGUAGUUCCAACUGCAGCAUUUGGACCUUCUUGUAGUUGGAACUGCAGCAGUUGGACUCAACUACACUAAACCAAACAUAGGAAUUGAGGUUGUAUGCAUUUGCAACUGCACCGUAGUUGCAAAUGCGCGCAACCAAACAGCCCCUUAGUGUAAGGGGUUUCUAUCAGAAAAAAUCAGAGCUUUCUUUCACUCCGCCUUCAGCUACCCUACACACGGCAUAGAAUUCUUCGUCGUGGUUUUGUGUGUUAAUGCCUGUGCACAGUACCUUGAUUUUUCAUAAGAGUUUCUAUAGACAGCACACAUCUCAUAGUCGCAGCCAUAUACGAAUAAUCUUAUAUACGUGAUCCCCUCCAGGGAUGUAUAGAGUAACAUCUUACGAAAAUUACCACCUUCAAUUCCAUUAAGAGUUCUAAGCUCAACCUUAAUCACUACACAAAGCACUACUCACCAUAGGGAUGACAUUGGAGCUAAAGCUCCUCUAUAUAAAUUGUAUAAAGUGCACUUUGGCGGACCUGAUGGGUUGUUUUUCUCAUAUUGAACCUUAUUCAAAAGGUCUUUUAUCAUAAAGGUCUAGUUCCCACCGCAAGAAAGCCCUUUCUAGGCAAAGUUCUAUCCCACUCGAUGACUCCAUGACCUUACUUCUACUCAGGCCUUUCGUCAAGCAAUCUGUAAGAUUCUUCUUAGAUCUACUAAAACUCAAAGAAAAUAACAUCAUGAAAAGAUAACCAUCUAUCAAAAUUUUAUCUUAAUUUAAUACUAGUGAAGGAGCCCGCAAGUCGUAGCGGGUAGAAACUAUAAGAGUAAUUAAUAAUAAAAGAACAUCAAACAUUCUCGUGUACCUCACUUGCCACAAUCACUAAAGGUCCCUCACUAUUGGUGCUUGGGAUGGGACUGACGACGCCUUCUCUGGCGACGGUGACAGUGAAAAUGACAACGAUCCUUUCGACCGCGGCAGAGAGGGGAGGUGGUGUCACGCCCCGACACUGCCACUUUGGUCAGUUCAGGCACGUCAACAGACCGCCGAACGGACAGAAUCUCCCCUCACGUCCUAGGCGUCACAAUCCAUACAAUUCGCGAGAUUCCAACCAGGAACAGAAUUCAUACAUAAUUGCAUUCACCACAUUACUUUUACAUUUACAUACUUUUUACUUCCAAAUACAAUCAAGUUAUUACAAGUUGUUUCUUUCUUUUCUACACCCUCAAGCUAGGCCGACUCGGGGUACUGCUAUCUCUGCUCACGGUGGUAGGGCGCUCUCUACUAAGCUACGCCCUUUCCUCGCGCCGUCGCGCCGCUCACGUGUGGACGUGAAAAACGUGGGGUGGGAACUAUAUAAAUAGUUUCCGGUGGGUACGGCCACCCAAAGGAAGAGCUCGACCCACCAGGUUUAAAGGAGGCAAAUCAACAUGUUAGUCCAACAGAUAUCCACAUAUAAUUUAUGCAAGUAUUAAAUACAUGCGUAUGCCUCACAACAUGCAAUAUGCGAUUCAUACAAGUAAAUCUACUGAUUCUACUUUCUAUCUCACUAUCCACAGCUCAUCCAUUUACCAUUCUAUAUCAUUGGUCAUUCUCUGUCACUCGCCAUUUUCACCUAAGGUUUCCUUUACCUUAAACAACUAUACCACCCGACUCGGUCUCGAGUCAAUCAUCCGAGGAAUACCGCGUGCAUCCAGACCUGAGGAGAGGAACCUGCCAUACACCUCAGCCUUUAAUCCACAAACCACAUCGCCUAACGGGUCGCGAAGAACUACGUACACCCGUGGUCAGGGAUCCCCCGAUGGGAGAGGAACAUGCCGCAUACACCCGCAGUNCACCUCAGCCUUUAAUCCACAAACCACAUCACCCAACGGGUCGCGAAGAACUGCGUACACCCGUGGUCAGGGAUCCCUCGGUGGGAGAGAAACAUGCCGCAUACACCCGCAGCCGAGAUCCCCGAUAGGGAGAGGAACAUGCCACAUACACCCUAGCGAUCGAAAAUUCUUCCGGUGGGAGAGGAACAUGCCACAUACACCCACGGCCAAGAAUCUUCCACAACCAUAUUCUCGAAGUUCUUCCGGUAGGAGAGGAACAUGCCACAUGCACUCGUGGCCAACAACUAUCGAGAUCCACAAGUCCUGAAAUUCCGGAAUCCACUUUCUAUAUCUCAAGGGUUAGCCUCAUACCCUAUAAUGUCAAUCUCUCUAGAUUCGACUCAUGCAUAUCCUAGUGGCCAUUCUACCACAAUAAUCCACAACCUAGAUUUAACCACACUAGGUUCAAUACUACUACAUCUCAUAACCUAGGUUUAACCACACUAGGUUCAAUGUCAUUUCCACCUAGAUUCAUUCGACUCUAGAUUCACCGUUCAACCUAUGUUCAAUGACACUAGGUUCAAUACCACUCAUGCUACUUGUUAUUCUAGUUGUCCACACCUAGGAUUUAUAGUUUUCAUGCCACACUUAGGAUUUAUAGUUUUCAUGCCACACUUGUCGAGUUCUCUACUCUUCCUAGAGUUUAUCGACCCAAAUUCAACGUUCAUAUCUAGGCAUACAUAUAUCCACAUCCUAUAAGUCCACAUGCCUAUGUUUCUUAUCCAAUGGUAGUUAAUACAUAGCAUCUAUCUCAUGCCUUCAUAAUUGCAAUUAAACUACCAUUAUAUGCAUCAAUAAUACAACCAUACUUCUCUUUGGCAUGGAAGUGAUCUAAUCACUUCGGUGAAGCACAACCCACCUCACAAUACUCUUCGAUUGCUUGUAGACACUUAUAAUCAGGCUUCCGCGGCACACGUCGCCCGAUUAAGCUCGAACUCACAAUCGACCACCGAACACUCACCAAUUUCCAACCUAGAGUUGUCUGGGGCUCUCCUCUAUCCUUCAAUUAGAGAACCAAAGGAUCAAUUAGGUUCAAAACCCUUAAACCCCAAAAAUCCCAAUUUCCAAACCCUAGUUUUUCCCAUUUCUCCAAAUAUCCCAAAAAUUCAUGGAGUAACAUGCUUAUCUAGCUUAGAAUAGUCUAAGGAUCUCUAGAAUAUCAUGCAUAAAGGAUUUAACCAAAAUCCCAAACGUUUAACCCAAAUACGAAUCUUGAAUCGGAAGCACGCCGUACUACCAAGCGCUUGAGGACUCGAUCCACCGCUCCAUACGCGUUCCCGAGCUUGUUCUCCACCAAAACCCCAAGUUCGGAAGAGAGAUCUAGAGAGAAAACUAGAGAGAGAGAGAAGUUUCUCUCUCUCUCUCUACCAUGUGUGUGUGUGUUUUGGCUGAAGAAGGAGGAGAAAGGAGAGGGGAGGGUCUCCUUUAUAAGCCCUUAUGCUGGGCUUAUGCUGGGCUCCCCGCAUGCCCUUAUGCUGGGCUCCAAUUUACCAAAAUGCCCUUAUGCUGGGCUCCCCGCAUGCGCGGGGUCCGGACCCUGGCUCUAGGGCCCGGAUCCAGUAGUAGCUCCAACAGCUCAAAAACUGCAUUUUUCCCAAAAAUGUAAGUUCUUACUCCUUGAGCCUCUAAUCCAUUUCCAACCAUUCCAAAACCCUCAAAACACAUUUUUGAGCGUGUUUAAACCAUCCUCUCACUUAUACUUUGCCGGAUUUAGGCCAAAGUCCAAUAUAGCUUUCCGAGUUCCGUUUUCGUGCCCAACUCGCACCGAAAAUACUCAAAUGCUCCCCGAACUUCAUCGGAACUAUUUUAAAUAGCUUUUCAAGCUAAUAUCCACCGAAACUUCAUAACUAUAGAAGUUCAGUAUAUUACAGAUGGGCACGCAUUAGUGAGAGAGGGAGGAAAGGAGGCGACGGUGUAUAGAAAAAGAUGAGGGAUUGAGAAUUGAUGAAUUAAUUAGAGAUGAAGAAGUGCGGAUUGUAGAUGGCAAAGGAUAAUUUGGAUGCAUUAAUUAGAAGUUUGGUGGAGGGAAGGAGAAGGAUCAUAAUGGAUUAAUUGGAGAGAAAGAUGUGAGGAUUGUAGAUGGCAGUGGAAUCAUUUAGAUGCAUCAAUUGGAAGUUUAGUAGCGGAACCGUUUAGAUACAUUAAUUAUAUGCAUUAAUUGAAAGUUUAAUAAAGGAAAUGGGAAGGGUCACACGUUGGUGAGGGUGAAGGACAACUUGCCAUAGGGAAUGGGACGGGUCACACGCUAGUGAGGGUGAAGAACAACUUGCCACGUGGCAAAAAUAUUGAGAAUUUAUAUAGGUUAAUAGAUUAAUUGAAGAGAAAGAAGGAUUGUAAAUGACAGUGGAAUCAUUUAGAUGCAUUUAAUUGGAAGUUUGGUAAUAGGAUCGUUUAAAUGUAUUAAUUAGAUGCAUUAAUUGAAAGUUUGAUGAAGAAAAUGGAAAGGAUGACAUGCUGGUGAGGAUAAAAGACAACUUGCCAUAGGGAAUGGGAAGGGUCACACACUGAUAAGGGUGAAUGACAACUUGCCACGUUGAAAAAAAAUAUCAUAUAGGUUAAUAGAUAGAUUUAGAAGUAUUAAUUAGAUGCAUUAAUUGAAAGUUUGAUAAAGAGAAUGGAAAGGGUGACACACUGGUGAGGAUGAAGGACAACUUGCCAUAGGUAAUGUGAAUGGUCACACACUGAUGAGGGUGAAUGACAACUUGCCACGUGAUAAAAAAUAUUGGGAAUUCAUAUAGAUUAAUAAUAGAUUUAGGUGCAUUAAUUGAAAGAUGUGAGGAUUGUAAAUAGUAGCGGAAUCAUUUAAAUGCAAUAAUUGGAAGUUUGGUAAUGGGACCGUUUAGAUAUAUUAAUUAGAUGUAUUAAUUGAAAGUUUGAUGAAGAUAAUGGAAAAGGGUGACACGUUGGUGAGGAUGAAGGACAACUUGCCAUAGGGAAUGGGAAGGAUCACACACUAAUGAGGGUGAAUGACAACUUGCCACGUGAUAAAAAAAUAUUGGAGAUUCAUAUAGAUUAACAAAUUAAUAGAUUUAGAUGUAUUAAUUAGAUGCAUUAAUUGAAAGUUUGAUGAUGAGAAUGGAAAGGGUGACACGCUGGUGAGGAUGAAGGACAACUUGCCAUAGGGAAUGGGAAUGGUCACACACUGAAGAGGGUGAAUGACAACUUGUCACCUGGCAAAAAAUAUUGGGGAUUCAUAUAAAAGUUAAUAGAUAGAUGCAUUAAUUGAAAGUUUGAUGAAGAGAAUGGAAAGGGUGACAAGCUGGUGAGGAUGAAAGACAACUUGCCAUAGGGACUGGGAAUGGUCACACACUGAUGAGGGUGAAUAACUUGCCACGUGGCAAAAAAUAUUGGGGAUUCAUAUAGAUUAAUAAUUAAUAGAUAAUAGAUUAAUAGAUAAAUGUCUGCUAGCCUUAGAAUUCACCAAUUCUUUUUUACAAAAAUCAAUUACAGAUCGAGAGUUGCAACGAAUAGAAAUAGAUAGAAUAUAAGAGGAAAUCAAAGAAAUCAAUAACAAUAGGUUCUUGAGCCAUUCGGCUUCAAGACAAGUAGUGGCAAAGACAACCAACUCUACCUUUAUAGUGCUUCUAGCUAUUACGAUCUGUUUGGUUGAUUGUCAAAAAACUGCAGUACCACCAAGAAUAAAGACAAAACCAUAAAUAAAUUUGACAUCUAAAGAAUCAGAAAUUCAAUUUACAUUGUUGUAUCCCUCAAUUAUAGCAGAAUAGCCAACAAAUUUGAGAGAAUAUGAAAGAGUACCUUUAAGGUCACCAAUACUCUCUCCAGAGCAAUCUAAUGAGUCGUACUAGGAUUACUAGUAUAUCUAGUCAAUCUCGAUAUGACAUAGGCAAUGUCAGAUCUAAUCCUAUUCGGUAUAAAGAAGACUAACCUAAAAGUUGAGUUGAAAGGUUCACCCUCAAUCAUGUUGACUUGAGGUUUAGGAUAGUUGUUCUGAUUGUUCUAGUCUUCUUGUAGACAACUUUCUUCGAUAAAAACAUUUUGAAGCAAAAUAGUUGUUCCGGCCACAAACAUAACAUAAACCAUCCUUCUUAUUCCCACUAGAUUGGUUGGUAUUGAGCUUCUGCGUAUGGUUCCAAUUUCGGUUCCUACCCUCAAAAUCUUUACCCUUAGAUUUAAAAUUUCUACAUUUGGGUUUCAACUCAUGGCUUCGGUUCUGAAUCUCGGUCAGAUUUAUAUUAGAUAGGUUGCGAAUUGGUUUAAUGGUUUUAUAUUCUGAUCGCUUGAAUUACCAACUCUAGUUUAAGAGUUUCCUGAGUUCUUCUAACCUUUUGGGCAAAUCUAGACAAAAGAAAGGGGUAAUUUGUCUAGUAGGCAGGUAGCUUGAUAGAUAUCAUCUAAGGUUAAACCAUUCUUGGACAAAAUUCUGAAAUUGGUAGACCAGAUCAUUUAUAAGAAUGUUGUCUACCAUUCUAAAAAUAAAAUCAGUAAUGGUAAACCUAGCAGCACCUUCAAUUUUGUGAUGUAGGCAUCUUCUAGAGUAUUACCAUAAAUCUUUGAUAGUUUGGUAUUUCCUAUAAGUUUCAUAAAGUUCAUCAGAUAGGCAACUAAGUAUUCUAAACCUAUAGUGAAAUUUAAUUUCUCCGUGGAUUUACUACGUUCAAGUUCUGUAACUGAGAUAGCAAUAGAUUUAGAAGAAUCUGUAGAUUUAAAAAAAAAAAAAAAUCAGAGAGAGUUGCAGGAGUAGAAGAAAUUUUAGAAAUAGGAUAGGAAGGUGUUUUUCCAACUGCAGUUAUAAAGUCUAGGGAAAUAAGCCAGGUGUCAGGAAGUGAAUUCUCGAAAUGCGAAAAUUGGACUUCGAUUAGAAUCGACUGAUUGUCGAUUGGGUACGCUUCGGGAAGGCCGAAGACAUCAAGAAGGCCAAAAGUGCAUUGGAGAAGGCCUCCGAGAGCGACUUGUGAAAAUUCUGCAAAGUGCAAGAUUUUUGCUCUCGGGGACCGGUCCUUGGUGGGAGAGACCGGUCCCCGUAGCUUGGAAAGUGUGGCAGAAGGCUCUGCGCACAAAACUUGCUCUCGGGGACCGGUCCCUGACGGGGGAGACCGGUCCCCGUAGGUAUGUAAAUUGAGCAAGAGGCUGUCCUGCGAGAGUGUGCUCUCGGGGACCGGUCCCUCGUUGGAGAGACCGGUCCCCGUAAACGUGGGAAAGGGAGCAAGGGCCCUUUUCUAUAAAUAAGCCUCUCGGGGACCGGUCCCUCUUAGAGAGACCGGUCCCCGUAGCCUGAAUUUGCCCAAGAUGGGCUGUGCAUGGUUGGCAAAGUUGAGGGGCUUCUAUGCAUUUGUAGCAUAAGUAGAGGCUAUAUGAAAGAGUGUGCUCUCUUCUCAUUUUCUUCCCCAAACUCAACCCUAUCUCUCUCUCUCUAAACUCUCUUCCUCUCUCUCUAGAAGGUGAAGAAGAGAAUGGAUUUGGUGGAGGCGCAAACUAGGAGAAGGAUCUUCGUUGUCUUCUUCUUCCUCUUCACCCUUGGAGCUAGCUUUGGAGGUAAGCUUCUAAGCUCAACAAUGGUAGAUUUCUAGGGUUAGUUCCGUAUACUCUAGAAAUGGUUUUGUUGGAACCCUAUGAUGCUAAGUGGAUGAUUAAUGCAUGAAUCUAGGGUUUUGUUAGAGUAUUUUGCAAUAGUUGCAAGUUAGGGCUCCGAAAUGGGAUUUUGUGAUUUGUUGGGUAUUGAUCUAAAUUGAUCAAGUGUAAACCUAAUUACUAGGUGUUUAAACUUGUUGGCGAAGACGGUUCGACGAUUCGUCGAGCGGGUGAAAAAUUGUUGGCAAAAAGGACCUUCCGAGCUUCGUUUCCGCCUGGGAGGCCGAGACGACAUCGUAAAAUCGCCGAACUUCAUUCUUAGAGUCGUUACAACGCCAGAAGGUGGGUGGUGUCAUCCCGAAGCAACCGGGCUCCUCUUUAUGUCUUAGUGCAUUAUAACCUUACAUCUCUUUAUGUAUGCAUUGUAGGAUAAAUGUGCAUUUUCAUUUCCUUAUGCUUUCCUAGAUGAUAUCAUAGUGUGAGUUGAAUGCUUCAUAUAGUGAAUAGAUAAGGAUUGAGUCGAGACAUUGAAUCCUAUGGUGCUAAGAUAAGAGAUGGACUCGAUAAUUGAUAAAGACAUAACGAGUGGCAUGUAAAUAAUAAUGACAAAAGAACGAGUGGCAUAAAACUUAGUGUAAAGUGACACUUGACAUGUGAACUUAAGGAUAGGCGGAUUCCCUAGAGAUGAAUCAUUGAACAAGAACUUAGUGUAGUUAAACACUUGCAUAUGGACAUUGGGAUAGAUGGAUUCCCGAGUGACUGUCAACCCUAGUGGAUAGGGUAUCCUCGAGUUGAGAGGAUUGGAUCAUGCUCACUGUUUGUUCAGAGCUUGCGGUGGUCGCUCCACACAAGCAUGCGCUUCGAAGUUUGUCACACGAGGGAUAGCCUUAUGAGGUCCCGAGGAUAGCCUUAAUGGGGUCCCGCAAACGGUCUCGAGUUUGUUGAGCGAGUUGAGUUUCCUUACCAUGAGAUGCAUGUGAGUCGUGGGCGAACCUCAGGGUUGGCCAAGGAAUGGGUAAGUCAAGAGAGUUGAUGAACAAGUAAAUGGCAUUACUUCUUGGACAUAAUGGCAUGUUAGUUGAUUACCUAUCACAUUAUGCAUGCAUACAUUGAAUAUGAUUCGGGCAUAGUAGCAUAGCUUUCUUACUAUGUCGUUACUGUUUUCGCAUAUCUAUCUAUCUAUCUAUCUGCUUGUGCCCACUUGGACCUAGUGGGGAGAUCGGCGAAGUCGGCGGCCGAACCCACUGGGAACUAUGGACGAUAGUUCUCACCCCACUUUGUUGCAGGGCCGAGUACGAGCGCUCCGUGUGAGGAUCGCGGUAAGAGCUUAGCGCCCUCGCAUUAGUAGCUCUCCUACUGCAUUAGAGGUACCUACAUAUGUGAGAGUAGAUGAUGUAUAGGCUGUGAGAUGCAUUUUGGAGAGAAGAGAAUAAACUUGUUGUACCUAUAUUUUGGACGAACAAAAUGUGAAUCAAUUGUAUAAAUGGACAAAUCGUGAUGUAAUAGAUAGAACUCUCUCUUUUUGCACUUGUAUGUAUAUUUGUGUUACUUGCUCUUGUUGUUAAGCACUUGUGGUGCUUCUAUUGUCGUUGUAUGGAUCAUGUAUGUAUUGAAUUAUUCCCGGGCGAAUUCUUGUGCAUGAUCCCAUGCUUGAGCCUUGGGCGGACAGGGGAGGUGCUGUCCGUUCGCCGUCUGUUCGACGCGCCCGAACCGGACCAAUAGGUAGCGGUCUCGGGGCGUGACAGGUAAUUAUGGUAUCAGAGCAAGUAAAGAGAGGAAUCUAGGAUUGACCUAGAAGACCCUAGGAUGGAAACCUUAAGGCUAUAGGUGCGUAAGAGAGACGUGAACCUAUAACAGUGGCGGGAGUUGAUCGAUUGGGUCAGGAUUGGAGUGUGUUUCUAGUAGUGACUAGAAACGGAUUCAAGUGGUAUGAGUUCUCGACUCGCAGUGGUUGUGUUGGCGGCCGACAACAUGACACUAAGAGCCGGGAAUGAGUACACUUGUGUGCUUCCGCCUAAUUGCGAUGCCGAGUCGCGUUGUUCGUAAAUGCGAUGAGGUUUAGCGGGUUAGGGUGAUUAACCAAGUUGGUUGUGUUUCAGGAGCUGAUGUCCCCAAGGCGCUACACACGUAGGUCCGUUCCGGCACCGCCUCCUGAGGUGCCUGAGCAAGCUGGAUCUAGCGAAGUGCAAGAGUUACGGGCGCAAAUGACUGCGCUAGCCGGCGUGGUGCAGCGCCAAGAGAGUCGGUUCGAGCGGCUCCAAGAGCUUAUGGAGCGGCAGGUGGCGGCGGCUGCUGCGACGGCAACCGAAGGUCGUGAUCCGCCCGUCCCCUCGGCGCGCGUGCCUGAAGUGGCAGAGGGUGAGGGCAUAGCGGCAGUUCCGGUGGUGGCACAUUCCCCGCCGGCAAGUGUUCCUCCGGCGGCCUCAGGUUCGGCGACACCCGAUGCGGCGGCCAAGAAGGUGGAACGGGAGCAUGCGUUGGCGGCUCUCGUCAAGUUUAGGAAGUUCAACCCACCUAUUUUCAAGGGGGAAAAGGUGGAACCGUCGAUGGUGGAGUCGUGGGUUGACUCAGUAGAGACACUCUUUGAGGACCUGUCCACCUUGGAGAAGGAUAAGGUGUACCUCGCCACCCAUUGUCUCGAGAAGGCGGCGAAGGUGUGGUGGAAGCGGGUGAAGCGAGACCGGUCUUCCGACCUUCCGUCGAUGUUAUGGGAGGAGUUUAAAAAGACCAUGUUCGCAAACUACUUCCCCGACACUAUGAAACGGAAGCUGCAGGAGAAGUUUCGUAAGUUGAGACGGGGAUCGUUGAGUAGCGGACUAUGAACAGGAAUUCUCCCAUAUCAUAGACUCUGUCCCGGAUGUUGUUCGAGAUGACCGAGACCGAGCCGAUUGGUUCUUGCGAGGGCUUCGGCCGGGGAUAUAUAGGGCCGUGCAGCUAUUCAAGCUCACGACCUUUGCCGAGAUAUUUGACCGAGCAUUGUGGGCGGAGCACGGUGAUGCCCACGUGCGAGAAGAGCGCGAGCUGAUGGCCGAGUCGAAGGACAAUGGGAAGAAGCGUCAGGGCGGUGGUUCGGGGGGACAAUCUAGUUCCAAGAAGCCCCCGAAGUAUCCGCAAUCGCAAUCCAGAGGCCGUGGAGUGCCGCGGUGUGUCAUCUGUGGUGGAGACCACCCCGCGUCGCGUUGCCGUCAGCGGCAAGGAAAGUGCUUCAAGUGUGGGCAAGCGGGACACUUUGUCCGCGACUGUCCUGGGGGAGUCUUGCCUGCCCCGUCUGUCGCAUCGGCUCCAGCGACUCCGGCACAUUAUAGAGCCCACCGGCAACGGCAUUGGCUGGACGCGCGAUGGCGCCGCGUCAACCUGAGAUGACGCGAUCGGCCCCGAGCGGACGGGUAUUCGCCGCUCAAGCCGAGGAGCCUGUCGAAGCUGAGCGCCACGUUGUGGCAGGUAUGGUUUUAAUUAACGGAGUUCGUCCAGGGCUAUGUUUGAUACAGGUGCCACACAUUCAUUCAUCAGUAGAUCAUUUGCACAAAUGCAUGACAUUGGCAUUCAAUUAAGUAAGAGCACCUAGCGAGUAGAGGGCCCCGGGCGUGCGUUCGUUAUUCGCAAGGGAUGUCCGGCGUGUCCAAUUCAAGUGGGCAACUGGAUAAUGCCAAUUCGUAUGUUGAUGCUCAAGAGGUUGAAAGACUUCGACGUUAUACUGGACAUGGACUGGCUUUCGAAAUAUUACGCGUCUAUUGACUGCAGGCAUAGGGUGAUAACGUUUCGGGAGCCAGGAUAGGAGGAAUUCACAUACCGAGCGUGCAAGAGCUCAUGCUUCGCCGCGACGGUAUCUGCGACGAGAGCAAGGAAAUUGGUUAACAGCGGUUGCGUGGCUUACUUAGCGACCAUUGUGGAAAUGGAUCGAGUAGUUCCGGCACUCGAUGAGUUGUCGGUAGUUCGGGAGUUUCCGGACGUGUUUCCUACGGAGUUACCGGAGAUGCCGCCGAACCGAAAGAUCGAGUUUGUGAUAGACUUGAUCCCCGGAACGGCGCCGAUCUCAAAGGCCCCGUAUCGUAUGGCGCCGGCUGAACUAAAGGAGUUGAGGGCCCAACUGCAAGAUCUCCUCGACAAAAGGUUCAUCAGGCCGAGUGUAUCACCGUGGGGAGCCCCAAUAUUAUUUGUGCGGAAGAAAGACGGAUCGUUUCGACUCUACGUGGACUAUCGCAAGUUGAACAAGGUCACGAUCAAAAAUAAGUACCCACUGUCCCGAAUCGACGAUUUAUUUGAUCAACUACAGGGGUCGUGCAUGUACUCAAAGAUAGACCUAUUGUCCGGUUAUCAUCAGCUGAAGAUAAAGCGGGAGGAUGUGCAGAAGACCGCAUUCCGCACGCGGUACGGGCACUAUGAAUUCACGGUCAUGCCGUUUGGGCUCACGAACGCCCCGGCAGCAUUCAUAGACUUAAUAAACCGUGUCUUCAAUGGGUACUUGGACCGAUUUGUCGUGGUUUUUAUAGACGACAUUUUGGUCUAUUUUCGUAGCGACGAGGAGCAUGCCGAACAUCUAAGGCUAGUGCUUCAAAUCCUUCGGGAGGAGUUGUAUGCGAAGCUAAAGAAGUGCGACUUUUGGCUCCGGGAGGUCACAUUUCUGGGGCAUGUUAUUUCCGAGGGUGGUAUCUCUGUUGACCCUAGAAAAGUUGAGGCGAUUAAAGAUUGGCCGCGCCCGACUAAUGUCACGGAGGUUCGAAGCUUCGUGGGCUUGGCGGGCUACUAUAGACGGUUUGUGGAGGGUUUCUCGAAGAUCGUGAUUCCACUCACCCGUCUGACUCAGAAGGGCACCAAGUUUGUAUGGAGCGAGGAGUGCGACCGGAAUUUUUAAGAGUUGAAGGAGAAACUGACUUCGACUCCGGUACUUGCUUUACCGGUGCCAGAUGAGGACUUUGUGGUUUAUAGUGACACGUCUUAUUCGGGAUUGGGGUGUGUUCUGAUGCAAGACGGGAAGGUGAUCGCGUAUGCGUCCCGCUAGCUAAAGAGCUACGAGAAGAACUACCCUGUCCACAUCUUGGAGUUAGCCGCGGUGGUAUUUGUUCUCAAGUUGUGGAGGCAUUACUUGUACGGCACGCGUUGCGAAGUGUAUACUAACCACAAGAGUCUAAAAUAUUUGUUCACACAAAAAGAUCUGAACAUGCGACAACAGCGGUGAUUAGAGCUGCUGAAGGAUUAUGAUCUCGAUAUUCUCUACCACCCCGGGAAGGCAAAUGUAGUCGCUAACGCACUCAGUAGAAAGUCGGCGGAGAACCUCGCGAUGUAGGUCACGGAUUAGGAGCCCCUAUGGAAGGAAAUGGGACGGAUUGAUCUCGAGGUUGUAGCUCCCGAGAUUCCGGCUAUGUUGUCAACUCUCGUUGUCCAACCAACCCUGUUGGAGAGAAUUAAAGGGUUGCAACCUGCAGAUCCAACUCUCCAAAAGGUGCGGCGCGACAUCGAGAGUGGAUGCGGCGGCGAUUUCAGUGUAGACGCCGAGGGUGUGCUUCGGUUUCGGAACCAGUGGUGUGUACCAGACAAUGAAGAGAUUCGAAAGCUGAUUCUGAAAGAAGCACAUUGGUCGCCUUAUAGCAUCCACCCAAGAGACACCAAGAUGUAUCAAGAUCUAAAACAGCAUUACUGGUUGCCGGGAAUGAAAGUCGAUAUUGGACGCUAUAUGGCGGAGUGUCUGGUAUGCCAGCAAGUCAAAGCAGAGCGCCGAUUUCCAGCGGAAAAGCUGCAGAGCUUACCUAUCCCCGCUUGGAAAUAGGAGGAUAUGACCAUGGACUUCGUGGUCGGCUUGCCUCGUUCAUCGAGUGGCCACGAUGCAAUCUGGGUGAUUGUGGAUCGUUUGACGAAGUUGGCACACUUUUUGCCGAUCCACACGACUUGGGCAGGUGACGGGCUGGCGCAGGUAUACCUGGAUGAUAUUGUGAGGUUGCACGAGGUGCCGAAGUCGAUUGUAUCGGAUCGAGACCCCCGGUUCACUUCGCAUUUUUGGAAGAGCAUGUAAGAAGCGUUGGGCACACGGCUCGAUUUCAGCACCGCUUUUCAUCCUCAGACAGAUGGACAGUCAAAGAGGACUACAGAUUCUAGAGGAUAUGUUGCGAGCGUGUCAUUGACUAUAGGGGUGGUUGGAGUAACCACUUGCCAAUGGCCGAGUUCGCUUACAACAAUAGUUAUCAGGCUAGUGUAGGGAUGUCACCGUUCAAAGCUCUUUACGGGCGGAAGUGCCGAUCUCCUAUCCAUUGGAGUGAGGUAGGCGAACGUGCGGUAUGUUUUGCGAGAGGCGGAGGAGAAAGUCCGCCUUGCUCGCCAAAGAUUGCUCAUGACGCAAUCUAGACAAAAGAGUUACACAAAUAAGCACCGUAGAGAUUUGGAAUUCGUGGUGGGCGACCGCGUCUUCUUAAAGGUGUCGCCCACGAGAGGCGUGAAGCGGUUCGGAGUGCGGGGAAAAUUGAGUCCCCAAUAUAUUGGGCCGUACGAGGUGUUGGAGUGAAUUGGUGCAGUGGCUUAUCGGCUAGCGUUGCCGCCGAAGCUCGCCGAUGUUCACAAUGUCUUCCAUGUCUCCAACCUCCGCAAAUAUAUCCACGAUCCCGAGCAUGUAUUAUCAUAUGCACCGCCGGCAUUGCGCGAGGAUAUGAGCUACGAGGAGUUUCCAACGUUGAUUAUUGCUCGAGAAGUGCGAAAGUUGCGAAAUUCCCUACGUCAAGGUUCGGUGUACCAAUCAUGACGAUCGCGAAGCUACGUGGGAACUAGAGGACACAAUGAAAGCGCAACAUCCUCACUUAUUUGAGGAUUAAGAUGAGGUAUGAGUUAAGUUCAAGUUUUAGUUGAGAUUUGAGUUCGUUUCGAGGACGAAACUCUUUUAAAGGUUGGGAGGAUGUAAGGAAGUGAAUUCUCGAAAUGCGAACGUUGGACUUCGAUUAGAAUCGACUGAUUGUCGAUUGAGUACGCUUCGGGAAGGCUGAAGACAUCAAGAAGGCCAAAAGUGCAUUGGAGAAGGCCUCCGAGAGCAAGUUGUGAAAAUUCUGCAAAGUGCAGGAUUUUUGCUCUCGGGGCAGGUCCCUGGUGGGAGAGACCGGUCCCCGUAGCUUGGAAAGUGUGGCAGAAGGCUCUGCGCACAAAACUUGCUCUCGGGGACCGGUCCCUGACGGGGGAGACCGGUCCCCGUAGGUAUGUAAAUUGAGCAAGGGGCUGUCCUGCGAGAGUGCUCUCGGGGACCGAUCCCUCGUUAGAGAGACCGGUCCCCGUAAGCGUGGGAAAGGGAGCAAGGGCCCUUUUCUGUAAAUAAGCCACUCUCGGGGACCGGUCCCUCUUAGAGAGACCGGUCCCCGUAGCCCGAAUUUGCCCAAGAUGGGCUGUGCAUGGUUGGCAAAGUUGAGGGGCUUUUAUGCAUUUGUAGAAUAAGUGGAGGCUAUAUGAGAGAGUGUGCUCGCUCUUCUCAUUUUCUUCCCCAAACUCAACCCUAACUCUCUCUCUCUCUCUCUCUCUCUCUCUAAACUCUCUUCCUCUCUCUAGAAGGUGAAGAAGAGAAGGGAUUUGGUGGAGCAAGCUAGGAGAAGGAUCUUCAUUGUCUUCUUCUUCCUCUUUACCCUUGGAGCUAGCUUUAGAGGUAAGCUUCUAAGCUCAACAAUGGUAGAUUUCUAGGGUUAGUUCCGUAUACUCUAGAAAUGGUUUUGUUGGAACCCUAUGAUGCUAAGUGGAUGAUUAAUGCAUGAAUCUAGGGUUUUGUUGGAGUAUUUUGCAAUAGUUGCAAGUUAGGGCUCCGAAAUGGAGUUUUGUGAUUUGUUGGGUAUUGAUCUAAAUUGAUCAAGUGUAAACCUAAUUGCUAGGUGUUUAAACUUGUUGGCGAAGACGGUUCGACGAUUCGUCAAGCGGGUGAAAAAUUGUUAGCAAAAAGGACCUUCCGAGCUUCAUUUUCGCCUGGGAGGCCGAGACGACAUCGUAAAAUCGCCGAACUUCAUUCUUAGAGUCGUGACAAUGCCAGAAGGUGGUGUCAUCCCGAAGCAACCGGGCUUCUCUUUAUGUCUUAGUGCAUUAUAACCUUACAUCUCUUCAUGUAUGCAUUGUAGGAUAAAUGUGCAUUUUCAUUUCCUUAUGCUUUCCUAGAUGAUAUCAUAGUGUGAGUUGAAUGCUUGAUAUAGUGAAUAGAUAAGGAUUGGGUCGAGACAUUGAAUCAUAUGGUGCUAAGAUAAGAGAUGAACUCGAUAAUUGAUAAAGACAUAACGAGUGGCAUGUAAAUAACAAUGACAAAAGAACGAGUGGCAUAAAACUUAGUAUAAAGUGACACUUGACAUGUGAACUUAGGGAUAGGCGGAUUCCCUAGAGAUGAAUCAUUGAACAAGAACUUAGUAUAGUUAAACACUUGCAUAUGGACAUUGGGAUAGGUGGAUUCCCGAGUGACUGUCAACCCUAGUGGAUAGGGUAUCCUCGAGUUGAGGAUUGGAUCAUGCUCACUGUCUGUUCAGAGCUUGCGGUGGUCGCUCCACACAAGCAUGCGCUCCGGAGUUUGUCACACGAGGGAUAGCCUUAUGGGGUCCCAAGGAUAACCUUAUGGGUCCCGCAGACGGUCUCGGAUUUGUUGAGCGAGUUGAGUUUCCUUACCAUGAGAUGCAUGUGAGUCGUGGGCGAACCUCAGGGUUGGCCAAGGAUUGGGUUAAGUCAAGAGAGUUGAUGAACAAGUAAAUGGCAUUACUUCUUGGACAUAGUGGCAUGUUAGUUGAUUACCUAUCACAUUGUGCAUGCAUACAUUGAAUAUGAUUCGGGCAUAGUAGCAUAGCUUUCUUACUAUGUCGUUACUGUUUUCGCAUAUCUAUCUAUCUAUCUGCUUGUGCCCACUUGGACCUAGUGGGGAGAUCGACGGAGUCGACGGCCGAACCCACUGGGAACUAUGGACGAUAGUUCUCACCCCAUUUUGUUGCAAGGCCGAGUACGAGCGCUUCGGGUGAGGAUCCCGGUAAGAGCUUAGCGCCGUCACAUUAGUAGCUCUCCUACUGCAUUAGAGGUACCUACAUAUGUGACAGUAGAUGAUGUAUAGGCUGUGAGAUGCAUUUUGGAGAGAUGAGAAUGAACUUGUUGGACCUAUAUUUUGGACGAACAAAAUGUAAAUCAAUUCUAUAAAUGGACAAAUCGAACUCUCUUUUUGCACUUGUAUGUAUACUUGUGUUACUUGCUCUUGUUGUUAAGCACUUGUGGUACUUCUAUUGUCGUUAUAUGGAUCAUGUAUGUAUUGAAUUGUUCCUGGGCGAAUUCUUGUGCAUGAUCCCGUGCUUGAGCCUUGGGCGGACAGAGGAGGUGCUGUUCGCUCGGCAUCUAUUCGACGCGCCCGAAUCGGACCAAUAGGUAGCGGUCUCAGGGCGUGACACCAGGCCUCUAACUAUUCUUGCCACCUCACAAAGCCUAUCUCUCUAAACUUUUUAGGCUUCGGGCUUAAGACUAGAAGUGUCCUCAAAGACUAUUUUAGAUAAUCAACCCACAGCCUUCUCCUAUCAAUCUGACUAUUAGAUGUAUACACAAAAGUGUAAAUCAAAUCUUUAUUCAGCUUCAUACUUUCUAUAGCAGCCAAGAGUUAACAUCUGGUCAGUCUUUUCGAUAACUCUGACUGUUGUUAGGAUAUUUGGAUCCCGCAGCACUCAGAUUCUCACUUGCUUCGUGUUGUCAUUCUAUUGGGAGGCUCGUUACUUCAACUAGUCCCCAUGUUCUUCGAAUGGAUCUCUUAGUUGUUGAGAGGGUUGCCCAAAAGCGGUAUAUAAGGCGUACCCAGUAAAGCUUACAAGUAAACCAGAUAUGGAGAUGGCGACUAGGGUUGCUGUUUCCAUUUAGAUAAUUUCAAGAUCACAAUAGAUCUACGAUAAGAUCGUUUAUUUAUAUACUGGUCGAUCAUAUAAUAGAAAUGAUGAUUCAUUCAGAUCAAGCUUCCUUCCUAUUAAUCUGGAAGUUCUUCUCAGAUACAAGGAAAUGAUUCAGUUCUAGAGCCAAAUAUCAUAGUUCUCAAAUGAGCAAUCGAAAAGAUUCGAGAGCAUCCUCGAGGUUAGGUACUCUUCCUCAUAGUAUCUACUAUUUAGAUCAUAUUUAAUGAAAGAAAGAAAACAUAGUAUGGAACUUUGUUGGAUUAGGUCCAAGACAAAGAUUCUUUCUUGACCAAACUACAAGUAUGGAACUCCAUAUGCUUAUUACUAAACUUGUUGAAGAGAUGAAACAGAACCAAGGUCUUAUCUUUUUUAUCAGAGGUUGAAUCGAUCAUCAGAAGAAGAAGUAGACCAAAAAUUAGGAUACAUUCUGGGAAAAUGAAACUAAGUUGAGAAAAUGAAGAAAUUAAGGUUGACUAGAUCGAGUGGCAAAAAGGGUUCAAAAAACCUUUUUAGAAAGUAAGACAUGUACCAGAAUAUUUUCAGGGUUCAAGUUUUAAAAUAUUAUUUUUUUAUCAUAGUUGGUUCAGCACCAAAAAGAUGACCCAAACAGUUUAUAAUGUUUGAUUUCAAUUAGGUGCUUUCAAGCGAAGUUUAUAAUGUUUGAUUUCAAUUAGGUGCUUUCGAGCAAAAUAUUGAUGCAAUCAAACAAUACAUAUAUUGCAAGCAUAGUUAUAAAAGAAAUUAAAACAAUAAAUAAAGCAAAAAUUUAAAAUUUGGUGCUAUUGGUUAGAGAGACUUGCUUAAGAGCUAUGAAAGUUCUAGCUAGCUGUGGGCUCGAAUCCAACAGAAAGCAAAAACAAAAUUUUUUUUCCUUCUUUACUGUGACGAAAACAGUAUUUUUUUUAUUUUUUGAAUAGUAGAAAUCAAACCUAUUUUUUCAACAGUAACAAUUUUUUUAAACAGUAUUACACAGUAAUUUAAAAACCCUUUUCUUUUGAUAAAAACAGUAAAAAGCCCUUUUAUUAUUUUUUUUUUAAAAACGGAGAAUAAAUAGCAAAAUUCUAUAAUUAGAAUAGGCAAUAAAUUAAACAAUAUGCAAUUGCAACUUUGCAAGUUAAAGAGCUAAUCCCGAAAAUUUAUGUUAAAUGCCAAUCACACAAAUAACUUACUACCUAAGGUGUAUUUCCAUCUUUUGUGCGGGAUUAACCGAAAACACCGCCCCAAGGUACAACCGGAAUUUGACAGAGAUUCUUUCAACACCAAGUGAUUAAAAACAGUAGAGAAAGAAUGAAAGAAAAAGUAUCAAAAUAAAAGGAGUGAUAUAUUAAGAAAAUCCAUAUUUUUUUCCCUCUUUUUCUCUCACUGUGUACAUGUCAAAGAGGGGAUAAAGGUUGCACUUAUAUAAUGCAUUAAGGAACGUUGGACAAUGCUUUCUUUACCCACAUCUUGCACGAGUCUCACGCUUCCAUUUCGCACAAGAAGCGGAUCCAUUUCCGCUUGAGAAACGAAACAAAAAAUAAAAUAUAAUAUAAUAAUAUAAUAAAAAUAAAUAAAGAAAUUCAAAAUAAAAAUUUGGGUUUUCUCCAACAAAACUUACCACAGCAAGCCUCUCCUUGUGAAAAUCAUUUGUGAUCUGAAAACAAUUACCAAAAAACCCACCAAACAUUAGAUUAUUAGCGUCACUAUAUAAAGAACAAGAAAACAACACAAUGACUUCCCCUCAAACAUUUACCUGCUUCUUGUAGCAUUUGAUUUCAUCUCCACCAAAACCAGGUAGUGUCAUAUUCCAGUUUCUCUCUGCAAGCAAAAAACGUCAACGCUCGAAACCCUAUACGAAAAACUACAUAAAAGAGAAAUACUAAGGCCUGUUUUGGUAUUGUAGUCAUUUUUUUGUUUUCUUUAAUAGAAUUUCUUGUAAACUUAUGUGGGAAUGGACAGUGAGUCGCUAACAGUCCUUGUAACCAAGGUGUUGUUCUGAAACAAAAAAAACAAAAAAAAAAAAAACUUGGAAAAUCUGUUUUUUGGCUUCUUUGGGUAUUUUAAAGGAGAAGUUAGCGUCCCUCACCUAACAAAGGUGCAUUGCAAGCUAACCAACAAGACUAGAAAAAUUCAUCUACCGGCACAUCCAAUUACACAUUAUUUGUGUUAAAAAAAAACUUGCAACAAAACCAAACAAGGCCUAAGAUCGCAAUAAGCUAAAGGAAAACCAAAACCCCUUACCAACAUAUAGUAGUAUAUCUUUUACUUCUAACAUGUUUGACUUUCGAUGCUUUGCCAAGGAGCAAGCAAACAUUGUAGUCUGCUCAUAUAAAGAUAUAAAAAGAAACGUGAUAAGCACGAACUCAGUAACCAAAAGAAAAAAAAAAGAGAGAAAUGCAACAAAUGAUUGUGAUGCAAUUCAACCAAGUCCUAAGCGAGCUUUCGAAAUGAUUUCAUAUCAAGAUUCCCCUUUCAGGAUUUAUAUAUCAUCAAGACGUAUUCCACAUUUCACGGCCCUACACAAUAACAGAAAGCAGUUGUAUUUUCAAGUAUAGACAUGAAAACUUACAGAUUCAAUAAAAUCUUCAGCAAUCUCAAUAAGAACAUCUUCGACUUCAGCAUCUAACUUCUCCGACGGAUCAAUCUGCACAAUUACGAAGAAUCUGUGGAUAAGGUUGAAGAUAAUGUUGAUCAAUUCCACAAAUUAGGGCUGCCAAUUGGUCACAGAAGGUCAGGUCAUUCAAGUCAAUUCCACUAUGACAUCAAACCAGGACCGAUCCAAACCUGACUCAACUAAUCAACAAGUCGGGGUAAGCAUGUGGGGUAAACGAGACAGGCUAAAAUGAGAAUCUUAUCCCUUAAAACAUAGAAGAAUUCAUUAAAAAAAAAAGGUGGAAUCUCAGACAUCUUUAAGGACACUUCAUAGAAGUCUUCUUAUUCAAACAACUUGGUUGCUCUUACUAUCAAAAAACAAGAAGAGAGUCCAGUGAAGUUGGAAGAAAACAAGUCUAGACUCGAGACGCAAUGCAUGCGGCAAUGCAUGCUUACUAUCAUUAGAAGGGAAAGACUGAUAUAAGAAUUACAUCUUACAUAAAGAAUAUGAGUAUGUGAAAGAACAGUCAACGAAGCCUCAAAAUUCAAAGAACCAAAAGAGAGAGAGAAAAAAAAAGAAGAAAAGACCAGGCUAACAUGAAGAAGGUAGUGUAAAAACAGAUGAUCCUUUAUCACAAUAAUCUAAGUUUUCUUGUCGGACGAAUGACUUCUUGCUACAACAAAUUAGAUCAGAUUGAUGAUGAAAUGUCAAAACACAAAGGUAAAAAUUUAUGAAACCCUCUCAAUUGAUAUUUUUUUAUUUCAUUCAGUUGAAUUGGAAUUGAGUUAAAUUCAACAGCUGUUUCAUUAGAUUUAACAGCUUUACCUGCUUAUCAGCUGGCAGAACAGCAAGUUCUGUAACAAUAAUUAUCCAAAAGUUAACAGAACUGUUAAUUUAAUUAGGACUCCCUGUUCAAUCAAUUGACCUAACUUGAAUUAAAAAAAAAAAGAAAAAGAAAAAGAAAAAAGAAAACAAGUUGAUGGGGGUGAUCAAUCACACCAAAAAAAAAUAAUAAAGUGAGGACCGUCUAUCUAACAAUGGGCUACACUUGAAGGGUCUAAAUACAUAUUCACCAAAAUGUAAUUUGGAAACAUAAAAUUUAGAGAAAAGGAAAGCACCUGAGAAACCAAUUCACGGAUGCUUCUCUUGCUAAGAAUGUGAUUAUCAGAUUCUACAUCAUCUGUACUAACAGGAGUGACUGCCCCAGACUGCACAACCCCAGCUUGCGCCAGAGGAGCACUAGAUUUAUGGGCUGUUGAUCCAACAUUUCUCGCAGCCUGUUGUAGAGUUAGGGCUUGCUGGUUCCUAAGAGCUAGGUACUGUUGAUGCUCUUGUGACAACUGUGACCCUGCAGAUGUUAGCUGUUGCGGCUGUUGCAGCAAUUGCUGCUUUUGUUGGAGCUGCUGUUGCUGGAUCUGCUGCUGUUGAGAAGAUGAUAAGCUCUGUUGUUGUGGAGUUGUUGAAGGUGAUUGUAGGAGAUGGUACGGUCUCGGUUGUAGAACUUGUGGCCUUGGUUGGGGCCUAAGUGAAGAAGCAGAAGAAGAAGAAGAAGGCACGGAGGGUGCAUGCAUUAGCUUUCCCUGGCUUGAUACCAACGGCUGCUGCAUAUGUUGGCUUUGUGGAAAAGCUGAUGCAGAAAUAGGAGAAGGCAAUGAGGGGGCUUUUGAUAUACCAUGACUAGGGAAUUUCUGUAUAAAAUAGGAAAUUAAUAAGAUGAGAGCACAAAAUAAAGCAAUUUCGUAGAAAAAAAAAAAAAUUAUUCAGAAAACUCAUGCAAUGUUCUGCUGUAGCACUAAACCAAGCAGGAAAAGACACCACAUAGAAUUUAGAUGAUUUUCGUCAAAUUAACCAAUAUCAAUCUUUUGAGGCGGUGGUUACUUAUCACACCUUAAUGCAUUUCCUGGUAUCUUUGCAUGCGAUGUUAAUUACAGUUUGACUUAACUACAAUUAUAAGUUGUUUUCAGGUAACACAUGAGCAAUGCAACUUCCCAUGCAAACUGCAAAGUGGAAAAUAUUGAUGGAGACGAACUAAAACAAUCUAACUUUUUUCUCAUAGGAGAAGAAGAUUAGUUGGUUUACUUGUGAAGCUAACGCUUGACUAGCAGACGGAGAUGUUGAUCUUAUUGGGGCUUGAAUAAGUCUCUGUUGCUGGGGACCAGAAACAGCAGUCGGUCUCAUUGGAGCAGCAGAGCUAAGAGAACCAAUCAUACCAAUAUUUUGAAUACCUGGAGUAGAUUGUCUGACCUGAAAAACAAAGUUACAUCAAGUAAAGAGUAAAAUGAUACUAAAAUAUAUAAAGAUCCAAUUUCAAACCAUUUUAUGUACUUUUAAAGCAUUUGAUAUUGCAUUGGCACAGGAGACUUCGUCUUAAAUAAAGAUAUAGUAUGGAACCACACUCAACCUUAAAAAGCUAAAACGAACACGGAAAAAAAAGAAAAUCCCUACAAAAAUUUUCCUCCUUUUAAUAAAUGCUAACUAAAGCCAAUGCCAGAUCCAAGAUUGGAUGAAAUAAGUACGAGUUGGUUUCAGUUGGAUAAUUGACUAUUCGAUCAUAGAGAAUGGUUGCUCCAAAGUUAGAUAAUUCUAUCAUAUCACAAUAGUAUAGAGCUACAGAUUCAAAAAAAUUAAAGAUAUAGCUUAGCAACACGCCAAUUUUAUUUGAAUUGCUUUAUAACGCAUACAAAUCUUUUCAGACAAACAAAUCUUAUAAUAGUGGAUCAAGAAAAGAGGAGAUUUGACAUAAGAAUCCUGACUGUCUUGCAGUCAACAAUAUCAAAAUCCAACAUUAUCUUAUGAGUUUAGGAUACUUGGUAUUUCUUGAUCCCAUAUUUGCCAAAUUAAUAAGUCACUCGACUCAUUACUAACAAUGGCAUUUGUUUAUUCUCGCUUCUUUGCCCUACCUCCCCCGCAGAUAUUAGUAGAAAACCCAAUUAUUGAUCACUAGGCUCAAAUGAAAAGUAAGAGAUUUGAGCUGCUGAGCCUUACUUUCUCGCUGUUAAAAGCUUCUAAUCGUUGCUAUAGCUUAAGGUUUUCGAUUUAUUGGUAUGCCCUCGUCACAUAUAUGCUAAGAAAAUAAGUCACUAAUCUCAUCUACUAAGAAUAGCAAGCACACGUUCUCUCUUCUCGCUGCUCGAGCUUGCAAAAGAAUUUGCAGAAAGAAUUUGCAGAAAGCCCAAUUUGGUGAUCACCGGACUUGCAAUUUUCAUAUUAGAAAGUUCAGAGGAGAGCAAAUUAUGGUAAAGUGAGUUAAAUUAGAGAGGCAAAAGAUCAAGCAUCACCUGAGCAUUGGAGGUAGGCGAUUGCUCAGGCCCGCGAUUCAGGGAGCCAAACGGCUGGUUGAAGGAUGGCGAGGGGCCGAAGGAGGAGAAGGCCAUGGGAGGCUGCUGAGACCGCGGGAGGUGCGCUGGAACCCCGGUGGCGAGGCUGCCUCUUGGAACCGUCGAAGGGGUCGGCGAUGGCGAGGGCACUGAAGCAGAAGAAGAUGAUGACGGCGACGACGGGGAAGAAGCAGCAGCACUAAUAGUAGCAGCAGCAGCAGUAGUAGCAGUAAUAGUAUUAGAAGGGGCGGAAGAGGAGGAGGAGGAGAGAGAAGCGGAAGGGAAGUGGUGGGCGAAGUGGGGGAGCAACUGGGGGCGCAUUGGGGAAAGAGGCGGCCUCUGAGGGAGCUGGUGCAGGGUUUGGGGCGGGGUUUGGAUUUGGGGUUGGGGGACGCUCGGAGGGUCUUGGCUAGUAGUUUGGGAGGCAGAAGGGACGGCAGAGGAGGAGGGUGGAGAGGGCACGGGGGCCGACGAGGGCGGCGGCGGAGGUUGGAGUGGUGUAGGGUUUGGGGCCGGAGAGGUUUUUCACUUUGUUAAUUGGUUUAUCAAUUUAUCAACUUGAUGGAGUUGUCCUUUCGUUGAGGCACGUGUGGCGCACGUGACAAGACGGACGUCCCUGGAUUCGAAUUAUAGCCCACGUUUUGAACGGCCUAAUACGAGCUUUGGGAACAGGCCCGGCCCAGGAAACUCGGACCACACUGGCAUUCAAGCAGGACCUGGUCGCCAGCCUCUGCGGACCGGCGUUUUCCCCAAGCGAGGGGGUCCGCCUCAGCCCCCGCGCCACUAACCACUGCUAGUCGCUGCGAGAGUACUAAAACACCCCCGAUAGCCGCAUUAGGGCUUUUUUUGCAUUUAGACCCCUGGCAAAUUUUUAUUUUAAAAAUAGCUCUGUCAAAAUUUAAUUUGCAAAAAUAGUCCUGAAUCUGCCACGCAGGUACCACGUCAGUGCCACACGGGCAGGACCGGGCCGUGUGUUAAGGUGAACACGGUGAACCAUUCACCGUGUUCAAACACGGUAAAUGGUUCACCGUGUUUAGUAUGUAUUUUUUAUAUAUUGAAAAAAGGAAUAAGGAAUAGGAAUGUCAAUAGGUAUGGAUAUCCGAAAUAUUAUCCGAAUUCAAACCCGAAUAAAUUAUAUAUAUAUACGUAAUUUAUUUUUGUUUAUUUAUACAAUAUAUAAAAUAUUUAAUAAUUUUUAUUCCUUAGAUCUUCAUCCAACGGUAUAGAUUUUUAAAACCCGCUGGGUUGGAUGAAGAUCUAAGAAAUAAAAAUUAUUAAAUAUUUUAUAUAUUGUAUAAAUAAAUAAAAAUAAAUUUUAUAUAUAUAUAUAUAUAUAUAUAUAUAUAUAUAUAAUUUAUUCGGAUUUGGAUUCGGAUAAUAUUUCGGAUAUCCAUACCUAUUGACAUUCCAACUCCUUAUUCCAUUUUUCAAUAUACAAAAAAUACGUACUAAACACCCCUCUUUUCAAUAUAUAAAAAAUACGUACUAAACACGGUGAACCAUUCACCGUAUUUGAACACGGUGAACCAUUCACCGUGUUUAGACACGGUGAAUGAUUCACCGUGUUCAAACCUAAUACCCCGGCCCCAGCCCUGCUCGCGUGACGCUGACGUAGCGCCUGCGUGACAGGGACAGGGCCAUUUUUGCAAUUUUAAUUUUGAUAGGGCUAUUUUUAAAAUAAAAAUUGCUCAGGAGGCUAUUUGCAAAAAAAGCCCGCCACAUUAUAAUUCCAGCGCUUCGCUUCGCUCCGCAUUCUCCGAACCAUCGAAUUGGAUGAAAUUGCAAUCUUUUUUAACUGGCUGUAAUUAAAAAUUAAAACUAUACAAAAAAGGCUCAACUAUAAUAGUUGAAGCUAUGUCUAAAUUAGUCAUAAUUCUAACUACGGCAGUUGUACAGAUUAACUUAUAAAAAGUAAACUUAUCUUUCUAAUUAUUUUUUAAAUAUAAAAUAUGAAUCAACUAGGAUUCGAACUCGGGACCUUGGAUACUGUAAGGACUGAGAUUUUUUACUGUGCAACUAAACUCUCUGUUGACGAUGUUUAUGUGUGUAAUUUAAUUACAUAAGCACUCGUCAAGUUUCAGGAGANGUGGACUUCUGUUUAAACAUCGAAUGUAAAACUACGGUGUGAAUGGUGAAUGUAUGAAUGUAUAGCUAUCUGUAUAUUCAUUUGAUUGUGGUUGUAUACUGUUUGUACUUUUGUACUUGUGUGACGCCGUGCAAGUACAGGGGAGACUCUGUCCGUGUGAACAGUGGAUUCCCUGUAUUUGUGGCGGAUCUGGCAUACUCUGGGGUCAGGUUUUUUUUUAAAAAAAAUUCAAACGCUUUUCCACUGUGUUUCAAACAAAAAGGGGACCCCGGGGCGUGACAGAUACCAACCACCAAACCUUUUGCCACUUGCGCCAGGGACAAUCCGUGGGAAUCCCUUCAUACUACAUAUAAACUGAUAUAAAUACACUUCUCACCAACAUACAACGAAAUAAAUUAUUUAUAAUUACAGUAUUUUUUAUUAUUUCUUACCAAACAAAUUUAUAUAUAUUUAUAACUUCUGUGCUUUCAACUAUACCAUGUAUUUAUAAAAUUCUACCGGCCAAAUAUAUAAAUAUAUACAGAGAGAGAAAUAAAGAGUCUGUGUAGUGUUUCUGAGCUUUGGAUAGGACUGGCUUCAGUAUUAGUGACUGGUCGACACUUCUGGAGAGUGUUGGACUGAGUCGGAGUCGUUUCUGCGCGAAAUUGAUGCAGAAAUGGACUUAGCGCACUUAAAUAAGCAAAACUGAAGUUUUGCUAGUUUAGGGCGCCCAGAACUAGAUUUAGGGCGCCCAGAAGUUUAGGGCGCCCAGAAAUAGUUUAGGUCGUCCAGUACUGAGUGCUAAAUUUAACUAAAACUGGAAGCCAAUUCGGAUCCUGUGUUCCGGGCGCCCAGAAGUGGGUCCGAAAAUUCUACAUCGUGAAUAUCGAUCGUAUUGACGCGUGUCUGGUGGUAGAUGUGGGCCGCUGGAGCAGGAUAAGUGUGCAGCACACCACAGGCGGAGGAACUGAUGGGGGCUGUUUGUGCAGGCUAGAAGUUCUGGGCGCCCAGAACUUGGUUUUUCUGCAGAAACUGCAAGUUAAUUUCCAAUAUUCCUGAGGCUUAUCUUACCGUUGGAUUACCCUAUAAAUAGGUGGGAGAUGCCCCUGGUAAGCUCUUUUCCUCUCUUUCUCUCAGGGAAGCUUACAUUUGCAUUUCCAACCCUCAAAUUCCCUCAAAUUGCAUCCAAUCUUUCAAUCGAAAGGUGGUGGAGUACUGAUUCUGCAGUUCUUCAGAAAUGACCUCCAGUGUUUUGGCUCGUACGCGACGUAGGAAGGUCGGAUCGCGGUGAAACAUGGUUUGCUGGAUUCUAGACUUCUAGAGGAAUCCACGAAGCCCUGAAUUGUAGAUUUUGGUUGAGAUUAUCUUGGUCGAACGGAAGUUUUUCUAGACUAUUGUUGAUAUUGAGCUGAAAAUGAGAUUUUUGAGCUUUUCUUGAUGCUAUCUUUGUAGGCAGUGGGAUUUUGGACCUGAGACACAUUCUCCAUUAUUAUUCACUGGAUUUGAUACCUUCCUCACCUGAUUUGGAGGUAAUUAGGUGAGUUUUGACAUUAUGAUAGGGAUUAAAUUAAGCUUUAGUGCUGAAUUGGGAUAAUUGAUGGAAUUCAAUGUGUAGAGCUUGGAGAUAGCUUGAUUACUGGUCUUGGAGGAUUUUGGUUGAUCCAGCAGGGAUUAGCAUUGGUUCAGGACCUUCUUUGCUACCAGGAUUAGCAAUUAAGGUGGGUUACAUCGGUUUAUUCCUAAGCACAGUAUUAGUCGACAUGUAUGAUUUCCAGUUUUUGUAAAUCAUGUUGUAGCUCAAUUUCGUUGAUUGUAUCAUGGAUGAAAUCAAUAUUCAGAACAUGAUUAGUAAACCAUAAAUAUACAUGUUGGACUUGGAAUUUGACUUAGGAGAAAACCAGCAAUUUGGACCUGUCACCUGUUUACACUACCUGAUUUAGCUAUAGGAGCCGUUGUAAUUUUGUAUCGUCGCAAUAUCGAGGCGACGGGUACCCCAGGUAGUUUAGCUUUCAGUUACGCUCGUGCUGGGAUGCCGAGUGUAUUUUUACAGUAGCGUUCAGGUUAUUCCGGACUGUUGGGUGCCGUCGGGGUUGACAGUGGACCCAUAUCGCCUUUUUGGCGUUGGAUUGUACCGAGGGCACGUGAUCUGUUGGUUGUUAGACCAGUUAGAGUUGAUUUCUUGGACUUUGGCUUGAGAGAGUCUGAUUGAGCUCGACAGAGAUACGCUGCAUACUAGGUUGGGUAGCUCCCACGAGUGCCACUCCGGAGACGGGCGUUGUGCUUUCGCGUUGGUGUCGUUCAUGCCGGUUAGACUUGCUCUCCAUGGACUGGAUAGUGUGGAGGUAGCUGGAUAGUCUCAACUGGGCGGGAUGUGUGUGUUCACAGUCCCUGGGACGUGUAUGUUUACAAUCCUUAAAGAGAUUGGAUCAGGAUUGACAUUACUACAGUAGGUCAGCUUAGAGCAUGAUUGUGUAAUAAAUAGUAGCUGUAGAUUUCAUUCCAGCAUUUAUUACUACCUUUGCUCCCUUCUGUAGACUUAGUAGGUGGAUCGAUGUUGUUGAAGGCGGCACCCACUGAGGACUAUUUGUUUUACAGUAGUUCUCACGCCCUGUUAUUACCCUGUUUUUGCAAAGCCAUCGUCUUCGGCUGGUGCUGUUGCUGAUCAGGAUCGAGGCAAGGGCGUCGCGAGUUAGAGCCCUACCCGACGAGCCGAGCUAGAGGUGCCCAUACAGCAGGUAGUUGUUUUUGUUGGAGUUCAUGUACAUACAUAUAUUUAACUCGCCAGUGCGAGUAGUUUUGUAUCUUGGAUUUGGCGUAUAUAUAUGGAACUCGCUUUGUUUUUAUUACUGGUGCUUCUAGCAGCUCUAUACUAUUGUUUGUAGUAUUGUAUGAUUUACAGGUACAGCUAUCGCUUCGUAUACAGGAAAAAUUUCUUUGUAUACGGCGGAUUUGUCGGCGCGCCCGGGGAACGAGUAAUCCGGGGCGUGACAGAUUAAGUUGGUAUCAGAGCUUAGCAUUAGGUUGUUGGGACCUAGAAAACCUAAGUUUGGCAAACCUUAGGAAGGCAAGACGCGAGAGGCGUAAUGUAUUGCAAAAGUCAAUGAUUAAUUGUUCUAACUCCUCUUAGAGUGGGGUGAGUGAUUGAAGUAGUUCCUAUUUUGGCCUGAGAAAUUAUGUUGGCUGCAGACAACAUAAUUUUGGAGGAAAACAGGGGCCGCCUUCCAGACUUUCAUUGAUUGGGUCGAGAGUGUUUGUGUUUCAUCUAGCCCCGAUCUUUUCCUUUCAGCUAUGUAUCGUCGCUGAGGUCGACCGUCGUUACGGGAGCGUGCCAAGUUGUCGCAGGAUCGUGCGCGACCUUCCAAGAUGCCUAAGCAUGCGAAGCCGAGUGCCCGGCAGGAGCAGAGUGUUCGACCGGAGGCGAGUGCAUCCCUGGACUUGAGUGCACAGUUAGCCGCCCUAACAGAGGUGACGAGGCGGCAGGGGGAGUUGUUGAAGAGGAUGUGCGAGAGGCUAGCUUCGCCCCAGAGUUCAGCACCGAAGGCACCAGAGUCGUUUGUUCCACCUCCGACUACCCCAGCGACAGCACCAGCUGCAGCAGUCCCUCCGCCAGCAGCAGUUCCAGUAGCGCCAGUUGCGCCUACUAGGGGGCCAGUACCGUUGACAGAGGUCGAGCAGGAACGGUUGACAGAGAAGUUGGCUCGUUUCCGCCGCUUUGAUCCGCCGACCUUCGAUGGCAGUUGCACUGAGGCCUGAGUUGUUGAGGGCUGGGUCAGUGCGAUGGAGAAGCUAUUUGAGAAUCUGUUCAUUCCUGAGUGGGAGCAGGUAUCUUUGGGAGUCCAUUACUUGGGAGGUGAUGCCCACGCCUGGUGGAGGAGAGUGAGGAGAGAGCAGGGACUGGUAGCGUUGCAGCUGAGAUGGGAUGAGUUCUGUGGAAUGCUGUUUGGGAUGUUUUUUCCCAACAGUGUGAAACAGAAGGUCGAGAAGGAUUUGAAGAGGAUUUAGCAGGGGGAUCGUCCAGUGCAGGAGUACAUUCGAGAGUUUACUCGACUCCUAAACUGUGUACCAUUUGUGGUCAGGGACGAGGCACACAGGGUCUAUCUGUUUGAGCAGGGGCUUAGACCUGACAUCUUCAGGUUGGCGUGGGCGCAGAGGUCGAGGACCUUGGAUGCCUCCAUAGAGCAGGCCUUAUGGGUGGAGAGAGGUGAGGUGUCGCUGUAGGAGAGGACUCCGGCUGUGGGGCAGAGUCAGGACAGGAAGCGCCCCUUUUCAGAUGAUGCUGGACAGUCGAGCAGCAGGCGUCCGCCGAGGCCUCCACGAUCACGCUCUCAAGGUCGUGGGUCUUCGGGGCGUCAGCGUUUCAGGAGAUCCCGUCAGUAGGGCCAAACUCAGAGGACACCACAGUGUGUGAUCUGCAGGGGACCACACUGGCCCCGGUAGUGCGAGCAGAGAGAGGGCCGUUGCUACUCUUGCGGUCAGCCUGGGCAUAUGAGGUCAGCUUGUCCUCGUGCAGCAUCAACAACACCAUCCUUCGCAUCAGCGCAGCCGGCAUCCCAGCAGUCCUUUGGAGCAGCACCGAGUUUCCGCCAGGAGGACAGAUCGUCUGUGCUGCGUCAGGCUGAGCGGCGACAGCAGGCUCCGAAUGGCAGAGUUUAUGCAGCUCAGGUGGAAGAUUCUUCAGCAGCCGACAGAGUGGUUGCAGGUUUCAUUUUGAUUUCAGUCAUUCGUACUCGCACUCUUUUUGAUACCGGUGCCUCGCAUUCUUUCGUUAACCGAGCAUUUGUAUUGUUGCAUGGUCUAGAGUUAGGGUCAUUGUCACAGGCACGAGAGAUGCAGAUCCCCGACCAUGUUUUACAGGUUGCAGAGUGUUGUUAGUCAUUCCGGUGCAGUUAGAUUCUUGGAUCAUGCCCGCAGACCUGUUGGUGUUAGGGCAGCUACAGGACUUUGACGUAGUGCUCAGUAUGGAUUGGCUGACGCGGUACUACGCUACUAUUGACUGUGAAGCGAGGACUGUGACGUUCCGCAAGCCAGGCCAGGAGGAGUUCAUUUCUAGAGGAUGCAGGAGUACUUUGUUCGCCACUUGGAUAUCUUCGGUGAGGGCUCGACAGCUGAUGAGUAGAGGAUGCGUUGCUUUUCUGGCGAUUGUGACAGAGGUGCCUACGGCGGCGCCGGGACUCGAGGAUAUUCCUAUAGUCCGCGAGUUUCCGGAUGUGUUUCCCCCUGAGUUGAUUACGAUGCCGCCAGAGAGGGAGAUAGAGUUUGUGAUUGAUGUAGUUCCUGGAACUGCACCAAUCUCGAAGGCACCUUAUCGGAUGGCACCAGCAGAGCUGAGAGAGCUAAAGGCGCAGCUUCAGGAUUUGAUGGAUAAGGGGUAUGUGAGACCUAGUGUGUCGCCUUGGGGAGCGCCAGUGCUGUUUGUAAAGAGGAAGGAUGGUUCGCUCGGGUUGUGUGUUGAUUACCGGGAGCUGAAUAAGAUGACCAUCAAGAAUAAGUAUCCUUUGCCGCGCAUUGAUGAUCUGUUUGAUCAGCUGCAAGGAUCUUAUGUCUUCUCGAAGAUUGACCUCCAGUCAGGUUACCACGAGUUGAGGGUGAGGGCAGAGGAUGUUCCCAAGACGGCUUUUCGGACUCGGUACGGGCAUUAUGAGUUUAAGGUGAUGCCGUUUGGAUUGACGAACGUCCCUGCCGCAUUCAUGGAUUUGAUGAACAGAAUGUUUAAACCGUUCUUGGAUAGAUUUGUGGUAGUCUUUAUUGAUGAUAUUCUGAUAUACUCCUGGAGCGAUGCCGAGCAUGAGGAGCACUUGAGAACUGUGCUACAGCUUCUGCGAGAGAAGAAGUUGUAUGCCAAGUUAAAGAAGUGCGAAUUUUGGUUGCGGGAGGUUGCUUUCUUGGGCCACGUGAUAUCUGCGGUUGGAGUGGCAGUGGACCCGAAGAAGAUUGAUGCCAUUCGAGAUUGGCCCAGACCGACGACGGUGACAGAGGUGAGGAGUUUCCUUGGGCUUGCUGGUUAUUACCAUCGGUUUGUGGAAGGCUUUGCGAAGCUUUCCACACCACUCACUCGACUGACUCGUAAAGGAAUUAAGUUCAUUUAGAGUGAGGAUUGCCAGAGGAGCUUUGAUGAGUUGAGACGAAGGUUGACGUCAGCUCCUAUCCUUGCCCAUCCUGUGAUGGGGGAAGGAUUUGUGAUCUACAAUGAUGCAUCGCACAGCGGGCUGGGCUGUGUGCUGAUGCAGCAUGGUAGGGUAAUUGCUUAUGUUUCACGACAGUUAAAGGAUUAUAAGAAGAAUUAUCCUACGCAUGACUUGGAGCUUGCCGCGGUAGUCUUUGCUUUAAAAUUGUGGCGGCAUUACCUUUAUGACGAGCACUGCGAGGUUUUCACCGAUCAUAAAAGUCUUAAGUAUCUGUUCACCCAUAGAGAGUUGAACCUGAGGCAGCGCUGGUGGUUGGAGUUACUGAAGGACUAUGACAUUUGGUAUUCAGUAUCAUCCCGGCAAGGCAAAUGUGGUAGCAGAUGCGUUGAGCAGGAAGGCAGUGCAGAGCUUGAGCAUAUUGAUCACUCGGCAGAGAUCGUUACUUGAGGAGCUGCAGCGGCUUAGGCUCGAGAUAGUGUCCCCUGGAUCUACUUCGAGACUGAUGUCUAUGAUCUUGCAGCCCACUCUGUUGGAUAGGAUCCGAGAGCAACAGAGUGGAGACCCGCACUUGUCGAGGAUUCGAGAGCAGCUUAAGAAGGGACAGGCCGAGGGCUUUGUUGUGGACAGUUCGGGAGUAUUGCGGUACAGGGACCGACUGUGUGUACCUAUGGAUUUAGAGAUCCGACAGGACAUUUUGAGAGAGGCUCACUGUUCACCUUAUACGGUUCACCCCGGUGGAACCAAGAUAUAUAAGGAUUUAAAGGCUCAGUUUUGGCGGAAUGGAAUGAAGAGGGACAUUGGUAGAUUUGUGGCUCAGUGUCUGACUUGUCAACAGAUAAAGGCCGAGCAUCAGGUACCUACUGUCAAGCUUCAGAGUCUGCUAGUGCCCGAGUGGAAAUGGGAGCAGAUCACGAUGGACUUUGUCGUGGGGUUGUCUAGAGCCCAGGGUGGUUUCGAUGCUAUUUGGGUGAUAGUGGACAGACUGACUAAGUCUGCUCACUUUCUACCAGUUCAGACCACAUGGUCCAGGGAGAGGCUCGCUCAGCUAUAUCUGGAUGAGAUAGUGAGGUUGCAUGGCAUGCCCACUUCGAUAGUAUCAGAUCGAGACCCGAGGUUCGUCUCGUACUUUUGGAGGAGUCUUCAGAUGGCUUUGGGCACUCAGUUGCAGUUCAGCACAGCGUUUCACCUAUAGACAGAUGGUGAGUCAGAGCGGACCAUUCAGACUCUUGAGGACAUGCUGAGGGCAUGUGUCCUGGACUUUGGAGGAGGGUGGUAUCGAUAUUUGAGACUGGCUGAGUUUGCAUACAACAAUAGCUAUCAAGCAAGAAUCCAGAUGGCUCCGUUUGAGGCAUUGUAUGGACGCAGGUGUCGAUCCCCUUUGUUUUGGAGUGAUGUGGGUGAGAGAAAAACGCUUGGGCCUGAGAUUCUGAUUGAGGCUGAGGAAAAGGUGAAAGUGGUGCGACAGCACAUUUUAGGAGCCAGAGUCGGCAGAAGAACUAUGUUGAUACCGGGAGAUGAGACUUGGAGUUCCAGGUGGGAGAUCAUGUGUUUCUUAAAGUCUCGCCGUCCAUAGGGAUUCGCCGAUUUGGAGCACGUGGAAAGCUCACAUUUUGUAGGCUCUUUUGAGGUAUUGGAGCGAGUCGGGCCAGUUGCUUACAGGAUUGCUCUACCUCCACGACCAGCCGGCAUUCAUGAUGUUUUCCACGUCUCGGCUUUGAGGAGAUAUGUGUUCGACCCCUCCCACGUGAUUGACUUCACUCUACUUGAGAUUGGCGAGGACCUGAGUUACGAGGAGCGACCGGUGCGGAUUCUGGCUCGUGAGUCGAGGAAAUUGCGCAACUGGGUCAUACCCUUUGUAAAGGUGCAGUGGAGUAAUCACGAAGAGCGGGAGGAGACUUGGGAGCCGGAGACGGUGAUGAGAGAGUCCUACCCCUACCAUUUUGAGACUCAGGAUUGAGGUAUGUUUCAGUUUCGCGGACAAAACUUUUUAUAGUGGAUGAGGAUGUAGUGUUUCUGAGCUUUGGAUAGGAUUGGCUUCAGUAUUAGUGACUGGUCGACACUUCUGGAGAGUGUCGGACUGAGUCGGAGUUGUUUCUGCCCGAAAUGGAUGCAGAAAUGGAAUCGGCGCACUCAAAUAAGCAAAACUGGAGUUUUGCUAGUUUAGGGUACCCAGAACUAGAUUUAGGGCGCCCAGAAGUUUAGGGCACCCAGAAAUGGUUUAGGUCGCCCAGUACUGAGUGCUGAAUUUAACUGAACUGGAAGCCAAUUCAGAUCCUAUGUUCCGGGCGCCCAGAGUGGGUCCGGAAAUUCUACAUCGUGAAUAUCGAUCGUGUUGACGCGUGGCUGGUGGUAGGUGUGGGCCACAGGAGCAGGAUAAGGGUGCAGCACACCGUAGGCGGAGGAACCGAUGGGGGCUGUUUGUGCAGGCUGGAAGUUCUGGGCGCCCAGAACUUGGUUUAGGGCGCCCAAAACUUGGUUUUUUUGCAGAAACUACAGGUUAACUUCCAAUGUUCCUGAGGCUUAUCUGACCGUUGGAUUACCCUAUAAAUAGGUGAGAGAUGCCCCUGGUAAGCUCUUUUCCUCUCUUUCUCUCAGGGAAGCUUACAUUUGCAUUUCCAACCCUCAAAUUUUCUCAAAUUGCAUCCAAUCUUUCAAUCGAAAGGUGGUGGAGUGCUAAUUCUGCAGUUCUUCAGCGACGACCUCCAGUAUUUUGGCUCGUACGCAACGUAGGAAGGUAGGAUCGCGGUGAAACUUGGUUUGCCGGAUUUUAGACUUCUAGAGGAAUCCAUGAAGCGCUGAAUUACAGAUUUUGGUUGAGGUUAGCUUGGUCGAACGGAGGAUUUUUUGGACUGCUGUUGACAUUGAGCUGAAAAUGAGAUUUUUGAGCUUUUCUUGAUGCUAUCUUUAUAGGCAAUGGGAUUUUGGACCUGAGACACAUUCUCCAUUAUUAUUCACUGGAUUUGAGAUCUUCCUCACCUGAUUUGGAGGUAAUUAGGUGAGUUUUGAUAUUAUGAUAGGGAUUAAAUUAAGCUUUAGUGCUGAAAUUGGGAUAAUUGAUGGAAUUCAAUGUGUAGAGCUUGGAGAUAGCUUGAUUACUGGUCUUGGAGGAUUUUGGUUGAUCUAGCAGGGAUUAGCAUUAGUUCAGGACCUUCUUUGCUGCCAUGAUUAGCAAUUAAAGUGGGUUACAUCGGUUUAUUCCUAAGCACAGUAUUAGUCGACAUGUAUGAUUUCCAGUUUUUGUAAAUCAUGUUGUAGCUCAAUUUCGUUGACUGUAUCAUGGAUGAAAUCAGCAUUGAGGACAUGAUUAGUAAACCAUAAAUAUACAUGUUGGACUUGGAAUUUGACUUAGGAGAAAACCAACGAUUUGGACCUGUCACCUGUUUACACUACCUGAUUUAGCUCUAGGAGCCGUUGUAAUUUUGUUUCGUCGCAAUAUCGAGGCGACGGGUACCCCAGGUAGUUUAGCUUUCAGUUACGCUCGUGCUGGGAUGCCGAGUGUAUUUUUACAGUAGCGUUCAGGCUAUUCCGGACUAUUGGGUGCCGUCGGGGUUCACGGUGGACCCAUAUCGCCUUUUUGGCGUCGGAUUGUGCCGAGGGCACGUGGCCUGUUGAUUGUUAGACCAGUUAGAGUUGGUUACUUGGACUUUGGCUUGAGAGAGCCUAAUUGAGCUCGACAGAGAUACGCUGCAUACUCGGUUGGGUAGCUCCCACGAGUGCCACACCGGAGACGGGCGUUGUGCUUUCGCGUUGGUGUUGUUCAUGCCGGUUAGACUUGCUCUUCACGGACUGGAUAGUAUGGAGGUAGCUGGACAGUCUCAACUGGGCGGGAUGGGUGUGUUCACAGUCCCUGGGACGAGUAUGUUUACAAUCCCUAAAGAGAUUGGGUCAGGAUUGAUAUUACUACAGUAGGUCAGCUUAGAGCAUGGUAGUGUAAUAAAUAGUAGCUGUAGAUUUCAUUCCAGCAUUUAUUACUACAUUUGCUCCCUUCUGUAGACUUAGUGGGUGGACCGAUGUUGUUGAGGGCGGCACCCACUGAGGACUACUUGUUUUACAGUAGUUCUCACGCCCUGUUGUUAUUCCGUUUUUGUAGAGCCAUCGUUUUCGGCUGGUGCUAUUGCUUAUCAAGAUCGAGGCAAGGGCGUUGCGAGUUAGAGCCCUAUCCGACGAGCCGAGCUAGAGGUGCCCAUACAGCAGGUAGUUGUUUUUGUUAGAGUUCAUGUACAUACAUAUAUUUAACUUGCCAGUGCGAGUAGUUUUGUAUCUUGGAUUUGGCGUAUGUAUAUGGAACUCGCUUUGUUUUUAUUACUGGUUCUUCUAGCAGAUCUACACUACUGUUUGUAGUAUUGUAUGAUUUACAGGUACAGCUAUCGCUUCGUAUACAGGAAAAAUUCCUUUAUAUACGGUGGAUUUGUCAGCACACCCGGGGAACGAGUAAUCUGAGGCGUGACGGUCCGGUUAUGGUGUUUUUAAAAAUACCACACACUUGGUAUUGUAAGAAUUUAUUCAGCACAAAAUUAAAACUCAAAUUGCAGUGAAAAAUUAAUAUUGUAUUUUUCAAUUUUUGAAAAAAGCCAAAAUUCAUACCGUAAAUAAAAUCGAAAACAAAAUCAAUCCAGUACCGGUAGAUUAUUCUCAUAUUACAGUGUAAAAAUAAUCUAAAUUAGACAGAUAUAAAGUUCAUAUUACAUCACUUUAGACCAGUUAAGGUCUCUUGAUCUACUGUACGGUUGAAAUUGAAUAUGACGAACUGAAAUUCUAAUUAGCUGCGCACGUGCUUGACCUCUACGCAUUUCCACACGGAAUUGACGCAGAUCCGACGUCUUCCGCCACACAGAACAAAUGAGUCGUAGACUACAAAGACGGUGCUAGUAGUCCUCUGAUAUUUACGUUCCUUUUGAUGAGAUAUUCUGAUCUUCAUGAAAGAUAACAUAGAAAGAGAGCGACGAAUAAUCUAAGAGGCUAAAAAUUAAAAUUUCAUGGCCUUGGAAGACACAUGUUAGCUAAAGCAGUCAUAGAAGAUAAGACGUGUGGAAAGGUUGAAACUGAUUGGGAUGUUUUGAACAUGUGCAACGGAGACCAGUCAGUGCAUUAGUUAGAAAGAAUAUUUUUUAGUUAAAACAUAGAUUGUCUUAUAGGAGUGGGGGUCUGAAUCUAACAAUUGCUAAACAUAUAAUAAACUAAAAAAUUACUAUACCUCAUUGCACAAAAUAAUUUUCAAGUAUAGAGCUAAAUGAAAUAGCAAGAGCUAUAAACAUUGUAGCUGAUCUCCAAUAGUAGAGCUUGGAGAAAUUGCUACUGCUUGGCUUCCUUCUGCAUGCCUUUUUGAAUUCUUACCCUAAUUUAACUAGCUUUGGUCAGUAUUAUUUUUUAUUCUUAAUUAUUUUCUUAUUUGUACUUUAGCAGGAUUUUUAUUUUGUUUUUAUGUUGACAAAUAUAUGAAAGUGGAAGAUUUUUGCUAGAAAAUUGAGUUCAGAUUGGCUUGNCUUUAUGUUCUAGUGGUUUAGUCUCUUUCUCUUUCCUUUCUAUUUCCGCUUGUUGAUAGAACUUAGCUGCAUGCUUGCUCUGAUAUCGUUAGUUAUUGUUUAUUUUAUCUUUCAUAUCACUUUGUUGUAGACGCCUUAUAUGUGCAGGCAUAUGGCGGGUCUGGGCACGCACCGGGCAGGGCCUUUGCCGGGUCCCGGGGCGUGACACAAGGCACCCCCCCGGGUGCACACAAGACGUUUACCACAAAACAUUCAAUAGAGACAGUAAGGAAAUAUUCCUAACAUGAUAAUCAUAGCAUAAAUACUAAACUAUACAAUAAAUCACCAUUCACUAAAGGAAGUAAUAAGUUACUACAAUAAGGAAACAUCUAUCAUAAGACAUACAUCAAGUGCUAAUAAAAAGGUACAUCUCAAGAACAUGGUAGUCCCUGUACAAAAUGAUCUAAUACACCUUUCGAGACUAAAACAAAAAAAAAGUGUCCACCUAGGUAAGUAUCUCCAAAAGGGCUCUAGCUAAUCGCAACUCCCUUACCUCGAUCCCUAACCUCUUCCGCAGUGGAAGGCUCUAAAAAAAAAACAACAAAUAUAUGGGGGUGAGAACUAUUAAACAAUAGUUUCCAGCGGGUAAACCGCUGAAAAAAGCGAAUUACACCACUAGGUCAACUGAGGCAAAAGUAUAAAUAAUUACUAAUAAAGCAUAAAUAAAGUUAAGCAUUAAAAUUCAAAUCUACUAUACCUCUAAAUGAUUAUGUUAUUGAACAAGUAUGGAGUCUAUGCUAUUACAUGUACAAAUAUAUAAUGAAUACUCAAGUGUCAUGCAUUAGCUAGUUGUGAUGUCCAACAUUAAGGGCCUGUUUGGCCAAACUUCUGAAAAAGUGAUUUCUGAAAAAGUGAUUUUGGUUUGAAGAAAUGAUUUUUGUUAAAAGCUGUAGAGCGUUUGGCGGAGUUUAAAUAAAAGUGAUUUUUCUGAAGUGAUUUUGAAAAACUAUUUGGCAAAUUUUUUUUGAUGUUGGCAUAAAUUAAUAUUUUUAUUAAAUUUUAUUUUAAAAUAAUUUAAAAUCUAAAUUUAAAUUUGAAUUAAAAUGAAAAAUUUUAAAUUUCAAAAUUGUAAAAAAUUUAAAAUUUGAUAUUUUAAUUUUAAAAAAUAAUNNNNNNNNNNNNNNNNNNNNNNNNNNNNNNNNNNNNNNNNNNNNNNNNNNNNNNNNNNNNNNNNNNNNNNNNNNNNNNNNNNNNNNNNNNNNNNNNNNNNGGGACCGGUCCCCGAGAGCAAUUUUGCUCCAGUGCAGAUUUCGCACUAUUUGCUCUCGUGGACUCGUUUCCAAUGCACUUUUGGUGAUUUUAAUAUCUUUGGUCUUUCCAAAGUACACCAGCACGACCCUUGGUCGAUUCGGGAUGAAGUCAAAUCCUCGUAUUUCGAGAAUUCACUUCCUCACACUGCUAACUCACCUCAAGGAGUUGUAUGGUGAGCAAAGCCGAUCUACUCGUUUUGAAGUGUCCAAAAGACUCUUUAAAGUCAAGAUGCACAAUGGGCAGUCUGUUCAUGAUCACUGUUUGACAAUGAUCAAAGACCUCGAGGAGCUUGAGAAGCUUGGCAUGAAAAUGGACAAGAAAUUGCAAGUUGAUCUGAUCCUGCAAUCCCUUCCUGUAUCAUAUGGACAGUUUAUUGUAAACUACAAUAUAAAUAAAAUUGAUUGCACCAACGCAGAGUUAUUGAACAUGUUGAUAACUACAGACGGGACUUUGAAAGGUUCAAAGGGCUCGAUUCUCGCUGUGGAGCGAGCUUCCUCUUCCAAAAGAAAAUCUAAUUGGAAGAAAAAACCCGCGAAGAAACAAAAGACGGAAAACAAGCCCAAGAAGGAAGCUUCUAAGAAUAAGGCCGCUAGCAAAGGAAAAUGUUUCCACUGCAACNACGUUGACGGUCAUUGGAAGAGAAAUUGUCAUGUCUACCUGGAGAGCUUGAAGAAUAAAAGGAAGGACACACCUUCGGAAGGUAUGUCAGACUUGCUCGUAAUAGAAACUAACCUUACGGUUUCCUCUACUUCUAGUUGGGUUAUAGACUCUGGUUCUAGUUCUCAUCUAUGUACUUCAAUGCAAGGUCUAAGGGAAAGUAGAGGGCUCAGGGAAGGUGAAGUGACCCUACGGGUGAGCAACGGGGCAAGAGUUGCUGCUGUGGCUGCUUGGCACCUAUCUUUUGCGACUACCGUCAGGAUAUGUUUUAUUACUUAAAGACUAUUAUUAUGUACCUGCUACUAGCAGGAAUUUGAUUUCUGUUUCUUCUUUAGCACAGGACGGUUAUAAUUUUAAUUUUGACAAAGACUACUGCAUAAUUUAUUUUAGAAAUAAUAUUAUUGGUCGUGAUUUUAUGAUUGACAGUCUUUAUCAUUUACAUAUGGAUGUAUCUGUAAAUAUUUUCUGAGCAAGUAGAGACUGCUGUUGGGUCUAAGAGACCGAGAGAUGAGAUGAACCUAAAGUAUAUGUGGCACCUCAGGCUUGGUCAUAUUAGAGAAGAAAGGAUAAAUAAAUUGGAUAAAGAUGGGCUUCUCAGCUCAUUGACUUCAGAGUCUUAUUCAGUUUGUGAAUCUUGUCUUCAAAAAAAAUUGACUAAAUUACCCUUUGUAGGACAAGGGGAAAGGGUCACUGAGAUACUUUCCUUGAUAUACACUGAUGUGUGUGGGCCAUUUGAUGUGCAUGCUAGGGGUGGUUAUCUCUACUUCAUAACCUUUACCGAUGAUUAUUCACGGUAUGGAUAUGUGUAUCUUAUGAAACACAAAUCUGAGGCUUUUGAAAAGUUCAAAGAAUUCAGAUAUGAAGUAGAAAAACAAACUGAAAAAUCCAUCAAGGUUCUUCGAUCAGAUCGAGGAGGAGAAUACCUUAGUGGAGAGUUCCUAAAUUAUCUCAAAGAAAACGGCAUAGUCUCACAGUGGACUCCUCCGGGAACACCUCAACUCAACGGGGUGUCAGAACGGAGAAACCGAACCUUAUUGGAUAUGGUUCGAUCUAUGAUGAGCUUCACUGAUCUUCCUUUAUUUCUUUGGGGACAUACUUUGCUUACUGCAGCUUAUUUGUUAAAUAGGGUUCCCUCUAAAUCCGUUCCUACCACGCCGUAUGAGAUGUGGCAUGGUAAAAAACCAAGCCUUGGUCAUAUCAAGAUUUGGGGAUGUCCGGCCUAUGUUAAACGACUACAGGUGGACAAGUUAGAGGCUAGGUCUGAGAGGGCUUGUUUUAUUAGAUAUCCUAAAGAAACUUUAGGUUACUAUUUUUAUAUCCCAGAGAAUCACAAUAUAGUUGUGAGCAAAUGUGCUAUUUUCUUGGAAAAACAGUUUAUUCAAGAAGCUAGUGGGAGAAAAAUUGAACUCGAAGAGAGAGAGUCUCUGAAGAGCAACGAGUCAUCAAACCUACAGAACCUAUUCAAGCUGAGCCAGUACAUGUAGUACCUAUUCCACCUCGCAGGUCGAGUAGAAUCUCCCAUCCCACUAAACGAUACUUAGAUAUCGUUACAGAGGAAGUAGAGGAAAUGUUCCUAAUGGGAGAUAGGGUCUGACAUCGAUUCCGAGAAAUGGCUGGAUGCCAUGAAGUCAGAAAUUAACUGAAUGCAUUCCAACCAGGUUUGAAUUUUGGUAGACCCACCAGAAGGCAUAGUACCUAUCGGGUGUAAAUGGAUCUAAAAAAGAAAGAUAGGUUCGAAUGGAAAGGCUCUACCUAUAAAGCAAGGCUGGAUGCGAAAGGUUAUAGUCAACGUGAAGGCAUUGAUUAUCAGGAGACCUUUUCAUCUGUGGCCAUGCUUAAAUCCAUUCGAACACUGCUUGCCCUUGCAGCAUACUAUGAUUAUGAGAUCUGGCAAAUGGAUGUGAAAACUGCCUUCCUAAAUGGAUAUCUUGAGGAAGAUAUCUAUAUGGAGCAGCCUUUGGGUUUCACUUCCGGUGACGAAAGUCACAAAGUAUGCAAGUUGCAACGGUCCAUUUAUGGACUUAAGCAAGCAUCUCGGACUUGGAAUACUCGUUUCCAUAACGUGAUUAAAUCGUUUGAUUUCGUUAAGAAUGAUGAGGAACCAUGUGUUUAUAAGAAGGUCAGUAGGAGAGCUGUCACAUUCCUCGUAAUGUACGUGGAUGACAUUCUCCUAAUUGGGAAUGACAUUCCAAUGCUGACUUCAGUUAAAAUAUGGUUGUCUAAAGAAUUCUCCAUGAAAGAUCUAGGGGAAGCAUCCUAUAUUUUGAGGAUAAAGGUCUAUAGAGAUAGAUCUAAAAGGAUGCUGGCCUCUCACAGAAAAUGUAUAUAGAAGAGAUGCUGAAAAGGUUCGGCAUGGAAAACUCCAAAAGGAGACUUUUACCUCUUAGACAUGAAAUUUAUCUCUCUAAGAAAAUAUGCCCCAAUACAUUUGAAGAGAUUCAACGUAUGAGUAAGAUCCAUUUAUCUCAGAUCAGUUAUAGGGAGUUAUGUACGCAUGGCCUAUGUACACGACUGAUAUCGCGCCUUCCUGUGAGUGUCAAGUGAUAUUUUCAAUACUAAUCCAAAGAGUGUGAGAGCACUGGAUUGCUGUGAAGAAACAUACUCAGUACUUUGAGAGGACUGAAGAUAAUGUUUCUUGGUCUUUGAGGAGGAGGUGAAAGUACAAGAUAUUACUGAUUCAGACUUUAUGUCUGAUUGUGCACGAUAGAAGUCUACAGUCAGAAUGAUCGUGUGUUCUUAUGCAAUGUUGCCUCUGUUAUUGAAGAUUCCAAAACAACCAAUUUAUUGCUGACUCUAAUAUGGAAGCAUAGUUAUAUCGCCGCAUCUGAAGCCUGCAAGGAAUCCUUGGAUCUACAUGAAAUUUGUCGCCAGAAUUAGGUGUGAUGCCAUCGUUAUCCAUACCACUAUAUUGCGACAACAUGCGCCAUUAGCCCUAGCUAGGAGCCCAAGUUCUCAUCAGAGGUCCAAGUUAUAUAGAGCGGCUGUUUCAUAUUAUUUACGCGAUACUACCUCGAAGAAAUUCACAUCAGAGAUGCAGAAGGUAGACUCUAGGUAACGCUGCAGACAUUGACUAAACACUUUAGACGGCAGAGCACUGAGUCCUGGAGAUGGGGUUAGGUAUUUGGCUGAUUGGUUUUAUGCAAGUGGGGAGAUUGUUAGAUGUCAUGCCAGAAGCCACCAGAGCCGACACAUAUAUUCUUUCUAGGAUAUAAAUUUGUAUUUGACUUUUAAAUAUUAUGAAUAACUUUGGAUUUUUAUUUCCAUUCAUGUUGUGUAUGUGUUCAUGAAUCGUCCAAGGAAUUAAUAAGAUGAUGACAUAUAUUCUCAAGUGUUGAGAAUUUGAGACAUGUGUCAUUGGUGGUUAAUUUCUAAAUGCUCCCGAUCAAUGGAUCAUCACGGGGACGGUGAUUGAUCCGGUGAGAUUGGUGCAUAGGUCGCUUCCCUUUCUGGGUAGACGAGUCUCGAGUCGACAGUGUGGGGACACUGAAGCGAAUAUGCAGGUGGUUGUUGGAGAACAAGGGUACCGAGCGUGACCAAUGCGAGAAGUCACUUGGAUGUCUACUCACUUGUCAGUGACUUACUUAAUGUUGAAGUAGUGUGACUGGUCCUUUGACCUGCGGUGCCUCGGCUAUUCACAAUGAGGUUACUGUAGUUUGACUAUACAUACACUUAGUCCCUAGCCAUUCGGAUCCUUGUGGUACAUGUUGGCUGCCGUAGGUUCAUUGUAGGAAUAGGAUGCGUACUUAGAUGGAAUCUAUCUCCCUUGGUAGAUAGGGGUGUUAGUCCUAUGUGAUUUAUGAGACCGAGUUUAAAAGACCUUGGCCAGGGCAGAGUUAAUAGCGAAAAAAGGUUUCUGAUAUUAGAAACUCGAGUCGAAUAAAUUUAACAUAUGACAAACGAUGGGAUUUGACGAGUUAUUCCAUAACCUCCGUCUUGUCGGGACUCAUGAUAGAAGGAUUGUAUCACACGGUAACUGCACAAAGAGGUUCAGUAUUCCAUUCUACUGGAAUGCCAUUAAAUGCUGCUAGACAUCACUGGUGGAUUGUGAGACUCAUGAGAAUUAUCUAGAUGAUCAAUAAUUCUCAUUGGGCUGAGUUGGAAUUAUUCUGAUCCAUUGAAAGGAGUUUCAGUGAUAUUGUUGAUAGUGUUCAAAAUAUAUCUCACUACCAGAUAGAAUAGAACCUAUAGGGUCACACACAUGAGAGGUAGUGAUUGAUCGGAUAGCUAGAUCGCGAUUAUUGAAUCGUCGGAGGACCUAAUUAUCAAUAUGUUGAUAAUUGGACUAAUUUAUAAUUAUUACAAAUUAGUGGUAUUAAAGUGUAAAUGUUACAAGAGAGGACUUACUGAUAGUUAGUAAAUUAUAAGAGGACUUAUGUGCAAAUGUUGCAUUAUUAAUUUGAUAUGAUCAAAUUAAUAUAAAGAUCGAAUCAAAUUAGGAUUUGAUCGAUCUAACCAAUUAAGGAAAGGAUAAAUUUAAUCUAGAUUUAUACUUAUCCUUAAUUGUCAUUAUAUUAUUAGGAAUAGGAUUAUAUUCCUAUAUAUAACAUACGGGAGUUUUUAGAAAACCCUAGCCGUUAUCUCUCUUCUCCUCUCUCUUCCAUAUUCUAGCAAGAACGACGUCCUUUGCAAGGGAGCUAGCACCCCGGUGAGGAUAUCGAUCAAAUCUUCAACCUCGUGUGGAUACCUAUAGAGGCCGGACGCGUGUGCGGCUUCAAGAGAACCCAAUUCCACGAUCAUCAAGUUGAGGUGAAAAUCUAUCCACGAAAAAGGUAAAGAUUCGAUCUUGUUUUUCUUCUUUAAUCGUAAAACAUGAGGGAUCCUGAUUGCGUGGUUUUUGAGAUUGGAUAUCGAGAGUUUUCAAAAAUCAAAUUUAUUUGAUUCUUUUUCCGCUGCGUUUUUUACCGUACGCAAUUUUCUAACAAUUUCGAGUGCCUAGAAAAUGGAAUCGAGAGCACAAAAUUGUAGUGCUGAAUUGUUAGUGUCGUUUAUGCUAUUGGAGUCAUUUCGGGCCCUUAUUCGGGCGCGUAGUUGUGAGUUGAAAUUUGCUUGGUGGGGCUACUUCGUGAUUAUCAACUGUUGUUGACACGAGGCAAGCGGAAGUUUUGGAUUCGGGGGCAGGAUAAGAUUUUGGUCCCUUUGCGGUGAACCCUGUUGUGGAUUCGGACAGAAUUUUUGGCAGAUUCAGGCGCCUAGAAGUUGGAUUAGGGCCCCCGAAUUUCAAAAUUUCUGCAGUGAUAGGUAUAGAUUCUAAUUUUCUUUGGGCUCAUUUAACCCCACCUAUACCCCUAUAAAAGUGUGUGAACGUUCUCUAUUGAUGGGUAUAGAUUCUAAUUUUCUUUAGGCUCAUUUAACCCACCUAUACCCCUAUAAAAGUGUGUGAACGUUCUCUAUUGACUCAUUUUCCUUCUCCUUCUCCUUCACCUGAAAACUCAUUCUACAACAUAUUAAUCUCACAAAAGCCUUCCAAAUCCUCUCUUCUCCCUACGGGCUAUCUAGAAUAGCGAGAACAGCAACAACAACAGCAACAACAGCAACAACUUGGGGAUUUUGGCAGAUUUGAGACUUCUAAUUUUUGCUAUGGGCUUGAUUCGGGGAUUUGAUAUUAGAGGACAGCUUAUGUAACGACCCGACCUGUCAGUAAUAAUAACUCGUUGGGCUAAAAAACACUAGCCCAAAAUACUUAAGCCAGUUAUUCUUACUACGGUAGAGUCUUUUAUAUACCUAAUAACAACCCAAUUCCCAUCUGAUGUGGGACUAUUGGGAUGUCACAAACUUCCCCGUUUAGGCCCUGACGUCCUUGUUAGCCCUAAACACACACACAGCCCAAGAUCACCGGACAAUGUGAGACUUUUCUUGCUAGUCUUCUCAUUCUUACCCUCACUUAGCCUGUCAUUCACCGACCCUAACUUAGUCUGUCAUUCUGACCCUGGCUCAACCAUGACUCAUCUCACACUUCCGGCUGGUGAACCGGCUCUGAUACCAAAUGUAACAAUCCGACCCGCAAGCAAUAAUAACUUGUUGAAUCAAAACCACCGGCUCAAAAUACUUAAGCUCAAUUAUUCUUACUAGAGUGGAGCCUCUUAUAUACCCAAUGAUAACUCCAUUCUUAUCCGAUGUGGAACUAUUAGGGUGUCACAGCUUGUGGGUCACCUCCUUCCAUUUAAUUACAAAUUAAUUGGUUUGGAAUUGAAGUUAGAAUAGCUUGUGGAUCACCUUCUUCCAUUUAAUUACAAAUUAGUUGGUUUGGAAUUGAAGUUUCUAUGAGGUUUGAACUGGAAUUGGAUUUUAGUCAAAUUUUUUUUAAUUUCUGGAUCCAAUUCUUUGUAGCUGGAUUAUUGCUGGAUUUUAGUUGCUUUUUCCUUCACUCCUAGCAGAUUUAGAUCUAUUCCUACUGGAUUUACAAGUUAGUAACUGAAUUCUUGACCUCAACUGAAGUAAUUUGUGAGUUUAGUGCUGAAUUCUCAAAUUCAUGUUUUGGGCCUCCUUUUUUGGAUCCAAAUCUUGCAGCUGAGGCUUUAGGGAGGGUUUGAUCAGUUUUUCUUAUAAAUCUUGGAGUAUUGGAGUUGUCCAUAACUGGUCGUAAGGUAGAUUGAUCUAAAUUUAGUCAAAAUUCAGCUUUUGUUCUAAAUUCCAGCAAUUUGAUGUUUUGGUAUAUUGAACAAGACUAGCUCUUUCCUGCUAUGUGUGGAGCCUUCGUAAUUGAUUUUCCAACUGGGAUUGUACUGAGGAGAGCUGUUUUUGGUGGUCGAACCCCUACCUUGGCUGGAUUAGCACAAAAGAUGUGUUUAAUUUACCAAAAUCGACGAAUUCCUUACUAUGUAUACUAAAAUUUUGCAUGCAUGUUGUCUAUUUAUCUAAGUUAAUUGUUCUAACUUAGAAUCACUGGAAUAACAUGUGGAAUGCUGAAAUCUGGACUUAGAACAUGUUAAACCUAUAUAUAGUGAUUUUAGAUGCUGAAAUUAGAUUGAAACAUUAAUAAAAUCUGCAUUAAUCUACCCCUGAUGCACUAUCAUUAGUAUUUAAAUAUGGUACCUGUUUUUACCUUUUUUUCACUCUAGUUAGAGGGUGGUGAGUAUUUGGAUUACUGUAGGAUAACUUUACGCUCGUGUUGAGGGGCCGAGUGGAUAUUUAUGAUAGUGUUUAGUCCGAGUUGUUCAGUAGAGUGCCGUUGGGGUCAACGGUCGUCCCAGAUCUUGGAAUUUUGCAUUGGAUUGUGCUUGGGCACAUGGGUUACAAUUUUAUGAUCUGAUUGAUCAUUCGCAUCGACUAUAGCCUGCAUGAACCAAAUUUAAGCUUUAUAGAGACUACACUUUUUGCUCAGCUUAGUAGCUCUCCCGAGUGCCGUUCUGGAGUGAGGCUUUAUGCAGUGGUGUUACAGCAGCCCUUUUGGGCGACCUACUUGGGUCGGCCACCCCGUGGGUGGUGUCAUGGUCAUAGUAUAGAGCAAACUUGACCAAACCUGGUAGGCAUUCAUUUGGAUAUGAUUUGGAUAGUGAUUAUUCGAUAGUUAGUUGGUGCAUAGCCAAAGGAAACUUAUCCUGUUCCUCGAUAUGCGGAUCACGGAACAGCUUCUCCAUGUGGGCAAUCCAGUGCUCGACUGCCAACUCUCGUCAUUCUUUCCAGCAAAUUUCGGCGGGUCGAACUUUUGAAACUCUGCCAAUUUCGUCCUAAUGCGGGCACCCUCCGCUACAGGGGCAUCAAUACCCCCGGGAGCCUCCAAAGUCUAGAAAAAAUUUUCUAUUCAAGAAACAAAAGUUACAUGGUUGGCAGAUGAAAUGUCUAGAGCUACUAGUUGGAGUUUGAAGGAUGAAAUGUCUAGAGCUACCAGUUAAAGUUUGGUAGUUUUUCAAUCUUUUCCAUUAUCAAAUUCUGUACACCAUAAUAUAGAAAGCCUUAGCAUAUAGUUAAUAAACUAAUAACGGCUCUAUAAUUACAACUUUAAAAGAAAUUAGAUAAUUAAGAGACUAACAACACAAUUAUAGAACGUUACAGAGGGAGCAAGUGAUGAGAAUUUUUGCCCUCACCAAAAGGACACUUCAAAAGCACACAUUUUUGCGCUAACUUGAUGCAAUAAAAGCACCAAGUGUUUAUAGAUAUUCCUAUGAAGAAUGCAUAUAUAGAUGGAGGCAUUGACAAGUGUUUAUUGUGGAGACUUGAUAGCACCCUCACCAGCCAAGGCCCAGUCCAUCACCAGCCCAAAUAACAGCUCAAGUAAAAACCUUUAAUUCAUAAAAUUUCACUAAAACCAUCAUAUGGUCUUUAAUAAUAUGUGAUCCUUACCUUUCUUAAUGAGAUGUCAUAAUAAACGAAGUUGGGCUUCAACUGGAAUAGUAAAAUGAUGACAAGCUUUUUUAUUUUUUCUUUUUGAAUCCGUAUCGGAAAUUUGCUUUUCCGAUACGGAUAUAGAAACUGAUGCUGAGAGGAUGACAACAAAGAUGCUAAUUGAGUAAAAAUUUUGUAAAUGACCAAUUACAAAGAAGCAUAACAUCCUUUAGAUCCUUCAAAAUAUGGCACACGAAAAUUACUAUACUAUAUUUACGUUCCAAAUGGGCGAUUUACCAUGUUCUAAAACAAAGCUAGCUCAAAUCUACUACAAUGUUAAUUAAUCUGUAUUAGCUAUACCAUUUUUAAAUCUUGAGCAACAUCGAGAUGCUGUGAAAUAUUUAAGCUUGUGGACGAUAUAUUUCGAUCUAUAGGUGUUUUGCGAAACUAUUUAAUACCGCAUCAUAUCCCAUGCAUUUUCUGUCAACCACUCUUGUGGCUACUUAGCUAUGCUUGAUUAAAAUCCUUUAUAUCAGUGCCCACUGUCGUAUACAAAUCAGUGCCCAUUUUCAAAGGAAUCGCUUCUUUAUCUUUUUUUUUGUCCCCAGGGAAACUUACUUCUCAAGCUUAUUAUCCUUUACACUGCCAUAAACUGGAGUAGAAAUGCAGUUAAUGUUGACUCAUCCCCUUCUCUCAAAAUACUCAUUCAUCUUUAGCACACUUCACAUUCAACUGCAGGUUUAUUAGUAGUGGGAAUUUAAGUUGCAUUUGCUAAUUAAAUGGUUUUGUUUAUAUUGAUCUUGUUAUUUUUCAAAAAAAAAAAUAUUGAGAUAAUAAGCAUGCAAACAAUUAAAUAGGUCCUUUUUUUCCAUGAAGACAUACACAGAAUUGACAUAAAUAUAUAACAGAACUAGAAAUUUUUAAAUGAUUAUAUAUCAAAUACAUAUCCUCCCCUCAUUUUGUUCCGUGCAAGGAAGAUCUGGAAAGUAUUUUUCUUGACAUGAAUUUUUUAUUUGUGCAACAACCAAUAAGAAAUUGUUCUGAAAGUUGAAUGUAGAUUUUCUCUCUGUAAAAGGAAACACAAGAAAAUGUAUAUAGGCUGAUCGAGCAGUAACAGCGAGUAACCAUGUAUAUGUCUUCAUUUCUGUAGAUACUUUAAGACCCCUGGGAUGUGGAUAUUGUAGAAAUAUUCCUUCCAGUCAAUAGAUUUGGGGUCAAAAUCAAAUCUUUGUGCUUCAAUCUUGUCCUUCAUCAUUUGCACCCUUAACCUUUCCAAGUUAGUGUCGUCAAAGCUUUAAAAGAAAAAAAAGAAAAGAAUUAGCACAAAUUAAUUCUACCUAUCUCCUUCAACGAACAUGCAUAAAAUAAAGAAUUAAUCAUGCAUGAAAUUAUAUGAAUUGCGCGCACACAUUAUAGAUAAAAAUGUCAAAUUGUCUUUCUUAUCUUACAAAACAUACAGCUGUGUGGAAGCUCUAUAGAGGUACAUUAUGUUAAAAUGAAAAGGCAUUUGAGAAUAGUAAAACUUAUAAUUAAUUAAUUGGAAUAAUGUGAGGGAAAUAUAUAUUAGUGCUUUGCUAACGGAGCUUUCUAGUUGAGACACUCAUAAAAUCGUAUAAACAUAAAGAAUUUGAAUCAUAUACCAUCCCUUGAAGAAGGCAUAAGGUGCAUAAAGGUCGACCAGGUGCAUAAUGAACUUGUACAUCCUGCUGAGCUCAUUGUAACGUUGCGCGAACAAUCCACAAAAUAUUAGAUUCAGCAUGUGCAGUACCUAAUGACGAGAAGAUGGAACCAUUAAGAAAAUAUAUAUCUGAUGGUCUAGCACUAUAAAUACUACUUGAUGGUGCCAUUAUUUGUAUUGAAAAUUAAAUGGAAUAAUUUGUGUUAAACUAUAACUAACUUGAAGUACUGUAGACAUGUAGUGUGCCAUAGCGUAUGUGGAGUGCAAACUAAUCUAAUAUAUGCAGAGUUUUUGAAAGAGAGUUAAGUGAUGACGACCUCCAACGGUAGCUUAUAUCUUAGGGUCAUAUACCCUUGAAAACUUCCCAAAGUUCUGAAGAUAGGAAGCCUCUUUGUUUUCGUGGGCUUUCCAUCUUUUCCAAUGCGAGGAUUCUCCAAGAAGUACUCGUACCCGCAUUGCUCCAGAAUAGAGUAUGACGCAGGAUUUCUCAUUGACGAGCCUACAUGGUAGAUGAAUUCAUCUUGCUGACUUGAAUGAGCCACUAUCGUUGAAAUCAUCGCAUUCACCACCAUGUCUCCAGGGAUCUGCAUUACAAAUUAAUCAGCCUUAAUUUGAAUGGGGUGCAGGCUGAGCUGAGCAAGAAUGAAAAUUCAUAACAAAUAGUAUGUGUUGCAUUUAAAUUAAUAUACUCGCUAAGUAUAUGCAUGGUUUAAAGCUUUGGGUUGAUCAUGGGAAGGAUUAAUUAGUGUUAAUUAGAGCAAAAAGCAUGCAUUAAUACGAAAGAAAAAUUUGCAACACUAAACAUGUAUAUUCCUUCCUUCUGAUUAAUUACUUACCACAUCCAUUGUAGAAUUAGGGUCUCCUAGGAAGCACGUGAGUUUUCCCUUGGCAUAACCAAUGAUGAAGGUGUCGAUAGUCCUACAAAAUCAUCUUCCCAAAUUUAGAUAAUUAUUUUCAGUAAUAAAAUUUUUGAAAAUGGGUGUACUUGUAUUGACCUGGUUCCUUCCAUCCACCCAGGCAAGGGCUCUUUGUAAAUGCUUGUUAUUAUAGAGGGCCGAAUGAUAACAAGAGGCAGAUCUUCUCUCAAAUGCCCAAGCAACAUCUCCCCCAUGGCCUUUGUAAACACAUAGGUGUUAGGCCACCCAAAAUUUCUAGCNACUAUCCUCUNNNNNNNNNNNNNNNNNNNNNNNNNNNNNNNNNGAAUUAGGCUGGAAUACUAUUGAUAGCAAAACGCUCUUUUUGCUAUCAAGUUUUUUAACCCUUGGAUGAGAAAUUGUAGGGUUAGGAAGAUAUUAGUCCGUUAGAGUUGAGUGGUCCCCCUAGGGUUGAGUGGUCUGGGUUAUAGUAUUUAAUCCAAUAGUUAGAAAUGAUGAAAAGAGUUGAUCCAAAGGCUAAAAAACUGGUAGCAACAAUGAAAUUUUGCUACUAAUAGUAGCCCAGUCCAACUCUAUAUAUAUAUAUAUAUAUANUUCUUCUCUAUAUUAUCGGUCGACUGGUCGAAGUCUAGUUCCCUCUUUCUUUCUUUAACCAAAUUUAGUUCUGCUUCAAUGUCUAAGUAUGAGUUUCCUUUUAGUGUCUCUCCCAUGCUAAACUGAUUCUCCAAUAUUAGUCCAUCGUUCUCGCCAGCCACAUAAGCUGAUGAUCAUUCAUUAGUCAAGAAUAACACGAGUAAUUUGGGCUUAAAACAUAAUAUGUGCUAAAUUAUUCCCAUAUCAAUAUUAUGAACGCAAAGUUUCUAUUGGCACUUAUCUCAUUGGUGUAUAUAUGCAAGAUAGUGUUAAUUAUUGUUCUCGAAGUAUUGAUGAGAAUUUGUAUGUAUCGGCUCCGUUAAAUAUGAUCUAAACCAUUUAAACUACCUAGAAAUCAAAUUUCACGCACUUUCGAUAUUGUUUUUUUAUCCAUCUAAUGAACAGAAAAAUGAAUGUCUGAAAAUGAAUAUUCUUUAAAAAAUGAUGAUAGGAGUCUUGUAAUCAAGAUCAAGAGUAUAGAUCUUGUUUUAAAUAGUUUAAAGAAUUUUCUAACAAAAAUUCAAUUGAUUUGGAUAUCUUUACACCGUUAAACGAGAAAACGUCUCUUAUCCACCAUUAAAAUUACAAAUUUUGAAACCUUUUGAUCAUUAGGCAAAUGAUGUCGAAAAGAUUUGAAAUUUGAUUUCUAAACACUGUAAGUGGUAUAGAUCAUGUUCAACGGAGCCGGUCGUCAAUUUGGAAGCUCUAUCAUCGAAAACAACUCGAUAGUAAAAUGCCCCGUUUACUAUCAAGAGUAUUCUAGCUCAACUCUAUAUAUAUAUAUAUAUAUAUAUAUAUAUAUUCAUCCCACUCAUCUGCAUGUAAUUUGAUUGUGGCAGUAGUAUGCUUACGAUUUUUCACACUACUUACCAGUGGAAACAUGGAGCAGCAUGUUGAGAUUAACGCAUUUCUUUGCAAACUCUAACACAUGUUUGGCUCCCAAGACAUUCACAUCCAAAGCCACAUCAUAUCUGCAAAAGAGUAUACAUGUUUUACGUGUUAAUUAACAACUGAAAACUUCGCUACUUUGCAUAGUAACAUUACGUGCAUCAAAUUUCAAAGAAAUUACAAAAACAAAACUUGCAUUGAGAAAAAACAUAUUAUAUAUGUGCUCGUAUAUUCAUAUUCAGUUGUAACCGAAAGCCUCUUAAUUAAUUUUGUUCGGCGGCUAGAAUAUACAUAGAAAGCUAGUACCUUUCAAAAAAGCCGGUUGUUGCAGCUACAUUGACAAUUAUGUUGAUUUUCUUCCAUAAGUGUUCUUUUAUAUCAGAGUCCUCUAUCCCAAGGUUUUCAUGAACAACAUCUCCCGCUACAGGAAUCAGCUUUUCUUCGAUGAAGGAAUGAAAUCCUUUGCCAUGUUUGUCUUUCAAAACCUGAAAUAUUUCCUUCCCUAUCACCUGGUAAAAUGAACAAGAAGCAUUAAAACUAUGUAGCUUUCACACUUGCAAAAUUAAUCCAAAAAAAUGCUAAGAGCAGGUUGUUAUUGUUACAUUACCUAAUAUAUUACUUAAAUCUAUACAUCGGGGAAUAAUGAUAGUAUAAGCAAGAAAGCUUAUUUGAAAGCAAUAGGGCUUUGAGCAUUGAUACUUGAUAGUUGAAACAAAAUAAAAUAAAAUCUAUGGCCUUUCAAGGACACAAUUAUGAGCAAGCCACUUUAUAUUUUAACUAUUGGAACUUGUUUGGACAUCAGAGUAAGUUAUGUAAGUAUAAUUUAUUUUGUAUAAGAAUUUUUUUUUUGUGAUUGCUAGUAAGGCCUCCUCGCAAAAAUCCAUGAUAUCCAUAGUUUAGUAGGGUAGCAUAUCUUUUCUAUAAGGUGAUUUAUUUUAUUCUAAAAAAAUAUGACGUCGAAUAUAGUAUUCAUUUUGGACAUUCGAUCACACUUCUCAUUUACAAAAUACUAAAUGGAAUGGCUACGUCGGAUAUGAUAUUCACGUAUCCAAACAGUACCUUGUUAUAAUCUUUUCUUGCUUGGACUUUCUUUUAACUACAGAUACAUGAUUUACUUAUUUUGCCUCCAUAUCCAAUAUCUCAAUGAUUGUGCUUUAUAGAUAUAAAAUUUUGAAUUAUGAUUUAAUUGAUAUUCAUUUAUAAUUAGAAAAACAACAUAAUAUAGAAAGUUUGCAUUGAUUUUUUAAAUUCAAGCCUAUCGAAAUUUUUUAGAUUCUCAAAUCGAAAAAGGAGUAUUGGGUAUUACACUAUCAUGAGUUUCAGGCACUUCACUAGGUAUAUAUAGAGAUUGACAACUACGAUGUUGAAUUGAAGAAGUCUAUCUAUGUUUGGAAGGUUGUUGGAUUUUGACUAUUGAUUAUGUGGAUGCUUGAUGUACUUAAAAAUAAUUUCUAAAUGCUAUACUAUUCUAUGUAUUUCAAACACUUUACAUGAUGUUUACAUCAACAAUUUGGAAGCCGUAUCAUCAAAAACUGCUGAGGGCUAAGACUUUGAUCUGUACACAUAAUAAUAUAUAUUAUCCUGAAAAAAUAUCAGUAAAUAUCAUUUAAUCAAACCUUAAUUUGCUGCAUCUAAAAUAUUUACAUUUUACCUUCCACUUUAAUAACACAGAGAAUAGUUGUUAUUCUCAAUAUGGUGCUAGUAUAGAGAGCCAAUUUUAGGCACUCUGUCUCCUAAGGAACUUAAGUUCAAGUGUGAGGCAUAGUAAGCAUUACUUAGGAGUGUAGACCUUCUUUUGCCACUUCUACUAAAAAUUAGAUCUCUCCUCAACCUCUAAUAGGGCAACUUGUUUGUUAUUUAGUAUAAAAUUUACAUCAUUAAUGUUUUUGGAUAUCCGGUAAUUAGCCUGGUUAAUUACUUAAAGAGCCUCCACUGCUUCCAAUCUAAGCAGUGACUCUACUCCUAUUUAUGCUGCGGUAUUCAACUAUAUCAACAUAUUAGAAUACUGAACCAAGUUAAUUUGAAACUGGCAAAAAGAAAAUAGGUUAACAAAAAGCCAUGUGUAUUCUGUGUGUAUGACGUAUUCCAGUUUCACUCUUUAAAGAGCUGCUUAACCAAACUGGACUGAUUUGGUGUAUGUAUGACGUACAUGUGUAUUCUGUAUUUACAUUUAUGUACGUACUCACGGUACGUCCUAUAUAUAUGUAUAUAUGUGUUAAACAAUUUCCAAUCUAUUGACGGCAAUUAAUAAGAUCGAUGUUGGCAUUAUAUAUUCUAAACUGUAAUUAAUAGGAAUAUAGUGACAAUAUUACUACACAUAUAUUUUACUUAUUUUCACUUGAUUUGUUGCUACGGCAGCUAUAUAUAUCAACUUUAUUUAAUUUCUAUUAAUAAGAUUGAUCUUGCAAAGUACACUAUUAAUGCUAUGUUAUCAAUUCUAAGACAAAAAAGUAGACUAAGUAUUGUUAUAUUAGUGUACAUAAUUAAUAGUGCGGAAAAAUUAGACAAUCCAGCAGAUACUUGAUAAGGAUCAAAUGUGUAAUCCAACUUUAUAAUAACGUAUUAAUUGGUUUAGACUGGCUUAGAACCAAAAUUAGCAAAAAAGGGGAUAACCGAACAAGCUUCAGAACCAUACAAGAACCCCCUACUUCUAUGUAGGAUAAUCCUUUCCUUUUUAUCUUUUUGCAUCUUUUUAUUAAUAGCGCUUUCAAUCUAUAUUUAUUUAGGUUUAUGACGUUUGCAAAUCGAGCUAAUUUUGAUCACUUGUACGAUAAGUAAAUCCUCAAACUUAUCUUACUUCCUGUCUCUGAAGUGUUUCAAAACUUUAGUAGAAUUGAAUGAUACAUAUACCAACCCACAAUGGUAAAUAAUGAGAUAUCACGAUCUUAGGCCCACCGUCUUGUAUAUAUUAUUGUUAAUUUGUGUUGGAGUAUAUACUACCAAGAUUUUGUGAAAGAGACUAAGUAAGAGGCUUUCUUGUUAGAGCAGUCAUAGAGCAUACACAAGUUAACUUGUUAAAAGUUCACACUUAAGAGGAAGAUAAAUAGAAAGAACAACAUUUAUCUGUUUUAAUUAACUCUUUUUUUUCUCUUUUUUUCUUUUCUUUUUUCUUUUUACAAGAGAGAGAGAGAGAGAGAGAGAGAGAUUGCACCUCGCUUUGAAUGCGCUGCUUAGGUGACGCAACAUUGGUGGCUCUCACAAGGAGGAAGAGCUUGUUAACAUUUGGUUCAACUCUAAGCAACUUCUCCACAAAUACUGCAUGCAUUCAACAGCAAAAAAUGAAGCUGAUUAAAUCUCCACAUGCAUGAACGCUCAGAACUGAAGUGAAAAAUUAUACAACAUAUAUAUGUUUGGAACAAAUGUAUAUAUAUAUAUAUAUAUAUAUGUAUGUAUAUAUGUAUAUAUAUAUAUAUAUAUAGUUGCAUCAGAAAAUUAACAAGAAUUAAAAAUCCUAAUCGACUCUACAUAAUUAUAUAAAUUAAGAUGCAUGCAUACUUGUUCCUAGAAAGCCAGUAGCGCCCGUAAUGAGGAUGUUCUUGUCCUUGAAAUAUCCUGCAAUUCUACUUGUUUCCAUGUCGAAGUCUACGGAGAGAAGGACGUGCAAAUUAGGAGAGAUGGAUUUUUGAGUUGUCUCAGAGAGAUCACUAUAUAAUUAAUGAACGAGUAAUGAUCGAACUUAAUAUGUUAUGCAUGCUGCUUAUAUAGAGGAUAAAAGAGUAGAAAUUAAGCUAGCUAGCUGCAGAAGAAAGCUAGCUGGAGUGUACGAAAGCGUGGAGACGUGGUGGUUCAAAACUUGUGCCAAGGAACAAAGCUAAAUAAAAAUUGGACGAGAAGCUUCACUAAUUAUAUAGUUUACUCUUUUUGUUUCUUUUUUUCUUUUUUUUUUCUCUCCUCCUAAUUAUUUUAGUCUCUCUAUCUCGUGCCUUAAUUAUUAUAUAAGUAAAUUAUAGAUAACCGGCCCCCACCGACUUUAAAUGCUACAAAUUAGCACGAAGAGCAAUACGCAAAUAAUUAAUUAAGCAGCAUGAAAUUAAUAGCCUUGUGAGAAGCAACAAAUUCAUAUAAUAAUAAUAAUAAUAAUACGUCAUAAUUAAUUAAUUAAUUGAGUUGCCAUUUAAUUAAUUUGGACGUAUUUUGGUCAAAUUCCGGCAAAAUCCGGUCAAAAUUAAUCAGCCGAUCGAUAUCUCUUUCUUGCUCUUUCGUCUUCUAAUUACUCAUCUCUCUAACUUUUGUUUGGAGUACUAUAUAUGACGUCGCGCGAGGUAAUCGAUCGAUCAAUCAAAAGGCAACUCUACCUCUACCUCAGAUACAUACUUCCAUUCUUUGGAGGUGAUUGGAUGGAAGUAGUUGAAAAUACAAUAGUACAGUUGGAAACACGCAUAGUUAUAAUUUUUAAUUAAGUUUAUAAAUCGACACAAUUUAAAAUUUUUAAUCUAUUACUUUAAUAGAUAAAGCAAACUUAACAUGUUCUGCCAUUCAUUCUUUCUUUAUCAAAUUGGAUAAUUGUAAUUUUUUUUUUCCUUGCAAAUCAACACAAUUUAAAAUUUUUAAUCUAUUACUUUAAUAAAUAAAGCUAACUUAAAAAUAUACUACAAAUCUUUCUUUUUUAUCAAAUUGGAAAAUAAUAAUAAAUUAAAAUUUAUUAAGUUAACAUACACAAUCAAAUUCUUUAAAAUUUACAAACAAGACUAUUUGUCGUCUUUUAAACGAAAGCAUUUUUUUUUAAUAGUUUAAUUUUACUUACAUAAAGCUUGUGCAACUCACGAAAUUUUAUUAUUUUUUAUAUAUUUAUAAAUACUUUCAUAUGUUUAUAAAUCUAUAUACAAAUACAUUUUGUUUUGUAUAUUAUUUGUUUAUAUAGUUAUCUAUUUAUUUAUUUACAUAUCUAUUCAUUUAUUAAUUCAUUUAUUUAUUUAUUUAGUAUUGCUAAUUAGUUGGGGAUUCGAUCCUUCACCAAUUACUGCAGUUAAAAUUGCAACCAAUUGGGGUGUAGUUCUAAUUAUAGCAUUUGGGUCUUCUCAUACAGUUGCAAAUGCAGCAACUAAGUUCAACUGCACCAAACCAAAUGCAUGAUUUGAAUCUACAUGCAUUUGCUACUGCAAUGUCUAUAUAUAUUGUAACGACUUCUAUUAUAAUUUUUAUUUUCAUACUUAUAUGUCUAUUUAUUUUUAAAGAAUGGAUUGGUAUUGAGAUAUAAUUAAAUUCUAAUUUUUCUAGGAGAAUGCAGUAAUUAUAUUUUAACUGAAUUACUACAACCUGUGUGAUUUUCUAAAACUAUAUACAGUGUAUUUCCGUUUCGCACAUUUUGGCCAUGAGUACCUACUCCCUUUAUGCAGAACCCCAAACAAAGACUUUCGGAAUGGGUAUAGAAAGUUAGAAUUUUGAUCUAUUACAUAAAUUUUAAACAUGUUCAAUUCACACAAUUUGACAAUAUUUUGACUAUUUGAUUGAAUAUAGAAAUUUUUAAAAAUAUAUAUAUAUAUAUAUAUAUAAUCUAAUUAAAUUUAAAGUUCAUUCCAAAAUGUGUUACAGUUCACCAAAAGUCUUUGCAUUUUUUACAUCCUAUACCAAAACUUUUUAUUAAGAGCAAGGACAGGUAUAUAUGUUACGUUACUUUUUCUCUCUUCUCUUCCUCAAAUUCUUUGCUUAGGUUUCUUCAUACAUGGAUCCAUCAAUCUGUCUCAUCUUUGUGUCAACGAAUCUCAUCUAACAGUUAGAACACUGGUGACAAAAUGUUGUUGGGGCUAGGGACGAGAACUUCUGUUGUUUAUUCCAACUGCAAAUAAAGUAACAUGUGUGUAUAUAUAUUGACGUUUCCGGCUGGGAUACUAUCGAUAGCACCAAGCAUUUGGUGCUAUCAAGUUUUUCGCCAUUUGAUUUAUCCUUUUGGCUAUUUUCUCCCAUUAAAUUAUACUAUUAAACCAAUAACUAAGGGCCCACAUCAUCCUAACCGUACAUUUUUUCAUUCAAGGGCUAAAAACCUAAUAGCACCAAAUGCUUAGUGCUAUUAAUAGGUAUCUUAUUCCCAAUUAAAAUUACAAAUUCUGUCUUUGGAAACCUUGUUUGAUCAUUUAGGCAAUGAUGUGAAAUUUGAAUUUUGAUUUCUAACACUGUAACGUGAUAUAGAUCAUGUUCCAACGGAGACCGCGUUCGUCAAUUGGGCAAGCCUAAUCAUCGAAAAAACGUCGAUCACUCAAUGCCCCGUUUACAUUAUCAAGAUAUUUUUAGCUCAACGUCUAUAUAUAUACUAUACUAUAUAUUUAUAUAUAUUAUCCCACUCAUUCUGCAUGUAAAUUGAAUUGUGGCAGGUAGUUAUGCUUACCUUAUUCUUUAACUACUAUCUUACCAGUGGGAACACAGUGGAAAGCAGCAUGUUGAGAUUAACGCAUUUCUUUAUGCCAAACUCUAACACAUGUUUGGCUCAAGACUUACAUCCACAGCCAAUAUAUCUGCAAAAAGUAUAAAUGUUUUACGUGUUAUUAACAAACUGAAAAACUUCGCCUACUUUUUGGCCAUAGUAACAUUACCGUCGCAUCAAUGUCAAAGAAAUGUACAAAAACAAGACUUGCAUUGAGCGAAAAAUACAUAAUUUUACAUGCUGCUGGUAUAUUCAUAUUCAGUGUGUACCGAAAGCUCUAUAAUUACAUUGUUGUUCGUGCGCGCUUAGGAAUGAUACAUAGAAAGCUGUACCUUUUCAACAAGCCGGUUGUGUUGCAGCUUACAUGACAAUUAUGUUGAUUUUCUUCCAUACAGUGUUCUUUUAUGAUCAGAGAUCCAUCUAUCCCAGGUUUUCCGAUGAACACAUCUCCGCUCAUGAAUCAGCUUUUUCUUCGAUGAAGGAAUGAAAUCCUUUGCCAUAGUUUGUCUUUCAAAACCUGAAAAUAUUUCCUUUACUAUCACGCUGGUUAAAUGAACAGAAGCAUUAAAAACUCUGUAGCUUUCCACCUUGCAAAAUUUAAUCCAAACAAAAUUUGCUAGAGAGGUUGUUAUUUCAUUACAGUUACUAAUUAUUACUUAAAUCUAUAAUCGGGAAUAAAUGAUAGUAUAAGCAGAAGCUUAUUGAAAGUCAAUAGGGCUUUUGGAGCAUUGAUACUUGAGUUAGCUUGAAACAAAAUAAAAUAAAAUCUGAUGUCCUUUCAAGUCCAAUUCUAUGUGCAAGCCACUUUAUAUUUUAACUAUUGGAACUUGUCUUGGACAUCAGAAAAUAAGUUAUGCUAAAGUAUAAUUUCCAUUAUGUAUAAUAAUUUUUUUUUGUGUAUUGCUGUUAAGCGAUUUUUUGUUUUUUUUUGGCCUCCCUGCACAAAAUCCAUGAUAUCCAUAGUUUAGUAGGGUAGCAUAUCUUUUAUUAGGUGAUUUUAUUUUAUCUUCAAAAAGUAUGACGAUCGAAUAUAGGUAAUUCUUUUGCACAUUCUAAACUUCUCAAUUUACAAAAUACUAAUGAAUGGCCUUACGGUCGGAUAUGAUAUUACAGUAUCAGAAAGUUACCUUGUUAUAGUCAUUUUCUGGCUUGGACUUUCUAGUUUAACUACAGAUACAUGAUUUACUUAUUUUGCGUCCAUAUCAAUAUCUCAUGAUUGUGCUUUAUAGAAUACUAAUUUGAUUAUGAUUAAUUGACCCUCAUUCAAUUAUAAUUCAGAAAAAACAACGAUAAAGUAUAGAAAGUUUGCAUUGAUUUUUUUUAAAUUUAAGCUAUCGAAAUUUUUUAGAUUCUCAAAUCGAAAAGGAGUAUUGAGGUAUUACAUAUCUUGAGUUUCGAGGCAUUUCACUAGGGGUAUAUAUGAGCAUUGACAACUAGCGAUCUUGAAUUGAAGAAGUUAUGUCUAUGUUUGGAGAGUUGUUGGAUUGGUUGAACUAUGAUUUAUUGUGGAAUGCUUUCGAUGUACUUAAAAAUUAAUUUCUAGAUGCUGAUAGCGUAUUGCUAUGUAUUUCAUAACCGACUUUUAUGUGUUUUAAUGCAACAAUUUGGAUCAAGGCGUAUCAUCAACAAACUGCUGGGGCUACAGCUUUUGAUUUCUGUACACAUAAUAAUAUAUAUUAUUCCUGAAAAUCAUCAGUAACAUAUGCAUUUAAUUCAAACCACCUUAAUUUGCUGCAUGGCUAAAAUAUUUACUUUACCUCCACUGUAAUAACACAGAGAAUAGAUUGUUAUUUCAAUAGGUGCUAGUAUAGAGAGCCAAUUUUGGCGACUCUGUUCUAACAAGGAACUUGAAGCUUCAAGUGUGAGGCAUGUAUAGCAUUAGCUUAGGAGUGUGAGACCUGUCGUUUUGCCACUUCUUGACUAAAAAAUUAGAUCUGUCCUUCAACCUUAAUAGGGCAAUUGUUUGCUUAUUUUAGGUCACUCACUAAAUUUUACAUCAGUUAAUGUGUUUUGGUAUAUCCGGUUAAUUAAGCCUGGUUAAUUACUCUAAAGGCGCUUCCACUGCUUCCAAUCUAAGCAGUGAAACUCUACUCCUAUUUAUGCCUGCGGUAUUCAACUUAUCAACAUAUAUUGAAUACUGAACCAACGGUAUAUUUGAAACUGGCAAGAAAGAAAAUAGCCGUUAACAAGAAGCAUGUGUAAUUCUGUGUGUCUGACGUAUUCCGUAUAUCACUCUUUAAGAAGCAUGCUUAACCAAACUGACACUGAUUUGGUUGUAUGUAUGAAGUACUAUGUGUAUUCUGUAUUUACAUAUGUACGUACUCAGGGUACGUCCUUAUAUAUUGUAUAUAUUGUUAAACAAUUUCAAUCUAUGACGGCAAUUAAUAAGAUCGAUGUUGGCAUCUAUAUAUUUAAACAUGUACCAUUAAUUAGGAGAUAUGAAGUGACACAUAUGUACGUCACACAUAUAUUUUACUUAUUUUUCACUUGUAUUUUUGUACUGGCAGCUAUAUUAUCAACUUAUUUAAUUUCAAUUAAUUAAGAUUGAUCUUGAAAGUAACAUUUAAUGCUAUGUUAGUUUCAAUUUCUGAAGACAAAAAAGUAGCUCCAGUAUGUUAUUUAGUGUACAGAAUAUAGUAUUCUGACGAAAAAUUAGAAUCCAGCAGAAUACUUGCAUUAAGGAUCAAAUGCCUCGUAAUCAAAUUUAUAAAUAACGUAUAAUGUGGUGUUUAGACUGGCUUUAGAACCAAAUUUAGACAAAAAUGCGAUACCGCAAGCUUCAGAACAUACAAGAACCCCUACUUCAAUGUAGGAAAUCCUUUCUUUUUAUCUUUUUGCAUCUUUUUAUUAAUAGCGCUUCUCAUGCUAUUAUUUAUUUACGGUUUAUUUGACGUGUGCAAUCGAUGCUAAUUUUAUCACUUGUACGAUAAAGUAAAUUCAAAUUAUCUUAUUCCUGUCUCUGAAGUGUUUCAGAAACUUUAGAAUAGAUUGAAGUUAUACAAUAUACCAACCCACAAAUGCGUAAAUAAUGAUGAAUAUCACGAUUUAGGCCCACGUCUUUGUAUAUUUAUUGUGUAAUUUUGUUGGAGAUAUACUACAAUAUUUUGUGAAAGAGACUAGUAAGAGGCUUUCUUGUUUAGAGCAGUCAUAGCAUGCAUUAAAAAGUUAACCUGUUUAAAAGUUACAUUAAGGAGGAAGAUAGAAUAGAAAGAAACACAUUUAUCUGAUUUUAACUUAACUCUUUUUUUCAUUUUUUUUCUUUCUUUUCUCUUUUUACAAGCGAGAGAGAGACGACGAGAGGAGAGAGAGAUUGCACCUCGCUUGAAUGCGCGCUUAGGUGACGCAACAUUGGUGUUCACAAGGAGGAAGAGCUUUGUACACUUGGUUCAACUCUAAGCAACAUUCUCACAAAUACUGAAUGCAAUUCAACAGCAAAAAAUGAAGCUGAUUAAAUCUCACAUGCAUGAAACGCUCAGAACUGAAGUGAAAGAAUUUAUAAAAUAUAUAUAUGUUGCGAACAAAUGAUAAUAGUUUAUAUAUUAUAUAUAUGUCUAGUACCUAUAUUGUAUAUAUAUAUAUAUUAUAGUUUGCAUCAGCAAUAAUUAACAGAAUUAAAAUCCUAUCGACUUACAUAAUUAUUAUAAGUUAAAGAUGAUGCAUUACUUGUGCCUAGAAAGCCAGUAGCUGCCCCGUUAAUGAGGAUGUUCUCUUGUACUUGGAAUUUUAUCUGCAAAUUCUGCUUGUUUUCCCAUGUCGAUAAGCUACGGGAGAGCAAGGAUCGUGCAAAUUAGGGAAGAUGGAUUUAUUGAAGUUGUCUCAGAGCAGAUCACUAUAUAAUUAAUGAACGCAAGUAAAUUGAUCGAACUUAAUGAUGUAUAUGCAUGCUGCUUAUUAUAGAGGGGGGGGGGGGGAGGGAGGCUGGAUAAAAGUAGAAAUUAUGCUAGCUCGUGCCAGAAGAAAGUAGCUGGAGUGGUUUUACGAAAGCGUGAGACGUGGCUGGUUCAAAUAUUGCAAGGCAACAAAAGCCUAAAUAAAAAAUUUGGACGAGUAAAGGAUCACUAUUAUUCGAAAAAUAAUAAAAUUUAUUUUCUAGGUACUCCAAAUACUCUAGAUCAAGUUUAACGGAGCCGAUCGACGAUUCGAAAGUCCCAACAUCGAAAACGAGCUGGAAGCACGGAAGGCUCCGUGCUUCCAAUAGCAUAGUAGCCUCACUCUAUAUAUAUAUAUAUAGAUAUAGUUGAGCUAGAAUACUAUCGAUAGCAAACGAGCUCCGUUGCCACCCAUUUGUUUUCUAUGAUGGAGCUUCCAAAUCGACGAUCGGCACCAUUGAACAUGAUCUAUACCACUUGAAGUGUUUAGAAAACAAUUUUCAUACAUUUCCGAUAUUGUUCUCUUAUCCAUCGAGUGGACACAAAAAUGAACGGCUGAAAAUGAAUAUUCUUUAAAAGAUAAUGAUAGGAGUCUUGCAAUCAAGAUCAAGAGUAUAGAUCUUGUUUUAAAUAGUUUAAAAAAUUUUCUAACAAAAAUUCAAUUGAUUUGAAUAUCUUUACGCCGUUAAACGAGAAAACGCCUCAUAUCGACCAUUUCCCUAGCGCAAGUGGCAAAAGGGCUUGAUGGUUGGUACCCGAGACCCAAGUUCGAAUCCUCGUUGAUUCAUAUUUCCAGCUAAGUUUAUUUCUAAAUAAAAUAAACAAAGCGGGUAGCGUGCUACCUAUCUCUCAAAAAAAAAAAAAAUACAAAUUUUGAAACCCUUUGAUCAUUAAGUAAAUGAUGUUGAAAAGAUUUAAAAUUUGAUUUCUAAACGCUUCAAGUGGUGUAAAUCAUGUUCAACGGUGCCAAUCGUCGAUUUGGAAGCUCUAUCAUUGAAAACAAAUGGGUGACAACGGAGCCCGUUUGCUAUCGAUAGUAUUCUAGCUCAACUAUAUAUAUAUAUAUAUGUAUAUAUAUAUAUAUAUAUAUGUAUAUAUAUAUAUAUAUAUAUGUAUAUAUAUAUAUUAGGCUAGGGCCACUAUACUCAUAUGAGUAUAGAACAUAUGAGUAUAGAACCCUUCAUACUCAUAAGUUGUUUUCAAUGAUGGAGCUUCCGAAUCGACGAUCCACUCUUUUAAAUAUGAUCUAGAGUAUUUAAAAAAAAUAAAUUUCGUAAUUUUUCGAAAUCAUAAUAAAGUCAUCAAGCGGAUAUAAAAUGAACGGUCAAAAUCGAACGACAUCUUUAAAAUGGAUGUUCGGAUCCUUCAAUUUAAGAUCGGAGUUAUUGAUCUUUAUCUAUAUAGUGAGUAGAAUUUUCUAUCAAAAAUUCAACCGAUUUCGAUUCUUUUACAUCAUUAAACUAGCAAAUAUCCCAUAUCGGCCGUUAAAAAUUGUCAAUUUUGUGGCAUUUUGAUCGUAAGGUAAAUGACGUCGAAAAAUUAUGAAAUUUGAUUUCUAGACGUUUUCAAUGCUCUAGAUAACGUUUAACGGUGUGGAUCGUCGAUUCGAAAGCUCUGUCAUCAAAAACAACUUAUGAGUACGAGCGCGAUCGUACACAUAAGAGUAUAUAUGUAGGCUAAGGCUACUAUACUCUUAUGAGUAUAGAGCACUUCGUACUCAUAAGUUGUUUUCAAUGAUAGAGCUUCCGAAUCGAUGAUCCACUCCGUUAAAUAUGAUUUAGAGUAUUUGAAAUUUCUAGAAAAUAAAUUUUAUAAUUUUUCAAAAUUAUAAUAAUGUUCAUCAAGCGAGUAUAAAAUUAACGGUCAAAAUCGAAUGACGUCUUAAAAGUGGAUGAUUGGAUCCCUCAAUUUAAGAUUGGAGUUAUUGAUCUUUAUCUAUAUAGUGAAUAGAAAUUUCUAUCAAAAAUUCAACUGAUUUUGAUUUUUUUACAUCGUUAAACUAGCAAAUAUCCCAUACCGGCUGUUAAAAACUAUCAAUUUUGUGACCUUUUGAUCGUAAGGUAAAUGAUGUCGAAAAAUUAUAAAUUUUGAUUUCUAAACGUUUUAAAUGCUCUAGAUAACGUUUAACGGUGUGGAUCGUCGAUUCGGAAGCUCUAUCAUCAAAAACAACUAAUGAGUACGAGGGCAAUUAUACUCAUAAGAGUUAGUCGCCGGACUAAUAAUUAAUUAUUAUUUAUAAAUUAUAUAUAUAGAGAGAGAGAGAGGAGCGAGAGAGAGAGAGAGAGAGAGAGAGAGAGAGAAACUAAGGCCUUGGAAUACUAUCAAUAGCCUACAUCUAUCCGUGGCUGAAUUAGUUUUUUUAGCCCUUAGAUUGAGAAAUGUGCCGUUAGGAUGAUGUUGCCUCCUAGUGUUUAGAGUGGGUGGUAUUGAAUAACUAUAAUUAACGGAUAAAAAUAAUCAAACAGUUAAAUCUAACGGUGAGAAAACUCAAUAGCACCAUAUAUUUUGUGCUAUCGAUUGUACCUAACGCGGGAUCUAUAUAUCUAUAUAUAAUAUAUAUAUAUAUUAUAGAGAGUCCGGCUAUUACCAAGCCCUUGGUACUAUUGAGUUUUCUACCGUUAGAUCUACCCUUUGAUCAUUUCCACCCGUUAGAUUAUACUAUUAAACCAAUCAUCCACUUAACCCUAGGGGACCGCUAUCAAUUUAACUGGGGACCACUAUCAUUCUAACCGCACAUCUUUUCCUCCAACGGCCGAAAACUCAAUAGUAUUAAAGGCUUGGUACUAUUGAUGGUAUAGUAGCAUAAUUUUAUAUAUAUAUAUAUAUAUAUAUCCAAUUAAAGAACAGCGCUGUGUUUUAAUAGAAAUAAGGUUCUGUCUAAUUAGUACGCACCUUUAGGUACAGCGCCCAAGAAAUUAAUCCUAAGCUUGAAUAUAUUAAUUAAAAGAAGGUUAAAUAUGAUCCACCAAAAAUUAACCUAAAGAAAUUAAUUGGAACUCAAAAUCUCCUUUUCGCACAUUACUUUAAAACUCUAAACCAUUAAUAACGCUGUUGAUCAGCCUGUCCAUACGAAACAAACUACCGCGGAAAUGUUUUCCACGAAUCUAAAAGCUAAAAGGCACCAACCCAUGCGUAUAUUUGCCAUACAUUCAAGCACGUUCGCAUUGUUUCACAUUGACCGACUAUCGUGACGUAGCCGGACCGAUGGAGUUACUGUAAUCAAUUGUCUCCCUUUAGGACGUGUUUGGUUCAUCUAUUUUAAACUAUGGAAUCGGAAUGAAAUUUAUUGAUUCCGAUUGUUACCAUUUGUUUUACAGGAAUCGGAUUCCGAUUCUCAUUCUACUUUGAAAUGGGAAUGGUCAAAUCCAUUUAUGAUCCAAUCCGAUUUUGAAUUCCGAAUUUCAUUCUGAUUUCCAUUCCAAUAAUGAACCAAAUAUUUUUGGAUGAUUCGUCAUUCCAUUUUCUAUUCCAAAGCAACCCAAUUGCAUUUACCAUUUCUAUUCCAAUCAUGAACCAAACAUGCCCUUACAGUCUUGUAGCCUUACGUACGUGCGUUUUUCUGAGGACAUGACACCGCAUGCUAGCUCUUUUUAAUUUGUUUUCUUCACGUAUGAGUGAAACCACUUCGUCUCUCCUUCGUCCCUUUCUUGGGACAAACUUUUGUUCAGUGAACUUAGUAAAAAGAGUACAACUAUGCUAAAGUGUAGGUGUGGAUCUUACAUUUCAUUCAGUCAAUAGAUGGGAUAUCUUCACUAAUCAUAUUUUAUGACAAGUUGAGAUGCUUGCUCCUUACUAUUAUUUCUACCCAAGACAUAUAUAUGUAAUAUGUAUAAUUUAUACUAUUAAAAAUCGCAUGAUUCGAGGUUUAUCUUUUUUUACUUUUUUUUUUUUAUUUUUAUCGUCUAUUAAAAGAUUAAAAAAAAGAGUAAACAUCAAAUUGCCCUUCUGUGCUAUAGCUUAUUUUCACUUUGCCCUUCUAUAAUUUAAAAGUUUUAUUUUGGCCCUUGUGGUUUAGCUCAUUUUCACUUUGUCACCUGUGAUUUAAAAAGUUUCAGUUUGCCCCUUGUGGUUUAGGACAUUCUUCACUUUGUGAUCCUGUGAUUUUUUUAAAAAUUUACUUUAUCAUCCUAUUUCAUAUAGUAUUUUCCAGUUCUAUAAAAAUUAAACUAUAUAAAAAGACAAAGUUAAACUUUUAAAUUACAGGAUGAUAAAGUGAAAAUGAGCUAAACCACAACGGGAUAAUUUGAAGUUUACCCAAAAAAAUCACACAACCUAUGUAAUGUACUAAGUAGUCUCUGCAAAUAGACAAGAUCGCAGUAUGAGUUUAUGGUUAGCACUUUUGGAGAGUGCCGGAAUUAGUUAGAUCCGUCUUAGUGCAAAAUGGACAUAAAACAGACUCAGCAAAUAAACUCAGCUGAAACUUGAGUACUUUCAUAACAGUUUCAAAUGCCAAUGAGGUGUUGUGGGUGCCCAAAACUACUUAACUUAGGAGUAUAGUAGUUUUGAGGAUCCGGAUGGUGGACCGAACGCCCAAAAGUUUUGGCUGGAGGAUCUGGACACCCAGCUAUGUCAUAAAUAGAUAUGGAAGAGUGAGCGCACUACUCACGCAAGGUUGCGGGGGCCAAAAGUACUGUGGAUGCCCAGAAGUCUAGAAAAGUGCAACCGAGUUAUAGAAUAAAGUGGUAAGUAGUAACUCACCUUGUGCGAUUCGAACGCCGGAAGGUGUGGUCCGAGUGCUCAAAUAGUGGAGCUGGAGAAGUUAUGAUGGUUUCUGACAUACGAUUGCAAUAGGGAGCACCUGAAACCAUCGGACUGAUGAGGUAUGGGAUGCUCGAAUAUGGUUCGAGCAUCCAAAUCAUGUUUCGAACUUAGUGGUUUCUAUGGAUUGUUUGAGGGCUCUUUCCCUAUUAUUGUAGGCAUAUAAAUAGGCCAAGCCCCUAAGACAACUCCUUUUUCAUAUUUUAACUGAGUAGAGCUCCCUUUCUCUCUUCUUUUCUCCUUUGUUUACUCCUAGUAAAGUUUAGGGCUCAUCUUGGUAGGGCCUAGAAGCUCUACUCAGCUAAAAUGUACAAACUGGUUGAAUAAACAGGGUUUUUCCUAUCUGUCCAAGGCGCAAUAUCCUAUAUAUACAUCACAUUCCAAAAAAUAAUAAUAAUAUUCAUGGAUUGCAUAAGAAGAAUAUCAAAUGACAUAAAGUAAAAAAAAAAAAAAAGAAGAAGAAGAAACUACCUAUAACAUCAUUCAUGACAUGUUUACAUUAUAUUUUCUAAAACACAAUGCAAUACAUUUCUUUACAACUUUUUAUCUUCUUUUUCUUUCUAUACAUUUUUCAAAAAAGAAAGGUACAUCUAUGUCGAGCACCAAAAUGGAAGGAGUGUUCUGCCCUUUCUUCGCUCCGUUGAGUCGCCUACAGAUGGACCUAAAAAAGAUAUAGGAAUGAGAAAUAUAAACAUAUAGUUUUCAGUGGGUACGGCUAUCCAAGGAAAGAGCUCGACCCAUCAGGUCCAAAGAAUAAUAUAAAUAUAUAUGAAUGCGCAACAAGCAAUCAUGUAAGUAUAUAAAUCUCUACUAGAUGCAAUGAAAAUAAUCAUGCGUACACAUCUACCGUAUGAUAAUGAAAUCCAUGUAUGUAAGUUAUACCAUUUUAUACUUAUUAUUUCAUUCUCCUAACCAUUUGUCACUCGACCCCCAAGUAGGUCAAUUCAUAGCAGAAUCGCCGCUUUCAUCUUGACAUCAGGUGGGAAAAUCAUCGCUCACCCCUGACCAAAAGAUCAUACUUAAUUGGCAGAAUCACCGCAUUCACUUGGCUAUUAGAUGACGAAAUCGCCGUUCAUCCUCGGCAAGUCUUUGAGUUGUGAAAUCCCCGCUUUGUCUGAAGUCUUUGAGUAGCGGAAUUGCUACUUUCUUGGUCUAGUCAAGGGUAUAACUUACGUCCUCACCCUACUUUGUCAACUAUUUAGGUUCCACAACAUCGUUGUUCAAGUAGUGUCCCAACCUACUUCCUUAGUCCAUAACAUAGAUAUAUAAUUGCAACCUAUGCAUUUUUCUCGAAUGUUGGUAGUUAUUCACACUAAAUAACAUAUGUCCCAUAAUGCAUAUUUACUAGUUAAACUAUCAUUUAACAUGCAUCGAUUUAAAAUAAAUUACUCUUUAGACAUGGAAGUAACCAAAUCAUUUCGAUGAGGCACAACCCACCUCAAAUUAUCCCUAAUUGCUUGUAAACACUGUAAGAUUUUUGCGUAUGAUAAAACCGCAGUUGUCACGCCCUGCACUUCAGCGGAAGCUUACCAGUUACGUGCACAGACCCGCCGUGUAUACCACAACCUCAAGUGUACACCAGGCAUCUACAAACAACAUAGCAAAAGCAUAAUAUUCUAGCCAGGUAAUCAGAACAAAAAUUUAAAAGUUUAUAAGCUUAUACAAAUACAAAACGUUAAUAUAGCUUAGAAGCAAAGUACAAAGUACAUUCUACAUAGUCCGACUAUACAACACUGAACUCAACUAGAAAAGCUGGUAUGGUUUCAUCUAUUUAACAUCGAGAAGGCUCUAGCUAGCCGUUGACCCCUCGCCAAGAACCCUAGCCUUUCCCGCUGUGGAAGGCUCUGCACAAAAACAACCAACAAAAGGACGUGAGAACUAUUAAACAAUAGUUCCCAGUGGGUAAGCCGCCGAGAGUAGCGAAGUACACCACUAGGUCAACUGAGGCAUGAGUAAACAACAAUAAGUAAGCAAAGUAAAUGCAACAAGUAAAUGAAAUAAUUCAAUCAUAGCCUGCCUUACAAGAUAUGUUAUCUAAUAUGUCUGAUAUACUAGUUCAUCAUAACAAGUUCUAUAUGUCAUGUUAAUUAUCAGUUUAAUUAGCUAUAUGUCAUGCUAUAUGCAGAAUAUCAUCAUAAUUUUAUUAGCUAAUGACAUCAUGUAGCUAUUUUUUCAUACUAGCGAGAGUGUAAAUGUACUGUCUCUAUACUACUAACUAACAGGGAUGUCAACCUCCUAGUAUGUUCAUUACUAGGUUUAUUCGACUAAUGACAUAAAGUAUCUUUAUUACUAUGUCCAUCUAAGGUUAAAGUCACUUACCAUAACCCAAUUAAUAGGAGACUUACACAAAGUAAAGUCCCGGCUCGUGCCGUGUCUAAUGGCCCCGUGGAAGUCAACACUACCUACGGCAAUCCACUUCGGCGCUCAAUCUCAUACAUAAGCGAGCAAUCUGUCGCGUAGGCCAACUCCGGAGUGCCAGCUUGUGGGGAGCGACCCUCACAAACAUGUGCGAAUGAGCACAUUGGCAAGCAAGCAUAAUCCAUAGCAUAGGUAUCACAAGUUUAUCAUGUCUCUAACAUGGAAUCUCAACUCGACACAAGGUCUACAAUUAACACUAAGUCAUAAUCCACUAUCAACUACUUGGUGACAUGUUUCUACCAAUAGGUAGUAUGACUUAAACAAGUAUAUGCUUUACAACAUAGCGCUAUACCCGCAUACUCAUAUAAAAUCCUCUCGUUACUCCCUGUACAUAAAGAAAGUGGUUUACUAAGGUCAUACUCAAUGACUCAUUCUAAUGUUCAUGUAACUCAUGGCACAUAUUCUAUAGUUUUUCAAUAACCUCCACUACCUGGAGUCAACAAGUAUAACAUCAUAUUCAACUCUAGUUAUUUAACUAGGUUAUAUUCCUUAGUAUCACAAUCAUGUUAUGUCAUAAUGCCAAGUUUCAGUUAUUUAACUAAAUCAUAUAUCAGAACACGAAGUUUAUGCUAGUUCUAUCAUAUGAAUACCAUGAAUAGCUUGUUUACACAAGUAUACACAACCUCAGAUAGAGUAUUCUACACAUGAUCUCUAAACAAUUUAUUUCAUAAUACAAAGAUAUAAUCUUGUUUUAUGCAAUAUGCAUAGCAAUCCUGUUGUCAUGUCUAAAACAUGGAAUAGCAUAAUAUGACUCAAGAGUUAAAUAUCAUAGCCAUUCUCCACUUAGUUGUUGAACUCCACUAAGUGUUCUAUUCAUAGCUUUGUCUUGAUUCUCAAUCAAUGAUAUCAUGUUUAACUUAUCUACACAAGUUUUACUAAUCUGAGAUAAUACACAUGGAAUAUAUUAGUUUCAAAAUCCUUUUUCCUCUACUACCUAGAGAUUUCAUUCAAUCAUAACUAGUAAAUAGGUUUCAUGCAUACACAUAUUCAUUCAAGCCUAUAUUCUCAAGAAUAUAUAACCAUUCCUCUUUCAUAAUGCCAAAGAAUACAUAGAGAGAAUUCACCCAUUUCGGGAAGGUCAAACCCACCAAUUAGUCGACGAUUCUCGUUGAUUCCACAAAUGAAGAUAAUCCGAAGCCUCCAAACACCCUAACAAUUUUCUAAAAUCAGCUAGGAGCUUAACAUCAACUUCUACCAAAAACCUCGCAUAAGUAUCUAGUUGAGGCAAGAAUCUCACCUAGGAUUAACCCAAGAUUAAACCUCCACCUCAAACCAGGUUAGAGCACACCUAAUUUAACCUGCAAAGAUCAUAAUUCUCAGCCCAAGGAUUUCCAAAACCUGCUGUGAAUAAGCAGCACGCACACCAUUACUACUAUCACCAAUAUCACUACUAAAAUAUUUAACUAGUGAAAGAUUAGGUAAUAUACCUCUCCAAAGCUUCAACUCUGGUAUACCUUGUGUUAGAGUUGAGAAACACAGCCCAAGAUACUCUUUCUAUAGCCGCUGUAAGCUUCCCUCAAAUCAGCUGGCAGCAAGAACAAAGAAUAAGCUCAAAUCCUCUACUAUAGCAUUAAACUAGAGAGAGAACUUACUUAAUCAUCUUAUACAGCUCAAACUCAGGUUGAAGCACAUUAAAUCCAAUCCACAAAGUUCCCAAAACUCAGCUAAAAGAGUUUCAUAACCCUGCUGUGAGCUAACUUCAAAAACACCACCAAUUCUACUACUAUUACCUCAAACUAGAUAAUAGUUAGUUUGCUCACCAUCCAAAGCUUUAAGCCCAGCCAAUUCCUGAACUAGGGUUGAAGUUAAUGACCACAAAGACUCUCCUUCACCUCUUUCGCAGCUCCCUCACAGCCCACCACAUCAGCCAACAUGAAGAGGAGGAGAGAAAAGAGCUAAUUCCAUUGACUUCUACUCAAAAAUAGAGAGAAGUUUUAAAGAGAGAAAGAUAGGGCUUACUGUCACGCCCCGGGACCGGCGGAGGCCCUCCCGGUAGCGUGCCCAGACCCGCCAUAUGUCUACACAUAUAAGGCGUCUACAAGAAAAGCGGAAGUAAAAGCAAGGGAUGGAUCAAAUAAAAGAAGUGAAAUAACAAGCAACUAAUGAUAUCAGAGCGAGUAAAGUUCUAACAUCUAUACAAAUAGUAAUAGAACAUAACUAAUACACAAAAGUAAACAUAAGUUAUACAGUAUCAGCCUCUAAUACAAAAAUGGUGGUCUCUAGUACACUGGUAAAACUCUCAACCUCUCCAAAAUAAAGUACAACGAGAGGUAGACCACCUAGCAAGUCGUCCUCGUAGGAAGCUAGCACGAAGCAACUCCCUUCCCGCGGUCCCUGGCCUCACCCUGAGUGGAAGGCUCUGAAAAACAUCGAGAAAAAGAGGGCGUGAGAACUAUAAUUUAUAGUUCCCAGUGGGCAAUUACUGACCUCAGCUCAAUGCACCACUAGGCCCCAAAAGAAAAGGGUAAGUAACGUAAUAACAAUGAGCAAUAAAAAGAAGCAUGUAAUAAACUGCUGAAAGUGAGAGCAUAAGUAAAAUGCUGUACUACUAUAUCCCUCAUAAGCACGAUGUCAAAAUGUUGUACAUCUAUUCUAUCUUAAGGAAAAGUAACCAAUGGCAAUAGUUUACUGUUACAACCCUUUAUUCAUACCUGAUGUAUAAGCUCUAUCAUGGCAACCAAGUAUACUGUGGUGAAAUAGGUAACUGUCAAGUAUACUACAUGUCUCAACCCUAGGCUAUAUGCAUGUAAAUGUAAUCCAACUACUAAACCUGUCUGGUAGUGAUUGUUCAUUCUCAAACCGUGUCGAUUUCCAUUUCCAAUUAGGGACCUACCCAAGGUAGUCCAGCUUGUGCCGCCUAAGUGCCUGUGGUAGCCCAACAUCCCUACUCUUGGAAUGUGUCUGUCCCACUCGACCCCGUAGGCUUCUCAAUACCGCACGAGCGAACAUAAGUCGCGUAGGCUAACUCCGGAGUGCCGGCUUGUAGGGAGCGACCCUCACAAGCAUGUGCGAAUGAGCACAAAUGGCAAGCAAGCAAGGUCAAAGUCUCAAGUACUCUACUCUCGUGCCUCUCACAUGGCAAGGCCACUAGCAUCCCAAGGAUCUAGUCCAAAGUCUCAAAGUGACGCUCCAACGCACACCCUCGCUUAGUGCCUCUUUAUGACACUUAAGCAUCACGACUAAUCAUGCCCAAUUCAUGUCCCGUAUUCCAAUUAACUAGGUUCACUUUAGCCCGGGCCCCAUGCCUCUUUAUGACAUUGGCCCAAUCUCAAAUAGUCCAAGUUCUCAAGCCUUCUCUAGGCCUCUAAAAUUCCUAAUGUCACAAUUGGCAUAUAGGUUAAAUGCAUGAAAGCAAGGUUCAUUUCCAUAAUAGGAAUCAUGGUUCCCAAUCAUAACUAGAAUGCUAAGUCUCACAUGCAUGCACUCUACCACAUAGGGGUCUAAAAUUUCACUAUACAUAAUAUAUGCAUGUUAAGCAUUCUAAAAUUCAUAUUAAAUACAUUUAACAUGGAAAUGCAUGAAUUUCUAUUUUUCGAAACAUAUUUGCCAAAUAUGAGCAUUUCUCAUAUCAUAGGCUAGGUCAAACCCACCGAACCGUCGCGUGCUCCUUCGAUUCGCCGAACGGAGUUGUCCACGAGUCUCAAAAUACCCUAAAAGUAAUCAGCGAAGAGAUACGAGAGCAUUACGACCAACCAAGAGAUCAAACAUUAACCUAGAAGCAAAAAGGGCCAAAAUUCACCUCAAGAGGAGAAAUCUCUUCCAAAGCUCCAAAAGAGAGCUAGAACCCUUCCAAUCCAAGCCCAAGGAAGGUUCUAAACCAAUCAAUCUAGCCCCAAAAGCCCUAGAUCAAAAAGCCCCAAAAAUCAACCCUAAUACCCAUUCUAGGGUUUCAAAUGGCAAAAUCUACCGAAACAAGAAUCAAAGGGUAGAAUCAAAGUACUAACCUCUCUAGAUGCCUCAAAACAAGCUCCAAAUCUUCUAGGGUUGAAGAUUGGUCCACCACCAAGCCCUACAAGCAAGCUCCAAGCCUUGCAAAGGUGGGAAAGAGAGAAAGGGGUUGAGCUCCAAGCUCCCUCAAGCUAGCUCCUCUUCUUCUUCUCCUCCUUCUUCUUCUUCUUCUCUCUCUAGAAAGUGUAGGGAGAGGGUGAGAAUGAGAAAAUGAGAGAGGGAAGAGGAGGAAAUGGCUAAUAAGCCCAUCUAGUGUAACAAAAUCCGGAGAGGCCCCUCAAAAACCCGAUAUUGCAACAGCCCGAACUGGGCAGUUUUCGCCCAGAGGGACCGGUCUCUCCCCAGCAGGGACCGGUCUCUCGCUGCGAACCCGAAAAACCAACGUUCGGGAACCGGUCUCUCCCUGCGCGGGACCGGUCUCUCACUGCGUAGACGCGCUCGGGGACCGGUCUCGCCUGCCAGGGACCUGUUGCCUCAGGGCUGCCGCAACACUGUUCACUGGGGGACCGGUCUCUCCUUCAAGGGAGCGGUCCCCGAGAGUAAAAACUCUCAGGACUUGUCCAGAAUUUCAGUUUUCGAACUUUUUAGGUCGGAAAACAUUCUACGACCCUCCACCAAGUGUGGAAAAGCUCGAAACACAUCCAAACACUCGAACCUCGCAAUUUGCAAAGAUCCAGUGUGUUACACUUACCCUGUGUUCCCCAGAGCCAAAAUAGAUAAGGACCAAGUGAGAAAGUCGAGCUGGGGUUAAAUGGAUAACCAUCAAAGCGAAAUUACCAAAAAGACCCUUAUCCACAUUCUGUUGCACUGGGUACCGGUACUCCCCUUAGUUGGUACCGGUACUCUAUGCAAAAUCCUGCAUUUCGAAAUUCCAAUGCACUUUCUCUCUUCCGACCUCUUGGUCACUCCAGUAACAUGCUAAAUACCUCUCGACAACCCCUCAAAAGACGUGGAAUAGUUCCAAUUGUUAUUCCAACACUCGAGCUUCGCACUUUGCUAAAGUUCAGUAUGCUACAGCAGUGUAAAAGAAAAUUUAAAUAAUACUUGAUUUUAAAAACUCGAGAUCCGAUCUCAAAAUCAUGCAAAAUAGGAUCCAUCAUAUAUUUAAGAUUAAAACAGAGAAAAGGAAGAUCUAAUUUUAUCCUUUAUGUGAGUAGAUUUAUACCACAAUCUAAUGAUCAUGGAAUUGAUUCUCUCUAAGCCGCAUACAUGUUCGACCUCCACAGAUAUCCACACAAGGUUGCUGAUCUGAUCGAAGUCAUCACCGGGGUGCUAGCUCCUAUGCGGAAAAUGUCUUUCUUGCUAUAGAAUCUCUACUUGAGGAGAGAGCACAAAAGAGGAGGAGAAGGGUAGCAGAUAGGAUUUUUCUCAAAAACUUAUGUAUCAUAUGAAGAGUGAUAUUGUAAUGUACCAGAUUUUAAUAUAAAAAUUAAGUGUAAAUAAAAAUAGUGGAAGAUACCAUUUUUAUCGGACUUAAAGAAGUAAAAUAUAGAUCGGAAAUGACUUGUGCUGAAAUCGGAAUGGAAACAGAAGAUUUAGAAUUUUCUGUAUAGAACAGGGCUGAUAUUUUAGCAGAAAAUACACAGUGUCAAAAAAUUACGAAAACUGGAGAGUAUGUCAUAAUUAUUUUUAUGAGGCUAGAUUUAAAGUUUCAUAUCAUUCCGACACCCGGAAAGUGAAAAAUAAAAUCCGACUGCUAUCUCCUAGAGAUUACAGUUCGGUAGAGCUUUCGGUGACCAAAAUUGGUCGAACUGAGAAGUUAAGAUAUCGCUCACUUUAUUAGUCUUAACCGAGCCUAACUGUCAAAUUUGAGUGCAAACGGACAUUCAGAAAGGCUCCUACGAAAAGGAACAGAUUCUGAGCUGCUAAACUGCUGGUUGUAAUAGUGUUUUGAGGUGUUGACUAUAAAAAGAGGACUUCAUGUCUUAUUCUUCUUCCUCAGCCGAGCAACACCAACACACACACACGCACACAUGGUGAGGAGAAAGAAACCCUCCCUUUCUCUCUCUUAAUAUCUCCCUCAUCUCUGUAGAUCUCUCUCUCAAAUUCGCAGCAUUGGCGGAGAGCGAGCUUGGGAACGCGUGUGGAGCGUCGGAUCAAGUCUUCGUGCGCCCGGUUGAGCGACGUGCUUCCGACUCGGCGUUCAAUAUUUGGUAAGUAUUUAGGAUUUGGCUAAUUCCUUUAUACUUAGUGUUCUAGUAGCCUCUAAUGCGAUGUUAGCAUAUUUUCUCCGAAUUUGGGUUAUUUGGAGCAUGUGUAGAGGCUAGGGUUUAAAAUGAGGGUUUGGAGAUUAGAGGGUUUUGAUCUAAUUAUACCCUAUUGUUCUCUAAUUGAAGGUUAGGGAUGGGCCAUUGAUGACCGUAGGUCGCGGAUUAGCGGGUGUUCGAUUGCCAAUUGCGAAUUUGUGUCGAACCGGGCGGCGUGCGCCGCGGGAGGCCAAUUGCAAGUGUCGACAAGCAAUCGGAAAGCAUUGCAAGGUGGGUUGUGCUCACCGAAGAUACUAGCUUGCUUCCAUGUCGAAGUGGAAUACGGUUUUAUCCUUAAUGCAUAUAUAUAUAUUUGGCAGGUUGCAAAUGAUAAUAUGAUGCAUGAUAUAGAUGCUAGAUGAAUGCAUAAUAUAAUUGCUAGAUGAAUGCAUAAUAUAAUUGCUAGAUGAAUGCAUGAUAAAAUUGCUAGAUGAAUGCAUGAAUUAUAUUAUGUUGGAGGAUGUUACCUACCAUUGGAAUAUGUUAGAUAAAACAUGCAUGUUGACAUAUUGUGGAUUAUGUUGAAUGAACUAUGCAUGUUGACAUAUCAUGAGAUGCUAGUUGAUAUAUGUCCAUGUGGAACUUGGGUCGAUAAACUCUUGGUGGAUUAGAGAAUUCGAUAUUGAAAAACAAGAAUAUGAAAAUUAUAAAACUCGAUAUGGACAAGUAGAAUGUCAAGUAGAUCGAGUGGCAUUUGGACUAGUGUGGCAGAAGCACUAUGACCCUUGUAGACAGGGUAUCCUCAAUUAACGAGGAUUGGAUCACACUCACUUACUCUGUUUUCGCAUGUCGGUGGUCGCUCCACCGAAGCAGUGGUCUCCGGAGUACUUCACACUAGAGGCAGACGUAGUUGUCCCGCAGACAGUCUCGGUGUGCGAGUACGGAUUCUCCUCACCUAUGAGAUUUUGAGAAGUGAGUCAAGGCGUAACCUUCGGGUGAGCCAAGCAGAUUGGGUGACAAGCAUAUGAGCUGUAGUUGAAUCCCAAUAGAGUGGAUUCGGUAUCCCAGUUGAGUGGAUUUAAGGCUAAGGUGCAUGUGAGACGUCCUUCAACUUGAGCCUGGCUUUGCGCGGUAUUCCGCGGAUGAUUGACUCAAAACCGAGUUGGGUGGAUAGCUUUAUAAAGGUAGAUGAAACCUGGUGAGCAAAUAGCAAAGGUAGAUGAAACUUUAUGAACAGAAUUGUAAUUGACAUGAAUCUAAAAUAAAGAAAAACCUAGAAGUCAAUUGGAUGAGCUGUGGAUAGCAAUACAGAAAGUAGAUCUACUUACAUCUUUGCAUGUUGAGUUGCAUGAUUUGCAUUGUGGUAUGUUGCGAGGCAUGAACAUGAUAAAUGUUAGUUGUAUAAAAUAUAUGAUGAUAUAUAUAUAUAUGUGGAUAUCUGUUGGACUAAUAUUUUGCAGUGCCUCCUUCGGACCUGGUGGGUCGAGCUCUUCCCUUGGGUGGUCGUACCCACUGGAAACUAUGGACAAUAGUUCUCACCCCCCGUGUUGUUUUUGGGGUUACAGAUUCACAUGUAAGCGACGCGACGGCGCGAGGAAAGGGCGUAACUCCGUAGAUAGCGCCCUACCACUGAGACCAGAGAUAGCGGUUCCCCAAGUCAGCCUAGCUAGGGGUGUAGAAAAGAGGAGAAACAAUAUUGUAAUAAUCUUGAUUGUAUUUGGAAGAAAAGAAAGCGAAAAUGUAAUUGUAAAAACAUGUGAUUUGAAUGCUUGUAAUAGCUUAGUUGUUUUAUGUUUUUGAUACUUCCUUAUGCAAUCUCUGAUUGAAUACUAUUUCUAGUUGGAACCUCGUGAAUUGUAUUGAUUGUGACGCCUAGGACGUACAGGAAAAACUCUGUCCGUUCGGCGGGCUGUUAGCAGGCCCGAAUCCGACCAAAUAGGCGGGUCUCAGGGCAUGACAGAUAUAUUCCUCUUUUAUAACAUAUAAUAACCAUUAAGGUUAAGAACAAAUGUAGGGUUAAGCUUAUCUUAUCCUUAAUCGGCUCCAUCGAUUAAAUCCUAAUUUAAUUCAACUCGAAUUAGACCUUAAUUUGAUUAAAUCAAAUUAAUAAUACAAUAUUUACACAUAAGUCCUCUCACAACUUACUAACUAUUACUAAAUCCUCUCUUGCAACAUUUGCACUUUCAUACCACUAAUUUGUAAGAAUUAUAAAUUAAUCCAAUUAUCAACAUACUAACAAUUAGGUUCUUUAACGAUUAAAAAAUCGUGAUCCAGCUAUCUGAUCAGUUACAACCUCUUAUGUGUGUAACCUCAUAGGUUAUAUUCUAUCUGGUAGUGUAAUAUAUUGUGAUCACCAUCAACAAUAUUACUAAAACUCUUUCAGUGGGUUAGAACAAUUCCAACUCAGCCCAAUAAGAAUUACUGAUCAUCCAAGUAACUCUCAUGAGUCUCACAAUCUACUAGUAACGCGUAGCAGCAUGUAGUGGCAUUCCAGUAGAAUGAAAUACUGAACCUCUAAGUGUAACAUACCAGAUCCCUCGUAAAUCGUGCCGAGUUUCGUCAAAACGAGCGGAACGCAGAGUUAAAUGAGUUAGAAUGGACCCUAAGUUCAUUAGAGUUCACAAGUGGAGCUAAAAGGGACCCGAGAGAGUAAAUCUGGAAAUCUGGCUAAGUCCUAGAUUUUGUGCUCUCAGGGACCGGUCCCUGAAGGAGAGAUCGGUCCCCGUACGCGUAGCAUGCCAGGAAUCCUGAGGCAUCCGGUUCCUGGUGGUGAGACCGGUCCUCGGGAGACCGGUCCCUGAAGGGCAGACCGGUCCCUCGCUGCGCAGCAGCUGAAAAACCCUUAAAUUUGGCUAAGUCCUGGAAAACCCAUGUUCGGGAACCGGUCCCUGGUCGGGGAGACCGAUCGCCGAAGGCGAAAAAUGCCCAGUCUAGGCAGAUCAAUGGGAAACAAGUGGAGGGGCUUAAGUGCAAUUGUCACAACACCUUAUAUACUCAUCCCCUUCACUCCCACAGCCAUUUCUCCUAUUUUCUCUCAUUUCCUCUCUUUCUCUCUCUAGAACUCUUGCUCUAGGGCUUGGAGAAGAGGAAGAAGAAGCAAGGGAAGGUGGAUUUGAAAGCUUUGGUGGGUUCUACAAGCUCUCCUACAAGAGGGACUUGGAGGAGCUUGGGCUAAGGUGAGUUUUUGCUAUAAAUAAGUUUAGGGCUUGGUUUUGAUCCCUAAGAUUUGGAGUUUUGGGUUGUUUUUAGCCUUGGGAGCCUUCUAUAGGCUUUGAACUCCAUGGAACCCAUGAGAGCUCAAGUGCUCUCAUGGUGGUUGGCUAGGGUUCACCAUAGAAGCCCUAGGGUUGGUAUCAAAGAUCUAGAAACCUCACUAGAAUGCUUCUUAUAUGAUCCUAAACUAUUGUUUGCUUAGGGUUGGGAUCGAUUCAUGGGGAAACCCUAAAUGACCAUGUUAGGGCUUGAAAAUUAGGGCUUUUGCCCUAGGAUCUUUCGGGGGCAAAUUGACCCUGUAGAAACCUAAUUGGGGGUGUUCUAAACACGUGGGACAACUCCGUUUGACGUUACGAAAACGUUUGAGAAUAGUUCAUGUAUACAAGGGCCUAAUUUGGCACCAUAUUGGAUUGUAGGACGCGGAACGUCGUUCGUAAGGUUUGGGAGACUGUCGCGUUCGUUUUCUACUACCUCACAAGGUGGGGGGUGCACGCCGGAAUCGUUGGAUUCCCUUCUAUGUCUAUUUCUCUAUUCUUGAGCAUAUGGUUGUUUAUUCUUUCAUGCAUAUUAGGGUUAAUUCACAUGUGAACUUUGGUUGUUUUCAUUAUAUUUAUUCCAAGUGUAUUUGAAAUAGAGAGAAAUGGAACCAUGAUGGACAUGUGUUAUUGAACCCUAAGAAUUGCAUGUUAGUGAGACUUGGACUUAGCACAAGUAAACAAAUGGUGACAAUGACAAUAAGGAGAUAGAUUGGCUUGAAUAAAUGGACGUUAGACAUAGACUUAACUAUAGUGGCAUUGUGACGAGAUCGACUAGAAAGUGACAUGAGAACAUAGGUAGAAAACCUAUCACAAAAGUGGCAUCGUGACAAGUGGCUUAAUAUCCUCAACGCGGGGAUUUGAUCGACACUCAUAAUAAGUCUUGGCUUGAGGGAGGUCGCUCCUCCUCAAGCGGUGUGUUUCCGAAAAUCAACACCACAGGGAGCGAGGUCCCUGAAGACGGUCCCUCGGGUCGGUAGUGCUUGGAGCCUCCCCGGUUAAGAAAGGGAUUUUGGGUUAUGAGUUUUGGGGUUAACAAGGUUAACCGGUGAGAUUGGGUAAGAGCCAAAGCUUAUUUACGAAUUGAGCAUGCAUGCACAUUUCCUUAUCGCAUUGAGUAUUUGUAUCCACUGACAUUCUCCUGCAGGCAUAGUAUUAGAUGCAUUAGUACUGGUUACUUUUCUUUCCUUGAAAUACUUAUGCCUGGAUAGACCUAGUGGGUAAGUCGGCGAGGUCGGAUGCCGAACCCACUGGGAACUUUGUUGUAGUUCUCACACCACUAACCCUACAGGUCCUAGCACGAGCGGGGCGGCGGAGGACCGAGGCAAGGGUAAAGCGCCGUAGAUAGCGGCCACCGGGACUCAUGCAUUUUGUAGCCUUUUCCCUUUUGUUAUACAUGCAUCAACUUCUUUUGUUGAUUUAGAGAUGUAAAGUUGUAAACAAUCGUGUAAUUUUGGUGGAUGGCUAAAUGUAAAAAGGAAAUGAUGUUUGAAUGCAAAUGUAAUAGUUUUAUUUACUUGUAUUUGGUUCAAAUGAAAUCAAGUAUCAUGUAUGUUGUAUAUUAGCUUAGAGCUUUCGCUUCUGUUGUUGCUCGCCCUCGUGCAAGCCUUGUAUUAUAUAUGCAAUUCUCUUGUUGAUUGCCUAUUUAUACAUGUUGUUAGAGCCUUGGGCGGACAGGGGAGGCUCUGUCCGUUCGGCGUCUGUUGACGUGACCCGAACCCGACCAAAUUGGCGCGGAUUGGGGCGUGACACUAAGUAUAGUUAACGUAUGAUACAGUCCUUCUAUCAUAAGUUCCGACUAGACAGAGAUCAUGGAAUAGCUCGUCAAACCACAUAGUCUAUCAUGUGUCAAAUUUAUUCGACUCGUAUUUCUAAUAUCGAAAACUCUUUCCAUUAUUUACUCUGCUCUAGCCAAGGUCUUCAAAAUUCGGUCUCAUAAAUCACAUAAGACUAAUACCCUUACUUACUAAGAGAGAAAGAUUUCAUAUAGGUACACAUCCAAUUCCUACAAUGAACAUACUCAACCAACAUGCAUCGCAAAGACCCAAAUGGGUAGGGACAAAGUCUAUAUACAGUCUGUAACGACCCGACCCGCUAGCAAUAAUAACUCGUUGGGCCCAAACCACCGGCCCAAAAUGCAUAAGCCCAGUUAUUAUUGUUAGCGUGUAGGCCUCAUAUAAACUGAUCAGAAUCAGUAUCCCAUCCGAUGUGGGACUAUUGGGGGCGUUACAAACUCUCCCUGUUUAGACCCUGACAUCCUCGUCGUGUCCAAACCAGAUCACAGACAGACAGACCAGGACUAUUACCACGCGAUGUGAGAUUCUAGAGGUGGCUCCUACGGGUUCAAGAGGUGGCUCCCACCAAACCCGUUGGUGUAGUACUUUGUCCCGCAUAGCACUUAGUUCUCACACUUCCGGCUGGUAUUCGUCUCUGAUACCAAUUGUAACGACCUGACCCGCUAGCAACAAUAACUCGUUGGGCCCAAACCACCGACCCAAAAUGCUUAAGCCCGGUUAUUAUUACUAGCACGUAGGCCUCAUAUAAACUGAUCGGAAUCAGUAUCCCAUCCGAUGUGGGACUAUUGGGGGCGUUACACAGUCAAAUUACAGAAAACUCAUUAUGAAUAGCCGAGGCACCACAAGUCAAAAGACCAAUCACAUUAUUACAAAAUUGAAUAAGUCGCUGACGAGUGAGUAGACAUCUAUGUGACUUCUCGUGUUGGUCAUGCUCAGUAUUUUUAUUCUCUAACAAUCACCUACACAUUCGCUUUAGUGUCUCCACACCGUUGACUCGAGACUCAUCUACUCUAAGGGGAAGCGACUUGUGCACCAAUCUCAUUUGAUCAAUCAUCGUCGCCCUGAUCAUCCAUCGAUCAGGAGCAUUUAGGAAUUAACCACCAAUGAUACGUGUCUUAAAUUCUCAACUCUCGAGAAAAUAUGUCAUCAUUUUAUUGAUUUUCUAGAUGAUUCAUGGACACAUAUACAACAUGCAUGAAAAUAAAAAUUCAUAUUCAUUUAUAAUAUAUAAAAUCAAAUAUAAAUUUAUAUCCUACAAAAAAUAUGUGUCGGCCGGCCUGAUUGGCUUCUAGGGCAUACAUCUAACAAAAUUUGCAAUUAAGCUCUCAUAAGCAUCUUGCUUUGCUCCGGGAUACUAUGCCCAAAACACAAAAAAUUGGUUCAAUUCUUGAAAUUCAUCGCCAGAACCUUGUCGUUCCUCCAAAUAAAGUUGUCCCCCGAGUUUUACUAACAUUCAGUUAGAGUUUUCAAAGUGUCAAAUAAAUUUUAAACCCUUAAAAUACAAAAACCCUAAUUUUCUCUAGGGUUUCCUAAACCCACUUUAAACCCUCCAAACUUCUUGACAAACCUCUAUCAUUUGUAGUCCAAAUUCAUCCACGAUUUGUAAAAAUCUAUUUUCUAUAGUUAAAUUCAAAAGUCUAACUCUAAACUUUAGAAACUCACCUUUGCCCUAACUUUUGCAAACUUUUUCUUGCUUCUUAUAAGAAGCUAGCUCACCACUUUCAGCUCACCUCUUGCUUAAUGAUCUCCCAGGCUCCCAAGUGUUGGAGAAGCUCCAGUGGGAAGAGAGAGAGAGGAAAGGAGUGAGAGAGGAGAGAAAAGAAGAGUAUUUCUCUUGUGUACACAAGUGAGAGAGAAAGGCUGUGGUCUCCCUUUUAUAAGGGUAUUGCAACAAUUGCAAGUAACAUCCCUAAUCUCUAUUAUUUACAAUUAGUCAAAAUGUAAUUUCAUGGCCUUGACUACCGAUGCUCAAAUUUUAGUACCAGUACACGAGGUAUAGUUCCGGUAUCACCAGCCCAGUUCUGCAUUAUUCGAACAUUUGGUUUCUUCCUACGCAACAAAGUUCUGGUAUUCCAUUUUAGUACCGGUACUUACUACAAAAAUCUGCAAUUCAGCAAAUUUAACUCCCUGAAGUCCAUUUUCGUGCCGAAUAUACUAGAAUACUCCCCGAAACUCGCUAGGACUAUUUGAUUAGAUUCUUAAGCUUACACCUCACCCGAACUCCAUUGUUUGCAAAAGUUCAGUGCACUACAAACAUGCUUAAAGAUUAAAAAUAGGAUUUUAGUUAAGUUAGAUAUAGCAGCAGUGAUUUGAGGAUUGUGAUGGUUUUGUGCAUCAGGAGUUCCGUUGACUUAGUUGUUGGUAGUGGUGCUAUUGAGGGGAUGUGUUGGGCAUUCUCUUCCUACCAUCCUUGGAGCUUGUCUAGAAGGGUGUCUUGUCGCAGAAAUCGGGAACUAAUUUCUAUAUCCAUAAAAUGUAUAUUUCUCUAAGAUAUAGAUAACCUUUUUGAUAUGAUUGUGAUAACAAUAUAAUGACAUCUACUUGACUAUGUUAAUAAGAGAUUAUUGAUGAGUAGAGGAUACUGUCAACAUAUUGAACUAGUUGUAGAUAUCCUGCAUGUUUAUUCUAUGAGACCAAUUUUCUUGUGUCAUAACUAUAUAUUGUGAUUUGUGAAAAUGUGAAAGAUGUCAGGAGGCACAUAACAUGUGAAUUUGUAAACGAUGCCAGAAGGCUCAUAAUAAGUGAAAAUUUAGAAAAAAUACCGAAGGACAGAUAAACUAAUGCAUAAAGUGAAAUGUGAUAUGAUAGUGCCAGAAGGUAUGUGAACAAUAUAAUUAUGAUCUUGUUGAUCAUCGCAUUUGACUACAGCAUGCAAAAGCCAAAUUGAGCUCGGCAAUGAUAUGUGAUAUAAUACUCGGUUGCAUCGUGCCCCGUGAGUAGCCCUCCAAAGAUUGGCCUAGUGAUAUAUAUAGUUGAGACAGUAGUGUGCAUAUAGCGGAUCACUAUAAGUAGAGGCUGGACAUGAGGCCGUGACAGCUUGACCGGACUUAUUUGUCGAUCAAUACGAUUGGGUGAUACAACAUUAUUAUCAAUUGUUCUAGUUGAUGCAUAUGAUAUUUGAUUUAUAGUUUUCAAUAUAUAUAUAAUUGUAGAUGCAUGAUAGUAAUUAUUUACUUUCAGUUCAGUACGUCAUGUUAUUCAUUCCGCUCAUUUUACUAUUGAUGUCUCUAAUAGACCUAGUGAUGUAGGUCGUCAUUGUCAUCGACUAUACAGGAUUAUUUUUCACUAGUUUUCAUGCCCUCUUAUUAUUACUUUUAUUUCAAAGCCCUCACUAUCGAUGUAACAUACUGGACCUUUGCAAAUUGCGAGGUUCGAGUGUUUGAUCUGUGUUCCGAAUUUUUUCAGAUAUUCUGGAGGGUCGUUGACAGUAUUCCGACCUAUGGCUCGUAUCCCGAGAAUUAUAGUAUUUAAAGUAAUGCUAAGGCCACCAAAGCGAUGGACUUAGGCUACUUUCGGGUUGCAAUUUUUUGGAAAGUGUACCGGUACACCUUGAUGGUUGUACCGGUACAGAAAGUAUACCAGUGACAACUCGAUGGUUGUACCGGUACAUAUGAGUUUUUCUGCCAACCCGAGCCUCGGGUUCGCGCAUACGCGUGAUUUGUACCGAUACACUUUCCCGUGUACUGGUACACUUUGCAGAAAAUGCUAUUUUUGUGGAGAGGUGUAUUUGCAUUUAUUGCAACCCUAUUUAUACACACCCCAGCCCCCUUAGGAGCUCUUUUGAGCCCUAACCAGUGGAGAACAAGGUAAGCUCUCCCCCCCUUGAUUUCUUCUCCAUUUUUGAUGUGUUUUAGCUAGUUUUGAUCUCCUUUUCUAUACUUUUCUUGCUUCUUGUUCGGUUUCCUCCAUGGGAGAAGCCUUAAGCUCGUGGUUAGAGCUUUGUGGAGGGAGGAUCUUCAACCCUAGCUUACUUGAAGCCUUGUUUUGGAGCUCUUGUGAGGUUGGUAAGCCUAAUCUACUUCUUGAUUCAUGUUUUAGUAGCUUUUACUAAAUGAAACCCUAGAUUUAGCAUAUUAGGGUUAGUAAUGGGGAUUUUGGAUUUGAGAAUUUUGGGGCCCAAUUGAUCUUAUUAGAACCUUUGUUUAGAUUGGAUUUGAGAGCCUCUAACUCCCUUUUGGAGAUCGUGAGAGGUUUCUUCGCAUUCGGUGAGUUUUCUUCACCUUUGCUUGAGUUGCUUAAUAUUUGAACAAAUGAUUAUUCGUAACGUUCUUGUAUCCCUCCUUUUGUUAUCUUUAGGGUACUUGGAGAGUAGUGGACACCUUCGUCGGCACAAACGAAGGGUUUCGAGAAGUCACGGUGGGUUUGACUUCAUGAACAGGGAAGAAAUAUCCUCUAUGUGUUUUAUACUUGUCGUAUCAUCGAGAUGCAUGCAUAUUCAUGCUAGAUAGGAUUUUUAUAAAUUUUAGAAUACUUAAAAUGUAGGUGUUAUGUAUCAUGAAAAUUCAACUCUAUAUAGUAGAGCCUUAUAUGAUUAUACAUGUAUGUGAGUAGUAUUCUUUCUUGUGGAUUGGAAACAUGUCUCAUAUGAUGAAAAUGACUCGAAUUAUGUAUUCUUGAACACUAAACUCAUGUUUGGACUUAGUGAACAAAAGUGCCAUAAAGUGACAACGUGAUAGACAUGAUGAUAUAGUGAUAGGCCAUUGAGAGAUUUGCUACAUUUCAUGUUUUAGACAUGAUGACUUGAGACUUGAGACAGACUUUUAUGCUUGCUUGCCAUUGUGCUCAUUCGCACAUACUUGUGAGGGUCGCUCCUCACAAGCCGGCACUCCAGAGAUAGCAAUCGCGACACAUACUCGCCCGUGCGGGAUUGGGCGCCGAAAUGGGAUGCCGUGGGGGAGGCUCAUUCCUAGAGUGGGGAUGUUGACUACUACGGGGCCAUUAGGCACGGCGCAAGCCGGACUACCUACGGGUAGAUCCUAUGAGAUUUGGAAUAAGUGGAACCAAUUUGUAAAUGAACAAUUUGACAAGUUAGUAAACAUUGACAAUUUACUAGUUAUCUGUGGACAUCAUAGUAGUUGCACUUAUGCAUAUUUAUGGUACAGUAGCAUUCUUACUUAUGCAAAUUCAUACUAAGUAGAGAUAUCAUGUUGUAGUAAACUUUUAUAUUUAUUUGCUUAUUUUUUCAUAUUGCUUUACUCGUACUUACCCCUUUUCAGCUUUUGGACCUAGUGGCGCAUUUCACUGAAGUCAGUAAUUGCCCACUGAAAACUAUUAUUUAAUAGUUCUCAUGCUCUCUGUUUAUGAUUUUAUUUCAGAGCCCUCUACACCGGUGGAGGCACGGGAUCGCAGCAAGGGGAUCGCUUAGCUAGCUAGCAAUGAGCGUUUCUUUUGCUUGUUAGGUGAUUUACUCUCCUUUUUGUUUGUAGUUGAGAGUGAGAGGUUUUGUAUCCAUGUAUAGAGACCACCAUUAUUAUACUUUUAGCACUUGUGUUUUGGAUGUUCAUUGUACUAUUUUAUGGUUACUCUUAGUGGAUUUGUUAGCUCUUUUAUUUGCCUCUAUAUCUCUUAGAAUCUAGAUGUUGUACUAUGCUCUGAUACUUCUAGAUGUCGUUUUUAUUAUCACUUUAUUUAUCGUAGUUUUGUAGACGCCUUAUAUAUUUUAGACGUAUGGCGGGUCUGGACACGUACCAGGCAGGCUUCCGCUAGGCCCCAAGGGCGUGACAAUCGACGAGUGAUCGAGAUAAGUGAAUGCAAGCUAGAUAGCAUCUCCUACCAGAUUAUGUGUGUUAGAUGAGGACCAUCGAAUGUAUACAUUGUAUAGUUGACUGUACAUUUUGAGCCGAGGAUGCCAGUAGAGUUGUAUUUAUUAUUUUGAUAUUGUAUGGAUGGUGUAUGUACAGUGUGUGACACCCCAGCUUCCUAUGGGGCCACCCAUCCUAGGACUACUCCCGUCCUAACACGCUUAACUCUCUUAACCUCUUAAGCCUAGCCACCACCCAAAAUGCUUAUGCUGGGUUAAGAGUAUUAGCCCUAUUAUAUCUUAUAUAUAGGACUACCUGGGGUCUCACAAUCCCCCCUCCCCCCCUCCCCCUCCUUAAGCCCUGACAUCCCCGUCAGGCUCAGUCUUACAAAUAUCAGGCGAUGUGAGACUCGUCUCGCUAAUCUAAACCGACUUUGUGGGGGAGCCACGCUCUACCCACAACAGUCAACAACAUGAGAGCCUCGCUCUUCCUGCUGUACAAUCAUGGUUCAGCCGAGACUCAUCUCAUACUUCCGGCUGGUAAUUGCCUCUAAUACCAUCUGUGACGCCUCAACUUCCCAGGGGGCUACCCAUUCUAAUACUACUCUCACCCAAGCACGCUUAACUGCGGAGUUCCGAUGGGAUCUGGUGCUUUAGGGUUGGUAUGAUCGCAUCCUCCGCGAUGCCGACGCGACUGCCUGGGGUCUCACAAUCUCCCCCCUCCUCCCCAUUCCCCCCCUUUUAAGCCCUGACGUCCUCAUCAGGCUCAUAUCACAAAUACCAAGCGAUGUGAGACUUGUCUCGCUAGCCUCAAUCGACCUUGUGGGGGAGCCGCUCUCCACCCACAAUAGUCAACAGUAUGAGAGCCUCACUCUCCCCGCUGUAUAAUCCUGGCUCAGCCAAGACUCACUUCACACUUUUGGCUGGUAAUUGGCUCUGAUGCCAACUAUGAUACCCUAAUUUCCCAGAGGGUCACCCAUCUUAGGACUACUCCCGUCCUAACAUGCUUAACUCUCUUAACCUCUUGGGCCUAGCCACUGCCCAAAAUGGUUAAGCCGGAUUAAGAGUUCUAGUCCUAUUAUAUCUUUAUAUAAGACUAUCUGGGGUAUCACAAUCUCCCCCCUUAAGCCCUGAUGUACUCUCCCCACUGUAUAAUCAUGGCUCAACCGAGACUCAUCUCACACUUCCGGCUGGUAAUUGGCUUUGAUACCAUCUGUGACAACCCAGCUUCCCACGGGGUCACCCAUCCUAGGACUACUCCCGUCACUGCACACUUAACUCUAUUAACCUCUUGAGUCUAGCCACCACCCAAAAUACUUAAGCCGGGUUAAGAGUAUUAGCCCUAUUAUAUCUUAUAUAUAUGACUACCUAGGGUCUCACACAGUGGUAGCUAUACUUGUAUAGAUGUACUUAGACUUUGAUACAUAUUUUAUAUAUACACUCCUAUUAUAUAUUUUUGGACAUGUUAGUUGUUAAUGUUUCGUAUGUAUGGGAUGUCUUUAUGUAUAUGGCGGUUCUGUUAGCGUAUCCGGGGGCUUCCACUGUAGCCCUGAGUGUGACAACCUAGGUAGCGACCUAAAGUGUUCUUAGCAUUUAUUACCUGCAUAUAAUUGGUGCAUUUUUAAAACAUCUAGUGCUCUCUCUCUCUCUCUCUCUCUCUCUCUCUCUAGAUCUCCCUCUUUCUCUCGCUCGCUCGCUCGCUCUCGCUCUCUCUCUCUCUCUCUCUCUCUCUCUCUUGUGUGCUUUUCCUCAUGAGGCACCUUUUCCAUUCUUUUUAUUUUUAUUUUUUAUUUUUUUAUUAAAAAAUUUAAAAACUGCACAAUCCAUCAUUUAUCUUUUUAAAAUUUUAUUUUUUUCUAUUUUUUAUUUUUAUUUCUAUUAUUUAAUAAAAGAUUGAAAAAAAAAAACUACAGUACUUGGAAAGCGAGUCCCAACCCCACCCACGAGGCUUUCUACUUUGAACUUUAGCGUUUUUGCAAAUAGGCAUAUGACUUUAGCUCUUUUAUAAAUAGUCAUCUGAACUUUCAAUUUUGACAAUUUUAUUUACUAAACAUUAUAAAAUAGUUCAAUAGGCCCCUACUCAAUUAAAGUUAUUAAUUACACAAACUUUUUUGUUGUAUGUAUUGCAUAUAAUUUUAUAAAGUUUUAAAGCACAAACAAAUAUAGUUUCUAUUCUCUAAUAUAUAUAUAAAAAUGAUAGAAAUAAAAGUCUGGUUCAAUCUAUCUUCACUGUCAUGAUAUGAUGUACAUCAUACACCUCUUUAAUGCAAUGGUUGAUAAAACCCAAAUGAAUUUUUAGUAAAGCAAUGCUACUAGUAUGCUCUAAAUGGAUUGUAUAUGGUACAUUCUCUUUAUUCAAGGGUCAUCAUUUUCUAUUCAUCAAAAAAAAUUUUAUUACUCAAAGUUAUUUGAAUUUUUGUGAACCAUAUAUCCGCAUCCCUUUUUAGGUGUACAAGUAAAAAUUUCUUUUGUAGUAUUAAAAAAACUAAUAGGAUCACAUGAUAUAAUGUAGAUAACAAGAAAGCUAGAGUAUAAAUUUUACACCCUAGUUUAGGGUGUAUUACUUUUUUUAAAAUUGAGCAAUACUAUCUAUACACCCUAAAAAGAAUGUAUAUUGACAUACAUCUUGCCCACUUAAUGGAAGGAUAUAUAUGAUAUAAUCCUAUCAUCGGAAGCACCAACUCCUUUAUACUUUCGAUAGCAUAAUGGUUCUAUACUUUUAAAUUAUAUUAUAACUUUAUGGCAAGUAUAUUAUAUAGGAAUUAUAUAUAUAUUGUGACUUUUCAUUAAAUUUUACUUAAAGAAACAUCUACUCUAUAGAUAAGUGUAAGCCAAUAUGAUAUUUUUUUUAUGAAAAAGGGUUAAAUGCAUGCAGAUCCCUGCAAAUAUAGUAAUUUGUAAAUAUCUCACUGCAAAGUUCAACUUUCAUAUAUUGUUCCUACAAAAGUUCUGAUAUUUUCAAAUAUGCCCCUCUGGUUUGUUACCAUUAAAAAAUUAUUUAUAUUUUAACAGUAAAUAAAUUAAAUGUCAAUUUUACCAUCACAAAUAUGUCCCUCCAAAAGCCACAACAGUAUAAUAUAAGAAGAGUAAAAACAUCAAGUUACCUCAUAAACUAACCAAGGUUAAGUAUUUAACCUAUGGUUAACUAAAUUUUUCUCAUGAAUUCUAACGACAGGGACAUAUUUGAAAAUAUUAGGACUUUUGCUGGGACUAUAUAUGAAAGCUGACUUUGUAGGAAUAUAUUUGUAACUCACCAUAUUUACAGAAACCUGCAUGCAAUUAACCCUAAAAAAAUUAUGUCAUAAGAAUAAUUCUUUUUUUUUGGCUAUUAUACUAACAAAAAUGUUUUAACUUUAUUUCAUUAGUUAGCAUAGGAAUAACAUAUUUUCUUGCAUCUCAAUAUUUUAACUAUCAAUUUUUCGCAUGUCAAUAUAUAUUAAAAUAAUAUUUUAAGUAUAUUUUUAGAAUAUUAUUUGAGUUUUAAAUGCUAUUUCUUUCUAAAAUAAAUGUAUUUAAGAAAUAAUUUCUUUUUUGAUACUUAUAUUAUAUUUAAAUUUUAUGUUAAUUAAAAUAAUAUAUUUAAUUGCACAUACUCCUCAAUAUUACUCAAAAAAAUAAAGGCUUCUUCUUAUGUACUUCUCAAUAUGUUGACUGUCUCUAGCGCAAGUGGCAAAGGGCUUGGUGGUUGGUACCCGAGGUCUCGAGUUCGAAUCUUAGUUGAUUCACAUUUUCAGCUAAGUUUAUUUCUAAAUGAAAUAAACGAAACGGGUAUAUUUAAAGAAUAUAUAUACACUCCUCAAUAUUACUAAAAAAAUAAAAAAUAAAGGCUUCUUAUAUACUCCUCAAUGUUACUCAAAAUUUUUUAAAUUUACCAUUCUAUUUCCAAAAUACCCUUCUAAAUCUCAAAUCCCAUUAGUAAACCUUAGGAUCGGGAUAUAUUUAAAGAAACUUUUGAAAAUCAAUGAGAGCAUUUUGGAUCCACCAGAAAUAUACUAGAUAUUUUCAAAGUUUUGAAAGGUAAUUAAAUUAAAUAUUAUCCAAAAAAAUUUAAAUGGUUGGGCAUAUUUGAAGUGCCACGGAAGGUGGAUUCUUAGGCAGGGGAUGUUACGAGACAUAUAUUUCGUCCCAUUAUGAAGACAGAGUAAAGAAGGCGAAGCGGGAGCAAAGGCAGAUCUCGUGCCCCUCCAGAUCCGCUCAAUUUGCAUCACUAGUAGUGUACAAGUAAACAUACGUUUUAUUUAAUGUUCAGUACUUAAUAGCGCAAGCAACACUACCUUCAAAAAAAUGAAAAAAAAAAGGGUAAACUUGUAUAAAGUCUCUCCAAAUUUAGCACAUUUACCAACAGAUUUUAUAAACUUUUAAUUUUAAUAAACAAACCUUCUCAAAUUUAUAAAUUAGUUUAAUAAAUUUCUCUCCUCCAACAUAAUUGCUCUACUCCUAUUUGUUUGGAAAAUACAACCUGUACAUCGACCCACGUACAUAGGGUUCUACAUCUUAAUUAUAUCCUCCAAUCCAAGUAUUCAAAAAACCUUGUUCGAAUUUUCAAUAAAAAUAGUAGUAGUAAUAAUAAUAAUAAGACAAGUGAAACUAAUAAUAAUAAUAAUAAUAAGACAAGUGAAACUAGUAUAUAUGUACCACAAAGGAUUAAGAUGUUAACUUUAUAACUAUAUAUAUUUUAGAUGUACAAAUUAAUUAAUAGUAUUAUUCUAUUGGUGUUGUUACUUUCUAAUGUGGGCCUCCAUUUAUAGUAUAAUGGUUCUUCUUUGAACAGGCGGGUCACCAUCAAAGAAAAAUAAAUGUAGCUCUCGUUCGGAUCAACAAACAGCAUGAAUCAAUAAGAUAAAUGUAACGUAAAGGAAAGGAACAAAAAUGUAUGGUUGAAGGACAUCCGUCAAUAUCAUCGAUCUAGAACUUGGACCAAAGUCAGGGACAGGCGGCAGACAUCGCAUGUGGGACAAGUAAUUUUCUAGCUCAACUGCUCAUCGUUUUGUUAUCCAACAAUGUUGAGUGUCGUCUCCGCACAACCCCAACUAGAUCUCCAGGAUUACCAAAGCAUGCAUUGUUCUUUCUUCUUCUUCUUCUUCUUCUUCUUCUUCUUCUUUUCUCUCUCUUCUCUCUUUCCGGUGUUCUUCUACAGUACGUACCCCACUCUUAUAAUUAAACCGGCCUCUUAUAUAUUAUCGUCUAUUUAUAUAGAAUACAGAAAAUUUUGAUUGACUUAAUAUAUAUAGAGUUGCGCGCCAAUAUUAAUUACAUCUACUGAGCUCUUUUAUUGGAUUUAUACAAAUUAAUUAGCAAUACCUAUAUAUAUAGUAGUUAGCCUUGGUUUUUUGAGAACAAUAAUUGUUUACGUCUUUUAAUAUGAUAUCGGAGCAGAAAGUUCUAAAUUUGAAUCUGGCCAAACUAAAUCUGAGCAUUAUUAAUUUCCACCUACUUAAUUAAGCUAAUAUUUUGCACCUGUUUAAUCUGAGCAUUAAUUUAGUGUUUCGCCAAACUAAAUCUGAGCAUUAUUAGUUUACUGUUUUUUUUAAAGAUAGUGAAUGAAUUAUUGUAAGAAUUAUUUUAAACAGGUGCAAAAUAUUAGCUUNAUUAAUUUCCACCUACUUAAUUAAGCUAAUAUUUUGCACCUGUUUAAUCUGAGCAUUAAUUUAGUGUUUCGCCAAACUAAAUCUGAGCAUUAUUAGUUUACUGUUUUUUUUAAAGAUAGUGAAUGAAUUAUUGUAAGAAUUAUUUUAAACAGAGUCCUUUUUAAUCCUUGGGUUUUGGUUAGAUACUAAUCUAGUCCUUGUGGCUCUCACAUCUUGCACUUAAUUAAUAAGGGCCUACAUAUAGUCCUUAUGCUUUCAAAUCUUGCAGUUACGGAUAUACAGUUUAUGGAAUAUAAUAAUAAUUAAUAAUCAAGUCUCUUGGCUGGUUUGGUUUAUAAAUCUGAGCAAAACUGAGACCUAAUCGUCCACGUCAGUAUCUAGCGUAAUCUAAAGGUGUACUUUAGUCUAACUCUCGCGAAAGUCACGUGUAUGUUGGUACGUGAUCAACAACAUUUUCAUUUUCUAAUUUUAUUACCUGAGAAAAGUGAGUUUGCCACCUUAUAGUUAAGUACAUUUUGAAUAAUGCGCGAUUAAUGCUUCUUGAUAUUUCCAUCAAGAAGCAUUAAUCGCGCAUNUACGCGAUUAAAGCUUCUUGAUAUUCAAAAGAUAGGUGUGUGGGUGUGAGCCUUACGUACUAUUCAUCCGAAGGCUUUUUUUUUUUUUUUUUAAUACUAGCUAGUCUUAUCGAUCCUUUGUUUUUCAAUAUUAAAAAAAUCCAAAAAAAAUCGAUAUCUAAACUCUUUGAAAUUAAGGGAGGGUACGUAGUAGGAUUCGCACCGUAAUUUUGGAUAUACAAAUAGCGUGCAUUUUUCUAUUUUGAAUCCUCAAAAUUAACUAGGAUGGUAUAAUUGCUUAUGUACGUAGACGAUUAGAUGCCGUACGUUUUCAAUUGAUUUGAGAGAUGAAGAAUAAUAGGACUCGAUCACUACCAAUUAUUAGAGACCAGAAGAAGUUAUUAGACUGUUCUACUAAAUAGACUUGAAGGCCCUUCAUUACAGGGUUUUAAAUUAGAGGAAUUAAGAAAUUUGAACCCAAGUUUUAAUUUGGACUAAAACCGUGGUCCAAAUUUUGUUGUCUCUUAUUUUUGGGAGGGCAUUAUUUUUGUUAGGAAUUUAGAAACAUUAAUUUCAGCCCUGCCCAAAUCCCUGGCCCAAUCCACAAAGUCCGUAGCAAUGAGCUCAGUUUGUUCGGUUGGCUAACACGGCCCUUACUCUCCUCCUGGAGUGUUUUCUUGUUCUCUGACGUACAAAUUAUUUUUUUCUGAAAGCUAAUUAAACGUACAGUUUUUUUUUUUUUUUUUUUAAGAGAUAGGUAGCAUGCUAUUCGCUUCAUUUAUUUGUUUCGUUUAUUUUAUUUAGAAAUAAACUUAGCUAGAAAUGUGAAUCAACUAGGUUUCGAACUUAGCACUUCGGAUACCAACCACCGAACCUUUUGUUACUUGCACUAGGGACGGUCGGUUAAACAUACAAAUUGUUAGAGAGGAUAAAUGCAACUUUCUCCCAUUUGCAGAAAACCAGUUAAACAUUUAAAAUUUUAUAUUUUAUGUCCGAACUUUUGAUUGACUUUUUGGACCACAAUUAUCACAUUCUUAAAACAAAAAACAAAAAGAAAUAAAGAAAAAUCAAAUGCAACAAAUAAACUUGGUGUUAGUAAAGUCAUUCUAUGUUGAUAGAAUGUAUAGACACCCCCCUUAAUCUACAAUGAAAUAACCUUAUUCAAAACAAAUGCUACAAAAUAAAAUAAACUUUUUAAAAUAACCCAUAAAAAUUUUCUAAUUAGCCAAAUGAUCCCUUCAAAAUUUUAUUUGGCCAACUAACCCUUUUAAUGUUAGAUACAAAUGAGAAAGACAGUGAAUUGUUCAUCAUCUUUGGAAAACGGUAAAUUAUUCCUAGUUGGCAGAUUGUUAUUAUUGUUUAUAGCCUUUUUUUGAGGGGGGAUAAUUGCCUAUAUACCCCUCAUACGUUUGAAAAUAUCCGAUUUACCCCUACUUUUUUUUUUUCUUUCUAAAAUACCCCUAAUAUGUUCUACCGUUAUUGCAAAAUACCCCGCUGUUAUCUCCUGUUAAAUUAACUUGGGUUAAACGUGAGUUAAAUAUCUACCACAGUUAAAAAAAAAUUAAAACGUCAAUUUUGCCCUUAACUUAAGGGUAAAUAAGAAAUAUUGGUGACGGUAGAGGGGUAUAUUGGAAAAGACCAAAAGUCAAAAUAUUUUUUGUGCCCCUGACUUUAAGGGCAAAUAAGAAAGUCAGUGUUGGUGGAAGGGUAUAUUUGAAAGGGCAAAAUAGUAAUUUUACAGACAUAACAAAGUUAAUUAACAGAUUUUAACUCUAGGGGUAUAUUAGAAAUAGGUUGGAACGUAGAAAAGGUAUUUUCAAUAUUAGCCUUCUAAGAGGGAUAAAUCGAAAAGUUGGAAACUUUUCGGGAGUAUAUAAGCAAUUGCCCCUUUUUUUGUAUGGAUUGUAAGGAUCUUUGUGAGGUUAUUAGAAUUGUAUCUAGAUUAUUAAAAAUUUUGUUCGAUUGUUAUGAAUAGGUUGUUAGGAUUUUUUUGAUUGUUAUAAUUGUAUGUGAUUUAUUGAAACUUUCACUUGUUAAGAUUCUGCAUAGGAAAUAGAAAGAAAAUGUGAAUAUAUAGCACUUUCUUUCUAUAAGGAAAAGAUAGUAAAUGAUUCACUGUAUUUUGAAUUUUAUUAAGGAGAGUGAAGGAUUCCUCAUUUCCUAACCCUGCAGCCACCUUGCGGCUGAGUUGGACAAAAUAAGAUUAUUUGACCAAAUAAAAUUUUGAUAGAAUCAUUUAACAAAUUGUAAAAUUUUUAAGAGUUUAUUUGAAAAGAAGUCUCCCUUUGGCUAAUUUUAAACACUCUAAAUUAAAAGAAGGUUAAAUGGAUAGACACCCCCUAAACUUUAGCCUACUUUGAUACUCAUACCAUGAACUUUUUUAUUUGAUUUACACCCCUCUGCUUACUAACUGUUUGAUUUAAAUUCUUUCGUUAGUAAUUUUGAAAAUUCUAUUAUAAGUAAACAGCUAGGAGAAAUGCACGUGAUCAAAAAUUACUUUAGUCAAAAAGAAGAGAAGCAAAAAAAUGAUGUGCACCUAUAGUGAGAGUUUGAUUCUAACAUAAUCUCAAAAAUAAAAUGAUUUAAAUCAAACAGUACGGAGAGGAGGUGUAAAUAAAAAAAGAAAAAGUUUUUCUUUUUUAGAAUAAUUUUAAAACACAGAUUUUAUUGGGGUACUCAAAUGGUAAGUUAUAUGCAAGUUAUAGAGAUCUGCUGGUUUGUCUAAUAAUAUUUUUUCUCUGUCUACCUUCAAAAGAAAAUGCUGUUUCUACAUCUAGCGUUAGAAAUUGCAAGUUAACAAAAAAUGACAAAAAGGAAAGUCUAUCCUACUGAGCAUCAAAUUAAAACAUACAAACAAUUAUACUAAAUGAGUUGAAGUUGUUUAGUUAAACAAGAGAGAGCAUUCCGUAAAACCGAGUCCAAUCAUUCAAUAUACACUAUAAGAUAAAUAACCUUAUUGUAGUGAACCACUAAACAAGGACUCCUUACUAUCACUUAAGAUUCAAAGUUCACCAGUAAAUGCUGACACUCUUCCAAGAACACCAUGAAACAAUGUAGCUUCCAAUUUACACCAAUAGUGAUAGUCACAGAACCGACAAACAAUCUAGAAGUAGCACAAUUCUCUUCCCCCCUCGCUCCAACCCAAUCUCAAAUCAAAUUUUCGAUGCAAAAGCAAGGCCUUCCUUUCUCAGCUCUUCGAGAUCAGACACCGGUGGCUGGAACCUUGCCAGCUUAGCAAUAGCCUUGGUCUCAUCCGGAGAUCCGCCUUCGAGGAAAACACCAACAACCUUGCCAUCCUUGAUCCAGUAAGUCCCAAACUUAGGCUUCGGUGACGUGGGAUCAUUAUCACCGAAUAGAAUGCUGUCCCCCACAUUGUCCCCGUAGAAUUGCCACGAUAGAUCGAAAGAACGCGAGUAGAAAUACGGCAGGUAGUCAUAUUCCUCAAUCAAUUUGCCCUCUUCGCUUGCCUUGAUUGCCUGAAUAGUUUACAGUUUUUAAAUACACUCGAAUUUGUGUGAUUAAUGUGGAAUGGUUAGAGGAUGACACUUAGCAUGUUCACCUUAACAGCUUGCUCUGCAGAUUUUCUCGCAUGGUCAACAUGUUCAACUCUCCUUAUGUCGUUGAAUAGCCUCAAGGGGAAAGUGGCGACGUCACCAAUGGCAUACACACCAGGAAUACUUGUUUCAAAGAAUCCAUCAGUCUGCCACAACAUUGUAGAAAACGUUAAAGAAAGAACAGUCUCAAUGGAAACCACCAGUCUACUCGAUAUGAUGAAGAGAACUGUAGAAAAGUAAUAAACAGUGAAUUCCAGUAAUAUGGUCGUUAGCACUGUUGUUAGUUGAAAUUACAGACAUAUGCACAAUUAUAUGUAAUUAAACGAAAGAUUCUAUAAUACAAACAGUUCCUAUCAAUUGUUCUUUUGUAGAAGCUAUUGGUAAAGUUUGCACAAGUUUUCUCUGUACUUCUACACCAGCUUCGCUUUCAUUCUCGAAGUUUUAAGGGAUGGUCGAUGCCCAAAACUUUUAGAAUUGUUUGGUCCUAAACUUUAAAGGAAAAUUAUUUGUCUGCAUCUGGUGCAUCUGUACAUCUGUGCCAUCACGAAUUAAUCGGCCUUCUAUCCAUCUCAUUAUUCAUAAUCCCACAAUCCAAAUUCUAUGCAGAGAAAAUUUUGCAACUCAAAAAGUAGAAUGGACUAAAAUAUGCGAAUGGAAACAAGGGUCAAUAGAAAUGUGUUGAUGAGAUGAAAUGAUGCACCAGUACAGGUUUGUCGAGGCAGUUGAAUAGAGGCCAAGUCCUACAACCGCCUCUAUAUUAAAAUGCUAGAAGCAAUUCGGAAAUGGUCUACUAAACCGCCUAAUAAUCCCUUUAGAAGAAAAGGAAAAAAUAUCAUAAUAUUCUAGAACCUAACAUGCCUCCCACUCCAGCAGAUUCUCUCCUCUCCCAUGCUAGGGUCCCCAACGAAUCCACCCUUCACCCGCCUCUAUAUUAUAAUGUUAGAGACAAUUCAGAGUGUCCUAAACCGCCUCUAAAUUCACCAAGAAGAAAAGGAAAAAAAAUCGUAAUCUAAACCCUUAAAGUUGGUUAUUUAGGAUAAGAUUAAUUCCGAAUUGGUUGUGUAUAGGGUAAGGCUAAGGAUAGUAUAAAUUAAGCAUAAAGCUUCUUUGUAUCAUGAUGAAUAUGAAUUUAUGAAUCUAUAAUGAUUUUGAAUGCUUUGGCAACGAUGUCAUUUUUUUCCUUCGUGAAUGCAUCGCUGUAAUAUACUGAAACUCAAUAUGGUGCACCGAACUUUGACCAAAUUGGCAAAGUGGGAUGUAAGAUCAUGCUAGUCAUGGUUUAAAUAGAUGUCGAGAGGUUUAGGAUGAGUUAAACAAGAGUUGAAACUAACUCGGAUCGACCCGGAGCUGUUAAAAGAAUUAGAAAUAAGAUUUUCCAAACUUUCUAGACGCCCCGAAAAAUAUUUCGAGCUCCCAAAAUGUUUCGAACCGUCCGGUCUAGCGCCCAUGUCCUAGCAGACGCUCUACACAAGAGCAAGGGUGCACAAGUUGAUAAAUAAUUGGGCAUCCAAAACCUUUCGGACUGUCUCGCGGGUGCCCGAUUUCACUUUCAAACGUUCUACCCGAGAGAAAGGGUCGCUCGACUCGUUAAAUAUUCGGCCACCCGGCUUGCGCUUCGAGCAUCCGAAACUAUUGUCGAACGGUUGAGUGGGCGCCCAAAUCAAUUUUCGAAUCCUCAACCCAAGAGGCCUGGAAGGAGCUGCCUAGGGCUUGCAGGCGUCCAAAAGAUCAGACAGGUGCCCGAAACAUGGCACGGAGGCAGUGGUCCAUUUAAAUGUCAACAUGAUAAUUGUAGCAAUCCUAUAAAUACCUUUUCACAGCCAAAACCUUUCUCUUUAUUUCUCAAUCUCUCUCUCUCUAAAAUAGAAUAGAAAACCAUAGUUUUCUAUUGUUGGGAUCUUUGAGCUCCAUCUCUUAGCAAGUUUGGAGGACAAGAGUACUUGGAAGGAGCUCUAGGAGGGAGAAGGAAAAAUUUCUAAGCUUCAUUUUCCUAGUUUGGAGAAGAUGAGGUGAGUUAAAGGUUUUAGAAUUAAAUUUGGAGGUUUUCUAAAUGAGGGUUUUGGAGGUUCUAACUUGGUUAGAGCUUCUUCUUCAGGAUUGGUUGGGAGCCUCAAGAGCUCAGGGGACAAUUUCAAAGGGGUUUUAACAAGUCAGGGUGUUUGAUCUGCCCUUUGCCUAAAGAAUUCCUAUUUUCCUUGCAUAUUACUUAAAUUCCAUGUUCUUUUGGGUAUGUAUGGGUUAAAUCUAUGAUGGAUUUGCAUGAAACAAGAUUUGGGAAUUUAUAAAGGGCCAUGGGUAUAUGACCCAGCAUGUAGAUGCACUUUAUCUUCUCUUGUGAUAUCAUGUCAUUAUUGUUGCAUGUUUUAUAAGCAAGUAGGACACUAAGUUGCUUGGGCUUAUGGACUUAGUUGACAUAGUCGUGGUGGAGCACACUGAACUUCAGCAAAUUGCAGGGUUAUAGUGAGAGAAAUAGUGUUUUGUACUAUUAUGGAGGUUUUGACUGAUAUUGGAGAACUUGGAGGCAUUUUCAAGGCUUAAUUAGCACGAAAAUGGAUCUUGGAGACCAAAAUCUGCAAAUACUGCAUAUCCAGCAUUGUAUACCAGUACUGUGUGUGGGUACCGGAACUCAGUUGAAGACUGGGCUGGACAGAUCUCGGGUUAAGCAAAACUGGGCUGGGUACCGCUACUCUGAUUCGGCGUACACCGGUACUGAUUCGUGCUGUACCAGAAUACAGUAGAGGGCUGAGGAAUCCAACGUUUGGGUUCUGCGGAACUAGAUUCAGGUACCGAAACACUUGGGUCAUGUACCAGUACUCUAUUUCGUGUACCGGUACUCAAUGGUAUAGAAACUAUUUCGCACAGGUUGUAAUGUCUGAGUUUUGGGGGACCUUUUGAGGAUAUUGUGGUUGUAGCAAGACAGAGGAGAAAGAGGUGAGUUUCUCCCCUCUUUUUCUUGGGUUUUUUCCUCCAACCCUUCCUAAUCCUUGGAUUUCUCUUUUUUCUUCCUCUUCUCCACCAUGGAUGCUUGCACCUAGAGCUUAGAGUGGAGCUUGGUGAUGCGGACCGGGCCCCAUUUCAGACUUAUACCCGUCGCCGUCGCCGAAGACCCAAUAUCUGGCUUGACGACGAUAUCGCACCAUGAUUCAAACAUUGAGUGCGACUUGAGUUCGAGCCGGAUUUGCAUGAGGAUAGGUUUAGAUAUUCUAGUUAUUGAGAUAUUAUUUUAUGUUUUAGAUUUUUAGAUUUGGUUGAAUAUUGGUAUUUUAGAUAAGACCGGUUAUAAGUUGGUUAUUAGUUUGUUUCAAGUUGUUAGUAGAAAAUUCUAUAAAUUAACCCCGACCAUCUGUAUGAGAAGACAUUAAUUAUUAUGAAAUUCCACUUUUCGAGAAAGGUUCUCUGAUGUUUUCCUUCGCGAUUUCGCGUCGACCGGAGUGAGUCCGUAGGGAGUGAGUCCUUUAUUCUAUCCGUCUUUUAUUUCUCUUCGAAUCGACUAUCUGUUUGCGAAAUUCUGACGUUGUUUGAGCAAGAAACAGGAAAAAGAAGCUUAUUGGAUCCUUUUGUUAACGGGUUUCAACCCGCGAAAACGCGGUCCAUUCUUAUUCCUUAGUUCCGUCGUACGUCUUUCAACAAAAAAAAAAAAAAAAAAAAAAAAAAAAAAAAAAAAAAAAAAAAAAAAAAAAAAAAAAAAAAAAAAAAACGUCAAAGAAAAAAAAAAAGAGACGUCAAAGAAAAGAAAAAAAAAGAAAGACGUUUACGGACCCCGUUUGCCCUAGCCGUCGUUCUCAUCUUCCGAUCGUACACUUACCUCGGCCGUAAUAUCAACCUCUUGGAGAUCGCGCUUUCGACUGAUGCAUGAUGGUACUCCGGUAGAAAAAGGGCGUUGAAGAAAUCUUUAGGAAUUUGGCGACUUUCGUUCAGCGCUUGCGAUUUCUAAUUCGACUGCGGAUUUUUUUGACGGUACAACUUUCCAUCUCGUUCUCUAUUUUAAAUUCAAUCUUUUAUCUGGGGUUUUAUUGUGCCGUUUAUGAUUUUCAUUAUUCAUAAAUUAUUUUUACGCAUCUGUGUUUAAGUCUCGCCGUGACAAAGCAUACAGUUACCAUAGAGAGUUUCAAAUUUAUAAGAUUUUGCUUUUAACAUGAGAUUUUGAUUUCUAAAACUUUUCCCCUGCAUCACUUGGACUUGAAGAAGUAGUUGUUUGAAGCUGUAAGCUUCAACCCUAGCAUUCCUAAGGUGGGAUUGGAGCUUUAUUUACGAUUGGUAACCUUCCUUCAUCCUCUAUUUGAGAGAUUUGUAAGAGUUUUGAUAGAAAACAUAGUUUUGUAGAAACUAGGGUUUAUUUUGGGGUUUUACAAUUGUGAGGUUUUGGGUUGAAAUUAAUGAGUGUAGAACACUCUUAUAGGUUGGAAUUGAAGCCCCAUUGUUUUGAUUUGGAGCUUGGACAAGUUUUUCUCGGUUUAAGGUAUUUUACACUCUUUUUCCAUAGAAUUUUUGAGGAAUUUCGUGAGAGGUUUUUAGAUGCUCCUAACCCCUUGGAAAUUUUUCUUAGGACAUAUUAUAAGUCGGGACAACUUGGUUUGAGAAACGACUAGGCUUUCGGUGACUAUCCAAUAGGUUUGACCUCACCGAAAUUGGUAAACUCCCCCUAUGUCUCCUAUAAUUUUAUAGGGCUUGGACGAUGUUCUAGCAUACAACUCAUGAUAUCAUUGAAUUUAUGAGCAUGUGGUUUGACCACUUUUGCAUGACAAUUCUUCUUUCAUUCUCUAUGUAGUAGAGACACCUAUAGUAGGGUACAUGCAUGGCAUGAUGCAUAAGCUUGAUUGAUAGUUAUGCAUACUAUUUGAAUGUGGCAUGAGUAGUGUACUCCUAUGUAUGUUAUAUUAUAGAUGUGAUAUAUGUGGCAUAUAAUCUUAUGCAUGAACUUAUUGAUAGGUAGGGCCAUCUACUUAAUUGGGACAUUAGUUGUUUAUCUUCUGUACUUGCUAUAAUUAAGAUGAGAUGUGACAUAUUGCAUGUAGAGACAUGUUAUGAUAAUAGUGGAAAUACUUCUUAAACAAGUUGAGGCAUUGUAUCCGACCCUUAGGUCGAUGGUUGAGAUUCCAUGUUAUAGACAUGAUGGUUAAGGUUCUUUAUCCAUGGACAUGACGCUUGUGACUACGCUUGCUUACCCUUAUGCUCAUUCAUAUAUGCUUGUGAGAGUCGCUCCCUACAAGCCGGCACUCUGAAGUUUAGCCAUUGCGACAUUAUGCUCGCCCGUGCGGGAUUGGGCGCCAAAAUGGGGCGCCGUGGAGGAGGCUCAUUCCUAGAUGGGGAAUGAUGACUACCACGGGACCAUUAGGCGCAACACAAGCCGGAAUGAUACCAUGUGUAAGUCCCUGAUGAUUGGGUAAAAAUAAAUUAAGUUUAACAUUGUACAUCUAGUUGAUGCAUAUAUGAUAGAUCGACGUACAUGUUGGUUAUUACCUGAUUGUAUACAUGAUAGUGGUAGAACUAUGUACAUGUUGACUAAAAUAGUUGCAUAGACACAUGAUAAAUAAUAGAGCCAUUUCAUUUCGGUUAUUACAUUCCAGCAGUUCAUAUCAGUUAUUUAUUAUUUGAUGCCUCGAUUGACCUAGUAGUGUAUUUCACUUUUCUCGACGACUUAUGCAAGGUACCGAACUUCUAAAAUUAUGAAGUUACGAUGUACAUUUGGUUGGAAAGCCAUUUGAAUGAUUCCGGUGAAGUUCGGUGAAGUUUGGGAGCAUUCGGGCAUUUCGGUGCGCGUGAGUGCGAAAACGGAACCCGAAAGGCUAUGUUGGGCUGUGGACUAAAUCCGGCGUUAGCAUAGAUGAAAAGAUGAGGUGAACACGCUCAAAAACAUGUGUGGGGAGUCUCGGUGCGAUUUGAAAUGAAUCGGAGGUCAAACGAGCGAAAACGGAAAAAAAACGGUGAAAAUGCUGAAAAUUUGGCUAAAUCCUAAAGUGCUGGAAUUCUGGACCUACGAGGACGGGUCCCUCAGCCAAGGACCGGUCCUUUAGGGACCGGUCUCUCUAGCCAAGGACCGGUCCCCGUACGCGAGAAUGCCCAAAAUGGGCUGUGUACAAGGAAGCAUUGUUGAGGGGUUUUUAUGCAAUUUUGCAUUAGUGGGAGCUAUAUGAGGGGUCUAGGGUUUGUUCCUCUCAUUCCUCUCAACCCUAACACCCAAAACUCUCCCUCUCUCUCUCUAAGUGCUCUUCCUCUCUCUCUAGAAGGUGUAGGAGGAGAGGGCUUUGGUGGAGAUCAAGAUCAAGAGAAGGGAUUUCAUCUUCUUCUUCUCCUUUCUUGGCUAGUAGCAAGCUUGGAGAGGUAAGCAUUAAACCCUUUAAUGGUAUAUCUCUUGGGUUUAGCCUUUGUACCCUAGAAUUGGUUUAGUUGGAACUCUAGUAUAUCUAAUAGGGGUUCCAUGCUGAAAUCUAGGGUUAGAGCAAGAGAUUUUUGGUGUCGUUGGAACCUAGGGCUCCAAAAUAGGGUUUUGGGAAUCUAGGGUUUUGAUCUCAUUUGAUUGGUUGUAAACCUAAUUGCUAGGUAUCUAAACGCGUUGGCGACGACGGUUCGACUAUUCGUCGAGUCGGUGCGGAGAUAUCGCCAAGCGAAGAGUGUUUCAGCUUCGUUUCCGCUCGAGAGGUCGAAGCGGCAACGAGUGAUCAUGAGAUUGGGUUUCCUACUUCGUAGUAUCGCCAAAAGAUGGGUGGUGACCAUCCCGAAGCAGUUAUACUGCUCUCUAUGUCUAAGUAUUGUGUUUGAUCAACUCGCAUAUUGAGCAUGAUGCAUUAUAGGAUGCUUGAUUAGUUGUUACAUGUUCUUGCAUGCUAGAGGUAGUGUUGUAUUACUCGUUUAACAUUUGGACCUUGUAUGCAUGAGAUUGAGAUAUGUUGAUUAGUAACCCUAUAAUGAGAUGAUAAAUGUGGACUUGAUCCUAGGUAGACGAAAACCUAGUGGGUGUGUAAUUAGUGUAUUGGGAACACUUAAAUAGGAACGAGUGUCAUCUAGUUAGUGUUGAACACAAAGAACGAGUGGCAUUUGGACUAGUGUAACUAUUAUGCAUAAUAGGCUAUUAAGUAGUUACAUUUCCAUUAAUUCUUGCAUGAUCCUUAGUAGUGUAGCAACAUAAGUUUGGUACUUGACUUAGGAUGCAUGAGAAUAGGGGAAUUGUGACCUGGAACCCUAUAGUGGUAAAGUAAAUGACGAACUUAACCUUGUGUUAACGAGAACCAAAGAACGAGUGGCAUCUAGAUAAGUAAAUAAGUUGACGAGUGGCAUGAUAAGUAAAGUAUAGAGGAAACACUUGUUGCGUGUUGAACGUAGGGAUGAACUAGUUCCCAAGUGAUGUUGUCUAGAGUGGAAGGCAUCCUCAGUGACGGGGAUUUGAUCAUACUCAUAUGUCUUUUCAAAGCGUGGGGUGGUCGCUCCACACAAGCAGUGCACUCCGGAGUUGUCACACGACAGGGAUAGCCUUUUUGGAUCCCGAGGGGUGAGCCGUUUUGGGCCCCGCAGACGGUCUCGGGUGAGUGAGUAGAUUCUCACCUUGAGUGAGCGGCUCCUCACCUAUGAUUAUGUUGUGAGUUGGGUGAGUGAGUAGAUUCUCACCUUGAGUGAGCGGUUCCUCACCUAUGGUUAUGUUGUGAGUCGGGCGAGUGAGCGGAUCCUUCCCGUAGAGAGUAAAUGGUGAGUUGGGUGAGUGAGUGGAUCCUCACCUGUGAGAUUGAGAUUGAGUAGUGGUACCUAUGGUUAUGUUGUUAGUCGGGCGAGUGAGCGGAUCCUCCCCUUUGAGAGUAGAUUGUGAGUCGGGUGAGUGAGCCGAUCCUCACCAGUGUGAUCGAGUAGAUGUGGCACCUAUAGCGGGGCCGUGGGAUUGAGACGUGAGGUUGAAGGCGAGCCCACGGGCUAGCCGAGUGAUUAGGUGAUUAAUGAAUAGCAUCGUUGUUGGACAUAGUAGCACGGUAGCUAGCCUUUACUAUGUAGUACAUGCAUUCAUUAUACUGGAUUAAGGCAUAGUAGAGUACUUGCACUUUUCUUAUUGUUAUCGCUUUCAAACUAUCUAUCUAUCUAUCUGCCUAUGGCUGCUUAGACCUAGUGGGGAGAUCGGCGGAGUCGGCGGCCGAACCCACUGGGAACUAUUCGUAGUUCUCACCCCACUUUAUUGCAGAGCCAAGUACGAGUGUGCCAGCCGAGGAUCGCGGUAAGGGCUUAGCGCCCUAGAGGUUGUAGUUACCUUCCUUUUGUAUUAGAGCUACCCUAUGUACUUGUAGAUGAUAUAUAGGGUGAGGUGAGUUGGAGAAUUGUAAACUUUAUGUUUAUGUUUUGAAAAAAUGUAUAGUUAAUCAAAUGUAUUAAAGUUGAAUCGAUGUAAUAGUUAGUAUCUCUCUUUAUUUCACUUGUUUAUUACUUGUGAUGCCUGCUCUCGAUUGUUUAGCACUGGUUGUGCUCUCGCUAUUGUUGUUCGAUUGUGUAUGUAUUCAAGUUGUAUUCCUGGGGACUUGUUGUACACAAUCUGUUGCUUAGCCUUGGGCGGACAGGGGAGGUUCUAUCCGUCCGGCGUCUGUUCGACACGCCCGAACCGGACCAAAUUCGUAGCGAGCUCGGGGCGUGACAACUUACCCACUGGGAACUAUUGUUUAAUAGUUCUCACCCCCUAUUCGUUGAUUGUUUUUGUUUCAAAGCCUUCUACUGCGUGAGAGGCUAGGGAUUGCGACAAAGAGAUCGCAUCUAGGUAGUGCAUACACUAAGUUGCUUAGAGGUGGACACGAGGCACCUUUUUUUUGGUUUUUGUAGUGAAAGGUGUAUUGGUAUAUUUGUAGUGACCACCUUGAGUUCAUAAGAUUUACCUUUUGUAUGAACUCAUAUUGUAUAUCUUAUGAUUUAGUUAGUUGUUGUAGAUAUGAAUGUUUGUAUCUCUGUCUACAUUAUGUUCUCAUGAUCUGAUUACCUUGUUUAAGAUGUGUUUAUACUUCCACUUCGAAAUGUUUGUUGUAGACGCCUUGUGUGUACCGGGGGUACCUUAUGCACAAGGCGGGUCUGUGCAUGUGUUGGGUAGGCUUCCGCUAGGGCCCGGGCAUGACAGGUGGCACUUGACAUAGGAGAAAACCUAUGGUGAUGAACAUGAGAUAUAUAGACAAAUUAUGAGAACUUAUUGUAAGUGACAUGAAAAUAUAUGAAAAAGCCUAUAAGAUUAACCCUAGUGUCAAUUGCAACCUUGAGUGUAAACUAAAAAACAAGCUAUUGGCAGCAUUUGUAGGGAUCGCAACCCUAUAAGCCACAACCUUCCGGAAGAGUCAUUAUCGGAGAGUCUCAAUUCCUUUCGACUCCUUAUGCCUAAUUUGGAGAAGUUCGAAUAUUCUAGACCCUUUGUGCUUACCAAUUGGGGAGAGUUACAAUCAUUUUCAUCUUCCCAGUAGGUGUUUAUAAGUGCACUGAAAUCGCACCAUCGAGUUGGUUAGAGUAUGGAAAUGACAUUAGUAGUUCCUCUCCUUGGACUUGGGAGCUUAGCCAUGAGCAUUCCUACAUGGACAUCUUGAUUCUUGACUGAGGGAUGAUAGUCAUUUAUUGUAUUGCAUUCCUUCUAUAUUGCAAAUAGUAGCUCCAUUUCCCAUAUUUUUACUCUAUGAUGCAAAGAAACAGUUAAUUCCUACCCGUUCCCAUAUCGAAUACGUAUCAAAUACGAAUAUGUGUUGAGAUGUACCUGAUACUUAACCCAAUAUAGGAUUGAAGUAUCUAAAAUUUUAAAAAAUAAAAAAAUAUCAAAUACAGAACUGAUAAGUUGGGAUGCAUGGAGACCCAGCAUAGGAAAAGGCGGAACACGUUUCAAAAUAUGGGCAAAGAUACAGGAAGGGUAUUUUCGAGUCUGAACAGGCUGGAUUUAAAAUUUUUUAAAGAUACUCGCAUUCAAAACUAUAAGAAAAAAAGAAAAAAAAACCCUAUUCCUUUCAUCAAUUCCUUCUUUUAUUCUUUCUCCAAGAGAGAGGGCAAAGAGAGUAGAGGAACCCCACUUUUGGGCGAACUUUGAUAGUGACAGUAGGAAGUUACAGAGUAUAGUUGGAGGUGGAUAGUGUUAGUUGUAUGCCCUAGAAGCCUAUCAGGCUGACGCAUUUUAUUUUCUAUAGGACAUAUCUUUGUACUUAAUAUUUAUUAUUGAUACAUUUGGGCCCUUUUAUUCCUUUUAUGUUUAAUGUAUCCGUGAAUCGUCCAUUGAAUUAAUAAGAUGAUAUUAUAUAUUCUCAAGAGUAGAGAAUUUGAGAUACAUAUUAUUGGUGAUUAAUUCCUAAAUGCUCUCAAUUGGUGGAUCAUCAUAGAGACGAUAAUUGAUCCGGUAAGAUUGAUGUGUGUGCCUCUUCUCUUUUGAGAUGACAAAUCUCGAAUCAUCAGAGUGGGAACACUGGAGCAAACAUGCAGGUGGUUGUUGGAGAAUAAGGUUACUGAGCGUGACCAACUACGAGAAGUUACAUGGAUGUCUACUCAUUCGUUGGUAACUGGUUCGAUGUUACGGUGGUACAACUGAUCCUUAGAUCUGCAACACCGCGGCCAUUCAAUGUAAGGCUACUGUAGUUUGACUAUGCAACAAACUCUGAUCCUAGUCAUGGGUCUUAGUAGUAUAUGUUGGCUGCAGUCGGUUCAUAUCAGGAAUAGACGUGUGUUUAUAGAGGAUCUAUCGCUCUCGGUAGAGAGAUAAUUAGUUCUAUGCUAUUUGUAAGGCAAAGCUCAGAAAUCCUCGGCCGAGCUUCAUGAAUAUUGACUGAGCACAUAAUGCCCUUUUUAUUAUGUAUAGAAACAUAAUGUAGUAAGGUAUAUAAAAAUAAGGUCCAAAAAUUUGUAGUUAACAUCAAAUAGCCUACAGGUGCAGACAAAAACAUAUAUUUGUGGAUAGGUCUUCGUACAUCAUUGUGCCUAGCUUUGACUUAGAUUUUAGUAUUAUUAUAAUUAAAUUUAUUCUAUGCUUUAACUAUCAAUUGAGCACAUAAUGUCAUCCUUUUGAUAGUUUACUCUACAUUUAGUUACAUUAUUAUUAAAUUAAUGGCUAAAUUACAUAAAACCCCCCUAUCAAAACCCGAUUUUUCACUUUCCCCUCCUGUCAUUUAAAAACUUACACUUUGCCCCCCUUAUAAAAUAAAAAUGUUCACAGGGGGUACGGUGUGAACUGUGAUGAUAAAAUGACCAUUUUGCCCCUCACCAUAUUCACAGGAGAGAAGGUUAAGGGCAUUUUUGGCAUAAAAAAUAUAUAAUAAUAUUUUAUAAACGGAACCCUAACGGAUUACUAACGGCAGGAAGCGAAGUGAACACUUUUCAUUUUAUAAAGGGGCAAAGUGUAGGUUUUUAAUGACAGGGGGGGAAAGUGAAAAAUCGGGUUUUGACAGGGAGGUUUUAUGUAAUUUAGCCUAAAUUAAUUCAUUAGUUUCAUAACUAUUAAUUGAGCGCAUAAUGUAAUCUUUUCGAUAGUUUACCCUAUAUUUAGUAAGAAUGUAUGUACUAUAGUUUUUUAAUAUUAUAUUGAUAAUGAAUAAAGUGUUUGUUUCGGUUGUUUCGCUAUGACGGACAACAGUUGGAUUGUCUAAAAGAACUAGUAUCAUAUAGAUUUCUCAAUUCUCAGUUACUCCAAUUUGAUAGCAAGUUAUCUCUAUACCUAUGUAUUUGAAAAUUUUUUAUUUUUUGUAUAAUUACCCAUUUUUAUAUUGUUCAAUACUUUUUUCGAUUGUGAGUGGCAAUAAUCUAAAUGAUACAUUCUCUCCAAACAAUCACUCUUCGAAUGCAUGUCACGAGCCUACAACUGAAAGAUAUCUUAAAACUUUUAAAUUUUUUACUAACUAUUGAAAAUUCAAAUUCGACCAUCUCUGAAACUAUUUAAACUUUAUUUUAUUUAGUAUAUUGCUACUAUAUAUGGUAGAUAUUUAAUGAGAUUUUAUGUUUUGAAUUACAUGUUACGCUAAAUUAUGAUGUUUUGAAUUACAUGUUAAAUUAUGAAAUUUUUGAUGUUAAAGAAUUGUUUUGCUUUUUGUUGAGAAUAUUUUUGCUUUUUGUGUUGUUACUAUAUGUUUUGGAUUGAAUGUUAAGUUACCAUCAUGAUUGCUUUGCUUCUUGCUUCUUGUUGAGAAAUAUAAUAUUUGAUUUGCAUUAACAUUUAAGGUAAUCGGUUGUAAACAGAUUUGUAAUUUUUAGUUCAUACAUGCACGCUAAAAUAAUUAUUUUAACAAGAUUUUUGUAGUAUUUUUCAGUAGAGGCUAUUAGAACUACUUCUAUGUAAUGACAUGUUACUUACCCAUAGAGACGGUUUAAACUGCUGUAUAGAACAAUAUUUGUAGAGACGGUUUAAAUCAUCUUUACAUUACUACCAAAAAAAAUAUAUAUAUUAAAUAAAAUUAAAUAAAUAAACCUAUUGGGAUAGUCUAAAGCGCCUCAAUAGAACUGCCUCUAAGAAUCCCGGUAGUCAAUCAAACCGCCUCAUGUGCCUAUGUCGGUUAUCUAGAAAGAAACUCUAGAGGCGGUCAUCAUAACUGCCUCUACAGUUCAUAGAAGCGGUUAAAGCCGCAUUUUUUUGUGGUGUUUAGAGUAUUAAAUGACCAACAUAAGAGCUUACAGACCAAAAAGAAACUUUGGCUAAGCUCAGAGACUACUUGUGCAAUAAACAUAACGCUAUGUGUCUUGCAACUGUUGAUUGCAGCUAGGUAAGUAUUUUUCUUCCGGUGUGUACGGUUGCUAAAUAGUAGCAUAAAAUUGAGACAUUUAAAAGUGCUACUCAAGAAUUAAAGUAUCGUGGCAUGGAAGCAUGCCGGUAGGUGGCAAGCAUGGCAAGGCACGAGCACGGUUCCGUGCCAACACAUGGCACACUUGCGUGCCGAUGAGCACGCGAGGCCUCCUAAUGACACGCUUUGGUACCAUCCUUUUUUUUUUUUGGUUCAAGUUAUGAUAUUAUUUUAGAAGUUUAUAGUAAUAAUUAUCUCAUAUCAAACUUGCCAAUUGGCUAAUCUAAAAUUAAAUAAUGAGCUUUAAUCUUACGGUCAUAUUUGAUAAAAUUACCAAAGAUAUUCUUGGCUAAUUUUAUAUUAAAUUAUUUAAAUAUAGCUAGAUUAGUUAAAAUUUAAGAGUAGAUCAGCUCAUAUUGAUUAGAUUAGGUAAUUCUAAAUUAGAUUUUCUAUAUAUAGUAGAUUAGAGUAAUUUGGAUAAUUUGGAAAGAACGGAAUCCAAGCUAACCAGUAAAUAAAAAAUAUUUAUUUUCAAAAUAAUUUAAUCUAAUCUAGCCAAUUCUAGAUUAUAUUAUCUUUGGCUAGGUAAUUUGUAACAUAUCACGUCCCUCGUAAAUCGUGCCGAGUUCCGUCGAAAUGUGCGGAAUGCGGAGUGGAACACGAUGGUAUGGGCCAGUAGCGUUUUGGAACCUAUAUAUAGUGCAAAGGGACCCGAGAGAGUGAAAUUCCAAAAUCUGGCUAAGUCCCAGAUUUUGUGCUCUCGGGGACCAGUCCCUGAAGGAGAGACCGAUCCCCGUACGCGUAGCCUGCCAGGAAUCCUGAGGCAACCGGUCCCUGGCAGUGAGACUGGUCCCUGAGGAACCGGUACUUGAAGGAGAGACCGAUCCCUCGUUGCGCAGUCAGCCAAAAACCCCGAAAAUUGGCUUAGUCCUGAAAAACAGCCUUUUGGGAACAGGUCCCUGGUCGGGGAGACCGGUCCCCGACUGCGAAAAAUGCCCAGUCUGGGCAGUGCACAGAGAAAAGAGUUGGGGGGCUUAGUUGCAAAUGUUGCAACAUGAUAUAUGACCCAUCCCUUCUCCCCUUACACAGCCACUUCAUUCUCUCUCACUUUCUCUCCUCUCUCUCCAGAAACACCUCUAGAGCUUGGAGAAGAAGAAGAAGAAGUAAGGAGAAGUGGGUUUUGGAGGCUUUGGUGGAUCUAAGAGCUCUCCUACAAGAAGGAUCUUGGGAGAAGGAUCUUGGGAGGAGCUUGGGACAAGGUGAGUUUAAGCAAGUAGAACUCUAGGGUUCAGUUUUAAACCCUAAGAUUUGGAGUUUUGAGGUUGUUUCAAGCUUUAGAAACCUUGUUAAGCUCUAGACACCAUAAAACCAUGGUUUCUUGAGGUGCUCUCAUGGUGAACCCCUAGGGUUCAUGCUAGAUGCCCUAGGAAUGUGUAGAAUGGCUUUGUAAAGGUAUUAGAGAGCUUCCCAGGUGAUUCUAAGCUAUCUUUUUUUUAGGAAUGAGAUCAAUCUAGGAGAAAUCUCAUUGUGACAUUGUUAGGGCACAAAUUUGGGGCUUUUGCCCUAGGAUUUUUCGGGGACGAAUUGACCUCGUAGAAACCCAAUUGGGGGUGCCCUCGACGCGUGGGACAACUCCGUUUAACGUUACGAAAAUGUUUAAAAAUAGUUCAUAUACAAAAGGCCUAAUAUGGCACUAUUUUGGUUAUAGGGCGCGGAAUCGGCUUUCGUAAAGUUCGGGAGUCGUCAUAUUCUUCAUCUACUACUACUCAAGGUGGGGGGUACACGCCGGAAUCAUCGGAUUUCCCUUUAUGUCUAUUUUCACCUUUGUUGAGCAUACUUGUAUAUAGAGUCAUUCAUGCAUAGUAGGGAUAUUUACAUGUGAUUAGUGGUUAGAAUUUCAAUAUUGUGCUUCUAACGUAGUUGAACAUAGUGAUUGAACAAGAACCAUAAUGGACAUAUAUGUAGAACCCUAGAAGAUGUAUGAAUGCAAGACUUGGAUCUUGAUUGUAGUAAACAAGGGUGACAAUGACAAUAGAGACAUGAUUGGCCAUAAGAAUGAAAUUGUUACACAAGGUUCAACAAUAAUGGUAUUGAGACAAGAACAAUAUAGAACAUGACAUGAACAAAAGGUAGAAACCUAUCAUGGCAUCGGCAUUGUGACUAGCGGCUAAGUUUCCUCAACUUGAGGAUUGGAUCGAGGCUCACAUGGAUGCUUGUGGGAGGUCGCUCCCCCACAAACGGUGUACUUCGGAGUGUAGACACCAACGGGGAAGUACCCUGUCAACGAUCCCUUGGGUGGUUGUGCUUAAAGCCUCCCUCGGUAGACGGGAGAUGGAAUAGUGAGCUAUUGGAGUUAACAAAGUUAACCGGUAAGAUUGGGUACAGAAAGACAAAGUAAUGAUAAAGAACAUGCAUACAUGCAUACUAUAUAUUGUUGAUUACCUAUAUCCACUGACAUUUUUUUGCAGGCAUAGUAUUAGAUGCAUUAGUACUGGUUACUUUUCUUCCUUUGUCAUACUUAUGCCUGAAUAGACCUAGUGGGUAAGUUGGCAAGGUCGGAUGCCGAACCCACUGGGAAUUUCGUUGUAGUUCUCACACCACUAACCCUACAGGUUCUAACGAGAGCGGGGCGGCGGAGGACCGAGGCAAGGGUUUAGCGCCGUAGAUAGCGGCCACCGGGACUUUUUCACAUUUUGUAGUCAUUUCUCUUUUGGUUUACAUGUAUCAACUUCUUUUGUUGAUUGAGAAAGUUGUAAAGUUGAUAACAAAUAUGUAAUUUGGUGAAUGGCUAAAUGUAAAGAAUUAUGAAUGAAAGCAAGAAAUGUAAUAGUUCAGUUUACUUUUAUUUGGUGCAAAAGCAAUCAAGUAUUAUGUAUCUUGAGUAUGAUAGAUUAGAGCUUUCGCUUCCAUUGUUGCUUGCCCUCGUGCAAACCUUGUAUGAAUGCUAAUCUCAUUGUUUGAUUGCUUUAUUAUACAUGUUUUAGAGCCUUGGGCGGACAGGGGAGGCUCUGUCCGUUCGGCGUCUAUUGACGUGACCCGAACCCGACCAAAUUGGCGGGGAUUGGGGCGUGACAUAAUUCUAGAUUAGAUUAGAUUAGAUUAUAUGAGAUAUCGGAUUAGGUUAAUAUAAGUAUAAACUAGGUUAAAUUUAGUAAUUCUACAUCAGAUUAAUAAUCUAGAUUAGGUAAAUUUAGGAAAUGUAAAAUCACUUAAAUCUAAUUUUAAAUUAUACUAUUUAUAUUUAAACUAGUUUAAUGUAAUCCAGGCCUAAAUUAGAUUAGAUUAGAUUAGGCUACAUGAUUCUAGAUUAGAUUAGAUUAGAUUAGAUUAGAUAUUGGAUUUGAUAAUUUAAAUCUACAGUAGAUUAGAUUACAUUCCAAAUCCAUAAUUAGAUUAAAUUACCUAGAUUAGAUACGUAAUUUAAAAAUUGAUUAGAUUUUAAAUUAUCUUAAUAUAUUAAAAUAGAUUUUAUCUAUAAAUUAAAUGAUAAGGGGGAGGAAAUCUAGAAGCAAAAAGAACCAAAAAAACAAAUGAGAGAGAGAGAAAAACUCAUGUACUAUAUGAAAAAGUGGAAAAUAAUAACAAAUAUUAAGAUAUAGGUCAGCAUGCACGAUACGUAUUGUGGCACCGGCGUGCCCAACUAAAAGUAUUGCAUCCUACCGCGAUACAUAUCAUGGCAUUCCACUAGUUGCGGUAAAGGGGUUGUACCGUGCCCCUUAUUUAGGGGCAUGGUACGGCACAACCCGUGCCGUACGGCAUAGGCCGACACUUUAAUCCUUGGUGCUACUUUUCGAAUAAGCUACGCAAGAAAUGAGUCUCACUUUCUACUAUUUGAUUUGUAGAAAGUCUUACAUUUGGCUGUUUAGAUAGUAGAUAAUAGAAACAAAUGCUUCGAAAUAAAAUAUAGUAUCUUUUAUAAUUAAUAACAACAAUAUAUAAUUAAUGAAAAAUCUAAAAAUAAAAAUAACGAAAAUUGGUAAUCUAAUAAUUUAGUAAUUAAAUCUCUAGUUAAUUUCAAAACUAAUGAGAAUAAUCGGUUUGGUUUUUGUUGUGGGGGAGGCAAGCUGCUGGGCAGUGUGGUGAAGGAGAGAACAAUAUAAGGAUCGGGGGCAAAACACAAGAAUUUACAGGCGAUAAAAAAUUGCAAAAUCUGUUGACCUCUUUUUGCAACUUUCCUUUCUACAAGGCAAAAGUCUUUGAUGACUUUUACGAACCAAACACAUCAAGCACCACCACUUUUCAAAACCGGCAUUUUUCAGGUCUUUGUGAACCAAACACGCCACAAUGACAUCCCUUCACCUACUUCAGUAAUCAUUUACUAUCUCGUCUCAAAGCGCAGACUAAACAAAAAUCAAACACCAUGUACUAUGGUGAGUCCCCUCAGAUCCAUGGCUUAACAGAUGAACCAUCAUUUUUUGUUGUUUCUGAUUUUCCUACCACAAUUUACACCAUAAAUUUGCCAUCUUCUUUAUACCUCAUAAUAUAAUAGUUUUGAUUUGCAAACCCAAACACAACAAGAUCAAACUAACAUGGACAUAUAAUUAGAUCAUUUAAUCUAACCUUGAUUCCACCUUUGUCCUCUGCAACUUGACCUUUAAAGAGAGACGUUAGCGGUCUCCCACCAACACCAACAACCACAAUAUCAGCCUCAAGCACUCUUCCAUCCUUCAAUCUAACCGCAAUCACCUGAUAGAUGUAAAAAACUUACAAGGUGAUAGAUGUAAAAAAGUGACAUAAGACAAUAGAAGCAGCUGUAUUUUAAGUUAAAGACUAAAAUCUCUCAAAAUACUUACAUCUCCGUUGGCAUCAGAAUCAAAUCCAACAGCUACUGUGCCCUUGACAAUUUUGAUUCCUUUGUUAGCAUAAUAACCCUCAUAGAAAGCAGCAAUGCCAGCUGUGAAAAGCCGAGGCACUACACGAAACAUGAACUGCAUUAGGAUGUUUAAGAACAGCUAAAAAUAUCUAUCUGUGAGAAUAGCCCAACAAAAUAUCUAUGUGUGAGUUAAUAUUUCCAACAGUUGGAUGUAAUUAUCAAGCUAGGGAUAAAAUAGUUGAGAAUAAAAUUAAGCUUUAGAUGUUUAAGUAAAAUGAAACUUACUGCACCAUGGUUCAGGGUAGACCAUAGUGACAUCUAAAUUGUUGAUUUGCAAUGCAGCACCAAGUUCAAGACCAAUAUAUCCACCUCCAACAAUUACUGCCUUUCCAUCCUUCUUUGCUUGAAUCGCAGCGACAAGCCUAUCGGCAUCAUCGAUUUCUCUUAAGUAAAAAAUAUUGUUGGAAUCUGCUCCUUGAACACCAAAAUCAGACAGCUGCACAACCUGCAUGGCAGAAAGAAAACAAAAUUGUGGACCUAAGAUUAUCCAUGCGUAUACUCCUUUGGUUCUAUGAGAAAAUAUUCUGACUCUCAGUGUCUGUUAGAGCAGAAUCCAAUUUCCCAUUUGUAUGAUGACUAACAAUGGCAUAGAAAAGAAAUAUCACACAUCAUAGUAAAUAUAGUCAUAAAGCAUUGUUUAUUUUCCAGCGACAUACAGUCGAGCCAGUAGCAAUGAUCAAAAUGUCAUAGGUAAAGGUUGCUCCAGUUGCACUAGUCAGAGUCUUGGAGGCAAGAUUUGCUUUCACAAUUUCGGUGCUUAGAAUCAACUCUAUGCCUGCCACAUUAAGAAUCCAUAUCAGAAAAGAACGAAAGUAACCAACAUUUAAUGUCAAAUUUUACAAGGAAAAAAUCUUAUUCACGGGCUGCACUAGUGAGUAUAGAAGGUUGCGGUAAGGCAACUGAUCUAAGUCAAAUAAGAUAUAAUAAGAAAGCACAUCAAAUACUCCCAGCCAAAGAGCCUUAGUAUUAUAUAUUAUAGUAAUCACCUAGUAUUUGUUGGGAAAUAUAUAAGAUCAAAUUAUAUAAGAUAUAAUAUGAUAUCUAUUCUCGCCUUGCGGAUACUUAAAUCCAAUAAUGAGUUUCCCACAUUGACUAUAAUUCUAGUGAAACCAAAUUAAUCCUCAAUUCAAACCAAGCAUCCCAUUUUCAAUUGGAUGAUGAUUCCAUCAUUACAAAAAUUCAAUAUCUAGCCCAGGAUAUUGACAAUUGUGCUUAAAAAUUCCGUCUGUUCCCAAAUCUAGUCAGUCGGAAUGAGUAAUUACAUAUAUUUUAAUUUCCAGUGACCCCAUACAAGAAGCAACCUAGAUCUUAACCAGCAGUAUGAGGUGACAGCACAACUUCAACAAAUGAUUAUUUCAGUAGUACUCAAAGAUUAUUUUCAAUUUUUAGUUCUGUCACUAAAAUUUGAAGGACAAAAAAAGAAAGAGAUGUACCUUUCUCAGAAUACCAUUCAGGGAGUAAUCUUUCUCCCCCACUUCCAACACAUACAUGAAAACCUGGAAGUCUUGCAGCACCUGUCACACAAAACAAAAAUUCAUAAUUAAAACAGUUAUUUUAAACAUCUACUAGCGAAUGAAUUUACCCCUGCACAUAGAAAGGUAUUUUGCUUUAGGGUUUGUUUGGUUCCACUUAAAACUAUGAAAAAUAAUUUUUGGUGGAAAAAAGUUUUCCACAGAAAAAGAGUUUUACUCUCUUUAGGGUGGUUUGUAGGAAAAGAAAAAAAAUUUUCAUGGCACUUGUUGGAUGGUAGGAAAUGGAAAUAAAAAAAAGUAUAUAAUUCGUUUUAUUGUGUGCAUUGAGUGCACUUGUGCACGACACUUCAGUCACUUGUCUAACCCAUCUCAUACUUUUAAUUUAACUAUAAAAAAUUUUAAACAUAAAAACAACUAUUAAAUAUCCAAUGGUAUAUACUAAAAUAUAGUAGAAGAUUGAUGAUAUAUAAAAAGUGGUGUAUAUAUGCAAGGCACUUGGUGUAUGCAACAUUUCCAUUGUUAUAUAGAGUCAAAUUGGACUAUGCACAUUUUCACACAGUGCUGUGGACUGCAUCAAGCGUGCACCUUGUGCGCCGCGUAUGUUCGCCGGUUGAGUUAUUGUUUUCCGCCAGUUAUGUUCGCCGGUUGAGUUUUCGUUUUCUACCCAAAAAGGGCGUCAAACGAAAAGGCGUAAAAGCAUUUUAAAGAAAAAUUACUUUUAUGAGUAAACAAACAAGUGAAAAAAAAAAUUCGAGCCGAAAAUAAUUUUCAGUUAAUUUUUAAGCCGAACAAAACACCCCCUUAGCCCUAGCAAAAUUGCAGUUGAUAAAUAAACAGCAUGAGCAACAAUUGGAUUUAAUUUCUCAUAAGAUUUGAUCUGAAUGAAUUCUUGAUGUUAAUGUAUAGAAAGGUUUUGAGUUUUCCUAUACUAUCUAGGAAUUGGUACUCUAAAGGUAUCAAUUUCAAAUAGAAAGGGUAUAAAACUAGGGCCACACGAAAUGACCGCAUGCCAGCUUAUAUUGGAAUACGUUUCAGGGGAAAAAACAUAGAGAAUAUGUUCUCUCUUAAAUACAGUUGAAAUAGGAUAUUGUAUCCUUUACAAUUUUCAUGAUAUGUUAUAUAUAUAUAUAUAUAUAUAUAGAGAGAGAGAGAGAGAGAGGCUAGGGUACUAUUAAUAAUAAACAAGCUCCGGUACUACUAAUUUGUUUCUAUGAUAGAGCGCCCAAAUUGAUGAUCCACACCAUUCGUAGUACUCUGAACUUGGUCAAUUAUGAAGUUCAAGAGUGGGAUUGGUAUUGGGAGCUAACCCACAUCUUUUAAAGAGUUGUAGUGAGGUUUUGACAAGUUACAAGAGUGAUCGAGUAGCCAGAAGAUCGAAAGUGCAUUGCAAAGGGCAGAUUUCUGCAUUCUGCAUUAGAGUACCGGUACCAGCACCUCGGGGUACCGGUACCCAGCACAGACUGCUGCGUGGCAGUAAGGUAAUUUUGGUCUUUUCACUUCCCUAACUGAUCCUUAUCAGCUCAGCUCGACCCCUGAGCUUGUUUUUAUCACGUUGGAGCUCAAAGAACAGGGGUGAGCUUCUUUCUCUCUUUCUCUCUCUAGGUUUUGCCAUAGUAGAGUGGAAAAGAUGGAUUUGAGCUAGUUUUUCUCCCUCUCUUGCUACAAGCUGGUUCGGAGACUUGAGGGAUGGCUUUUGAAGCUUGGGAAUUGAUGUUUUACUGUGUUUCUUCCACCUUAACUCAGUAGGAACUGAGCUGAAACUGUACAAGGUGAUUAGUUAAUUUUUCUUCCUAGUUUGAGGCUUUAAUAAUGGAUUUGAGUAUGUCUUUUGCUUCCUUGUUGCCAGCUGGUUUGGGAAGAUGUGUUUUGGCUGCAGUUCUUUCAUCCUAACUCCGUAGAAACUGAGUUGGAACUUCAAAAGGUAAACUAGCUAGGAUUUUCACUAGUUUUAACAUUAAAGUAGAUGUAUUGAUCAAGUUAUUGGGGUAACUCACGGCAGGUUUGUGAAUCACUUGGGUUGAGUGUGAGGGAUCCUUGUAGACUGGUUUUGGGUUACUUCAACCCGAGUUAGAGCUAUGUAAGGUGAGUAACUGUCACGCCCCCACCCCGAAACCCCUACCAAUUUGGCGCGGUUCGGGCGCGGCGAACGGACGCCGAACGGACAGCACCUUCCCUGCCCGCCCAAGGCUCAACAAAAGAUCGAGUACAAGAAUUUACCCAGGAAUUUAAAUUCUAAAUGUACACAAUCGCAAGGACACAAACAGUGCCAACAACAAGAGCAAGUAAUCCACUAGAAAUACAAGUGAAAAGAAGAGAGAACUUUACUAAUUAUUACAUUAGUUUGCAUUCUUUUACAUUCACAUCUCUUUCCAAAAUGAAUACUUGAUCAUUUUAAAAUACAUAGCUCUCCAAACCUCACCUACAUGAAUCUCUCUCAAAUACAUAGGUGUGCUAAUGCAAAAAGGAAAGCUACUACUCUACCAGGUCCUCACUGGUCGGGCGCGAUGCCCUUGCCGCGAUCCUAACUCGGCAAACCUGCACCUAGCACUGGAAAUAAAAUGGAGUGAGAACUAUCUUCCAUAGUUCCCAAUAGGCUCGACCGCCGACUCCCCCGAUCUCCCCACUAGGUCCAAGUGGGCACAAGUAACAACAGAUAGAUAGAUAGAUAGAUAUCUAAAACUGUAAAUGACAUAAUAGGAAAACUAUACUACUAUGCCCAUAAUCAUGUGUAAUGAAUGCAUGCAUCAUUUAGUAAAGGUCUACUAUCAUGCUAACAAGUUCGAUCCAUGUUCGAAAAAGUGUCCAAUGACAACAUUUACCUUCCAUUUACCCAAUCUGUGGCAAGACCCUUGGGUCUGCCUACAUCUCACAUAUCCAUCCCAUAGGGUAGGGAGCUCCAUGUGCCCCAAACCCGGGACUGUCUGCGGACAUCAACUCUGUCCUAAUCGCCCGACACUCUGGAGUACUCGACGACAAAUCCUCUCCAUGUGAGGAUAUGGAUGGCUUUACCACCCCAAAUAACAGACCGUGAGUUUGAUCUAUCCUCUCCACGUGAGGAUACCCUACGAACUAGGGCCAACAUUCUCUCAGAACUCAUGUAUUCCGACAUUCAUGCAUGGCUACUUAGCUUUACUAAGUUCAUUGUCCAUAAGUCGUUUACUAGGGAAUCCACUUAUCCCUAAGUUCAUGAAGAACCUCUAGUGUCAAAUACACUACAUUAAUGCCACUUGUUUGUCCUUUAAACAUUUAGAUGCCACUCUCUAUAUCACUAGAUAACCAUCGAGCUCAUCUCUUUCUUUAGCACUAUAGGAUCCAUGUUCCGACCCAAUCCUUACCUAUCCAUUUUCACCGAGUAUUCCAUGUACACUAGGUUAACAUUUAGAAGCAUAAGAAAAAGGUACUACAAUACAAUCCUACAAUGCAACAUGCAAGAGAGGCAAAUCAUGUUAUUCUAAGACAUAAUAGAGAGUUCGGUUGCUUCGGGAUGACACCCCCCAUCUUUUCUUGUUGUAGAGGUUCUAAAAAUGCCUCUCGCCGAACGUUACGACGAGGUCUCGGCCUCCUUGGUCCAAAACGGUGCUCAAUCGGCCUUAUUUUGCCGAUAGCUUUUCUCCCGCUCGACGAAUCGAAAUUCCGACUUCGCCCCCACGUUUAGACACCUAGCAAUUAGGUUUAGAUGCCCUCAAAUGAAAUCAAUCUCAUACUUUAUCAAAAACCCCAAUUCGGGUGCCCUAGGGUUCACAUCUUGCCAUUUGCACUAAGGAACCCUAGCCUCUAGCUCUAAUCCACCACUAAUGGUGCUAGAGGUCCAUUUGACCUCCUCUCAAAAGCCAAAAACCCAAAAACCCUAAGUUCUACUAUUAGGGCUCAAGAGCUUACCUCUAAAUUAGCUCCAAAGGAGAGGAGAGGAAGAGGAAGAUGCUCCAAGCCUUCUCUAGCUUGAUCUCCUCCUUCUUCUUCUUCUCCUCCUUCUUCUUCUUCUCUUUUCUUUCUUCUCCUUCUAUUUUCUUUCUAGAGAGAGAGAGAGCUGAGUGAGAGAGCGAGGGUGAGGGUGAGGGUGAGGGUGAGAGCGAGGAGAGGGCUCAGCCCCUCUAUACCGCUCUAACUAAUGUCAUUUUUGCAUAAAAGCCCCUCUACUUUAACCCUCUCAACUUACUCUGCCUGGGCAGAUUUCGCACGAAAGGACCGGUCUCUCCCUGCCUGGGACCGGUCCCUUGGGACUUUCCCAAGUUUUCGUGUUCGGGAACCGGUCCCUCAGGCCCAGGGACCGGUUGCAUCGCGCGCUGCCGCAACCCUCAGUUCGGGGACCGGUCUCUCCCUGCCAGGGACCGGUCCCCGAGAGCAAAAUCUGUCAGGUGCAGUUUUUCGCAUUUCUUGCUCUCGUGGACUUGACUCCAAAGCACUUUUGUGCUUUGGACAUCUUUAGCCUUUCCGAAGGGUACCUACUCGACAAAUAGUCGAUUCUGGUCGAAGUUCAACUCUCGGNUGCUUUGGACAUCUUUAGCCUUUCCGAAGGGUACCUACUCGACAAAUAGUCGAUUCUGGUCGAAGUUCAACUCUCGGAUUUCAAGGAUUCACUUCCUUACAUCCUCCCCUCCUUAAAAGGAGUUUCGUCCUCGAAACUAAUCCAAUUCUCAACUUUAACUCAAAUUCAUACCUUAUUCCUCAAACAAGUGAGGAUGGUGCUUUCCCAUCAGAUCCUCGAGUUCCCAGGUGGCCUCGCGAUCAUCAUGAUUGCUCCACCGAAUCUUUACAUAAGGAAUCUCGCGAUUUCGUAGCUUUCGCACUUCUCGAGCAAUAACCCCCACUGGAAACUCUUCAUAGCUCAAAUCCUCUUGGAGCUCCGGUGGCUCAUACAAUAGAGCAUGCUCGGGAUCAUGAAUGUAUUUGCGAAGAUGGGAGACGUGAAACACGUUAUACACAUCUGCGAGCUUCGGCGGCAACGCAAGCCGAUAAGCCACGGUCCCAAUUCGCUCCAAUACCUCGUAAGGUCCGAUGUAUCGAGGACUUAGCUUUCUCCGAACUCCGAAUCGUUUUACACCCCUCAUGGGUGAGACCUUCAAGAAUACGUGAUCGCCUACUGCGAACUCCAAGUCUCGACGGCGCCUAUCAGCAUAGCUUUUCUGUCUCGACUGCGCCGUGAGCAACCUCUUGCGACCAAGGCGGACUUUCUCCUUCGCUUCUCUAGAACAUCAGGGCCGAACUCCGCACGCUCACCCACAUCGCCCCAAUGUAUAGGAGAUCGACACUUCCGCCUAUAGAGAGCCUCGAACGUUGCCAUCUCUACACUAGCAUGAUAACUAUUGUUGUAGGCGAACUCGGCCAUCGGCAGAUGAUCACACCAACUUCCCUUGUAGUGUAUGACACACGCUCGCAACAUAUCCUCCAGAGUUUGAAUGGUCCUCUCUGUUUACCCAUCAGUCUAAGAAUGAAAUGCUGUGCUAAAAUCGAGCCGUGUGCCAAGAGCUUCCUGCAGGCUUUUCCAGAAGUGCGAGGUAGACCAGGGGUCACGAUCCGACAUGAUCAAUUCCGGCACCCUGUGUAACCUCACUAUCUCAUCAAGGUAUACCUGCGCCAGUUUGUCACCUGCCCACGUGGUGUGGAUCGGCAAAAAGUGAGCCGACUUCGUCAAACGAUCCACAAUUACCCAAAUUGCAUCGUGGCCGCCAGUUGAGCGAGGCAAGCCGACCACGAAGUCCAUUGAUAUAUCUUCCCAUUUCCAAACGGGGAUUGGAAGGCUUUGAAGCUUUUUCGCUGAAAAUCGACGCUCCGCCUUCACUUGUUGGCAAACUAAGCACUUAGCUACGAAGCGUCCAAUAUCACCUUCCAUUCCCGGCAACUAAUAGUGCACUUUCAACCCUUGAUACAUCUUGGUGCCACCCGGGUGAUCAACAUAUGGAGACCGAUGUGCUUCUUGUAGAAUUAGCUCGCGAAGCUCUCCAUUUUUGGGCACACACCACCGGUUUCGAAACCGAAGUGUACCACCGGCGUCUAUACUGAAAUCGCCGCCUCGACCUUCCUCGAUGUUUCGCCGCACCUUUUGGAGUUCUAGGUCCGCAGGUUGCAGAUCUUUGAUCCUCUCCAACAAGGUCGGUUGGAAAACGAGCGCCAUCAACUUGGCCGGAAUCUCGGGAGCAACCACCUCAAGGUCCAUUCGCUCCAUGUCCAGCCAUAGGGGCGUUUGAUUCGUAACCCACAUAGCAAGGUUCUCCGCUGAUUUCCUGCUCAGCGCAUCCGCGACCACAUUCGCUUUCCCCGGGUAGUAAAGGAUAUCCACAUCAUAAUCCUUUAGCAGUUCCAACUACCGCCGCUGUCGCAUGUUGAGCUCUUUCUAUGUGAACAGGUAUUUCAGGGUCUUGUAGUCGGUGUAGAUCUCGCAAUGGGCACCAUACAAGUAGUGCCGCCACAGCUUCAAGGCGAAGAUUACCGCCGCUAGCUCCAAAUCAUGAAUGGGGUAGUUCUUCUCAUAGCUCUUCAGCUAACUGGACGCAUAAGCGGUCACCUUCCCGCCCUGCAUCAGGACACACCCCAAUCCUAGAUAGAAGCUUCGCUAUAGACCACGAAGUCUUCGCCUUGCACCAGUAGAGCGAGCACCGGAGUCAAAGUUAAUCUUUGCUUCAACUCUUUGAAACUCCGAUCGCAUUCCUCGCUCCAGACGAACUUGGUGCCUUUUUGAGUCAGAUGGGUAAGUGGAAUUACUAACUUCGAAAAGCCCUCCACGAACCGUCUAUAGUAGCCCGCUAAGCCCACGAAGCUUCGAACCUCCGUAACAUUCAUCAAGCGCGGCCAAUCCUUGAUUGCAUCAACUUUCCUCGGGUCUACUGAAACUCCACCCUUGGAAAUCACAUGCCCUAGAAAUGCGACCUCUCGGAGCCAGAAGUCAUACUUCUUUAACUUAGCAUAUAGCUUCUUCUUCCGAAGGACUUGAAGCACUAUCCUCAAAUGCUCGGCAUGUUCCUCGUCACUGCGAGAAUAGACCAAUAUGUCGUCUAUGAAGACCACGACAAAUCGGUCCAGAUACUUCCUGAAGACACGGUUCAUCAAGUCCAUGAACGCCGCUGGAGCAUUCGUGAGUCCAAAUCGCAUGACCGUGAAUUCAUAGUGCCCGUAUCGCGUACGAAACGCAGUCUUCCGCACAUCCUCCGGCUUGAUCUUCAACUGGUGAUAACCGGAUUACAAGUCUAUUUUCGAGUACACACACGACCCCUGCAACUGGUCGAACAAAUCAUCGAUUCGGGGUAGUGGGUACUUGUUCUUGAUCGUGACUCUGUUCAAUUCUCAGUAAUCCACGCAGAGUCGAAACGAUCCAUCCUUCUUUCGUACAAACAACACCAGGGCUCCCCACGGUGAUACACUUGGCCGGAUAAACUGCUUGUCGAGAAGGUCUUGCAGUUGACUCCUCAACUCUUUUAGUUUCGCCGGCACCAUUCGGUAGGAGCCUUCGAGAUCGGUGAGGUACCGGGAACCAAGUCUAUGACGAACUCGAUCUCCCGAUCCGGCGGUAUCCCCGGUAACUGUGCAGGAAACACAUCCGGAAACUCCCGCACCACCAAUAACUUCUCCAAGGUCGGAGUCAUUCGCUCCACUUCUACAACGGUCGUCAAGAAUACUGCACAACCGCUGUUGACCAGCUUCCUUGCUCUUGUCGCCGAUACUGUCGCGGCGAAGCACGAGCUCUGACAAGCCCGAUAAGUGAACUCCUUUUGUCCUGGCUCACGAAACGUAAUCACUCUGCUCUUGCAGUCAAUCGUUGUGUGAUACUUCGAGAGCCAGUCUAUGCCCAAUAUGACAUCGAACUCUUUAAGGUUCUUGAGUUAUAGCAUCCUAAUGGGCAUUAUCCAGUCACCUACUUGUACUGGACACGAUGAGCAUUCCGUGUAGGUGUUAAACGUCGACCCAGGGCCCUCAACUCGCCACUUGCCAUUAGUCGCCUCUAUAAGUAUGUCAUGCAUGCGUGCGAAUGAUCUACUGAUAAAUGAAUGCGUGGCUCCUGUAUCAAACAUAGCCCUGGAGCGAACUCCGUUAAUUAAAACCAUACCUGCCACUAGGCGAUGCUCCUCCGCCUCCGCAGGCUCCUCGGCUUGGACCUGAGCGACAAAUACACGUCCGCUCGGGGCCGAUCGCGCCAUCUCGGGCUGGCGCGGUAUCAUCGCACGUCCUGCCGACACAACCAUCGGUAGAACUCCUCUAUAGUGAGCCGGAAUCGCCGGCGCCGAUGCAGUUGAUGGGGCAGGUGAGGCUCCAUCUCCCGCGCAAUCCCAUAUAAAGUGCCCCGGUUGCCCGCACUGGUAGCACUUGCCCAGGUGAUCUCCGCCACAGAUGACGCACCGUCGCGCUUCAUUACCCUUUGGCUGAGUCCGCAUAUACUUCGGGGGCUUCUUGGAACGUGUUUGUCCCCCCCAAACCGCCGCCUUGGCGCUUCUUGCCUUUGUCCUUGGACUCGACCAACAACUCGCGCUUCUCUCGAACAUGGGCGUUUCCGUGCUCCGCCCAAAGUGCUCGAUCGAAGACCUCCGCGAAGGUCGUGAGCUUAAGUAUCUGCACAACCUUAUAGAUCCCCGGCCGAAGUCCUCGUAAGAACUAGUCGGCCCGGUCCCGGUCAUCUCGUACCACAUCCGGGACACAGUCUAUAAUGUGGGAGAACUCCUGCUCAUACUCCGCUACUGAACGGUCCCCUUGCUCCAACUUGUGGAACUUCUCCUGGAGCUUCCGCUUCAAUGUGUCAGGGAAGUAGUUGGUGAACAUCGCCCUCUUGAAUUCCUCCCACAGCAUCGGCGGAAGGCCGAGGAGCCGAUCACGUUUGACCCGCUUCCACCACACCUUCGCUGCUUUCUCCAAGCAGUGGGUGGCGAGAUACACCCUAUCUCUCUCCAAAGUGCGCAGGUCUUCGAAGAGAGUUUCCAUCGAAUCGAUCCAUGACUCGACCAUCACUGGCUCCACCUUCUCGCCCUCGAAGAUGGGCGGAUGGAACUUGUUGAACUUGAUAAGAGCCGCCAACGCGCGCUCUCCUUCCGCGUCUUCGGCCGUCACAUCGGGUGUCGCUGAUCCUGACGCCGCCGGAGGGACAAUUACCGGCGGGGGACGUGCCGCCAACGGAACCGCCGCUAUACCCUCACCCUCAGCUGGCUCAGGUACGCGAGUCGAGGGUGUGGGUACAUCGCGUCCGUCUGUCGCCGUUGCGGCCGCCACCGCAGCCUGCCGCUCCAAGAGCUCCUGGAGCCGCUCGAAUCGGGUCUCCUGGCGCUGCACUACAUUAGUCAAUGCGGUCACUUGCGCCUGCAACCGAUCCAUCACACUCGGUUCAGCCUGCUCGGGCACCUCAGGAGUCGGUGUCGGGGCAGAUCUACGUGUGUAGCGUCUUGGAGACAUUAGUCCCUGAAACGCAAAUACUUGGUCAGUCAUCUUAACCAAUUACCUCGUCGAAAUUACGACACAUGACAACUCAACAACAAAAUCGGGCGAAAGCACACAAGUGUACUCAUUCUAGACUCUUGGUAUCAUGUCGUCGGCCGCCGACAUAACCACCUCAAAUCAAGAACUAAUACCACUUGAAUCCAUCUCUAGCAUCUACUAGAGAUACAUCACCAACUUCGACCCGAUCGAAUUAACUUCCGCCACCGGUAUAGGUUCACGUUCCACUCACGCACCUAUAACCUUCGGGUUUACCAACCUAGGGUCUCCUAGGUCAUCCUAGACUUUUUCUCUUUACUUGCUCUUAUUGCUCUGAUACCAAUGUUGUCACGCCCCCACCCCGAAACCCCUACCAAUUUGGCGCGGUUCGGGCGCGGCGAACGGACGCCGAACGGACAGCACCUCCCCUGCCCGCCCAAGGCUCAACAAUAGAUCGAGUACAAGAAUUUACCCAUGAAUUUAAAUUCUAAAUGUACACAAUCGCAAGGGCACAAACAGUGCCAACAACAAGAGCAAGUAAUCCACUAGAAAUACAAGUGAAAAGAAGAGAGAACUUUACUAAUUAUUACAUUAGUUUGCAUUCUUUUACAUUCACAUCUCUUUCCAAAAUGAAUACUUGAUCAUUUUAAAAUACAUAGCUCUCCAAACCUCACCUACAUGAAUCUCUCUCAAAUACAUAGGUGUGCUAAUGCAAAAAGGAAAGCUACUACUCUACCAGGUCCUCACUGGUCGGGCGCGAUGCCCUUGCCGCGAUCCUAACUCGGCAAACCUGCACCUAGCACUGGAAAUAAAAUGGAGUGAGAACUAUCUUCCAUAGUUCCCAAUAGGCUCGACCGCCGACUCCCCCGAUCUCCCCACUAGGUCCAAGUGGGCACAAGUAACAACAGAUAGAUAGAUAGAUAGAUAUCUAAAACUGUAAAUGAUAUAAUAGGAAAACUAUACUACUAUGCCCAUAAUCAUGUGUAAUGAAUGCAUGCAUCAUUUAGUAAAGGUCUACUAUCAUGCUAACAAGUUCGAUCCAUGUUCGAAAAAGUGUCCAAUGACAACAUUUACCUUCCAUUUACCCAAUCUGUGGCAAGACCCUUGGGUCUGCCUACAUCUCACAUAUCCAUCCCAUAGGGUAGGGAGCUCCAUGUGCCCCAAACCCGGGACUGUCUGCGGACAUCAACUCUGUCCUAAUCGCCCGACACUCUGGAGUACUCGACGACAAAUCCUCUCCAUGUGAGGAUAUGGAUGGCUUUACCACCCCAAAUAACAGACCGUGAGUUUGAUCUAUCCUCUCCACGUGAGGAUACCCUACGAACUAGGGCCAACAUUCUCUCAGAACUCAUGUAUUCCGACAUUCAUGCAUGGCUACUUAGCUUUACUAAGUUCAUUGUCCAUAAGUCGUUUACUAGGGAAUCCACCUAUCCCUAAGUUCAUGAAGAACCUCUAGUGUCAAAUACACUACAUUAAUGCCACUUGUUUGUCCUUUAAACAUUUAGAUGCCACUCUCUAUAUCACUAGAUAACCAUCGAGCUCAUCUCUUUCUUUAGCACUAUAGGAUCCAUGUUCCGACCCAAUCCUUACCUAUCCAUUUUCACCGAGUAUUCCAUGUACACUAGGUUAACAUUUAGAAGCAUAAGAAAAAGGUACUACAAUACAAUCCUACAAUGCAACAUGCAAGAGAGGCAAAUCAUGUUAUUCUAAGACAUAAUAGAGAGUUCGGUUGCUUCGGGAUGACACCCCCCAUCUUUUCUUGUUGUAGAGGUUCUAGAAAUGCCUCUCGCCGAACGUUACGACGAGGUCUCGGUCUCCUUGGUCCAAAACGGUGCUCAAUCGGCCUUAUUUUGCCGAUAGCUUUUCUCCCGCUUGACGAAUCGAAAUUCCGACUUCGCCCCCGCGUUUAGACACCUAGCAAUUAGGUUUAGAUGCCCUCAAAUGAAAUCAAUCUCAUACUUUAUCAAAAACCCCAAUUCGGGUGCCCUAGGGUUCACAUCUUGCCAUUUGCACUAAGGAACCCUAGCCUCUAGCUCUAAUCCACCACUAAUGGUGCUAGAGGUCCAUUUGACCUCCUCUCAAAAGCCAAAAACCCAAAAACCCUAAGUUCUACUAUUAGGGCUCAAGAGCUUACCUCUAAGUUAGCUCCAAGGUAGAAGAGAGGAAGAGGAAGAUGCUCCAAGCCUUCUCUAGCUUGAUCUCCUCCUUCUUCUUCUUCUCCUCCUUCUUCUUCUUCUCUUUUCUUUCUUCUCCUUCUAUUUUCUUUCUAGAGAGAGAGAGAGCUGAGUGAGAGAGCGAGGGUGAGGGUGAGGGUGAGGGUGAGAGCGAGGAGAGGGCUCAGCCCCUCUAUACCGCUCUAACUAAUGUCAUUUUUGCAUAAAAGCCCAUCUACUUUAACCCUCUCAACUUACUCUGCCUGGGCAGAUUUCGCGCGGAGGGACCGGUCUCUCCCUGCCUGGGACCGGUCCCUUGGGACUUUCCCAAGUUUUCGCGUUCGGGAACCGGUCCCUCAGGCCCAGGGACCGGUUGCAUCACGCGCUGCCACAACCCUCAGUUCGGGGACCGGUCUCUCCCUGCCAGGGACCGGUCCCCGAGAGCAAAAUCUGUCAGGUGCAGAUUUUCGCAUUUCUUGCUCUCGUGGACUCGACUCCAAAGCACUUUUGUGCUUUGGACAUCUUUAGCCUUUCCGAAGGGUACCUACUCGACAAAUAGUCGAUUCUGGUCGAAGUUCAACUCUCGGAUUUCAAGGAUUCACUUCUUUACAGUAACCUAACCCUUUAUAGUUUUGAUGUGUUGAAAGUAGUUGUAAAGGGGGUUCAUGGUGUAUGUUACAGCUAGUUCGCAGCAGGCUUAUGUGAGGCAUUGCGGCUAAGUUUGGUGACUAUUAUAGGUUGGUUUGGAUGUGCUCCAACCUGAAUUGAAGUGGAAUUACGUUCGGGAUUCUAUAUUAGGUAAAUUCUAUCUAAAUGAGGGGAUUAUGUGAGAUAUAUAUAUGAAACUCGGUUGAAGUUCUUAAUUGAAUUUAGAAGGUAUAUUAGGGUACUUGGAGGCUUCAGAUUACUCUCAGUUGCAGGAUUGAUGAGAGUCGUCGACUAAUUGGUGGGUUUGACCUUCCCAAAAUGGAUUAAUUCCCUCUGUCUCCUUUGACAUUAUGAGUUAAAGUUAUUGCAUAUUUAUGUGAAUAUAUGUGUAUUUGAUGGAAUUGAGACGUGCAUCAAGGUGCAUAUCAUAUCGAAUAUAAUAGUACCUCUAUGCAGUAGAGGAAGAAUUAUGAAAUUGCUUAUUCUAUCUAGACCACUUGCCCUAUUAACAUGUAUUCAUGAUAUGCGUAGCUUGUACAAACGAGUUAAGCAUGACAUCAUUCAGGAGGGAAGAAUUGUAAAACCAUAAAAGUAUCAUUUGGCUCUAUUGGACAACAAGGGAAUGAUGUACUUGAAGUGAAAUUAUGCAAUUUCGUGUUGUACACAUGGUGCUAGAACUAUUAGUUCAUCUUGCAUAGUGAGGUUAUUUAUAUAUUUAUAUGGAAUCAUAUAAGAGUAUCUUAGAUAAUGUUUUACAUACUUGUGUUGACAAGUUGGUUGUUGUUUUCAUAUGUUGUUAAAACUAGCAUGGACUUCGAGUUUUGAACAUGAUCUAGUUAAGUAACAAGAACUUGGCAUUAUGACAUAACAUGAAUGUACACUGUUAAAUAUAACCUAGUUGAAUGGCUAGAAAUAAUCAUGAUGUAUACUUGUAUAGUCGAGCAAAAGUACCUACAUAUUACUUAUUUACUCCAGGUAGUGGAGGCUUAUGUGGAACUUUAAAAUAUGUGCCAUGAGUCCUAUGAAUCCCGAAUGAGUCAUUGAGUAUAACCUUAGUAAACCACUUUCCUUAUGUAUAGGGAGUAGUGAGAGGACUCUAUGUGACAGUGUUUGAAAAGGCGCGCCUCAGGGAGUGAGGUGCGCGCCUCAGACGCGCCUCGUGAUAUUUACGUUUAAUGCGUCUACGGUGUGGGUUUUUGGGUUUUGAGUUUCUUCAAUAUAUUCUAAAAUGUUAAGAAACUUUUUAAAAAAAAUUUCUAAUUGAACACUUUCUUUUCCUUUUCUCUUGGUCAUUCUCUCUUUCACCCCCCAAUAGCAAUAAAUAGCAGCGGCAAGAAGAAAGAAGCAACAGCAAACACUUUAAAGCUGAAAGUUGAAACAUAAUUUUUUUUAUUUUUAAGUUGAGAACAUUUAUGCAUGCGAUUUCUUUACAUUUUUAUGGUUAUUUUGUUUUUGUAUAGCUAUUUUAGAAUUUUUUAAUAUAAAACAUUCAUUUAAAAUAGGCUUGUUAAGAGUGUUUUAUUUUUAUUAGAUAUGCGCCUUACCUUCUUGCGGCGCGCGCCUCGCGGUGCGCCUCGCGCCUAGGCUCCAUAAAGCAUUUGCUCCUUUUUGCGCCUUGCGCCUUUUCAAACACUGUAUGUGUGGGUAUAGCCCAUUAUGAGGUAAAGUAUAUACUUGUUUAAGUUAUACUAGUUAUUGGUAGAAUUAUGUCAAUAAGUAGUUGUUAGUAGCUUAUGAUUUGGUAUUACAGUGUCGACCUUGUGUCGAAUUGAGAUUCCAUGUUAGAGACAUGAUGAAAUUGUGAUACCUACGCUAUGGAUUAUGCUUGCAUGCCAUUGUGCUCACUCGCACACGCUUGUUGGGGUCGCGCCCUCCAAGCCGGCACUCCGAAGUUAGCCUAGCGACAGAUUGCUCGCUUAUGUACGAUUUGAGCGCCGAAGUGGAUUGCUGUGGGUAGUGUUGACUUCCACCGGGCCAUUAGGCACGGCGCGGCUGGGACUUUACCCUGUGUAAGUCUCUUGUGAAUUGGGUUAUUAUGAGUUACUUUAACCUUAGACGGACGUAGUAGUAAGGAUACUUUAUGUCAUUGAUCAAGUAAACUUAGUAAUGAACAUACUAGAAAGUUGACAUCCUGAUUAGUUGGUAGUAUAGUGACAGUAUGUUUACACUCUUGCUAGUGUAGGAAAUUAACUACAUGAUGCCAUCGGAUAGUUCAUUGAUAAUAAGGAUAGUUUGUAUACGGUCUGACAUAUAGCUAGUUAAACUGUCAAUUGGUCUAAUCGGUAAAACUUGUCAUGAUGAACUAGUACGUAAAACAUGUUAAUAAACAUAUCUUGAGAAGAAUGUCAUGAUUGAUUUGCUUCAGUACCUGUUGCAUUUACUUGCUUAUCUAUUAUUGUUUACUCAUCCCACAGUUGGUCUAGUGGUGUACUUCGCCACUCUCGGCGGCUUACCCACUGGGAACUAUUGUUUAAUAGUUCUCACGCCCUUUUGUUAGUUGUUUUAUGCAGAGCCUUCCAUAGCAGGAAAGGCUAGGGUUCCUGGCGAGGGGUCAGCGGCUAGCUAGCGCCUUCUCGAUGUUAAAUAGAUGAACCUCUACCAGUUUAUUUUGAUUUAGUUCAGUAGUGUAUCUUGGACUUAUGCAGAAUGUACUUUGUUUUUACAUUGUAAUAAGGUUUUGGUUUGUAUAAGUUUUAAACUUUUAGUUGUGCUCUGAUUACUUAGUUAAGUUAUGAUUUCUUUUGCUAUAUUGUUCAUUCUCUUUGUAGACGCCUAGUGUACAUUGUGAUUGUUUGGUGUACACGGCGGGUCUGUGCACGUUACUGUGAGCUUCCGCUGAAGUCCAGGGCGUGACACCAUCAAACAUGAUGUACACUUUUUUAAGUAUCAAGAAACUAAAUUUCAUGCUUUUUACGUUCAUUUCUUGUGCAUCAUAUGGAUACAAUAAUAAACAGUCAAAAAUAAAUAUCCUCAAAAAAAUAAUGAUAGAAUUCUUGUGGCCAAGAUCAAGGUUUGAUCUUCAUUCAAAUAGUUCAUUUUCUAAUAAGAAAUUCAACUAAUUUGAAUUCUUCUACACUGUUAAACGAACUCUUUUCGAUAUACACACAUUGAUAUUGCACAAUUAAUUAGUUGACAUCUGAAUUUAACGCUUGCAUCAUAUAAUAAGCACAUACCUUGUGGAAAAAGGUAACCCUUGCUAAGCGCCGGACGUUCAUAAGGAGCCACCUGAAAGAUGAAAUAUCUGUAAGAAAAUCAUGUUGAGGAAAAAAGAAAAAAAAAAAAAUAAGACAUUGCUUAAGCAUCUUGAAAAUUAAACAAAGAAAUAAAUACUAAUUACCUCACCUAUUAUCUUAUAGAAAGGUUGGUUACAUAAUGUUGAUUCAUGUUCAUGAACAAUAGUCAAAUCCAAAACAAUUUCAAAAGUGUGCCAAAAAAGUUUAGUUACUGAUAAAAACAGAUUUACUAGUCUCGCUUCGUCUUAUAUCCUGUUUAUAGUAAUUACUUAAAAAGAUCAAUUAUAUUGCUAAUUGCCUAUUUAAGCAACAGCGUGCAGAUACUAGAUACUGUAACUAACUUCAAUACCCUAUAUAAGACAAUGUCACUACAUUUGAAAAUGGAUGUAAGAGGAACAACUAUAAGACACAUAGGACAAUAAAUUUUAGGGUAAACUUUAAAUACCACCCUUGUGGUUUCGCACUUUCUCACUUUAGUACCCUAUAGUUUAAAGUGUAUCAAUUUAGUACCAUGUGGUUUCAUUUUUCUCUUUUCAUCAACCCCUCUAUUAACUUUUCAUUAAAUUAUUAUGAGACCCCAGGUAGUCCUAUAUAUAAGAUACUAGUUAAGGGGCCCGCGCUUCGCGGCUGGAAGACAAUACAACAGUAAAUUAUUAUAACUAUCAACAUCACUUUUUUUUCUAUUAUGCAUUAAUAUUUUUAAAUAUUAUUUAUUGCAGACCUUUUGCGGGAUGCGGAGAGUAGUUCGAACCUGUAAGGGUUCCCGAUUAAUAAGUUCGAAGCGGCGGGAAGAUAAUACAAUAGUAAAUUAUUAUAAUUAUUAAUAUCACUUUAAAUUAAAAUUUUAAUUUUGAAUGCAAAUUCAAAUAUCAAAAUCAAAAUAAAAAAAAAUUAAAGUUUGAAAUCAAAAUCUACAAAAUUUAAGUUUGAAAUCAAAUUUUAAAAAAUUUAAGUUUGAAAUCAAAAUUUAGAUUCAAUUUAAAAUUCAAUUUUUAAAUUUAAAUACAAAGCUCGCGAGUUGUGGGCCCCACCGAAGUCCCCGAUCACGAAGAAGACUACCGUACAAUUUUUGUUUCCCCAGUUCAUAUAAUUUUAAUUUUAAUUUUAAUUUUAAUUUUAAUUUUAAUUUAAAAUUUUAUUUUAUUUUAAUUUUAAUUUUUAUUUAAUUUAAAUUUAAAUUUUUAUUUUUUGUAUGUGAUCAAGAACACUACAAAAUAAGAAAGUUAGAAAAGGAAAAAAAAAAGCAAAGACAAGGAAGAGAGAGAAGAGUGGGUCCCACAGGAAAAAAAAGCCAAAAAAGAAAAGCCCCGCUCCGCGCCGGCUCAAGCCCGCGCGCCCGCACGCCAUCCCGCGCCCGCUCGCUCCUGCGCAUGCUCGCUCGCCCGCGCCCGCUCUCCAGCCCGCUCGCGCCCCCUCGCCCGCUCGCGCCCACGCGCCCGCUACCUCACGCCCCUCGCGCCCACCCGCCACAUGGCAGGCCAGGGAACUCCCAGUUCUCGAUUCAUAAGUAUAUAAAUAAUAGGGCUAAAACUCUUAACCCGGCUUAAGUAUUUUGGACGGUGGAUAGACCCAAAAGGCUAAGAAAGUUAAGCAUGCUAGGACGGGAGUACUCUUAGGAUGGGUGACCACCUAGAAAGUUUGGGCGUCACAAUCAUAUACAAAAAACUUCAGGUACCCCACCUUUAGUUUAUCGAAUAUUCACUUUAGUACCCUUUAGUUUUAACUUUGUCACUAAUUUAACGAAAAAAUUAGUGGAGGGGAUAACAAAAAGAGAAAAAUAAAACCACAGGGUACGAAAGUGAUACACUUUAAACCAUAGAAUAAAGUUUAAAGUGUCGUAACACGGGGGCGUGCCGCUGUUUGCCUGGCACAGUACGGCAACGGCACGCUUCCGUGCAGACACAUGGCACGCUUGCGUGCCGAUAGAUAUGCAUGACCUCCUACUGGCACGCUUUGACACGAAUUUAUUUCAGUUUUUUUCGUUCCAAUAAACUCCUAUAAUGUUAUUUUGAAAAAUUUAAUCAAAUAAUUAUGAAUAUUUGUUAUGUAUAGUUUACUAUACUCAUCAAUUAAUAUACUUGUAAACUUUUUUGUAUGUAAAGUAUAACUAUACCUGAUGCAGAAUAGAAAUUUUUACAGGUUAGAAUUUUUAAAAUGCAAAAACAUCUUUUUUUUCUUUCUUUCUUUUGACCAUAUUACAGUCUUAUAUUUAUAAAAUACAAAAAUAAUAAUUUUUAAAAUUAUUUUAAAAAUAUUUGAAAAACAUAUUUUUUAAUUAAUUUUUUCAAAAAAUUAGCAGAUAUAUCAAAAAAUUAAGCGAUAAAUUAUAUGACAAAUAAAUUAAAUAAAUUUAAGUAUCAAUUGAUUUAUUUAACUUUUAAUUUUAUCAGUAUUUUCAAUCUUCUAUCACAAAAAUAAAAUUUUAUGCUUAAUGUGCUUUAAUGUGUCUCAAAAUUUGUUUAUUAAGUUCGAUUUUGUUCCUCUAAUUCGGCAAAAGUUUCGCAUUGUGACAAAUUUUGAUAAAAUAAUUUGUGAAGUAAAAAUGAAUAUUUGUGGUGGAAGCGGAAGGCUCGGGCCGCGAAGCGGAGGGCUCCGGCCGCCGUAUAUUAAUAAAUAAAAAAAUAUUAAAUUAUAAUAUUUUUGACUUGCCUAACGAGUAGAUUUUUGAUUUGCAAUGUAUUUGGGGAGUGUGGGGUUACCCAAAAUGCUUCGGGUACCCUAAAAAAUAAACCAUAAAUAAAAAAAACAAAAAGCAAGAAAGAAGAAAAAUAACAGUGCCAGCACGGCACUGUGUCGCGGCACACUGCAUCGUGCCACUGUUUUGUGCUGCAUGGCGCCGUGUGCCGCGGCACGGACGGGGGUCCGAGACCCCCCUCUGUACCGUGGCCUCUUCUUGAGGGCACAGUAUGUGCUGCCCCGUGCCGUACGGCAUGGGGCGGCACUUUAAACCUUGCCACAUGGUACUAAAGUGAGAAAGUGCGAAAUUAUAGAGGUGGUAUUUGAAGUUCUUCCUAAAUUUUACUUAGGUGUUGUUUAAUUGUAUGCAGCUUACACUGAAGAUCUAACUCCAUGGAGGCCAAAAUAUAUUGAUUGGUUUGGUACAUCAGCAUCCAACUAUUGCACUUAGAACUGCAAAAGAAGUCCCAAUAGCUACAGAUGGAAUUGGACGCAAAUCAGCUAUAGUUCCAACUUCAACAGUUGGAGAGAGCAAUUUUCAUGCCUAAUAAUCUUACCAACAAGUGGCAAAGGGCUUGGUAGUUGGUACCCGAGACCCAAGUUCGAAUCCUAGUUGAGUCACAUUUUCAGCUAAGUUUAUUUCUAAAUGAAAUAAACAAAGCGGGUAGCGUGCUACCUAUCUCUCAAAAAAAAAUAAUCUUACCAACCCAUCUGUCUCUUGAAUACACACAAACACACACAAAAAUAAAGAAAAAAAAAGGUCACCCUUUUUAAGAAAUAAUCUCAUCAUACCAUAGGAUUUCUAAAAUGAAAUUUUCAAAUGUAAUUCUCCACUAGAUUCAAUCAAAAGAAAAAAAUUAUAGUAGCAACACUCUCAACUACAUGCAAGCAAACACGAUAAUUGUAGUUGAAAUUGCAGCAAGUCCAAUUGCAUGUAUCUUUUAUUUUUAUUUUUAUAUAUUUAUAACUCCGUCUAAGCAAAAGGCCCAUUAUAGUGGCUUAUUAGCAAGGUUACCAUUACACCUUUACUCCUUAGUGAAACUUCAUGUUUCUUCAAAUAUUCGGCAAGUGAAAUCAAAUCACUAAAGUUCAUAUAAAGACAAGAACGUGUAUCAAUCAAAUCAUUACUCAGAUGAAGCUUAAGAAUUGGCAUAUGGUUGCUGUGAUGACAAACUGUGGCUUUUAGCUAUGUACAAAUGGUGGUUGUGCUUAAAGAUCGAUCUUCAAUCACAUCAAGGAAUGAUAAGACCAUAGGGCCACUCCCUUACUUUAUAUCUAACUAAUUUUAGGUUAGGUACUUUCACAUGUGACACAAUAUGGUCCCAAAUUAAAAUCAGAAAUAUUCACAAAUGGUUACUUCUUGCAAUGAUGUUGCAAGUGCAACAAUAUCAGCUCUGACAGUUAGAUUGCGCCAUCUUGAUAAAGCUUUUAGAUGGCACUUUCUCUUUGCUAGACGACACAAUUCAAUUGUUAUUUGAUGAAAUAGGCUCCAAAAAUAUGAAAUCCCUUAUAAAAACUCACUACAAUUGUAACAUAAUAGAACAACAGCCCUACCAGAGGUCCAGAAUUAAAGAUAAUGCAAAAAAGCAAACAAAAGAGUCAUUUCUUGCACAAGAUAGAAAAAACUAAGACACUUUCAAGCAAGUUGACCGCAUACCGCCUCCUUUGAUAUGAUGGCCAAUUCCCCUGGAUUGAGCCCUUGCUUUGCAAACUCCCUCGCUGCAUAUCCCUUGAAAUAGACAACAAUAAACAUUUAAAUCGAUCAGCAUGCACAAAGACAAUAGAAUUAUGGCUUUAAUUACACUUUACUACUAAGUUUAAGGGUGUUGUCACAUUCUACAUUGUACUCUUUCUCUUUUUUUUUGGCCAAACACUCCAUUCUAUGUAUAUUUUAUUAAUAACCCUACAUUUCAGUAACAAGCAGAUAAAAACAAGUACAAUUAACAAUUAUUUCAUUUUCUUGACUUCCAAUUAAUCCUGAUCAUUUUCUUACAUAGCAAUUAGUGUCCAUUCCAGUCGUCGCAAUAUGGAGAAAUUGUAAAACAAAUCCUUAAUUCGGGCGAGCAAAUAUUUGCUUAUAUUUCUAACUGUCAAUGGUCAACUUUGAAGAUAAACAUCAAUAGAGAGUGUUAUUCACCCAGAAACACACAACUUCUGAACUCACAGCAUUUGCUUUGUAGAAAUGCUGGCCUCAAUUUCCUUUUCCAAAUUAAAUGAACUUUUGGAUCAAUUACUCUCCAUAUUAGGUCUUAUGUAAGUCUAGAGAGAAAGAUCAAAAAAGUAACUAAAGAAAAUACACAGAUCCAUUUAAAAUUCUAUCAUCAAUUAACAUAUUGUGCAUACUACUGAAGAGGCGAAAGAUUGAUGAAGCAUCUAGCGAAAAAAGAAAAACAUUAAAGUUCAUUAAGCCCUCUUGUAGUUUAGUGCAGGUCACUUUGCCAUCCUAUGGUUUGAAAAGUGACAAUUUGCUAUGUGUGGUUUUAUUUUUAUUUCACCAUAAGGACUUGCCAUAAAAUAAGUAUAAAAAAUCAAAUAAUUUGGUUAAUUGAUAAACAAAGGUUUAGGCACUAAAUUGAAAAAUCAGAAAAAGGUUGAGGAUCAAUAGUUUUGUUAACUCAAGGAACUACGCCAACAUAGCCCCAUAUUAGCGCCGCCCACGUGUAACUUCCUUCAAUUAAAAUGAAAGUAUUGGCGGUAGGGACCAAAUUAAAAAGAAAAUAAUGGUUGAAGACUUAAUUGACAAAACCAAAAGAUCGCGACCCAAUUAAAAAAAAUCAAAGAAAGUUUGUAGUUUGAUGCAUUUCUAGAUUAGGAUUUUCAAUUAUGGAAAUAAAUUUAUUAUAUUAGGAAUAUAUUAGGAAUAGGCAAUUAUCUUGUUAUUUAGGAAUAUGUUUGGGAAUGGGUUUAUUUAUGUUAAGUUAGUAUGAUUAAGAGUAAUUUGGGCAUGUGGGCUCUAUAUAAUGUAAUCCGGGAUUACAAGAAAUAAUCAAGCAAUAUUGUCUCUUUUCCCUCAUAUCUUGUCUUCUUUCUACUUCUUCUCGCUGCUUCUUAAUUCUUUAGGAGGUUCGAUCCCCUCAAAGUGAUCGUUUAUCCCUAUCGAUACAGUAGAACCGCAUCAUUUGGUAUCAGAGCUUGUAUGGUCCUGACUCAAGCAAAAAAAGAAUCCUUACGAAAGAUGGACGGGAAGUUCGUACGAAGGGAGAAAAUGAACAACGUUGAUACUCGAUUGAACAAACUGGAGACCGAGGUAAGGCUCAUUAGGGAUUCUAUUAACGAUCUUAAAAAUUUAAUUAUCGCUAUGAGCGCAAAGAUGGAUGUGCGACAGCAAGCAUUGCCCGAAGAUACAUCCAUCGCAAGUUCCGACAAAAAUCGUCCUCUUCUUCCGACUCCCUUCAAGGAAGGAACAUUGAUUCCUACUAUGAAGAGCUCUAUGAUGGUGAUACCUCGUGUCACAAGACUGGAGUUUCCCCGAUUUGAUGGCGAGGAUCCAGCUGGAUGGGUGUAUCGAGCAGAGCAAUUUUUUAAAUUUAAUCAAAUACUGACCGUGCAAAAAGUUCCACUUGCAUCGUACCAUAUGGAGAAGGAAGCAUUGCAAUGGUUUCAAUGGUUUGAGAAAAGCAGUGGAGUUGUAGCGUGGACAAAUUUCGUAGAAGGACUCCGCACUCGUUUUGGUCCAACCAUGUAUGAAGACUAUAUGGGUGAAUUAUCAAAAUUACAACAAGGACCUACUCAAGAGUGUUCAUGACUAUCAGGCUCGAUUCGAAAUGCUAGCCAAUCGCACUUUAGGACUAACUGAGGCUUUUUUCAUAAGUUGCUUCGUUAGUGGGCUGAGGGAGGACCUAAAGCAUGAUGUCUGAGCCUUCCGACCAACUUCUAUGUCAGCAGCCAUCGGUCUUGCUCGUCUACAAGAGGAAACGUUGAUAGCUCAACAUCGUAUUAUAAAUUCUAAACCUUCUCUUUUGUCUGCUUCCACAACACCAAUGUCUAAUGAGACGCUUCCACAACACCAAUGUCUAAUGAGACGCUUCCACCCAUAAAGCGCCUCACACCGGUUGAAGCAAAAGUAAGGAGAGCCUUUGCUACAAUUGUGAUGAAAAAUAUAGACCCGGACAUCGAUGCAAAUCAAAGCAACUAUUUUUUAUCGAGGCCGAACCUGAUGAAAACAAAGAAGAUGAUAUAAAAGGAUUAGACAAGCUUGAGGAUUUUCCACCUUGAGGAUAAGGUAGCUUUUGAGGGCGGUGGAAUGAUGUGUUUCUAGAUUAGGAUUUUCAAUUAUGGAAAUAAAUUUAUUAUAUUAGGAAUAUGUUAGGAAUAGGCAAUUAUCUUGUUAUUUAGGAAUAUGUUUGGGAAUGGGUUUAUUUAUGUUAAGUUAGUAUGAUUAUGAGUAAUUUGGGCAUGUGGGCUCUAUAUAAUGUAAUCCGGAAUUACAAGAAAUAAUCAAGCAAUAUUGUCUCUUUUCCCUCAUAUCUUGUCUUCUUUCUACUUCUUCUCUCUACUUCUUAAUUCUUUAGGAGAUUCGAUCCCCUUGAAGUUAUCAUUUAUCCCUAUCGAUACGGUAGAACCAUAUCAUAGUUAUCCUUUAAAAAAAAUAAUAAUAAUUGCUUGACAUCUUUCCCUCUCCGGAAAAACAAAAAAAAAUAUAUAUAUUUAUUACAUCCAUCUCUUCCUCAGAUGUUACCGAGUUAAUCAAAGCAAAAGAAAAUAGCAAAUUCCAUGCGGGCAUUAUUUUUUUUUUAAGGGUUAGCGAAAAGAAAAUGAAAAAUUAAAAAUAGAUGAUCCCCCAAUUUCUACGGAUUUUACACAACGACGCGAGCGAGAAGUCGUACGAGAAGAAGAGAACGGAUUAAUCGAUCGAUAAAUAUUAAUGCGUUGUUCAAAGUGACGUGAAUUGAUUGAGAAAAAGUAAGUGUUUGGUUUAGGGAAUUACCGGUGGAAAAAAGAAAAAGUAAAAUAAAAAAAAGAAAAAGAAACGAUUGGGAAAAAAAAAAAGAAAAAAAAAACCUCACCGCGGCAACGCCGCCGCCGAGGAUGACGUACUUGAAGUGCUUCGCCUCCGCCAUCGAUCGAUCGAUCGGGGAUUCAAAUGAGCGAAUGCCAAAAAAAAUAUAAAAAAAAAAGGUUUCCAAGAGACGCGAAAAGGAAAAGUUGGAGGAGAUAUUUAUAGGGCGAAAAAUCUUCGGAGACCUACUUCACUUUCCAUUUCAAACAUGAAUUCAAACUCUUGCUCUUUUAAAAAAAACAAAAAUUGUUUGUACUACAUUGGUCAGCAACAUUUUAAUUUCACCCCGGUUUUCGUUUUAUUUUAGUCCCCAUAUUUUAAUUUUAACAAUUAAGUUUUAGCUUUUUUUUGUUAUUUAUUUAAUUGAAUUACUUUUUAAAAAAGUAUCAUUAACUCUAACCAAAAAAAUUAUCAUUUGGCAAAAUUUAAGGACAUGUUUGGUUCAUUCGUUUUGACCCAAAAAUUGAAAUCGGAAUAAAUGAAUUCAUUUAGGGCUUGUUUGGUUCAAGGGUGGAAUUGGAAUGAAUAAUGGAAUUGCAAUGAAUUGAAAUGAUAAUUGGAUUGGCUCACUCUCCCAAGACGUUUGGUUUAUUUGUGAAUUGGAAAUUAGAAUAAGUUAUUCAUAUUUCAUUGUUUGGUUCGUAUAAAUUAAAAAAUUAUAGGAUACCAUUAUACUAAUUUUACUCUCAAAUAUGAUUUUAUAUUAUUUAAAAUUUAUGAAAAAUAUAAUACUAUUCUCUAAUAAUUUUUUCCAAAAAAAAUUAAAUUUAUUUUUAAAAACUUUUAUUGAUGUGGGUUAGAGAUCGAAUUUUGAGAGAGGAUAGGUGUUUUCUUUUUUUUUUUUUAUGAGAGAGGGGUGAAGAGAUCGUAUGUAUAGUUGUAUACAGGAGAGGAGGGUGAGAUGGUUGUGGGCUUCGGGAAUGAAAUCUCAAUCCGGAUUAGGAGGUCGGAAUCAAGUUGAAGGCUGAUGGGUCAUUCCCAUUCCAGUCCAGAAUAGGAAUCUCAAACCAAUUCCUGUGAACCAAACAAAAUUAACCGGAUUUGAUCAAACCGAUUUCCAUUCCAUGUCCAAAAUAGAUGAACCAAACAAGCCCUUAUAGUAUUUGAUAUAUGAAAGUUUCACUCUGAUUCUGAUUCCCCAAUAAAUGGGAAUCUCCAAUCACCACUUUUGUCAAUUGGGCCUACUAGCUCGGAUUGGAAGUUAAACCCAGGUAAAAAAAAUAUAUUUUACAAAAAUAUCUCAAUUAUAUUUAAUAAUUUUAUUUAAAAUUUAAUUUAAUUUUUUGACUUUAAUUUGUAUUAAAAUAUAAAUUUAAAUUUAGAAAUUAAAUUUUUAAUUCUAGUUUUUGAUUUAUAAAUUAAAUUAAAAUUCAAUCAAGCAUUUUGAAUUUAAUCUAUAAAUUUAAAUUUAGUUGUAAGUUUGAAUUUGAAUCAAAUCAAAAUUAGUUUUAUAUUUUGAAUUAUCCACUCAAUUUUAAAUUUUAAAAUUUUUAAAAAUUACAUUUAAAAUUUUGGCUUGUCAUUUAAUAUUUUGAUAUAAAUUUUUAAUAUUUAAUAGGUUGAAUUUAAAUUAUAAAUUUAAUUUUAUGUUUUGAGGUGCAAACUAAAUUUUAAAUUAUUUUUAUUUUGUAUUUUAAUUGUAAUUUUAUUUUAAUUUUUUGAUAAUUAAAUUUUUUUAAAUAUUGAAAGUACGAAUCAAUCGUACCAAUUCCGAUUUGUUAAUCUGAACCAAAUAUAUUGAGAGGUUAUAUCAUUCCGUUUUAGCUUCCUUUCCAUUCCGAUUUUCAUUUCUAUUUUAUUUUCCAUUUUGAACCGACCGCUCGCUAAAUGUAACGGCAUUUUAUAAUGUACAAUAUACAAUAAAUUUUAUUUGGUGCCUGUGUGACAGUAUUUGUUAAGAAUGGAGGAAGCUUUUAAGUGGAGAAAUUAAAUUAAAACAAAUGAUAGAAAAUUAGUGAUAUAAUUGUAAAAGUCAAAAAAAAAAAAAUAAAGAUUAUAGUUACAAAUCGGGCAAAAGUUUGGGACUAAUGAUGGAAUUAACCCUUUCCUGUAAACAGCCCUUUAAUUUUAAAUAAUUUAGUUUAAACUAUUUUUCUUAAUUGAAUGAAAUAAUUGCUUUUCACUGGCUAAUAAUCAGCAUUGUUACCUAAAUUGAAUGAAAUUUCUAAAAUUGAAUGAAAUAAUAUGUUAAAAUUGAAUGAAAUGCUAAAUUUCGUCUCCCAAAGAGAGUUCACGAUAGUUGUACUUACCAUAAUAACUAUAGAAUUAAACAAGAUCUUUAAUUCAAUACUUAGAUAGGUUAAUUAAAGUAUGUAAGUGCCCUUUUAAACGUAUCCUUACACUUGGGGGUUCGGAUGCAUUUUUUGCUUAAGAUAUGGAGAUGGUUGUUUUUUUAGCGUUGGCGCUGGAAAGUAAAAGGAAAAUGGAUUCAAGUUACACGUGGCAAAAUACUGUGCGCCCAUCAAACUCGAUGAUGUACGGGACACGAUGGCACUCCGUGUGAAAAGGAUCUCGAAUCCACAUUUACCAUAUUAAAAUAUUUCUAUUUUGACAAGCACGAUUUAUUGAAUGGGACGUAACGCCGACUUGGAUUUAGGAACCAAAUACAUUGAACCUACCCUUCAUCAUUUGGACUUUUCCUUUCUCUUUAAAUCACGCUCGUGUCAAUUAUUGUGCCCUGCAGUCGCAAAAGAGACGAGGCCAAAAAUAAAUAAAUAAAUAAAUAAAAAUUCUUCUUAUAAAAAAAUUUAAAAUUAUGAAAAUUAAAAUUUUAUAGUUUGGACUAUGUCGCAAAUAUUUUAACCUAAUUUGUAUAAAAAAUUCAUCGAUUUUGUGUUUUUGCAAAAGUAUGCCGUCUUUUUGAAUUUUACAGACUCAUUUCGAUUUUUUAAUAACUCGACGAAAAUAUCUGCAUUUUUUUUUCAUUUUUUUUUUCACGUUCGUCUUUUUCCGUAUAGCUUGUCUGCUUUUUACUCAUCGUUUCUUCUUCUUUUCCUCCUACUUUUUCUCGUUUCUUCUCCUCCACCACCACCUCAACAUCAAUGCCGCGCUCCUCUCUCUCACUUUGCCCACAUCUCCCGCCGAAGCCGGCUCGAAUAUGGUACAGAUCACGAUGUGACGGAAUAGAUAACUGCGGAUGGUGAUGGCGAUAGCGGCGAGGUGAUGGCGACAGCGGUGAGAGUACCAUAGGUUUUGAGGAUGACGGAGAGAGAGAGCACGUCAAGGUAGAGGCAGCAGCAGCUGCAGCAAAGAGAGAGAGAGAGGAGGUGCAGUAACAGAAAAGGAUGCAAAUGGUGAAAGAAAAUAUAUAAAAAAAACAAAAAUAGUUUUUUCUUCUCAAAAAAUUAUCAUAUUUUAUGACCUCAAAAAUAAAAUAAGAAAAAAGAAGAGAACAAAAUUGCGCUGUUUGAGAUCAAAAUUGAACUGCUUGAGAAUAAGUUGCACUGUUUAAAACAAAAUUGCGCCAUAUAAAAAGAAUUGCACUAUUUUUAGACUAAAUUGCAUUAUUUGAGAUUAAAUUACACUAUUUGAGAGAAAGAAGAGAGAAAAAUAUAAAGUUGCACGGUUUGAAAUAAAAAUUAUAUUGCUAGAGAAUAAGUUGCAUUGCUCGAGACAAAAUUUCACCAUUUAUAAUAAGUUUGUCUCAAAUAGUGCAACCGUAGAGUACUGGACCUUGCCAUAUAGAAAAGAUUAUAGUAUGAGUUGCUAAUUAGCUUGUCCUUACAGAAUGUAAUGUACCGGAUUUUUAAUAUAAAAGUAAGUAUAAAUAAAAAUAGUGUAAGAUACUAUUUUUAUUGACUUAGAAGAAGUAAAAGAUAAUUUAGAAAUUAUUUGUGGUGAAAUUGAAAUAAAAACAGAAAAUUUAGAAUUUUUUGUAAGGAACGGAGUUAAUCUUUUAGCAGAAAAUUCACAGUGUCAGAAAAUUAUGAAAAUUUGAGAAUAUGUCGUAAUUAUUUUUCUGAGGUUAGAUUUAAAGUUUUAUGUCAUUUCGACACCCGAAAAGUGGAAAACAAAAUCUGGCUGCUAUAUGUUAGAGAUUCUAGUCGGUAGACUUUUCGGUGACAAAAAAUAGUUCAAAACUGAAAAGUUAAAAUUUCGUUCUUCUUAUUAAUUUUAACCUAGUCUGACUGUCAAAUUUGAGCGUAAACAAACAUUCAGAAGGGCUCCGACUAAAAGUAUCAGAUUCUGAACUGGACCAAACUAUGAGUUGUAAUUGUUAUGGGGCCUAUAUGUAAACCCACACCAUCUCUCUCUCUCCCUGGUUCUCUCCCAAAACGUGUGAGGAGUGGAGGGUUCUCUUCCUCCUCUACACAUACCCAAAACAUGAGAGCUCUUUCUCUUAAACCCUCACCUCUAGCUCUCUCUCUCUCUCUAGCAAUUUCUCCAUUAAAGAGAAGAAGUUGGAGGAGAUUAAGUUGGAGAAGAAGCUUGGUGGUGAAGCAAGCUCUCCAAUGGUGGACAAGCUUCUUUCCCGAUGUGGCCAUUGUGAGUUUUGUGAUGUAAGCUAGGGUUUGGAUUAAAUCUUUUGUAAAUGAGAUGUUUAUGACCUCUAGAUGAUUCUAAACUAGAUUGGUUAAAAUUUAAUCAUGAAAUUUGGAGUAUUUUUGUAGAACUUGAACCCUAGGGUUAGAAAAUGGGGCUCUUGUCUCUAAGAGGUUUUGAAUCAAAUUGAUCUUGUAAAACCUUAAUUGAAGGAUAAUUCGACGCGGAGGACAACUUCGUUUUGGAUUACGACGAGGUUACGGCGUCCGAUUGAGAGAUUUGCGGAAUUUGGUUCGUUAGGCUUGGGUCGAGCUAAAACAGCAACGGUAAAUUGCGGGACUUGAUUUCUCGCUUAUUGACGUCGAUAUGAGGUGGGUGGUGCUAUCCGGAAUGGUUGGAUUUCUCCCUAUGUCUAAUUCUCUUUUGUUGAGCAUAUAUACAUGUUUUAUUUGUGCAUGGUAGGGUUCAAGCAUUUCUUCUUAUAGAAACUUACAUGCUUCCUACGAUGUAUAUAUAAAUAAUUGUGAUGCUAAUUUGGAACUUAGGAUACAUGAAAUUAGUGACACAUGAACCCUAGUGACAUGUUGAACUAGUAGAGGAAAAACUAGUGGAUUGGACAUAAAAAAUAUUGUGGACAUUGAAAUAAAUAAUACAUUGGUUGUCAUUGUGAUAUUGAAUGUGAACCUUGUGAUAGAACAUGGAUUGAGCAUAAUAUGUUGUGCAUGAUAGGGAUAUGGCAUGAAUUGAGAAUGUCUCAAGUAUGAAUAAGAAAUUGGGUCAUUACAUUGUGGCAUGAUAUUGAGUUCCCAUAUUAUUAUGAAGCAUUGCACAGUUGCUUGUGUUCAUAUUGUGUGGUGUUUUUAUAUCCUAUUGAUGUACGCUACAUAAGUUGGGUAAACUCUCGAGUGUAUGUGGAAAAGAAUGGGUCAAUGCAUUUGUAGCGUGACAUCUAGUACUAUGAUGUUAUUGAGCAUACGAAGGAUUGAAAUAGAUCCUUUGGACCAUGCUAGGGAUUGGUAGAUCUUCUGUUGUUGUUACCACUAGUUGGUAGGGUAUCCUCGGGAUAGAGGAUUGGAUCAUGCUCACAUUACGUCUGUCAGCUUGGCGGUGGUCGCUCCACCCAAGCAGUGGUCUCCGAAGUUCUUCAGGUGGGUUAACCUAGCUACCCAGCAGAUGGUCCCCCAAUGGGUUGUAGCGGUACUACUCAUUUGUGGGAUUGGAUUGUGAGUCGGGGCUCAACCUUCGGGUUAGUCGGUAUGAUUGGGUCAAAGAAAAAAGAGAUAGUUGAUUGACCAUAUUGUACCCUAUGCUACUUGUAUUGUUGCAUCUCAUAUAGAGAGUGAGCAUAGUGAGAUCACAUAUUGUGUGUACAGGGCGGAUCAUGAUAUUCUUAUGAGUUGGGCUUGGUCUUGUGAGAAGCCCCGAUUGGGUCAAGAAUGAAUUAGGUCAAGUGUGUGUGAGGGACACCGUUGAACAUAUAAGACCAUAGCAUUCAUUCCUUAUUGUAAGGCAUAGUAGUAGUCAUUGUUGCAUGUUGUAUGUUUAGUAGUGGUAGACUACAUGUUCAGUUGCUUAUAUCUUGCAUUGCUAUCUCCUUUUGUAGUACUAUGUCUUAUUGGAUCUAGUGGGAAAGUCGGCGAGGUCGGCGGCCGAACCCACUGGGAACUUCUUUUAGUUCUCACCCCCUAUUGUUGCAGAGCCACCAUUCGUAGAGCGGCACCGGAUCGAGGCGUGGGCGUUGUGCCCUAGAUAGCAGGGUUACCCCAUUUAGGUCGCCCUAUGUACAAGCAAAAGAAUGUAAAAGUUUAUUAGAAAUGUAAUUUGGAAUGUAAUUGUAUUUUGGAGGAAUCAUUCUUGUAUCAAUGUAAAAUGAGAAAAUGCAUAUAAAAAGGUGAUUGUACCAAUGUUGUAAUAGUUAGGUUUAUAUUCUCGCUCUUGUGAUAUGCCCUCGCGCAAAAUUGCAUCAUGUUGUAUUUCCUGUGUGAAAUUCGAUAUACUUGUUUUGUUGAGUCUUGGACGGAUAAUGGAGGCUUUGUUCGUUCGGCCAUCUGUGCGCGCGCCCGAACUAACCAAAUAGGCGGUCCUGGGGCGUGACACAAGGCCUGAGUGAAUUGGAGACAUUUUGGCACGAAAUUGACGCGAAAACAAAUUCAAAACUCACAUCUUAGAUCUCGAAGGACCAAAAUAUAAAUAUUGGAUAGUUUUGAACUUCCUUGCAUUUUAUGCAAGUUAGUGGAAUUCCACUAAUGCAACAGAUUGUGCUUAUCCCUUUUCACCCGUGAGACCCAAGAGAGAGUUAAUUUCGUGCAAUUUGCACGUUUGCACGUUUGGCGAAUGAAUCUACGUUCGUUGGAGGAGGAAGAUAAUGGUUGGGUGAGUUGGAAUUACACUUUACUCUUAAUUGCUAGAAUUUGAUGUAAUCGGAGUGAAUCUGAUCUUUUGUUGGAUUCAGGAUUAUUGGCGUUCUGACUCACUUGUGGAGUGUUUGGAGAAUUUCACUGAACCUCUUAUCACUUCCCGCUAGCUUGGAAUUAUCUCCCUCGGAUCAUCGAGAUAAUUUGGAUUAAUUUUAAUCUAAACCCUCUCAUUUGUGAUCAAAUUGCCGAAGUGAUGGAUUUUAGUAUAUCUUCGCUUUGCUAGUACCCUCGCCGAUUUUGGUGUCUCCUUAGUGGAUUUGUGUGGGACAUGAACCGAAGAGUAGUUGUGACACCCUAAUAGUCCCACAUCGGAUGGGAAUGGAUUAUCAUUGGGUAUAUAAGAAGACUCCACCAUAGUAAUAAUAAUUGGGCUUAAGUAUUUUGGGUCGAUGGUUUGGGCCCAACGAGUUAUUAUUGCUUGCGCAUUGGGUCAUUACAUUUAGUAUAAGAGUCGGUUAACCAGCAGAAGGUAUGAGAUGAGUCUUGACAGAGCCAGGGUCGGAAUUACAGACUAAGCCAGGGUUAGUGAAUGAUAGGCUAAUUCAGAGUCAGAAUGACAAGGCUAAGUCAGGGUAUGAAUGACAAGGCUAGCGAGACAAAUCUCAUAUCGCCUGGUGAUCUUGGGCUGUGUGUGUUUAGGGCUAAUGAGGAUGUCAGGGCCUAAACGGGGGAAGUCUGUGACACCACAACAGUCUCACAUCGGAUAGGAUCGGAUUGGGUUAUUACAAUAGUGCAUUGGAGAUUGAUUUUGGUCGUUAUUGGACUAGCGAUCCAAGGUGGGUUUCGACUCAUCGAAAACGGCGAAGUUUCUAUUACGUCUAUAUGGAUGCAAUUACAUGUUUAUAUGUUAUGUAUCUUAAUAGAGGGCCAUAUUGGUGGAAAUUGAGUUAGAAAGUAGAGCUUUAACAUUACGAUCAGCACAUAGUGAACUUGUUAAUACUAGAUUGAGUAUAGAUGUUGAUUAGGCCGAGAAAGAUGGAGUGACAUUGUCACGCCCCGCCCCGAGACCGCUACCAAUUUGGCGCGGUUCGGGCGCAGCGGGCGUGACGCCGAACGGACAGAGCCUCCCCUGUCCGCCCUAGGCUCAACAACGAGAUCAUGUACACAAGUACCCAGGAAUCACUUGUAAACAUACACGAUCUAUACAACAACAACGAAGAAGCACAAACAGUGCUAAACGACCAAAGAGCAAGCGAUACGAGUGAAUACCAUACAAGUAUACAAAAGAGAGAACUUAACUAUUUAAACCAUAAAACUUGAAAUUGUUUAAGCUCUUUCAAUUUCAUUAAACUUUAAGCAUCGAUACAACUUGCAUUCUUUUUCUCCAAAAUAUAAAUACAUCAUAUGCUCUCANUAGAAUGGGCUGAAGCUUUAAUUCUAGCCUCAUAAAAAUAAUUCUGACCUAUCCUCCAGUUUUCAUAAUUUUCUGACACUGUGCAUUUUCUGCUAAUUUAUCUGCCCCGUUUCUCACAGAAAAUUCUAAAUCCUCUGUUUUCGCUCCGAUUUCAGCACAUGUCAUUUCCAACUUAUACUUUACUUCUAUGAGCCCAAUAAAAUAGUUUCCCACACUAUUUAUAUUUAUAUUUAUUAUUCUUUUUCUUUUUAUAAUAAAUUCCGACACAGCAUAUCCUACCGUAACUUCUUAUUUUCAGAAGUUCGGUAUCCUACAGACAUCACAUGCAUGAUUGUAGAGUAUUGUUUAUUUACUUAUGGUAUAAUUGUUGUGAACCAUGAGAUAAAGGCGGUGGACUAGAACAACAGUAGGAAAGUAAUACAUUGGCCAUAGAGAUAGGAUAUGAAUGUCAUAUAGUGCCACUUAGAACUUAUUCUGUAGCAUAUUGAAAACAUAAUAUUAAUUGCUUGUGAUUUUUUUAUCAUCACAUAGACUAUAUUCUGCAGAACUACAUUGAGCUUGCACAGGGUUAGGUGCUAUUUGACUCGACAGGGAUCGCUCCCCCCGAGUGCUGCUCCGAAGGCUGGCCAGCGAUAGCAAAGACAAUAGCUUAGGUGUUGUCGUCACACCUAUAGGAGUGUGGUCGUGCACUAGGCAGGCAUAGGCUUGACCGGACCUAUGAGUCGGUCAUUACGAUUGGGUAUAUUAUUACAUUUGUUUAUCAGUAUUAGUACUGAUCCAUAAUUCAAUCUUUUUCUUUUCUGCUCAUUACUUGUAUAGAUGCAUCAUAGAAAGUGAAAUUUUUUUACUUAUAUUAUGCUCCGUAGCUUAGUUUAUAGUAGGUUUAGUUGAUCUUUACCUAUUCUUACUUCCGGUAGACCUAGUGGCAAGGUCGUGGUUGACACCGACCAUACCACUGGGAACUAUAGUUCAGUAGUUCUUACGCCCUCUGUAGUGUUCCUGGGGCUUAGCUAUUGGAAUGACUGCAGUAUUAGCAACACUCGACUCAUCUGUAGAGUGUCGGAAUAAGUCGGAAUUAUUUUGGUAUGAAAUGGAUAUAAAAAUGAACUCGGCACACUCAAAUAAGGCAAAACUGAAGUUCUAACAGUUUAGAGCAUCCAAAAGUUAUUAAAAGUUUAGGGCGUCCAGAUUCAGAGUGCUAUUAAUAUGCGCUAUUGCUGUCAUUUUGGAUCUAGUUUAGGGCGCUCGAAAGUUGAGUAUGAAUUCUCCCUCAUGAUUAUCAAAUGUGUUGACACAUGUUCUGUGGUAGGUGAGAUCUGUCGGAAAUGAAUAAGGAGUAUUAGACCGCUCUACAGUUGAGCCCACUUUGCUUGAUUAUGGUCAGGGACAGAAUCGGGCGCCUAGUUCUCGGUUUAGGGCGCCUGAAUCCUAGGAUUUCAGCAUUAUAACAGGUUAGCCCUUGUUGUUUUUGUGGCUUAUUUCAUGUAACCAACUCCUCUAUAAAAACAUUUGGACGACCCCUGAAAGACUCUUUUUCAACCUCCUUCACAGCCAACUCCUAAUUUUCUUCUCAAGUCCUCCCUGAACUCCCUCAAGCCCAUCAUUUCCUCCUUGCAUUGGAUCAAAAUAGCAGGAAUUCCAGCAACAACUUUAGAAGAUGGAGGGAUUGUGAUCCCUGGAUACAUCUAGUUGCGGUGGGGAGCCAAUUCCUGGACUAGACUUAAAGGAGAGGCUAUGGAGAAACUCUAGUGGUUUUAAUUUCAGGUUAGUAUGAUUGAAUUGCCAAAUUUUCUGGAAACUUAGUGUAUGUGUUGGAGCUAAAAUUGGGUUUUUGCUAGAUUUCAUGGAUACGAUUCAUGAGAUAGUUGGACUUUUGAACUUGGAAUUGCUUCUCUAUCUUUCUUAGCUGGUCUAGAAGCUUUCCUCAUCAGGAUUCGUGUCAUGCCCCGAGUUCCAACUUACCGAGCUCACCAACAGAUCCGCCGUAUAUAUAGAAAAUCUUGUGUACACGAAACGAUAGAUACACCUGCAAAUAGUACAAGAACAACUAGUAGAGAGCAACAGAGCUAUUAAAACUAAAAGGUAUAUAUAGCCAAUUGUACAUACGUGUGGUCCAAAUUUAUAUAAUAAUUCAGGUACAACAUUAUCCCUAUAUAACUCUAAAUAGUGAUGAUAAACACAACUGUAAGUACAUGACUACAAAAUAAACUAUCUUCAAAACGAUAGUCCUUUAGCUCAACGACUGAGGUAGACAGGGAUCUAGCUUGCGACUCCCUUACCUCGAUCAGAAGUAGCAGCGGCAACCGACGGCUUUGCAAGAAAAAAUGGCAACAAUGGGCAUGAGAACUACUGUAAAACAAAGUAGUCCUCAAUGGGUACCAUCACCGAUCUCAAUAGCCUACCCACUAAGUCUACAAGACUAACAGUAUAGCUGGUAGGUAAAAGAACAGUAUGAUAAGCUGGAAGAAUUUUAUGGCUAAAAUGCCACCACUGCCACUUCUCAUGUCAUGCUCUAUGUGUACAUAUGCAUCACUAACUAAGAAAUAGUCAACACUGACCCAAUCCAAAGGAUCGCCAACUGACCUGUCCAGCCUGUGCCCUAAGCUACACCGUACACUACCCACAGGGGUGGCCAGUCCAAGUACAGUGCCCAAUUGGGUCCACGGCAACGCACGAAAGCCAAAUUCCGGAGCGGCACUCGUAGCUUGACCUAACCGAGUAUAAUUGUGAACUGGUCAAGCUCAAUCAGGCAACUAUAGGCUAUAAUCAAUGCAAAUUGGUCAAACAGGUCUAAGAUUCAAGGCUCACAUGCCCUAGACACAAUCUGAUGUGAAAAGUAGAGAUCCAGGUCCACCGUUAAUCCCGAUGGCACCCGUCGAUACGAAACAAUCUCAACUCUACUGUAAAAGUAGGCUCGGUAUCUCAAUACGAGUGUGAUAUCAAUUUACACUAAUCUAAGUAUCCAGGCGCACUAACAACGGUGAAAUCAAGGUGAAACCAACUUCUGAAGCUAAAUUUGUUAACUUUAUCAAAAAAUGAAGUGUGUAGGUUUUGAAAGUUUUCUCCUAAGUCAAGUUCCAGUUCUGUAGUGUUCUUCGGGUUUAACUGUCGGAAUAACUAUAAUAUCAGCAACUAGUCGACACAUCUGUAGAGUGUCGAGGUAAGCCGGAGUCAUUUUGGUGUGAAAUAGAUGCGAAAAGGAACUCGGUGCACUAAAAUAAGCCAAAACUGAAAUUCUGAUAGUUUAGGGCGCCCGGAUCCAAAGUGCUAUUUUGAAUAGGAUACCGAAGUCAUUUCACACCCAGUUUAGGGCGCCCAAAAGUUGAGCCCGAAAAUUCAUCUCGUGAAUAUUGAUCGUGCUGACACGUGGCGUGUGGUAGGUGUGAGCCGCCAGAGCAGGAUAGGCACACCAGACUGCUGCACGGGUGAGCCCAUUUUGCCGGACUGUGGGAACGUGCUGAUUAGGGCGCCCAGUUCUUGGUUUAGGGAGCCAAAUUCCGAAAUUUCCAACAGAGUAGCAGGUUUAACUCUUUUAUUCUUGAGGCUUAUUGUACCUAACCUACACCUCUAUAAAAGCAAGGGGACGACCCCCUGUGUAAUAUACCAAAACCUCGGUAGAGAAUAUUGGACUUCAGCCAAAUUGACUAAAGCGUCCGAAAGAAAAAGCUAGAGAAAAUCAAAUUAACAUUUUCACAAUGUUGGAAGGGUUAAGAAUGAGUCCUAAAAGAGUUAUAAUGGUUUUAGCAUUGCUCGGCGCAAAAGGAAGUCAAAUAAGUGCUAAAACUGCAGUCUGGGCAUUUUGUACCGAUACAACAUUGAUGUUGUACCGGUACCACAAUGCAGACCGAGAGAGAGAGCUCUCGGGUUUACCUCUGCGAAAUGCUGUAACCGGUGACAAACCAAAUUAGUACCGGUACCAAGUGUAUUACCCGCAGUAGCAGCUCUCGGGUUUGGUUCUGCGAGAUCGUGUAACCGGUGACCAGGGACCUUGUACCGGUACCAAGUGUCCCAGAUAGCAGACUUGAUCUGCUGCAAAUAGAAAUAAACGAAGGGUCUUUUUGCUAUUGUAGCACCUUAUAAAUGACCCCAACCUUCCUCCCACCUGGUCAUAACAGCAAACUCUUCUCUUCCUCUGAUUUCUCUCUUUCUCUCUUUCUUUCUCUAGAGAUCACUUUCAAGAGCGAGGAGGUGAAGGAGGAGAAGGCUUUGAAGGAGAUUUUUGGAGGAUUUGAAGGUUUGGGUCUCUCCUACAAGGUGGACUUGGGAGAGCUUAGGGCAAAGGUAAGGUUUUCUUGUAAGAUCUAGGUUAGGGCUUGGAUUUUAUGCCAUAGAUUUUGGAUUUGAGCUUCUUAUAAGAAUAGAAACCUUCUUGAGGCAUGAACUCUAUAAAAAUCCAUGGUAGCUUCGUGUGCUCUCAUGGUGAACUUCUAGGGUUCAUGUUGUAUGUCCUAAAAAUGGUUUGAAAGGCUUAGAAAAGGUUCUAAAAGAGUUUAUAGAGGUUCAACAAGCUUUCUUUUGCUUGUUCUAGAGAUCAAACCCAAAGAUUUAACAAAUGACAUUGUCAGGGCACUGAAAUUGGGGCUUUUGCCCUAGAGUGGUUUAAAAGCAAAUUGACCUUGUAUAAAUCUAAUUAGUGGUAUUUCUAACAAGAAUAUGAACUCGGUUCGGUGAUCUGACGAGUAUAUGCGAAGAAAUUGACGAAAAGGUCGAUUUUGGUACAGAUAGCCGUAGCACGCGGAAUAGGCGCCCAAAAAUUUCAAGAAUUGAACUAUAGCAUCCUUACAACCAUCUAAGGUGGGUGGUGCAUUUCGAAAACGUUGAAUUUUCUUUUAUGUCUAAAGUGUUAUUUUUGAGCAUAUGUGUAUGUAUUGAACAUUGUGCAUAGUAGGGUUGAUUUGAGAGCAUAUGAUGCAUGUUGUGAGGACAAAUGCAUGAGAAAUAAUAGUAAAAGAGCAAGAACUUGUGUAACCCUAUGUAUGCAUGAUCAAUGACAAGAACCUAGUUGAGUUAGAGAACAAAAGUGACAUGUUGACAUAAAUGUAGAGAGUGGCAUUGAUGAGUCUUGAAUACUAGUGUUACAAUAAUGACAUUAAUGGGACAAGAAUACUAGAGUUGAACACUUAGAGAACAAGUGUGGCAUUAGUGAAUGAGUACAAAGAACAAAGUAGUGUUUAUGACACUAGUGAAAGUUAAAAAAUGCAAGUAAAGAGAGAUAGUGACAUUAUGACAUAACAACCUUAUAGUUAAGGGUCAUAUGGGCAUUGCUUCCUUAUAGUUAAGAAAUGGAUUGAAUUUGGAAUCCUUAUAGUUAAGGAUUGGAUCAUACUCGCCUUUUACUCCUUGCUCAGAGGGCGGUAGCUCCCCCUCGGGCGAUGAGCUCCGGAGUAGUCAUCACUGGGUCGUAGUAGUUCUCCCCAGAGGACGGUCCUGUACGGGUUGUAGGAGUUUCUCCCCGAUACUUGGGAUUAUGAGUUGGUGAGUCUAUUGAGGGUGAAACCUAUAGGUUAGCCUAGAGAUUGGGUAUUGGAAAGUGACCUUGCAUUCAUCAUGAGCAUUUCAUUGAGCAUAUGAUUGAUUAUAUAUAUUGUUCAUGCAUAUUAGCUGUAUUUUUUAGUUGGUUACUAUCUAUUCUUUCUUCUAUUAUGCCUAAUUUAGACCUAGUGGGAAAGUCGGCGAGGUCGGCGGCCGAACCCACUAGGAACUUUGUUGUAGUUCUCACCCCACUAUUUCCACAGAGCCGGGACCGAGCGAGCCUGUGGAUGAUCGCGGUAAGGGUAUCGCGCCGUAGACAGUGACUUCCCUAGUCAGUUUUAUUUUGCUAGUUACAUUACCUUUUUAUACCAUCUUUUGUAUUUUGAUGGUUAUAGUUGUUUAAAUGAAAGAACAUGAAUGAUGUAAAAGCUUAUCUUUUUGAGAAAAUACAUUAUGUUUAUUUUGGUGAUAUUGUGAUGUAUAAAAGAAAUGAUGCAAAGAUUGUAAAGGAAUUUUAUUAAAGAUGUAUGUAUGAAUGUGAUUUAAAGUUAAUCAUAUUAUUUGUAUGUUAACUAGUUAGUACUAUCACUCUGGCUACUACUUGCCCUCGUGCAAGCCAUUAUGUUUGCUUCCGCAUGUGUAAAAUUUAUACUCUAUUUGUACUUGUUGUUGAGCCUUGGGCGGACAGGGGAGGCUCUAUCCGUUCGACGUCUGUUCGACGUGCUCGAACCGGCCAAAUAGGACCGGGCUCGGGGCGUGACACCCUAAGAGCUCUUUUCUUUUCUUUUCUUCAUCUAAAUCUCCUCCAAAUCAUCUCUACUCCAUCUCCUCCUCUCAGCGGUGGAUCCAGAACUGCAGGAUUCAACAACAAUCUCAGCAAAUUGUGAAAUUGUGACCUAGUUGGAGCUUCCACUUGCUGUGGGGAAUAAUUUUCUGGAUUGUAGAUUUGAAGGAGUGUAGAGUAAUUCUAAUAGCAAUUAAUUUAGGUUUGUGAGGUUAAUUUGCUGAAAUUAACUUGAAUUGUAGGUUUUGAGCUAAAAUUGAGUUUUCUUGUGGAAUUCUUAAACUUUUCUUAAUCCGGUUCUAAUUGUAGGUGGAUUUUUGGAUUUGGAAUUGCUUUUCCAUCUUUUCUCACCGAUUUUGAAGCUUUCUUAUCAAAUUUUUUCAUGUUGGAAAGGGGAGUUCAUUUCAGAUUUUGGAUUUUCGAGGUUAGGUGUAGUUUUUGGGGCUUUGAUGGGUUUUGUUUGAUUUUUGGAUCCAGUUUUUGGUGGAGGAGCUUUUGUUAGGUUAUGUGAGGAUCUACCCUACUUUUCUACUAUUUUGGAUCCAUUCCCAUAGGAAUUUCAGGUUAGGAACCUAGAUUUGACUCAAUCAAGGUAGAAAUUGAUAUAUACUGAAAUUCUAGAUUCUAUUCUUCAUGAUUGCUCCAGUGCAUCUUCACGUAGGGAAUGUUUUGGUUCCGUAGUUCCUUCUCUUGGUGUGCUAGAAUCCGAAUUGAUUGCUCCUUAUAACUCAAAUCCUCCGCUAACUCUAAAUGAGCAUAAUCAAUCACAUGAGCCGGGUCGAAGACAUACUUCCUAAGAGCCAAAACAUUGAAGACAUCAUGAACACCUACAAGCCUAGGUGGCAAGGCGAUGCGGUAGGCCAUCGGUCCAACUCGCUCCAGAAUCUCAAAAAGGCCACUAUAGCGCAGGCUCAAUUUUCCACGCACCCCAAAUUUGUAUAUUCCCUUAGAUGGCGAUACUUUUAGGAAAACAUAAUUUCCAACCUGGAACUCAAGGUCUCGUUGUCGAGUAUCUGCAUAGCUUUUUUGUCGACUUUGAGCUGUCAGAAGGUGUCAUUGUGCAAGCUUCACCUUUUCCUUAGUUUUGACCAAGAUGUCCGGGCCCAAAGUCUUUUGUUCACCCACAGCACUCCAAUAUAGACAUAGACCCUAUAAUGCAUGAUUUCUACACAUAUAUACACAUAUGAUCAAAAUGGCAAUAUAGACAUAAAAAGAAAUCCAACCAUUUCGGAUAGCACCACCUACCUCGUAUCGAUGUCUAGAAGCAAGAAACCAAGCCUCGCGAUUUAUCAUCGCCGAUUCGGCUCGACCCAAGCCUAACGAACGAAAAUCGACAAAAUCUCCCAAUCGAACACCGCAACCUCGUCGUAAUCUAAAAUGAAGUUGUCCCUCGCAUUAAACUACCCUUCAAUUAAUUGGAGAUUUACAAGGUCAAUUUGGUUCCAAAUCUCAUAGGGACAAAAGCCCCAAAUCUAACCCUAGGUUUCUUGCUCCACAAGAAAACCCCAAAUCCAUGAUAAAUCUUUUGAUUAAACUAGUUUAGCAUCAUCUAGAGAUCCUAGAUACAUCAAUUUUAUGCUAUCAUCUCUCUCUAUCAACAUAUAAAUUAUAUACACAUCCAUAUGGCUACGAAUAGACAAAAGAGGAAGUUCGCCGUUUUUGGCGACUCGGAACCCACCUAGCGUGCGAAUUCAACGAAAAGGAUGAUCAUCGAAGUGGAAAGAUGUUCUGCUGCCUCCACCCAAUCCAUGUGCAGCCACAACACUCCGGAAGUCACUGAAAAAUCCCUCUACGAAACGCUCGCAAAAGCGGCUCCUAAAUCACAUAGAAUCGAUUUCUAAACUUUAAUUUCAAUGAAAAUCCAUCCAAAACACAUCUCCUAAGAUCCAAUAUGAAGAAUCCACCAAAAAAAUCCUAUUCAAAAUUAUAAUAAUAAAAUACUACCUCGCAAUCGAAGCGCCGGAAAAAUCCAACACACGAGGAGGCUCGAUCGGCUCGUCAAACGGCCCAAGAAAUAUCUUUAUUUUUCUUCUUCUCCUCUUUUCCCCUUCCUUUUCCUCUCCCUUUCUCUCUCUUGCAUACACGUUCAAGGUGGAGAAGCUUCAAGAGGCCUCUCAGGUAACUUAGUGGAGAUCCAUUAAGCAAUGUAACAAUUGAUCGUAGGUUCACAAGAAUUAAGCAUACAAACUUUAGUCCAAUUAAGAAUCUGAUACUUUUCGCUGGAGCCCUUCUGAAUGUCUGUUUGUACUCAAAUUUGACAGUCAGACUCUAUUAAAAUUAAUCAGAAGAACAUGAUCUUAAUUUUCUAGUUUCGAACCAUUUUUUGUCACCGAAAGGUCUACUGACUAAAAUCUCUAUCAGAUUGCUGUUAUUUUCUGUUUCCACUUUCCGAGUGUCAGAAUGGCAUGAAACUUUAAAUCUAACGGCAGAAAAAUAAUUUCUCCACAUUCUCAAAUUUUCAUAAUUUUCUGACACUAUAAUUUUUCUGCUAAAAAAUAAGCUCCGUUUCUUACCGAAAAUUAUAAAUCUGCUGUUUUCAUUUCAAUUUCAAUACAAGUCAUUUUCGACUUAUAUUUUACUUCUCUAAGUCCAAUAAACAUAGUAUCUCAUACUAUUUUUAUUUAUACUUACUUUUAUAUUAAAAAUCCGAUACACUACAACCUUAGCCCAAAAGAACCCCAGCAUGAGCCUUGCUGGAGCAGUCCAGGGACAGCAAAGGGGUUGCUUCCACUUGUACGGCAAAGAGGGCUGGCACCAACAUACGGGGUCGGUCUUGACGGCAGGGGCCCACAGAAGGCAGCAGUUGGCGGCGAAGAUGCAACAGUGGCGGCUUAGGAGAGCCACAGCCACGAGCUCCAACUCGGGUUCUAAUUGGAAGCUGAGCACAAAGGUAAUAGGGAUGGCGGCGGCGGCGGCUAGGGUUGCCGGAGCCCUUCCCGACGGCUGCAGUUGCAGCCAAAUCCAAGUAAGAGGAAGAGAGGGGAAGCCCGAGGAGAGAGAGAGAAGGAUAGAGAGAAAGACUCGAGCCGGCCAUGUCGCCAGUCAAGGAGGCCGCCGACGGUGACCACGAGCUGGUGGGGGUUCCCAGGGGCGGCAGUUAGGGGGUAUGGGCUAGGUUAGGGUUCCAACCAUCUCACACAUGUAACAAUAUAUAUAUAUAGAAUUAUGCUACUAUACUAUCAAUAGUACCAAGCCCUCGGUACUAUUGAGUUUUUGGCCGUUGGAUGAAAGGAUGUGCAUUUAGGAUGAUAGUGGUCCUCGGUUAAAUUGAUAGUGGUCCCUAGGGUUGAGUGGGUGGUUGGUUUAAUAGUAUAAUCUAAGGGGUGGAAAUGAUCAAAGGGUAGAUCUAACAGUAGAAAACUCAAUAGUACCAAGGGCUUAAUACUAUCAAUAGUAUAGUAACCGGACUCAUAUAUAUAUAUAUAUAUAUAUAUAUUAUGUAGGGCUACUGUGCAAUUAGGAGUACAGCAACCCUUGUGCUCCUAACUUUCUAACUAUCCAUUAAGUUUGAUAGGUGGUUAGAAUGAGAGAGGGAGGAGAUAUUGGGGAGAAAUUGGGUGUUUCAAUUUCUCUUCACUACCUCAUCCCUCUCUCAUUCUAACCACCCAUCAAACUUGAUGGGUCGUUAGAAAGUUAGGAGGAUAAGGGCUGCUAUGCUCCUAAUAGCACAGUAGCUGUCACGCCCCGAACCCGAUCCUAUUUGGUCGGUUCGGACCCGUCAAAUAGACGCCGAAUGGAGAGAGUCUCCCCUGUCCGCCCAAGGAUCAACAUUCUGUACAAAUAGAAUAUGAAUUUUGUACAAAACGGAAGCAUACACAAUGGCUUGCACGAGGGCAAGCAAUAGCCAAUAGUGAAAGUAAUGAACUACGCUUAGAAAAUCAUUUAUAUAUUUUUUUUGCAUCAUUUCUUCUCUUUUACAUCACAUGAUCUCAAAAUAUAAGUUCUUACAUUUAAAUAUAAAAUCUUUAAUAACAUUCAUGUUUCUUUUUUUUUUCUUUAACAUCUAUAGUCAUCAAAAUACACACUACAGGAAAAAGCCUCUGUAGAGGCGGUUGUUCAAAGACGGUUGUAACAACCGCCUCUACGAAAUCUGAUAGGGACGUUUUAGAGGCGUUUUUAAAAACCCGCCUCUAAAAUCCUGAAAAAUAAAAAUCUAAAAUUCUUUUCCCCCCAAAUACACUAUUCCUAAAAAAACCCUAAAUCCAUUUGCCCCCAAAUACACUAUCCUAAAAAAACCCUAAAUCCAUUUCCCCCUAAACCUGCAGCCACCUCCAACUCUCUCCUCCCAAAAACCCACUUCGAUCUCCAUCCCUCUUCUCCCAAAAAAUCGACGGUGAUGACCGAUCUUUCCCCGACGGCUGUCGCACUCCCAGGGCGGGUCCGGUGAGGUGUCGCGUCUGCUUCGGCGACCUCUCCCCAUCAAAGUUAUCUGGUAUGCGGCGCACCCCCCCCUUCGACCUUUCUCCGGCAGCAGACCAACCUCCCCAGACGCCGCCGUUUUUUCUCCUGUAGCGCACCAGCCCCCUACCCCCCGACGCCGCCCUUUUUUCUCCGGCAGCGCACCAGUACUCCGACAGCAUACCAACCCCCUCCGCCCUCCUUCUGGCAGCGGCCCCCGUCCCUCUGCCCCUCCCUGCCCCUUUCCGCAGCCCCGCGCCCCUCUCCGCAGUGCCGCACCGGAGAAAAAAGGUUAUUUAUCAUACCCCAGCUAUCUUAAUUUUUACUUAAAAUGAUAUCUUAAGACCCAUUUCUUUUCCACUGUUUAUGCCCCCCAAGUGAUUUGUGUCCAACGUGUACUUAGCCUUAUUAUAAUAUCCUCUCACUCUUCUUNAGGCCAUUUUUGCAAAUAAAAUUUAUUGGGCUAGUAGUAAAAACACAGAAUUUUGAGGGGGCGAAAUGUUAAAUAACAAACAACUUAACUAAUUUUGUCGUGACUCGAUACCAAAAGCGGCAAAAGGUCCGGCCCGAAGAUUGAAAUAAAAAACCUUGGACCAGUGCUCCGGUCUAGACCGGGCAUGUUGAACCUAGUCCGUAUCCGGCCCAUCCGGCCGGUUGAAAAUAUAUAAUGAACUGCCUAAAUUAAAAAAAAAAACAAAAAAUAAGUCACCUCUAGGGGCGGCAAUCCAGCUCGCGUUCGGCUCGAGAUGACUCGAGAUCGAAUCGCUCAUUUAGUAAACAAGUCGAACACGAGCUGAAAUUUUUAGCUCAUUUAAUGAAUGAGCUGAACGCGAGCUGAGGUCAGCUCGCUCUUAUUCGGCUCGUUAACAGCUUGAAUAUAUAAAUUUUUUAUAUUUGUAUAAUUUAUUUAAUUUAUAUUUAUAUAUAUAAAUAAAUAAUUAUAUAUAACAUAUAUAUAUAUAUAUAUAUAUAUAUAUAUAUAUAUAUAUAUAUGAAAUAGGGAUUCUCAACAUACAGGUUAAUUUUGUAUGAAAUCUAGGGAUGGAUCUCGGACCAGGCUUCAUUCCUCAAACUUUGCUUUCUAUACAAUGAUAAAGCAAGUUAUUUUUUUGUGGAAAAAGAAAAGAGAAAAAAAGCAGGUGAUAACUCUUAUAGGUAAAAUAUUGUAAGCUAUUUCUGCUUUGUGCGCAUUAUCCAUUUAACGUUAAUAGUUUCUCUGGCUAAAGAGCAGUCCUUUCUCUUUUCCAAUAUGUUCUUCCUUCAAUAAUGUUUUAAAGAUCUAAAACUAGGCUAUGGUUUUAUCUUUUCAUUGGAUAGAAAAUCUUCAGAAGUUUCUUAUAGCUUAUUAUGUGGAUUUUAGCUGUUUAUUAUUAGUAGUACAGUUACUAAUAUAUCUUGUAUGUGCACAUCUUUACAUUGGCAAAAAAAUCAGUAACAUUUUGGGACUUCUAAUUUACGUGAAUGAAAGCAAUAUUGCCUAGUUAAUAUUGUAGUGUUGCACUGUUGAAGGUUUUCGACAUUUAUUUUAUUAUAUUCUUUAUUCUUGAUAAUCCAACUAUAUGUAGAAGAUCUUAGAUAUAAUCUUCUUUUUAUGGUUGGUGCAAUUAAAGUGGCAGCAUAUAAGUAUAUUGAAGAACUUCCCCUUUCACUCAUCCUUAAUUAAUUUAGAUGUUAAUUUUUCAGCAUUUUACAGAAUCCAUUUUCUGAGAUUUUUUGCAGAUUAAUUCUUUGGUUACUGGGAGUAAGAAUUAAUAUUCUUACUUAGAAAUGAUUUGUGGUGUAUAUUUUAAAUCAAAAGUUUAUAUCCCUGCGCAUUGUCAUUUGCCACUUCAUUACAUUUGUUACUGCAACUACCUCAUUAUUUUACAUUCUUGGGCAUUAUCUGGACUAAUUCAAAAAUUCUAGUUAAAUCAACGUUGCAAAUUUGAGUUUAAUUUUAGCAUUAGUUAUUACCUAUUAAUUAACUAUUAAUGGUGGAAGCACUAGAUCAGGUGGUCUCACCCGAGCUCACGAGGCCACACCACGUGGCGAGGAAGUUCCAGGCCUGGCCGCAGCACGAAGGAGUUGACGCCGUCGUUAAGAGGAGCAUCGGAAGGUACCUUACCUACAUAGCUGCCACAUCAUAUCAUCAUCCAAAGAUUACAAUUCUUUUCUUUUUGUUCUAAUUAAAUUAAUUAAAUAUGUAGGUUCGAGCUCAAGUACUUCGAUCCAUCUAAAUUUUUAUCCUCAACAAAUUUUAUUGAUUUUUUAUAUAAUUAAUAAUUUCUAUAUUGUUUGAUUCUUUUAGGUGGUUGCGGGCAAUAAUAAUUUGGUCGAUGCGCUUUCUCCGAACAUUCAUUCAUCGAAUGCGAGUCACGAUCCUACAAAUGGAGGACAUAAAUAAAGCUAAUUAAUUUUUUGUAAACAGUUGACAACUCAAGUGUUGGCUAAUUUUGGAAGUGUUUAAACUUUUUCAUUACCUAUGUUGCUUCUAUGCUAUAGACAUUGAAUGAGGUCAUGUUUUGGAUUAUAAAGUAUCUUGAAUUAUGAAUUUUUUGUGAAUGUCAACUUUAUUUGGUAUUGGAAAUUAUUUUGCUUGUGUUAUUAAUGUAUGUUGUAAAUUAAAUGUUAAGUUUGAUAUGCAUUUAUUAUUUGAUAUCAUAUGUUUGUCAAUGAAAUUGUAAUGUUAUGUGCAACAAAUAAGUAUUGAAUUAAAAUUUUUUAUGCUAUUUCUUACGUAGAGGCGGUUCAAACCGCCUCUAAAUAUUAUUGAUUGUUUGCUUACCUGUAGAGGCAGUGGCAACCGCCUCUAAAGAGCAAACCGCACUAAAAAAUAUUAGAGGCGGUUUAAACCGCCUCUAUGAUACGACAUUAAUAGAGGCGGUUUAAACCGCCUCUAUGAUACGACAUUACUAGAGGCGGUUUAAACCGCCUCUAUGAUAUGACAUUAAUAGGGGCGGUUUAAACCGCCUCUAUGUUAUUAAAAAAUAAAAUUAAAAUCAUAAAAAAAAUAAAUAAAAAAUUAUAUUGAGGUGGUUCAAACCGCCCCUAUCGGACCGCCUCUAGCAUUCCCCGGCGGUCGGUAAAACCGCCUCUACGGACGUAGAGGCGCUAUCUACGCCGGCAUUUUAGAGGCGGUCGCUAAAACCGCCUCUACAAUUCCUAGAGGCGGUUUAAACCGCCUCUACAGGCGGUAAAAACCGCCUCUACAGGCGGUAAAAACUGCCUCUACAAGCCUGUUUUCUUGUAGUGACAAAAAGGUGAUGUAUAAAGUAUGCAACUACAAAAUGAAAACCCACUUGGAAGGUCUCUAUCUAGGGCGCGAUGCCCUAACCGCGGUCGUCCGCCGGCUCGCUCGGUCCCGACUCUGUGAAAAUAGUGGAGUGAGAACUACAACAAAGUUCCCAGUGGGUUCGGCAACCGACCGCGCCGACAUUCCCACUAGGUCUAAAUCAGGCAUAAUAGAAGAAUAGAUAGAUAGCAACCAAGCUAAAGCAAAUGCAGCUAAUAUGCAUGAAUAAUAAAUUAUACUAUGCUCAAAAUAGAACUCAUGAUGAAUGUAAGGUCACUGCUCAGAACCGAAUCUCUAGGUUAGCCCGUAGGUUUUGCCCACAAUAAUCUCACCAACUAAAAUCCCAGUAUCGGGGAGACUACUACACCCGACGGGACUGUCAUCUGGGGAGACUACUACACCCAGUGAUGACAACUCCGGAGCGCAUCGCUCGAGAGGGAGCUACCACCCUCGAGCAAGGACUUAUAGGUGAGCAUGAUCCAAUCCUUAACUAUAAGGAUGUCGAGUUCAAUCCAUUCCUUAACUAUAAGGAAAGCAGGCACUAUGACCCUUAACUCUAGGUUUGAAAUUGUCAUAAUGUCACUAUCACUCUUUUACUUGUAUUCUUUACUUUCACUAGUGUCAUAUACACUACUAUGUUCUUGUACGCAUGCCACACUUAUUUUCUAAGUGUCCCAACUCUAGCAUUCUCGACUCAUCAAUGUCACUUUCUACUUCUAUGUCAAGAUGUCACAUUUGUUUACUAAGUCCACUAAGUCUUGUCACUUGUCAUGCAUAAAUAAGGUUUAUAAAAUUCUCACAUUCUUACUAGUACCUCACAUGCAUUUGUACUCACAACAUGCAAUAAAUGGCUCAAAUAUAACCGUACUAUGAAAUUUAUGCUCAAUACACAUAUGCUCAAAUAUGACACUUUAGACAUAAAAGGAAUUCCGAGCUCUUCGGAUUGCACCACCCACCUUGGAUGGUUGAGAGGAUGCUAUAGUGAAUUUCUUGGAAUUUUUGAAGCUCUAUUUUCUCGCCUGCGGCAAAACGAAGCCAAAUUAGGCUUUUUCUUAAUAACUUAAUCUAGACCUUUUCGUAAUGUCAAACGGAGUUGUCCCAGGCGUCGGGAAUACCCCCAAUUAGAUUUCUACAAGGUCAAUAUGCCUUAGAAACAUCCGAAGGCAAAAGCCCCAAAAUUCAUGGCCUAACAAUGCCAUAAGGGAAUUUCUCCUAGAUUGAUCUCAUUUCUAAGCAAAAACUAGCUUAAAAACACCUAGAAAGCAUGCUAAUAUCAUUACUAAACCUUUAGAACCAUUCCUAGGGCAUCAACUUUGGAUUCUAACAAUCCACCAUGAGAAGGUUCCAAGAAAACCAUAAUUUCAUGGAGUUCAAAGCACUAACAUGCUUUUAGAGCUUCUAAGAAAUCCAAAACUCUAAAACAUAGGGUUUAAAACCAAACCCUAGAAGAAAUCUUGCGUGAACUCAUCUUUGCCACAAGCUAUCCCCAAGUUCUUCUUGAAGGAGAGCUUCUAAAGUCACCAAGACCACCAAAUCCACAUUCUCCAACUUCUACUCCUUCAAUCCUUGCCCUAGGGCAAGAGUUCUAGAGAGAGAAAGAGGAAAAUGAGAGGAGGAUGAGAAAUGGCUGUGGGAGAGAGAGAAGAGUAGGGUUGGGGUAUUAACAUAUUGUAACAAUUACAACAAAACCCUCCAAACACUUGUAUUUGUAGCAGUUUUCAUUUUGUUGUCAGACCCAAAGUGUACCGGUACACUUUAGGGUGUCACCGGUAACACGAUCGCGUAUGGCCAAACCCGAGAGCAGCUCCCUCGAAUUUGGGGCAUUUGUACCGGUACACUUUCAUUUUGUACCGGUACACUUGUCUGUACCGGUGACAACUCGAUGGUUGUACCGGUACACAUUACCCAGACUUGGUUUUUGGCUCCGUUUCGAUUCUAUUUCGUGCCGAUCGAUGCCAAAACCCUUCUAACACUUCUAGAACUCAUUUUUAACCCUUCAAACACUAUUGGUAGGUUAAUUGGAACUCGCCCAAUUAAUCCAUUCGCACACUUUAGUCAAUUUGGCUAAAGUUCGCUAUUUUCUAUCGAGGUUUCGAUACAUUACAUUCUCAACCCCUUAAAAUUAGUUUCGUCCACGAAACUUACUUAAUUUAAACUUAAACUCAUAUCUCAAUUCAGCUCAUUGAAGAGAUGAGGGUAAUGCUCCCGCAUUGCGCUCUCGAGCUCCAAAGUAGCUUCCCGAUCAUCGUGGUUACUCCAACGAAUUUUAACAUACGAAAUCUCACGGUUCCGUAGUUUUCUCACUUCUUGGUUGAUAAUGUACGCCGGGAACUCCUCAUAAGUCAUAUCCUCUUGAAUCUCGGACGGUUCAAACAAUAGAAUAUGCUCGGGGUCAUGAAUGUACUUGCGGAGAUUCGAUAUAUGGAACACGUCGUGUACUCCCGCAAGCCUCGGUGGUAAUGCUAUCUUAUACACCACCGCGCCGACCCGCUCCAAUACCUCGAACGGUCCAAGGUACCGGGGACUUAGCUUCCUACGCAGCCCAAACCGUCUAAUUCCUCGCAUCGGCGAUACCUUUAGGAACACAUGGUUGACAACUGCAAACUCUAUGUCUUUUCUCCGCUUGUCGGCAUAGCUCUUUUGCCGAGAUUGUGCCGUAGUGAGUCUUUGGCGGGUAAGGCGAACUUUCUCCUCCGCCUCCCGCACCACAUCGAGGCCAAGAGUCACACUCUCCCCACAUUGCUCCAAUGUAUAGGAGAGCGACACUUCUUUGCAUAAAGGGCCUCGAAUGGCGCCAUCGCGAUACUCUCUUGAUAACUGUUAUUGUACGCGAACUCCGCCAUCGGUAGAUGAUCAUGCCAAUCGCCCUUGUAGUCAAGUACACACGCUCGAAGCGUAUCCUCGAGUAUUUGUAUCGUCCUUUCUGAUUGGCCAUCACUUUGAGGAUGAAAUGUCGUGCUAAAGUCGAGCCGUGUGCCCAAUGUCUCCUGUAGGCUCCUCCAAAAGUGGGAUGUGAACCUCGGGUUUCGAUCCGAUACUAUUGACACCGGAACCCCGUGAAGUCUCACAACCUCAUCUAAGUAUACUUGGGCCAACUUGUCCCCCGACUAUGUAAUAUGAAUCGGUAGGAAAUGCGCCGACUUCGUCAACCGGUCUACUAUCACCCAAAUUGCAUCAUGUCCACCUUGAGAUCGGGGCAAUCCGGUCACGAAGUCCUUCGCGAUAGUUUUCCAUUUCCAAACGGGUAUAGGUAGGCUUUGUAAUUUCCCUACCGAAAACCGCCGCUCCGCUUUUACUUGUUGGCAAGUAAGACAUUGCGCAACAAACUCCCCAAUAUCUUUCUUCAUGCCCGGCCACCAAUAAUGCAAUUUCAAAUCUUGGUACAUCUUGGUGCCACCGGGGUGGAUACUAUAAGGAGAUUGAUGCGCUUCUUGCAUAAUCGCCUUGCGGAUGUCCUUAUUUUUAGGUACACACCAACGAUUUCGAAAUUGAAGUGUGCCGUCGGUCCCAAUGCCAAAAUCAUCGACACUACCGCUCUAAACUUCAUCGCGCACCUUUUGGAGAUACUCAUCGGAAGUUUGUAGCUCUUUUAUCCUCUCCAACAAGGUCGGUUGCACCACUAACGCGGCAAGUGUAGCCGGCACUCCCGGCGCCACUACUUCCAAACCAAGCCGUUGCAUCUCUUUUUGUAAUAAUGGUUGGGGUGUAAUUGCCGAAACCAAAUUUUCUCCCGAUUUCCUACUAAGUGCAUCGGCCACGACAUUCGCCUCCCGGGGUGGUAUAGGAUGAUAAUAUCGUAGUCUUUCAAUAACUCUAACCACCGCUGUUAACACAUAUUUAGCUCAUUUUGGGUGAACAAGUAUUUAAGGCUUUUGUGAUCCGUGUAAAUCUCGCAAUGUUCACCAUACAAGUAGUGCCUCCAUAACUUUAGCGCAAAGAUAACCGCCGCUAGCUCGAGGUCGUGAAUCGGGUAGUUCUUCUCAUAAGUUUUCAACUGGCACGAAGCAUAAGCUAUCACCCACCUGUUUUGCAUCAAGACACACCCGAGACCGGCAUAGGAAGCAUCACUGUAUACCACAAAUGUCUUCCCCGGCGUCGGUAGAGCAAGCACCGGGGUCGUGGUCAAUCUUUCUUUUAAUUCCUCGAAGCUCCGAUCUCAAUCAUUGCUCCAAACAUAUUUCACUCCCUUGUGCGUGCGUGAGGCGCGUUAGCGGAGUGGUUAUUUUAGCGAACCCCUCUACGAACCGCCGGUAGUAGUCCGCUAGCCCAAGAAAACUGCGGACCUCAGAUACGCUCGUCGGGCGAGGCCAAUCUUUAAUUGCCUCUACUUUCUUCGGAUCCACCGAGGUACCCUCACUCGAAAUCACGUGUCCUAAGAAAGUGACCUCCGAUAGCCAAAAGUCACAUUUCUUCAACUUGGCAUAUAACUUCUCCUUUCGAAGUAUUUCCAACACGGUCCUAAAGUUCUCCUCGUGUUCUUCCUCGGUCCGAGAAUAUACCAAUACGUCGUCAAUGAAUACCACGACGCACUGGUCCAAUAGCGGACGGAAGACUCGAUUCAUUAAGUCUAUAAAGGCUGCCGGGGCGUUAGUAAGCCCAAACGGCAUAACCGUGAACUCGUAAUGGCCAUACCGCGUACGGUACGCCAUCUUGUGCACAUCCUUGGGCCAUAUCUUCAACUGAUGAUACCCCGAUUGAAGGUCUAUUUUUGAAUACACCCUCGACUCUUGCAAUUGAUUGAAUAGAUCAUCAAUCCUCGGCAACGGGUACUUGUUAUUAACUGUGACCUUGUUCAACUCGCAGUAGUCCACGCAGAGUCGAAGCGUGCCAUCCUUCUUUUUAACAAAUAGCACCGGAGCUCCCCGUGGUGACACGCUCGGCCUCACAAAGCCUUUAUCGAGCAAGUCUUGCAAUUGUGCCUUAAGCUCCUUUAGCUCCGCUUGUGCCAUUCUAUACGGAGCCUUCGAAAUUGGCGCCGCCACGAGAAUCAAAUCAAUGACGAACUCAAUCUCCCGGUCCGGUGGCAAUCCCGGUAACUCCGCCGGAAAUACAUCCGAAAACUCGCACGCUACCCGAAUACUACUAAGUUUCGGAUACACCUUUUGGGCUUCUACCAUUGUCGCCAAGUAGGCUACAUAUCCACCCUUAAUCAUUUUCCUCGCUCUCGACGCCGAUACAGUUGCCGCGAAGCGUCUGCUUUUACACGCCCGGUAUACUAGCUCUUCUUAAUUAGGCUCAUGGAACGUGAUCAUCUUACUUUCACAAUCUAUAAUGGCAUAAUACUUGGAGAGCCAAUUGAUCCCCAAGAUCACAUCAAAGCCCCACAGUUGGUUUAAUACUAAUAGGUUGAUCGGCAUGAUCCAAUCGCCUAUCUAUACCGGACAAUCCAAACACUUGUUAUGUACAUGGAAUGAAUGCCCAGGUGUAUUCAUCGUCCAAUAGUCCUCAUUAUGUGUGACCUCUAUGUCAUGAGCUAGUGCAAAUGAUGUCGAUAUGCAUGAAUGCGAUGCACCUGUGUCAAAUAAAGCUCUAGCUCUAGUGCCUCUGAUCAAGAUAAUACCUGCCACGACGUCGUCGGGGACUGGAAUCGGCUCCUCCAGCUGAGUGGCAAAGACUCGCCCACUCGGUGCUCUAGAUGCCUCCGGCUGACGCGACGAUGACGAGCAUCCAGCCGACAUAGCCGGGGUUAACCCUGCUAGCUGUCUCGAGGUCGAAGGAACUGAGGCCGCCGUUGGUGCAGACGACGCCCAUCUCGGGCACUCCCGUACCAUAUGUCUCGCCUGACCGCACUUGAAGCACUUUCCUUCGCCUUGCGGGCAAGUCAUUGGUCGAUGCUCGCCGCCACAAAUAACGCAACAGGGAAGCUUCCCGCUCCUCGCUUGCUGUCGGGGAUACCGAGGGGGUUUCUUUGCACUUGGCCGGCCCCCGGCACCGCCCGCCGCUCGCUUCUUGCUCUUGUCCUUUGCCUCGGCUGCGGACUCACGCUCCUCGCGUUCGUGGGCAUAGCCAUGCUCCGCCCACAAGGCUCGAUCAAAGACAUCCGCAAAAGUCGUAAGCUUAAGGAUUUGCACGGCCCUAUGAAUCCCCGGCCGAAGUCCUCGCAAGAACCAAUCGGCCCGGUCUCGGUCAUCAUGAACAACCUCCGGGACGCAAUCGAUAAGGUGGGAGAACUCCUGCUCGUAGUCCGCCACGGAGCGAUCCCCUUGCCUCAACUUGCGCAAUUUUUCUUGCAACUUCGCUUCACCGUGUCGGAAAAAUAAUUGGCGAACAUCGCCCUCCUGAACUCCUCCCACAACAUAGGCGGAAGAUCGGGAGAUCGAUCCCACCUAACUCAUUUCCACCACACCUUUGCCGCCUUCUUAAGGCAAUGUGUGGCGAGGUACACUUUGUCCUUCUCCGAGGUAUGCAAGUCCUCGAAGAGCGUCUCCAUGGAGUCAAUCCAUGACUCCACCACCGCCGGUUCCACCACUCCCCUUUCGAAGAUAGGUAGGUUGAACUUGUUGAACUGAAUGAGAGCCGCCAACGAGCGCUCCCACUCUGCCUCAUCCGCCGCACUAUUAGGGUUUGAGGUCCCCGAUCCGGCCGGUAUCGCCGUAACUGGCACAGCCGCUGCGACCACACCCUCGGCCGCGCUCGGCACCACCGCAGGAGGCGCAGGGUGCACGGCCUCCACGGGUGCCGCCGCCGCCGCCUGCUGUCGCUCCAAGGCCUCAUGGAGCCUUUGGAUUUGCUCCCCUUGGCGCUGAACGGACUUCGCUUGUUGCCGCAUUACGCCAUUAAGCGCGGCCAUCUGCUCCCGAAGCUCCCCGUCGCCUCCUGCUUCGGGUUGCACGGGAGUCGCACUUGGCUCCUCGGCCAUAGACCUCGUCCACGGUCGACCACGAGGCAACUUAGGUCAUCCACGAGGUGGCAUUGCUUCAUGAAAUGAAGCUAUUCACGUUAAUUACUUGACCAAUAUAUUCGAUUAUACCCAAUCCGGCGAAAGCAUAUAAGUGCAUUCAUUUUCCUCCCAAAGCAUCAUGUCGUCAGCUGCCGAUCAUAACACAAGGAAAAGAAAACAAAUAACAACUUAAAUUUAGUCCGUAACCACAUUAGAGACAUAUUAACAUUAACCCAAUCAUAAGCUUUCGCUAUAGUUUGAUUCCAAGUCGCUCACGUUUCCUAGAUCCUUAAGGUUUUCCAUUCCUAAGGGAGCUAGGUCCAUCCUAUACUUUCACUUUUUGGCUCUUUACGCUCUGAUACCAUUAUAUAUGUCACGCCCCGAACCCCAUCCUAUUUAGCUGGUUCGGACCCGUCAAACAGAUGCCGAAUGGAUAGAGUCUUCCCUGUCCGCCCAAGGCUCAACAACCUGUACAAAUAGAGUAUGAACUUUGCACAAAAUAGAAGCAUACACAAUGGCUUGCACAAGGGCAAGCAAUAGCCAAUAGUAAAAGUAAUGAACUACGCUUAGAAAAUCAUUUAUAUUUUUUUUUGCAUCAUUUCUUCUCUUUUACAUCACAUGAUCUCAAAAUAUAAGUUCUUGCAUUUAAAUAUAAAAUAUUUAACAACAUUCAUGUUCCUUUUUUUUUUCCUUUAACAUCUAUAGUCAUCAAAAUACAAAAAGGUAAUGUAUAAAGGUAUGCAACUACAAAAUGGAAACCCACUCGGAAGGUCUCUAUCUAGGGCGCGAUGCCUUUACCGCUGUCGUCUGCCGGCUCGCUCAGUCCCAACUCUGUGGAAAUAGUGGGAUGAGAACUACAACAAAGUUUCCAGUAGGUUCGGCAACCGACCACGCCGACUUUCCCACUAGGUCUAAAUCAGGCAUAAUAGAAGAAUAGAUAGAUAGUAACCAAGCUAAAACAAAUGCAGUUAAUAUGCCUAAACAAUAAAUAAUGCUAUGCUCAAUAUAGAACUCAUGAUGAAUGCAAGGUCACUGCUCAGAACCCAAUCUAUAGGCUAGCCCGUAGGUUUCGCCCACAAUAAACUCACCAACUCAAAUCCCAGUAUCGGGGAGACUACUACACCCAACAGGACUGUCAUCUGGGGAGACUACUACACCCAGUGAUGACAACUCCGGAGCGCAUCACCCGAGGGGGAGCUACCACCCUCGGGCAAGGACUUAUAGGUGAGCAUGAUCCAAUCCUUAACUAUAAGGAUGUCGAGUUCAAUCCAUUCCUUAACUAUAAGAAAACCAUGCACUAUGACCCUUAACUCUAGGGUUGAAAUUGUCAUAAUGUCACUAUCACUCUUUUACUUGCAUUCUUUACUUUUACUAGUGUCAUAUACACUACUAUGUUCUUAUACGUAUACCACACUUGUUUUCUAAGUGUCCCAACUCUAGCAUUCUCGACUCAUCAAUGUCACUUUAUACUUCUAUGUCAAGAUGUCACAUUUGUUUACUAAGUCCACUAAGUUCUUGUCACUUGUCAUGCAUAAAUAGGGUUUAUAAAAUUCCCACAUUCUUACUAGUAACUCACAUGCAUUUGUACUUACAACAUACAAUAAAUGGCUCAAAUAUAAACAUACUAUGCAAUUUAUGCUCAAUACACAUAUGCUCAAAUAUGACACUUUAGACAUAAAAGGAAUUCCGAGCUCCUCGGAUUGCACCACCCACCUUGGAUGGUUGAGAGGAUGCUACGGUGAAUUUUUUGGGAUUUUCGAAGCUCUACUUUCUCGCAUGCGGCAAAACGAAGCCAAAUUAGGCUUUUUCUCAAUAACUUAAUCUAGACCUUUUCGUAACGUCAAACGGAGUUGUCCCAGGCGUCGGAAAUACCCCCAAUUAGAUUUCUAUAAGGUCAAUUUACCUUAAAAACACCCGGAGGCAACAGCCCCAAAAUCCAUGCCCUAACAAUGCCAUAAGGGAAUUUCUCCUAAAUUAAUCUCAUUCCUAAGCAAAAACUAGCUUAGAAACACCUAGGAAGUAUGCUAAUAUCAUUACUAAACCUUUAGAACCAUUCCUAGGGGAUCAACUUUGGAUUCUAACAAUCCACCAUGAGAGGGUUCCAAGAAAACCACGAUUUCAUGGAGUUCAAAGCUCUAACAUACUUUUAAAGCUUCUAAGAAGUCCAAAACUCUAAAACUUAGGGUUUAAAACCAAAUCCUAGAAGAAAUCUUACAUGAACUCACCUUGCCACAAGCUAUCCCCAAGUUCUUCUUGAAGGUGAGCUUCUAAAGCCACCAAGACCAUCAAAUCCACCUUCUCCAACUUCUACUCCUUCAAUCCUUGCCCUAGGGCAAGAGUUCUAGAGAGAGAAAGAGGAAAAUGAGAGGAGGAGGAGAAAUGGUUGUGGGAGAGAGAGAAGAGUAGGGUUGGGGUAUUAACAUGUUGUAACAAUUACAACAAAACUCUCCAAACACUUGUAUUUGUAGCAGUUUUCAUUUUGCUGUCAGACCCAAAGUGUACCGGUACACUUUAGGGUGUCACCGGUAAUAAGAUCGCGUAUGGCCAAACCCGAGAGCAGCUCCCUCGGGUUUGGGGCAUUUGUACCGGUACACUUUCAUUUUGUACUGGUACACUUGUCUGUACCGGUGAAAACUCGAUGGUUGUACCGGUACACAUUGCCCAAACUUCGUUUUUGGCUCCGUUUCGAUUCUAUUUCGCGCUGAUCGAUGCCAAAACCCUUCUAACACUUCUAGAACUCAUUUUUAACCCUUCCAACACUAUUGGUAAGUUAAUUGGAACUCGCCCAAUUAAUCCAUUCAUACACUUUAGUCAAUUUGGCUAAAGUUCGCUAUUUUCUAUCGAGGUUUCGAUACGUUACAGUAGCCCUACUAUAUAUAUAUAUAUAUAUAUAUAUAAUUGAGCUCCUAUGCUUUUAAAAGUACCAAGUUUUUGAUGCUUGUAGAUUUUAGCCAUUGGAUUAAGAGAUAUGCGGUUAGAAUGAUGUGGGCCCCCUAGGGUUUAGUGGGUGGUUGGUUGAAUAGUAUAAUUUAAUGGUUGAAAAUGAUCCGAGGAGUAGAUCUAACGGUAAAAAACUUAUAAGCACCAUGUGCUUGGUGCUUUUACAAGCACCAUAGCUGGACUAUAUAUAUAUAUAUAUAUAUAUAUAUAUAUAUAUAUAUAUAUAUAUAUAUAUAUAUAUAUAUAUAUAUAUAUAUAUAUAUAGCAUAUACAUAUCUCCAUAUGUAUAUACAUAUAUACAUACACAUAUUCAUGUAUAAUGAUACAGAAAAGCCCCUUAUGUCUUCAAUAUUCUCAUACAACCUGUAAUAUACCGAAAAUUUAAAAAAUAAAUAUCGAACUUUAGUCAAAUUGACCAAAGUGCGAGGAUAGUACACUUCGGAAAGUCCGAAGGUGUUAAGAUGAUCAAAAGUGCGUUGUGGGAGAUUUUCGAGAGCUAAAGAGUAAAAAUUCUGCAAACUGCAGAUUUUCAGCACUAAAGAGUCAAAAUUCUGCAAACUGCAGAUUUUCAGCUCUCGGGGACCAGUCCCUGAAGGAAGAGACCGAUCCCUGAACGCGUAAGAAAUGAGAAAGCUGAAAAAUCGGCUAAGUCCCAGAAAACCAGCUCUCGGGAACCGGUCCCUGCGGGGAGAGACGGGUCCCCGAGAGACCGGUCCCUCUCGGAGGGAUCGAUUGCAUCGCGCGGGGGCCCUGGCUGCCCGCGGGGAGAGCUCUCUGGGACCGGUCCCUUGUCGGGGAGACCGGCCCCCGAACACGAAAUCUGCCCAGUGCAGGGAGUGUAAUAAAGUGGAAGUUGAGGGGUUUACUUUCAAUUAUGUAACAAAUGGGUUAUGUAUGAGGGGUGUAUGACAUAUUUUCUCAUUUCCCUCUCCCUCACACUCCCUCUCUUCUCUCUUUCUCUCACUAGAAGACAAGGAGAAGAAGAAGACAAGAAAAAAGGAGGAAGAAAGAAAGGAGAAAAAGAGAAUGAAGGUGGAGAAAAAGACCAAGGAGUGGAGCUACUUCCUCUUCUUCCUCUUUGGAGCAACAUAGGAGCAAACUUAGAGGUAAGCUUGAACCCUAUUCAUGGUAGAACCCAAACUAGGGAUUUGAUUAACCUAGGAAUGGUUUUAAUAGAGUUUCUAGAGUGGAUUGAAACUUCUUUUGCUUCUUGUUGAGAUCAAACCCUAGGUUUGAUAUAUGCUAUGAGCUAGGGCACCCAAAUUUGGGGCUUUUGCUUCUGAAGGAUUCAAAGUAAAAUUGACUCUCUAGAAAUCUAAUUGGGGGUAUUCCCGACACGUUGGUGCGUUCGGAUUGACGUUACGAAAAGCCAAUGUAAAGAUAUGAGCGAAAAGCCUAAUUUGGCUUCGUUUUGCCGCAGGUAGCAAACUAAGAGGCUAAAAAUCUCAAGAAAAUCACCGUAGUAUCCUAGUAUGCCUACGAGGUGGGUGGUGCUAUCCAAACUUGUUGGAAUUCCUUCUAUGCCUAAUGUGUCAUUCAAUUGAGCAUAUAUUUAUAUUAUUGCAUGCAUUAUAGGGUAGAUGUGAUGUUAUAUAUGUGAAUGUUGCAUGAUGUGAGUACACGUGCUAUUCGAAAAUGUUUGAGAACCUAUUCAACCCUAUUUGUAUGCAUGAGAUACAAUGUGAGCGCCCAAUGAGAUGAAAGAACAAAGUGACACAAUGAAACAUAGAUCGAGUGGCAUCCGACAAUGUAAAGUAAUGUGACACUAGAGUUAGUGUGUGGCAUCAAAGAGAAAUGUGACGCAAAGAACAAUGAUAAUGAUUAGAGACAAGUAAAGAAAAUGAAAGUGGCAUAAAGAAUGAAUAAAGUUAAAGAACAAUGAUUGCUAGAGUUAGCAAAAGAAAGAGAUGUAAAGAACACUAGAGUUAGUGUAAAGGCAAUGAUUGAACUAUAUAUUCUUAGAGUUAAGGAUCGAUCAUACUUGCUAUGAGUUCCGUGCUUGAGGGCGGUAGCUCCCCUUCGAGCGAUGCGCUCCGGAGUUUUGCAUCACGGGUUGGAGUCAACCCGAGGACGGUCUUAGCGGGAGGAAGCUGAGGGCCUGCGAUGAUGGACUUAAUGUGGGCAAGUUAAUGUGGCGAAACCCCCGGGUUAGCCGUGAGAUUAAAGAACAAAGAACAAAGAUUAAAGAAUAAAGAGUAAGGAGCAAAGAACUUGUAUACUUGCAUGAUUUACGUUGAGCAUAUUUCUUGCUUUAUUGUUCAAGCAUAUUAGCAUCAUGAUUAUAGUUUGGUUACUAUUCUGUUUAUCCUUUCUAUUAUGUCUGAGUUAGUCAUAGUGGGAAAGUCGGUGAGAUUGGGGCCGAACCCACUAGGAACUUCGUUGUAGUUCUCACCCCACUAUUUCCACAGAGCCGGGACCGAGCGAGCCGGCGAGCGACCGUGGUAAAGGUAUCGCACCAUAAUCAGAGGUCACCAGAGUUGGGUUAUUUCAUAUUUUGAUAGUAGCUACCCUAGUGUCAUCUUUUGUACUUGAAGAUGUUUAACGUAAAGUAAAGAAUGUAAAGCUUUAUUUUGAGGCAAUGUGAUGUAAAAGAAAUUAUGCAAGUAAUGUAAUGAAAUGUAAAGACUUUAUGAAUGUACAAGUUGGAUGAAAUGUAAUGUAUGUGAUCAAAAGAGAAUCAUAGUACUUGUGUAGAUGUUUAGUUUCCUUUCUUUCACUCAUGGCUAUUGCUUACCCUCGUGUAAGCCGUUUGUGUAUGUUUCCGCUAGUGCUUUUCUCUACUUGAAAAUGUACAGGUGAUGAGCCUUGGGCGGACAAGGAAAACUCUGUCCGUUCGGGGUUUGUUUGACGUGCCCGGGCCGGCCCAAAUUGGUAUCGGUCCCCGGGCGUGACAUAACCAUUGCCAGUAUGCAACAUUAGCAUUUUAGUGCCACCUCUAGCAUGACAAAAACUUAAAAUUUCACUCCAUUUAAUGAAGAUGCCUCCCAAACACUUAGGGCAUGUUUGGUUCAUCCAUUUUAGAUAUGGAAUCGGAAUCGGUUUGAUCAAAUCCGAUUAAUUUUGUUUGGUUCGCAGGAAUCGGUUUGGAAUUCCAAUUCCGGACUGGAAUGGAAAUGGCCCAUCAACCUUCAACUUGAUUCCGGACCGGAUUGAGAAUCCAUUCCCAAAGCCCACCAAGCCCCAAAGCCCAUGAGAUCAUCACCCUUCUCGCUCUGUAUCCGAUCGAUCUCUCGCCCCUCUCAUCUAAAAAAAAAAAAAACCCUAUCCCUCACCUAUCUCGCCCCUCUCUCAAAACCCUAUCCCUAACCCUAGCGAAUGCAGCACAGUGGCGCCGCGAACGCAGCACGGCAGCGAGACGGGGCGGCAUGGUGAGUUGGUGCAGCGGCGUGGCGACGUGGAGGAGAUUAUUUGAAAAACCUAGCUUUGUCACAGAGGUUCAAUCUCUUUUUUAAGCCUUCUCUUCUCUGUUCGAAAUAGUCUAAUUAUAAGCUAUAUUGAGAUCGCUCGUGGACACCUUCUCCAUUAUCGCUAUUUUUAAGGUAGUCUAUUCUUGGGCUCUCCUUUCAACAAAUUAAUGAUCGUUACUUAGAUUAAGAUUACCCUUGUUGUUGCUUAGUUGAUUUGUGUAGAGUUUUGAUUAUUUUUUUAUGCUUGUUUGUGGACAAGAAGUGUUUACAAUGAAAUUUUUGCUUGGUGUCAGAUUGUAACCAAAAUUUAGAAAGUUGAUAUUGCAUUUGAUGAGCGAGGUCUGUAGAUUAGAGAUCAAUAUUAGAAGCAUUUAUCUGCAAGCGCCAAUCACAUGAUGAUGGCGCUAGCAGAUUUGGUUGAAUAUGUGAGUAAUAGGAUGAAAUUUUCUCCUCGUAAAAAAUCUGAACCAUUAGGAGAUAAUCUAGUAUUGGUAUAUGAAUGUGUGUUAAUGACUACAAUAGUAAUCAUGUGAAAAUUAUUAAACUGUCUUGUGUUGUUUUGCUUAGGACUUAAUUCAUAUGGUCUUUAUUGCUCUCCUAAUAUGUUCUCCGCAGUAUAAUUCUGAUUUUGUUAUGAUUAGCUUGCUUUGCGACUGUUGGGAAUUGUUGAUCAGCUUACAUUUACUUACUAGCUUAUUUGCUAGUAAGUAAAUAAGCUUAAUCUAGUCCACAUAUGAUAGUUUAAAAUCCAAUUAGAUAUGUGGACCUCACAUUUUAGAUAACAUUGCUUAAUCUAGUCUUGGGACCAAAGUGCUAGCACAAUUAUAUAGAGAGAGAGAGAGAGACUGACCAUUUUUAACGAAAGUGACAAAAGACUUCAUGAUCAGUACCUAAAGUUCCACAUUUGAAGUCGAGUAGUUUUAUAUUUCUUAACAAGUUUAUUUUUUGUAAAAUGAGGAAAGCGGUAUCAUGCUCCCAUUCUCUAAACGAAAAAAGUGUUAUCGGACCAUUUUCAACUAUUUGAUCAGUUUUGUUUUAAGCUUGUUUUCAUAAAUUGAGCUUCUAAAUGCAUCUUGGUUUGUGUAGUUAUCAACAAUUUGGCAAUCAAACUCUAGCUGGUCAUGAACUAAUGUAUGCUUUUGUACUCUUGUAUGAACGAAAUUAAUUCUGGUAGAGUUUCCGUCAGUAAAUUACCAUAUAUUGACACCAAUAACACAAAUGUAGAGCUCAGAAUCUAUUAUGAAAUAGAAGCAGGAGUGCAAAUUACUCUCGAAUGUACUAAAAGGCAUUAUGUAUCCACAAGUUCACUUGCAAUAUUAAUCUUCUAGUUAGUUCCUCAUCACUUCAUUUUUCACCUUCUGUUGCUGUGUCCUAUGAAAUUUGAUAUGGCCUGGUUGGAUCCCUGCUGAAAUGUUUGAACUAUAAUUUUUUUUAUUUGUUUGAAUUACCAAACUUUUCUCAAUUCCUUUUCUGUCACAAACCAAUAGUUUCAACUUUAAACUUACCGGUUGUAAUUAAAUCUUUUGACAUGACAGUGAUAUAUAGAAUGAGCCGUCUUCCUAUAGAUUUGAGAAGGAGACGACGAAUGGUCAUUACUAGCAAUAUGUAUUUUAUAGUUUGGCUAAUUGUGUGGAUGUAUUUUAUGGGUUAUCUUAUUAGGCUUAUGCCUAUUGAAAAGAGAUGAUAUCUAAAGAUAAGAAAAAAUAGAAAAGAAUUGAGAAUUGAGAAUUUACAUAAGAUCAUAAAUGAAAAUGAUAGAAAUUGUGUGAGUCAACUUCGAAUGGAUAGGCGAACUUUUAGUAUACUUUGUGAGAUGGUUAGAGACAUUGGGGGUUUAAGUGGUUCUCGCAACAUGUCUUUGGAGGAGAUUGUUGCAAUGUUUCUUUAUACUUUGGCACAUCAUCAGAAAAAUAGGACAAUUGCAAAUUAUUUCGACAGAAGUGGAGAGACUGUUAGUCGGCAAUUUAAUUUAUGCCUGAUGGCUAUAUUGAAGUUGCCUGGAAAGUUACUCAAAUCACCGGAGCCAAUUUCCAAUGACUGCACGGAUGAGAAUUGGAAAGAUUUUAAGGUAUAUAAUAUAAUAUUUUUUAUUAUUUUUAUUAUAUAUAAAUUAGACAAAUAGAUUUUUUUAUUUACAUCAAUUUUCAUCUUGUAGAAUUGCUUAGGAGCACUAGAUGGUACAUUCAUUAAGUUGAAAGUUCCCGCCAAGGAUAAAGCAAGGCAUAGAACAAGAAAAUCAGAUCUUGCAACUGAUGUUUUAGGAGUGUGCUCACCCGACUUGCAAUUUAUAUAUAUAUCGCCCGGCUGGGAGGGUUUCUGCACACGAUUCUCGUGUGCUUCGAGAUGCUAUUACUAGACCACACGGAUUACAAGUAUCGCAAGGUAAGUUUUUAUACGUAGUAAAUACACACACACACAUAUAGAUAGUUAGUUAAUAAUUUUUAUCUAACUCUUUUUUUUUAACUUAAAGGUUGUUAUUAUUUGGUUGAUUCUGGAUAUACCAAUGCGGAUGGAUUUUUUGCACCUUUUAAGGGACAACUAUAUCAUAUGCACGUGUGGAGGGCUGGGCAUCGACCACAAUCGGCAGAAGAGUAUUUCAACAAGAAACACGCCCAAGCUAGAAAUGUAAUUGAAAGAUGCUUUGGACUUCUUAAGGGACGAUGGGCAAUUCUUAGAAGUAAUUCUUUUUUUUCGGUGAAAACUCAAUGCCGAAUUAUAAUGGCAUGUGCUCUCCUUCACAACCUAAUUAGAAGGUAUAUGCAUAGAGAUCCAAUAGAAGAAGACUAUGAAGUAGAAGAAGAGGAGGAAACUUAUGAGGAAGAAGAUAUAGAGAAUGGAGUUGAGUUCAUCACAACCGUUGAGACAUCUGAUGAGUGGACCAACUUUAGAAAUACAUUAGCUCAAGAAAUGUUCAAUAGUUGGAGAGCUAGAUCGCUUAACCAUUGAUUGUACUGCAUUUCUUUUUUUUGAGCAGUACACAUGUAUUAAACUUUAUAUAUUGUUUCUUUUGAAUGAUUUUUCAUUAUGUUUUUCUUGGUAUGUAGUAAUCUUUAUACUUUUGUUAAUGUUUUGUUGUCGUUGUUGAUUCUAUCUUUCUAAAUUGUGUAAUUCUUAUGCUUUUCUUAGCUACGUAGUUGUACUUAAGUAUGCUCUCAAAUUAUUAUAAAUUGUUCAUUACAAAAUAUUGGCUAAUGCUAUGUCUUAAAUCGGUUUUACGUUUUUUCAAUAGAAUGGACUCUGAUGAAAGUAAUACAGUAAAUCGUGGUAGAGGCAAAAACAAACGGCCAUGGAAAGAGAUGGAAGAUGAGAUAUUAGUUCAAUGCUUAAAGGAGUUAGCCGCUGAUCUCCACUGAAAAGGAGAGAACGGAUUUAGAAAUGGUUACUUCAGACGUUUAGAGAAAAUGAUUGCUGAAAGGCUACCUGGCUGUGAUUUGAGGGCUAGCUUGCACAUUGAGUCGAGAGUAAAGUAUUUGAAGCAAAAAUAUUGUGCAAUUACGGAGAUCUUAUCAAAAACAGGCGUUACAUGGGAUGACCAAAGAAAAAUAAUUUCAUGUGAUAAAAAGUGGUAUGAUGAUUGGUGUAAGGUAUGUUAUAUCUUACCAUUAUGAAAUAAGUUAUUUUGUAUUGCUUUCAUUGUUAAUUAAUAUUUUAUAUUUCUAUAGAUGCACGAGUCUGCCAAAGGAUUAUGGGGGAUGCCUUUUCCACACUUAGAUGUUCUUGCAGAAAUCUUGGAUUAUGGGGGAUGCCUUUUCCACACUUAGAUGUUCUUGCAGAAAUCUAUGGAAAAGACAGGGCAACUGGAGAAGGAGUUGAAACAUUUGUGGAUGCAGUACAUAAUAUAGAAAAUGAAUAAGCAAAUCCUAUGCUAGCUUAUAUAGAAGGAGGAUGUCCCAAUGUUGUAGAUGAUGAUAAUGAAAAUGAAACCCAAUCAGCGGAGAGGGCUGCUUCAAGUAGUUCAAGAAAGGCCAAGAAACAUAAAUCCAAUAAAGAGAAAGAAGCAAAAGAUCCUUUACAAGAGUAGGUGGAGUUAUUUUCUAGAACUCUUGGACCAUUCAUAUCUCGAAUGGAGACACAUUUUGCAACUAUGGCUAAUGUUAUGACACGAGAACAGGAAAUGGCAGAGAAGAGUACUGCAGAAAAUAAUACUGCUAGGGUACUGGCAGAGUUACUUGCUUUAUCUUUUAAUAGUAACCAAAUUAUAAAAGCAACUGAUAUUUUUGCCGCUGAACCUAGCAAGAUGAAUGUACUCUUUAGCCUUCCACAACAAUUGAAAAGGCAAUAUGUGCUUGAUGUUCUUAAUUUGAGUGUUGGAGAGUCUAAAGCAGGAUCUACUUCGAAAGAACUUUAGAAAAGUUAAGCUAUAGGAUGUUUUCAUUUGUGUUUGUUAAGUUUUAGGUGGUUGUCAUUUAUUUUGUUAUGUUGAGUACCGUACUUCAGUUGAUGUAAUUCUUCUAAUGAUACUGUUGCUAUAUUUUUUUCUUUUUUCAAUAGGUGAAGAUGAAUGCACUUUUGUAGUUUUGGUAUUUAUGUUUUUUUUCGCUUUUGUUAUUUCUUUUUUUUCAUUAGGUGAAGAUGAAUGCAUUUUUUGUAGUUUUGGUAUUUGAUAUUUUACAGAUGCAUUUAUGUUUUAUUUCGCUUUUGUUAUACUUUGUACGGUGUUUAAUAUUUCUUUUGGCAACCUAUUAAUGUAAUUUUUCUGAUGAUACUACCAUUGUAUUUUGUUUUCUUGCCAAGUGAAGAUAAGUGCAUUUUUAUAGUUUUGAUAUUUGAUGUUCUAAAAAUGGAUUAGUUUAUCUUAUUUCGCUUGUUAUACUUUGUACGAUGUUUGAUAUUUCUUUUGGCAACCUAUUGAUGUAAUUUUUCUGAUGAUACUAUCAUUGUAUUUUGUUUUCUUGCCAAGUGAAGAUAAGUACAUUUUUAUAGUUUUGAUAUUUGAUGUUCUAAAAAUAGAUUAGUCUAUCUUAUUUCGCUUUUGUUAUAUUUUAGAUAGUGUUUGAUAUUUUUUAUAAUUUUUUUCCUGCAUAAAAGUUUGUAAAAAUAAAUUUGAUAAUUUUUUUUGGAAAACUCAUUAGAGAAUAGUAUUUUAUUUUUCAUAAAUUUUAAAUAAUAUAAAAUUAUAUUUGAGUGUUAAAUUAGUAUUAUGAGAUCCUAUAAUUUUUUAGUUUAUAUGAACCAAACAAUGGAAUGGGAAUAACUUAUUCCAAUUCCUAAUCCACAAAUGAACCAAACGUCAUGGGGGAGUAGGUCAUUCUAAUUACCAUUCCAACUCAUUCCCAUUUCAUUAUCUAUUCCAAUUCCAACCUUGAACCAAAUAUGCCCUUAAUCCUUUUCAACUUCAUCUCAGCACCAUUUUGCAUAGAUAACUCUAAAUUUUGCAAAAUCUGAGCCACUCAUUUCCCACUGAAUCUACUUUCAGGUAGAACCUUCCACUCGCCAAAAUUGUGAAACUUUACACAUGAAAUGAUAACUCCUUCGCGAAGUGCCCCAAAUUUGCACUUUGCAAAAACUGCAAUUUAGCCCUCUAACCCUUGAGUUUCUUACCAACAAUUCACCAACGCGGGUAUCUUGGCUAGUAGGACCUUUCCAUAGAUUUUCACGCAAAACGGAGCAACCAAAAAAAUUCUAAAAAGCAAAAGCAUUAAGUAAUAAAAGGUCAAACAUAAAAUGGGAUAAUGCCAUCACCUCUAACAUAGCCAAACCAUCAAAAAUGACUAGUGGGUCAUCUGAAACGGUGUCGGAUUCAUGUCCGAAGCUAUCCUCAAGCCGAGCUUCACAAUAAAACGCAGGUUACUAUUCAUUUAAGUGAAUAGUAUAAGUCACUAUAUGUCACGCCCCAGGGCAAAGCGGAAGCCCGCUCGGCACGGAAUACGGUGAAUCUUCACCGUGUUUGAUUCACCGUGAAUAUAUAAAUAUGAAACACGGUGAACCAUUCACCUGUUCAACUUGCCCAGCAGGCUCCCAACCCGCCUACGUGGCGCUUGCGUGGCGCCUGCGUGGCAGGGGUAGGGCCAUUUUUGCAAUUAUAAAUUUGUUGGGAUUAGUUUUAAAAUAAAAUUUUUUCAGUGAAAGAUUUAUCGUCUUUCUCAUUUCUUGUCCAGUAUAACAGUGUGUUUACAAAAAGUAUUAUUUGGUCAAAUAAAAUUUUAAAAUAAUGAUUUGGGUAAUUAGAAAUUUUUUAUAAAUUAUAAUUAAUAAAAAAAAGUCCCAGCAGAGAAUGGGCCGCGUGUCGUACGUACUAGCUUACUAGAAUAUUUUUUAUAACUAAUCCUAUCAAUUUUUAUAAUUAUAAAAUUAAUUUUCUUAAAAAAAUAAUUAUAAAAAUAGACUUUUAAAUGCGGUGAAUGAUUUAUCGCAUUCAUAACUUUUAUUUAGCAGUAGAAAAAUAAUAAAAGCGGUGAACUAUUCACCGCGUUUAUCAUCGUAGAAUUAUAAUAGAAAGAUAGAAAAAGAAAGAAAGCGGUAAAUGAUUCACCGCUUUUAAAAAUGGAUCGCUUUUAUAAAACUAUAUUUAUAAAUAAAAUUUUAACGGAUUUAUUUUUAAAAUAAAAUUUUAGAUGAGAACUAUUGAACUAAAAACCCCAGCUUACUACCCACCAUCCCAACGCACCGGUGGCUCGCGGUGUUCGAGACAUGGUCAAUCUCCUUGUCACCUGCAGGGCGCCCGCUUGUCUUCCAAAUUCACUCCCCUCCGUUGCUCCCAAAUAUAACAUUGACGCUACUAGGUUUCAAAUUCCUCUCCCCCUUUCUAACAAUUCUAGAACCCUCUCUCCCGGUCUCCAUCUUCUCCACUCUCCCUAUCCAAUCCCUAACUCUCCCAAACCCAUUCGUCUCUCCUCCGCCGCCGCCGCCGCCGCCGCCGCCGCAGCCGACGCCGGAGAAUCCAUGGCCACGACCGCUGCCGCCGCGGCCGCGGAGGAGCCCAAGCCCUUCGCCGUCCUCUUCGUCUGCCUCGGUAACUCUCCCAAACCCUAGAAAACAACUCGCCGUCUUCGUGUUUGCUUAUUGCAUCGAGGCAUUGGCUUUCUCACUGUUAAAGGUAACAUCUGCCGAAGCCCUGCCGCGGAGGCCGUGUUCACGGACCUCGUCCGCAAGAGAGGCCUCCAAUCCAAGUUCAGGAUCGACUCCGCCGGAACCAUCGGCUACCAUGAGGUGACUCUUUCUCUUUCUCUUGUGUUAAAUUUGUUCAGUUGCUGUGUGCAAUUUUGAAUUACUGAAAGUGGGUUGUCGAAUGAAGGGUCGCCCUGCAGAUUCACGGAUGAGGGCGGCGGCAAAGAGACGGGGGAUCGAAGUAACCUCGAUCUCGCGGCCGAUAAGGCCCUCGGAUUUCAGAGAGUUCGAUCUUGUUCUUGCCAUGGAUAUGCAGAAUAGAGGUUCCAUUUUGUAAUUUGAUCAUAAAAGUGUACAGGGGCACCCUCAAUUGUAGGUCAUUCUCAAAUUCUCAAAUUUACCUCUCAACACUAUUUUCUUCCGAUUGACAUCCCUAACUUUUAAUUUUUUUCUUUUUAUUUACAUUGUUUCAUCUAAUAAAUUUUGUUAAGUUCAACUUUUGUAAAUACUUCUUAGGCUGAUGGAACUGCCACUUUUAGUAACUGAUGAUAAUGACAACAGAGCCAUUAAUUUUAAUGAAUCCCCAAUAAAGCUAAGUCGAGUACAACAAUGAAUAAGGAGGUGCAAAUCAAAGAAGUAUAAAGUUAAAGGGUCUAUUUAAAAAUGUCCCCUAAGUUGAGGGCUCUCCGUACGUAAUUUGUCUUUUGUCUCUUUUUUGUUUUUGUGUGAUUAUAGUGAUAAGUUCAUUUUGCGGCUGAUCUGCUAGAUGAUAUAUUGAGUGCUUAUGAGAGGUGGAGAUUCAAGGAGCCGCUGCCUGAGGAUGGACCAAAGAAGGUAACUUCUGUCUUUGUUUUAAUCAUACCUGAGUUGCAGUUAGUGUUCCUUAGAGAGAUACGCUUUUGAAUCUGUUCUUUCCAUUCGCUACUUGUGGAACUAUUUUGUAGGGCAUGAACUUAUGUUAUGCUACAAAAUUUGGAGGAAGAGAACUUCUGUGGAAAGAAGUUCUAUUGGAAAAAUUGGGAUUCUUUGUUAUCGCGCGUAAUUUCUUCUUUCUUGUGUAUUUCUGCUUCUUUAGGCAUUCAAGUUUCAAACCAAAGUUAUAUGUAAAGUGUUUUAAAUAACUUAAUGUUUGGACACAUUGCGGAAGUGAAACACAAUAUGCAGCAUAUCAAUUAGCAAGCAGAAAUUGCAGAACUUUUCAAGUGGGAGAGAAAGUACAAGUUUGCAAGACUUGAGUUAAAAAAAUUUACAUCAACAUUUUAGUUUGUGACAUUAUUGAAGAAGUUCUGAAUAUGUGCCAUGAAUUUUAUCAGGAUUAUUGUAUUAUCAUAUGCAAACUUUAUUUAUUUCAAAUUUUUGAUGCAUCAAAAGGAUUAUUUAAAGGCUUAAACUCUACACCUUGUGGACCUAUUAUAGACGUACUGUGUUUAGUGAUUUCAAUACAUUCUCUUGUUAACCCACUCAUCAUUGGUGAUUCAUUUUUUGAAUGAGUCAGAACAAUCCAACUUACUCAACUUAAGCAAGCUUUUGAUUUAGAUUGUUCUACUAAGAAGUUUGGCUCGGUUCUUGUUGAGAAAUUCGAAUCUAAAAUGAAUUUGUUUAGUUUGGUCCAAAUCUAUCUGUUCGUGACCAAAUCAAAUGAACUCUACCUAACCUAUCCUAAAACAAUUUGAUUUAUAUAUUAUGAAGCAAAACGACAUAUAUGAUAUGCCAAAUUUAGUCACAUAAUAAUUUACAGCUUAAACUAUAUAUUGUUGUGAUGCUCACAAUGAAUACCACGAGUAGGCCCUUGUAAUCAUAGUUGUAAGCGACGAGGAGCCAAAAGACACAAAUUGAAUGUGGCAAGGGAGACGAAGGAGCUGAGUGGGAAGAGGAAGGGAGGAGUUAGGUGGAAUCAGUUUAGGAGAUUUUGCGUUAGGUAUAGUAGGGAGGAAGAAAAGGUAAAGGAACAAUUUACACAGGAUAUGUUUUGUUGAAUUGAUCUUUUCAAUGUUUAGUUUGUCACAUUUCGUGCAUAUUCGAUCUAAUUCAAGGAUUAACAGAAUAGUACAAUUCUCUUUGUAGUGUGUAAUUAUCGACCUUCUCAUGAACAUUUAGUUGGUUCCUAUGUAUCUCGGAGACUUGAAUUGUGCCCUUUCCAUCAUUUUUAUCAAAUGCACCACAUUAGCCGUCCAACCAAGAACAAUUCAACCUAGCCUUAAUUUGGUUAGUCUGAAACUUCCUUGACCAUGCUUAUAAAUUAAAUCAACUUUGUUGAACUCAUACUAUAAUGAGUAAUUCAUAUACCAUAAAGUAAAAAAUAUGUAUUCUAUUGUCCUACAGCAUUGCUCAUGGUGAACACGGCAAGCUGGCCUACCUAGGCGUUGACCCUAACAUCGUACGUUGUGAGCAAGUCUUGUAGUUGUUGUUAUGUGUCACAAGGAUGCACAUGUCGAAAUGUGGGGACGAAGGAGGUGAGGAUGGCAAGGAAGCAUUAGAUGUAGUUCAUUUGGAAGAAGAGAGAGGAGGAGGCGGAUAAGAGCAGGAAGAAGGUGGAAUUAUUAGGGGAGAAUUUGCAAGGCGGAUAAGAGCAGGAAGAAGGUGGAAUUGGGCAAAGGAAGAGGUAAAGGAACUGUUCGUAUAAGAUAUUUUUGUUGGAUUGAUGUUUUAAAUGAGUUCAGGGCAUUUGGUUCUUGUGCUAUUUAACGUUGAGAAUUACUAGAGUAGCACUGUUGUCUAUGCAUGUGUAAUUGCUGACCUUCUUGCCAAACUUUUUUGCGGGUUCUCUGUAACUUGUGGACUUGGACUUACACUCUUGCCAUUACUUUAUUCUAGUGCGCACUAUUUCAUCAAUGCACCCCGAAGAAAUUUGAACCGAAACUUGCAUUUAGUUUGAUUCAAGCAUAUCCUGAUUGGGACCCAAAAUCAAACCACCUUUAUCCACCUUAUCCUAAAACAAUUGAUUUAUAUAUUACGAAGAAAAACAAAAACUAAAUUUUAAUCAUAUAAUAAUUUAGAACCCAAAUUGUAUCUAGCCAUGUUACUCACAAUGAACACCACAAACAUGACAACCCCAACUUUGAUUCCUCACCCUAACAUUGUGUAUUGCAAGACAGUCUGCAUCUGUAGUUGCGGCAUAAGAAGCCACAUGCUGCAGGCGAACACAAGGAGGAAGAUUUAGGAGGUGAAGAUGACAAGGAAGCGUAGGAUGUGCUAUAUUCUUAGAGGAAGAUAAUGAGGAAUAAGAAAGGAGGAGAUCAUGGAAUCGCUCGCAGAGAGUUCACAGUAGCUUUGUGGGUAUAUAUCAUCGGGAGCAGAAAGGGGUUGAGGAAUAGUGCUAAGGGGGUAUUUUUGUUAGAUUGAUCUUCUAAAUGAUUUGUUUAUCCCAUCUCGUGCUUAUGCAAGUUAAUCGCAAGGAUUGACAGAAUAGUACCAUUCCCUUUGCAGUGUGUAAUUACCUAUCCUUUUUGUCAACUGCUAUGUGUGUUUUCUAUAUCUUGGAAGAUAUGCCAGUUUCUCAUAAAAUCUUAUAAUUUAUCAGAAUGAGAGUAAAACGAAAAAUGAUAAGGCUCAUGACAUUAUAAGAAAACAUAUUAUAGGAAUAAUUAGAGUCUUAGGCUCUUAGCCCAUAAUUAUAUGCAAAGUGUAUUAAUUAAGUUCAUGUUUGGAUGCAUUGUUGAAGUGAGAGGAAAUAUGCAACACCUUAAUUGUCAAGCAGAAAAUUUAAAAGUUCUCUUAGGGAGAGAAAUGGUAAUAAGUUUGUAAAACUCGAGUUAAAAAGGUGCUUUACAACAAAAUGUUGGUUUGUAGAUGCUAUUGAAAAUGUGUCACAAAUUCUAAUAAAAUAGUAUUAUCGUACUCAAAACUUCAUUUAUUCAAAACUUUCGAUACAUUAAAAGGAUCCUGUUGGCGUGAACUCUACGUGUAGACCUACUAUAUUCUUGCAACAUUUUAUAAUUUCAAUACAUUCUCUCAUUAAGCCAUUUAUGAUUAGUGCUUUAAUUUUCGAAUGGAUCAGAAUAAUUACGCUUUCUCAACGUAAGGCGUUGAUUUAGUUUCUACUAAUAAGAAGUCGGACAUGUUUUUGAUUGAGAAAUUUUGGUUAGAAAUUCGUUCAGUUCAAACCUAUCCUAAUGGUGAGACAAUAUUGAAUCAACCCUGUCCAAUCCAUCUUAAAAUGAUUGAUUUACAUAUAAUGAAGCAAAACAAUAUAUAUUAUAUGCCAAAUUUGUCACACAUUAUUUUAUCACUUUUAUCAUUUGUGACUGGUUGCUUAUAGCAAACGCAACGAGUAGGCCCAUGAUGGUGAUUCUAGCAUUGCGCAUCACGAAUAGGACCUUGCAAUCGUAGUAUUGGGUCACGAGGAGCCAAAUGCCAUAGGUGACUACAAGGAGGGAGAUAAAGUAGGCAAGGAUAGCGAGGAACCACAAGAUGCACUUAGUAAGAGGAGUAUAGAGGGAGAGCAGGGUGGCAGUAUUGGGGGAGACUUUGGGAGAGCUUUUUGGGAGAAGGAAGAAGUAUAUGAACACUUUUCAUGAGAUAAUUUUAUUGGAUUGACAUUUUUAACAAUUAGUUUGCCCUAUUUCACAGCAAUGUGAUAUAAUCUUGAGGAUUAAUAAAAUAGUAUGGUUCUUCUCUCUGUUAAGUUGUGCUUUCUUUUUCACUAGAUUGGCUUACUCAUAAAACCAAAUUAGAUAAAAUCUUGGGUUAUCAUAAGGAUGGGGUAAACUUGUGCACGAGUAGGACGUGCAGCUAUGUGUGUCUCUAUUUGAGAUAAUGAUUGCUUGGAGCCUAAGUUAUCUCAUGGUUGGCUAGUCUGUGGGAUAAGAUAAAAUAUUCUAAAUUAUCAAAUUCUACUCAUACUGUGAACCGACUUCGUGGAACUAUAUAGAAAGGCUUGAGAUGACAAAACCGAGUGUAUUAGAGAGGACUUAUUUCAUAGUCUUCGAUUGCGGCAUAAAGUUUGAGGUUAGCAAAGUGGAGUUUCUGGGCCAAUUGCUUGAGCAUGUCACUUUUCAAAGCAACAACUUAUAGGCUUUGUUUAGGAAUUUUGUUCUUCUCUAAUAUUGUUUUCUUAAUUAGGUUUGGAAAAGCUCCUUGCGGGUCUUUUCAUGUAGCAAAGAUGAGUAGGUUUCACCGUAAGGCAUUUGUGUUUGGGUUUGGAGUAGACAAGGUGAAGGCUUGUUCUUUUGUUUCUUCAUAUAGUGGAAUGCAUUUCUUUCACUCUCCUAGUGGAUAUAGGGAAUUGUUGAACCAAGUAAUUCUCGGUCUUUUCUUCUGCAUUUGAUUUUUUUUUUUGUUUUAUUGUUUGCUAUUCUACGGGCUUGUUUUCCUCGCUGUCGGGAAUGGUGCUGUUGAAAAAGUGUUGUAUGAAAUAGUGCGGUGCUAUUAAAAAAAAUGCUAUAGAGCAUUGACUGAUUUUAUUAUAAAAGUAUUAUUUAUUGUAGAAAACUAAAAAUCUGUUAAAUUAUUGCAAAACUAAUACGAAGUGUAUUAAAAAAAUAUAAAUUCAAUUAAAUGGUCCCAUUAAUUAUAUUUUAUUAACACCUCCUUAAUUUUUCAUGUUUUAAAUUUAAAAGUAUCGGUGAAUUAUAAUUCAACUUUAAAAAAUAGAAGUUCAAGAAUAAUUGAAAAAAUUAAAGAUAAAAACUAAAUUAUGUAAAAUUAACAAAAAAGGAGAGAGAGGUGGGAAGAGAGUUAAAAAUAAAAACUAAGAUUGAAACUAAAUUAUGUAAAAUUAACAAGAGAGGGGGAGAGAGAGAGAGAGGUGGGGAGAGAGUUAAAUAUAAAACUAAAUUAAGUUACCAAGAGAGAGAGAGAGAGAGAGAGAGAGAGAGAGUACAGUUUAAAGAGAAAAAGGGUAGCGAAAUUAUUAUUUUGGAUAGAGCUGAAUAAAAUUAUCUGUAUAAUAGUAUUUUUGUUAUUUUAAACAAAAAAAAGUGGGAAACGAUCUACAAUUUCUUUUUACUGAAGAAGCUCCGACAAAAGAGCUUUUGCAAUUAAAUAGGAAAAUACAGAUUUUGCAGUUUCAUACGGCAGCAUUUUGGUUGCCAAACAGUUGGAAUUGGGCCAAAGAGCUUUUUGGCCUGGCAAAAGCUGGGCCUAAUAGAUACUCUGUUGCAUUCAUCUGUGUUAAUAGCAGUGUAGGGCGGUCCUAAAAUCCCCCAACACUCUCUCCUAUGUAUAACUGCCAAUCCUUCUAGUUAACUUUUCUAUGGGUUCUCUGUAUCUUGAAGGCUAGGACUCUUGACCCAUUCCAUUGCUUUCAUCCAGUGCUUCAUUCAGCUAUGCAGCCCUAAUUUUAGCUCUCCUGAUGGUUCGUCCGUUUAUUUCAUCCAUUAUGAAAUUCUGUUACUUGAGUAGUUAUAAUUUUUCCUUAGUUAAAAAAUGAUAUAUACUUCAAUAAUCAUCUGAGAAGAGAAAUUUACUGCUCUGAAUUUGUUAUGGGCCUAGCAAAGUGAUAAGAGUCAUAGAUUGUCCAUGCCUGUAAACAUGCACCAUGCAGGUUAGCAGGACUGUAGGUAAGUUUUUAUCUUGUGGAGUAUCAAACUAUGAUAUUAAAAUAUAUAGUUUAAGUUAAUGUGCUGCCAACCAAUAGAAUACAUAGGCCUAAAUUUCUAGAGUUAAGCAAAAGAAGCUAUUGAUCUAGGGACCAAAAAUGUUUGUGAUCAUCGAUGCUUCUAUGUGAUUACCAGGUGGGCUUGUAUUCGGUUGUCUUGAUCAAUGUUUUGAUCCAACAAACAUACUCAAUUAGGGCUUGUUUGGAUGCACAAACAUCAUGUUCAGCACAUCUCAUUUUAUUUACACAAGGAGCAUGCGGUAAGUGGAAAAGUGAACUGUGUAAUUAAAUGUCUACAACAACAUACUAUAACUGGCCUCAAGUUAAUUUUUGGGAAUAAGAUAAACGACUCGUGAAAGGAAUUCAUUGUCGUGCAAGGGACUAAGGGCUUGUUUGGUUCAAGGGUGGAAUUGGAAUGGAUAAUGGAAUGGGAAUGAGUUGGAAUGGUAAUUGGAAUGGCCCACUUUCCCAAGACGUUUGGUUUAUUUGUGGAUUGGGAAUUGAAAUGAGUUAUUCACAUUUCAUUGUUUGGUUCAUAUAAACUAAAAAAAUUAUAGGAUACUAUAAUACUAAUUUUACUCUCAAAUAUAAAUUUAUAUUAUUUAAAAUUUAUGAAAAAUAUAAUACUAUUCUCUAAUAAGUUUUCCAAAAAAAAUAUCAAAUUUAUUUUUAAAAACUUUUAUUGAUGUGGGUUAGGGAUAGGGUUUUGAGAGAGGAUAGUUUUUUUUUUUUUGUUUUGAUGAGAAAGGGGUGAAGAGAAGGAUGGUGAGAUGGUCACAUGAGCUUCGAGAACUUAGUGGGCUUCCGGAAUGAAAUCUCAAUCCGGACUAGAAGACCGGAAUCAAGUUGAAGGCUAAUGGGCCAUUCCCAUUCCAGUCCGGAAUAGGAAUCCCAAACCGAUUCAUGCGAACCAAACAAAAUUAACCGGAUUUGAUCAAACCGAUUCCCAUUCCAUACCCAAAAUGGAUGAACCAAACAAGCCCUAAAAACAAACUCAAAACUCCUAGAAAAUCUUUGCAGCACACUAGUUAUUAUUGUAUUGUUUUUUAAGACAUUCCAACAAGCCCUUAGAGGGGGAAAAAAGGUUUGGAAUAAGAUGGAAUUUCCUAGACUUCAGGACUAUGUUUCUAUAUAAGUGGGACAAAUCAUCAUAGAGAAAGUCAAGAUAGAGGAAGUAAUAAAACUAUAUCACUCUCUAGAUCAUUGUUUGUUUGUCUGGAAUCAAUGUAGAGAGAGUCAAAAUCUAAUGGUUAAAUUUAACAUUUAAUGCAUGUAAUAUUGUAUUAAUUAUGAAUGGUCUUAGAUUUGAUCCCAGUGACUUUACACCCAUUCUAGGGUGAAGCCACUUACACCACUUUGACCGGGUAGAGAAGUCUAGUUUCAUUAUUUUACUACUUUGUAGUGAAUCCUCGCCCCAAACUAGAGGAUCUGAGUCCUCCUUCAAAAUGUAUUGGCAUACAAAGGACCGUGAUCUUACAGGUGUGACGUUAAUUUAUGCCCUGUCAAAUUCUGGACAAGCUUCCCCAAGUAUUUUCGUAGAACUGUUUCUUUUUGUUUUAUUUUUUAUGCCUACAUGAAAAUGGUAUUGUUGGCUGUUAUUAAGCGAUAAGAGUCCCGCACAAUUUUCUAAAUGUUUUGUGACUCUUUUUUGAGAAAAUGUUUGUGAAAAACCCCCUUUUAUCUCCUGCGGAGUAUCCAUGGCUUUGCAACUUCACUUUCACCAAAUCGAGCGCAAAACUAACACUUAAAGUGCAGUUUGCCCCACCAGUUACACUGAAACAGUUGUCCACUUGUGAUAUUUCUCAUGAAGUACAAUUUAUUGAAAUAUGGGGUUUGAAAAUAAAAAACUUUUAAGAAAGCAUUGGAUGCCGUAAACCCUAAUAACUUCUAUUUUCACAGUUAUGAGGCUGACAUGUGGACUUUGUAGUUUGGUGGCAUAUGUGAUUUAAGCGUUGCAUCGAAGAUAUCCAUGUUAGACCAAAUGCAGACCUGGCUGUGCUUUGCUAUGGCCUGGGUUAUGCAUCAAUGUUUUGCCUCUAGAAAUUAUGAGGCUUUGUCAUUGUUUGUUGAAUAUUUGUGAUUGCACGAAAGCUUAUUUUGUGCCCUUUCUUUUUCUGGUAUCAUUCAUGCAGGUGAAGAUGAUGUGCUCCUAUUGUACGAGACAUGAAGAAAGUGAAGUUCCAGAUCCUUAUUAUGGAGGUCCACAGGGUUUUGAGAAAGUAAGUGGCAAACAAAGCACAAAAAAAAAAAAAGAAAAAAAGAAGAAGAGAGAAUCAUAAUCUCAUUGCGCUUACCUCAGAAAAGAAAAUGAAAUGUUUUAUCAGAACAAGCUAUAUUGCACAAGGCCAUAGAAACAAAACUUUGUUUAACGGCAUUGGGAAACUAAAUUAAGGCCUUUGUCAGUGCCUUGUUUUCCUGACUAGAUUCUUCCGUGGUAACACUUCAUCAUUUGGCUUCCAUUUUACCGGCCAUGAAAAUGACUAUCAUUGCUUUCUUAAGAUAUAAGCAAUUCAUAGAAGCAUUGCUUUCUUAAGAUAUAAGCAACAAGGUUGUAAAUAGCAGAUAGCAGGUAUAUAGUGUUGAGGGGUAUAGCGGAUAGUGGGCGUCAUGGCGGUCACUAUGAAUCCAUAUCGGGAUUCAUAGUAAAUUAUUUAAAUACUCCUCUUCCUAUAUGCAUUUGUAUUUAAGAUAAUAGCAAUAAAAUGUUAGUUCAGAGGUAGAAAUAUAACACUUUUUAAUUUUUCUGUAUUUAUAUGGACAAACUUCAAAUAGUACCUUGUGGUUUAAAGUAUAUCAAUUUAGUAUCCUGUAGUUUCAUUUUUCAUUUUUCGUCAGCUCCUCUGUUAACAUUUCGUUAAAUUAUAUACAAAAAACUUUAGAUACCCCACUUAGGUUUAUCGAAUAUUCACUUUAGUACCUUUUAGUUUUAACGUUGUUACUGAUUUAACGAAAAAAAAUUAGUGGAAGAAAUAAUAAAAGGAGAAGAAUGAAACCACGGGGUACUAAAUCGAUACACUUUAAACCACAGGAUACCAAAGUAAGAAAGUGCGAAACCACAGGGGUAGUAUUUGAUGUUUUUCCUAUUUAUAUUCUGAAGUAUUUUUACUUAGUGGUCUUUCAUAGCUGCGGUGAUGCUUUGGUCUUUCAUAGCUGCGGUGAUGCUUAGCCAUAGAUAAACUAGUGUUGUCACCACGUUGCUUUUCUCCCCACACCAAUAAAAUCAUGCUUUUCUCAGUUUCUCGUGAAAAACAUGUUUGAAUAGUUCUAGUACCCACUAAGUAUUUUGUUUUUUCUAUUGGGAUAAUUUCGCAAAAUUUAAUUAUUUUAGGGCUAAAUUGAUCUUUGAAUUUUUAGAAAUUUGAGGUCUAAAAUAAACGUGCUUUGUCUUGCUAUGGUGCCUCUAUGAGCGCCAUAGCAGUCGCUAUGGACACCAUAGCAGCGGCUAUAAUUUCAGUCCGCUAUAUUCUGUUUUUAACAAUAUAUCGUAGCGUUUAUUCAUUAAAAUGGCUAUAGCGGCCGUAGCAUUCGCUAAUUAAAACACCGAUAAGCAAUACAUUGAAGCAUGAACAUCCAAAAGAACCAUCCUUUCAUAUCGCUUCUUUAUUUUUUUGUUCUAGGAAGAAAUGACAUCAUUUGUGUAAUGUUAGUUGUCCAUUGUUGAUACGUUGGACCUUAAAAUUACUGUUGUGCCAUUGCUGAAGUUGUUGCGGCCUGGUAUUGCAGGUCUUGGAUCUAUUGGAAGAUGCAUGCGAAAGUUUGCUUGGCAGCAUAAUAGCCGAUAAUAGCCAUAUUGCUGUUUCGUAGUCUCCCAAACAAGGCUCUGAUGGGUUAUUCAUGAAGUGUGUUAAGCAAAUGUGCCAUUGUGCAGAGAAUUCGAAUCAAGCUAUUCCGUCAAUAUUAUAAAUCACUGCAUUGUAAUUUCUCAUGUCUAGCGAAUUGCAGCAUUUUGUGACUCAAAUGUGAUUUAUUGAGAAUUAUUGUUCACUAAUACAUAUCUUAAUGUCAUUAAGCAAAAUUUAAUUGAUGCACUAUUGAGGUUCUUGCAGAAAACAAUUACAAUAUAAAUGUAAAAUUUCUUACCUCAAAUACUUAGGUGGUAAAAUGACUAGUUUCGUUGGUCAUUCUCCUUUUUGUUCUGGAAGACUGGAAGCACAUUUUACAGUUUGGUCUUUGAAGGUCCAACGGGCUGCAUCUCUUCCAAUUCAUGCUUAUAAUAAUAAUGCAACUUUCUGUAUGCUGCAGCUCACCAGUAAUAACAACGGUACGUGUACAGUUUCGGCUAAUUUUUCUGCCGUUCUCUCUCAAUUUCUUGCCCUCUGAUGGUAACUUGUAACUGUUCUUGUAAUUUCCCAAGGUUUGAUAUUCACUGCGGCGGUCACAAUUAGAAGUAUAUUUCUUUAAGAAAUUUUACCUGAGUCUCUGAUCUUUGAAUGAGUUUGUGGGUUGAGGAUGCCAGUUUUCCUUCGUGUGAACCCGCUUGCAAUGAUUCGAAUGCAUUUUGUUGCUCUGUGUUGGAGUGGAUGCCAGAUGCCUUUCGAUAGUCAUGCCGAUCCUCUAUUAGUAGAUGCCAAAACUAGCGAAGCUAUUCUAUACCCACCCCUACUUUUGACGAGCUCAAAAUUAAGUUAUCAAAACACUCGCUGCAUAUUUGACUUGAUGUCUGAUGGAAUGUAUUGCUGGUAGAUACACUCUGACCUCGCCGGCCAUACUCGCCCCUCAAUGCAUUAACCGAUUAAUUACUUGAAACGUGUGGUUUAGGAAUGCUGAUUUAGCGCCCUCUCAUUUGUUUAAAACAGUUAUUCUUCUAGACAGCAUUUAUAGGAACUGAAGUCGAAAUAGAGCAAUGUCAAAAUUUCCUCGGCAAUAAUUUAUUUUCUCGGAUUUUACAGCGAAGUUAUAAGGAACUGUGAUGAUUUUUCCUUCUUUUUAUACUGGGUUAAUUAUAGGUGUAUAGACUAAUCUAUCUAAUAAAUUAAGAAUAACAUUUCUUUCUUAGAGUUUGAAUGAUCCUGAAGACUGGUUAGUUCUUGCUGAUUAAUACCGCAAAUGAAAGGUCAUUACGGACCUUCAAAUAUUGAUGAUGUUAGUAUCUAUUUAAUUUUAAUGUGAUUUAAAACUUUAUUUUGGUCCUAGAGCAUUUUGGAAGAUCCAAUAUAAAAAAAGCUUUGCCCGGAAACUUGUGUAUCAUCUACAUGCAUGAGUUUAGUUCUAGAUGGAAAACUCAGAGAUGUGGUAUUCCAGAUGGAAAACUCUCACAUGUUGUAGUAUCUUAUAUGUUGUACCAUCUCCUAAUCACAUGCUUAGGUGCUAAAAAAAAGCGCCAUUCAUUUAUCACACGUAGGCGCGCGCAUGGCGCGAGCACAUGGCACGAGCAUGAGCCCGUCCAGACCGUGUGCAAUCUUUGCUAUCCGGUUCAGUGUACCGUACCUACAAUUAAUUAAGCCUUAUAUUUUAUUUUUAUCUUGUACUUUAGAUUUAUUGUAUUCGAGCUUUCUAAUCCUUUAUACUUGAUUUAGUGUAUUUUAACUUAUCUGAGAACAGCUAUUUCUCUACAGUCAAAUUAGCUGUUGGACCCUAGUGUCAGGGACUUAAAAAAAUUUCUAUGCAGCCCGGUCCCUGGCCCAAAUCUGCUUAGCGAGUUCGGGUUGAAGACGGAUCGAAUCGGGUUGUCAAAGAGGCCCAAACCCAACCUUCUGUGGGAAACUCAAGGGUUAUGAAACUCAUGGGAGUUAUGGGUGACUCUUGAGCUUUUGGCAUUUAUGAGGGCUCAUAAUGUGGGUUCAUUAUGUAUGUAGUGGGUGAGUUGAAAAGGCACCUUUAGGCCUAUAAAUAGUGGGGUUGGCUAAGGCCAUGACACACAAGAGAGAGUGUGUUUGUAUGCUGUUUGUAGGUUGUAAUUCUCAUUUCUAAGUAGUGUAGUACUUAGUUUUUUGAGAGAACCUCUGCCUCUUUCUCUUUGUCAUUUCCCUUUGCAUACUUAGUCGUAGGACGCGAAGGUCCGGGCUAGCAACAGGGACAAAGGCUUGUCCAUCUUCGAGCAGGAAAGGUGGGCGCCGCACGGGCUUUGCGAACGAAAACGCUAAGUGCUAAGUCGCGUGAUAGUCUUGGUAUCAGAGCCCGGGUUCGCAGCGAGGAACCAUGUCGUCAUCCGAUGCGGGAGCGUCGGAACGUGGGGGCGACCCUCCAUAGCAGCCCUCCAAGCGAAGCAAGAGGCAAAGACCUCUCAGCGAAUCACUAUGGAUUCGGCGUCGAAUUGGAGGACCGCCUUGUGCUGUUUUGGAGGACAUCAUCGCGAAAAUGAGGUGAAAAGGUACACGAUGAUGGAUCGGAUACUUUAAACUCAUUCAGAAGAUGUCCACAGCCAUGGAGGAAUAGCUCGUACUGCCAUGAGACAUUUCGAAGCGACCUUGAAAGCUCAGAGCCCCAACAGAAGAAUCGUUACGAUAGGAAGGCGAAGAAAAUGUGAUCGAGGAGCUUGUUGCUCGAUCGACGAGGUCGAGAACUCAAGACAAGAAGUAACGAUCCUUGAGACCACCCCGCCUGCCCGCGCCCUGGCACAGACCCCAACAAGAAGUCCGCUUCGGAAAGGAUAGUUCCUAGCCUAAACUUUCAGGGGAACCUCGCCGACGAGAAGGAGAUUCGCAAUUUUUCUGUGGCACAUGGAGCGCUACUUCAAAGGCGUUGAUGGCUGGAGACGAGGAUGAAGAAAGUCAGGCUGGCGUCCCUUGAUACCUUGCUGAUGACGCGAAUGCUGUGGUGGCGUCGGCGUUCAGCAGAAGCCGAGAAAGGGCCAAUGCAGCUUGAAGACGUGGGAGGACUUACGUGCCGAAGCUCAAGGCGCGAGUCUUACCCCGAGACGUCGAGUACUUCUGCGAGGAAGCACACUUCGACGGCUCAAACACACCGGACGCCACGAGUAUAGUCAGGAAUACUCCAAGUUGAUCGCUGUCCCAUCACAACAGCGAGAUGAUCGCUUAAUUCUUCUUCCUCGAGCGGACUCCAACGCUUGGCGAACACGGACUUGUGGACGCGAAUUCAGGAUGCUUGACUUCCGCAAUUGCCUUGGCGGAAAAACUGCCCGAGUACGAGCGGGCGGAUUCAACUCGCAGCAAGACGCCACACAGCGAACAGCUAAAGGUGGAGAGACCGCGCGACCAGAAGGAGCGCAGGGGCCGCGAAGGGGUCCUGUGCGGCCGCCAAGAAAUUGACCCGUCUACUCUGGCAGUGAAACCUUUACGAGGACUGCCCAAACAAGAGAAGCUGAAUGCUUCCAGACCGAGCAGGGCGAGGCAAGUGGCAGAACCUGACGAAGAUGGCGCCGCUUAGGCUCGUCAACGCGGUUAGGGGCUGGCAAGUCAAGCACAAGCCCCCAACAAGGAGCUUGGCUGUACAUCGAUGUGACCUUAACGGCAGGGCACACAACGAGCAUUGUGGACAGGUGAGCCACUCACACUUUGUUGCGGAGGCUGGAGGCCAACGGAAUAACCUUCCUUGAGAAGCGAUGCUAGUCAGGAUCUAAGACCGUCAACUCUGAGGCGCAACCUGUGUGGGCGUGGCCAACGGGCGUGCGCCAUUGCACGUGGGACUGGAGAGGCACCGUAACUUCCCCGCUGCACCACUCGAAUCGGACUUCCAAGUCAUACUAGUAUGGACUUCCUUGCUUCGUCGAAGCGGUUCCGAUGCACACACCUUGGGGCCGUUAAGCAAUCAUGGAUGAGGCGGCCCAUGCAUAGUCCUAAGUGAGCAGGAGAAAAACGGUAAAGCUACCCAAACCCUCUCUGUGCGUUGAGUUGCCCAGGGGGUAAACAGCUGGCGAGAUGACUUACUUUGCGGCCUCCGCGACGAGGUGAUGCGACGAGGGCGUCCGACGAGGAGAGCCUUCCCUGCGGAGAGUUGACGAGCGGUCUUGCAGAUUUCUAGAUGAUCUGCCAAAGGACCAUGCACGAAGCAAACUUCCCACUCUAGACGGGAGUAGAUCAUGCAUUGAAGCUGCGAGCUAUGGAGCCAACGCCAGUGAAUAGCGCGCAUAUUAGAAUGGCCGCCGAAGCUCGAGAAGCUGCAAAAGGAGUUUGAAGGAGCCUCCUGAUGCGGGCUUCAUCCGACUGUCGAAGCACCUUAGAUGAGCACCCCACGUUUUGUUCGCAGGCAAGAGAGACGCGAAGCCUGCGGCUUUUGUAUCGAUACCAGUGUCGGCUCAACACAGGUAACGGUAAAAAACAAAUACCCUAUUCCUUUUGUUGCAGAUCUCUUCGAUUCCAAUUGCGAGCGAAAGAUAUUACCAAACUCGACCUUCGCCUGGGUAUAUCAAGUGCCGGAUUGCAGAAGGAGACGCGAGAAGACCACGUCGUGACGAAAGUACGGGCCGAUGAGUUCCUUAGUCAUGCCGUUCGCUGCCUGAACGCGCCGGCAACCUUCUGCACACUUAAUGAACAAGCUUGUUGCAUCCUAUCUCGAUCGCAUUUGUGGUGGUUAUCCUCACGGACAUCGUGGAUAACAGCAACACCUUGGAGAGAGCACAAUCGAGCACAUUGCGAACCGUCUUCCAGUGCUCGCGGAGAUACACGCUUGUCGUUUAAGAAGGAGAGUGCAUCUUCGCGAAAGGAAAGUCACUUCCUUGCACCGGAUAGGCCAAGGCCUGUUCGAUGGACCAGCGGAAGGAUGCGAGCCAUCUGGCCGAUGGAGACACCACGAAGUGUCCGAGUUGCGGUCUUCCUUGGGCCUCGUCAACAACUACCCGCGAUUUCAUCUGGCUUGGCUACUCUGCGAAAGCAGCCUCGUUGACGGAUCCUGAAGAGAAAAUCACUACGUGGGUUUUGGACCUUCCACGCGCGGAGGCACUUCGGAGGACCUGAAGCGAGCGUGACGGAGGAUCCAGUGCUGCUGACUAUACGACUGGCAGUCCGCACUGUUUGGCGGUACAUAGUACUCCUCUGACUUUGCCAUUGGCGCGGUGUCCCUGCGUGCACGCGAUGGGCACCCAUCGCUAUGAAGAGCCGCCAACUCAUAACGAACACCUAGCGGCGUUACACCGUCCAGGAAAGAAUGAUCCGCUGUAAGUGCAUUGCUUGCGAACCUGGCGGCACUAUUGCUCGGGAGCAAGUUUGUGGUGCCACCGAAAACCUCGCCACGAGCUAUACUUCAAUCGCAAAGAGCUCGUCGCCUAAGCAGGCGGGUGGCAGACUUCUGGCGAGUUCGACAUGGAGAUCAACAAUACAAGCCCGAGCAGGAAAACGCAUGGCUGAUGCUCUCAGCGCAAGGCUGAGCUUUGCAAGCCGUGUGGCACUCAGGUACGCUCCGCGAUCGCUUCGUCAGGAAACCAACGAGGUAACCUAUAGGUCAAAAUGCUGUGCAGUAUUGAUCAGGAGGGCAAAACGCAGGAAACGGUUCUGGCUGAGCGAUCCGGGUCUCCUCACAAGGCCGACCGGGUGUACGUGCCAAGUGGGCAACCUUCGCCGCGAGCCUCAAUCCCAGGAGUCCAUGACUCCAAGUGGGCGUGCCAACCGGUCAGAAGCGAACCCUGGCGAUUGCUCGAAGGCCGCCUACUUUGGCCGGAUGGCCGAAGAGUGGAGGCUACGUGCGAACCUGCUUGGUGUGUCACAAGACAAAAGUAAAGUCAACCAGGACCUGGCGGAUCAUCGACUUUACACUGUCUAGCCGUCGUGGGAGAGCAUUCGAUGACUUCAUCUCCGCCUUAACAAAAGGUGGGUGCCUUUGGGUCCAUUCUGGUGGUGGUUGAUCGAUUUAUGUCCAAGUAGAACCUUUAAUUGUAGCGUCGGCCGCGAUUGCACGGCUGUGAAGCGCACGCCUCUUUCGUCAGCGCAGCAUUGUAAGCCUUUGGGGAUGCCCAGAGCUAAUCGAUGAGCGACUGCGACCCCAGGUUCACUGGCAAGUUUUGGGACUGUUCAAAAUCUGGGGUCGGAGUUGCUCUCUCCACAGUUGGACAUCCACAGACCGCACGGCAAACUGAGGCGCGUGAACGCCUCUUGUUGAGGAGUAUUUGCGGCACUAUGUGAUGUUGCAUCAGAAAGAUGUGCAUCAUCUCGAUGUCGCCGUUUGCUUACAACUUGCGGCGCAGCGAGUGCUACAGGCUGGCAGCCCCUUCGAGUUGGCCGGAUCGGGCCGACAACAGCACUUGCCCUCAAAACGCUGCUGCGGACGAGCAUUCCGCAGCCCCGUUGCUCUUCAUAUGUACACUACAACUUGACAUGAAAAGGGCUGAAAUCGAAGGGAACUAUUGGAGAAAGCAGCCCGCCGGAUGAAGGAAAGUGGGCUUGCCGAAAAGGCGACAGCCUGGAGUUUGCCGGAGGAGACCCUGUAUGGCUCAAGCUUCAUCCGCGCAGUUUUCAAAGCCCUUCGGAAGUGUAGCAAGGUGAUCUGCUGCGCAAAGUACGAAGGCCCAUAUACCGUCGUCAAGCGUGUGGCAGGGGCUAUAAAGCUGCAGCUGUUCCCGCAACUCAGGUAUCCAACCUGUUUUUUCAUGUCAGCAGGUUCGAAGGUGUACAAGAGGACGCGGAGGAUAUCCGCAGCAGAGGUGUGUCGCAACGAGCGCUCAACCAUGGUGACUUCUCGAUUCGACAAAAAGAAAGCGAGUCCGUCCUGGACAUCGACUCAUUCGAACGCGUGGGGUCCAGGCCGAAUUCAUAGAAGUAACUUGUGAAGUGGAAGAAUCUCCGAUUUUGGCCGAGGCUAGUUGGGAGAAGGCGGACACACUUAUGGCAGUACAAAAGCGCUCACGACGAGUUCCAGAACAAGCGCGCGAACGGAGGACAGCCUGCCAUUAGGUGGAGGGAGGGUGUCCAGGACUCAUAGAAAAUUUCUAAUGCACCCGGUCCGCCCUGCCCAAUCUGCUUAGCGAAGUUCGGUUGAACGGCGUCGAAUCGGUUGUCAAAGAGGCCCAAACCGCAACCCGCUGUGUGAAACUCAGGGUUAUGAAACUCAUGGAUUAUGGUGCAUCUUGAGCUUUUUUUGCAUUAUGAGGGCGCUAUGUGGGUUCAUUAUGUUAUGUAUGAGUUUUUAGUUGAAAAGGCACCUUUAGGCCUAUAAAUAGUGGGUGGCUAAUAGGCCCAUGACCACACAAUAGGAGUGUGUUUGUAAUGCUGUUUGAUAGGAUGUAAUAUCUCAAUUUAAGUAGACUGUAAGUACUUAGUUUUUGAGAGAAAAACCAUCCUGCCUGCUUUCUCCUUUAGUCAAUUUUUCUUGGCAUACUUGUCGUAGGACGCGAAGGUCCGGGCUAGCAAUAGACAAAGCUUGUCAUUAAUCUUCGAGCAGGAAAGGUGGGCGUGCGCACGGGCUUUUCCGAACAGAAACAGCUAAGUCCGUGACAACUAGGCUCUAUGCGCUUUGCUGCGGCAGUCCUAAUAGGCUCGCUGCAGCGGCGCCCCUUGUCUAAUAGGGGAUAGGGAUAGGGUAGCAGAUGUUACAUGGGUCGGAUUUUAUAAACAAUCCGAAGCCCGAACCCGACUCCAAACCCGAGACCCCACUGAACCUCGACCGACGGAUUUUAAAAAUUCAUAUCCAAACCCGAACCGACCAAAAUCUAAACGCCGACCCUGGAACCCGAAAAUUUAAAUCGGAAACAAUUAUUUCGUUUUUCAAAAUAUUUCAAAUCUACUUAUAUUAAUACUAAAUUUUUAAAAUGACAAAAUUCAAAUAUAACAUCUAAAUUUUUUAUAUAUAUAAAUUCUAUAAUAAUGCAAAAAAAAUAAAUUCGUUUCGGGUCGGUGUUCCGGGUUUCGGGUCGGGUACAAUCAAACAUCCCUAUCUGAAUCCCUAUACGUCAGGUUUUUAUUAUUUGAUAUCCAUAUGACCGAAUCCAUAUACAUAUCCAUGACGAUAUAUUCCUUUCAUUCGGGUUCAAGGUUGGAUAAGAAUUUUGGGAUAUCCAUACCUAUUCGACAUCCUAGUGAUAGGGAGUGGACUACCUUUUCCUGGUGCUUCUCUGAGCUUACAUACUGCUCUCACUGAGUUUUACUUCUUUACUAGCUUUAUUAUUUUCUGAGUGUUUACCCCCAAUAUUGCCGAUAUCUACAAAGACUUGACGAUCGCGCUAUCUGUGGCAUGCCAAGAUAGCUCGUGUCGUUAUAUCGUUUAGAGUGCUUGCAGAACUUACACUAAAGGGGCAAUCUAUUUCUUAAGCAAGUGACAUACACCUCAAAAUUCUCGAAUCUCAUCUAUUCUGCUUUAUUCUAUUAUUACUCGAGAUAUUGUUCUAUUAUAGUCUUUGAAAGAUUUUCUUUCACUAAACUUCAACAUUUAAAAAUAUUUUAAAAAGGUAAUUUUCAGUAAAAGUGUGUGUGUGUAUAAUGUGGCUGGAAAACUGCUUAUUGAGAGUAAAGUCAUAAGUGUUUACUAUCAACCUCUUAUUCCUUUGAUGCCUAGGGUAGUGGGAUUAGUUUUGAAUAGUUAAUGAUUCGAAGACUACAAACUAUAUACGUAACUAUUUAUUUAAUACUAUCAGCAGUCAAGGUGAAACCUCAUAUGAGAGUGCCUAGAAGGCUAUUGAUAGAGUUGAGUAAUAUUAAUCGAGUUAGUAUAUUUUAAAUGGCUAUAAAUAGUAUCAAAAUUUCCACCUUCAGGAUUAUAUUAAUAUUCCACCAACACAUGCCCGGAGGCGGUUCCCUCGUAUUCUUUCGCACGCUGGCGCGCGCCCCCGCGCGGGGGUCCUGGCCACCCCCUCACGCUGUCAAAGCAUGGGCCAUCAAUGGUCAAAAAAUUGAUAGGUGAACAAUAUUUCAUACAAUCAAUAGUUUCUAACACUAUAUUAUAUAUAUACAUUAUAUAUAUAUAUAUAUAAUACUAUAUAUACUAUAUAUAUAUUUUAUAGGGGGCUGGUAUGCUUCUGGAUGCACCGGAACACCUCCGUCUUCGCAACUUGUUUUACGAUGGUUGUUACUUUCGAAACGAGCGGAUACGGCCUCCUUGUAGAGUUGAUCUAAAGUAUUUGAAGUACGCUAGAAAAUAAAUUUUUGUGAUUUUUCGACUAUCAUUUGCCUAGUGAUCGGGAACGGAGCUCAAAAUCAAUAAUUUUAAUGGACCGUGUGGCCGUUUGCAGAUUAAACGUGUAUAUCAAAUCAUAUGAAAAUUUUGAUAGAAAAAUUCUUUAUAAACCAUAUAAAAAGAAUCGCAUACUUUGAUCUAAAUUUUAAUGUUCAUAUAUCACUUUUGUAAGAUUUUUGUUUUCAGGUCCGGUUGAUUUGCUUGAGCCCACAUUGAUCACUAGGCAAAUGAUAUCGCAAUCGCAAAAAAUGUUUAUUUUAAAUAUUCAAAUACUCUAAGAUUCAGUCUAACCGAGCCGUUAGUCGAUUCGAAUCCGAAACAUCGAAAACAACUUUGGAAGCAGGAGCGCUCGUGCUAUCCAGAAGCAACAGACAGCACUAUAUAAAAUAGUGUAGAGCACUAUGCUAUCAGGAAGCAUAAAGGAACUAAUGCUUCUAACUUUUUGACCAUUGGACUCAAAAAUUAUACGGAUUUUUUUUUUUUUUUUUCUUUUUUUGGAUGAUAUGCGGUUCCCCCCAGUGUUGGGUAGUAAACUCUAGUGUUGAUGGUCCCAUAGGUUAUAUAGUAUUAAUCCAAAGGUUAGAAAUGAUGUAACAGGAGUUGAUCUAAAAGCCAAAAAUCGAAGCACGCAGAUCUCUAUACUUCGAUNNNNNNNNNNNNNNNNNNNNNNNNNGUUAUGGGUACUUUGAGCUUUUGCAUUUAUGAGGUUAAUGUGGUUCAUUAUGUAUGUAGUGGUGUGAGUUGAAAAGUGCACCUUUAGGCCUAUAAUAGCUGGGGUUGCUAAGGCCAUGAAACACAAGAGAGAGUGUGUUGUAUGCGAUGGUUGUAGGUUGUAUUCUCAUUAAUAGUGUAGUACUUGUUUUUUUUGAGAGGAACCUCUGCCUCUUUCUCUUGUCAUUUUUCUUUGCUACUCUAGUCGGUAGACGCGAAGUCCGGGCUAGACAAUAACGGACAAAGCUUGUCAUUUCGAGGAAGGGUAGGGCCCGCAACGGUCUUUCUGAACAAAAACAGAAGUCCGUGCACUAGGCCCUAUGCUGCUUGCUGCGUGCAGUCCUAUAGGCUCCGUCUGCAGCGGCGCUGUCUAUAGGGAUAAGGUAUAGGGUAGAGAUGUUCAAGUGGGUCGGAUUUUUAAAAACUCCGAAGCCUGAACCCGACUCGCACCGAGCACCGAACCGAACCCGAAACCGACGGAUUUUAAAAAUUCAUAUCCAAACCCGAACCCGACCAAAAAUCUAAAACCCGAACCCGAACCCGAAAAUUUGAACCGGAAACAAUUAUUUCUUUUUUCAAUAUUUCAAAAUAUAUUAUAUUAAAUCUAAAUUUUUAAAAUACAAAUUCAAAUAUAACAUCAAAUUUUUAUAUAUAUAUAUUAUAUAUAAUGCAAAAUAAAUUCGGUUUCGGGUCGGGUUCGGGUUCGGGUCGGGUACAAUCAAAAUCCAUAUCUGAAUCCAUAUCCGUCAGGUUUUUAUUUUUGAUAUCCAUAUCCGAAUCCAUAUCCAUAUCCAUCGGAUAUAUCCGUUUCAUUCGGGUUCAGGUUUGGAUAAAAUUUUGGAUAUCCAUACCUAUUGACAUCCCUAGUAUAGGGGAGUGGACUACCUUUUCCUGGGUGCUUCUCUGAGCUUCAUACUGCCUCUCACUGAGUUUUACUUCUUUACUGAGCUUUAUUAUUUUCUGAGUGUUACCCCAUAUUGCCGGAUUUCUAAAAGACUUCGCAUCGCGCUAUCUUGGUGGCAUGCCAACAGAAUAGCUCGUGGUCGUUAUAUCGUUAGAAGUGCUUGCCAGAACUUCACACAUAAAGGGGCAAUCUUAUUUCUAGGGCAGUGCACAAUACACCUCAAUUCUCCGAUCUCAUCUUAUCUCUUUAUCUCUAUUAUACUCGGAGAUAUUGUUUCUUAUAUAUAGUCUUUGAAAAGAUUUCUUCACUACUUUCAAAAUUUAAUAUUUUAAAAGGUAUUUCAAGUAAAAGUGUGUGUGUGUAUAAUGUGGCUGGAAUGCUAUUGAGAGUAAAGUCAUAGUGUUUACUAUCAACCUCUUAUUCCUUUGAUGCCUAGGGUUUAGUGGGAUUAGUUUGAAUAGUAAUGAUUCGAGGACUACAAACUAUAUAGUAAAUAUUAUUUAUAUACUAUCAAUAGCAGUCAAGGUGAACCCAUAUAGAAUGUGCCUAGAAGGCUAUUGAUAGAGUUGAGUAAUAUAUAAUCGAGUUAGUAUAUUAUUAAUGGUAUAUAAAUAGUAUCAAAUUUCCACCUUCGGAUUAUUAAUAUUCCACCAACCCCGCUGUACCAUGGGCAUUCAAUGGUCAAAAAUUGAUAGUGAACAAUAUUUCCAUACAAUCAAUAGUAUUCUAACACUAUAUAUAUAUAUAUAUAUAUAUAUAUAUAUAUAUAUAUAUNCACACGCAUGGAAUGGAAAGGAGAAAGCUCACUUUCUCUCUCUAAAUUUCUCCCAAAAUAGAGGGAAUUGAUGGAGAUUAAAGCUUCAAGGUGAAUUUUCAUCUUCAUCAUUAUCUUCCUCUCCAUUGGAGCUUGCUUGAGAGGUAAGCUUCAAAACCCUUUAAUGGUAGAACUCUAAGGAUUGAUCCUUAUACUCUAAAAAUGAUUUUAAUGGAAUCUUAGCAUGCUAAAUAGAAGAUAAAUGCUAGAAUCUAGGAUUAAUUUAGUUAAUUCUUGCCUAGUUAUAAACCUAGGGCUCAAAAUGCAAUUUUUGGAAAUAUAAGGGUUUGAUCUCAUUUGACCCUCCGUAAACCUAAUUGAUAGGUCACUGAACGCGUUGGAAGCGACGGUUCGGCGUUGGAAGCGACGGUUCGGCGAUUCGUCGAGCCGGUGCAAAGUUAUUAAAGAAACGGACGUUUAGGCUUCGUUUCCGCUUGGAGAGCCGAGGCGACGUCGUAAAAUCCUGGAAACGAAUUUGAAGCAUCGUGACAAGAAACCGAAGACCUUUAAUUUACGGAUCGCAAAUCGGUGGUCAUUUGACGGUCGCUUGUGAGUGGGGUCGAGCCGUGCGGCGUGCGCCGCGGGAGGCCGAUUGCGAGUGACGACGAGCAAUCGGAACGCGAUAAAAGGUGGGUGGUGUCCAUCCCGAAGCAACCGGACUUCCUUCUAUGUCUAAGUUUUAUAUUGAUCAAAUUGCAUAUUGACAUCUUGCAUUAUAGGGUGAUAAAUGAUGGUUUGGUCCUAUACCUUGCAUGUUCUUUGGUAGAAUAAUGUAUUUGGCUUANNNNNNNNNNNNNNNNNNNNNNNNNNNNNNNNNNNNNNNNNNNNNNNNNNNNNNNNNNNNNNNNNNNNNNNNNNNNNNNNNNNNNNNNNNNNNNNNNNNNNNNNNNNNNNNNNNNNNNNNNNNNNNNNNNNNNNNNNNNNNNNNNNNNNNNNNNNNNNNNNNNNNNNNNNNNNNNNNNNNNNNNNNNNNNNNNNNNNNNNNNNNNNNNNNNNNNNNNNNNNNNNNNNNNNNNNNNNNNNNNNNNNNNNNNNNNNNNNNNNNNNNNNNNNNNNNNNNNNNNNNNNNNNNNNNNNNNNNNNNNNNNNNNNNNNNNNNNNNNNNNNNNNNNNNNNNNNNNNNNNNNNNNNNNNNNNNNNNNNNNNNNNNNNNNNNNNNNNNNNNNNNNNNNNNNNNNNNNNNNNNNNNNNNNNNNNNNNNNNNNNNNNNNNNNNNNNNNNNNNNNNNNNNNNNNNNNNNNNNNNNNNNNNNNNNNNNNNNNNNNNNNNNNNNNNNNNNNNNNNNNNNNNNNNNNNNNNNNNNNNNNNNNNNNNNNNNNNNNNNNNNNNNNNNNNNNNNNNNNNNNNNNNNNNNNNNNNNNNNNNNNNNNNNNNNNNNNNNNNNNNNNNNNNNNNNNNNNNNNNNNNNNNNNNNNNNNNNNNNNNNNNNNNNNNNNNNNNNNNNNNNNNNNNNNNNNNNNNNNNNNNNNNNNNNNNNNNNNNNNNNNNNNNNNNNNNNNNNNNNNNNNNNNNNNNNNNNAUAUAUAUAUAGUUGGGCGAGAAUACUAUAUAUAGGAAAAUGCUCAUUUUGCUAACAAGUUUUUAGCCUUUGUGUAAUAUACCGAACUCCUACAAUUAUGAAGUUUCGGUGGGAACUAGCUCGAAAGGUUGUUAGAAUAGUUCCGGUGAGAUUCGGGGAGCAUUCGAGUGUUUUAGGUGCGAGUUAGGCAUGAAACUCGAAAAGCUAUGUUUGGACUUUGGACUAAAUCUGGCAAAGUACAGAUGAGAAGAUGGUUUAAACACACUAAAAAAUGUAUUUUGAGGGUUUUGGAAUGGUUGGAAGUGGAUUAGGGGCUUUAGGAGCGAAAACGAAGAAAUUCGAAAAAUGCUAAAUUUUCGGGGCUGUUUGGACCUACGGGGUCCGGACCCUAGAGCCAGGGUUCGGACCCUAUAUGCGAAAUCAGCCCAGUGAAGGGGGCAUUUUGGUAAUUUGAGAGGUGGGACUUUAUAAGCGGCCAUCUGUAAGGUACCGGACUUCGAAAAUCAUGAGGUUACGGUGUACGUUCGAUUGGAAAGCCAUNCUGGAAUGAAUGUAAGCUAAUGUUUAUAUUUUGGAAGAUGUAAGCUUUAUAUUAUGUUUAGAAGCUUAAUGUAUAAUCAAAUUGUAUUAUAAAGGCUGAAUGAAUGUAAUAGAUAGAUGUUCCUCUCUUUAUCAUUACUUGUAUGUUCUAUACUUGUAUCUUGCUCUUGGUUGUUUGCACUGAUUAUGCUCUCGUUGUAGUUAUCGAUUGUGUAUGUAUUCAAGUUAUUUUCCUGGGAACUUGUUGUACACAAUCUCGUUGUUAGCCUUGGGCGGAUAGGGGAGGUACUGUCCGUCCGGCGUCUGUUCGACGCGCCCGGGCCGAGCCAAAUUGUUAGCGGUCGCGGGGCGUGACACCAUCCCUCCUCCUUCUUCUUCCUCCUUCCACAACCAACCCACACACACACACAUAGGGUAGAGAGAGAAACUCUCUCUUUCUAGUCUCCUCUCUUUCCUUCUCUAGAUCUCUCUCCCAAACUUGGGGUUUUGGUGGAGGAGGAGCUCGGGAACGCAUGGGGAGCGGUGGAUCGAACCCUCGGGUGCUCGGUGUUGCGGCGUGCUUCCGACUCGAGGUUCGCAUUUGGUUAAAAGUUUAGGAUUUUGGUUAAAUCCUUUAUGUAUGAUGUUCUAGAGAUCCUUAGACUAUUCUAAGCUAGUUAAUCAUGUUUCUCCAUGAAUCAUUGGGGUAUUUGGAGAAAUGAGAAAGCUAGGGUUAUAAUUGGAGGUUUUUGGGGUUUUAGGGUUUUGAUCUAGUUUGACCCUAUGGUUCUCUAAUUGAAGGUUAGAGAUGAGCCCCAGACAACUCUAGGUUGGAAACCGGUGAGCGUUCGGCGGUCGAUUGCCAGUUUGAGCCGAACCGGAUGACGUGUGUCGCGGGAGCCCGAUUGCAAGUGUCUAUAAGUAAUCAGAGUUAUUGUUAGGUGGGUUGUGCUUCACCGAAGUGACUAGGUCGCUUCCAUGACAAAGUGAAGUAUGAAUUUAUUGUUGAUGCAUGCAUGUAAUGAUAGAUUAACUGGUUAAAUAAGUAGACAUAAAUUGUAUGCUACUUAGGAUAAAUAAUCUAUCCUUGGACAAGAACAUAGGCAGGUGAAACAUAUAGGAUAUAUAUAUGUAUGCCUAAAUAUGGUUAGUAAAUAUAGGUCGAUGAACUCUAGGAAGAAUAGAGAACUCGACAGUUGGAAAACAAGAACUAGAUGUCAUGAAUCGUAGGUGUGGACAACUAGGAUAACGAGUGGCAUGGUUGGACUUUGAACCUAGUGUUAUUAAACAUAGGUGGACAUUGAACUUAGUGUUAUUAAAUAUAGGUUGGACAUUGGACCUAGUGUUGUAGAACCUAGGUGAUGGAACAUAGUGGUAGAAAAACCACUAGGGUAUGAAUGACUUGAACCUAGAAAGGUUGACAAGAUAGGGUAUAAGAUUAACCCUUGAGACUUGGAAGUGGAUUCCGGAAUCCCCAGGAUAGGUGGCUGUGAGUAUGUGUGGUUCUCCUCGCUCGGCAGCGAAUGAUACUUGCAGGUAUGUGUAGUUCUCCUCGCUUGGCAAGUGAAUCAUGACUACGGGUAUGUGUGGUUCUCCUCGCCCGACAGUGAUUCGACUGGUAUGUGCGGUUCUCCUCCCCCGGUAAGCGACUUGUGGUCAUGGGUAUGUGUGGUUCUUCUCGCCUGGUGGAUGACCUAUAGUCGAGUGGAUUUAAGGCUAAAGUGCAUGUGAGACGUUCUUCACCUCAAGCCUGGACAGGAGCGGUAUUCCGCUGAUGAUUGACUCGAGGCUGAGUCAGGUGGCAUAGCUUGGCUAAGGUAAAUGAACCUUAGAAGUGGACUGUAGACAAUAUGGAUUACGAAAUAGUAAGUAGAAAUGGUAGAUUUACUUGUAUUGCAUUUAUGUUGCAUUAUAGCAUGUUGUGAGGCAUAAGCAUGUUAGUUGCUAGAUGAAUAAAUUUUAUAUGCUUACAUAUAUAUCUGUUGGACUAACAUGUUUGUGGUACCUCCUUUGGACCUGGUGGGUCGAGCUUUACCCUUAGGUGGCCAUGCCCACUAGGAACUAUAGGCAAUAGUUCUCACCCCACGUUUUUUGGGGUUUUUUUUUCAGGUCCGCAGGUGAGUGGCGCGAUGGCGCCAGGAAAGGGUGUAGCUUCAUAGAUAGCGCCCUACCACCGAGACCAGAGAUAGCAAUACCGUGAGUCGGUUUAACUUAGGGGUGUGGAAAUCAAAGAAUAAGAUUGUAAUAAUUUGCAAAAAGGUUGAUUGCAUUUGGAAGAAAACAAAAUGUAAUAUGUAUAAUGCAUGUAUGUGAAUUCUUGUAAUAGCGUAGUCGUUUAUGUUGUUGAUACUUUCCUUAUACAAUCGUUGUAUGAUCACUGUUCAUGUUUGGAACCACUUGUAUUGUACUGUUUGCGACGCCUAGGACGUACAGGAAAAACUCUGUCUGUUCGGCGGUCUGUUGGCGUGCCCGAACUGACCAAAGUGACGGUGUCGGGGCGUGACAGAUAAUAUGGUAUCAGAGCAUAAAAGGAGAAUAGAAAUGGUUUAGAAGGACCUAGGAGAUCCUAGGAUAGUAAAACAUAAAGAUUUAAGCUCGUGAGAGACGAGGACUUGUGACUUGCGGCGAAAGGUUAAUGGAUUGGGUUGUGUUGUAAACCUCUAAAAAGAAUGUUAGAGGUAGAUUCAAGGUGUGAUUUAUUCUCAACCGAGGGUGUUCAUGUUGGUUGCACACAACAUGAAACCGAGCGAUGAGAAUUGAUGCCCUUGCGUGACUUUCGCCUGAUUUUAGUCUGUGUUUGUGUUAAUCGUUUGUACUUGACCUAGAAGGUCGAGGAUUGACCGGAUUGUCAUGUUUCAGGAAGCGAUGGCGCCGCAUAGGCGAUCUUCAAGGAGAUUGGCGCGGGGAGGGCCAGGUGGGGUCCCUGAGCAAUUCGGAGUGGGUGGAGACCCGGCGCUCUGUGAGCAGUUGGGUGCGCUCAUGGGCGUAGUGCAGCGACAAGAGGAGCAGAUUAAGGAGCUCCAUGAGUUGUUGGCACGACAAGCAGAAACGACUUGAGCGGGACAGGAGCGGUUGGUGCCUCCAAUUGGUUCACCAAAUACGACUGAGAGGGUGGCUGCGGCGGCUGCGCCUGUAGUAGCGCGCCGUGUACCACCGCGUACUCCUCUAUUGGGUUCGGGUGCCAUGGCUCCUGGUUGUGCUAGAAUGGAGGCGGAGAGGGAGCGAGCUUUGGCAGCUCUCAUGACUUUCAAGAAAUUUAAUCCACCUACUUUCGACGGAGAGUUUGUGGAUCCGUGGGUCGUGGAGAUGUGGAUCGACUCCAUGGAAACUAUCUUUGAGGAUCUGUACACCUUAGAGCGGGACAAGGUGCACCUAGCCAUACAUUGUUUGGAAUAGUUGGCAAAGGUGUGGUGGAAAGGCCUCAAGUGGAAUAGAUCACCCAGUCUUCUUCUUGUAACUUGGGAAGAGUUUCGGGGAUUGGUGUUUUUCGCGUAUUUCCCUGAUAGUGAGAAAAGAGAGCUUCAGGAAAGGUUCAGGAAGCUACAGCAGGGAGACAGCACCGUGAGCAAAUAUGAGCGGGAAUUCUCCCGUAUCGUGAACUGUGUCCCGUAUGUGGUGCAGGAUGACAAGGACAAGGCCGAUUGCUUUGUGCGAAGACUUCGACCGGAAAUUUUCAAAGUUGUGCAUCCUUUCAAAUUGCAAACUUUUGUCGAGGUCUUGGAUCGGACCUUGUGGGUGGAGCAAGGUGAUGCCUUUAUGCGGGGGGAGCAUGAAUCUUUUGGGCGUGGGAGGGGGAUGAUGCGACUAUUAAGUGGUUCCAGUGGACAGCCGAGUACUAAGCGACACUCGAAGUCAUCCUCUACUCGAUCCUCGCCGGAAUGUGUUAUUUGCGGUGGUUCCCAUUAGGCUCGACGCUGUGUGCAGCGUGAGGGAAGAUGUAUUCGAUGUGGGCAACCGGGCCAUGUGCGAGAUGAAUGCCCGCUAGGGGAUAACCAGACCCUGACAUUGGCGACGACCUUAUUCUCUCCGAGGUAGCCUGCGGGUGUGCUAUCUACGGCAUGGUCUUGAGAGCGAGCGUUGAUGACGAGGCAACCGGAGGGUUUGCGGUGGGCGCCAAGUGGCCAUGGAUACGCGACCCAGGUUUAGGAGCUGACUGCUACUGACGACGUCGUGGCAGGUAUGAUUUAAUUCGGGUGUAAAUUUGGAGCAUUGCAUGCAUUUAUCAUGUGGUCGUUUGCUACUAUUUAUUUAUAAGUAUAGUAGAGACCAGGAUGUGGGUUAGUGUAGCUACCCUAGCAAGCAUGAGUUGUGGAUAGUGUGUCGCCCACUAGAGCAGAUAGGUGACUGGUCGAUGCCGGUGAGUUGCUGGUAGUGAGCCAGGGAUAGGGUUCAUGUAGAAAUGGAAAUGGUGGUACCUCGAAUUGAGGUAGGGAGCUAUGCUUGUGUAGUUGGUGUUCUUAGGCAAGAUUGCCUAGUGCUCGACAUGUCAUGGAAAGGCAUAGAAGCGUAGGACGCUCGAGUAUAGGUAUCCGUGGAGUGCGGAUUUGGUACAGCCGUGUGGGUGUGUUGGCAGUAGCACUUGAGUAUUGCUAGGUGUAAAGCAUGUCAUGGAUCACUCGUAGGGUUGGUGGCUCACACUAGAUGCUUAGGAGCCGGUGGAGGUUUGUGAGAUUCGGUAGAGCGUGUCGUGUGUGAUGACGGUAGCGGGUAUUGCUUGAGAACUGUAAGAUGCCGAACUUCUGAAGUUAUGAAGUUACGGUGGAAUGUGAUGUACCAGAUUUUAAUAUAAAAGUAGAAAUAAAUAAAAAUAGUGUAAGAUACUAUUUUUAUUGGACUUAGAGAAGUAAAAUAUAAAUUGAAAACGACUUGUGCUGAAAUCGGAACUGAAACAGAAGAUUUAGAACUUUCUAUAAGAAAUAGGGCUGAUAUUUUAGCAGAAAAUUCAUAGUGUCAGAAAAUUAUAAAAAUUGGAGAAUAUGUUGGAAUUAUUUUUAUGAGACUAAAUUUAAAGUUUCAUGUCAUUUUGACACCCGAAAAGUGAAAAAAAAAUAUGAUUGCUAUCUGCUAGAGAUUCUAGUCGCUACAGCUUUCGGUGACCCAAAAAUGGUCCAAACUGAAAAGUUAAGAUAUAUUUCUUUUAUUUAAGUUAAACUGAGACAGCUUGUCAAAUUUGAGCGCAAACUGACAUUUAGAAGGGCUUUGGCGAAAAGGAACAGAUUCUGAGCUGCUAAACUGAAAUUGUGUAUUGUUGAGAGGGGUUUUGUGCAAUUGUUUCAGCACCUAUUAGUGUGCGGUUCAUGGCUGAAUGCACACAACGCAUGGUGAGGGAACACACACACUUUCUCUCUCUCUCUUUAAGCUCUUUUUCUCUCUCUCUCUUCAAGGUGGGAAACAAGAGGGAGGAUUGGUGGAGAGGAAAGCUAGAAGGUGGAUCAUCUUCUUCAUCUUCUUCCUUGAGUUUGGAGCAAGCUUUUGAGGUAAGCUUGAUAUUCUCUAAUGGUAGAACUCUAGGGUUUGGGUUUUAAGCUCUAGAAUGGGUUUUAGUGGAAUCCUAGGAUGCUAAUGAGAUGAUUAUUGCAUGAAUCUAACGUUGUAUUAGGUGUUCUCGCAAUAGUGGCAACCUAGGGCUUCAAAGUGGGAUUUUUGUAAAUGUUUGGGUUUGAUCUAAAUUGAACCUAUGUAAACCUAAUUGCUAGGUAUUCUGACGCGCUGAUGAAGUCGGUUCGGCGAUCCGUCGAGCCUGCGCAAAGAUAUUGGCAAAAAGGAUGGUUGUAGCUUCGUUUUCGCCUGGAGGGCCGAGGUGAUGUCCUAAAAUCGCGAAAUUUGGAGUCUAGCGUCGUGACAUCACUAAAAGGUGGGUGGUGUCAUCCCGAAGCAGUUGGGCUUCCCUCUAUGUCCAUGUUACAUUAUUGAUCACAUUCUUGCAUAUUGGCAUUAUGCAUGAUAGGGUUGUUUGGAUAGUUGCAUUUCUAAUUCUUUGCAUGCUCCUUGGUAGUGUAGUAUUGUGGGCUUGACACUUAAACUUAGGAUGCAUGAGAAUAAUUGUGAUUGUGAUAUAGAAUCCUAUAGUGAUAAAGAUAAGUGAUGACUUGAUCUUAUGAUGAUGAAAACCAAUGACAUGUGAACUAGUGUAAUGGAAACAACUUAUAACAAGAACGAGUGGCAUGUAAAUUAGUGUGGUUGAGACACUUACAACAUAAUGAUGUAAACGAGUAGCAUUUGAACUUAGUGUAGUAGAACACUAUGGCACUUGAACAUAGUGAUAGAUGAAUUGCCCAAGUUAUGAUAUGUGCAUGUGAACUUAGUGUAGUAGAACACUAUAGCACUUGAACAUAGGGAUAGAUGAAUUUCCCAAAGUUAUGAUAUGUGCAUGUAAAUUGUUGUGUAGUUGAAACACUUGAACAUGGAUAUUGGGAUAGGUGGAUUCCCGAGUGAUUGUUAACCCUAGUUGAUAGGGUAUCCUCAAGUGGCGAGGAUUGGAUAAUACUCACAUUGUCUGUUUUGAGCUUUGGGUGGUCGCUCCACACAAGCCGUGCACUCCGGAGUUUGUCACACGAGGGGCAGAAGCUAGUUGUCCUGCAGGCGGUCUCGGGUGAGUCGAGCAGGUGCGACUCCUCACCUAUGGGAUUUGAGAUGUGAGUUAAGGGUGAACUGUCACGCCCUGGGACCCAGCGGAAGCCCGCCCGGCGCGUGCCCAGACCCACCAUAUGUCUACAACAUAUAAGGCGUCUAAAAACAACAAUAAUAAGAGCAAUAAUAAAAGACAUCUAGGAGUAUCAGAGCAUAGAAAAAGUCUAAUUGCUAACAACAAGGGAUAAAGUUCAAACUGUAAAUCCACUAAAUAAAACAUAAAGUAAAUACAAUAGGAAAUCCCAAAAAAAGCGCUAUGAGUAGAUAAAUAGGUGGUCUCUAUACAGGGUACAAAAACUCUCAAUCUCUCAACUACAAAAGAAAGAGUAAACCACCUAGGCAAGUAAGCUCCUCGCUAGCUAGCUACGCGAUCCCCUUGCCGCGAUCCCGUGCCUCCGCCGGUGCCGAAGGCUCUGAAAAGGAAACAUAGAAACAGGGGCGUGAGAACUAUCAAAAAUAGUUCCCAGUGGGCAAUUACUGACUUCAGUGAAUGCACCACAAGGCCCAAAGCUACAAAAGAGUUAGUUGACUAUAAAAGUAGAAAACGAAAGUAAGUAAAAUGUAAUUUACUACAUACAUGAUAUGGCUCUACUAUCCUUAAAAUAUAAGUUGAAAAACCAUACUGAAGUAAGAUGUCUCAACUAUCAUAAGUUCAGAAUGCGAAAAUAGUAAAGUUCUAUUUUUAAUUUAUCAAUGUCCAAAUAAUACUACUAUAUCAUCAUCUGUCCAUCAGUGUCAUAACAAUGCUCAAGUCGAUCUAAGAGACCCACCGAAGCUGUCUAUGCCUGAAUCACCGAGGCUCUGGGCGGUCCGAGCUAAUGGCCCUGGUUAGUAUCAUCCCACCCUAGGUGGCCUGGUCCCAGGCAAUCCCUCUCGCGUCCCAUAGUCUUGCACGGCGAACUAUGUAUGCCGCGAUGGGCUAUUCGCGGAGUGCGGCUUGUAGGAGCGCCCCACAAGCCAGUGCGAAUGAGCACAAUGGCAAGUAAUCAAACAUCUGUCGAAGUACCGAAGUCCUAUUCCAAUAACAUGGAAUACUAUCGCGUGUCAAAGGCCUAUCUUCUAUGUCAUCAUGUCUCUAACAUGGAAUAUGUAGCAAGAUAUUGUAGCCUAUCAAUAUGUCUCUAUUUGCAGUUUCAUAGUAUCUAGUUUCAAGGUGCCGCCUUUAUGACGACUCUUGCUCUCUAUGUCAAUGAACAUGGCAAUAUGUUCGAAGUACAUAUUCCAGUCAUGCAUCAUCAUAAGAAUGUAUUUUUUCAUUUGCAAAACAAGCCCCCCACGUUUCCGUAUCAUGCAUUUCUACUCAUUAGGCUCUACUAUUAGUGAAAAUUUUCAUAAAUACACAAGGCAUGCAUUUUAAGUGCUCUAAAUCAUGAUAAACUCCCAUUUAGCAUAGAAAGGAAUUAAAAUAUUUUACAACAAGUUAGAAAGAGCAUAGGGUCUUCGCCCUCUUUCCUCGCCCGAACCAAACGCACCGAUGCAACGAAACCUCCUCGUCUCCAAGAGGGUGUCCUCAUAGUCUCGCAGUAUCCUAGAGGUACAUCAGAACAUAGCGUCACACGAAGAAACAACCAUCAUAACUCAACAUUAAAGCUAAUCAAUAAUAAUGAGGAAAACUCACUCUAAAUGAAAAUAUCCUCUAUAAAGGCUCCAAUGAGGUAGGCUCAUCAUCAACUAAUGGAAAAAAGCACUCGUAAUCCAAUAAUCAUAGCUUCAAGCCUAGAUUCAAAUGCCAAAAUAAACCUAAAUCACUAAUCCUAGGUUUCAAUUCAUAAAGCCUCAAACAAUGAAUAAAAGGUGGAAUAUGUUCUAACCUCUUUGGAACGCCCAAUUUAGCUCCAAUCCAGUGGGUGUGAAGACUCCUCAGCAACAAGUCCUCUCCAAGCUCUAAGCAUCACAAUGAGUGGAUGAAGCACAAUGAUGAAAAAGAGAAGAGAAACCCAAAUAAAAAAAGCAAAGGGGUAAAAACUCAAGGAAAGGGAGAGAGAGCUCCUCAUCCCCUCUCUCUCAGGUCCAGCACAAAAGAAGCCCUAAGGGCUAGGUCUGUUAUAGAAAGCCAAAUUCGCGAAAACCGCCUGCAGUUCAAACUGGGCAUCGAAUCUGCCUCCUUAUGUAUCCGGGUCCGGGUCUUGUACCGUCAAGGCGACGAAUGCAAACAGGCCGAGGCUCGGUUGGCUCGUGCGGCUCUGUAUGGUACACACCGAUGCUGUAACCGUACACCAUCACCCUUGUAGCGCGUACAAGUCAGUAUUGGAUCUGGGGUUCCGUACAAGACCCUGCUGCAGGCUACGGGCCGAGAGCUGUCAAAUUCCGAUUUUUGAAUUUUGGUGCAAGUCUCAUUUCGAACAUCCUAGGAUGCGUGCGGGGAGUCGGAACACUAUCAAGACUCCAAAAACUGUGGACGUCUCGCACGACACAGAUAAGACACUCGAAUCUUGCAAUUUGCAUAAGAUCUCAGUAAUUACAUUCACUCCUCCUAAAAGAAGUUUGUCCGCCGGGAAACUCGAAGCAAAAGCUUACCCUCAGGAUCCAUCUGAAUAAGAUGGGAUAGCGCUCCUGCACGCGACUCUCUAGAUCUGAACGUGGCUCCGCUCCCCGGUGGUUCUCCAAAGGGCUCAGUAUAGGAUAUCCGUGUGAUUCCGCACACUUUUCCCUCGGCGAGCCCAGAAAUCUUCACUGGUUUGCUCCUGAACUUCUCAAAUCUCACGCAGUGCCAUGUACACGCAUCCAAAACAUGAGCUGGAUCAUGAAAUGUACCUGAAGGAAGCCGUAUAUCAUGAAAGACUUGUGUCACACCCGAUAGGUUCGGUGUAAACAAGUCGAAUACCUACGGACUAUUCACGCCCAAGAUCUCAUACGGUCCAAUGAAACGGGGGCUCAACUUUCUCACGAAUCCGAAUCUCUUGAUUCCUCUAGUCGGCGGACAUUCAAGAACAUGGGUCUCCCAAUUGAACUCCAUCUCGCGUCGUCGAUCCGGCGUAGACUCUUUCUGUUAGCUCUGCGUCUGGUAAAAGUGGCUCCCGAGCAUUUCGAACCUUAUCCUCGCUUCCUGGACACAUCAGGGCCUAGAGCCAAACUCUCUGCGACUUCACUCGCAAUGAAGUGAGCGAUGCUUUGAGGCACGGUCCGUCAAUCAGGCCUUUGAAGGGCGCCAUAUGAUGCUUGACUUGAUAAUCUAUGUUAUAAGCAAACUCCGCAUAGUAGAUGCUGGCACCAUGCCUCCUGGAAGUCUAUCACACAUCCCCGAAGCAUUCCUCUAAGGUGAUGAAUAGUGCGUUCUGAUGCGCCAUGCACUCUGCGGUGGAAUGCAGUACUGAAUCAGUCGGUGCCUAAGCGUCUGUAGACUCCUCCAAAAGCUUGAGACACAAACCGUCGUGUCCAAUCAAGAUACAUCGAUGUAGGACUCCAGAUCGCACAAUCUCGUCAAAUGGUAACAAUUGUGGGCUCUGUCCGGUCCAGGUGAAUUCCCAAAAACACACCGGGAUGAAUAGGUAUUAAGUGCCGAGUUCGUGCAACGUAAUUCCUAUUCACCUGAAUACGUUCAUGCCGCCGCUGAGACGGUGGAAUCCUGUCAGCAAAAUCCAUGGUGAUUGCUUCCUCCACUUCCACCAGGAAUAGGCAAACUCUGAAGUUUUGCCCGGGGAACUCGUGUCAGCCUUUAACUUAGUGGCAAGUUAAGCAUACUAGCGACAAAACUGCAAACAUCCUUUUCAUCCCAGCUCACUCAAUAGAGCAACUUAAAUCCUUAUACAUUUGUGUCCCCCGAUGUAUAAGAUAGGCGCCCGUGCGCUUCUUGAAGAAAUCCUCUUAAUCCCGAAUCAGCAGGUACCAAAUCCGCAGCGCUCAAUCCUUUGUAUCCAAUAGGAAGUCGGCCGGUGCAACCAUCAAACCAUUUAACCUCGAAUCUUUGCAACUCACAUAGGAAGCUUGCUUUUCUUUAAUUCUAACUCCAACAAGGUAGGUUGCACCAAUGUCAUCAACUCAAAGGUGAUUUCGCGAUCAAAACUAUCCAACUGCAACCGUUCAUCUGCUCGAGUUUCAACUGCAGGUUGAGUCCAACAUCGCAUCGCUAAGUUUUUCAUCGAAUUCUACUUAGGGAUCAGCCCGCUACGUUAUAGUCUUGCCGGGUGGUAAAGGAUCGUCAAUCAUAAUCAUUAGUAGCUCCAACGCAUCUGCGCUGCAUCAGUUCAACCCUUCUGAGUAAACAGUACUUUAAGCUUCUUGGUGAUCCGUGAUACUUACACCGUUCGCACACAUAAGAUAGUCGCCAUAAGCUUUCAAAUGCGCACACUACCCGCAAUAUCCAAAUAUCGUCGAUAGUUUUUAUCAUAGCCUUUAGUUUGGCGAGAGAGACACGGAUCACUCUGCCAUUCUCAUCAAUACACAGCCCAAUCCCUUAAGUGAGAGGCAUCGCUAUAAAGCACAUACCCGUGGCUACAGCAACUGUUAGGGUCAAGAUCGGGGGGUAUCAACCGUUUGUUCACCAUCUUGAACUCGCUCGCCGCAUCAUUAAAUGAACUUAACACCUUCUAUGGCGUGAGCCUCGGAGGGCAGUAAUUCUGCUUAGCAACCCUCUAUACAAAUGCGGUAGUCCGCGGCCAUCCAAGGAAGCUCCGUAUCUCCGUAGCCUCGUCGUCUCGGCCAUGCUUGUUUUCGAUCUUCUUGGUCACUGGUAUACCUGAUCCUAAAUAAAGUGUCCAGGAAGCUACCUCUCGAAGCCAAAUUCACACUUCUUCAACUUGGCAUAAAGCUCAUCUUAUCACCGAAGUACUUGGAGCACGAUCCUCAGUGUUCCUCGUGAUCCACAUGUUCGAGAUUAGACCAAAAUAUCGUCGUGACACUACGCCGAACCUGUCUAGAUAAGGCUUGAAAACACGUCAUUAGAUCCAUAAAGCUCGGGGCAUUAGUUAAGCCCAAAUGGUAAUAACUGUGACUCAUAGUGUCAUACCGUGUUCUAAAAGCGUCUUCGAUACCUGGGUUUAAUCUCAAUGGUGAUAUCCGCUGGACAGCAAGUCGAUCUUGAAUAACAACGCAUGAUCCCCUUAAUCUGAUCAACAAGUCGUCCGUUCUUGGCAACGGAUACUUGAUUCUUAGAUCCGUGCCGUUAUUUAAGUUCACGAUAUCAGCACAAAGGCGAUGAUCCGUGCCUUCUUUUUGAUCAGAACAAAAAUGUGCCCCCAAGGUGACACACCGUCGAAUGAACCUUUUUGUCCAACAAAUUCUGCAAUGUGCCGCUCAGCUCCCUCAGCUCUGCAGUGGCCAUCCUAUAGGAGUGCCUUUGAGAUUGGGGUAGUCCCAAGGGCGAGAUCUACGACAACAUCAAUCUCCCUAUCAGGAUGGCAUAACCCGUAGCUCACUGGAAACACAUCACUGAACUCGCCGCACCACCGGGAUAUCUCAUCUAGGGUGUAUCUAUCGCCCUCAGCACAACACUAAGGCCAAAUAGAUAACAACCUCUACUAAUGCAGUGCUUAGCUCUGAGAACGGCGAUCGUCAUCGAAACAGCGACAUUCGCAUCGCACGAAUACCUGUCUUGCCAGGUUUCUAAAAUAUAACCGUGCGAUUUUACAAUCAAUCCGUGAUACUACUUGUCAAUCAUCGCAUCCCAAAACCAGCAUCAAAAUCUCCCAGCUUGCGCAAAGAUAGCAAUCGCGGGCAUGAUCAAUCUCCUACCCAAUAGGGAACUGGGGUAUACUCUCUAGUAUUCCAAGACAUUGGUCGGGUAAUACACAUGCGUAUGACCAAGGAACAAGGGAAUGCCAUGCAUACUCGGUCAAUCACCGACAUCUAUGAAUGAAUGCGAUGCACCGGUAUCAAUAAAGCACGAAACUUAAAACCAUUCAAGUAAAUGAUACUGAAAACACACAUCCUCCGCUGUGCGCCUCCUCGGCCUGAGGCAUAAGUAGCCCCUCGGGGCCUGUUCGAGAUCCUCGCUCUGGGUCUGGAACGAUGCCGCGCAGGCUGGUACUGUGUCGAUGGAUCCUGGUAGCGUGUAGAACCGCUGCCGGAUGCAGUGCGACGGUGUAGGUGAAGGAACCCUCGGCCAGUCGGUACCACGUGCUCCUGGCCACACUGGAAACACUGCCCAGGCGCCGCUGUGGACAUCUGGGGUGGUAAAUGGACCACGCAGAUCACACAUGGGGAAGCGCUGGCGCCGAUGCGAUCCUCCUCAGCGGUGCUGUCUGAGCCGCGUCCGGUCUGGCUCCUGCGAUCUUCGGCGGCCUCUAAGUGCGUCUGGCUCGCACCUCAGCCAGCAGGCCCUCUUGGCCUUACCUUGUCCCUAGCACAUCGCUGCUCUGCCUUUGCCCGCCGCUCUCCACAUGACGCCGCGAUGCCACCACCUCCCCGGUAAGGGUUGGAGGUUUAGAGGAUUGCAUCAAACGGAAGAUGAUCGUCGCAACACUCGGUCCGAAAUGCGGGCCUUCGCUCCUCCCGUGUCCCCCGCACACGAAGGACACGCAAUUGCAGAAGCAAAAAUCCCUCUCGUAAUCGGCUAACAGGUCCGGCUGCCUGGCGCAAGUUGCGCAAGAUCCUGCUCCUCUUCCUCAUUGAACGCUGGUCGGACAGUAUCGCGCGAGAAGUUGCUUGAACCUGGUCAGUGAUAGAUGCCAAGUCAGUGCUGGUGUGCUCCUGGAAUCCAACCACCAGCGAGCCUCGCGUCCAGUGUGAAUGCGAGCAAACUGCGAUCCAUCUCUCGCAGAAGAAGUGUCUCGGAAGGCGUUUCUCUCCAUGUCAUCAAACAUGUCUUCCACGAUCCUAGUGUCGAGCUCUUCUCCAGCCGUCGAACGACUCGGCGGCCUGCAUCCUGAACCUGUUGAGGCGGCUUCCAUACAUCUAUCUCGCUCCGUCCCCCUCACCAAGUAGGGAACGCCCACCCCGCCCUGCUCCAACCGGGGCCUCUCUGCAACAGGUGUCAACCUAAAACUCCUCCUGUGGUACGGCGCAGGCGGCACGUCGAGAACUGGGCGCGUGAGGACGGCUCUCCGGUGCAAACGUCACGACUGUUCUGGCGUGUAGGGACCUGAGUCCUCCUAGUAAUCGCGUCUUGCUGCAACAGUAUGUGUCUUCCAGACGCUUCAUCCGCGCCUCCUGUCGGCGCGCCGCUAGCUGCUGUCGGGCCCCUCUGCCGCUGCGUGCCAAAUGUCGGUGAGGCCCAAGCUGCCCUCAACUCGCGGGACCUCGCUUGAUCUGGAGGUCGCGGAGGUUCAACUCCUCAAGUUCGGCCGAUUGUCCGCUCGGCAGAUUGGGCUAGCGUGAGUAAUCGCAUCGUCAUAUAAAGCAUCAAAGGCAAUGUUAAAAUAACUCAGCUAAUCGCAUCCCCGGCACUCAAAAGAAAAGCCCGCAAUAUCAUAGCGAAAGUAGGAAGUGUUUAUCCACAUCAACUCAUCCCGAUGUAGUUUGGCCGCCAACGUAACCCCCGCAGAAGUUAGAAGCCAAACACUUCCAAUCAACUCUUAACUUUUGAGAUGUAACACAAUACCAUCAUGAUCUUUCGCUCACAACGUCAAUAGACGCUCGUCUCUCACGAGCUAUUCCUAUAGUCCCAACGGCCUACGGUUUGCUAGUCCCCUAAGACUCUAACCCUAGGCUAUGAUCCAAUUAUCUGUCACCGCCUGGACCAGCGGAAGCCCGCCCGCGCGUGCCCAGACCCCCAAUGUCUACAACAUAUAAGAGCGUCUAAAAACAACAAUAAUAAAGCAAUAAUAAAAGACAUCUAGGAGUAUAAGAGCAUAGAAAAGUCUUAAUUGCUAACAACAAGGGAUAAAGUUCAACUGUAAAUCCACUAAAUAAAAUAAAAGUAAAUACAAUAGGAAAUCCAAAAACAGCUAUGAGUAGAUAAUAGGUGGUCUCUAUACAGGGUACAAAACUCUCAUCUCUCAACUACAAAGAAGAGUAAACACCUAGGCAAGUAAGCUCCUCGCUAGCUAGCUACGCGAUCCCUUGCCGCGAUCGCCGUGCUCCGCCGGUGCCGAAGCUCUGAAAAGGAAACAUAAGAACAUGGGGCGUGAGAACUACAAAAUAAGUUCCCGUGGGCAAUUACUGACUUCAGUGAAUGCCACCAGGCCAAAGCUACAAAAGAGGUUUGAUAUAAAUGUAGAAAGGCGAAAGUAAGUAAAAUGUAACUUACUAACAUGAAUAUCCUCUACUUAGAACUAAAUGCAUAAGUAUGAAAACAUACAUGAAGUAAAAGUCUCCAACUAUCAUAAUGUUCACAUGCGAAAUAGUAAAGUUCUAUUGUUAUAUUCUAGUCAAUGUCCAAAAAAACUCAAAUCAAUCAUCUCUGUCCACAUGUCAUAACGAAUGCUCAAGUCGAUCUAAGAGACCACCGAAGGCUGUCUAUGGCCCUGAGACCCACCGAAGGCUGUCUGGCCGGUCCGAGCUUAAUGGCCCGUGGUAGUCAUCAUCCCACCCUAGGCAUGAGCCUGUCCCACGGAAUCACUUCGGCGCCAAUCUCGCACGGCGAAAUAGUGUAUCGCGCAUGGCUAUCUCCGGAGUGCGCUUGUAGGAGGCGACCGCUCAAGCAUGUUGCGAAUGAGCACAAUGGCAAGUUAAUCAAACGAUCUGUCGCAAGUAAAAGUCCUUCAUGUCCAAUAACAUGGAAUAUAUCGAGUGUCCCAAAGCCUAUCUCUAUGUCAUCAUGUCUCUAACAUGGAAAAUAGCAGAUAUUAUGUGGCCUAUAAUAUAUGUCUCUAUGUUGGCUGUUCAUAGUUUAACUAGUUUCAAGUGCCCUUUAUCACUCUUGCUCUCUAUGUCCAACAUGGAACUAUGUUCAAGGUACAUAUUCAAGUCAUCAAUCAUCAUAAGAGAUGUAUUUUCAUUUGCAAAACAAGCACAUUUUCCCGUAUGCAUGCAUCUACUCAUGUAGCUCUACUAUACUAGUAAAAUUUUCAUAAUACACAUAAGCAUGCAUUUUAAAGUGCUUCUAAAAUUCAUAUAAAUCCAUUUAGCAUAGAAAUGAACUUAAAAUAUUUUACAACAAGUAGAAAAGAGAUAGGGGUCAUUUCGCCCAUUUCCCCGAAGCCAAACCCACCGAUGGCAACGAAACCUCCUCGUGCGCUCCAACGAGGGUGUCCUCUAGCUCCUAUAGUCCUAGAGACAAGAACAUGCGUCACACGAACGAAACGAACAUCACUAUUAGGUCAACUUAAGCUAAUCAAAUCAUAAGGCUGAUGGAAAACUCACCUCUAAUGCAAAAUCUUCCUCUAAAGAGUCAAAUGAAGCUAGGGCUCAUCCAAUCCAACCUAAUGGAAGCUCUAAUUCCAAUAAUCUAGCCUUCAAAAGCCCUAGAUUCAGAUAAUGCCCAAAAUAAACCCUAAUAUCACAAUCGCUAGGUUUCAAUCAAUCAAGCCUUGAAAAACAUGAAUCAAAAGUGGAAUCAUGUUUCUAACCUCUUGAAGCCCAAACUUCGCUGUACAUCAAGUGGUGGGAGAUCCUCAGCGCACAAAGCUCCUCAUCCUAAGCUUAAGCAGAUCAACAAUGGUGAGAAGCCACCAAGACAUGCAAAGAGAAGAGAAAACCCAAAUAAAACAAGCAAGGGGGUAAAAUGCAAGAAGGGAGAGAGACUCUCUCAGCUCUCUCCUCAGCGUCCAGCCAACAAGAAGCCCUAAGGGGCGUGAGUGCUGUUAUAGAAAGCCACAAUCGAAGAAAACCCCUGCAAGUUCAAACUGCAUGAAUCUGGCUGCCUUGUACUGGUACGGGUUCUUGCUACCGGUACUAGCGGACGAAAAUGCAAACCGAAGGCUCGGGUUCUCGUCUGCGGCUCCUGUACGGCGGUACAAGCCGAUGGCUGUACCGGUACAAUCAUAGCCCUUGUAACCGGUACCAAGGUAGUCUUGUUCCGGUACAGCUGCUGCAGGCUACCCGAGCUGUUCCCAAAAUGUCCGAUUUUGAAUUUCUGGUGCCAAGUCUUACUCCAACAUCCUCGGAGCGGCCUGGCGGGGUCGAACACUAUCAUGACCUCCAAAAACUGUGUUGAACCGCUCCCACAGAUAACACACCGAAUUGGCAAUUUGCUAAAUACCAGUAUAUUACAUGAAGCGCUUUGGGUUAGCUAAGUGAUGGGAACUUAUGAAUGGCUUUAUUUCUUGGCAUAGUAGGCACGAUAGCCGACUCAUUUAACUAUAAUAGUUUUCAUCUGCAUUGCAUUACAAGUGGAUUAAGGCAUAGCAUAGUAGUAUACUCUGUAAUUUUCUUACUAUGACAGUUGCUUUCAUAUCUUCUUCUAUCUAUCUAUCAUCUAUCUAUCUAUCGCUUCUACCUGCUUAGACCAUAGUGGAGAUUCGCGAGUCGGCAGCGAACGGAGCUGGCACUAUGGACAAUAGUUCUCACGCCACUUUGUUGGCGGAUCGAGUUCGAGUGCUGCCAGGCAGGAUCCGGAGGUAAGAGGCAUAGCGCGCCUAGUAGUUAGGUGCUUUCCUUAUGCAUUAGAGCACCCUAUGUCAUAGUAUUGAAUGAUGUAUAGGUGGUGAGAUGCUUUUGGAGAGUUGUUGAUGAUCUUGUAGAACCUUAUGUUUAUAUUUUGGAAGUUGGAAAUGUAACUCAAAGAUGUAAAUGUCGAAUGUGAUGUAAUAGCUAGAACUAUCUCUCUCUUUUGUUCACUUGUAUGUCUACUUGUGCCUUGCUCUUGCUCGUUUAGCACUUAUGGUGCUUGUAUCAUCACUUGCUUGAUCAUGUAUGUAUGUUAAGUUUUCCUGGGCACUUCUUUGUACAUGAUCUCGUUGCUUUAGCCUUGGGCGGACAGGGGAGGUGCUAUCUGUUAGACGUCUGUUUGAUGUGCCCUAACCAACCAAACUGGCGGUCUCGGGGCGUGACAAGAACGAUCCGUGCCCGGACCACUUAUGGACUGCGGAGCUUGGGGCCAUAUGGACAGGCGCAGUCAGCUGUGUGUGACAGCGGCCCGGUACCUUCGGGUAGGGCACAGAGGUUUUGGUCGGGGUGGUAGUCCAAGCUUGGACCCGGGAACGUGAAAUGCCACUGUAAGGAAGUGAAUUCUCGAAAUGCGAGAGUUGAAUUUUGAUUAGAAUCGACCGAUUGUCGGUUGGGUAUGCUUCGGAAGGGUCGAAGGCGUCAAAAUCACAGUAAGUGCAUUGAGGAGGGCCUCGGAGAGUAAGCUGGUGUGAUUCUGCACAAUUGCAGAAUUUGCUCUCGGGGACCAGUCCCUGGCGGGAGGGAUCGGUUCCUGUACGCAUGGUGAGUGGCAGAAAAAUGCUACACACGAAUUUUGCUCUCGGGGUUCGGUCCCUCAGAGGGGGAGGGGGACCGGUCCCCGUACGCGAAAAAUGGACAGAAAAGCUCUGCCCGCAAAGUUUGCUCUCGGGGACCGGUCCCUUUGAGGGAAGACCGGUCCCUAUACCCGAAAAUGCCCGAAGAUGGGCUGUGUCAUGUUUGGAGAGUUGAAGGGCUUAAUUGCAAAGUUGCCAAGUAGGGAUUAAAAGAGAGGCAUGUGCGGCUCUCUCUUUCACUCUCCCUCACAUUGGUGACCUAAACACUUUCCCUCCCUCUCUUUUGAGCUCUCACUCUUCUCUCUCUCUUCAAGGGUGGAAAUAAGAGAGGGAUUGGUGGAGAAGCAAGCUUGGAAGAAGACCAUUACCAUCCUCAUCAUCUUCUUCACCUUGGAGGAGCUUGUUUAAGGUAGGCUUCUAGAGCUCUAAUGGUAGAUCUCUAAGGUUGAGUUUUUUGGCUCUAGAAAUGGUUUGGUUGGAACCCUAGGAUGCUAAUUAGAUGGUAUUUGCCUAAACCAUGAAUGGAUUUGGUGUAUUUUGCAAUAGAUGCAAACUAGGGUUUCCAAAUGGGAAUUUUGUAAUGCUAAGGGUUUGAUCUCAAUUGGUCAUAUGUUAACCUAAUUGUUAGGUGUUUAAGCGCAUUGGUGAAGACGGUUCGACAAUUCGUCGAGUCGGUGUAGAGAUAUCGGCAAAAGGGACCAUACGAGCUUUGUUUCCGCCUGGGAGCCCGAAUCGACGUCAUAACAUCGCCGAAGAGUGUUCCUAGAGUCGUGACAACGCCAAGAGGUGGGUGGUGUCAUCCCGAAGCAGUUGAGCUGCUUCCUAUGUCUAAGUUAUAUAUGUUGAUCAUACUUUGCAUGUGAACCUUGUGCAUGAUAGGGUAUUUUUAUGGUUGCAUUUACUAAUCUUGCAUGGUCCUUUGUAGUGUAGCAUAGUAGACUUGACACGUGAACUUAGGGUGAAUGAGAAUGAGCUAUUGUAUCAUAGAACCCUAUAGAUGAAAAGAUAAGUGAUAACUUGAUCUUGCAUUGAGGGAAGCAAUGACAUACGAGCUAGUGUACUCGAGAUUUCCUUAUCAUGACGAGUGGCAUGUAAACCAAGUGAAAGACUUGACGAGUGGCAUUAGAACUUAGUGUACAAGAACACUUUUGGCAUAUUGACUUAGGGAAUGGAUGAGUUUCCUUAUUUGACACAUUGCAUGAGAUCGGUGUGACAUUGAAGACCCUAGUUGACAGGGUAUCCUCAGUUGACGAGGAUUGGAUCAUACUCACAUAGUAUGUUUUAGGGUUGGUCGCUCCACCCGUUAGUGCACUUCGGAGGUGGUCACACAGAGGACAGACGUAGUUGUCCGCAGACGGUCCCGGGUGUGUUGACAGGGUUCUCACCUAGGGGAUUAGAGAUGUGAAUCGAGGGCGAACCUUCAGGUUAGCCAAGGAUUGGGUAUUGAACUUAUGAGAGUUAUGCACAUUGAGCAUAUUGAGCAUAGUAGAGUUGCAUUCAUGCUUGAUAGAGAUGUAGUAGCAUGUUAGUGAUUACAUUGCUAUGUUGUUUACUCAUGUUUUCCAGGCAUAGUAGCAUAGUGCAAUUCCUUUAUUAUGCAUAGUUUCAGCUUCAGAUAUCUAUCUAUCUAUCUGCUUAUGCCUGCUUAGACCUAGUGGGGAGAUCGGCAGAGUCGGCGGCCGAACCCACUGGAAACUAUGGACAAUAGUUCUCACCCCACUUUGUUGCAGGGCCGAGUUCGAGCACUCCUGGCGAGGAUCGUGGUAAGGGCAUAGCGCCCUAGCUUAGUUAGCAGCUUCCAUUUGCAUUAGAGCACCUGUGUACCUAUGAGAUGUCGAUGUAUCUAUUGGAGAGUUGCAUGUAUUUUGGGUUUAUACUAGUUACGAGAUGAACUUGGAUGUAUAUAUUCAUUUUGGGAGUUGUAAAUGUAAACUCGAUGUGAAUUGAUAGUUGAAUGUGAUGUAAUAGUUAGAAUUCUCUCUUUGUUCACUUGUAUGAUUACUUGUGUCUUGCUUACUUGUAUAGCACUUGUGGUGCUUCUCGUUGAAUCAUGUAUGUUUUUGAGUUAUUCCUGGGCUACUCUUGUACAUGAUUGUUGAUGUUUUGGCCUUAGGCGGAUAGGGGAGGUGCUGUUCGUUCGGCGUUUGUUCGACGUGCCCGAACCGGCCAAAUUGGUAGCGGUCGCGGGGCGUGACAGCCACGUGUUGGAUCGUAUGAUCGAUGUUACACCGAGAGUGCAGUGGACCCAACCCGAGGACUUAUAGUAGUUUGGGGUCUUGGUUGCUCCUGGUUGGAGUGGGUGCGAAUUCUCAAGUGAGAAUUUCGCCCAAUGAUGAUUAGGUCUACGCUUGUGAGCGAGAGACGUCACGCGUGUUGAGACAGGUUUAGGCGGUAGGCCUACGUAGGAUUAGUGGCCUAUGGUUCACCUAUGGAAGCCGAGGUAAGCGAUUUGGCGGGUAGCCUUAUCGAGGAAUUUGGCUGGGAUUCAUGAACAAGGUGUUCGUGUGAACUCGUUGUGAGAGUAGUUUAAUGUUGACCGUGGCAUAUGGUAUCGAGAGAUGAAGUGUUCUCUAUGAGACACAAGGAUAGUGGAAAGCCACGUGAGAGUCUAGGGACAGUGCUCUUGAGUGAACCAGAAAUUUGAGAUGUGCCGAAGUGGGCCAUCUCGCGGUAGAGCUAAAAGUCCAUGUGGAAUUGAAGCACUCGCGAUUAAGUGAUGCACCCGUGAAAUUGCUUUUAAGCAAUGCUGGUGAUCGAAUCGGAGUGUGUUCCCUGAGGGGAUGGUGAAUGCGUGGAAGAGUCAUACUUGGUAAUGUAGACUCUGGAUGGCCAGAGUGGUGGAGUGCCACUCUGUGGACUUUUGGGUGAUUCGAGGAGGUCUACUGUAUGUAUUGUGUAGUGGUGGUGGACCAUACGACUAGUUGGUACAUUCUUGUUAGAUCCACACCACGAGGAUGACGGGUAGUCCUGAUCUCAAAGAAAAGUGGUAUCCGGUUGUAACACACUGGACCUUUGCAAAUUGCGAGGUUCGAGUGUUUGGAUGUGUUUCGAGCUUUUCCACACUUGGUGGAGGGUCGUAGAAUGUUUUCCGACCUAAAAAGUUCGAAAACCUGAGUUUUGGUUUAGUCCUGAGAGUUUUUACUCUCGGGGNAUGAAGAUUAAUGACCUACUAUUUUUGAUAUCGUAGAUGUACAUCACCAUGACAUCGUUUAUACUUGAGUUUAGUAGUUUAGCAUUUUAAUUAUGCCUUUAUAUCGCAGUCAUUAUUACUACUAUUAUUGUACUUACCCUUUUCUUUUGGGGCCUAGUGGUGCAUAGAGCUGAGGUCAGUAAUUGUCCACUGGGAACUAUAAAUUAUAGUUCUCACGCCCUCUUUUUCUCGAUGUUUUUCAGAGCCUUCCACGCAGGGUGAGGCCAGGGAUCGCGGGAAGGGAGUUGCUUCGAGCUAGCUUCCUUCGAGGAUGAGUUGUCAGGUGGUGUACCUCUCGAUAUUUACUUGUCUUGCCGAGAGGUUGAGGGUUUUGCCAGUGUACUAGAGACCACCAUUUUUGUAUUAGAGACAGAUAUCGUACUACUUAUGAUUUCUUUUAUUGUCUAGCUUUACUUUGGUGUAGAUGUUAGAACUUUACUCGCUCUGAUAUCAUUAGUUGCUAGUUAUUUCACUUUCUUUAUUUGUUCUAUUACUUGCUUUUAUUUUCGCUUUUAUUCUAGACGCCUUAUAUGUGUAGACAUAUGGCGGGUCUGGGCACGCUACCGGGAGGGCCUCCGCCAGUCUCGGGGCGUGACACCGGUGGCAUUCGUGAGAUAAGUUCUUCGUGAGCCGGAUAGUGAGAAGUAUUGGAGCGUAUGGAGUCGUCAAAUACCGACAUGCACAGCCACCGAGAAUGACGGAGACCGCAAUGCACUUUAUGUGUUGCACCUUGCAAACGUAUAUGCGUUUGAUCUCACAUCCUCCGUUGUGGACCUUUUGGAUCAUUCCAAUGAACGUAAGGCCACUCCGGAGUGGGAAAGUGUAUUGAUGCCCUCAAUUGCUCCGAGAGUUGAAUUGAGGUGUGGUUUGAGUUUCGCGGACGAAAUUUUUUUUAAGGGGCAGAGAAAUUUUAUAUACCGAACUCCUACAAUUAUAAAGUUUUGGUGGGAACUAGCUCGAAAGGUUGUUAGAAUAGUUCCGGUGAGAUUCGGGGAGCAUUCGAGUGUUUUCGGUGCGAGUUAGGCAUGGAAACAGAACUCGAAAAACUAUUGUAAGGAAGUGAAUUCUCAAAAUACAAGAGUUGGAUUUCGGUUAGAAUCGACUGAUUGUCGAUUUGGUAUGCUUCGGAAAAGCCGAAGGCAUCAAAAUGGCCAAAGGUGCAUUGGGAUGGAGUCUGCGAGAGCAAAUGAUGUGAAAAACCUGCACUUGGCAGAUUUGCUCUCGGGGACCGGUCCCUGGCGGGAGGGAUCGGUUCCCGAACAUGGUCUGCGUGGGUUUGCUCUCGGAGAUCGGUCCCUGGCAGGGAGAGACCGGUCCCAUCGGCAUGGUGGUUGCGGCCACGCGUGAUGCAACCGGUCCCCGGGCCAGAGGGACCGGUUCCCGAACGCGUAGAUUUGGGGAGGUCAUGAGGGACCGGUCCCUGGUAGGGAGAGACUGGUCCCCGUACCCCGAAAAUGCCCAGAAUAGGCUGUCACAUGAUGGCAAAGUUGAGGGGGUUUAGUGCAUUUAUUACAUGAGUUAGGGGAUAUAGAGGUGGGGGAGCUCUCUCUUUCUCAUUCUCCUAACCAUAAACAUCCCUCUCUCUCUCUAGAGCUCUCUCUCUCUCAAGGAAGGAGAAGGAGAAGGAGUAGUAGAAGGAGAAGAAGAUCAAGAAUAGGAUCAUCAUCAUCUUCUUCUUCUUCCUCUUAGGCUUGGAGGCUUGGAAGGAGAAGGCUUUGGAGGUAAGCUCCAAAACCCUUUAAUGGUAUAUCUUUAGGGUAUAGAUUUUAGACUCUAGAAAUGGUUUUGUUGGAACUCUAGUAUGUCUAGUAGAUGUUCCAGGCUUGAAUCGAGGGUUAGUGCGGCACGUUGCGCCGUAGUUGCGAGCUAGGGCUCCGUGAGGAUUUUUGUGAAAAGUUAGGGUUUGAUCUCGAUUAACCCUAUGUAAAUGUGAUUGUUAGGCCUACGAUUCCAUCAGCGCAGUCGGUUUGCUGAUUCGCCGAGCGAGCGCAGAGUUAUUGGCAAAAAGGAUCUUCUGACAUUCGUUUCCGCCUGGAGGGCCGAGGCGGCGUCCGUAAACCGCGGGAUUGGAUUCCGAGUAUCGUAACAAGAAACCGAAGACCUUUAAUUUCCGGAUCGCGAAUCGGAGGUCGUUCGAUGGUUGCGCGUGAAUUGGGUCGAGCCGAGCGGCGUGCGCCGCGGGAGACCGAUUGCGAGUGGCGACGAGCAAUCGGAAGCUAUAGAGGGUGGGUGGUGACUAUCCCGAAGCAGUUGAACUACUCCCUAUAUCUAAGUAUUAUUGUUGAUCGAAUUGCAUAUUGUGCAUGAUACAUUAUAAGGUGCAUGAUUAGUUGAUACAUGUUCUUGUAUGCUAGGGGUAGUAUGAUGUUGUUUGCUUAACACUUGAGCCUAGUGUGCAUGGGAUUGAGAGAUGUUGAUUAGUAACCCUAUAAUGAGAUGAUACAUAACGGAAUGGAACCUAGGUAAAUGAUAACCUAGUGAUUAUGUAUAAGUAGUGGAUUGGGAACACUUAAAUAAGAACGAGUGUCAUCUAGUUAGUGUUGAACCAAAGAACGAGUGGCAUCUAGAUAAGUAAAUAACUUGACGAGUGGCAUGAUGAACUAGAGUAUAGGUGAAACAUUAUUGCAUGUUGAACGUAGGGAUGAACUAGUUCCCAAGCGAUGUUGUUUAUAGUGGCAGGGUAUCCUCAGUGUCGAGGAUUUGAUCAUAUUCACAUGUCUGUUCAAAGCUUGGGGUGGUCGCUCCAUACAAGUAGUCCACUCCGGAGUUGUCACACGAUAGGGAUAGCCUUUUUGGGUCCCGAGGGGUGAGCCUUUUUAGGCCCCGCAGACAGUUCGGGUGAGUGAGUAGAUUCUCACCUUGAGUGAGCGGUUCCUCACCUAUGAUUGGGUUGUGAGUCGGGUGAGUGAGUAGAUUCUCACCUUGAGUGAGCGGUUCCUCACCUAUGAUUGGGUUGUGAGUCGGGUGAGUGAGUAGAUUCUCACCUUGAGUGAGCGGUUCCUCACCUACAGUUGUGUCAUGAAUCGAGCGAGUGAGCGGAUCCUCCCCGUAGAGAGUAGUUUGUGAGUCGGGCGAGUGAGCGGAUCCUCCCCGUAGAGAGUAGUUUGUGAGUCGGGCGAGUGAGUGGAUCCUCCCCGUAAAGAGUGGUAUCGUUGUUGGACAUAGUAGCAUGGUAGCUAGCCUUAUACUAUGUAGUGCAUGCAUUCAUAGCAUUGGAUUAAGGCAUAGUAAGAUAUUUGCAUUUCUACUUACUUGUUAUAGUUGCUAUUUCAUAUAUAGCUAUCUAUCUAUCUAUUUGUUGUCUUCCUAUGCCUGCUUAGACCUAGUGGGGAGAUCGGUGGAGUCGGCGGCCGAACCCACUGGGAACUAUUCGUAGUUCUCACCCCAUUUUGUUGCAGGGCCGAGUGCAAGUGCGCCAGCUGAGGAUCGUGGUUAGGACUUAGUGCCCUAGUAUUGAUAGUUUACUUUCCUUUUGUAUUAGAGCUGCCCUAUGUACUUUAGAGUAGAUGAUGUAUAGGGUGAGAUGAGUUGGAGAAUUGUAAACCUUUAUGUUUAUUUUAUAAAAAAAUGUAAAGUUAAUCGAAUGUAUUAAAGUUGAAUGGUUGUAAUAGUUAGUAUCUUUCUUUUAUUAUUCACUUGUGUUUACUCGUAAUGCUUGCUCUUGAUUGUUUGGCACUGGUUGUGCUCUCGUUGUAGUUAUUGAUCGUGUAUGUAUUCAAGUUGUUUCCUGGGAACUUGUUGUACAUGAUCUUGUUGUUAGCCUUGGGCGGACAGAGGAGGUGUUGUCCGUCCGACGUCUGUUCGACGCACCCGAAUCGGACCAAAUUGGUAGCGGGUCUCGGGGCGUGACGGCUAUGUUCGAACUUUGGCCUAAAUCCGGCAAAGUACAGAUGAGAAGAUGGUUUAAACACGCUCAAAAAUGUAUUUUGAGGGUUUUGGAAUGAUUGGAAGUGGAUUAGGGGCUCUAGGAGCGAAAAUGAAGAAAUUCGGAAAAUGCUAAAUUUUCGGGGCUGUUUGGACCUACGGGGUUCUGACCCUAGAGCCAGGGUUCGGAUCCCGCACGCGAAAUCAGCCUAGUGAAGAGGGCAUUUUGGUAAUUUGAGAGGUAGGACUUUAUAAGGGACCAUCCCUCCUCCUUCUUCUUCCUCCUUCCAGAGCCAACCCACACACACACACAUAUGGUAGAGAGCGAAACUCUCUCUCUAGUCUCCUCUCUUUCCCUCUAUAGAUCUAUCUCCCAAACUCGGGGUUUUGGUCGUUGAUUGAGUACCGACCCAUUCCUCUUGUUGCAGGAAUGCGCAAGGGAGUACUUAGCACCAAAACCUCUAAACUGCAGGUUUUGAGGUGCUGGGUACCGAUACCAGAGAGAAGGGUACCAGAAUUCCCCUGUAUAAACCGAGAAAAGCUGCUCUCGGGUUUGGCUGGGAGGUGCUGGGUACCGGUACGGCAUCGGCCGAGUACCGAUACGACGCACUGUUUUUGCUUGGCAGAGGCUCGGGUUUGGCGGAGACCGCUGCCUGGUACCGGUACUCUUGCCUGCGUACCGGUACAUAGUGCAAAAACUGCAGUUUGUGCAGUUUGCAAUUUUUGGAGUUUGGAGGGGCUUUUUGGGGAUUUUUACUGCAUGUUUUAUAAUGCCCCUUUCUCCCCCACAGCAUCCCUUUGUGCUGAGCUGAGAGAGGAGUAAAGGUAGGGUUUUCCCUCUUUCUCUCUCUAGAUUUCUCUCCCAAACCUUGGUUGAUUUGAGGUUUUGAUCUCUUUUCUCCUUCCUCCUCAUAGUGGCAAGCUUGUGGACCUUGGAGGGAGCUAGGAGGAGAAAAGGAGAGCUUCUUGGUGGAUCAAACUUCAACCCUAGCACAUCAAGGCUUGAGUUGAAGCUUGUUUUGAUGUCAGAAUCUCCCUUGUGCUCUCUAUUUGAGGAUUUGCAAGAGAUUUUUUUGUAAAAAACUUAGUUUUGUAGAAACUAGGGUUUUGUUUGGGGCUUUUCAUUUGAAAGCUUUUGGGUUAGAAUUGAUGAGUGUAGAACACUCUUGUAGGUUGGAUGUGAAGUUUGGAAGCUUCGAUUUGUGCUUUGGUCAAGUUUUUCUUGACUUAAGGUAUUUUUUACUUUUUACAUGUGUAAUUUUUGAAAUUUUCGAAGUAGCCUUUUGGAAGCUUUUUAAUCAUUUAGAAUUUUUCUUAGGGUGCUAGGAGUUCGGCUGACAACUUCGUUCGAAGGAACGAAAGGGUUCGAAGUGCUUCCGGUGGGUAAUAAGUGUUUCUACCACACUACAUUCACAUGCCACUCGUCGUCUAUGUCAUCAAACAUUGUUUAAAUGCCACUCGUUAUGCCACUAUACAUAUCAAGUUCUCUACUUGUUUCGGCACCAUAGGAUUUCAAUGUUAAGACCCAAUCUUUGUAUAUAUCCACUAUAUCAUGUAUUCGCCCCACAAUACGAUAUCAACUAGGAAAUCACAUAAGGAAUGGAAAUGCAACAAGCUACAAUCCUACAAUACAUAACAACAUGAGAGAUGCAAGGUCGACAAUGCAAUCAUAGACAUAGGAAGAAGUUCCUGCUUCAGGUGGCACCCCCACCUUUUGGUGACGCCGUGACUCUAGACUCCAAGUUUCGCGAUUUUUGGUCGUCGCCUGGAGGGGCCUCGGCCCUCCAGGCGAAAACGAAGCUCAAACGGUCCUUUUCUUCGAAAUCUCCGUGCAGACUCGACGGAUCACCGAACUGAGUUCACCAGCGUGUCAGAUUACCUAGCAAUUAGGUUUAUAUAGGGUUAAUUUAGAUCAAACCCUAAUAUUUCACAAAACCCCAAUCGGAACCCUACAUUCAACUAUUGCAAGAAUUUAUCCUACAACUUCGUGAUUCAAGCAACAAUCAUCUAUUUAGCAUCCUAGGGUUCCACCAAAAUCAUUCUUAGAGUAUAAGAACUCAACUCUAGCAAUCCACCAUUGUUGCUCAAGAAGCUUAUCUCAAUAGCUUUCCUCUCUUGAGCCAAGGAAGAAGAAGAAGAUGGCACUCCAUCUUCAAACUUCCUUCUCCACCAAAUCUCCCUUCUCCUUCCCACCUUGAAGAGAAAGAGAAAGAGAGCUUAAAGAGAGAGAGAAAGAGAGAGAGAGAGAGAGAGAGAGAGAGAGAGAGAGAGAGAGAGAGAGGGGGUUAUGUUUAGGGUUGCAAGUGAAAAAGAUGAGAGAAAGCAAGCUUCAACACCUCCCCUUUUAUUCCCACUUGCACAAAUUGCAUAAAACUCAAACAAUGCAAAUAGUGCACUGCGCGCACUGGGCAGUUCGCAGCUACGGGGUACGAACCCUGGGGAGGGUCCGGACCCUGAGAGGAAGCAAAUUCUGCAUUUUUGCAGAAUUGAUUCAGCUGGCUCUCCAAGGUCCUCUACAACCCACUAAAUGCCGUUUUCGACGCAUUCGACCUCUCCGAAGCGUCCCAGACCAACCGUCGAUCGAUUUUGAUCGGCGUUCGAUUUAACGUAUCGAGGUUUCACUUCCUUACAGAUGGUUAGGAUGAGAAAGAGAGGAGAAAUUGGAGAGAAAUUUAAGGAGAAGAGAAAUUGAGACAUCCAAUUUUUCCUCAAUUUAUCUUCUCUCUCUCACCCUAAUCAUUCAUCAAAAUUAAUGGAUGGUUAGGAAGUUAGGAGCACAAGGGUUGUUGUGCUUCUAAUAGCACAGUAGCCCUGCUCUAUAUAUACAUAUAUAUGUACACAUAUAUAUAUGUAUAUAUAUGUGUAUAUAUAUGUAUAUAUAUGUGUAUAUAUAUGUAUAUAUAUGUGUAUAUAUAUGUAUAUAUAUGUGUAUAUAUAUGUAUAUAUAUGUGUAUAUAUAUGUAUAUAUAUGUGUAUAUAUAUGUAUAUAUAUGUGUAUAUAUAUGUAUAUAUAUGUGUAUAUAUAUGUAUAUAUAUGUGUAUAUAUAUGUAUAUAUAUGUGUAUAUAUAUGUAUAUAUAUGUGUAUAUAUAUGUAUAUAUAUGUGUAUAUAUAUGUAUAUAUAUGUGUAUAUAUAUGUAUAUAUAUGUGUAUAUAUAUGUAUAUAUAUGUGUAUAUAUAUGUAUAUAUAUGUGUAUAUAUAUGUNCCCGAUUACAAACAGAAAAGAAAAAAAAAAGAAAAAUCAAUUACCAUCUUUUUUUCUCUAUUCACUCAAUCCACUGAAAUUCUAGACGAAGAACCUUUCCUGUCGUCCUCCUCCGCCACCGCAGCCAACGAGAUAGAGUUUCGGCGGUUGCUAAAUGCUUAAAUAAGUGUUGAUAAAUUAGCAGCACUCUUUUAGGUUAUAGCGACACUCUUUAACUGUCACUAUAUACCUAGCGACCCCACAUAUAGCAACACUUUUAAAAAGUGUCGGUAAUUUUAGCUAGCAGCACUUUUUUGACAUGUACCUACAUUUAAAAGUGUCGCUAUAGACCGUUUUUGUUGUAGUGAGUAUCCCAGCCAGACUUUGUAUAUAUAUACAUAUAUAGAACUAGGUUAGAAUACUGUCAAUAGUAUCAAGCUAUUGGUGCUGGGUACGAAAUUUAAAAUUUUUAGAAUGUAGAAAUAUGUAAAUUUUUUUUAAAUUAUGAAUCAUUUGGAUUUAGCUGCCUAAUCUUUCAAAAUUUUGAUUUUAUCACCCAGUAUUUUAAUUUGUUUGAUUUGAGUCAACUAACGACACUUUGACUUCAAAAUUUGAGUGUGUCGUUUAUCUUUAAAAGUUUAGUUAAUAUAUUUCACACAGUUCUCACAACUCUAAAUUCAUUAAAAUAUGUAAUUAGGUUUAAUUUUGGAGUUAAAGAAUCGUUAACCGACUAAAAUCAAAUGAAAAUGAAAGAAUUGACAAUAAAUCAAAAUUUUGAAAGAUUGGAUAACCAACUACAAAUUCAGGUAAGUUUCAUAUAUUUUUAUUUUUUAAAAAAUUAGUUAACUAGGUGAAAACAUAUCAUUAUUUAGAUAAGCUCCAUAUACAUUUAUUUGUAUAAAAUAUUUAUUUAGACCUGUCCCGGUCAAUGAAAUAUGUGUUUGCUAUAAUAAUUAUGACAAUGGCUCGAUGAAAAGUAAACCUUCUUAAUUACAAGCAGAAUUAAACCUUCUUUCUAUUAAUUUCGUUAACAAACUACUCAUUUUUAAGUGUUAAUUGUUAUACAUCAGAAUCCUCGAUCUAUAAAUCGAGCCUAUUAAUGCUUUUUGAAGACUAAAAUCUGUAGGGAUUAGGUUGUCUACUCCAAUUCCAUUCAAACUUGCAGGCUUGCUUUUCUUGUUUGGGUUGCCGGUUCUCUCUCAAAAAACUUCUUUACUUAUAAACCUUCCAGCGGAAUUGUCUUGCAGUGCUCAUCUUGCUGUACUGUACUUGAUUGUGAUCUGCCCUGUCAUUAUAUAUACGAGACAGUUGGAAUGCGAGAAUACACAAUAAUGCUUCCAAGAAAGUUAACGUCGUCGUGUUGAAUGGAUUUCCAAUUUUCUAGAACUAGACUUCGACUGAUUGAAUUAUAUAUGGCGCAGAGAAUAUUCAGAGUGUAUGACUAGGCAAUCAGAAUCAGAGAGGACCAUUAUUAUUUUAGGCAAUAAUAAUUUAAAACAAACAUGGGAUGGAAGAAGAGCAAUUCCAAAAUAUUAGGGAAUUUACUGGUUUAGUCGCAGGUUGAAUCAGUAAUGUUUAUUUUUUAAAUAUUAUUAUUAUUAUUAUUAUUAUUAUUAUUAUUAUUAUUAUUAUAUCUAGGGGUGAAAACGGAUCGGAUAUUAUCUGAAAAUAUUCGUAUCCGUAUUCGGUAAUAUCCGGAUUUGGAUAGAAAAUAUCCGAAUCCGGUAGGAUAUGAAUACGGAUAUAAUUUUAGAAAGUAAAUUUUUUUCGGAUAUCCGAAACAAACAGAUGUGGAUGCGGAUAUCCGGACUUUUAGUAUUAUUAUUUUUAUAUUCUUUAUAUUUUUGGAUCCCUGCAGCCCAAUUUCAUCUACCCAGCCCACCCAACUUUCUUUCCUCUAAUUUAUUGCCAAUGAAUGAUGAUUAACACAUAUUGUGAAAAAAUAAGAUGAUUUUUUUUCGUGUUAUUCGUUUAUUUUAUAAUGAGUUAUAUAUUAAAAUUACAUAUUUUAUAUAUGAAGAAAUAUAGUUAGAAAACAAUGUAGGAAAAUAAAAAAAAAAUUUGUGUGUGUGCAUAUACAUAUUUGUCCCAUAUUCGAAUCUGAAAAAAUAUCCGACUAUAUCCGAAUCCAUGUUUAGCGGAUGUGGUAAUAAAAAUUUAGUAUCCGACACAUAUCCUUAUCCAAACCUGUAUUCGAAAAAAAAUAUGGACGCGGAUAUAGUUUCAUCAAAUAUUCGACUAUAUCCAAUACGUUUUCACCCCUGGUUAUAUCAUACUUAAUUAUAAAAUAUUAAUUUUUAGAUCAAACUAUAUAGAUUUAAAAUUCCAAGUUUUAUUUUUACAAUAGAAAAUAAAAUUAGCAAAAAUUAAUCAUAACUAAAGCUAAAAAUUGGACUAAUGAACAAAAAUUCAAAAAUCAAAAUAAUUUGGCCGAUUUUGAUCAAAACCGAACCAGCUCUCCAGUUUGCUAAUUGAAUCUCCGGUAUGAAUGGUUGAAUGCGAAUUUUGGCUUAUUUGUUUCUCAGAUUAAACCGGAUCACUUUAUUAACCGAGUAACAGUCGAAGCGGUCGAACAGGCUGGUAUGACCCGAGUUUUAAAACAUUGGUUAUAGGUAGAGAUAAUAUUGCAGGCACAAAAUGCACCGUGCAUCGCAUUCUUUUUUCUUCAUUUAUUUCAUUUAGAAAUAAACUUAGCUAGAAAUGCGAAUCAACUAGUGUAAUAUACCGAACUUCUAUAGUUAUGAAGUUUCGGUGGAUGUUAGGAACCAUUAGAAUCGUUCUGGCAAAGUUCGGGAGUGUUCGGGGGUUUUCGGUGCGCGUUGGGCGCGAAAACGAAACCCGAAAGGCUAUGUUGGACCAUGGACUAAAUCCGGAAUAAGCAUAUAUGAAAAGAUGGUUUAACCAUGCUCAGAAAUGUGUUUCGGGGUCUCGGUGCGAUUUGAGGUGAAUCGGAGCCCCUGGGAGCGAGAAUGAAGCAAAACGGAAAAAGGCUGAAAAUUGGCUAAGUACUGAAAUUACUAGGCUNUUGGCUAAGUCCUGAAAUUCUGGGCUGGAGGGGGCUACGGGGUCCGGACCCUCUAGCCAAGGUCCGGACCCCGAGAGUGAAUUCUGCCCAGAAUAGGUUGAUGGCAGUUUGGUAAUUAAAGGGAACUUUAUAUUAAGGGGGCUUCUUCUCCCUUUCUUCUCCUUCGCCAGCCAAACACACACACACACACACAUAUGCUUCUAGAGAGAGAAGCUCCUCUCCCUCUCUCUAGAAUACUCUCUCCUCUCUCUCUAGAUCUCUCUCCCAAAGUUGGGGUUUUGGAGGAGAAGGAGCUUGGGAACGCGUUGGAGGCGUCGGUUCGGGCCCUCGUGCGCUUGUUUGAGGGCCCUCGUGCGCUUGUUUGAGCGGGGUGCUUACGACUCGGCGUUCGCAUUUUGGUAAGUGUUGAGAUUUCUACUAAAUCCUUCAUGAAUGAUAUUCUAGUAGUCUCUAGAGUAUUAUUAGCAUGUUACUCCAUAUAUUUUUGGAGUAUUUGGGAUGUAUUAAGGCUAGGGCUUCAAAUUGAGGUUUUGAGUAAAUGAGGGUUUUGAUCUCAUUUAACCUUUUAAUCCUCUAAUUGAAGGUUAAAGUUGAGCCCUUGAUGACCCUACGUUGUGGAUUGUUGGGAGUUCAGUGAUCGUUUGCGCGUAUGAGCCGAACCGGAUCACGAGUGCUGCGGGAGGCCGAUUGCAAGUGACUACAAGCAAUCGGAGAGCGCUUCGAGGUGGGUUGUGCUCUACCGAAGCGAUUAGGUCGCUUCCAUGCCAAAGUGAUGUGUGUUUCAUUAUUGAUGCAUGAAGUGGUAGUAAAAUUGCAAAGUGAAUGAACGCAUGAGCUAGAUGCAUGAGUUAAAAUGCUAAAGUUAAUGCAUGAGUUAGAUUCUAAUUGUAAAUGCAUAGAUUGUAUGCUAGAAAAAGGAUACAUGAUUGAGAUGUGCUAAUUGGGUAUGCAUAAUGUAUGCUAAAUGAAUGCAUGAGUUAAAUGCUAAAUGAAUGCAUAGAGUAUAUGCUAAGUGAAUAUAUAACAUAUGUGCUAGUAAUGAGUGCGUGUAAUGGUAGUCCAAAUUGUAAAUGAUGCAUGAGAUAUUUGCUAAUUAUGAAUGCAUGAGGUAUGAGAUAGAUGUUAAAGAAUGCAUGAGUUGUAUGCUAAAAUGUAUAUUGACCACCAUUUGGAUAAGAACAUAGGCAUGGGCAUGAGAUGCUAGAGAAUAUAUGCAUGAUUCAUAUUGUAAGAAUAUACUAGAAUGACAUGAAUGUUGAACUUGAGUCGAUGAACUCUAAGUAUAAUAAAGAACUAAACAAGUGUAGUAUAUAAAGGAUCCUAAGUAUGGAUAACUAGGAUAACAAGUAUCAUGAGUGGCAUUGAAACCUAGUGUAAAUGAACAUAUGUGAAUCAUGAGUGGCAAUGAACUUAGAAUUAAGUAAACCUAUGUUAUGACACGAGUAGAAUUGAACCUAGAGUCAAAUGAACCUAGGGAGGAAAAAACAAAAAACCUAGUGUUGUAGGACCUAGGCUAUGAGCUUAGUAGUAUUGGACCUAAUGUUAUAAACCUUAGGUUGAGGAAUGGCUUGGACGUAGAUAGGUCGACACUAUAGGGUAUAAGACCAACCCUAGAGAUGUGAAUGUGGAUUCCGGAAUUCCUAAGAAUGAAGGUUGCUAGUGCAGCGGAUGAAACUUGCGACCGAGCGCAAGUGAAUCAUAACUGCAGGUAUGUAUGGUUAUCCUUGCCCGGCAGUGAUUCAACGGGUAUGUGUGAUUAUCCUCGCUCGGUAUGAGAUUUAGCGCUAGGGUGCGUGGGGCAUAUUCCCCUCCCUAUCGGGGGUCUUGGGCCGCGGGUGCGUGUGGCAUAUUCCCCUCCCAUUGGGAAGAUCCCUGACCACGGGUGUGCGUUGCUCUGAGCGACCCGUUGGGCGAUGAGGUUUGUGGAUUGGUGGCUGAGGUGCAUGUGAUAGUUCCUUCACCUCGAGCCUGACAGAGCGCGGUACUUCGCUGUUGAUUGACUCAAGACCGAGUCGAGUGGCAUAGUUGGCUAAGGUAAAAGUAAUCUUAGGAAGGAAUGACAAAGAAUAAAGAAUUGCAAGUAAUAACAAAGAGUGCCUAAUUAAUAAGAACGGCUAAUGCUAAAGAAUAGUAAAAAGUAAAGAACAGCUAGCGAUAAACAAUGGCUAAGAAUAAAGAACGAGUAGUAAUAAAGAAUGACAAAUGAUAGAGAGUAGAAUCAAUUAAUCUACUUAUAUGAGUUGCAUAAUUUACAUAUUGCAUAUUGUGAGGCAUGAACAUGAUAACUAUUAGGUGCAUGAAUUAUAUAUCUGUGGAUAUUUGUUGGACUAAUAUGUUUGCAGUGCCUCCUUUGGACCUGGUGGGUCGAGCUCUUUCCUUGGGUGGUUCUACCCACUGGAAACUAUAUUUAUAUAGUUCUCACCCCACAUGAUUUUGGGAUUUCAGGUUCACACGCGAGCGGCGCGGCGGCGCGAGGAAAGGGCGUAGCUCCGUAGUUAGCGCUCUACCAUUGAGACCAGAUAGCAGUACCCUAAGUCGGCUUAGCUUAGGGGUAUAGUGAUGAAAAGACAAGAAUGUGAUAAUUUGUAAGAACUUGAUUGUAUUUGGAAGUAAGAAUGUAGCACACUGGAUCUUUGCAAAUUGCGAGGUUCGAGUGUUUGAUGUGUACUCCGAACUUUUCCACACUUGGUGGAAGGCCGUAGAUGGUAUUCCGACCUAAAAGUUCGAUCUCUAGAGUUUUGACUUUGUCCUGAGAGUUUUCACUCUCGGGGACCGGUCCCUGAUAGGAGAGACCGGUCCCCUCAGAACAGUGUUGUGGCAGCCGGCGAGGCAACCGGUCCUUGGCGGGUGAGAGCGGUCCCCGAGCGCUUUUUCGCAAGGAGAGAUCGGUCCCACGCGGGGAGAGACCGGUUCCCGAACGUUAGUUUUGCUGGACGAACUGAGAGACCGGUCCCAGGUGUCGGGGAGACCGGUCCCUCAGCGCGAAAACUGCCCAGACCGGGCAGUGCACAGGGUGAUUCUUUGAGGGGCUUAUAUGGAUUUUAUUGCUUCUAAGGGCCUUAAGGCCAUUUCCACCCUCUCACUCUCUCAUUUCUCCCCCCCUUACACUUCUAGAGAGAGAAGAAGGAGGAGAAGAAGAAGAAGAAGUUGGAGGAGAGCAAGAUCUUGAGGCUUGGAGCAUCUUUCUCUCCCUUUUGCUCACCAUUGGAGGCUUGGGGCUUGGGCUAGGAGCUCGAUAUAGGAUCAAUCUACAACCCUAAAGCAUUUUGAGCUUGGUUUGGAUCUUCUCUUGAGGCUAGUUGCUUAUUUCUUCCCUCUAGACCUAUUUUUGGUAGAUUAUGGGAGAUGAAAUCCUAGAAAUGAGAUUUAGGGUUUAUUUUGGAGAUUUUUGAUUUGAGGGCUUGGAGACCUAAUUGAUGGGUUUAGAACCUUCCUCUAGAUUGGGUUGGAAAGGUUAUUGCUCUCUUUGGAAGCUUCGUAAGGGAUUUCAUCACAAGAGGUGAGUUAUGCCCUCUAUGAUUAGAUGGUUAAGAUUGAGCUUUUCGAUAUUCGUUUCGAUUGUGUAACUCUUGUUCCUACAUCUUUAGGGUGCUAGGAGAUUAGUGGACAGCUUCGUCGGAGCUUACGAAGGGUUUUGGUAUCAUCGGUGGGUUUGGCUUCAUGAACACGGGGCAAAAUGGCCCCUAUGUUUUUUUUACUUGUCGUAUAGUAUUUUUGAAUGCAAAUCCAUGCUAAAUAUGAAUUAUGUGAAUUUUAGAACACUUAAAAUGCAUACAUUAUAUAUGAUAAAAAUUUCACUCUAUAUAGUAGAGCCUUAUGGAUAUGCUGCAUGCAUGUGAAAAGUAAUCGCAUAAGCGAGUGGAAAACUUGUCUUCUAUACUUAAAAUGACUCAUAUUAUGCAUUUAAGAACAUAAUUAUCAUGCUAGGACUCGUUGAACAAAAGUGUCAUAAAGGGGCACUUGAAACUAGUAAACUAUAAAAAUGCAACAUAGAGACAUAGUGAUAGGCCAUUGGACAUCGACUAUAUUCCAUAUUAGAAACAUGAUGACAUAGUGAUAGGCCUUUGCGACAUUCGAUAUAUUUCAUGUUCAUAGACAUGAGGACUUGAGACUUGAGACAGACUUAUACGCAUGCUUGCUAUUGUACUCAUUAGCACAUGCUUGUGAGGGUCGCUCCCUACAAACCGGCACUCCGGAGUUAGCCAUCGCGAUACAUUCGCCGUGCGGGAUUGGGCACCAAAGUGGAUUGCCGUGAAAAAGGCUCAUCUCUAAGAGUAGGGAUGUUGACUAACACGGGGCCAUUAGGCACGGCACCGGCCAGACAGCCUCCGGGUGGGUCUUACAAGCCAGACAGCCUUCGAGUGGGUCUUUAUGCUAGACAACCUUCGGGUGGGUCUUCAUGCCAGACAGCCUUCGGGUGGGUCUUAUCAAAGUUGAACUUUAAACAGUCAAAGUGACAAGUGGACAUUGACUAGAAUAGUAAGCAAUGACAUCUUUACUAUUUACAUUGUGGACAUUAGGUUAGUUGCAUACGUAUGCAUUUACAUGUGGGAUACUCUUGUGCACAUACUUGUAGUAGUUGCUUUCUUACUUAUGCAAAUCAUGCUAAGUAGAGACAUCAUGGUUGAGUAGCAUUCAUGUUUAUUUCCUAGUUGUUCUUACCGCUUUUGCUUAUACUUAUACACUGACCCCUUUUUGUAGCUUUUGGGCCUAGUGGCGCAUUUCACUAAAGUUAGUAAUUGCCCACUGGGUACUAUUAUUUAAUAGUUCUCACGCCCCCUGUUUUAUGAUUUUUUUUUCAGAGCCUUCGGCACCGGCGGAGACACGGGAUCGCGGCAAGGCAGUCGCGUAGCUAGUUAGCGGGGAGCUACUGUUGAGCUUAGGUGGUUUACUCUUUCUUUAUUGUAUUAGCGAGAGAGAGAGAGAUUUUGAGUACCAUGAAUAGAGAGACCACUUAUAUACUCUUUAUGUUUAGUUUUUGUAUUUGGGAUUUCCUUUGUACUACUUUAUGGCUUUAUUAGUGGAUUUCAGUUUUUUUUUCUUACUUUCACCCCUGUGUAGAACUUAGUUAUUUAUCUUACUCUGAUGUCGUUAGAUUCCUUUGUUCUACUGCUUUAUUUACCGUUUUGUUUUAGACGUCUUGUAUGUUUUAGACAUAUGAUGGGUCUGGGCACGCACCGUGCGGGCUUCCGCUGGGUCCCGGGGCGUGACAAAGAAUCGAACAAUUAAAUAUGUAGAAUGUACUAUGUGAUGUAAAUGUUAAACUGGAAUGAAUGCUUGUAAUAGUAUAGAUGUAUUUAUGAUUUCGAUACCUUUCUUAUGCAAUCUUUGUUGUAUGUUGUUCCUGGUUGGAACCUCACGCAUUGUAUGAAUUAUGACGCCUUGGACGUACAUGGGAGACUCUGUCCGCGGUAUAGGAAAAAUCCUGUCUGUUCGGCGGUCUGUUGGCGUGCCCGAAUCCAACCAAAGAGGUGGGCUCGGGGCGUGACAACUAGGAAUUGAACUUGCGACCUCGGGUACCAACCACCAAGCCCUUUGCCACUUGCUCUAGGGACGGUUGAUUGCAUCGCAUUCUUAAAUUCCUAUUAUAGAAGUCUUAGGAUUAGGCUUUAGACUAUGCUUAGUUUUGAAAUAAGUUUUUCAGGAAUAACAUUUUUUAUAUUUGGGGUAACUAAUUACUCUGGAUAAAUAAAAAUAAAUAAAUAGUUUUUUUUUCUAGUCUUAUCAUUUUAAUACUAAAAAUCUAAAAUCAGUUUUUAAAGUCUUAGAUGGAUGGGUAUAAAAUUUACACGAAGCAUUUUCCUAGCUAGAUAUUAGGUGUGAUGCUUGAUGCCCCAGGAGUGUGUAGUAGCUUUCAAAUUUGAUGUAUUGUAGUACCCUAGGUAUUUUACGGUAAACUUUCUAAGGAGGGUGUUGUAUUUUGCAAUCUGAUACAGUUUUCGAUAAAACAAAACGUACCAUCUUUAUGGUUUACCAGUGUAGGUCUUAUAAUACACCACGGUGCAAUUUGGCGUGAUAUGAUUAUGUUUUGAAGAUGAAAUUGCAAUUUUUACAAUUUGUGAAAAGGGGUAUUGCGCGAAGGGGUUAUCAUUUCAUGUAAGAAAUUUUGGAAUUUCUGUAUGUGGAUGGACUCAUGUGAAAGUUGACCAGGGAGGAUUGCCUGAACUCAAGCUUUACGAAAUUUUGAUAUUCCUAUGAAAAUUGGCACCCAAUUGAAGUUGGAGAGAGUGAGUCACUCAAAGGAUCAAUUCUGUAAAGAGUUGCAAUUGGAAGGGCUUCUACGCAAAAUUCUUUCUUAUUGCGGGCCUCUGUGCAAAGAGGAAAUGCCAGGGGAGCUAGUUACAAUUGUUACAUAAGAUUUUUGCAUAUAUACGUAUAUGGUAUAUGUAUAUGUAUUUUGCAUAUACAUAGAUAGUAUUCAUGUAUAUAGGUUUUAAAUUAACCCUAUUCCCCCUUCCUCUUCUCUGUUUGUCUCAGCUGCCGCCUCCUUUUCCCGUGAUCGUCGGUGCCGACGAACCCCCAGCAGGUCUCCAGCCAGCAGACUGCGUCCCAACUCAUCUAUCUCUCUCUCUCCCUCUCCCUCUCCCUGUCUACUUAUGUAUAUUUUCAGAGUUGGCUCUCUCUCUCUCUCUCUCUCUCUAUCUCUCUCUCUUCUUGGGUUAAGGCCGGCACCGCCACGGGCGACGCCAUCACCUCCAGCGUCACUGCCGCCAGAUCUAGACGGAGUACCUUCGAUGAACCCCUCCCCCCCUCCCUUGCGGGUUCCUCCCUAGUCGCAGAACCCCCUCACGGGUUCUCUUCCUCAUCUUCUUUUUGUUUCUUCUGGCCGAGCUUGCCCUUUGGCCACCCUUGCCAUGGCCGCCACCGGCUAGCAUGUGCUCUGGCAUCCCCUUUCCCCGGCCAACUUCUCCCUGUCCCCUGCUGUACCAGCAUCCCUUCCUGGAUUGCUAGUCCUAUUGCUGUUGCUGUUAUUAACUAUUGGACCUUGAAGUAGGCCGUAUGUCACACUUCGGGCCACAGCAAAAGCCCGUCGGGUGCGUACACAGACCCGCUGUGCACACCAAAAAUUCCAAUGUACACAAGGCGUCUACAACAAUCAUAGAGAGGAAUAAUAUGAUCCAUCCUAAAUAAGGUAAUCAGAGUAAGAACAUACAACGACUAGAUUCAAAAUUUUGAAACUAAUAUCUCAAGAUUACAAUAAUCCAAUCAUGAGUACAAUAUAAAUCCAAGGGAUCUCAAAUAGGGUACAAUAAACUCCACUGAAUAGCUAAAUAAAUAAUCUCAUGGGUUCAUCUAUCAGAACAUCGUAAGGCUCUAACUAGUCGCUGCCCCCUUGCCACGAUCCCUAGCUUUUCCUGCUGCGGAAGGCUCUGAAACAAAAACAAUCAAUCAAUGGGGGUGAGAACUAUUAAACAAUAGUUUCCAGUGAAUAAGCCGCCGAGAGUGGCAAAAUACACUGCUAGGUCAACUGAGGCAUAGAUACGAUACGAGAAGUACAUAAUGUAAAUGCAGCAAGUAAAAGAAUAACUUCAACUAUAUCAUGCCUCUACAUGAAAUGUCAUUAACAUGUAUAUAAAUUUCUUUCCUACAAUUACAUGCAGAAGUAAUUGUGUAUGCUACAUUAAAAUGCUAGUCCACAUUUAAACCAUGAACAACUAUUAUGAUGCAAGUCUCUUAAGGGGGUGCAAUUUAAAUAUCUCUUCUCUCCAGUUUAAAAUGCUAGUCCACAUUUAAUCCUAACUCUACAGUUUAAAUAAGAGGAGAAAUAGUGCAAUAAGAGCAGAAACAAUAUAAAUAUCUCUUAAAGGGAUACAGUUUACAUCGCAAAGAGCGUAAGAAGAGGAGAAACAGUGUAAAUAUCUCUCAAAGAACACUACAAGAAAAAGCAAAUUUGGCGGCGACUUUUUCGUGGCGACAACAGUUGUCGCCACGAAUGUAGAAAAUAUGGUGGCGACAUAAAAAUGUCGCCGCCAAUACACAAAUAAUGGUGGCGACAUAUAAAUGUCGCCGCCAAUACACAAACAAUGGUGGCGACAAAUAAAUGUUGCCGCCAAUACACAAACAAUGGUGGCGACAAAUAAAUGUCGCCGCUAAUAUAUAAAUAAUGGUGGCGACAAAUAAAUGUCGCCGCCAAUACAUAAACAAUAGUGGCGACAAAUAUAGGUCGCCGCCAAUAUUUAAUAAAUGUCGCGCGGAGUAUUUCCAGACAUCCCGCCCUUAAUUCCCUCCGCCUUUUUGGAUCAGAAAGUUAUCUUCUUUCAUCUCCCUCUCAAUUUCUCUCUUUCGCCUCCUCCUCUCCGCCCACCCUCUCUCUCUCUCUCUCUCUCUCUUCGUACGCUCUCAUCAUCCUCUCUUUCCCUCUUCAUCGUGCUAAAACCCUAAUUUCCAAUCGUUUUCGCUCUCUAGCCAUGGUCGAGCGACGAUGGAGGCCUCUAAUCCUCGCCUCCACCCGCGCCAUCCUCGACUCCGUCGUCAACUCCGCCAAAUCCAUCAGCGCCGCGGAGGACGACGGCGUUCUCCGCCCUCGUAGGUCUCGCUUCGCCAACGAAGAUGGGGGCUCCGCCUCCGCCUCGCUCCGGCUCAAGGCCGGGAUCUCGUGCGGCGCCUGCCCCCAGAGACGCGUGCGUACUACGCCAAGUACGCACGCGAGAACUUCGUCAACUACCGCGACGCCGAUCCCUCCACCUCCCUCUCCGACCUCCUCCGCCGCGCCUACUCCUACUCCACCUGGGUUCUCAACAAGGUCCCCGUCCCCCCCCCACCAAAACUCUACCUACACGCGAACCCUAAUCUCUUUCCCCCAACCUUUUUUUUUUUUGACUUCUUUUGUGCGUGCUUUUGUUUUUUAUAGUACUCGCUCGACGAAUAAGCUGUGGCGAAGCUCAAGGAGAUAUAUGGGUGCUGAGCAGUGGCGUUGGGGGCGCGCCUCAUACACGCACGGUACCUGUUUGAUGAAAUUCCUGUGUUAAGAGUUUUUUUUUCUUUGGUUUCUUUAACUUAAAUAAAUUAGUGUUUUUUUAAAAAAAAAGGAAGUGCGGAAUUGAUCUGAACAAUGUGGGUUGUUUCGGGACCACUAUGCAUGUUUUUGAAGUUUUGAUUUUGCUUGGCGUCGUUGAUUUUUGAAUCAGUUAGCAAUUCUCGUACUUUACUGAAACAGGGAUUCAAAUCUCCGACCUCAUAAUUCUGAUGCUCGAGAUGCCAUGGUUUGGCCUUAAAAAUAAUGGUACAUAAAUUGUGCAUUUGGUCUUCAAACUAUAAAGUCCGUGGCAAAUUUUAAUUUGUUUUAAUCUUUAGCUUAAAUUUUAAAAUAAUUACAAUCAAAUUCUGUAACAUAAUUUAGUUGACUAAAUAUUAAUAUAUAAUCAAUGCAGAAAUAAUGUAAUAGUUGACUAAUAAUAUAUAGUGACGUUACAUUACCUUUACAUUACCUAAGGGGGGAAUUAUGGCAUGUCGUUCACGAAGGGGGCGGCGCAAAUGAGGAGUUUAACGAGUUGUCGUCCUUCGUAGGAGUCUCCGCCGACGUUCUCAGGAGACACAGUGAAGCUUUUGGCAUCUAUUCUUGCACUCAAAGGUAUUUUUAGCAUGUAAUGUGAUUGUUAACUUCACCCAAUAAAUUAUGGUGAUUUCUUUGGAUAUGUACUGCUUUUUUUUUUGGUUUAAGUGUGAUUAAUCACCUCUUCUUAUAGUUCUGCUUUUACCCCUUGAAAAAGUUGUCAGAUAGCAUUUCAUUUUUUCUUUUCCUGUCUACUGGACAUGGCAACUCUCAUAAAGUGACUUUUUUUACUAAUUUAGUUUUUCUGUCUACUGGCCAUUUGCAAUGUCAUACAUUGGUUCGAUGAUGUUCAAUUUUCAACAAAAAUGCAGCUUUGUGCUUUCUUUCUUGCUCAUUAAUUGAAGAAGAUCUGCCAUUCAUUUGUCUAUUGAUUAAAUUAUUUUAAACCAAAGUGAUGCUCAUGCCUUCAUGACGCCAUUCAUUCAAUUUUUUAAUCAAAGUGAUCUGUUGCAAGUUAGGUCUUAGCUGUAUAGACGUAUGUUAUUGUGUAGCAGGAAACAUCAGGUACCAAAUGUAAACUGCUGCGUGGCAGCAGGGAGACUUUGGUCUUUUGGCUGUUGAUCUUAUCUCCACAGGGGCCAGCUCGACUCCUGAAGUUACCUGAGAGUUACUGGAGCUCAGGGGAAGGGUUUGGCACCUCUCCCACUCUCUCUCUCUAGGGUUUUUCUCUCUCUAACUAGAAUUAAGGGUUUUAGCCUAUUUUUUCUUCUCCUUCUUUGAUGCUAGCUGUCUUGGGAGACCUUGGAGCUAUUGUAGAAGGGUGAAGAAGGUGUUUGGGAAGUGUUUCGCAGCUCUAACACAGCAGGUAGCUGGGUGGAGGUUUGCUAAGGUAAUUAACCUAACUACCUAGUAGCUUGAUGCUUUAAUGGUAGAGUUGAGUGUGAUUUCGGGUUCUUUGUACCCAGCUUAUGUCAGGAGAGUUCUAUCUAAAUAAGUGAGAUUUUAACCUCAAUUAUGUGAUUACAUAAGUGUAAUAAUGCAGUUUUGGGUGCUUGUACACACCUUAUAACUGUGAUUUGGGGCAACUUUUGAAGCUGGUUAAGGUGCUUUAACUCGCGGUGAAGGGGAAUUUAAGUUAAAUCCUAGUGGUGCAUUUCCUUGUUUGUUGUAAAUUUUUAUGUGAAAUGCAAUUGGGUUUGCAGCUAAAAGAUAGGUUUCUAAUGAUGCAGGGGAUUCAGCUAUCAUGGGCAUUGUAGAUAUUGAUAAUGACAAAGCCAAUCCUCAAAUGUGCAGCCUUUAUGCAUCGGAGAUAUAUACAAAUCUGUGUGCUACAGAGGUAUACAUGGUGUAUUUCUCUAGACAUCAUAGUAUCUGGGUACUAACUUCAUUGUCAUUAAUUUUCUAGGAGAGACUAGCAAGUUGAGGCCUUGCUUUGUAACUUGUUUCUUUAUAGUGACGUUUUUGAUAUUUGAGAUGUCCUAGCUUUUAGGAUUUACCAAUAUGCAUUUUCAUAAUUUCAUAUGUAUAAUACUGCUUUUAGGAUUUACCAAUAUGCAUUUUCAUAAUUUCAUACGUUUUUGAUAUUUGAGAUGUCCUAGCUUUUGAUCCCUAGGUUGUUAUCUAUCUGACGCAAGUGUGAACCUUCUCAGAAUUGAAUUAGCUCUUGUUGUUGCCUUUUGUUUUGUACUCCAAUGAUCUCUUUGCUCCAAUAACUCCCUGUGCUGGUAGUAAUAGUUACUAUCUUCUGCUUUUGAAAAUAUUUAAACUUGGAAAGAAAGCAUAGAAACUGUAGCUGAUGCAAUUUUGCAUGCUUUGCUAUGUAGAGAAGGGUAUACAUUUGGGAAGUAAGCCAUCAAGUGAACCAACUGAUGUGUUGCAAGCAAGUACUUCGAAAAACUCUGAUGAGUUAGGUAAAGGGCCUUUUUGUUCAGCUUUUUAAUUCUUCUCUUACUGGUAAACUAGUAGUUAAAUUUUCCAAGUAAUCCUGAUAUGUCCUUCUCUUCUAGUUAAGAUGCUAAAAGUAUUGUCUGAUACUGUAAGUAGAAAAGAGUGUAAAAAGGUUUAGUUGUUAAAGAAGAGUUUAGAUGAGUCAUUUGAAAACAUACCACAUGGAGAGGGAUUGAGAUUUGUUUUAACAUGUAAGCAAGUGCAAGAUGAAUGGAAACAUUUAAAGAGGAAACUAUGGUUGGUAUAUUGUGGAAAUCAAAAUGAGGUGGGUUCAAGAACCUAAAUUUGUUUUAAUUUUGGCAGUGCAUUAAGAAUUUAUAGAGUUUAUUUAUGCAUAGGUUGAAUGUGAAAUAUGUAGCACUGGACAUAGUAGAAGAUAGAAAAUUGGGAAAAGUAAGCAGUAUAUCAGUUGUUGACUUCGCAUAUUUAACCAACACUUAUUAGUUCCUUGUUAUGCUGUUUUCAGUUUUCGAACUUGUCGAAAGAUGUUGUUAUGACGAACAUUUUGGUACUCUGAUGGCUAUAGCUUCAGGACCACCAGAAGUGGUUUCUCUUAUGAAGAUUUUGUGCAAACUUAUAGAUUAUGAGUUGAUUUUAAUUAAGGUUUAUUUAUGUUAAUGUUUUUAAUAUGGCCUGGCUUCUCUGAUUGGCUCUUCUUUUAACCUUCCUAAAUAGUUAGUAACAGAUCAUGUAAUAUAUACCAUUUUCCAGUUUGGCUUUGAUAAGUGAGGAUAUAUGUUGACUGAAAUAAUACUUCAUGUUUAGAAGAUUUUGGUUUUAUGGAUCAUAAAAGUGAUUAAACUUGCUGCGCUUACUCUGUGUUACCAGAUAGACCACAUGCUCUUUCUCUCCUUACCUUUCUAUAGACUAAUGUGUACUUAUGUUAAUAGAUAUCCUGUGUGCUCUCUCCGAUAAGCCCCAUAUCCUGAUUCCUGACACUCUUUCAACUCUACUUGUUAUUGCUCUUGAGGCUUGAACUUUGAAGGUGCAAAAUUUCAACUAUUCUGAUGGAAUUUGGGUCAAAAAUAGUCCAUACUUGUUUUUCUUUUUGCUUAGUAGGCGAGAUGUUUUCUCAUCAACGAUAUGGAAAUAACUAUUACAUUUGGCCUGAUCAGGUUAAUGAUAUGGCAAAAGAAUUGGAUAUCCUGCUAUCAUCCAUAGAACAAGAAGGUGGAUUCUGGGAUGCCUGCACUGUCUUGCAGCAAACUUCAGUUAUGACAUUGGAGGAGGGUCUGCAGAAACUUUCAGCGAUAUCUUGGAUAUGCAAGGUAGCGUGGACUUCCCUGAAAUCUCAAAUGGCAUUUGUUAAGUGAUUUCUUUUUCAUUCAGGCAUUCUUUCAAAAAUUUCAAAGGCCUUUGCUUUAUUAUUCUAGAACAAAGUAGAAGAUCAACUGAUGAAGAUUCAGGAGCUUUGGAACAAGAAGUUACAGAGUAUGUCCUUGAUGAAAAUUCAGUUCAUUUAACUUGAUGUGUAUUAAAUGUUUGGAUUGGCUCAACUAAAUAACUAAACUCCCUUUUUAUGCGUCAUUGGCUGCAGGAAGUAGUGCCAUAAAUAUAAUGGACUGUCCACUUUGCUUAAUUAUUUCGAAGAUUGUAUUGUAGAAAAUUCUGCAAAAGCUUAAUUUAUAAUAUUAAUGCCUAUUUUGCUAUUUUACAUUAGCUGCUAAUAAUCUCAUAGAUGCCAACUAAUUCUUUAUGCGCUUGUUGACUUGUCAAAGUAUUAUGAAUUAAUAUUCUUGCAAAGUCAGAAGGUGUUCUUGUAAUAUGAUUUUAUAGAUCAAUUCUGUAUGAGCUUUUGGUUGCGUAAUGUAUGUUUGCAUUUUAGAUGCAUUUUUGGGAAAUUGUGAGGUGUUUGUUAGUUUCAAAGUAAUGCUUUUUCCCUUGGGCCGUGGUGCAUGGUUUGUCCUACAAAAAUUUUUGUAAUAUGGAGCCAGGUGCUUUGCAAUCCUCUUUCAUUUAGGAAGCAGUAGAAUGAGCAGACUUAAUGCACUAAACUUUAUCAUCUGAGAACAUUCCAUAUCGUCUCUUGAAACGAGUAUUUAUUUUGGAACUUAGAGAAAGGUAAGAAAUUCAUUAUUUGCAAAAACCUGGCUGUUGAACACUCCAUCUCUGAUUGGCUUUUCUUUUAAAGGUUAAAAUUUAAGAAUAAAAAUUUUUUAUAAUUAUAGGUUAUUUUUUAGCAAAUUAUUGUCGCCACCAUAAAACUAUUUAAGGUUUUCAUGGCACCAGCUUGCCACCACUAAUUAUCUAACUUUUCGCCGCGACAAAUUGUCGCCACCAAAUACUUCGGUCCAGGUUUAGGGUUUUCACGACGAUAACAUGUCGCCACUAAUUAUCUAACUUUUUGCGGCGACAGUAUGUCGCCACUGAUUAUCUAACUUUUAGCGGCGACAGCAUGUCGCCGCUAAUUAUCUAACUUUUAGUGGCGACAUGCUGUCGCCGCUAAUUAUCUAAUUUUUAGCGGCGACAAUUUGUCGCCACCAAAUAGUUUUACCGACGGGGUUUUAGGCGGCGGCAUGCGGCGACGAAUUGUCGCCGCCAAAACGCUUUUCGUGGCGAUAAUUUUGGCUAUGGUGGGGACAUUUGUCGCCACUAAAUCCUGUAUCUGUAGUAGUGGAAUGCAACUUUCGUUUAAAGAGUGUAACUUUCAUAUUAAAGGAUGCAAUUUACAUCUGAAAGAGUGCAACAAGAGGAUAAACAGUGUAAAUAUCUUUUAAAGAGUGUAAUUUUCGUUUAAAGAGUGUAAUUUUUAUUUUAAAGGGUGCAGUUUACAUCUUAGUUAGUGCAAUUUAUGUCCAUAAUAGUGCAAUAUUUUUUUAAAAUAGUGCAAUUUUAUUUUAACGGUAUAAUUUCAUCUUCAUCUUUCUUUUUCUAUAAUUUUUUAUCUUUAUUUUUUUUUCUUCUUCUAUUCUAUAAUUUUUUUUGGUCACCCCUCUCUGUCAACGGUCACGGCGUCGGCGAUGACGCCGCUAAGGACCCCUCGCUCCGAGGCUGCAGCGCCGCAGCGACCUCCACGGUGUCGGCGUCGACGAAUAUGCGUCGUCAUCGGAGGCGGCAGAGGAAGAGCGAGAGGGAGAGGACGAGAAGGGCGGGGAAAGGCGAAAGAGAGCAAGAGAGGCGUCGUCGUCGGAGACGGUUGAGGAGAGUCAGAGAGAGAGAAAAAAAAAAGAGUCGCAGCACCGCCUCGGCGGGGUCGGAGGCAAGGAAGACGUGGGGUGCGCGGGCGAGGACGAGGGCGAGGGCGAGGGCGAGGGCGAGGGCGGGAGCAUGAGGGUGAGAGACGAGGCAGGCCGUUUUCUCCUCCACCUCCGCCUCUGCCUCCGCUGCCUUCUUCUCGAGAGAAAAAAAAAAUGAACGAGAGAAAAGAAGAGGAGAGAAAAAGAAGAGAGAAAGGGGGUAUUUUGGUCAGUUUGCUGAAAAUUCAGACCGAAUCUGCAAAAUCGAAAAAGGCGGCACAGUUUUGCAAAAGUUCAAAAUUUAUGAAUUUUUUAUGCAAAUUGGCCUAAAAUAUUUACCAACAUUACAAAUUUUUUAAUAGUAAUACAAAAUUUCUCUAAAUUAAAUUUUAAUUUUUUGAUUUUAAAUAUUUAAUAUUUAAAUGCAACGUAUUUAGAAAUAGAACUAUUUCUAAAAUUCCUAUAAUUUAAAUUAAUGCCUAGAUUUUAGAAACACUAAAAUUUAUUUUAAAAUAAAUUACUAAAUUAAUGCCUAAUUAAUGCCUAUAUUAAUGCUUAAAUUUGGGUAAUCAAUCAAUUCCACAAAUCAGUGCAAAUUAAUGUGUAAAUUUAGAAUAUUAAUUAAAAUUUUCUUUAAAUGUUGUAUCGUUUAAUUACAAAAAUAACCACGAAUGAAGUAAUCAUUUUUAAUGCUAAAUGUUAAAAUUACAUAUUUACCCUCUAUUAAUCAACGGUUAAGAUUUUUUUAUUUUACCGAUCGUCCCCAGAACAAGUGGCAAAGGAUUUGGUGGUUGGUAACCGAGGUCCCAAGUUUGAAUCCUAGUUGAUUCACAUUUCCAGCUAAAUUUAUUUCUAAAUGAAAUAAACGAAGCGGGUAACAUGCUACCUAUCUCUUAACAUGCUACCUAUCUCUCAAAAAAAAAAAAUUUUUUUUUUUAAAAAUAAAGUAUCGAAUCAUUUCUCUUUAAAUAGUAUUAUGCAUGAUGCAUCAAAUAUAAUUAAAUUUGUUUUAACUAGUAUUAUGUGCACCCCAAAAAUUACAACACAACUCAAUAAGCAAAUCUAGCUAGUUUAGAUGAAGUGCCGAACCCAACCACCACCACCACCCCCCUCCAAGCAAGUCUAGUUUGUAGAUGACUUGCAAUAACAAAAUAAAUUUGAAAGCAUAAUCUCAAUCGUUCAUUAGUUCUUAAAUAAAAAUGAUCGUAAAUCUUGUAAAUUUUAUACCAGCUAAUCAUCAAGAGUUUAAAUCCUUUUAGAUUUUUAUUAUAAAAAAAUAAAUAAAACUAGUAACAAAUAUAUAUAUAUAUAUAUAUAUAUAUAUAUAUAUAUAUAGUGAGACUACUAUGCUAUCGGAAGCACGGAGCCUUCCGUGCUUCCACCCUCGUUGUUUGAUGUUGCGACUUUUGAAUCGUCGAUCGGCUCCGUUAAACUUGAUCUAGAGUAUUUGGAGUACCUAUAAAAUAAUUUAUUAUUUUUCGAUAUCAUUUGCCUAGUGAUCGAAUGGGCUCAAAUCAAACAAAUUUCAAUGGCCGUAGUGAGCCGUUUGCAAGUUUAACGGUGUAGAAAUAUCCAAAUCACGUAAAUUUUUGAUAGAUAAUCUUAAUACUAUAUAAAACAAGAUCAAUAUCUUUGAUUUAAAAUUUUAAUGUCAUAUUAUUACAUUUUGAAGAUUUAUUUUCAAGCCGUUGAUUUUGAGCCCCUUCGUUCACUAGGCAAAUGAUAUCGUAAAAUCAUAAAAUUUAUUUUCUAGUACUUCAAAUACUCUAGAUCAAGUUUAACGGAGGCCGAUCGACGAUUCGAAAGUCGCAACAUCGAAAACGAGGUGGAAGCAACGAACUCCGUGCUCCGAUAGCAUAGUAGCCUCACUUUUAUAUAUUAUAUAUAUAGAGAGAGAGAGAGAGUAGGGAUACUGGUGCUAUUAGAAGCACAGCAGCACUGUGCUCUUAAGUUCUUAACCAGCCAUCAAAUUUGAUGGUGGUUAGGGUGAAAGGAGAAGAGUAAUUAGAGAGAAAUUGGGUUCUCAAUUUCUCUUCUCUUUGAAUUUCUCUCCAAUUUCUCUUCUCCCAUCACCUCCUAACCACCAUCAAAAUUUGAUGACGGUUAAUAACUUAAGAGCACAAAGACUGCUGUGGCUCUAAUAGCACAGUAACCUACGUAUAUAUAUAUAUAUAUAUAUAUAAUAUAUCUAGUUUUUGAUGAGUAGGAUGUAAAUUUUUUACGGAUGUUUUUUGAGUAUAGGUAAACAAGUAGCAUUGUUCCUGCGGCUCUCGUCAAGUCGGAGUCGCGAAAGCAACUACAUAAUAUCAUUAUAUUAUAUUAUAUAUAUCCUCGUCACUUGGGAGAGCGCCGAAAAGUCUUCUUCUCGUCCAAGAAUUAUAGCAGCAUCGAUCGUACGUGUUGCUGCUAGCUAUACCUUAUACGGCGCCGCUGCGUGCAUUCGCUUUGAAUAUUCACCUCAAAAGGAAAAAAAUAGGAAAAGAAUAUUCAUCUACAUUUGACCAUGACCAACGAGUAACAGUUGAAACGUCUCCUCCGGCCGAUCGAUCGGCCACUCUCAUGAUAUUAACAUGUGAUGAUCGAGCCAUGCAUCUGGAAAUUAAUAAACCCUGUCGCUAGCUGCUACUGCCUAAAUAAAUAUCUCUUAAUUUCCUUCUCUAAUUAAUCUUCAAGGAAAUUAAUUGCACUUCAUCAUCAAGGAAAUUCAUCACAAGCUAGAGGAGAGAGAAGAUUCAAAAUCGAUCUCACAAACAUCUUAAUUUGCUAGCUAGCUGCCGGGUCUUUUAACGCGCCUGCAUGCUUUCAAUUCAUAUAUAUAUAUACCUUAAUAAUUAUUAGUUCGCUUAAUAUAUAUAUAUAUAUAUAUAUAUAUAUAUCAAAAUCAGGUAUAACGAAUUUAAUCAUCUUGCUAGCUAGGACUUUUAAUUUUCCAUGCAGCUAGCGGUAAGAAAAUCGAGCUGUAACCAUCUUUGAUCACGUGCUUUAUUUUAAAAAUAUAAACACAAAUUAAAGUACAUAUAUAUAUAUAUAUAUAUAUACUUGGAAGAGGCAUUGAGAGAGAGAGAGAGAGAGAGAGAGAGAGAGAGAGGGAGAGAGAGAGAGAGGGGAUCAAGAAAGUCUCCAUCGGCUUCCUUCUAGAAGGCCUAGAAGGAAGGCAUGCAGAAGUCACUGCGUGCUCUGACGGAAAUUAAUUUAUUCCAGCUUAAUUUCUUCGUCUUAAUUUUCCCGGCCUCCUUGCUUGCGGAUCGAUCUCUUAUUAUAUAUUAUAUUUAUUAAACUCUCUCGCUUGCACCGGCCACCCCCACCUCUCUGCGUACAGGCCCGGACGGGCGGGGGGAGUAGGAGUAGGAGUAGGAGGGCGGCGAUGGCGGACGCCGACAUCAUCAUCAGAUCGAGGAGCAGCAGCCGGCGGAGCUGGAUGACGGCGAGCUUCAGGGAGCCGUCGGACGUGUUCCGGCGCGAUGUGCAGGAGGGGGACGAUGAGGAGAACCUCAAGUGGGCGGCGCUGGAGAAGCUGCCGACGUACGACCGCAUGCGCAAGGGCAUCCUCCGCCGCAUCAUGGAGGAGGACGGCGGCAAGGUCAGCAGCAGCGAGGUCGAGCUCCACAAGCUCGGCGUCCAGGAACGCAAGAUCCUCCUCGACCACAUCUUCGAGAUCGUCGAGCAGGACAACGAGCGCUUCCUCCUCCGCCUCCGAGAUCGCAUCGACCGGUACAUAUAUAUAUAUAUAUAUAUAUGCUCCAGUCUAUAUAUCUAUCUAGCUCUUGUCUCUUUAAUAAUUAAGAAGCAGCUAGCGAAAUUAAGAUGGUUAUUAUUAUUAUUAUUAUUAUAUAUUUCCGGCCAAUUGGAUAUAUAUAUAUAUAUAUGUUGUGUUGGGAUAUUGAAACUCUAGGGUUGGACUGGAACUCCCGAAGAUCGAAGUACGGUACGAGAACCUGUCGAUUGAGGCGGAUGUGUAUGUGGGGAGUCGGGCACUCCCCACACUGUGGAAUACCUACGUUAAUGUCGUUGAGGUAUACGUGCAGGCCUUGUUAAUUUAAUUUGUUCACUACCGGCCGGAUGGAUUAAUUGUUGUCUUAUUUCUAUUAUCAAACUUAAUUUCCUCAGGGUUCGUUUCGCCUUUUGAAGCUCUCCUUUUAUUUAUUUAUUUAUUUAUUUAUUUAUUUGUUGUUCAAUUCACUUCAGUUCAGAUGGUUAAUUAAUUUGGUUUCAAUAUAUAAAAAGUUCCAUCUAAAAAAUUAAUAGAAUACACUAGCUAGCUAGAGUUUAAUUAUUAGAGGAUAUAAUAAGUUUGAUAAAUUUAAUCCGGAAGAGUAUAGAUGUUCAAAUUGUUUGAUUAUCACCUGAAACUUAACCCGAUACAUACAAUUAAUAAUGUUUGAUAAUAAUAAUAAUAAUAAUAAUAAUAAUAAUAAUAAUGGGGCGCGCGCGGCGUCAAUUAAUAUAAUAAACGUCUCAUCAUGACUGAUCUGGUGGCGGCGCGCAUGCAUGCAGGGUUUUAUCGGACGGUUUUCUCCUUCGAAGAAGAAAACAAUCAAGAUACUUGAUGACGUCAGCGGAAUACUGAAGCCGUCGAGGUAAGAAGUAUUAUCGUAGGCUUUUUUUUGUACGCGAGUGUAUUCACUUGGUAGCCAGUUUCGAAUGUUAAUUAAUAAACGUUAGAAAUUAAUUACACCCUCAAUUUUCAGGACGACGCUGCUUCUCGGACCCCCGGCCGCAGGGAAAACGACGCUUAUGCUGGCCCUGGCAGGGAAGGCCGACAAAAAUCUAAGAGUGCGUAGUAAUUUAGCCUAGCCCGCGCGCACGCUUUUAAAUUCCUUCCAUCCGGGAGUAGUGCUUGUAAAUUAAUUAAUCAAGACAAGAUAUAUAUAUAUAUACAUAUACAUACAUAUAUGUAUGUAUGUAUGUAUGUAUGUAUGUAUGUAUCUAUCGCAGAUCACUUCUCUCUCUCUCUCUCUCUCUCUCUCUCUCUCUCUAUAUAUAUAUAUAUAUAUAUAUAUACAUAUAUACAAUAGAUGUGUGUGGUUCAGUAGUAGUGCGUCUGCCUGCGCUUCUUGUAUAAUCGGUGGUGCAUGGUUGGUUUGAUCUCUCAUCAGGUUUCUGGUAGAGUCACAUACUGCGGCCAUGAGCUGACGGAGUUCUACCCGGAGAGGACGAGCGCGUACAUUAGCCAGUACGAUCUCCACAACGGCGAGAUGACAGUUCGAGAGACCAUAGACUUCUCAGCGCGGUGUCUCGGAGUGGGGACGAGAUAUGAGAUGCUGUCCGAAUUGUCGAGACGGGAGAAGGGUGCCGGCAUCAAACCGGACCCCGAGAUCGAUGCUUUCAUGAAGGUAACUGCAAUGCAAGGACAGAGAACUAGUGUCGCAACGGAUUACAUUCUCAAGGUUCAGAGUCUCUUCUUCUUCUUCUUCUUCUUCUAAAAUCUUGCAGCGACUUUUCGUAUUAGUGGGUGAACUCGACAUAUAUAGUGCUAAUUAAUUUGGUUGGUUCGAAAUCUGCGCGCAGGUCCUCGGUUUGGACAUCUGCGCGGACAUCAUUGUCGGUGAUGAGAUGAGAAGAGGAAUUUCGGGCGGACAAAAGAAACGUGUCACAACCGGUAUAUAUAUAUAUACAUAAUUAAUAUGCAAACUGUACUGUCGCAGGAGGGAAAGGAGCGGCUAAUUAAUCGAUCUCUGUUAUGAAACUUUCGAGCCAUGCAUGCAGUAACACCAUCCAUCCAGAAAUAGCUGGACAGUUAGACUGAUCUGAUCGUAUACAUAGAAGCCUCUCUCUCUGCGCCCGCCCUUUUUCUGUCAUGUCGAAUGAACAUUAAUUACCUUUGGCUAAAACCCGGUGUUUCUGCAGGUUUAGUGUAGUCAUGUGCGCCAAUUAAUUUUGUCGUCGCAAAACUAUUUCUUCUGCCGCCAGAUUUGUAAUUUAUUCACACGCACCACCUGAGUAAUUCCAUUCCCAGUUCAAAUCUAAUUAUGCUUGACCUGCACUAUAUAUUUUGCCUUCCGUUCCUUUUCUCCAUCAAGUCCUAGCUCUGUUAAAGUGCCAUAUUGGCAUGAUGUCACUGAUGUGGCUCAUAACACAUGGGGCCAAAACUUUAGGUUUUCUUCAACAGAGAAAGCUUUUUUGUGAAAUUUUAACAUAUAUAUAGGAUUAUUCUUUCAAUAGACAAGUUGUUUUUUUCGGUCUUUAUCUUCAGAAAUUUUAACUAUUGUUUUACUACUACUUGUUUUCCGUGUCUUCUUUUUACUGUCGUUUUAUCAAUCUGAAGUCCCAUCAUAUAUAUCCUCUACUACUAAUAACUUGGAAGAAAUGCCUCAACGUAGGCAAGCAGAAAUGUGUAAAUCCAAUUCACUGGCGCUGCGAUGUCGUGCUGUUAUAAAUCCAUGCAAACUCCUGUCAUCUCUUAUUAGAGUUGGGCUAUGCAGAAUUUUAUAAACUCUUUCCUUUUAGAGGCCCUGGUAUCAUUUUUCAUUUUUUAUUUUCUGCAGUGUAACACGAUCAUUACUUUUUUGUUGCUCUCGCCAAAUCGAGGGCCAUACUCGAGAGAUACCAUCAUCAUAGUUAGGCGCACAUUAUUAUAUUUACCCUCGAAAGCCGCUUUGGUCGCACAAUAUCUGACUAGCCAGACACCGUCCGGAACUAGAAGAAAAGUAAAACUCAACCUGGUUGCUCAGAAUAAUGUUUAGACACGAUCAUUACUUGGUGUUCUGGUUUUUCGUUUACUAAAGUUAGUUACUUGUUCUGGAAUAUCACGCCUUCCAAUCUAGUUGAUGGUAUCAAAUGAUAAAUAUAGUAAGAUCAAAAUGAAAAACUCUUCAGCUGUUUCAAAAUUGCAAUUGCAGGAGAGAUGCUCGCGGGACCUGCAAGAGCAUUAUUUAUGGAUGAAAUAUCAACCGGACUCGACAGCUCUACAACCUUUCAGAUUGUCAAGUUCAUUAAGCAGAUGGUUCGCGUCAUGGACGGCACGGUGCUGGUCUCUCUUCUCCAGCCUGCACCGGAGACCUACAAUCUCUUCGAUGAUAUUAUUCUGCUGUCGGAGGGACAAGUAGUUUACCACGGGCCUCGCGAACAUGUCCUCGAGUUCUUCGAGUCUGCCGGCUUCAAGUGCCCGGAGAGGAAGGGAGUUGCAGACUUCCUUCAGGAGGUAACUUCGAAGAAGGAUCAGGAGCAGUACUGGGUGAACAGAAGCCAGCCUUACCGACACAUCUCAGUGCGGGAAUUCGCUCAGUAUUUCAAAUCGUUCCACGUCGGACUCCAGCUAGCAGGCGAGCUUGAAAUUCCGUAUGAUAAAUCCAAAACCCAUCCUGCGGCGUUGGUGACGGAGAAAUACGGCAUCCCUACGAAGGAGCUCCUCAAGGCUGUUUUAGCCAGAGGGUGGUUGCUGAUGAAGCGCAACUCGUUUGUCUACAUAUUCAAGACCGUCCAGAUAACCAUCCUGUCUCUCAUCGUGAUGACCGUGUUUUUCAGAACGGAAAUGCACCAUACGAGUAUUGCGGAUGGCAGCAAGUACUUCGGCGCGCUGUUUUUCAGCCUGAUCAUCAUCAUGUUCAACGGGUUUGCAGAGCUGUCGAUGACUGUUUCGAACCUCCCCGUAUUCUACAAGCAGAGAGACUCUCUGUUUUUCCCUCCGUGGGUUUACGGGAUACAAUAUUGGAUCCUUAGGAUUCCUCUCUCCCUUCUAGACACGACGAUAUGGAUGGUUCUUACUUACUAUGUGAUCGGCUUUGCUCCUUCUGCUUCCCGGUAAAGAAGCAUUUGGCCGCUUAAUUUUGUGAUUAAUCAAAUCAUGUAGUUAAUAUUGCGAUGCCGUCUAAACGAGGUCUCUUGAUUUUCGUUUUCAACUUGUUUAGGUUCUUCCGCCUAUACCUGGCACUCUUCAUGGUCCAUCAAAUGGCUCUUUCUCUGUUUCGCUUCAUCGGCGCAAUUGGAAGAUCAAUGGUUGUAGCCAAUACAAUUGGAACUUUUUCGUUACUUCUUGUUUUCGUGCUCGGAGGAUUUGUCAUCUCUAAAGGUACGUACCUCUACCUCUAUGGUUUUUGUACAAUAAUCCUCAUUUCGUCUGUCUCGAGUAUAGUAAUACAAAUCUUUUUUUUUUUUACUUUUUGUAUACCGAAAGAAAGCGUUCUGACCAACCAACUAACCAACCAACCAACCUUUAAUAACUCCGUCAGCUAUUUUAAUUAUUUCGGACUUCCGCAAGCAUUGCUGGCUUGUAGUACUGAAAAUUGAAGGGGCGUAACUAUAUUUGUUGUUAUUUCACCGCUGCAUUGCAUUUUCGAGCAGAUGACAUUAAACCCUGGUGGAUAUGGGGAUUCUGGAGUUCUCCUAUGAUGUACGGACAAAAUGCAAUAUCAAAUAACGAGUUCCUUGACAAAAGAUGGAGCGCUGUAAUUUCUUUUCCUUUUGUCCUCUGCUGCUUUCCCUCUUGGAACUGUAUUGAUGUUGAUGAUAAGCAAGCAUACAUAACCCCCCUGCUUUAAUUUCUCAAAACACGUAGGCCGUAGCUACUACUGUAUACAAGGUUUCUUCCUCUAACAACAGCUCAAUACGUCGGCUUGACAGUUUUUGGGAAUACAUUAUUAUUCAAUCGCAUGGAUGAUAAAUCAAUCAAUCAUGUUUGGUUUUUUUUUUUUUUUUUUUUUCUACAAAAUUUCUCCGGUUUAUACUUGCUCAUGCAUCUAGACUUUUACAUUUAGCAUGCAUCUAGAUUUGAGGAAAAUAAUAUAUCCAUUUAACUCAACUCAACUCAACUCAACUCGGUUGUCUCAUUUUAAUGUCUGUCUGUGGCAGCCAAACAAUGACAGUACUAUCGAUGCUCCGACAAUAGGGACGGCAUUUCUCAGAUCCAGAGGCUUGUUUAUCAACGGAUACUGGUAUUGGCUUUCGGUGGGAGCGCUUUUGGCCUAUUCGAUUCUAUUCAACAUACUCUUUAUUCUGGCGAUAACCUACUUAGAUCGUAACGUCACUCUCUUUAUUUUCAUACCGAACUUCAGAUUCCCGAAUGAGGUGCUCACUUCAAUUGCAUUUUCUUUCUUCUUCUUUCCUAUCUCGUAGCCAUUGCAAGUUCACAAAAUAUCAUAGCGGAGGACGACGCAGAGGAUAAGGAAAUGACGUCAAACGCAGAACAGAGGUCUGAAAUCGCCGAGAGUAGCAGAGCGUCCACCACGAAUGCUAUUUCAGGUUUGAUGGCCAUAAAACUUAUUUCUUCGCCAAAUCAAUGCAAUUUAGUAAGCAACUUAAUAGUGCAAGGGAUUGGCCAUGGGGUCACCGAGCACACCUUAAACCUACACAGCACACGAGCGCAGCAAAAACACAAUCUUUCGUAGACGUAAGAGACGAGAACAAUCUUAAAAAAUAAUAAAGAAAAUAAAAAAUCACAAGAACACAAGAUUUCCGGGCCAACCAUCAGUCGAUCUACGUUCACAGAUAAGACCACUUUCAAUGCUUUCUUCGAUUAGUCCACGGCACAAAAAUACAAACGAGUAAAUUAGAUUACCAAAAACUCUAUCUCAGAACCUCUUCACGUUUUUCUCUCAAUUAGGGUGUCUACAAUGAAGCUCAUAAUCUAAACGAUUAAUUACAAGAGUUAAUAUAACUUUAAAAUUUCAAUUCUAGUAGGAAACGAUCUCCGCCUUCCUUUUAAAUCUUCGAUUCACAUCUAACCGUUGAUAUCCUCCUAGGAAUCCUAUUUAAAGUGAUAUUGAACUUUCCCUAAUCUUUUGAAAUAAGAUUACAUCUAAUUAGAGUCAAACUCUGUAUAUCCAACCCGUCGCGGAACUGUGUACUGGUACACAAGAUCGCGUACUGGUAGGGGUGGAACUGGGCCCGGGCCUAAACAAGGCCCGGCCCCAUGGGCCAUGUUUGGGCCGGGCUUUGGAUAUUAAAAACUUAACUUUGGGUUCGGACCGGGCUUCAACAUUUAGGCCCAAAAAAAUUUUGGGCUUAUUUGGGCAUAUCCAGGCCCGGCCCAAGCCCGACCCAAAAGCCCGAUAUAUUAAUUAUUAAAAUAAAAUAUUUAAUUUUAUAUAUAUAUAUAUAUAUAUAUAUAUAUAUAUAUAUAUUUAUUUAUAAAAAGAAUAAAUUAUAUAAUAUAUCAUAUAUAGUAUAUAGUGUUAUUAAUGAUAUAUACUUAUAUAUAUAUAUAUGAGGAUAUAUUAUAUAUUAACAAAAUAUUUAGUUUCAUAUUAGGAUAUAUUAAAUAGUAUUAUUAUAUAUAAUUAAUUAAUUAUACAUAUCUAUGAGUAAAUAUAUGGUACAUAUUAUUAUACAAAUAAAAAUAUUUAUGUAUUAUAUGAUAAAUGUAUAAAAUGGGCCUUCACAAAGCCCGAUGGGUAUUGGGCAUUGGGCUUGGGCUUGGGCCGGGCUGUAAUUUUUAAACAAAAUUGGAUAAAAGCCCGAUCCGAAGUCCAACAUUUUCUUUUGGGCCAGGCUUGGGCAUAGUAUUACCCGACCCAAGCCCGGCCCAGUUCCACCCCUACGUACUGGUACUCAGUACAAAAACAGAGUACUGCGUACCGGUAAUCAAAAUCGCGCACUAGUACUCAUUACAAGAAAUAGUUUUUCAGAUUUCGAAUUUUGAGGAACUGCUGAGAUACUCAAUAGUAUCAGUACUGAAACUUCAAAUACUGAUACCCAACAUUCAGAACCUUCAAAUCUUCGAUGUUUUCACCGUGAUAUCGACUCAGAACAUGAACAAAUAGGGCUGCUAGCAUUGCAGGUUCUCAAUAUAAUUCUGAAUUUCCAAAAGCCAAGCAUCUCAAGAAAAAUGAAAUUAGCACGUAAUUUGUUGAAAAAAUGAAAGUUUAUAGAAUGGCAUAAAUCAUUUCGUGUUCUAAAAUCAAAAAGCAGUUUGAUCAAGUAUCGUCUCUAUAUAUCACAACAUUCUCAGGUGCUGAUGCCGCCGGUGGGAACGGCGCGGCUAAGAGAGGAAUGGUUUUGCCAUUCCAGCCGCUUUCGCUUGCUUUCAACCACGUGAACUACUACGUCGACAUGCCUCCUGUAAGUCAUCUCCACAAGCAUAACCCAGCGCUUGCUCCAUGUUGUCCUAUUUCCUGCAAGAAACCAUAGCAUAGGAAUAAAAGUCUGCUCUUUUCCAAAGAAAAAGAAAUUCCUGCUCUCUGUGAAGCAGCAAUAAAAGAUUAAAAAAAAAAAAAUGAAUUUUUUUUUUUUAAAAAAAAAACGUUCCGUAAUAGACCACAAGUAGAUCUGAUGUUAGGCAUUCCUGCCAUAUAUUUCUGAUUCAAAUAUUCUGCAUGUAUUAAAUAACCUACUCGGGGUGACUGAAUGAGGAGGACAUCAGCAGACCUUCAAUUUGCACUGAUUCAUGUAGAUCAAUAAUGUAUAAACAAUGCUUCUUUUGUUUAUUUUUUGCACAUUUUAAUGAUACAGACCUUUUCCGAGAAGAGCAUUUAUGCAUAAAUAAGUGCACGGCACAAGCGAAAACUGGGAAGAAAGCUAUGAAAUCUCAUGCUGAAUAGUUUUGCACUUUGUUAUUUUCAGGAAAUGAAGAGCCAAGGAGCCGAGGAAAGCCGUCUCCAGCUACUCUGUGACGUCAGCAGUGCUUUUCGUCCCGGUGUCCUGACGGCGUUGGUUGGCGUCAGUGGAGCCGGAAAGAGUACCUUGAUGGACGUCCUCGCAGGGAGAAAGACCGGAGGGUAUAUCGAAGGAGAUAUCAGAAUUUCUGGUUACCCUAAGAUGCAAGAAACAUUCGCUCGUAUAAGCGGUUACUGUGAACAAAAUGACAUUCAUUCGCCGAACCUCACGGUUCACGAAUCUCUUAUUUACUCAGCCUGGUUGCGUCUUUCCCAAGACAUAGACAAGGAAACACGAGAGGCAUGCAUGCUGCAGUUUAAUUUCUUCUACUUGCGUUUUCGUAUUUGGCAGACAAAACCAAACUUCUUUUCCUGCAAGACUAAAUUGUGCAUGAUUGAACCAAUAAUACGUACUCUGCGAUUUCUACUGAUUUGCGCUACCAAUUCUAGAGUUUUUAUAAUAUUAAAGUGCUAAGAAAAAUUUUGGUGAGUAGUGCGUGCAUCAUCAAACUGUUCUGAUCUGUUUGCCUUCCUUUUUUCUGAUUAAAAACUUUGGGCUGCUGUAGAUGUUUGUGGACGAGGUCAUGCAGCUGGUCGAGCUUGAUGUGUUGAAAGAUGCUCUAGUGGGCCUUCCAGGGGUCGAUGGUUUAUCGACCGAGCAACGAAAGAGGCUUACAAUUGCCGUCGAAUUGGUCGCAAAUCCUUCCAUUAUCUUCAUGGAUGAGCCAACAUCUGGCCUCGACGCAAGAGCUGCAGCCAUCGUUAUGCGAACGGUGAGGAACACGGUGAAUACCGGACGGACCGUCGUGUGCACAAUCCACCAGCCAAGCAUCGAUAUAUUUGAAUCUUUCGAUGAGGUUCUCACUCAUAUACUUCUUUAGCUCCUCCUCUGAUCUUCGUCAUUAAUGGUAGAUCAGCUAAACAGACUGACGCUUUCUUUCUUGCAGCUUCUCUUGCUGAAGAGGGGAGGACAAGUCAUUUACGCCGGAGAGCUCGGUCGUCACUCGUACAGACUUAUAGAAUAUUUCCAAGUGAGUUCUACGCCCAGAUCUUGUUCAAAUUUUGUCUGCAGUUUCUGCAAAACAAAAUUUGGCUCGCCCUUUUCCGCCCGUGACCUUCGAUUCUCAUUGUGCAUGCAAUGUUUGUUAUGACCUUUUGCUUAUAGCUGCUAUAUUCAAAAAGGUAGUUGUAGCUUUACUUUAACUCUCAUGCAAGGAUUGCCCGUGCCGUAUCAUGAUAAGCCCAUGCUGGCUCAUGACACGAAAUCACGCCAACACUAUAUCAACAAAAUGUUCUUUUUAAAAAAAAAAAAAAAAAUAGGAAUUGUUUGAGUUUUUCUUUUUAAGGUGAAAUGCUUUGCAAAUUAAUACUUUUCCAUACUUAAAAAUAUGCAGAUCUUAUAGAUCUACUAAUAUUUGGAGCAAUUGUAUAUAUAAUACUAAUCAUUAGAGAUAUUAAAACUCUUAAAAGCGCUCUUAAAAACUUUAUGCCAAUGCGCGUCAGUAUGUUAGUGGCUUGCCACCAGCAAAAGUGAGCCGUGCCUGGCGUGCCGUGCAGUGUUAUAAAGUGCAACCAGGAAAACCACACAAACCGUGCCAGCGGCGCGCGACAAUCCUUGCUCUCAUAAUUUCUCAAAUAGUUAAACUUUGGGAAAUGAAAUAGUUCAAUGAAUUAGUUGCAGUUUGAACAACUUUGAUCCUAAUGAGAAACUCUUAUAGUUACUAAAUUGGAUCGCUGGAAAUUAGCUACUGUAAAGUGGCUCUCAAAAAGUACUCUACUGGUUAAAGAUAGAUUCAAAAGAAAGCACAAAUUUUGCCACAUGAAACUCACAAGAAAACAUUUUCACAGGCAAUUCCUGGCAUUCCGAAAAUCCCUGAUGGUUACAACCCGGCAACAUGGAUGCUCGAAAUAAGUACCCCUCAAGUUGAGACUCGCCUGAAUAUCGAUUUCGCUGAAGUAUACGCCCAUUCUGCUCUGUACCAGUAAGCGGGCAUGCUUAUAUUUUUCGGUCACGAAACUCUGUUGCCGAGCUGAAUAAGUUUUCAGAGAGCUUACUUACCCAUCUUAAAUUUUCAUUCAGGAGAAAUCAGGAACUUAUUAAGGAGUUGAGCAUUCCUGCACCAGGUUCCAAGGAUCUAUCAUUUCCUACCAAAUAUUCCCAGAGUUUCACUACUCAGUGCAUGGCCAAUUUUUGGAAGCAGUAUUGGUCUUACUGGAGGAACCCACAAUACAAUGCUAUCCGCUUCUUCAUGACAACAAUAAUCGGUCUUAUCUUUGGCACAAUAUUUUGGAAUAAGGCAAAAAAGACGUAAGUUGCGAAUUUGUCUUUGUAUGCUCGUUAUUAUACCAUGUCAACAGAAUGCUUCUUAAAAGAAAACUAAACAAGCAAUGUAAAGUAACACCUAAACAUGGUAAGUAGAACAUCGUAAUUACGAACGGUGUAGAGCUAAUAUACUAUCGGAAGUAUAGAGGAUUAAUUUGAUUCUUGGAUCAAGAAUUGUACGGUUGGGAUUAUUACGGUCCCCCCUAAGAUUGAGUAAUACUCCUAAGGUUGAGUGGUCUCCAUAGGGUAAUAGCAGUAAUCCAAAGGUUAAAAAUGAUCAAAGGAGUUGAUCUAAGAGCUAAAAAAUCAAAAGCACCAUAUCCUCUAUACUUCCGCUAGCAUAGUAGCUCUACUCAUUAUGAACGUAUCUAAAAUUAUAAAAGCUGAAAAUAUAGCUAUUAUCAAAGUCCACAUUGUCAUGCGUCCCUAGGAUCUCGUGUGCACAUCUCAUUAUCAUCCUUUAAUUACCAUUCCACUAAUGUCGCUUCCUAUUUAUAAAAUGCAAUUCAUGAUUGAGAUAGUAAAGCAAUGCUUGUAGCGUUAAAAAAAUCAGCAAACUUACUGUACUGCUACUAGAUAUCUACUUGAAGCAAGUAUUUUUGGGAUAUUUAUCUCGUUUAAGUAAUCCAUUGAUCAACAGGUUUUCGUUUCAACUCCUGUGCUUCACGGAAAACUACUUGGGCACUUAAUUUGACACUAAUUACAUGUUAAUGAACCACAUUGUUUAGCACAUUAGCAUGUUCCUGUUACUGCUUUCAACAUGGCAUGGCUCUUGUGAUACCCUUUAUGUGGAUAAUAUUUUUCUUUUGCUCAUUAUUGUUGUACUAUAUAAAAGCCACAGAAAAAACUUACAGAUGAAUAUAUGUGCAUUAUAUUCAUCCCUCCUAUUUAUCAACUAAGAAAAGGAAUAACAAAAGAAUAAAACAAAACAAAACAAAACAAAACAAAACUAUCGCCCCAAUGCUAAGUGCAUUUCUUGUUGUUUAAACAGAAGCUCAGAACAAGACCUAACCAAUCUUCUGGGUGCAAUUUAUGCUGCUGUUUUAUUCCUCGGAGCCUCCAAUUCUAUCACAGUGCAGCCAGUCGUAGGCAUUGAGAGGACGGUCUUCUACCGUGAAAAGGCAGCCGGAAUGUACUCUCCCUUGUCUUAUGCGUUUGCUCAAGUAAAUCCGCUACACUUCUGUUUUUUUAUCAUAAUUAAAGAAAAUUUGUAGCCAAUUGCUUUGAUCUGUCACUUCACAAAAAAGAAUGAAACAAAAGGUAGGCACUCAGGCACAACAUGGCAACCUUGUUAUUAGAGGUCUAUUUCUUUCAAAAAAGCACAUUUGGCCCUCCAGUUUAUCUUGUGACAAGGAUCUGGAUCUUCCUUAAUAACUCUGUUCAACAGUAACAUUGCUAAUUUGCAAACUAAAUUAAAUCUAAGGCUGUCAAAAAAAAGCUCGCGGCACACGAGCUGCUCAAGCUGUGCUUAGUUUUGAGCUCGGUUCGAGCUUGUUGAUUUAUGAAGCACGCCUAGCUCGAAGUCGAAUGUCCAGAGUUCGAUAAAUUAAACAAGACAAGCUCGAGCUAGGUGUUGUUCGCUUGAGCUCGGCUCUACAAAAGCUUGAAAUAUAUAAAUAUAUAUACAUUUGUUAAAAAAAAACAUAUGCAAUUUUAGAUAUUGUAUAUACAACGUACUACUUGGUUUACUAGUCAAAUUUGACCUUUGUUUUAUGAAGGUGUUGGUUCGACCCUGUCCAAAUCCUUGCAUUCGUUGUUGUUAAAUUGCUUACUACAGCUAGGAGAUUUUUCACAUAAUAUUUUUGCUGUAUCUUGCCACCAAGCAGAGCUCGACCUAGCUCCAUAAAGGAACAAGCCAGUUCUGAGGUUGGUUGUGAAAGGCCCAACUCAAGCCCAAUCUGACUAUUUUGGGCCAAGCCGGGCUAACCUUAGCCCACUCAAGCUCCGCUCAUUUACACCCGUAGUUAGAUCCUAACUCGAAUCGUUCAUUCUAGGUAACUCAGUCAUCACCCAACACAUCCCAAAACUGUGUUAUGGAUCAAACAUGUUCAUGAGAAUGUCCUUCUCAAUAAACCUUCUCUACCCUGUUUGCUAUUGAUGCUUAAAGGCAUUAAUUCUACGUACUUUGAAUACUUGGACCUUAUGUUAGCUCGUGUUAGUAGUCUUUAUGAGAACUCUUAGAGCAUAUAGGAGACAAAUCUCUUCUCAUUAUACAGUCAAUAAUUGAUGAUAAAUUUUUGGCUAAAUUACAGUUUUGGUCCUCAAACUAUGAGGCGUAGGACACAUUGGUCUUCAAACUUUUAUUUGUUACAAUUUAUAGCUCGAAACUGACAAAUUGUUGCAAUCAAGUCCCGCAAUCCAAUUUAGUUAACUAAAUGUUGACAUGACACUGAUAUGAAAAUGAUGUGCCAUUUUAAUUAUCGUCGCGUCAUCAAUUAUAAUACUGCUAUCUCAUUUUGACAUGAGCAGCACAUCAAUAUUUAAUCAACUAAAUUAAGUAGCGAGACUUAAGUACAACAAUUCAGAAAGUUUAAGCUAGAAAUUACAAUAAAUUAAAGUAUGGGAACCGAAGUGUUAUGUAUCUCAUAGUUUGAGGACAAAAAGUAUAAUUUAGCAUAAUUUUUUAAUUAGAAAAACAUAAAUAGCCUCAUUUUAUUGUGAUUCUCAAAAAGCGAAAAAGAAAGAGUAAACACUAUUCCACUAUACAAUACAAAAUUACAAACUAAUGUGGUCUCCAAACAUUCACUUAUCAAGAUUAAUAGGCUAAAGAGGCUAAAGAGACCUAUAUAUGCAAAGACACCGAUCUCAAAUUUGCCCUCCUCCAGGAAAACAAAAAAAUAAUAUCUCAAAUUUUCCUUUUAUAUGCAUAUGACAAUUUUCUAUACGCAUGCCAAGUAAGAAAUUUAUCAUUUGUAUUCGCAGGUCAGCAUCGAGAUUAUCUACAACUUUGUACAGACAAUUAUCUACGUUUUGCUCAUUUACUCAAUGAUCGGCUUUACGUGGCACGCAGACAAGUUCUUCUAUUUCUUCUACUUCCUUUUCAUGUGCUUUAACUACUUCACAAUGUACGGCAUGAUGGUGGUAGCAGCCACUCCUAGCCAUCACAUUUCCGGCAUUGUAUCGUCCUUCCUCUUAAGCUUCUGGAACUUGUUCUCAGGAUUUGUUAUACCAAGACCCGUACGUGGUUACUCAUCACUAAAAUACAUAAUUUUCUUGCCGACACAGCCAUGCAAUUGCAAAUUUUGCAAAUACCCCUGCAAAGUUGGUAUUUGUGUGCGUCUCUGAAAAUAGCAUUCAUUUGUAUCCAUACAACUACCAAAGGUAUAUAUAUGCAAAGGCACCUUGCAUAUGUACACCCGGUGGAUGCACAUUCACAAAUAAACAAGGUUUGUUUUUAGAGGUACAACCUUGCGAGGAUAUGGGUAAUUCUGCAUAUUUGCAAGGAUGUAGAUGCAAGAAAACUGUCUACAAUUGAAUUACCUUUACUCCUACAACACAGAAGACUAAUAUUUCAAUUUUCCAUUUUAUAGUUGAUUCCAGUAUGGUGGAGGUGGUACUACUGGGGAGACCCUAUCGCUUGGACUAUAUAUGGGGUGAUAACAUCCCAGCUAGGUGACAAAGAGAACAAUGUCUCAAUUCCUGGGUCGACGAGUUUAACAGUGAAAGAGUACUUGAGAAAGAACCAAGGGUAUAAGCAUGACUUCCUCGGCUAUGUGGUUCUCGCUCACCUCGGAUUUGUCCUCACCUUCUUCUUCAUCUUUGGAUAUUCUAUCAAGUUUCUCAACUUCCAAAAGAGAUAGGCCAACUAAAAUGGAAGAUAUUUUACGACAGUUCAGAAACACAAGUUAGUGUGAUGUGAGGACUAACAUUGACUAUAUGGCUCCCCAAGUUGAUGGUUGAAGCGGAUUAUGCCUUGCUAUGCUUUUCUUGGUCUCUCUGUCAGUUAAUAUUCCCUUUUAAGUAAAUAUAUAUCAAGGGCAGCUACUUUUUGCUUCUCGCGUACAAGAUAGAUUCAUAUAUAGAGUACCCAUGGUACUAAUGCAUACGUGUUAUUGAUUGUAACUGGAAAAAUAAAAUCUUGUUUAUUUAUGUUUCCCGAGUCACAAUGGAUCAGUAUAUCAAACUGGAAAGAAGUAAAAUCAAGUUAUAGUAAUUGUGCUUUAAGUUUGAAGCAAUAAUUAACAAAAGUGCUUGUUCUGAAAGGAACGUUUUAGUAGGGUGAUUAUGUCUUUAUCAAUUUUAUUUUUUUCUCAACAUUUAGGAAUAUGUUUUGAGUUAGAUUUGUGACUGAUCAUAUAUAUAUAUAUAUAUAUAUAUAUAUAUAUGCCUAAGCUGUCGAUAUCCUUAAAUUUUCUUAUACUAAGGAACGCUNGAGAUAACAUGAGUUUCAUGCUUAUAUAUAUAUAUAUAUAUAUAUAUAUAUAUAUAUAUAUAUAUAUAUAUAUAUAUAAACUAGACUGGAAUACUAUUAAUAGAACCAAUGACUUGGUGCAAUUAAGUUUUCUGCCCUUGAAUUAAAAGAUGUGCAGUUAGGAUAAUGUGGGCCCCCUAGGGUUGAGUGGGUGGUUAGUUGAAUAAUAUAAUCGAACGGAUGAAAAUAAUAAAAGAGGUAAAUCUAACGGCAGAAAACUUGAUAGCACCAAAUGCUUCGUGCUAUCGAUAGUAUCCCAACCGAACUCUAUAUAUAUAUAUAUAUAUAUAGAGAGAGAGAGAGAGAGAGAGAGAGAGAGAGAGAGCAGGGCUACUAUGCUACUAGGAGCACAACAGCCCUUGUGCUCCUAAUUGUUAGGAAGUGAGAGAGAAGAGAAAUUGAUGAGAAAUUGGGUGUCUCAAUUUCUUCUCUUUAAAUUUCUCCAAUUUCUCUUCUCUCUCUCAUCCUAACCACCCAUCAAAAUUGACGGAUGGUUAGAAAAUUAGGAGCACAAGGAUUGCUGUGCUCCAAAUAGCACAGUAGAUCUACUCUCUCUCUCUCUCUCUCUCUAUAUAUAUAUAUAUAUAUAUUUGAAGUCCUUUAUUUUAACCAAAAAGGUGUGUCUGAGAACACUUGUUCAUGGGAAUAGAUGUUUACUGAGAGUUCAAUCAGUGUAGACGUUGGCAGGCCUAGAAUUAAAGCAUGAAAGCCUGCCUAGGUUGUAGUAAACUGCUAAGUUACAUAUGCAAAAUUUAAGGACAUGGCUGUAUGGCAAAGUUUUGGGCUUAGAUGGGAAAUGAUAGCAUCCUCUCCCAUGCCAACAUUUUGAUCAGAGAGAAUGGCAUUCCGGCCCCUGUUCCAUGCCUACUCCAAUGCGGGGUACAUGUCAUCUAACCCCUUACUAGACUCUGGCAUCCUAGUCUGGAACUGGAUCUCAUUCGAAGGUAAAUUGGUAGUCGUCUAUUUGAUUUCCUAUGUGGUUAGCAAACCGAACAAACGGAAUUCAGUCACCCCACCUACAAUGUCGGUCCAUUUCAUAUCCAUUUUAAUUUCCAAUUUCGAGUCCAAUCAUGAAUCAAAUAUGCCCCUAAAAUGCUAACAACUACUACUGCCACCUUGCUAUCAUGCUAGUCCCAGAACUGCAAAUACAGGAAGAUUGAGAACCCUUACAACAAUGUAGUAAAACCAACAAACAAAAGGGAGCAGUAAUACUUAUAGUUCAACGUUUAUCUGUACAUAGUACUGUAUUCACUUAAUGUAAUGAUAAUGAGCCAUCUUAACACAGUGCGGAACUAUUGGAAUUCUCAAUCUGCUAACUUUUGCAAAUAAGGGAAGGCUAACCAACCUUUUGGAAGAUCUAAGAAGCAAUGAGUGUGUGAUCCUCCCCAUUAGAGAUCAGCUCCUUGUACUCAUUCAGCAAAGCUGGAAUAUCAUCCAUACGCAACUGAGGAAAAUCCAUCACAACAACUGAGUAGGAUUUAUAGAAGCAAAAGGAACAAGAACUAUAAUCUGCCUAUCACCAAGUGCAUAUAUAAACAUUUUUGCCAUUCAUCUAGAUCUUACGGCUAGGUCUUCCAUAAAUAUGAGGCAAAAAGAAUAUGAAAAAGUAUCAACAACCAAUCAAGAAAAAGUGGCACUCGAACCAAUAUUUACACAUGGCGAGUAAUUGGACUGCGGCUAAAAUCUGAGUGAGAAUGGACUGGAAUGAGCAAUAGAAUUGUUGAGUCUCCCUAAAAUUGGAUUCACAAACAUAUGUUGUUUUUAUUUAUAUUUUAUGGUCCACAAAGUUGAAAGGUCUUGCUUAAAGGAUAGGAGUCCAGAAAUGCUACUCAUUUGAGAAGAUAAGGGGCUGUUUGGUUCCACGUAAAACUGCGAAAAAAAAUUUUCGGUGGAAAAAAAAUUUUCGAAGGAAAAUAAAUUUUACGCUUUAGCAUUUGGUUUGUAGGAAAAGAAAAGUAGUUUUCCGUUACGGUUGUUUGGUUGAAAGGAAAAGAAAAAAAAGUUAGUUAUAAAUAAAAAAUAUUAUAUAUAUAUAUAUAUAUAUAUAUAUAUAUAUAUAUAUAUAUAUUAUUAAUAUAUAAUAAUUAUUAUAUUACAUAUAUUAGUAUUAUAGUUUAGAUUUAUAAAUGAAAUAUAUUUAAAAUAUAUUAUGCAAAAAUUAAAUAUGUAAUAUAAUAUAUAAUAGUACAUAUUUAAUACUAUAAAAUAAAUUACUAGAUAUUUAUAAAUAAUAUUUAUAAAUAAAAUAUUUUAUAUAUAUAUAUAUAUAUAAAAGUGGGGAAGAGAGAGACGUCCAUCUCCUCACGCUGUCCACGAGGUGGAGCGGACCUCGUGGACCGCGCCUUUUUUUCUCCCCGCCCCGUGCUCAACGCCGCGCGAGGUCCAUCAUGGACCUCGCCUCAUGCAGUCCACGAGGCACUGCGAACCUCGUGGACCGCGCCUUUUCUUCUCCCGCGCGGCGUGCGUGCGCAACGCUGCGCGUUUUCGUUUUCCGCUCAAAUUGAGCGGAAAACGAAAACCUCAUUUUUUCAAGAAUCUGUAAAAAAAAGUUUUCCGAAAAAAUUUUUUACGAGCCACCAAACACGAGAAUUUCACUUUUCAUCCGAAAAAAAAUUUUCGGAGUGAUUUUACGAGGAACCAAACUUGCCUAAGCGGAAAACAAAAGGCUGUAACAGUUCAAAGGUAUGUGCAUACCUGAGAGGCACCUUUCAAAUGGAAAAAACGGUGAACUUCAUAUCCUAGGAGACUUGAGGCAGAUGUUAAGUCAAAGGCAAAACUUCCUCUGUCAUAAAGCAGAAAAUAAUAUUAUGAAAAAGAAAAUUCCUGGAAAAUAAAUCACUGAAAGAUACCAUGACAAACCCCUAAAAGUCAAAUAUUGCAGUUAUAAAGUAUAAACCUUCACCAUGAAAAGACAGCAGAAGAAUAGCUUACAGGUGGUGAUGAACAGUAAGCCGUUGAUAAUCUCGGAGCAAUGGGCCAAGCUCCUGCAGCUGUAUUGAAGUUGCUGGAGAUCUUUUCCAGUGCUCACGAAGUGCCUGUUCUUCAGCUCAAUAUUAUAAGAUUAAUAAAAUACAAAAGCAAUACAAGAAUUUUAAAUUACACAAGAGAACCCCAAAAUACCUGAAUGCAUGCAGUUUGAUCCCUAGUAAGUAGUGACUCCCCAGAAAACCUCGAUGACAACUCAAUAAGCUCUUUGUCUUCAGCUUCAUCGACAAGAUUUACCUGAGCUUUAGAAGAAGAAAACGAGAUCCCCAAUCUCUUCUGCAAUUCAACAAUUGGCGACUCGGUUUGAACUUCCUGCAAGAGAAUACAGGUAAAUUACAGUAUAAACAAGUCUAUUUUUUUUUCUUUUUUCCUUUUUUUUUUUUUUUGGUUUUGGGGGAGGAUAAUUUUAGAAUACAAUUUGCAAUAUCCUUCCUUACCUUUGCCAUAGACUCUGAUGGACCAUCUAAGAACAUGACAGUUCUACUUUCUUGAGGGAUACUCGGAGUUAACUGUAAUCUCUUUGCAAUAGGAUCAUCUGCAUCACAAUUGAUAGAAGAGAAUAAACAAAAUGAAGAAAAGACCUUCAGACAUAAGUAUCAUCUGACUUCUAUGAGGAAAACUAUCUUAGUUACACCAUGCAGCGAAAAGCACACAGAGCUCAAUCUAGGAAAUAGAAAUUUAGGUUUCGAGAGAUGACGGAAAAGCACAUAAGUUUUCAGUUUAAUCCCACAAAGGUUGCGGUAACAUUUCUGAGGCAUAUCUAACUUUAUUGUGUCUUUAGCGCCUUUUGUCCUUAUUUCUAAAGAGCUCCACUCUAAGAAGCAGGCUUCUGACUUUGAAGGAUAUUAAAUAAAUGAACUUGCUGGCAUUAUUCCCUUUCCGACUGAUAAGUAAUUACCGCAGAAAGACAAAGGAUGCAAUGCAUAAUUGCAAACAAUUUUAAUAUAUCUUGUCCUUUUACUGAAAGGAGCUUCUAAAGAGCUAUGAAGUAUUUAAACCCAGACUAUUCUAUUUAAAGAAUUGAGUUACACUAUUUCUUCAAAACUUCUAGAGAGCUCAGUUUGCUCUUCACAGAUUCCAAACAUGAUUUUCGAUGUAAAUUCUGCGGCAACAUAUAACAAGAAAAAAGUCAUGUCAUUAUAGAGCAUAUUACAAUAGUAAUACCUUCUGGAACUAGCCACCACAAAUCACCAAACGUCGUUUUUCCAUCAAAACCACCAAAUAAUAGAUAAUGAGAACCAAUGCAUGUCAUGGAGUGAUAUGCCCGAGGAGGAGGCGGCUCAUCACUUGUAGACAGACGCUUCCACUGAACAGAGACUGAAUAGGCACCAGAUUAUUUAGUAGCAUUAGAACUAUAAAAGAAUGAAAUAUAUAGUAUUAGAAACACUCGUAGGCUUUUCACACCAAAGAUCAUCCUACUGUCAAGAUAACCAAACAAGUAGAUGAUGAGGAUGGCAUAUUCAAAUGUUGAUAGAACAUCAAAAAAAUUACACAACAAUAAAAGAAAAAUAAGUUAUAAAAGAGCUGGAAUGAAGAUACUUGGUUAAUAAGUAAUAACCUGAAGGUGACAACAAGUUAUCUUGAUUGAGGAUAAGAAAAUGAUUCCUUUGUUGCGCAAUUGCAGGGAAGUAAAUAUUACCUAUUACAUAUGUUUUAGCUGGCAGGAAGCAAAAGUACGGUAAUCUCAAAGUGAUCUACUGUGAGAAUCAGCUAAGCAAAGGUCCUCAGAUAUUGCAUUAGUUUGUCUAAUAUAACUAAGAAAAUAAAAGGAAGAUAUUGUUCUAAACAUUGAACCGCCGAUGUGCCAGAAAUUAUUCAGCUUAUCAUGCUAUACUAUAUAAGAUUUUAGGCUAAAUUAAAAGAAGCCCCCUCGCACUUUUAGCGCUUGUCUCAAUUACUCGCAUGCAUGCAAAAUUGCAUCAAUUGCUCCCCUACACUUUAUCAUUAUCUCAAAUAGGUCCAGCUAUUUAGGAUAAAUGUUGAAUUCAACUAUAAAACUUCCUAAAAAUAAAUUUACAGAUGAAGUUAUUUAUAAGUAACACAAUAGACUCGUAUAAAUUGAAUAAAUUGCUCAAUAAACUAUCUAUUUUAUAGUAUUAGCACAAUAGGAGAUCUUCUUUAUUUAAAUUUUUUAUAUAUUUUUUAAGUUGCAAAUUGAAUAUAUGUUGAGAUGUUGAACAAUGUGAUAUGUCAACUCGUUUUAGUGAAAUUUUUACAACCUAAUUUGCCCAUUUUUAAAAUUUUUCUGGGUCUAUUUGAAAUGGUAACAAAGUGUAGAGUGGUGAUUGAUGCAAUUUUUGAUGCAGGGUGAUAAUUAAGACGCAGGUUAAAAUGCGAGGGGGCUUUUUAUAAUUUAGCCAAGAAUUUAAGAGUAGAUAGAAAGCAAAAACAGGAUGCCUUCAUUACCAAAACAAUUUGUGGGAAAUAUUUUCAUUGACCAAUUUACUCUUACCCCUAUCCAAUAUAAUGCAGUCAUUGUGGUAUACAUCAUAUCUACUCAGCCAACCUCCAGUUCCAUGCCCACCAAAGAGCAAUAACUGAUUAGAAGAAAAUUAAAUGAGGAAGGACGUAAGGAAGUCAGCAACCCAAAAACUAGAAAAAAAAAAAAAAAAAAAAAGUGGACGAUAAACCAUAUAAGGAAAGAAGAGAGCAAUACUACUCCAAAGUGGAGCUGAUUGCAAUCAAAAUCAGUAAUGAAGUUGCAUCCAAAACUUAGUCCAAAGACUGAGGCACCCAACCAUCUAAAGAGACUUGCAGUUUGCCCAUUGAAAAGAAAGAGAUUUUAAAUCAGUACAUACGACUCUUGGUAAGGAUUUGAUUGCUGUACUAAAGGAUCAUUUCACAGCACCAACCUCGAGAAAAUUUUGCAUUAAUCAUUUUUCCCCCUAAUAAAUAAUGAUACUGUAUAAUAAUCAUCUUUUUCAUCACCAAAAGCUUUCCUUACUAGAUAUGCAUAUGCUCUCAAAUACAAAACCUAUAGGACUUCCACAGGAAAAAAAAAAAAAAAGAAAAAAAAAAAAAGGCAGCCUAACUCAAGGGCUUUUCUACUUCUGAGAGUCCUGCGACUCAACUAGAUGAGAUGAUUAGAAGGGAUUCUUACUAAUGAAUGCAGUCUCAGUUUAUGCAACAAGAGAAGAACGUUACCAUUUCCUUGGCAUGAAAACAAUCCAAAUGAGAAUGUAAGCAGUAUUCUUAUAUGUAUUUGUGGUGUUAACUUAGUAUGGAACAUAAAAUACCAAAAACCCUAUAUGAAAAGACAUUUCCAAACAACUGUUAGAAUAGCAUACAUGUGCUGAACUAGUCAGCACUGCAUAAAGAGUUGUUCUGGCAACUAUCACUCCAGUCACCUCCAUUUUCAAUGGUCGGAACGUCUUAACUCCACACAUUUUUCUAUAUCAUUGAAAAUUCCACCUCUGGCCGAGAAAUCACAACUCAACUCUCUAUGUGUAAAGGCCUUCUUACAUCUUUGAAGUGCUCAAUAGCCAAUUUUUGCCCUAAUCCCGCACACCCUUUCUUAAGUCUAUAAUCAAGUAAUGACACAACUAUAUGCAAGAAGAAUGAGGUGGCAUGAUGAUAAAUGAUAAGUCAAAAAUACAAAAAGAAAAGAAAGCGAGUCCUAAUGCUUGAAGACAAAGCCAGUCAGAGUCCUUGAAACUAGAAAAUACAUACAUAAUGACCUCCAGAAGUUACUGUGUGACCACAUCGUGCUGAAGGAGGUUGACCUGGUAGCUUCAACUGAGUCCACCCAGGUGUCUCAUUCUCUUCAACAAUUAAGAUUAAAGCGACCCCAUUAGAUACUCUACCCAAAUUUUAAACAAAGACCAAACUAAUUAUUUAAGUAAUGACUAAAUAAUAAAUGUGAUCAAAAUCAUCAUUCCAUGAAAAAGCUGAGCAUACUUAGGGCUAGUUUGGCCUAGCUUCUGGAAAAGUAAUUUCUGUAGAAGUAAUUUUAAUUUGGAGAACUGAUUUUGGUGAAAAGCUGUAGAGCGUUUGACUAAGUUUAGCUAAAAGUGAUUUUUCCGAAAUGAUUUCCUAAAGUUGUUUGGCAAAAAAAUUUUGAUACUUGCAUAUAUUAAUAUUUUUACUAAAUUUAUUUUAAUAUAAUUUAAAAUUUGAAUUUAAAUUAAAAUUUUAAAUUUGAAUUAAAAGUAUAAUUUUUAAAUUUCAAAUUUGUACAAAAAAUAAAUUUGACAUUUCAAAUUUUGAAUUUUUAAAUCUUAAAUUUAAAAUUUUAAUUUUCCAAUCUGAAUUUAAAAUUUAAAAUCUAUAUUUUUAAAAUUUAAAAUUUUAAAAUUUAAAAUUUAAGAUUUCAAAUCUGAAAUUCAAAAUUUAAAAUUUAAUUUCAAAUUCAAAAUUUAAAAUUUAAAUCUUAAAUCUUAAAUCUUGAAUCUUGAAUCAAAAUUCAAGAUUUAAGAUUUAAAAAAAUUUGAAUUUUGAAAUUUAAAAGCAAAAUUAAAUCUAAAUUUUAAAAUUUAAAAUUUUGGAUUUUGAAAUUUAAAAUUUGAAUUUUGUAAUUUGAAAAUUAAAACUUGUAAUUUUAAAUUUAAAAUUUUCAAAUUUUUAAAUUUAUGUUUUAAAAUUUGAAAUGUCAAAAGGUAAAUUUUAUCUUAAAUUUAAAAUUUUAAAAAAUUAAAAUUUAAGAUUUGAAAGUUAUAUUUAAAAUUUAAAAUCUAAAUUUUAAAUUUUAAAUUUGAAAAGUUCAGAUUUAAAAAUUCAAAUAUGAAUUUAAAAUUUCAAAUUUUAAAUUUAAUGUUAAAUUUAUACUUUGAAUUUAAAAUAAAAAUAAAAAUAAAAAUUUAAUGUUUGAGUCCAAAAUCAGAAUCAGUUUUGGAGAAGCAGUUUUUUUUCUGCUUCUGAUUCUGGAGCCUUCAAAAUCAGUUUUCGAAUUCUAAAAAACAAAAUCAAAUUUCCAUAUGUCGUUCCAAACGUUCUACUGAGCUCAAAAGUGAUUUUGAGCUCAGAAUCACUUCUGAGAAGCUAGGCCAAACACCCCCUUAACCACAUUAGUAAAACAAAAAUAAAAAAAUAUAGGAAAACAUUUGACAAAGUGAGUAUGUUUAGACUGCAAAAUUUUGGGCAAUGCAACAGUAUCAAGUCAGUUAAAAUAUAGCACAAAGCUCACAAGCAGAGCGGAAAGGUCCUAUACAAUUACCUUCUUCAAUGACACCUUUUAAAGCCCAUAAAUCACCCAUUAUAGGUCCAGCUCCACCUAUCAGAGAUGAACUACAACCAAGUAAGUGCCUAUAAAUACGAAUCCAGCAGGUUCAAAGCGUCAAUAUGUACAGAGUAAAUCAAAUCAUAGAGUCCAUUACUCUCUAGCGCAGAGCAUCUCCAAAUAGGGAAAAUCAACUAGAAAAACCACAUCUAUUUAUUUUCACAAACUAUAGUACAUCCGUAACUAACAAAAAAAAAAAAUAAUGAUUAGAGCAACCACUUUGAAAGAAUAUCAAUAUGAAGAUAUUACUGACAUAGGACCGGUCAAAAGAAAACCCAUGUGAUCACAGGCAUUGGUUAUCAAAUCUAUACCUUAAUUUCAAGGACAAAAUAUUGAAAUUAUUACCAGCCAGAAGUGGUUUCAUACAUGUCAAGCUAACAACGUAAUGUACUUUAACCGUAAAAAGGAAGGAAAAAAAAAAGAAAAAAAAACUGAGAGAAUCGAAAUGCAAACUUUUGAUAAAAAGUCGCUUAUUGAAAAGCAACAUUAAACAUGAAAACAAAUAGAGCAAUAAGGUGAGUAGAUAGCUUCUGUAAUACAAGAGAAUAAUAAAUACACUAAUUUUAGUCAUCAUAAAAUGAUUCCCAAGCAGGGGCGGAGCCAUAACUUUUGUGUGAGGAGGGCACAACAGAUAUUAGAUUGUACAUUAAUGAAUCGAUCUGAUCAAUUUUUAAAGAAAAGUAGAUUAAACCAAAAUAAUUUAGUUUGAAUUGAUUCAGUUUCAACAAUUUGGACAGUUUCCUUCGAAUUCAAGGUUUCAGUUUAACAACAACUUCAUAAUAUUAUUUUUAUGCAGAAAUUAUAAUAUUUAAGCACCAAAUUGGCUAGCUUGAUAUCUUUUCAAAAAUAUAGUUUGAUAUCUAAAGCUUAUUAAUUAUUGUAUAAUAUCUAUAAAAUUUAAAAUGCAAUAAGUAGCUAUUUACUACAUAUAAGUCUUUUACUAAUUCAGAAAAAAAAAACAAUGAAUAUAUUAAACUACAAUUUAAUCUUAUUUUAAAGAGAAAAAAAAAACCCUCCACAUACAAGGAUAGUUAUGCCAAAGAGAGAGAGAGAGAGAGAGAGAGAGAGAGAAUGGAUUCAUUCCUUUCCAAAAUGGUGCAAGCACUUUUUAGUUGUCUACUCCUUAUAGUCAUAUAUAAAAAAUAGGGACAAUAUUAGUAAGUAAUCGAAAAGGUAGGGCACAUGACAAAGACAAACAAGGGACCUUUGAGUCAAUCAUGGGCAUGUGCUUGCCUAUGCCAAUGCUUGGCUCCGCCACUGUUCCCAAGGAUAUAAGGGCUUGGUAAACAACAACUAGGGCAUUCACAAGUAAUAAAAGACACAAUCAGAAACCAACCAUAAAAUGAACUACUACCUCCACUACCCACCUCUACUAACAAAUGCAAUUGCAAACAUCAUUAUGGAGUAAAUUCCUAGAAUAAACCGUACAGCAGGACCAAAUUAACACAUCCACCUUUAAAGUGCAAACCUUUAAAGUGUAAAGUGCACAACAGGGGUAGAUAAUGGCUGAAGCUUGAUCAUAAUUUACCUCUACCCCCAAAGAUGAGCAAUCGUUUCUCAACCAUGGUAGCCGAAUGUCCACAUCUUGGCGGUGGCACUGAACCAGAAACUGAUAAUUCUCUCCACUCAAGUGAAACUGUUGAAAUAAUAAGGUAAACAGCCAUAGAUCAGAUUUUCAUUUCCCAAAGAUGCAAAUCUAGACCAAGUAUAACAACAUUAUUAGAACAGAUAUAAGAACAAAGAGCAGAAAGCUCACUUGUAUCCAAGAUAUACACAUCUGAAAGCCAUUUUUUACCAUCCCAGCCGCCAUACCUGCAUAAGGAUACUGAACUAAUACUUUUACAACAGACCACUAAAAUGAACUGUUUACCAUAAUUAACCAGAUUCUUACAUAACAAUUUUUCGGUUUCCAAUGGCAGAUGCUGCAGCAAACUCGCGUGGUGAUGGUAGAUCACCAAAGCUGGUUAGCUCAGACCACUGCCAAAUAUCUGAAAAGAGAAUAUAAGGAAAGUAGUUACCAAUAAAGAAAAGAAAUUAAUGAGGACAAUAAUGUGAAUCACUGACUCUAUGAUGAUUAUUAAGAGACAACAGAAACAUACCAAGAACAAGAUACACAAAACAAAAAGUUGGCCUCUGUAAUACACUUGACUUCUCUAAAUUGGGGAGUCCUAGUGUGAGUAGGACCUAAGAAACAAGUCGGAUGAUUUCAGAGUUUUUUGAAGGGUGUACGAGUGUUUUCGGCACAAACUAGAUGUGAAAAUGAGCUCUGGGAUGCGAAAAUGAGCUCUGGGAUGUGAAAUCUGCAAAAGCUACAAAUUGUCACAUUGUGUACCGGUACGAAAGUGGGGUACCGGAACCCUAUAUUGUGUUCAGAAAACCAACGUUCGGGUUUUGCAGAACUGGACCCUUAGUACCGGAACUAGGUGUCUGUGUACUAGUAUCCUAAUACGAGUACCGGUACUCAAUACCCCGAAGUGUGGAAAUUAGCUGGGUGCAAAUAUGAGAAUCGGAGGGUUUUAGUUGCAAAUGUGGGCUUAUGUUUAAUACCCCAACUACCCCUUCUUUUCUUAAUGCAAGAGACUCCUCACACCAUUUUACUCUUCACCACACCUCACUUCUCUCACUUUCUCUCUCUGGAUUUGUCUCCAACCAAGGGUUUUGGGGAGAUUUGGCUUGGCAAAAAGCUUGAGCAAGGAGCAAGCCUAGUGCAAGGAGGAGUUUGAGGAAAAGAGAACCCUAAGGUGAGGUUUUGAGAUUUUUGAGUUAGGGUUUGGUUUUAACUCUCUUUUAAUGGCAUUUUGGGAAUCUUUAUGAGGUCCUAGCCUAAAAUAAACUUUUUUUUUUUUUUUUUUUUUUUUUNUGGUAAAAUUCCUGCAUCUAUUCUUGACAUCCUUCUUUAUCCCUCCAUUACAAUUCCAAAUUACAAUCUGCAUCAUGAUAAAAAAGAAAGAGAGGAGAAGAGUCAUGGCUCUGAGGUUCUACCCUUUUUGGAAGACCCCUGAUCAAGUUCCAUAGAACUAUCAUCAUCUUGUCCGGUCAAGUGCGACUCGGUCCUUUUGAUCGAUGCACCAACGACCAGAUCCGUGCUGUAGUCCUCAUCCAUACCGACAUCCUCUUCUUCAGAAUCACUCUCUUCCUCUUCCUCCGAUUGUACUUGGAGGGCUUUACUUACCUCUUGUACAGCUCCCAUAUGGGAGAUGGAGCUAGGCUUAUAGCCCUCACUGGAUUUCCCAUUUGGUUUAUUGGCAUAUGGUAGAGAAAGGUUUGAAGGGCCACAACUAGUAUUCUGCCAAUAAGAAGAUGGAAAAAUAGUACCUCGCGAGGUUAGCGGAUUGGGGUUAACUCGAUUUUUCGGUUUGGAACCCAUGUGAACUUGCUUCCCAUUAAACCACACUGUCUCUGGAUGUGAGAUAAUUGGAUUAGGAACCUCAUGGUUAUCCCCCAAACAAAUAAAAGGUGGGGCCACUUUCUUACCUGGCACAGAUGUUGAGGCAGCCCCUUUUCUAGGUGAGCAUGAUACUUUAUCUUUAGCCACCUUACCACGAGCAUCAUUACUGUCAUUAAAACCCAAGCAGGUUUCUUUUUCAUUUGAGGGGGUAACGUCCACAUCAUUUAUUGCCCCUGAGUUAUCAACCAUAGAGUUCUUAGGGGCAUUAAAUGCUCUGGACACCUUAUGUCUGUGAUCCUCACUUUGGAGUCGACUCCCUACCGUUGGAGUUUGCCGACGUGAUUGGGGAAACCGCAUUGGGCCAGUUUGAUUCAGGCUCACCCCUCCACCAUUCUGGGUCUUCUUUGUUGGUAGGUCGACUGAGAAAUUUGGAUUUUGAACCCCGGUUGAGCUUUCUCGGCGUGCCCCUCGACGUCUUCGACGAGCUGUAAGCCAUGGGCCAAAGGCCUCAUCCUCCAAAAUGGGGGUUUCUGCACUGGGUCUUGACUCAGUACUCGUAGAUUUUUCUUUUACCUCGGCAGCCAACUUGGCUUCUCCUUCCUUCCGAUAAUGGCAUAGCUCGGCCCUAUGUCCAACUAUUCCACAUGUAUAGCAAAACAGUGGCAAAUUUUCAUAUAAAACAGAGACGAAUUUUCGCUGGUCCGGCGUCCCAACCCAGACCCCUCUUUUAAGAGAGGUACUUAGGUCAAGUUCAACACAGAUUCUAGCAUAUCUGCCUCUAUCCACAAAAAUAGUGGUUUCGUCCACCCUGAGCGGUCGCCCGAAAUACGCUGCUAUAGGUAAUAGAGCAUCUACCUCCCAAUAUUCAAAUGGGAGGUUAUGAAGCUGUAUCCAGACCGGUGCCACAUUUAUGGCAUCAUCAGAUGGUUGGAAGUUGUCCCUCCAUCUAAUUAAAUGUAUGGCCUGGCCAUUAAUAGUCCAGGGUCCCUCCGUUAGCACAUAAGACAUAUCAAGCUCGUUAGAAAAACGAAAGGCAUAAAAGCCCUCUGCCAUGUCUGUCACAUGGAAAGGCUCUUUUGUUUGCCAAAUUUUGGCCAGGGCAUUUCGAAGUGUGUUUAGAGAAGGAGGCUUACCUAAGAACUUACCAAAAAGGGCCAGUCUCCAUUUGGCCCGCGCUGAUUCAAGGAUGCUUUCAUCAACCUCUACACAGUCCGCUAUGGAUGCUUUAAGCCUAUCAAGUACCUCAUCCGGGAUGAGGCCUCCCUUUGUCGCUUGAGGACGUUUCCCAGAUACGAUAGCAGCCCACGAGGUCCUUUGUGGGGGCGGCACCUCCGACUCCGGUAGAGAGCUUACCGUCGGCGGAGAGGGUGAGGGAGGAAGGUUUUGAGAGCCCCGCCUGAGGGCGGGGCUCAUCGGGCCAGUCAUGGCGAGUUUUGGGACCGAGCUCUUUUGAAGUGCAGGAGAGAAACAAGACUUUCUCUAGUAAUUGUAAAUAUAGAUUACCUAGCCUAAAAUAAACAUGAAAACCCAUGAGUUUCUGGUGUUCUUGAAAGGGUGUAAACCCUAGGAGUAAAAUUGGGGGUUUUGUGGAAAUAGAGCUUAUAGUGGAAUUGAUCCCUUGUUUCCCUAAUUGAAGAGCACAUCGACGCGAGAGGCAACUCAAAGUGAGCUUUCGAUGAGCCUACGGUGUCCGAUUGAGAGAAAUUGCCGAUUUGCAUGCGUUGGCCUUGGGUCGAGCUAAAUCGGCGACGAUAAAUUGCGAGACCUGAUUUUCCCACUUCUAGACGUCGACACGAGGUGGGUGGUACUAUCCGAAAUAGUCGAGUUUCUUCGUACGUCUAAGUCACUAUUUGUGGCCAUGUAUCAUAUUGCAUGAGAAAUAUGGUCUAGGGUCCUAUGUAAUUGAGUUAGUGGCGGCAUGUUUUGGAAUGUAAAUUGAAACUUAUGAUUGCAUGGCAUAACGACAUACGUUUAUGAAAUGGACAUUGCUAUGAGAACCCUAGAUACAAAUGAAAACUAGUUGUGGACUUAGACAAUUGUGGAACACUAGGAGCAAUGAGAAUUAUUAAGCUUGAACUUAGUGACAUGAACCUAAUGAUAUAAACCUAGUGGGGUGAGUUGUUUAGACCUUGAGCACCAAGAGAUAUUGGGUCAUUGCAUUUGUAGUAUGGCAUGGUGUGCCUCACCAUUGUUGAGCAUUGCAUGACAUAAGGAUGUUGUCACCACUAGUAGGUGGUAGGUCCACCGGAUAGGUAGACGGGAUCAUACUCACACAGUCUAUACUUGGCUUGUGGAGGUUGCGACUCUCACGCCGUGAACUCCGGAGUGUCGCAUAAAAGCGGGUGAGGAUCACGACGGUGCCUCCCUAGGAGACGGUCAUGGCAGUGGUUCUGGAAUGAAAAUUCUCUUGCCCGAGUGACUUGGUGAAGUGAGUUGUGGCUCGACCUACGGGAGAGCCAAUGCAAUUGGGUCAAGGUAAAGAGAGACAGGUCAUGUUCAGUAUCUUGUAUUCUAUGCAUGUUGCAUGUAGUGUGAGUUUGACUAUGAUGAGGUUGUAAAGGCAUAGUAGAUAGAAUUCGUUGCAUAAUGUACAUUGGGUAGAGGUAGAUGUCUAUAUUGUCUACUUUCAUUUUUGUAGGUGUUUACUGUUUCUAUAUCUAUAUGCCUUAUUAGAUCUAGUGGGAAAAUCGACAAGAUUGAAAGCAGAACCCACUGGGAACUUCUUUUAAUUCUCACCCCCUAUUUUGCAGAGCCGAGCACGAGCGGAUUCAUCAAGGAUCGUGGCAAGGACAUUGAGCCCUAGGUAGUGGGACCACCGAGGCUAGGUCUGUUUUCCUUAUUAAUAGUAAAAGACACAUAACAUUUUGGGUGAAUAUGAUGUAUUUGUGAUGGAAAUUUUGUAUGUAAUAGACAUAAGUUAUAAUCUAGUAACUUAUAUUAAACCCCAUAUCUUUUGUCCACGUGGCUAAAUUUUCUUAACUUUUGGGAUGUAGGACCUACCUGUCAGUAUAAUUUAACUUAAAUUAGGAAAGGUGGGACCCACCUGUCAUUGUAUUUAUCUCUUUUCCUUCAAAUGAACCAAUAAAUCUUCCCUAUUUACAUGAACCGCUUUAAUGUAAACCACAUUAAACCGUUUCCCCCUUGGGUGUCACUCCAACUCUCGGUGUUCGCCCCUUCCAGAUGGAAAAUAGGGUUUGGUGCAAAGCCAAUCCGUUUUUCCUCCCCGUCACUUCCAUCUGCGGCUCUUCGUUCUCCUUCGCCACAUCAGUUUUUGAAAUCUGUUGAAUCCGAAGGGCUUCCCGUACUCGUCGAUUCCGUUUACGGCACUUUAUUCUCCUUCGUUGUAGCAACUUUCGGAAUUUGUUGAAUCCGAUGGGUUGUGCUACAAUAUUCUUAGAAUAUGUCGAUGCUUCAACUUUAACUUCGAAUUCGUGGGCAACGAAGAAGGAGGCCGCGGUGGUUCCCACAGCCAUCUGUCACGUGGUCACCAUAGGGAGGUGAAAACAGUCCAAUUCCCCAAAAUGUAACCUGUAGAUCAGAGAUUUGUGGAGAAUGCUCAGAUUGGUGAGGUAUAUUCUGAUCGGGUAGGAUUCAAUUUCUUUUUUCUUUUCUUUUCAUCAUUCAUCUUUUGUUAUAGCUACUCUCUUUCUCUACCUCCUAUAGCUAUGGCAGCCUACCUUGAACGCACUCUAUCACCAUUGCUCUAAAGCUUUGUGAAGCUUCACUAUCUUCAGCCUUUGCCUCCAAGUUGACCCACACCCUUCAGUUGUUUGAACAAAUGCCACUUUGAGUGUUCUUUCACGUUUUCUCUCAAACACCAGCAAAUAUGUUUACAUCUUUUAAAUCUCCUCUUAUUUGGUUCAUUUUUGAUAGUUAUUUAUAUAUCUGUUGGAUAAAAAAUGUGAUUGUUUUAUUAUCCUUUUCUUUCUAAUGCAAUUUUUUUAUCUUUGUUGAGAAUCCGUUGUUUCUACUAAUUAUAUUUGUUUUGACAUUUUGGAUGUUAUAAUGAUACAAUGCAACUUCGAUUAUCUAAUUUUGCCAGUUUUCAUCCUAUAUCAAUGUCUAUUAAGAGUUUGGUAUAAUUUCCUAUAGACACUCUGUCACAUAGAUACUUUCAUGUCACCAUUUUUGUUGAACUUACUAGGAAGUUCAUCUUGCUAAUUUUAAUAUUUGUUUUUGCCCUUUAUCUGUUUGAUGAAAUGCCAAAUCCACCAUCUUUUCUUAAUAUCUCUCAAAUCUUUAUAAUAUGCUCAACUUUAUACAAGUUUUUUUAAUUUCAUAAUUUUUUUUAAUCUUUUUCAAGGUAUUUAUUGCAAAACGGUCGGCUCUAUGCCAAACACUAGCAAUUAUUGCAAAUUUACAAAAGUAUGUUUUACAUGAUGAUGUAAAAACACAUUCUUUUCUACUUGGCAUGACGAGUAUAUAAUUUAUGUAAGAAAGUCUAAGCCUUACUUCCAUUUGAGUGAUUCUAUUUUGUUUUUUAUUGAUGCUAAGUCCCACAAGUAGAAACUUCUAAUUGCAAGAUUUUUCACUUUUUGUUGCUAUAGUAAGAUUGUAUGAUGUUAUUCUUUUUUUUUUGUUGCUCAAAUAUUAUAUAUGUUUAGCCACUUUGGAGUCAAUAGUGCUGCAAUAAGGUUUGCUAUUGACAAUCAAGUAUUGAAUGCAACCAUUUUUUGUGAUCAGAUCAACUAGGAUGGAAGCCUCAAGUUAGUAUUUUCUAAUGUUGAUUAGUCUUUAUAUAUCUAUACAUCUAUUUUCGUUUCAAUAUAUAUGUUUUAUUGUUGGUUUAUCAUUAGUAGUUUGAAAAUUAACAUUACUAACCAAAGAGAUUUUUCUUGAUUUUAUAAUAUUCCUUUUUUAAAAGUUUUGAGAAGAGUUGGUCAACUUUUGUUGGUGGUUUGAUUAUACCGUUGUUUUUGAUAAAGAAAGCACAUAAUUUUGGAGAAAUGUGAACCUAACUCUCCAAUAUUUUGAGAUUGGUGGCCUAGGAACAUUUUGAUGAUUUCAAUGUAAUUUAGUAAAUGUUUUGUAAUCAAAUAGAGAAAAAGAACAUGCCUAUAUAGGACUCACAUCAUUGAUCUAAUCUAAUGUACUUUCUCAUAUUUUUUUUCUUAUCAGGAGUCUGCAACUAGGGUAAAAAGCUUCAAAUUGUUGGUUAUUCACAACAUUUUCAAGUGAAAAUGUCAUAGAAUAUGCCAAGAAUGUAAGUCAUGCUAUAUGAAUUUAAGACAAUUGAGUAAUCUCUAACCUAAUUGCUUCAAGGUACACAGGGCACAUUCUUUUCUGUUAAUUGUGAUUUUGAUCUUAUUUUGAUAAUCUUUGGUGUGUGCAACUUCAUCCUUCAAAUUCAUGGGUUGGAUAGUUAUAUAUAAUUUUCGAUGAUUUCAAGGUUUGCCGAUGUAGAAAGAGAAAGACAACACUAAAGUAUAGGUACCAUUUCAAGAUGCAAUGUAGUUUAAGCAAGAUCUGUAUGUUUCUACCUUCUAAUUUUGUGUUGUAUGAGUAGGGAACUAACAUUCUAGCUUGCUUUGUAAACAUUUUAAUAAGAUCCCCCAACUUUUUAUGAUUGUUUGUAUCAUAUCUGUGUUGUCUCCAUAUAAUGGUGAAUAUAUUUCAAGCAAUUAUUCACUCUACCACAUUAGUUUCUGCAAUCAAUGAAUGAUACACAAUAAGAUGUUCUAAUCUUUGCCAAUAUGGUCUCUAAGUUCAAAUAUAUCAAGACCACUACUUCUGAGUUUUGAAUUGGACUCAAAAACACUAGAACUGGAUAAAGAUCCAAAGUCAUUAUUGUCGACAAUUGAAGUUUGAUUAAUGUAAACAAUGACUACUGAAACUUUUUUCAUUCAUGCUUACUAUUCUUUCUUACUUCUUACUCUUUUGUAUUCUUUCUUCAUGUGUAGUAAAUUUUGCUAUGUGAUUUUUGUUUGAUGGCUGUGUUGUGAAAGCUAUUGUAAUAAUUGAUUUACAUGAUAUGUGUCUUCUCUUAACAAGAUUGAUUGGAUAUCUUGGAGUAAUUGAUCCUUUGCUAUCAUAUAUUAGCUUUCCUGUGAGUCUUUGGUCUAUAAUGCGUCUUUGUAUACUAUUUCUUAUUUACUCACUUUCUUAUGUACACCUUCAUCUUUAAGUGUGUACCAACAAAUUUACCUAUUUUUAUAUUAUCCAAUCGUUUGAUUUUAUAACUUUUAAGUAAAAAAAAUUAUAGCAAUCAAUAACUAUUAGCUAACAGAACUAUUAAUAUUAAUAUAAUAUUUUAUUCAGUUAAACAAAAUAGGUCAUCUAAAAAUUAGGAAUGCAAUAAACAAAAUUUAAAAAGUUGAGGAGCUUAUUUCAAACUACCUAAUAUCUAAAAGUUAGAAGGUUCUUAGUACAUUUUCAUCGAUAAAAUAAAUAAGAAGAUGGAGAACUCUAUAUAGGCAUCAAGGAAUUUUUUAGAAGAUAGUCAUGUAUACUUUGAGAUUUGCUACAAAUUCAUUCUAUAAUUCUUUAUUAUCUACGGGCUAUUAAGCAAAUUUUGAAAAAUUGAGGGGGCCAUGAACCUAAGGACUAUUAAAUAAAUUUUGAAAAGUUGAGGGGUACUAUGGCCACUUUGGGCCUAUAAUAGCUCCUUUCAUAAAUAAUUAUAUAGAAGGCACCUGAGCUCAUAUUUGGGUGAUAUUCAUGUCUUCACCGAUCUGGUUAAAUGUGGACAUCCUUCUCUGUUGAGCCCUGGCAGCUUUGUGAUAGAUAAUAGAGUCUUUUCUGAGUGCAUGCUUAAUAUUUCUUUUAAGUUUUUUAUCUUUUUUCUUUGUCACUUUUAGUAAAUUUUGCUUUACUAUCCAUGAGCUCUUGCAAUUUGAUGCUCUUUUGAUGUGCAAUAAUUGUUAUAUGAUUUCUAUUUGAUGAUUGUGUUGUGAAAUAGUAAAAGCUAUUAUAAUCGGUAAGUUUUGCUUGAUAUGUGACUUCUUUUGAAAAUCGUUGAUUAGUUCUUUUGGAAUAAUUAAUUUUUUCUUAUCAUAAUUUAGUUUUUUUAAAGGUAUUUUAUCUAUAAUGUGGUCUUUAUAUAUUUUUUUGUGACAUUUUAUUCUUUGUAAAUUUUUACUUUAACAGUGUCUACCUGCCGCAACGGGUAGGUCACUACAAUAGUAUAUAUGAAAGGAUGUAACUUGUUGAAUGUUCCAAAUUGUGAAUGCUCAAAUGUUGUAAUAGAUAAUUUAAAUUCUCUCGUUCUUUGAUAUGCCCUCGUGCAAAUAUGUAGUGUUGAUCUUUCCUGAUUGGAUAUUAAUGCACGGACUUUGCUACGCCUUGGACGGAGAGGGGAGACUCUGUCCAUUCGGCGAGUCUAUUGCGAGCCCGAACUGUCCAAAUUGGCGGUGUCGGGGCGUGACAACCUCAAUAUGCAAUGACAGCUAAUUAUAUAAUCAAGCAUAAUUUUCGAAUCAAAAAACAAUAUUAAAGUUGAUACGCCACAAUCAAUGAGUUGUACUAUAACAAUGAGCAUUAAUAGAAGAACAGAUGAUCAUGACAAAAGACCAAAAGCUGGGUCUUUAAUAGGAGCAAGAGACAAGAAAAGCAUUGCCAGGCAAAGAAUUAGAGUGAAGAAAUCUACAAUUUUAGAAAAGGGGAUGAAAGGCGUCAUAUUCUGCAAGUAGAGUUUCAUGCGCCCAAAAAUGAAAAAGGGAAAAAUAUAAUGACACCAAAACAAACCAAAGCAAGAUUUUAUAUCCAGAUAAUAAACAGCAAUCAUAUGAAAUUUCAGUUGCACAUGAUAAAUCAGAUAGAAAAUUAAUUAACAGGAUUUCUAUAACAUCCAACAAACAUAGAAAGAGUAGACAAACUCACCAGUAUCAAGCAUCCAAAAGUCACCCAACCUAAUAAACAAAUAUCAUUCAGCAAAUAUCAAAGAAAAAAAAAAACCAUUGCUGCAAUGACUAGAAGCAGCAGAAAGAUGCAAGAAUGUGGACCUCUUACUACCAGAACGGCCACCAAAGAUGAACAUGUUACAGUCAAUUGCAACAGCAAUAUGGAAUGCUCUUGGACUUGGACCCACUUGUCCAUCGGUUCCACUACCCGUACACUCAGGAGCAUACCACAACUUAUUUUCUGCAGUAUGAACAACAGGCAAUCACUUAAAAGAUUUCCUAUCAAGGAUGACAGUCCAAAAGUUGAUGACAUAGUUACGGAUUUAGGGCUUUCAUGGCAUAGGCCGCACUCUAUAGAGAAAUAUGCCUCAAGGCUCAAUAGCAUUCUAACGGACAACUGUGAAACGAAGGUAGACAAGGUACAACAUGGUGCAUAUAAACAUAGUGCGUAUAUGGUUGGAGGGGUGCUCGAAAUUAAUCCUUGACUUCAUACUUUAGAAAGUACACUGUAAAUGGUAAAUAUAAGAAAGCAAUAAUUAUUAAAAUAAGUAUUAGGAAAAGGCAAUAUAUAUGUGAACUAGCUACUUGUAUAAGUUGUGAUUUAGUAAUAAAUCGAAACACCAAAAUUCCUUACCAGAAUUUAAAUAAAGCUUCAUAGCAAGGUAUUCGAACAUGAAAUGAUAUAAAAUGAAAAAAACAGUAUGUAGUAAAAUGAAAUUUUUGUUGUUAGCUAUGACAAAGAAGUUAGCUAUUUGAUUAUAGGACAAAUCUGAGUAAGAGUUGAAUACAUAAAAUUUUGACCAAUACUUUUCCUCAGUGCUUCUUCCAAGAGUUUACAGCUAUGCCUCUUGCCGCUGAUUUCAGUUUAAUUUUAGCCUUUUGUAAAAUCGUGUUCUCCAAUCAUCAAAGUUGGAAGUUCAGAUCCAAGGAGAGGAUUUCAUCAGUCGACUAUUGGAGAUCUCUACGGAUACAGAGUAUAUUAUUAGAGCAAGCUGAAUCAUAAUAUCCCCUACGUGAUGCUUUGUAGCUGAAAGUACUUAGACUAGUACAUGCUUUAGUAAUUUGAAACAACAUUGUUUCGAACUUCACGUGCCCUUUUCCUUUUGGAUCCCUGCUAGAAGCAACCUAGAUGGUAUUUAUUGAGGGAAAGAAAUACUUGAAACAAAAGAAUUUACCAACAUUGCCCCUCGUAGAGACAGAGAUUAAGUUACAGUAUUGCACUUGGCAGAGCAAUAUCAUCAAAUCCAUCACAAGAAGAAAGAAUUGAAAAAUUAUCACUUCAGAUUUAGGUUAAUAUGGUUCAAGAGCAUAAAGGAAAAAAAAAAAAGAAUAGUGACCCAACUAUCUUGCGCACUGAAAGCAGUUAAUGUUCUGUUUGGCCCUUCUUCUACUACUGCCUUCAGCAGCAGCAGCAGCCUCGUGAAGAAUUUGAAGCUCUAAUUCGGUGCAGCUGGGAGUAUAAACAAGAUUCCGAGCGUCAAAAAUAAAAGCUCUAAUUCGGUGCUUAUAAUUCUGAUGAAGAAUGAGGUCUUUGAGGUAGUUUAAAUUAGUUUUUCUCACGAUAUAUAGUUCUGCUCUGACCGCAGUUAGUCAAACAGCACUCACUACACUCGGCGGUAGGACCGAAAACUUUGGUGAGAUCAUGCUGAGAAUUGUUCGCGGAAGUGAUCUAAUAAGCUAUCUUAUUUUGCACACAAAAACGAUUAAAAAAAAAAAAAAAAAAAAAAAAAAAAAAAAAAAAAAAAAAAAAAAAAAAAAAAACUUAACGAGAUCAACCAGAGAACUGCUCGAAGAAGCGAUGUAAUAAACCAAAAUGUUGCUAAAAAAUACAAUGAGGUACGGCCGGGGGACUAUCAAAUAUCAAUAGGAGAAAUCCGCGAUUACCGAUGUCGUAGACGGUGAUAUCGUCGAGGAACCUCUUGUCGGCGAAGCCGCCGAACACGACCACCUUGGAUUUGCCGAUGUCCACGGCGGCGUGCCCACUGCGGUCACCGAAUUCAGAUUACCAAAUUCAGCACCUGAGCUAGCUAGUAGCCAAGCAACGCAGAACGGACCGGCAAGGAAAAAAGAAAACCGAGAAAGAAGAAAAAAAAAGAGGAGGUUUUAGGGGUGAUGGAAGCGGCACCUUCGAGCGUGGGGUGGAUUUCCUCGGAAAUCGGAGGAAUCGGCUUUCACCCAAUGCAUCUCUCCCUCCCGCUCGCUCCUCUCUCUCUCUCCCCCCCUCUUUCUCUCUCCCUUCUAUGUGCGCGCGCGUGUGCGGCUUGUGCGAUGGAAGUUGACGGCGGGUUGAACAAGAAAGGGUCCGGUCCAGUUUCUGUAGAAUUAUUUUGAGCGGACUUUUUUCGAAAAUAACCCUGUAAAAUUUCGUAUUUGCCAAACUAAUCCUGUAAAAUUUUUAUUUGUGAAACUAACCCUCCUUUCGCCACGUGAGCGCCACGUCAGAGAUUCCUCAAAAAGACGGUGAAUCGUUCACCGUCUUUGAUAUUUGUUGUGAAGGCGGUGAAUGAUUCACCGUCUUCAUAAGACGGUGAACCAUUCACCGUCUUUAGUACAAAUCACUACACUGCGCAAAUCUUUUCAAGUCCAUAAUAUGGUGUCCUUGAUAAGACGGUGAAUCGUUCCCCGUCUUCUCGAGGGCACAGAAAAGGCGAACGUGAGAGAGCGAAAAGGGAAAAAGGCGGAAAGGGAAAUUUUGCACUAAAGGCGGUGAAUGGUUUACCGUCUUCUAAAGACGGUGAACCAUUCACCGCUUUUACAAUAAAUUACAAAGACGGUGAACGAUUCACCGCCUUUUUGAGGAAUCCCUGACGUGGCGCCCACGUGGCGAAAGGAGGGUUAGUUUUACAAAUAAAAAUUUCACGGGGUUAGUUUGGCAAAUAUGAACUUUCACAGGGUUAUUUUUGAAAAAAGUCCUUCUCGAACUUUUUUUGAAAAUAACCCUCAUCUUGGGUGGUACAUCUUACAACUAUCCUAUCCCAUUAUUGAUAUUAGUUAGCUUUUGAAAAAAAAAAAAAAAAUCAGUGUUAUUCUCGAACUUUUUUUGAAAAUAACCCUCUAAAAUUUCGUAAUUGACAAAAUAACCCUAUGAAACUUUUAUUUGUGAAACUAACCCUCCUCUCGCCACCUCAGCCGCCACAUCAGCAUUUCUUACAAAGACGGUGACUCGUUCAUCGUCUUUAGUCUAACCUCUUGAAGACGGUGAAUGGUUCACCGUCUUCUCUAGGCGUGGACCAUUCACCGCCUUCUCAGCAAUUCCCCGCGUAUCACCGCCUUCUCAGCAAUUUCCCGCGUAGCUUAGGGUGCCUAAGAAGAUGGUGACUCGUUUACCGCCUUAACAAAGGCGGUGAAUCGUCUACCGCCUUAUCUAGGCGUAAACCAUUCACCGCCUUCUCAGCUGGGUUCGUGUCAUAGAUAAGCCGGUGAAUCGUCCACCGUCUUAUCUAAAGACAGUAAAGGCGGUGAAUCGUUUACCGCCUUAUCUUGGCGUAAACCAUACACCGCCUUCUCAGCAAAUCCCCCGCCCAACAGCCCGGGUUUGUGGCAUAGAUAUGUCACGCCCCGGGACCCAGCGGAAGCCCGCCCGGCGCGUGCCCAGACCCGCCAUAUGUCUACAACAUAUAAGGCGUCUAAAAACAACAAUAAUAAAAGCAAUAAUACAAGACGUCUAGUAGUAUCAGAGCAUAAAAAAAAAGUCUAAAUGCUACAACAAGGAAUAAAGUUAAAACUGUAAAUCCACUAAAUAAAAUAUAAAGUAAGUACAAUAGGGAUCCCAUAACAAGUGCUAAAAGGAGUACACGGUGGUCUCUCUAUACAGGGUACAAAAGCCUCACACUCUCUCAAAAUAUAAAAUGGAGGAGUAAACCACCUAGGCAAAAGAACUCUCCGCGAGCUAGCUACGCGACACCCUUGCCGCGAUCCCGUGNGGUCCGAGUAGGGAUCCCACCCCUAAUACUGAUGGUGCCCCGGUAAUCCGAGCCGUGGCCGGUCUGUCGGAUGCCCACCCAGAGUCCCGGUAUCUGUCGGAAGCCCACCCAGAGAAGUCUAAACUGAAGCUCAUAAGUACUACUGAAUCACAUGAUGAACCUGUACUGAUCUUAUCAUUGUUGCCCUGAAAUGAUAAAGCGUAACACCUGUAAUACUAUCAACCUCUGAAAAUGAAGUACGUGUCAACGAAAUUAUGAAUACGAUAAAUAUGAUUCAUCUCUAUAGUACCCCACGGCAAUCCACUUCGGCGCCCAAUCCCGCACGGCGAAUAUGAAUCGCGAUGGCUAUCUCCGGAGUGCCGGCUUGUAGGGAGCGACCCUCACAAGCAUGUGCGAAUGAGCACAAUGGCAAGUAGUCAAACGAUCUGUCACAAGUACCAAGUCCUCAUGUCUAAUAACAUGGAAUAUGUCACCAAUCUCACAUAGGCCUAUCCCUAUGUCGUCAUGUCUACAACAUGGGAUAAUAGAUGUUCAAGUGGUCUAAUUCUAUGUCUCAAUACGAUAGUCUCAUAAGUACUAGUCUAAGUGCCCCUUUAUGACACUUUCAUUCACUAAGUUCAAGUUCAUCCCAAAUGUUCAUAAUUACAUAACUGAACCAUUUUAAGCAUAUAGAGCGUGUUUCCAAAUGACUAGAGAGAGCUCUACCCGAAUGCAUGCAACAAUACCCAGAAUGCUCUACUAUAUAGAGUGAAGAUUUUCUUAUACAUAACACAUGUAUUUCAGGGGUUCAAAAAUUUCCAUAAAUACUACUUAGCAUAGAUAUGCAUUCAAAAAUAGUAGACAAAGAGUUUAGAAUGCUUAGGGGCCGUUUCGCCCAUUUUUAUGAAGCCAAACCCACCGAUGGUAAACGAAACCCUUCGUUUGCUCCAACGAAGAUGUCCAAUAGCCUCCUAGUAUCCUAGAGGUACAAGAACAUGCGUCACACGAACCAUACGAACAACCAAUUACCCAAACAUUAAGCUAUUCAAGCAUAGGUGGAGAGAACUCACCUCUAGUGCAAAAACCCUCUCCAAUGCUCCAAAAGAUGGCUAAAGUUCAUCCAAUCUAACCCAAUGGAAGCCUCUAAUCCACUCAAUCUAGCUUUAAAAGCCCUAGAUUCAAAAUACCCAAAACAAACCCUAAUAUCACAAUCUAGGGUUUCAAUACCAUUCAACCAAUAAAACCCCUAAAUAGAGGGAAAGAACAAGAAGCUUACCUCUUAGAAACUUUAAAUCAAGCUCUAAAAGCUCUAAGUCCCAAGAUCUUCCCUCCACAAAGCUCCAAUCCCAAGCUCUUGGCUUCAACCAUGGAGGAAAAGCACCAAAAAGGGAAAAAGAGAGAGGUUAAUCCAAGAAAAACCCAAAAGAGAGGGACCAAACCCAAAGAAAUGAAGGGGAGGGUGCCCUACCUUCUCCUCCCUGUGCUCUGAGCUCAGGAGGUGCCCUAAGGGGCGUGGGUGCUAAAUAGAUUAGGCACAAACGCGGAAAACCCCCUGCAGUUCAAACUGGCAUGAAACUGCCUCCUGUACGCGGUACACGGCUCUUGUACCGGUACAAGGCGACGAAUUGCAAACCCGAGCUCGGGUCGCGCGGUCUGCAGGCUCUGUACCGGUACAAGCUCGAUGCUGUACCGGUACAACCAUCAACCCUUGUAUCCGGUACAAAGGCCAAUCUUGUUCCGGUACAACCCUGCUUGCAGGCUGCCCGAAGCUGUCAAAAAAUUCCGAUUUUGAAUUUUGGUGACGCAAGUCCACUUCAACAUCCUCGGGAUGCGUGACAGGGUCGGAACACUAUCAACCGACCCUCCAAAACAUGGGAAUUCCAAACACAGAUCAAACACUCGAAUCUGUGCAUUUGCUAAGAUCCAGUGAUUACAUCAGCCACCUCCUAAAAAGGAGUUUCGUUCGCGCGAAACUCAAAUCGACGUACCUCAAGACUCCUCCUGAAAAAAGGUGAGGGUAGCGCCCCAGCAAAGCGCUCUCCACUCGCCACGUGGCCUCUCGCUCCUCGUGGUUGCUCCAAUAGAACCGUUUACAUACGGAUGUCCCGAUUCCGUAUCUCUCUUCAACCUUCGCUGAGCCAAAAAUCUUCACGGUUCUCCUCGAAAGCUCAGAUUCCUCGCGCGCUCCCUGUAUAGUUCCCAAAACAUGAGCUGGAUCUUGAAUGUCUACGAAGGACGCGAUACAUGGAAGACUUGUGGCACGCCGGAUAGUUCGAUGGUAGAGCAAGUCGAUAUGCCUACUCGACCCCACACCUCGACACGAUCUCAUACGGUCCAAUGAAAGACGGGGCCUCAACUUUCCCGAAUCGCGAAUCUCUGGAUUCGCUCUAUGUCGGCGAAGACCUUCAAAAAACAUGGUCUCCAACUUGGAACUCCAAGUCUCGCCGUCGCUCGAUCGCGUAGCUCUCCUCUGUCUACUCUGCGCACGUCAAAAGUGGGCUCCCGAGCAUUUCGAAACCUUGUCCUCAGCUUCCUGGAGCACAUCAGGGCCUAAAAGCCAAUCUCUCGUGACUUCAACAUCUCAAUGAAGUGGCGAAUCUAACCUUCCGUCCACUUAAAGUGCUUCGAAGAGCGCGCAUCUUGAUGCUUGCUUGAUAACGUUGUUUAUAAGCAAACUCCGCUAUAGGUAGAUGCUGGGCGACCAUCUGCCCUGGAAGUCUAUCCACAAGCACGGACAUAUUCUCUAAAGUCUGAAUAGUGCGCUCGACGCCAUCACUCCUGCGGUGGAAUCGGAGGUACUGAAAUCCAAUCGUGGCCGUAAGGCAUCCUGUAGGACUCCAUCCAAAAAGUGGAAUGAAGCGUGUGUCGGCGAUCAGAUACAACGCUGUAGCACUCCAUGAUAUAGUCGGCAUCAAUAUCAUCUAGUACAAAUUGUUGCGAGCUUCUCUCGCGGUUCUAAGCGUAUGAAUUAGGUAAAUAAGGCGCCGACUCGUCAAACGACUAUGCCACGAAUCUACCCAUAUAUACGUUCAUGCGCCCGCCUGUGACGUGCAAUCCCUGUCACAAAAUCGCCAUGUGAUCUUCUGCCACACUUCCACACGGGAAUAGGCUAAAUACUCUGAAGUUUUCACGCAGGGAUACCGUGGCUCAGCCUUUACUUGUUAGGCAAGUUAGAUCAACUGAGGCGUACAAAUCCGCCAACGUCCUUUUCAUCCCGGCCCACCAACUGAGCAAUUUUAAGUGCCUUAUAUCAUUUCUGUGCCACCGGAUUUGUACGCGCAAUAGGGCGGGCUCGUGGCGCUUCUUGAAAGAAUAUCGUUCUUUAAUUCCCGAACCGCCGGAACACAUAGUCGUCCUCGAAAGCGCAUCAACCCUCGGUCGUCCACAAGGAAAUCGCCGGUGCAACCAUCAACCAUUUUUCCUCUAAUCUUUCGCAAUUCCAAAUCGGAAACUUGCUUCUCUUUGAUUCUGUCCAACAAGGUAGGUUGCACUACUAAUGUCAUCAACCUCAAGGGUGUGUCAGGAGUCACUAUCUCCAACUCCAACCGCUUCAUCUGCUCGAUCAACUGCGGUUGAGUCACCACAUGCAUCGCUAAGUUUUCCAUCGAUUUCCUACUCAGCGCAUCCGCCACCACGUUAGCCUUGCCUGGGUGGUAAAGGAUCGUCAGAUCAUAAUCCUUGAGUAGCUCCAACCAUCUGCGCUGCCUCAAGUUUAACUCCUUCUGAGUAAAUAGGUACUUUAAGCUCUUGUGAUCCGUGUAUACUUCACAUCGCUCGCCAUAAAGAUAGUGGCGCCAUAGCUUUAAUGCGAAUACUACGGCCGCCAACUCCAAAUCAAUUUUAUAUGUCAUACCGGCAACCCAUAGGGCAAUCAGCCAUGUCGGCAACAGCUCCAACGCUAGUAGGUCGGCCGACAUGUAGAUGGUCCCAAGCCCAAAUCUAUAAAUAAAUGACAAUAAUUUAAACUGUUGAACUUAAAUAGGAGAAACUUUAUAUAACAAUUAUUAUAUAUUACUCAUAAUACCUGUACUAAUGUCGCAAAGCAACAGCAUUCGACCUUUCCUUUUAAUGCAGCCGAUCCUAAAGCUCGAUAUAGAUAGGCCAGUGCUGCUGCACCCCAGGCUAAAGCGCCGAGCCCAGUCAAAGAUUCCUAUUCCAGGCGGGGCGGGCCAUCCACCUUCGAAUGGUGUUGGUCUGUAGGACCGUGAACGGAUUCGCCUCUGGCCUCUGGGCACGUCGGAACCGCAUGCAUCAAAAUCUGCUAUAAGUGGCAGCCACUUAAGAUGAACCCUAUAUCCGGUGGGGUUUGGAAAUAGACUACAGCCAAUCUGAUAUAAUAUAUAUGCACGUGCAGUGGCUGCAACUAAUCCAGCCGGAGCAUCCAAAUGUAGAUGAUGAAACUACUGGUAUAUCCAAUCUAAUCUAAUCUGCCCAGCUCGGAUGUCAUCCGGCACAACCCCUAAAAGCGCCUGACAAAUAUUUGGCCACGGAUACACUGUAGUCCCAGUGACCGGCGCUCCAUCGACACGAAGACCCGAAAUAACCGCCACAUCCUGAAGUGUAAUCGUCAUCUCACCAUGGCGGAAGUGAAAUGUCUGGGUCUCCCGUCUCCAUCGCUCGAUCAAAGCUCCUAAUAAUGUCUGAUCCAGCUGUAGACGCCUAAGUCGAGAAAUAUAAUAAAAUCCAGACUGUCAUAGCAAAUCUAGCACUGCUGGAUGAUCAAGCUCCCACUUGUUUAAUUUGCGGCCAUGCUCUAUGAACUGCACCCCGCGAUAUCCCUACAGUGAAAAAAAUAUGUUAGAACAACAUUUAUAUUCAAACCAAUACUAAAGAAAAUAUUUAAAACAAUAAUUUUGGCUCUCACCUCAGUCGUGAUAAAUGAAGACCUAUGGAGAUGCUGCUCUGUCAGGACGGACUCAUCAACUGGUCCCGCCUCAUCUAGAUCUGCCAUCUGUAAUUUUAAAUAAUUUAUAAUUAGUAACAUAUUAUCAAAAAGCGCGUUGANUAGUCUUGUCGUGAAGGUACCGAGAAGAUCCAACCUACGACUAGAUGGCGAAUCUUCUCGGCAAUAUACCAACCUGUUGAGCCAAUUAGGCGCGGACAGAUAGGACACCGGUAUUCCCUCCAAAAGCAUCAAUCUUGCCGCAAGCGGUUCCGAUCGUCUGAAAGUGGGCUGAAAGUGGUAUGGAGAAUCAGGAGUAGUGGCCGAUCAUGCACAAAUAAUAACUGAUCACAAGGGAAGAUCUAUAAAUAGGUCAAUAACGCCCUAAAAAGGGGUCUUUUUCCUGUGAACAAAAGACCACCCUUAAGUCCUCGCAAUUUUCUGCAUAUUUUAGGAGUAGUCUACUUGUAAUUUUCUCUUUCUCGCAUUUAAUGUUCUUCCUAGGAGUAGUUUUAAGUAGAUCAACCGAGUCUGCAUGCCAUCCGGCAUACUCGACCCCUGUACUUCUUAUCAGUGAAUAUAAAGGCAUUCGGCUCUUCAAGCCGAUCCAUUCCUUUGUUCUAUAGUCAUUCGGCUCCUCGGCCGACUUCAGUUCUUGCUUUGCCCGUACAUUCGGCUCAUCCAGCCGAACCGAAUUUAGUGUAGAGUUUUGAACCCGGCUGAUCCGAUCCCUCAUCAGCAGAAUUGCUUGAUCGAUUGAAGGGCGCAAAUUUCGAGGGUCAGUAUCAAGAGCCGUUUCCAUCCCAACACGCUCCCCGAGGAGGACCUUUGACCAGGUCGAGGAUCGGAGAUUUUCAGCACCAACAAUUUUUAACACGCCUAGUGGGACUCAUUUAAGGUAAAACUAUUUUUGUUUUAAGAUAAUGGCUGAUGAUAAUGCCAUGAAUCUACGUAAUAGGGCCGUUCCUAGAAGUUCUCGGAGCGAACAGCCCACUAAUUCAGAAAAUAUUACAGAACGCCAAGCAGUCUUACCUGCCGAGGGUGAGACUAGUGGUCAAUCUGGCCAACAAGAGCCUAGUUUGGCUCAGGCGCUUGGGCAAAUGACUCGGGUCCUACAAGUUUUGGACCAAAAUAGCCAUGCUAGUACUGCACGGCUAGAUACGGUGUUGGCCACAAUCACGGCCUCUAACGAGAAUAUUACCCGAAUAGGGCAAUUAUUAACUCGGAAUGAGCAGCCGAUAGCAGGCAUACAAGCGCCUGUAAUGACACGAGUGUUACAAAAUCCUGUAACACCGGUAAACGGUCAACCUCAAUACCAGGGGNCGCAAUCACAAUCCGCUUGUGUUCCAUUAAGGGUAACAUUGUAAUUAGAGUGUCCUGUUUGGACUUCAAACUCAUUAGGCCCAAAUCGAUAUACAAUGUGUCCCCGCGCCGUCACCAUAGUCAUCGUAAUCCGACUUUGUAUUUUAGGUGCUAACGUGGCCGUCAUACUUUCACCAUUUUCACGACGCUUUACAAAAUAACUUUUAAGUUUAUAAAAAGUUUCCGCGACAAAUGCCGUUACUGGGAGAGCACGAAUUUCCUUAAGUACCCCAUUUAAACUCUCGGACAUAUUUGUAGUCAUCAACCCGAAGCGUCGACCUCUAUCAAAUGCCCACGCCCAAUACUCUUUGUAUACUUCGAGCUCAUCGACCCACUUCCAAGCAUCUUGAUCUAGCGCGAGUAACUCAUCUUUCAGUUUAUAAUAUUGUACCGAUGUUGGAGCACUGCCGAUACAGUAGAAUUUGUCUAAUAAUGAAUCAUUUUUAAACCGCUUAGCCAUAUUUGCUUUCAUGUGUCGAAGACACCACCGGUGUGCAUGCCCCUGUCGAGUGGGAUAUAACUCAGCCACUAUUUUCUUUAAGCCACUAAAUCUAUCGGAUAUAAAACAAACCGGUCGAUUGUGUAUAACAUAAUUUCCCAAGUUAUGUAAAAACCAACGCCAACUUGUACCAUUUUUGCCUUCGCAAAUUGCAAAAGCCAAGGAAAAAAUGCUGUAAGGAAGUGAAUUCUCGAAAUCCGAGGAUUGUACUUCAUCCAGGAUCGACUGAUCGUCGAGAGAAUACCCUUUGUGGGAGUUAAGAAUACCCAAAACACAAAAAGUGCUUUGGAGUUGAGUCCGCGAGAGCAAAUAGGCAAAAUCUGGACUCAACAGGUUUUUGCUCUCGGGGAUAGGUCCCUGGAGGGAAGGACCGGUCCCCUAGCUGAUGGUCGCGGGGGAGGUCGAUGCGACCGGUCCCUGGCUGAGGGGACCGGUCCCCGUGCGCGACACCCGCGAAGGAAAGCUAAAAUUUGGCUAAGUCCUGAAGGUUCCCCGUUCGGGAACCGGUCUCUUAGGAGAGACCGGUCUCCCAGGGACCGGUCCCUAAGGUGAGGACCGGUUCCCGAACGCGAAAAGUCCCCAGACUGCAGAGAGAGCUCUCGGGGACCGGUCUCCCCGACCAGGGACCGGUCCCUCUGGGCGAAAACAGCCCAGUGAAGGCUGUGCAAUGGAGGAAAAGUUGAGGGGUCUAAAUGCAAAAUGGCCUUUAUUAGAGUGGGCUAGGCCCUCUCUCUCCCUCACACCCUCUCAUUUUCUCUCUCUCUUACACUCUCUUGCUCCCUCUCUCUCUCUCUAGAAAGGAAAGAACAAAAGAGAAGGAGAAGAAGAAAGAGAAGAAGAAGAAGGAGGAGAAGAAGAAGAAGAAGGAGGAGAACAAGAUAGAGAAGGCUUGGAGCAUCUUCCUCUCUUUCUCUCUUCUCCAUUGGUGUAGCUCAAGAGGUAAGCUACAAACCCUAGCUUGUAAAACUUGGGUUUUUGGGUUUUUAUGCUUUGGAAUGGGUCAAAUGAACCCUAAGCUUGCUUCUAAAUAGAUCAAUCCCAAGAAACCUAGGGAUUUAUUGGUGGUUUGCUAUAGGUGCAAACCUAGGGCUCCAAAAUGGGGGUUUUUGUGAAAAUAUGAGAUUGAUCUCAUUUGAAGCCUUGGAAACCCUAUUGUUAGGUCACGAAACGCGAGGACGAAGUCGAUUUUGGCGUUCGGCGAGCCGACGUGAAGUUCUCUGCAAAAUCGGGCCGGGCUAGUGUUGAUUCGGACGAGGAAGGCUAAAGCCUUUUCGUAAAGCUCGCCGAGAGAGAUUUCCGAAACCUCUACAUCGAUAAAAGGUGGGGGGUGCCAUCCCGAAGCUUUCGGACUCCUUUCCAUGUCUUAGAUUGCAUUUGAUUUCAUCUCUUCAUGUUGCAUUGUAGGAUUGCAUAGUAGCUCCAUUCCUUAUACUUUCUAAUUGAUAACCUAGUGUACUUGGAACGCUUAGUAACUUAGAUAGGUGAGGAUUGGGUCGGAACGUGGAUCCUAUGAUGCGAAAGAAGAGAGAUGAACCCGAAGGGGGGGUAUUGAUGACAUAGAAAGUAUUGUGAAUGUUAAAGGACAUACGAGUGGCAUCCAAACAUUGAAUAAUGACGAGUGGCAUUAAUGUAGUGUAUAUGACACUAGAGGUUUGAGAACCUAGGUGUCACACCCCGCGACCAACCGCCAAUUUGGACCGGACGGCGGCGCCGCUAACAGACCGCCGAACGGACCGGGGAUUCCUUUGUACGUGGACAGAGUCUCCCCAGUACGUCCAAGGCGUCACAAUCCAAACAAUCAACAAAUGUUCCAACUAGGAACGGAUAUCAAUCCAGAUUGCAAAGGAAGUAUCAAAUACAUAAUCUACUUGCUAUUACAAGCAUUCACUUAGUACAUCUCAGUUCAGUUUACAUUUUUACUCCCAAUUACAAUCACAUUAUUACGUCAUUAAAUUUACAAAUUUGAUACAUUUUUUUUUCUUGUCUUCUAGCCCCCUAAGCUAGACUGCCUCAGGGUACUGCUACCUCGGUCUCUGUGGUGGGGCGCUAUCUACUGAGCUACGCCCUCCCCUCGCGCCACCGCGCUGCACACGUACAACCCGAAAACCCCAAAACCACGUGGGGUGAGAACCAACUCCAUGGUUCCCAGUGGGUACGGCCACCCAAGGGAAAAGCUCGACCGAUAGGUCCGAAGAGGCGCUGCAACAUGUUAGUUCAACAAUAUACAACAGAUAUAUAUAUAUUCAAUUGAAAUACAUGCCAUGCCUCACAAUAUGCGAUAUGAAAGUCAUGUAACUCUAUGCGACAUCUAGUAGAUCCAUAGAUUCUACACUUUACUUAGCUACUCUUAGCUUACAACUUUACUCUAAGAUCUCCAUUACCUUAGGAUCUCAACUCAGUCCACUGGCUUCUAAGGUCUCUAUUACCUUAGCUCAAGCCUCUAUCUCUAGCUCAUAAGGGUUCCUCUGCCCUAUCGAUGCUAACCACACGACUCGGCUUCGAGUCAAUCAUUCGCGGAUAGCCCGCGCACUGGCUGCUCAUCAGCCUACCGCCCUCUCUGUUUCAGCCCCCUAGCGGCGAAGUCGUCGCACAUGCUAAGCUCGGCUCAAGUCGCACGACUUGACCAUCUGGUGGUGAUCGCGUUGCACUUACCCAGCGUGAGCUCGAGUCCUAACACACAGUCUGGCGGCGAACGGAUCGCACCACACCCAACAACGGUACAUGUCAGACUCAGCCACCUGGAGGCACCCACAUCGUACUUACCCAGCAUGGAUUCAGUCUGCGCUAGCGGUCUGAUCCUCAAAUGGCUUAACUAUCCUGGCGGCGAAAUCGUCGCACAAUGCCACGACAAUGGUUCAAGCCCCAGGCGAUGAUCUCCAUGUGAUCGCCCCCAAUCCUCCCUCGGUACCAAGCUCGGCGGCGAAGUCGUCGCACAAACGCCCUAGCUUCUACCAGGGUCAUCACAAGUCAUGGGAUUCCGGAAUCCACUUUUCACAGGUCGAGGGUCCAUAGCCAACCCUAUACUUUCGACCUAUCUCAUCCUAGUGGCUAUACCACUAUACUCAUCAACCUAGGUUCCAAUACUUUAGGUUCUAUGUCCACGUCACUUAACCUAGAUACACUUGCUAGGUUCUUGUCAUCUUGGCCUAGUUGUCCACUUCUAGGUUUACUAGUUCGACCUAGGUUUACUAACACUAGGUUCGAUGCCACACACCUAGAUUGUUCGACUCUAGGUUCACUUGUUUAACCUAUGUUCUUUAGCACUAGGUUAGAUGCCACUCGAUCUACUUGACAACCUAGUUGUCCAAUCAACUCUACUCACACUAGAGCUACUAACUCAUGCUUUCUACUUGGCAUUUACUCUAUGCAUCUUUAUUCAUCAUGCAUUCAAUUUAGCAUUUCCAUCUAUGCAUUACUAUUAGUAUGCAUUCUUUACAUUAGCUAGCAUUAUUUACAUGUCAUGCUAUCAUGCUGGCUACUUACUAUGCAUUCUUUACUUAGCCUUACUUUAUGCAUUAUCAUUCAUCAUGCAUUUCUUGUCCUUGUCUACAUGCACAUGCAUCAACAUGGAGAUACAUUGCUAAGACAUAAAGGGCGAUCUAGUCGCUUCGGUAAGCACAAUCUACCUUAACACGCGUUCCGAUUGCUCAUCGACACUUGCAAUCGGCCUCCCGCGGCACUCGGCACCCGUUUGGGCCCGAUCUCACAGUUGCUCCCCAAGAGCGCGCCGCUUCGCCGUUUCAAGUGCUAGCGAUCUUCGCCUUGCCGCUACGGUGCUCGGGACUCGAUUUCACGAUUUAUGGACAUCGCCUCGGCCUCCAAGGCGAAAAUGAAGCUCCGAGUGCCCGUUUCUUCAAUAUCUUCGCAACGGCUUGUCGGAUUGCCGAACCGACUUCGCCAACGUGUUUCGUUACCUACCAAUUAGGUUUACGAAGGGACAAAUGAGAUCGAACUCAUCUAUUUACAAAAACCCCCAUGGAUGCCUUAGAAUGCCCUCAACAUCAAAACCACCAAAUCGAUCUAUGAAAUGUGGUGAAAUCAUCUUAGAGGCAUGCUAGGUUUCCUUUAAAUCCAUUUCUAGGAUUUAAAAACCCAUCUACAAGGAACUAUUACAAGAAGCCAUGAAACUUACCUCUUGAGAGAGCUCCAAUGGCUCAAGAAGGAUGAAGGAGAGGGUGAAGAUUUCCUUCUAGAUCUUCUUCUCCUUCCUCUCCAUCUUCUUCUUUCUCUUUUUCCUUCUUUCCUUUCCUUUUCUUUCUUUCUUUAUCUUUUCCUUCUUUUCUCCCUUGCACGAACAGAGGGAGAGAGAGAGAGGCUGAGGGAGUGAGAGAGAUAGAGGAAAAUAUCUCUCUCUAAUACUCUGUCACGCCCCGGGACCCAGCGGAAGCCCGCCCGGCGCGUGCCCAGACCCCCCAUACGUCUAAAACAUAUAAGGCGUCUAAAAACAACAAUAAAUAAAGCGGUAAUAAAAGACAACUAGGAGUAUCAAAGCAUGAUAUAAUACUAAGUUCUACAAUAGAGAAAGGAGCAUAAAGCUGGAAUUCACUAAUAAAAGCAUAAAGUAAUACAAAGAAAAUCCCAAAUACAAGUGCUAAAAGUAGAUACAUAGGUGGUCUCUAUACAUGGAUACAAAAUCUCUCACUCUCUCAACUACAAAAAGAAAGAGCAAACCACCUAGGCAAAGAACCGCUCCUCGCUAGCUAGCUAUGCGAUCUCCUUGCCGCGAUCCCGUGCCUCCGCCGGUGCAGAAGACUCUGAAAGAAACCACAAAAAAGAUGGCAUGAGAACUAUUAAAAAUAGUUCUCAGUGGGCAAUUACUGACUUCAGUGAAUGCACCACAAGGCCCAAAGCUACAAAGAAAGUGGUCAGUAGCUAUAAAAGCAAUAAUCGAAAGGUAAGUAAAAGUAUAACUUGCUAUAACCAGAUGUCUCUACUUAGCAUGAUAGGCAUAAUAAUAAGCAACUAUAACAUAAAUGUACAUGGAUGUGUACACAUGAAUACCCAUAGGUGUGCAACCAAUGCGAUGUCCUCAAUGCAAUAAUAAUAAAGAUGUCAUUGUUUACUAUUCUAGUCCAAGUCCACUUUAAUAGUUUUAAAGUUCACAUAGCAUGUUCUGUCACUAAGUCCCAAUCAUAUAAGACCCACCCGAAGGCUGUCUGGCCUGCGCCGUGCCUAAUGGCCCCGUGGUAGUCAACAUCCCCACUCUAGAGAUGAACCUCCCCCACGGCAACCCACUUCGGCGCCCAAUCCCGCACGAGCGAGCAUAUGUCGCGAUGGCUAUCUCCGGAGUGCCGGCUUGUAGGGAGCGACCCUCACAAGCAUGUGCGAAUGAGCACAAUGGCAAGCAAGCAAUGAUCUGUCUCAAGCACCAAGUCCUCAUGUCUAAAAUAUGGAAUAUAUCAAGUAUCUCAAUGGCCUAUCUCUAUGUCAUCAUGUCUCUAACACGGAAUAUAGUAGAUGUACAAUGGCCUAUCAUCAUGUCUCUAAGUUGCAUUUUCAUAGUUUACUAAUUCCAAGUGCCCCUUUUUGACACUUUGUUCUCUAUGUCAAGCAUGGCAACUGUGUUCCAAGGUACAUGUUCCAAGUCAUAUUCUUCCUAAGAGAUAUGUUCUCAACUUGCACAAACAAACACUUUAUCGUAUGCAUGCUGCCUACACAUUUAGCUCUACUAUAUAGAGUACAAUUUUCAUGAUACAUAGCACAUGCAUUUUAAGUGUUCUAAAAUUCAUAUAAAUUCUAUUUAGUAUAGAAAUGCAUUCAAAAAUACUUUACAACAAGUAUUAAGAGCAUAGGGGCCAUUUUGCCCCAUUUCCACGAAGUCAAACCCAACAAAAUCGUCUUCUUCGUUUCGCCGAACGAAGGUAUCCACAAGCUUCCUAGUACCCUAGAAACAUCAAAGUAGGGUCACUCGAACGAAACGAAGAGCCAUUAGCUCAAUCAUUAAGCUUCUCAAGCUAGGGUUAAGGAAAACUCACCGAUGGCGACGGAAGCUCUCUCGAUCUCCAAAUGGGAGUUAGAGUCCUUUCAAUCUAACCUAAACAAAGGUUCUAAACCCAUCAAUUGGGUUCCAAAACCCUCAAAACGAAAAUCCCCAAAUCUAACCCUAAUUUUCAAAAUCUAGGGUUUCCAUCAAAAGAAUCACCACAAACUAGAUCUAAAGGAAAGGAUCUAGUUACUAACCUCUUAGAAGUUUCAAACCAAGCUCCAAAGUCCUCUAGGGUUGAAGGUUGAUCCUCAAACAAGCUCCAAUCAAGGCCCCAAGCUUCUCCAAUGGUGGAAAACCCACAAAAGCAAGAAGGAGAAGGAGAAAGAGAUCAAAACUGUAACACACUGGACCUUUGCAAAUUGCGAGGUUCGAGUGUUUGGACUGUGUCCUGAGCUUUACCAGAUUUUCUGGUGGGUCGUUGAUAGUAUUCCGACCUAUGGUUCGAAUCCCGAGAAUUGUAGUAUUUUAUGUAGCGCUAAGGUCACUAAAGAGUUGGACUUAGCCUACCCUCGGAUUGCAUUCUGCACGAGGUGUAACCGGUGACAGGUCGAUGGCUGUACCGGUACACAUUUUGUACCGGUACACUUCUGAUGGUUGUACCGGUACACUUGCGGCGAAUUUCGAAUCCGAGCCUCGGGUUUGCAUUUUCGUAGGAUGUGUACCGGUACACUUUCCCGUGUACCGGUACACUUUGGCAGUUUUCGAACAGUUCGAACUGCAGGGGUGUUUUUGCAUUGUUGCAACUCUAUAACAUACCCCACGCCCCCUUUGGUGUUCCCUGAGCUUGGAGGCAGGGAGAGCAAGGUAAGGGAGCUCUCUUUUCUCCCUCUUUGUUUCCCUUUGAUUUAUGUUGGAUUUUUGAAGAUUAAACUCUCCUUUUGCUCUCUUUUUGCAUUUUGGUGGCUUUUCCUCCAUGGGAGAAGUUUGGGCUUGGUGUUUGGAGCUUGUAGAAGGGUAGGAGCUCAACCCUAGCUGAUUUCUAGGGUGGUUGGGAGCUUCUCUUGAGGUUAGUUGCUUACUAAUUCCCUUUUGAUCAUGAUUUUUGUAUACAAACCCUAGAAAUGGGUAUNNNNNNNNNNNGGCUCGUGGAUUCGAGUGGCGUCGUGGAUUCGGCGUGAUUGAAGCUUCGUGGAUUCGAAGUGGAGGCGUUCGUGGAUUCGGACGUGAGGGCGUGGACAACCCGGAGGGUAGCGCGAAGAUUCAUAGGAGGUUAAGAGAGGUUAAGUCCGUGGAGUCGGUAAUCACCUUGUAAUCUUUUCUCUUAGUGAAUUGUUUUUUCGUGUGUUGGUCCCGUGGGUUUUUCUCCAAGUUGGAGUUUUCCCACGUAAAUCUCGGUGUGCUUUUUAUUUUCCGCAUUUAUUUUUAUUGCAUCGAGAUUUGUGGUUUUUGGCCGUUACACCUAUUCACCCCCCUCUAGGUGAUAGAUACAAUCUAGAUAGAUCCUUGGGCUCCUCAAAACUUUCAGAUUGCACAUUGUAACUCAAGACCAAGGAUAGUAGAUGAUACUCUGGUCGCAAGUCCUUGGACUCUACAUACGCACGAUUAGUUUGCACGCCAGCCUUGCAGAUUGCUUCUACAACUGUAUCCCACUGAGAUGAAGAUUGAAAUCCCCCUGAUGUAUAUAGAAGACCAGUAGUGUCCACAUUCAUCCCCAAAAGCUCUCCAAUAAUAUAAGGGGUAACGACAACCUUCUGUUGACGCACGAAUGUCUCAAAUAGAAAAGUCCCGGUGUCACGCCCCGGGACCGGCGGAGGCCCUCCCGGUAGCGUGCCCAAACCCGCCAUAUGUCAACACAUAUAAGGCGUCUACAAUAAAAGCGGAAGUAAAAGCAAGUAAUAAACAAGUAGAAGAAGUGAAAUAACUAGCAACUAAUGAUAUCAGAGCAAAUAUAGUUCUAUCAUCCACACCAAAGUAAUGAAACAAGGCUAAGAUCCAAAUAUAACCAUAAAGUAGUACCAAUCUAACUCCCAAAAAGAAAUACAAAGAUCCAAAAGGAGGUGGUCUCUAUACAUAUACGGGUACAACGCUCAACCUCUCACAAAAUAAAACCACGAGAGGUAGACCACCUAUCGAAUCGUCCUCGAAGGAAGCUAGCUCGAAGCAACUCCCUUCCCGCGGUCCCUAGCCUCUCCCGGCGUGGAAGGCUCUGAAAGAGAACACAAAACAGAGGGCGUGAGAACUAUAAUUUAUAGUUCCCAGUGGGCAAUUACUGACCUCAGCUCAUCGCACCACUAGGCCCCAAAAGAAAAGGGUAAGUACUAAGCAAUAAUAAGAGUAAUAGUAACAGCAGUACGAAAGCAUAAGUGAAGUGAUAAACCACUAUAUCACAAGUAAACCUGAUGUCAUGGUGAUGUACAUCUACGCUAUCAUAAGAUAUUAUGUCUCAACAUGAUAAACAAGUAAUCCUCACAAUGCAAUAUGUUAAUGCAUAAAGAGUGAGGUUUAACCAAGCAACCGAGUAUACUACAAUGCAACAAUGAAUGCAACAAUGAAACCGGCAAGUAUGCUAUAUGUACCAAUGCUAUAUCAUGAAUAUGUCAAAGUAAUCCAACUACUAGACCUAUCUAGUAGUAAUUAUUCAUUCCCAAAACUGUGUCGAUUUCCAUUUCCAAUUAAGGACCUACUCAAGGUAGUCCAGCUUGUGCCGCCUAAGUGCCUGUGGUAGCCCGACAUUCCUACUCUUGGAAUGUGUCUGUCCCACUCGACCCCGUAGGCUUCUCAAUACCGCACGAGCGAUCAACAGUCGCGUAGGCUAACUCCGGAGUGCCGGCCUGCAGGGAGCGACCCUCACAAGCAUGUGCGAAUGAGCACAAAUGGCAAGCAAGCGUAAUCCAAGUCUCAAAUGUCCAAUCCUCAUGUCUCUAACAUGGCAUCAUAACUAGCAUCCCGAAGAUCUAGUCUAAGUCACAAUGUGAGGUCCCAACACACACUUGCUUAGUGCCUCUUUAUGACACUUAAGCUCCACAACUAAUCAUGUUCCCAAUAGGACAUUAACAUUAAUGCUCACUAAGCCCCGGGCCCCGAUGCCUCUUCAUGACAUUGGCCCAAUCUCACAUAUCCUCUAAGUCUCUAAGCCUCUCUAGGCUUCCAAAAAUCCCUAAUGUCAUAACUGGUAUAUAGUUUGAAUGCAUGAAAGCGAGGUUCGUUUUCAUAAUAGGGAUUGUAAUUUUCAAGUCUCGUCUAGAAUGCUAGGCCACACAUACAUGCUCUCUACUAUAUAGAGGUCCCAAAAUUUACUACACAUAACCUAUGCAUGUUAAGCAUUCUAAAGUUCAUAUUAAAUACAUUUAACAUGAAAAUGCAUGAAUUUCUAUUUUACGAAACAUAUUUGCCAAAUAUGAGCAUUUUUCAUAUUGUAUGCUAGGCCAAACCCACCGACGACAACGAAGCUUUUCGUUUGCUUCGAUGGAGGUAUCCACUAGCUUCCUAGCACCCUAGGAACAUCAAAAACGGGGUUACCCAAACGAAACGAAGAGCGAAAAGCUCAAACAUUAAGCAUCUAGCAAAAUGGGCAAAACUCACCUCAAGAGAAGAAAUCUCUCCCAAAGCUCCAAAAGAGAGCUAGAACCCUUCCAAUCCAAGCCCUAGGAAGGUUCUAAUCCAAUCAAUCUAGCCUCAAAAGCCCUAGAUCAAAAAGCCCUAAAAAUAAGCCCUAAGUAUCAAAUCUAGGGUUUCAUCUCAAAAACUUAGCAAAACAUGGAUCAAAAGCUCAAAUCAUGUUGCUAACCUCUCAAGAAGACUCCAAAUAAGCUCCAAAUCUUCUAGGGUUGAAGAUUGGUCCACCGCCAAGCUUCACAAGCAAGCUCCAAGCCUUGCAAGAGUGGAAAGGAGAGAAAGGGGUUGAGCUCCAAGCUCCCUCAAACAAGCUCCUCUUCUUCUUCUCCUCCUUCUUCUUCUUCUUCUCCUUCUUCUUCUCUCUCUAGGAGGUGUAGGGUGGUGAGAAAUGAGGAGGGAAGAGAGUGAAAUGGCUAAUAAGCCCAUCUAGUGUAACAAAAUCCCAAGAGGCCCCUCAAAAACCUAAUAUUACAUCAGCCCGAACUGGGCAGUUUUCGCCCAGAGGGACCGGUCUCUCCCCAGCAGGGACCGGUCUCUCGCUGCGAACCCGAAAAACCAGCGUUCGGGAACCGGUCUCUCCCUGCGCGGGACCGGUCUCUCACUGCGAAGACGCGUUCGGGAACCGGUCUCGCCUGCCAGGGACCGGUUGCCUCAGGCUGCCUCAACACUGCUCACUGAGGGGACCGGUCUCUCCUUCCAGGGACCGGUCCCCGAGAGUGAAAACUCUCAGGACUUGUCCAGAAUCCCGAUUUUCGAACUUUUUAGGUCGGAAAACAUUCUACGACCCUCCGCCAAGUGUGGAAAAGCUCGAAACACAUUCAUACACUCGAACCUCGCAAUUUGCGAAGGUCCAGUGUGUUACACCCGGUCUCCUCAUCCUCUGCAAGUACCUUCCCAUUCAUAUAGAACUCACGAAUGAGUUCCACACAAAAUGAAGCGCGAACAGGAACCCUACCAACUGGCUCAAUAGGAACCCGCUGAAGUAGCUAGCCAAAGUCAGGAACGUCAUGUAUAAGAUCAUUGAAGUUGACAUAACGCUCUGCAAUACAAGUGUCACGCCCCGGGACCCAGCGGAAGCCCGCCCGGCGCGUGCCCAGACCCGCCAUACGUCUAAAACAUAUAAGGCGUCUAAAAACAACAAUAAUAGAAGCAAUAAUGAAAGACAUCUAGGAGUAUCAGAGCAUAAUAAAUGUCUAAUUGCUACAACAAGGAAUAAGGAUAAAGCUGCAAAUCCACUAAAUAAAAUAUAAAGUAAAUACAAUAGAAAAUCCCAAAUACAAGUGCUAGAAGUAGGUACAUAGGUGGUCUCUACACAUGGAUACAAAAUCUCUCACUCUCCCAGCUACAAAAAGAAAGAGCAAACCACCUAAGCAAAGAACCGCUCCUCGCUAGCUAGCUACGCGAUCCCCUUGCCGCGAUCCCGUGCCUCCGCCGGUGCCGAAGGCUCUGAAAAGAAAACCAGAAAACAGGGGCGUGAGAACUAUUAAAAAUAGUUCCCAGUGGGCAUUACUGACUUCAGUGAAUACACCACGAGGCCCAAAGCUACAAAAGUGGUUAGUGACUAUGAAUGUAGAGAAGCGAAAGGUAAGUAAAAUAUAACUUACUAUAACAUAGAGUCUCUACUUAGCAUGAUUUGCAUAAGUAAUAAAUCAACUAUAGCAUGAAUGUACAUGGAUGUGUAAGACAUGCAUAAGCGUAGAAAUGCAACCAAUCCAAUGUCCUCAAUACAAAGAUAGUAAAAAUAUCGUCGUUUACUAUUCUAGUCCAAGUCCACUUUAAUAGUUUUAAAGUUCACAUUGCAUGAUCUGUCACUAAGUCCCAAUCAUAUAAGACCCACCCGAAGGCUGUCUGGCCUGCGCCGUGCCUAAUGGCCCCGUGGUAGUCAACAUCCCCACUCUAGGGAUGAGCCUCCCCCACGGCGAUCCACUUCGGCGCCCAAUCCCGCACGGCGAGCAUGUGUCGCGAUGGCUAUCUCCGGAGUGCCGGCUUGUAGGGAGCGACCCUCACAAGCAUGUGCGAAUGAGCACAAAUGGCAAGCAAGCAAUGAUCUGUCUCAAGUACCAAGUCCUCAUGUCUAAAACAUGGAAUAUGUCAAGUAUCACGAUGGCCUAUCUCUAUGUCAUCAUGUCUCUAACAUGGAAUAUAGCAGAUGUGUAGUGGCCUACCAAUAUGUCUCUAUGUUGCAGUUUCGUAGUUUACUAGUUUCAAGUGCCCCUUUAUGACACUCUGGUUCUCUAUGUCAAAAACAUGGUAACUAUGUUCCAAAGUACAUAUUCCAAGUCAUAAUUCUCAUAAGAGAUGUAUUUUUCAAUUGCGAAAUAAACACUUUUCCCGUAUGCAUGCAUUCUACUCAUAUAGCUCUACUAUAUAGUGAAAUUUUCAUAAUACACGAGGCAUGCAUUUUAAGUGCUCUAAAAUUCAUAUAAAUUCUAUUUAGUAUAGAAAUGAACUUAAAAAUAAUUUACAACAAGUAGAAAGAGCAUAGGGGCCAUUUCGCCCCCUUUCCACGAAGUCAAACCCACCGAUGACAAUGAAACUCCUCGUGCGCUCCAACGAGGGUGUCCCCUAGUCUCCUAGUAUCCUAGAGGUAUAGAAACAUGUGUCAAACAAAGCUCACGAACAAAGCUAAGCUCAAACAUUAAGCUUCUCUAGCUAGGUUGGAGAAAACUCACCGAAAGCUAACGAAUCUCUCUCGAUCUCAAAAAGGGAGUUAGAUUCCUUCAAAUCCAACCUAAAUCAAAGUUCUAAACCAAUCAAUUUGGUUCUAGAAGCUACCGAUCAAAAAUCCCCAUUUUAGCCCUAAAACUCAAAAUCUAGGGUUUCAUCUAGUAGAAGAUGUUAAAACUUGAUCCAAAAGGGAGAUUUAGCUUACUAACCUCACAAGAUGUCCAAAACCAAGCUCCAAGCCAAGUGGAGUUGGAGUUUGAUCCUCCAACAAGCUCCAACCAAGAUCUUAACCUUCUCCAAUGGUGGAAAUCCCAAAGAAAACAAGAAGGAGAAGAAAAGAGAGAUCAAAACCACUAAAAACCCACCAAAAUAGGAGAUCAAACCAAGAGGGGAAGACUCACCUUGCUCUCCUCUGGUUAGGGCUCAAAAAGAGCAGCAAAGGGGCUGGGGUAACUUAUAAAGAGUAUUGCAACAAUUGCAAAAAGACCCCUCCACGAAAUCUGCCGAGAGGCAUUGUGUACCGGUACACGAGAAAGUGUACCGGUACACUUCCUGCGAAACAGCCCAACCCGAGCCUCGGGUUGGCAGAAAACCUAAUGUGUACCGGUACAACCAUCAAGGCGUACCGGCACAAAUUCUGUACCGGUACAACCAUCAAGGCUGUACCGGUACACAGCCUGGCUGAGGCUAAUCCGAGGGCUAACCAAAAAUCCAACUUUUUAGAUUUUGGUACACCACUUCAAACCACAAUUCUCGGGACUCGAACCAUGGGUCGGAACACUGUCUACGAUCCUUCAGAAAGUCUGAGAUGGCUCGUCACACAGAUCAAACACUCGAACCUCGCAAUUUGCAAAGGUCCAGUGCGUCACAUACACCCAUCCUAAAAAGAACUUACAUGUAGCCAUAUGAGAACACGCUAGAAAGCAUACGUACAAACCUCAGAACUCCAUCAGAAAAAGCUAACGGGAUAGUGCUCCAGCAAGGCGCUCUCCAGCUCCCACGUGGCCUCUCGCUCUCCGUGGUUGCUCCAAAGGACCUUUACAUACGGAAUGUCCCGAUUCCGCAGCUUCUUCACCUCGCGAGCCAAAAUCUUCACGGGUUGCUCCUCGAAGCUCAGAUCCUCGCGCAGCUCCACUGGUACAGCAUCCAAAACAUGAGCUGGAUCAUGAAUGUACCUCCGAAAGACCGAUACAUGAAAGACGUUGUGCACGCCGGAUAGGUUCGGUGGUAGAGCAAGUCGAUACGCUACCGGACCUAUACGCUCCAAGAUCUCAUACGGUCCAAUGAAACGGGGGCUCAACUUUCCCCGAAUCCCGAAUCUCUUGAUUCCUCUAGUUGGCGAGACCUUCAAGAAAACAUGGUCUCCAACUUGGAACUCCAAGUCUCGCCGUCGUCGAUCGGCGUAGCUCCUCUGUCUACUCUGCGCCGUCAAAAGUCGCUCCCGAGCAAUUCGAACCUUNNNNNNNNNNNNNNNNNNNNNNNNNNNNNNNNNNNNNNNNNNNNNNNNNNNNNNNNNNNNNNNNNNNNNNNNNNNNNNNNNNNNNNNNNNNNNNNNNNNNNNNNNNNNNNNNNNNNNNNNNNNNNNNNNNNNNNNNNNNNNNNNNNNNNNNNNNNNNNNNNNNNNNNNNNNNNNNNNNNNNNNNNNNNNNNNNNNNNNNNNNNNNNNNNNNNNNNNNNNNNNNNNNNNNNNNNNNNNNNNNNNNNNNNNNNNNNNNNNNNNNNNNNNNNNNNNNNNNNNNNNNNNNNNNNNNNNNNNNNNNNNNNNNNNNNNNNNNNNNNNNNNNNNNNNNNNNNNNNNNNNNNNNNNNNNNNNNNNNNNNNNNNNNNNNNNNNNNNNNNNNNNNNNNNNNNNNNNNNNNNNNNNNNNNNNNNNNNNNNNNNNNNUAGCGGACCACUAGAAUCCGACACACACACUAACCUGACUACUCCUACAAUCCUGGAAUUGCCCUCCUCGUACAGUGUGGGGUAAUUAGGGUGUAGCCUAUCCUUACCCCUACAUUAACCUAUAUAUUCUAUGAAUCUGUGAUUAUUAUUAUUGACCCGAAUUAGUAAAACCCGACCGCCAACCCGGGUUGCUCAAUAAUAACUAUCACCCAACCCAGCAAUGUCAUUUUCAUUACCGUUCGGAGCGGGAGAAUCUCUGGUUAUAAUUCAGUCUCAAGAAAAUAGAAAAGAAAAAAAAGAGAGAGAAGAAUAAAAAAUACGUACGGCGUAGCGCGCCCAUUGAUAUGAUCAUAUUUUAUCCUUUUUUAAGUUUUUUUAGGGACACCAAAGCAUCAAAGAAUGAAACGGGGGGACACCAAAUUUUACAUAGUUUAACAGGAGGACACCAAAGUAAAAAUAGAAAAGCUAUCGAAAAAGCAAUUAUAAAGUAAUUUAAUAUAUGUUUUUUGAAGUCUGUGGGUAGAUCUAAAUAGUUUAUAAGUGAAAUGAUGGGAAAUUAAAAUUGAAAUAGUGACUAAAUUCUUUUUUUUAUUAUUUUAACUAUUCUUUUUCUCUUUUUUUCUUUAAUGUCCCCCGUUUAACUAUAUAAAAUUUGGUGUCCUCCCGAUUCAUUUUUUGAUGCUUUGGUGCCCCCCAAAAAACUUCAAAAAGGAUAUUUUAUUAUCGGAUUUGAUUAUCUAAGAAAUACGUUUAACUAAAUUUUAAUUGAUGUAAUUAAUCAUAUAAAAAUUCUAAAAAUUAUUUUUACCCUACAUAUUUGGCGGCAUCGACGGUUUAACGCAUGUUAAAGGCGGGUUGCAAGCGAUCUAUUACACGAGAAGGUGCAGUGGCGGAGAUAGGGGAGUACUACGCUACCGUCUUAGCGUUUAUUUGACGUGGCCGUCACCGUAAAUCCGUCGCCUUUUUUCCGUCUCCUUACUUGCUUCCUUGCUCGCCUGUUCAAAGGCCGGGUGCAGCGGGUAAGAAAAGGCGAGUCGUGGUAGAUAUAUACAUUUAUUGAUGCCGGAAAGACCGGGGGUUAAGCGCUAUUAUUAUGAGCGGACACUAAGCAGGCAACGCAACGCGGAGAGAGAGAGAAAGAAACCGCUGUUCUUCUCUCUCCUGUUCCCCCGAUUAAGAUAGAGAGAAUAGAAGAAGAAACGGUCCCGCUAGAGCUAGACUAGCUAGAAAAAAGGAAGCCACAGCAGUAGAUUAUUUCUUUCCAUCCAAGGAGAGAAAAAUCGGGGUAAGAAAAUUUUAAAUUUAGAGACGUCUACGUCUUUAAGCCAUGAAACGAACGGACUAGCGCUCUUUUUUCACUUCGGUUAACUAAAUAAUAAUAAUAAUAAUAAAAUACUACCAAAGAAGAAGAAAGAACUUUAAAUAAACUGAAAGUUAGUAAGCAACGUCUAGCCUAGCCUAGCCUAGCCUAGCCUAGCGCCUGCAAUUAAGAACACACAACAGCUUUUUCGCUAGUUUACCGCCUAGUCCUCUCCUCUUACCUUCUGCCCGUGGCGGCGACGCGCUUGUUGACGCCGGAGAAGCCCUCAUGGCGUUGGGCGUUGGAGACGAGGUCUACGAUGGCGCUGAAGGCGGAGUUUGUUGUUCUAGUGCGGCGGCGACGGCUGUAGCGGACGCUGUUAAGGGCGGAGGGGAGAGCAAGGGGAAGGUGCUGGAGGAGGAGGACGCAGUGGCGAGGGCGUGGGGAUCAAGGCUGUCUUCUUGGACGAUCAUCGCGGUGCCGUAGCCGCCUCGUCGGCGUCGACCGCAGCUUACCCGGCUCGGCCACGCGCCGCACGGCCUUCUCCCACCCCGACAGACGCCCCAAGGUCACGUCCACGCCCCGCUGUAAGACGCCGCGGGUGGCGAUGGGCCUCGCGGUGCGGACGCCGAAGCUGAUGUUCCGGCGGCCCUCCCUCCGGUAGCGGGCGCGGUUGGGGGAGCAGUCCCGGCUGUUCGAGGCGGCGUAGACUCGGCAGACCUCCCGGAGAAGAAGACGCGGACUCCUGCCGUAGAAGAAGCACAACCUUUGAGGCUUACGCUCCUACUACGCCCAACCAAUUAUAACCAAAAGUCCGGCACGAAAAACAGAGAGCGGAAAAGAAAAACAAAACAAAAAAUAUUAGUCCAAAAGUGCAUACUUACAUAGCGUAUAAUAAUCCACGAUAACUUCUUUAAAGUUUAAUUUUUAAGUGUAAAUUUUUAAAUUAAAUUUAAAAUUAUAAAGCAAAUAUAAAAUUUAAAUUUGAAACUAAAGUUUUAACUUAAACUUUUUAACUUAAGUUAAUAUAAUCUAAUAAAGUUUUUAAGUUUAAGGAAACUCAAAUUAUAAAUUUAAGAUUAACAACUAAGUUUUAAAUUUAAGUUUGAGUUAAAAACUUGAGCCUCAAGUUUUCGUUUAAAAUUUAAAAUUUAAAAGUUUUAACUUUAAGUUCAAAUCUAAAACUUAAGUAUAUAGUUAAGCUUAAGUUUAAAAAUCAGGUUUAUAAUUAAAGUUUAAAUCUAAAACUAAAGUUUAUAUUUUAAAUUUAAAUUAAUUUUAAAAUUUAAAUUAAUUUUAAUUUUAAAUUUUAAAAAUAAAAUUAAGUUCCAAUUAAGUUUUAAAUUUGAAUUUAAAUUUUAAAUUUAGGUCUAAACUUAAGUUUUAAGUUUGUUUUUUAAUUUUAAGAUUUAAGUUUGAAUUCAUAAAACUAAUUUAUUAAUUAAUUUCAAAUUAAAUAAAAUUUACGUUUAAACUCUAUUAACCCCCACCACUUAACAGCGCUAGACUUAACGUCGCUUUUAAUCCGAGCGAUUGUUUAGACGGCAUGCGUGCCCUUGUGUUCUUUGCAGAUUUGGUAAUCGUCUAUCGUGACUUUUAUUUUGAUUAUAUAUCUAUAUGGUUAUGACAUAUAUGUUGUACAGAGAUUUUCCACGUUGCUAGUGGGAAACUAUUGUAUUUUAUUUAUGUGAGCACUACGGUCAGGUCAUAUAUGUUUUACAGGGUAUUUUAGCGAUUGAAGGUGAUCAUGUCAGGUGGCCCGUCCUCUACGAUGUCAGGUGGCUCAUCCUCUACGAUAAAUAGGGUAUUAAAAGAAUAGAGCUAAUCUUUGUUGCCGUUGCUCACACCUCCCGACCCGAUAAUUUUGCUCAUCAGAAGCUGCCCAUGGCAGUAAUUGCUAUUGCUGGAUAAGUAAUUCAGAUGGGCUCCGUACUCGUUUUCUUGGUAACUUACAUUCGCCUCAUUCAUUUAUUCACGUAUUAUCCUUGAUGGUGAUGAUACGGAGGUUUGAUUGAAAAUCCUUUACUCAUGCGUAACAUAUUAUACGUAGUUGAUUGAUGUUAUUCAGAUUUUUUAUAGAUUGGCAUGGUUGACCGAGCUUUCACGUCAGUUCAGACAUGAUCGGAGUGUAGACUAGGGAUAUUUUUUAGACUACCCAGUAACUGUACUAUUAUAAUAUAACUUAUCGGAUAAAAAUCUCACCGUGAGUCUUCUCUCGCUGAGCGAGUUCCUAGUUUCAUCGGUUUAUUUCGUAUGAUAUAAUGACGUUCGAUACAAACUACGGUUACUAGUUUGUCUAGUAUUAUUAAUAAUUGUUACGCAGGAGUCAUGUUUGACUCGUAUUCACAACACAUUGGAACGUCAGAUUUGGGUGCCGGUGUUACCUAGUAUCCACCAGAUAUAGGCUGUGGUAGGUUAGGUGGCUCGUGUUUUAUAAAGUUUGAUAGGGAUUAGGAGGGAUAACUAGGGCUCUAUUUUCCUGGUGUGGUUGGUUACCUUUCAAAUGAACUGAUUUAAGUCAAACUCCUUAAUCGUCUAUGACAGAGGUCCUCGAUGGUUAGUGGAUCUACAGAUAGUCAUGUAAAUCGUUCUUAUUUGCGUCCCAAGUCAUUAAUUAAUGUUGAUCGUUCUCUAGUUACAAUAUUGGUAUGUAAGGGUCAAAUGAUUGUCUAAUGUCGUACAAUUGAUCUUCGAUUAAAUGAAUAACUGUAUGAUCUAUCAGGUCACACAAACUUCUUGAUUUAGGAGGAGUUUAAGUUGUUGCUUCAUUAAAGUUGAGGGUCGUCUAUCUCAUGUCGAUGUGGUCCUCUUUACUCGCGAUUUUUAGAGCUUUUUAGUCGUUCUUUGGACGAUCCUGGUAGGCUUUAGACCUUUGCAUUUUUUUGUCGUCAGCCGAUUGUUUUUAGGUUAAAGUAGAUUUAACUACGCGAAUGGAUGUGAGUCUGUUGUUAGCUGGUGAGUGCGUGGGAGUGGAAGUUUAGUUCUUUCUUUUUGUUUCUUUAGGAUUGGGGUUUGUCCCUAAUACGAUCUUAUCUUUAACUUUAUUUUUUGAAUUACUUUCAUGGUAAGUUAUGUUUAAAGUUCAAAUUCAAGGUUUAAGUUAGUUGAUUGGAGAGUUAGAUCAAUCUUCGAAGAGGUUUUGUUGUUCUUCACUGACGUUUAGGUGGUUUGUAGGUCAAUGUUGUGACGAUCUUCUUGGCCUUCUUUUUUAAAUUGUUUUUUUAGACUACUUUCAGGGUAAAGUCGAGUAAUCGGGUUUUAUAAAGUUAAAGUAAGUUUAAUUGGAACUAAGGUCGAUCUUUCUUACCAGGUGUCCGAAAGGAAGGAGUCGAUUUAGUGCUUGUUCUGGGUUUUACGUUGAUCUUCGAGGUGGAGUUGGCUUUUUAGGAUCGAAAAUAAACGACGUUAACGAUGAUGAUGACGAGGUUGAUAUCAAAAGAUCGAUCGUUCCAUUUCUUAUACCUCCUACCCCCCUCUUCUACCCUUAAUUCCAGAGAUCCUACAUCCCCUCACUUUUCUCACUCACAUCUCACACCUCCUCGAUAAAUAUUUCCUUUACUCACUUAUCUUACUCGUAGCCUAGUUUCUCUAAUUUGGACAAGGAGUCAUUUUUAUAAGCUAAAGCUCGUAGGUCUUAGUGUAAACCCACAGAUUUUCCGAACUUAGUCGUAACUUUUGUACUUUACCCGCAAGUGACUCUUCGAAUUUGGUCAGCUUGGACGUAACUUAGGUUAGUUUGAUGAAAGGUACACAGUUGUGAGAAACUAUGCGAGUCUUUACUAAGUGGUUGAGUUAAAGCCAGACGAUGUCAUUGAAAGAGCAGACUUUUUUCUCAGCUUUACUGAAGGCAUUGAGGAUAUCGAAAGAUGACACUUAAACCCGCGGGCCAAGAAGAGAACCCGCGACAUUCGACGACCGGUCUUGAAAUCAAAACCGUCUAAAAUCACGAGGUCUAAGCAGAAGCAUAAAUAAAGCGGGGUUUUACUGAAGCUGAGCCGGCUUGCGGGAUAUCUAUAUAACUAGUCGUCAACUAUAAUACUAGUAAGACUGUUGAUACAAAGAUCUUGUAGUGUCUUUAAACUUAACUUUUAAAACUUAAGUCAUUACAUUCUAUGGGUGAUGAAGGAUCGUUAUAAAACCACAAUUAGAACAAUAAGAAGUAAUAACUAUCUUAAUAUACCCUACUUAGUUUAAAGUAUUAGAUUUUUAUAAAGACAUCCUAAAGAUAAUUAGGAUGGUUCUAUCACGUUUGAAUAUGUGAAUCUCAAUUAAAUAUGUACAGGGAGAUUUCUAUAGUUUAACGUUUAUAUAGGAUCGUUAAAUUCACUAGUUUAAAAAAGGACUUUUUUAAAAUUACACAACUAAAAACAGGGAGUUCAAACAGGAACAAUCAAGUUAUAAAUAAAAAUUAUUUAUUGAUCAAUUCCUGGACGCGAAGCGCCGCCCAUCAUUUUAAAUGUGAUUUUAUGUCAUCAUUUAUUAUUUGUUGUUUAUAUAUAUAUAUAUAUAUAUAUAUAUAUAUAGUGAGACUCGUCUCGCUGGUCUGGCAUAGCCGGUCAUCUUGUCAUUCAGACUCCGGCAUAGCCUAUCACUUUGUCUUUCCGGCUCUCGCUCAGUCGAGACUCAUCUCACACUUCCAGUGUAACACACUGGACCUUUGCAAAUUGCGAGGUUCGAGUGUUUGGACUGUGUCCUGAGCUUUUCCAGAUUUUCUGGUGGGUCGUUGACAGUGUUCCGACCUAUGGUUCGAAUCCCGAGAAUUGUAGUAUUUUAUGUAGCGCUAAGGUCACUAAAAAGUUGGACUUAGCCUACUCUCGGAUUGCUUUCAGCACAAGGUGUACCGGUACACUUGUGAUGGCUGUACCGGUACACACUUUGUACCGGUACGCGCUUGAUGGUUGUACCGGUACACUUGUGGCAGAUUACUAACCCGAGCCUCGGGUUUGCGUUUUCGUAGGAUGUGUACCGGUACACUUUCCCGUGUACCGGUACACUUGGGCAGUUUUCGAACAGUUCGAACUGCAGGGGUGUUUUUGCAUUGUUGCAACUCUAUAACAUACCCCACGCCCCCUUUGGUGUUCCCUGAGCUUGGAGGCAGGGAGAGCAAGGUAAGGGAGCUCUCUUUUCUCCCUCUUUGUUUCCCUUUGAUUUAUGUUGGAUUUUUGAAGAUUAAACUCUCCUUUUGCUCUCUUUUUGCAUUUUGGUGGCUUUUCCUCCAUGGGAGAAGUUUGGGCUUGGUGUUUGGAGCUUGUAGAAGGGUAGGAGCUCAACCCUAGCUGAUUUCUAGGGUGGUUGGGAGCUUCUCUUGAGGUUAGUUGCUUACUAAUUCCCUUUUGAUCAUGAUUUUUGUAUACAAACCCUAGAAAUGGGUAUCUAGGGUUUGUUUUGGGGAUUUUUGAUUAGAGGCUUUUGAAGCCCAAUUGAUCUUAUUAGAACCUUUAUCUAGGUUGGAUUGGAAGGGAUCUAGCUUCCAUUUGGAGCUUAAAAGGGAUUUUCUACACUUAGGUGAGAUUUUAGCCCUUUUUGCCUUGAUGGUUAAUGUUUGAGUUUUGGGUUGUUCGUUUCGUUUGAGUAACCCUCGUUUUGAUGCUUCUAGGGUACUAGGAGCCUUGUGGGCACCUCCGUUCGGCGAAACGAAGGUUUCGAUUUUGGUGGGUUUGGCCUCACCAAAUGAAACAAAAUUCUCUUAUGAUGGUUUUAUUUAUCGUAAAAUGAAAAUGCAUGCAUAUUCAUGCUAGAUAGAUCAAUUGUGAAUUUUAGAAUGCUUAAAAUACGCACGUUAUGUAUAAUGUACUUUCGAACCUCUAUAUAGUAGAGAGUUUUCAUGUUGGGCUAGGGGCCUACGGUUAGCAUUCUUACAAUUGAUUGAGAUCAUGUUGCAUAUGGUACAUAUGGCAUAUAGAUUACACUCUUGGACUUAGAACGCAUGAUUGACGUGGUUGGACAUAUCGACAUUAAGCGACAUAGGCUAGAGUGUAUACAAAUAGUGAGCUAAUGUCAUAAAGCGGCAUUAGGCUUGGAUUAGAUAUGGGUUUAGCAAGCUAAUGUCAUAAAGCGGCAUUAGACUUGAUGGGUAUGCAAAUUGCAUGUGCAAGUUAUUAUUAUGAGAAUUAUGCCAAGUUAAUAGUCGCAUUGGGAUGAACUUACAUGUAGCCAUAUGAGAACACGCUAGAGAGCAUGUGUAUUAAUCUAUUGUUGAUAGAACAAGCUAACGCCUUAAAGAGACAUAAAAUGUGAAUUGAGCUUAGAUUAUAGCAAUGUUUAAGUGUCAUAAAGAGGUACUAAACAUAGUGAAUGUGGGAACUUCACCUUGAGUUUUGGACUUAGUAAAGCCAAGGUCAUUGACAUUGAAUUAUCGAACGGUUAAACCUUCACUUGAGGCAUAGACUAGACACUGGGGUUGCUAGUGUGCAUUUUCAUGUUAGAGACAUGAUGACUGUUGAGUUGCAUUUCCAUGUUGGAGACAUGACGAUUGGACUAUUGAGGUUUUGACCAUGCUUGCUUGCUUGCCAUUUGUGCUCAUACGCACAUGCUUGUGAGGGUCGCUCCCCACAAGCCGGCACUCCGGAGUUAGCCUACGCGACUUAUGUUCGCCCGUGCGGUAUCGAGUAGCCUACGGGGCCUGGAGGGAUAGACUCAUUCCUAGAGUGGGAAUGCUGGAGCUACCACUGGCACUUAGGCGGCACAAGCCGGACUACACCCGUGUAGAUCCUGAAUGAGAUUGAACCAGAAUACUAAACAACAAGUUGACAAUCACUACUAGAUAGGUUAUAGUGGUCGGAUUUUCUUGACAUGCUAUGGCAUAGGGUUGGACUCUUGGGAUAUUUAGUGUACUUGACAUUAUCGCUUAUUGCAUUGUAGUACACCUUGCUGCCAGGAUAGUACAUACUAGAUAUGUAGUGGGCUCUAGAAUAUAUAUCACACUUUAUAGCAUUACUUGUUGCAUCACGACACAUUGUUUAAGUUUUGGGCAUAUUGGAUCAUGUAGAGUAGAUGUACUCCAUGUUGACAUUCAGAAUACUUGUGGCAUAGUAGAGUAGCAUUUUAAUUUCAUGCUUCAAUUACUGUUGAUAUUAUCUAUUAUCAUUAUUUGCUCGUUUGGGGCCUAGUGGUGCGUUUUGGUGCAGGUCAGUAAUUGCCCACUGGGAACUAUAAAUUAUAGUUCUCACGCCCCCUGUUUUAUGUUUUCUUUCAGUGCCUUCCACUCCGGGAGAGGCUCGGGAUCGCGGGAAAGGUUUCGCCUCGAGUUAGCCAUCGAGGGUCUUGGCGUUAGGUGGUCCACCUCUCUUUUGUUUUCUUUCGGAGAGGUUGUGAGAGUUUUGUACCUGAUUAUAGAGACCACCCUAUUUUUGUAUCUUGAGACUUAUGAUGUAUCAGUUUACUUUAUGCUUAGUAGUAUGAUUUUCUUUUGAUUCUACCUAAUAUUAGAACCUAGCUAUAUACUUGCUCUGAUAUCUCUAGUUGUAGAUCUUCUCAUGCUUUACUCUUCCGCUUUUGUGUAGACGCCUUAUAUGUGUAGACAUAUGGCGGGUCUGGGCGCGCACCGGGCGGGCCUAUGCCGGGUCCCGGGGCGUGACAGAUUAAUUUGGUAUCAGAGCCUAGGGUUGAGUCUUAGCGGACCUAGCGAACCUUAGGCCGGUUGGACUAUAGAAAUUAGACUCGUGAGAGACGAGGUCUAUUUAACUUAUGAGCGAAAGUAUUAUGAUUGGGUUUUCUUUGAUAACUCCAAAAAUGUUGGAGUUGAAUCGAAGUGUAUGGCUUCUAACUUCGUGGAGGGUUACGUUGGCGGCCGACAACGUAACAUCAGGAGUUAGUAGAUGGGACACUUCUUUACUUUCACAUGAUUUGGGGUGUGGUUAUUUGAGCGGGGUUGCGAUAGCGUGGGUUAUAUUAACUUGCGCUUUUAUGAUGUUGUAGUGUUGAUGCCGACUGCACGCUCUAAGUCUGUUAGAGCAGACGAGGCGGCGACUUUUGAGGAAGCGGAGACAUCUGCUACCUCCCGAUCCAGUGAGGUCCGUGAGUUGAGGAGCCAACUUGCCGCCCUCACUGAUUUGGUGACGCAGCAGGCGGCGGCGGCCCAGCAGCAGGUGGACACGGCACGACGGCAGGAGGCACGGAUGCAGCGCCUGGAGGAUCUUCUAUUACAGCAGGCAGCUGGUAGGGAGGCUCAGGUCUUGGUACUACCCGCGCCAGUGGAGACAGUUGCGCCCGGGGGGUCGUCCCCUGUACUCGACACUUCACAGACGACACUUACGGUAGCCCCUCGGGGGGAGGUAUUGGCAGCACCACCAACUCAGGUGCCUGUGGCAGCGGCGACUUUUUCCUUGAUGGUUGAAAGAGCGGAGCGGCAGCGGCUCAUGGAUCGCCUCGAUGAGUUCCGAAGGUGCGAUCCCAGGAUCUUUGAUGGAGAGGAGGCCGACCACUGGAUCGUUGAGAAGUGGUUGAUGCAUAUGGAGAAGUUAUUCCGCGACACCUUCGUGGAGGAGAGAGAUAGAGUUUGGCUCGCCACUCACCAUUUGGACGGCGAGGCCUAUAGUUGGUGAUUGGGCAUCCAGGAUAAUCCCAACACCGACCUAGCAGCGAUUUCUUGGAAAAGAUUCAAGGAGCUCUUAUUGGAGCAUUACUUCCUCGUCCGCGUGAAGAGGAAAAUGGAACAGGAUCUGCGCGAGAUGCGCCAGGGGGACCAGACUGUGGCCGAGUAUGAGAGGGAGUUCUCUCAGCUUCUACACUAUGCGCCCUUUGUUGUACGGGAUGACGAGGAUAAGGCUCGCACCUUCGAGCGAGGACUUCGGCCGUCGAUUUUACGGUUGGUGCAACCCUUCCACCUUCAGACUUACCAAGAUGUAGUGAACCGCGCUCUCAUCGUGGAAAGCUGCGCGGCAGAUUUGCAGGAGCGUCAAAAAGGCUCGAACAAAGGACAGGACAAGAAGCCCGCGACUGAGAGUGCGAAUCAGACGCACUCUGGGAGGCCGCCGAAACAUUCCAGGAACCGGAGCCAGUUGCGAGGACGUGGCUCAUCAGCACGGCAUAGAGGAUCCGAGCGUCGUCAAACGCUGAGCUGCGUGAUCUGCGGUGGUCGUCAUUACCCGCAGCAGUGCUCUCAGAGGCAGGGCAGGUGCUACUCGUGUGGCCAGGAGGGUCACUUCCAGUCAGACUGUCUGAGAGGUUUAGUAGCAGCGCCAUCUUCAGCAUCGGUACCAGUAUUACCGGAUCCCAGCCAGGGGACGCCUUUUUCUCACUAUCAGGCCGGGAGGCUACCCGUCCUGAGACAGACGGAGGGGUCACGACGGGCCCCGAGUGGGCGUAUGUAUGCGGCCCAGAUUGAGGAGGCGGCAGCAGCCGAGUUUGUGAUUUCAGGUAUCAGUCCCUCUUGUGGCAUUUGAGUUGUGCAUUGUUUGCUAUUGGUGCAUUGCAUCUAUAUUCUGAUCGGCCAUUCGCCGAGUUGCAUGGCAUUUCGUUAGUUCGAUGUCUGCGACAUUGUGUAGCCCCUCGAGCUAGGCGUUUGAUUUGCGGAUCGCGGGUAGCAUAUUUUGCUAUGCUUGUAGAUCUCACGAGGAUUGCAUUAGUUGUAUCCCUGGCUCGGCUGUUUGCCGGAUGGGGCUUGGAGACGACCGUGCCUGGACCAUUUGGGGACUGCGGAGCCUGGGCCCGUUGGGCAGGCGCAGUCGGCUGUGUGUGACAGCGGCCCGGUACCUGUUGGUAGGGCAGAGUUUUGGUCAGGAUGGUAGUCCGAGCCUCGACCCUGGAGCGUGGAAAGCCACGUGUUGGAUCGUGAGAUCGAGGACACACUGAGUGUGUAGUUACCCAACCCGAGGAUUUGUUAGCGUUGAGCUUUUGGCGCGUGUGGAUGAUCGGUUGAUCGGGUGUGUCGUUUUGAACGCCCUACCCUGUGAGAUGGUUCUGGGUGCCAACGAAUAGAUUGGCCUUCCUUGGUGCGGAGUUGUUGUGGGUACCUGGUACCCUUGGAUUGCGAGCUGACUUGACUCGCCUUGAGGACUGUGUGCACGAAAUAGUGCGAUUUGAGGAUUUACUUCCGCUAGAUGUGUUGAUUGUCUCCCUUACCUAAAAUUGGGUAAGUGUUGGAGAGGGUUUAGGGCCUGAGUGGCCAUUAGCUUUGGGUGGUCGAGAAUCCUUGAAAUAAAGGAUGUCCUUGAUCGGUCGUUGUGUCCCUGAUCGAGUCACUAAUAGUUAGCUCGAUUGCCGGGGAGGUACUAUGAUUGGUGUUUUGUUUCGUGACGGAGCGCUCUCACUUGUUGUGGGGCCGGUUGGGCCAUUUUGACUGUAUGUCUACUCUCGUCAUUCAAAUUGAAUCACGAUUGGAGAUUUGGAGUGUUGCUGAGGCUCAUUGACCUUGUCAAAUGGCCUUGAGUUGUUGGUGUACUCGAUAAGAUUGUGAGCAAUCUGAGUAGUACUGUCUGAUACUGGAGUUUGAGGUCAUACCUCAAACGGGUUGUGAUGUUAGAUGGUGACAUCACGAGGGUGAUGUUGCCUAUGCGUGUAGUACUCCACCAGUGGAAGGAUUUGCGGAAUGAUAAUUUCGAGUCCUCUGUGUGGAUUUGUGGAACCAGUCGCGAAUGACUUGGGGUAUUCCUAUAGGAUGUGUGAGGUUAGACUGCUAGGCAGAUUUGAAGUGAUCGGGUUGUGAAACUCUCACUGAUGGAUGGAAAACUCGCGGGAGGGAAGGUACCAGGUUACUAAUUUCCCGUGUCAGGAGCAUGUACAAGGAUUUGAGUUCUUCGGGAUAGAACUGCACAUGAGGACUUAUGGGAUUAAUUUUGGCUUGAUAGUCGCAUCAGAGUGACCUUGAUAGAGAGCUGUUAUCGAACCGUGGAUUGACCCCUCUCUAUUGCGUGAACUGAGCUCGAUGGCUACCGACACCUGGAGCGUCCGUGACUAGGGGAAAGCUUUGAGAUCGAAUCUCUAAGGGUUUGCUUGGACUUGAAUUCGGACUAAGAUAAUAAUCUUAGUGAUUUCAUGAAGCUUUUGAGCUUGGUCCGUGACCAUGUAUUGCGGAGAAUGGAGGGUACUCCCGAAUGGUGAGUUCGAGAUUGAUGUGGAGACAUCGUAGCGCAGUGCCGAAUGAGGAACCAAGUAAUCGCCAUGAUGGGCGAGUUGGACGAUCAGUUGAUUUCUGUUACUUUUGAAAAGCUGGCUACCGUGGUGGUGGAUUUGGAACCGUCCGUGCCCAGCAAGGUUGGACGGAUGAUUGGACGUUGUGAAAUGGCAGUGGGCGUUCCUCUCUCUGCCCGCUAGAACCUACCACUAAAAUAGAGGGGGGGGCGAGAACUAUCUUCCAUAGCUCCCCAGGGUGGCGUUGCGCCGCGACUCUUGCCGAUCGCCCACUAGGUCCAAGUAGGGCCACAAGUAACAACAGAUAGAUAGAUAGAUAGAUAAUGUAUCUGUUAAGCAGUAAAGUGCGGGAAGUAGGAGAAAGACUAUGUCUAAUACCGAUAAUUCAUGGAAUCAUGGAUUGCCAUGCAUUAUAUAAUAAAGGCUUUGCUACCAUGCUAACAAAUUCGGAUUCGAUGUUCGAAUUUUAGCUAAUGUUUCAAUGACAUUUUUUAAAACGUUUAACCUUUCCAUUUUACCCAAUCUGUUGACGGAGGCCCUAAGCGCUCGCCCAUAACUCACCUUUCAAUCACAAAAGUGGCGGGAGCGAAGCUCCAAGCUGCCACCCAAACGGCCCGCGGACCGGCGUCUGGCGGACCUCCAUGGUUGGCUCCGGACCUCCAACGGCGUCCAGGUCGCACGCACACUCCGCCGGAGCUACUCGACGACCAGCUCCCCUCAAUGGGUGGCCGGGGAUUGGCAUGGCUGAUACGCAUCCCAAACGCCAGAGCUGUGAGUGGUAUCUACUCCUCUCCAAGGUGAACCGAUACACUAUCUCUAGCGGCUCAACAACCCAAUCCAAUCCUCUCCAAGUGAGCGAUGGGCGCUAUCAACUAGAGUCCGGAUACCCAAUCGACGCUCCUGCUCCAAGUGAGGGGAUGCCCUGGAACCACUAGGCCGUCAAUUGUCUCAAUCGGCUUAUCACAACCUCUCGGCAUGUGCAGGCUGACUUAGCGGCUUUACUUAGAGCUUUGCUUGGUCCACAAGAACAUUUUCUAAGGGAUCCACCUACCCCUUAGUGUAAACAAUGUGAACUCUCGAAACCGAGGGUUGCAACCUCUUCUAGAACGACUAAGGGGUCGAAUGCGGAUAAGCUUUAGGAAAAAGCUAAGGAUGCCACAAAAAUCGAAGAAGUGGCAUUGGAAUGGAGUCCGCCGGGAGAGCAUAAUAAUGCCCAGAUUUAGCACAUUUUCCGCGGCUGAAGUUGCUCUCGGGGGAAUCGGUCUCUGCCCGAGCGAUGAGAGACCGGGUCCCAUCAGCUGAAGCUGCGGGGUUGCGAUGCAACCGGCUGGCAGAGAGGGACCGCGUCCCAGCCUGCGACACCAGUGGGCAGAAGGGAGCCCAGAAAUCGGCUUUUUUUUAAGCUCCCGAAAGUUUAGCUCUCGGGAAACCCGGUCUCUCUGAAGAGAACGCCGGUCUCCCGCAUGACCGAUUCUCUCAGGGGGGGACCUGGCUCGCCGAGAACGCGUGUCCGGUGGCGGGGAGGCCCCCGGGAACCGGUCCGCUGGUCGGGGAUGGAGACAGGUCCCUCGCGCGCAGAACGCCCAGAUAAGGCGCUGUGUAAGGAGGUUGGAAAAGGUUGAGGGGCCUUUGGGGAUAUUGUACAAAGAUGGAUGAGAGAGGUACAGAGGAGAGUAUGCUAACGCACUUGGACCUUGCCAAACUUGCUGCGGUUCGAGUGAUUGAUUGUAUUAUGAGCUUUUCCAGAACUUUCUGGUGGGUUGCUUGACCAGGGUGUUUCGAACCGUAUGGAUCGAGUCCCGAGAAUUGGUUGGUUUAAAACCUUGCCGGGCUCAAAAUCCAAAAAGUUGCGAUUUUUGGCUAGCCUCUCGGGUAGUCUUUCAGAGGGGCAGGGUGUACCGUACGGGCUUGAUUUUGCGUGUACCGGGUACGCGGUGGAUGCGUUGUUACCAAGUACGCGGGCCCGUGGCUACCGGUACACAGCGCCUAUUUUCCCAGCAAAACCGAGGCUCGGGUUGCGCUUUCGUAGGUGGGGGUGUAGCCGCGUACACAAACCCGGUGUAACCGGUACACAGUACAGUCUUGGCCAGGUGUUCGGCAAGGGGUGGGUGUUUGCAAUUGUUACAACACCGGUUCAUAUUACUACCCCCAGCCCCCUUGGAAGCUCUUUGUAGCCCUUAGGAACCAGUGCAGAAUAGGUGAGAACUCCUCCCCUUUGGAUUCUUCUCCAUUUUGAUGCGUUUUCUUUGUGGGUUUUUGUCACGCCCCGGGAACCCGGCAUAGGCCCGCCCGCCCGGUGCGGCCCAGACCGUGCCAUAUGUCUACACAUAUAAGGCUCUACACAAAAGCGAAGAGUAAAGCAUGGAGAAGAUCUAGCCAACUAGAGAUAUUCAGAGCAAGUAUAUAGCUAGGUUCUAAUCUAUCAGGUAGGAAUCAAUAAGCAAGAUUAAUAUACUAAAAGCAUAAAAGUAAAACUGAUACAUCAUAAGAUCUCAAGAUACAAACAUAGGCUGGUCUGCGUAUAUCAGGCUUACAAAAACUCUCACAACCUCAUCCGAAAAGAAACAAACAGAAAGGUGGACACUAACGCCAAGACCCCUCGAUAGCUAUACUCGGGGCGAAACCUUUCCGCGCGCGAUCCCGAGCCCUCUCCCGCGAGUGUGAAGGCCUGAAAGGAAAACAUAAAACAGGGGCGCUGAGGACUUAUAAUUUAUAGUUCCCAGUGGGGCAAUUUAACUGAGCCUGCACCAAAACGCACCACUAGGGCCCCAAACGGAGCAAAUAAUGGAUAAUAGGCAUAAUAUCAACAGGUAAUUGACAUGAAAUUAAAAUGCUACUCUACUUUUUUUGUGCCCACAAGUAUUGCUGAAAUGUUCAACAUGGAGCUACAUCUUACCUGUACAGAUCCAAUAUGGCCUAAAAACUUAAACAAUGUGCUCGUGAGCAACAAGUAAUGCCCUAUAAAGUGUGAUUAUAUAUUCUAGAGGCCACGUACAUUAUCUAGCUAUGUCACUAUCCCUGCCAGCAAGGUGUACUACAAUGCAAUACAACGAUAAUGGUCAACGUACACUAGAAUAUCCCAGAGAGUUCCAACCUAUGCCAUAGCAUGUCAAGGAAAAUCCGACCACUAUAACCGUAUCUUAGGUAGCUUGAUUGUCAACUUCGUUGUUUAGUUAUUUCUGGUUUCAAUCUCACUCAGGAUCUACACGGGUGUAGUGCGCGGGCUUUUGUGCCGCCUAGUUGCGAGUGCGGUAGGCUCCAGAUUCCCACUCUCAGGAAUGGGGAGUCUAUUCCCUCCAGCGGGGCCCCGUGAAGGCUACUCGAUACCGCCACGGGGCGAACAUAAAGUCGCGUAGGCGUAACUCCGGAGUGCCGGCUUGUGCGACGCUACCCUCCACGAAGCAAUGUGCUUGUAUGAGCACAAAAUGGCAAGCAAGCCAUUGAUCAAAACCUCAAUAGUCCAAAUUCGUCAUGUCUUCCAACAUGGAAAUGCAACUCAACAGUCAUCAUGUCUUAACAUGAAAAUGCACACGUAGGCAACAGUGUCUAGUCUAUGCCUCAAGUGGAAGGUGAUUAAACCGGUUUCAAAAAUUUCGAUGUCAAUGACCUUUAGCUUUACUUAAGUCCAAAUCUCAAGCGGGAAGUUCCCCCACAUCACUAUGUUAGUGCCUCUUAUGCACAACUUAAACAUUUGCGGGAUGAAUCUGAAGCCUCAAUUCACAUUCUAUGUCUUUAAAACUUAGCGUUGUUCUUAUCAAUAAUAGAUUAGUACACAUGCCUCUCUAGCUUUUGUCGCUUGCUCAUAUGGCUACAUGUAAGUUCUUUCCAGCAUGCCCCGACGUAUUAAUUGGGCAUCAAGCUCGAUAAUAAUAGAUGCAUAUGCAAUUUGCAUAACAUCAAGUCGUAAUUGCGCGCUUUAUGACAUGGUAGCUCUGCCUAAAACUGCAUAUCUAGUCCAAGGCCUCGAAUGCCCCGCUUUAUGCACAUUUAGGCUUACUAUUUGUAUACACUCUAGCUAUGGCUCGCUUAAUGUCGCAUAUGUCCAAACCACGUCAAUUCAUGCCCGUUCUAAGUCCAAAGGAGGUGUAAUCAUAUGCAUAUGUACAAAUUGCAACAUGAUCUCAAUCAAUUGUAAGAAUGCCUAACCGUAGGGCCCCCUUAGCCCAAACAUGAAAAACUCUCUACUAUAUAGAGGUUCGAAAAAUGCAUGUAUAAACAUAACGUGCGUAUUUUAAGCAUUCUAAAGAUUCACAAAUUGAGUCUAUCAGCCGGAUGAAUAUUGCAUGCCAUUUUCAUUUUGACGAUAAAUAAAACCAUUUCAUAAAGUUGAAAUUUUGUUUCAUUUGGGUGAGGCCAAAAGACCCACCAACAAUCGAAACCCUUCGUUUCGGCCGAACGGGAGGGUGCCCCACAAGCGCUCCUUAGUACCCUAGAGCAUCAAAACGAGGCUUACUCAAACGAAACGAAACAACUCAAAAACUCAACAACAUUAACCAUCAAGCAAAAAGGGCUAAAAUCUCACCUAAGUGUAGAAAAUCCGCUUUUAAGCCCAAAUGGAAGCUAGAUCCCUUCCAAUCCAACCUAGAUAAAAGGGUUUCUAAUUAAGAUCAAUGUGGGCUUCAAAAGCCUCUUAAUCAAAAAUCCCCAAAACAAACCCUAAGAUACCCAUUUCUAGCGGUUUGUAUACAAAAAAUCAUGCAUCAAGAAGGCGAAGUUAGUAAGCAACUAACCUCAAGAGAAGCUCCCAACCACCCUAGAAAUCAGCUAGGGUUGGAGCUCCUACCCUUCUACAAGCUCCAAACACCAAGCCCAAAAAUAUCUUUCUUUUUCCCAUGGAGGAAAAACCACCAAAAUGCAAAAAGAGAGCAAAAGGAGGAGUUUUAAUUCUUCAAAAAAUCCAAGAUAAAUCAAAGGGAAACAGGGAAGAGGGAGAAAAGAGAGCUGUCCCGUUACCGUUGCCUCUCCUGCCUCAAAGCUCAGGGAACACCAAAGGGGGCGGUGGGGUAUGGUAUAGAGUUGCAACAAUGCAAGAAACACCCCCUGCAGGGUUCGAAGUGUUCGAAAACUGCCAAAGUGUACCGCGUACCACGGGGAAAGUGUACAGUCACACAUCCUACGAAAAUGCCAAACCCGGAGGCUCGAUUCGGAAAUUCGCCGCCAAGGUACCGGUACAACCAUCAGAAGUGUACCGGUACAAAAUGGUGCACCGGUACAGCCAUCGACCUGUCAACCGGUUACACCUCGCUGCAGAAUGCAAUCGGAGGGUAGGCUAAGUUUCCAACUCUUUAGUGACCUGUAGCGCUACAUAAAAAUACUACAAUUUCUCGGGAUUCGAACCAUAGUCGGAAUAUCUGGUCAACGAGCCCACCAAGAACAAUCUGGGUAAAGCUCAGGACACGAGUACAAACACUCGUAACCCUCGCAAUUUGCAAAGUCCAUGUGUACAUUCUCCCCUCCUAAAAAGGAAGUUUCGGGUCCGCCGAAAAACUGGGGGGUCAACCACACAACAAAACCCAUCGCGAAGGGGGGAGGAAGAAAGGCGCCGUCCAGCAACGCCCCAAACAAGACCAUGCUGGCACAGGGGUUGGUGCCGGGAAAACUCCAAGCGCGAAACACAACAAAGAUCCGCGACCCAAGGCUUUGCAUAACACAAGCCCAAAGGCAUCCACAUAAGCCCUCCUUGAACUCAAGCCUUCACCGUAAAGUCAUCCAUCGUGUCAAUCCGCGUCCUGAUUUCACAGUCCUUCAAUCGCGGUUCUCAGGAACUCCAAGUGGUUUCCGAAAAGAAAACAGGAUGAAUUCAAUUCUCACCUUAUCUCGCCAAGUCGGGUAAGCCUUGCUCUGCUCAAUUACUCUUUUCGGUAUGUAGCGAUUACAUUCCAAACACCCCUUAAAGGCUGGCAUUCAAGGGCCACUGCUCCAAAGCAAGGCAUAUGGGGUUAAAAUCCUUUACUCAUUUUAUUCCAAAUCACCAUCGGAGUUCUCAUCAAUCACGACGCUCACCGAGGAGAGGUUGGAUGCAACAUCUGCUAAUCGGCCCAUAUAUCCAACAAUGAUCCUAAAUCAAGUCUCUUUCUCGAGGAUGCAUAACUAAGGGGCAUAAUCCGAAUCCGAGUUUAGAGUACAGGUGUAAUUUCCAUCCACCUGCGNNNNNNNNNNNNNNNNNNNNNNNNNNNNNNNNNNNNNNNNNNNNNNNNNNNNNNNNNNNNNNNNNNNNNNNNNNNNNNNNNNNNNNNNNNNNNNNNNNNNCCCCUCCUCCACCGCAUCUAUUCUUCUUCCCUUCUUCUCCUUCUCUCCCCUCUUCGCUCUCUCUCUCGGCGGCCCCCGCCACUGGGGCCGUGCGGCGCGGCGCAGGCGCCGUGCCCUCUCCGCUUCUCUGUACCCUCCCCACCCCUCCCCCCCCCCUAUUGCCUCCGCCCGGCUGGCCGUUUUCGCUGCCGCCGCGGAAAGUCUCAGUCCCGCCGGACCGGUACUCUCGCUGCGCCCCCCGCCCCCCCGUUCGCCCCCCCGGUCUCUUCCCUGCGAAGGCCCGGUCCAGUCCCUGCGCCGACGGCGUUCGGGCCCCGGUCUCGCCUGCCCGGGCCCCGGUUCCUCCGCUGCCUCCCCCCCUCGCUCCCUGGGGGCCCGUCUCUCCUUCCCGGGCCGUCCCCGCGCGUCCCCCUCCGCGCCUUGUCCCCGUUCCAGUUUUCGCCCUAUUCGGGUCGGCCAUCCCUUUUCCCCCCUCCCCACAGCGUGGCCACCCUCGCCCUCACUCCCCCCCUCGCCCCUCGCUUGCCCCAGUCCCGUGUGUUCACAGUGGCCGGCUGCCAUCCCGCUCUCCCGCGGUGCGGUCGCCGGUGUCCCCGCCCGAUGCCAGCCCUGGGGCGCCGGGGCUUGCGCCCUCGUGAGCGUCCCCACGCGUGACCCUGUGCUCGGGCGUGUGGGCCGCCUGGCGGGUCUACCGACCUCCCGGCCGGACCUGCCACCGCCCUCCUGCCGUCGGCCGCCCCUCCCGAGCUGCCUCUCCACGUGGCGCCGUCCUCCCCUGGCCCGCCUCCCCCCAGGCGCGCCCACCCCCCCCAGUCCGCGCCUGCUGGUCGUUGCGGCCCGACCCGCCCCCCGCCCGCGAACGGCUCCGCGAGCUGCCCGACCGCACGGCGACGCACGCGCGUCCGCCAGCCGGCCGCGCCGCCACACCAGCCUGCCUCCGUGACGCGCUUGCCCGCGCCCCUGAACUUCGCUCCUGCCGUCCGCCCGCCCCGCCAAGCUGCGUACCCUCCAAGCGAGCCCGUCCCCACAGAGCCUCGACCUCGCCCGCCUCGUUACAGGCCGCUCGCGCGCCGGCGGUCCCUCGCCGGCCGAUAAGUACCCCCCGGGAUGUGCCAGUGCCCUGCCCUCGCCCCCCCCCCCACCAGCGCGCCCCGACACGCCCUGCAUCCCCGCGCCCGGGUGCGUCCCGUCCACGCACCCCCUCGCCGUCCUACAGCGCGCCUACAGGCCCGCCCCCCUUCGUCCGCGCCGCGCGUAUCCCCGGUGCGCCCACGCCUCCCACCCGACUCCCCACUUGCCUCCCCCUCACCCCCCUCCUCCCCAGCGCACGCGCCGCUCAGCUGCCAGACGCUCGUCCUGCCCGCGGCCCUCGCCGUCCCUCCCGGCUGAUGUCCGCGUUCUGCCCGGCUCGCGGACCGCCCCCCGACGGGCGGGCGGGGCACAGCCCCGGCCCCCUGAUUCUCCGCCAGCCGUUCGCCGCCCUCCCCCUCCCUCGCCCUCUCCCCUUUUUCCGCCGUUCUCAAUCGCACGCCCCUCCUCCUCCCUAAUUACCGCUCCUAUCCCCGUCAACCUCCUCUCUCCGUCUCUCCGCGCGCUCUCGUUUCCUCUCGUCCCCCAGCCACCGUCCCAGCCCAACUAAACUCGCCUAACACCGCCCGCGCGCGGCAGCCUCACGCUUUGCUCGGUCGCCCUCCGCCUCCCCCCUCGCUCUGCUCUCCCCCCCUUUUCUCUGUCACCGUGCACCCCGGCCCCCCGGCCGCAGGCACCUUACUCGGCGCGGCGCCGACCUCGCCCCGCCCUCUGUACCCCUCCCCCGGUGUCUCCCCUCCCCGCGGCCCGUCGACGCCCUGCCCUUCCCUCGCUCUCGCCGCGCCGUCGCUUCUCUCCUCUCGUCCCGGCGCGUCCCGCUCCCCCCCCGCCCUAGCCGUCCUCCCCGUCUCCCCUCUCUGCCCCCCCGUGCCCCCCCGGGGUGGUCUGCGUCGUCCCGCUCGGUCGGACGGGCUCUCCCCCUCCACCCCCCUCCCUCGACGCGGUGGCGCCCCUGCGGCCGCCGUCGUCCUGCGCUGACGCCUCGCUCGCCGCCCCGCCCUUGGCCUCCCUCGUCCUCCGCUCCCCGCGACCGUCCGCCGGCGCUGCGUGGCCGCUCUGCCCGCCCCCCUCCCCACGGGCGUGCGCCUUCUCCUUUCAUCGUUCCCCGUACCGGCUAUUCCUCGACCGGCAAGCUCAGCGCGCGUUCCCCUGCUCACCCCCUCCGGCCCCCCCCCGCCCACCGCGUGCCGUCCCUGCCCCUACCUCUUACGCGCCCCCCUCCCGCGCUGAGUCUUCGACGCCCUAGCUCUACCCAGCCACUCGCACCCCACCGCCUGCCCUCCGCGUGCCCCUGCCUUCGCAUCAACCUCCUCUGUCUCCCGUCCGCCUGCUGUUCCAUGGUGGUGCUACAAUCUCCGCACCUCCCGCUCCUGCUCCCCUGCACUCCUCCUCCGAUCCCCCUCUCCCCCCAUCCCCCUCCUGCUGCCCGUCUGUCCCUGCCUCCGGUGUCAGCCUCUCCCCGCCCCCGCGUCUCUCCCGGGGCCCCCUGCCCCCGGCCCGUCCCUCCUCUCCGCACUCUCUCUCCCUCCGGCCUCUCCCCGUCGUCGACCCUCCUCCCCGCUCUCUCGUGCGUGCUUCUUCCCUUCUCCCCCCCUCGGUGACGCUGUUCCCCUUCACACAUCUCCGCCGCCCGACCCCUCCCGCCCCGGCCUCGUAGACGCAUCUGUCUCCCGCCCGAUUUCCCGUGCCUGUGGUCGCCGGCCCCCUCCCUCCUCUAUGGCCUCCGUGUCGUGUCCCCCUAUGCCGCCGCCGCAAUGAACCGUCGGCUUCCUCCCCCGCCCGCCGCGGAGGCCCCUCCUGCGGCCUCGGCUCCCUCGGCGUGCGGCUUUGUCCGGCGCGCCCCUCCCAUGGUGUGCGCCUGCGGCCCCCUGGCCAGGCGCCUCGUCCCCUCUCCGUCUCCCCUUCCUCCGUUCUCCCUCGGUCUCGUCCUCCGCCUCCCGCCGCUCUAGUUCUCUCCCCCGCCCGUUCGCCCCCUUCCCUCCGCCCUCGUGCCCUUGCUGCCCUUAGCCCCUUACUGUCCCCCUCCCCCCCUCCUCCCUUGCUCUCACCCCCGACACGGUUCCACCCGUCCGCGCUCCCUGCCUGUUGCUGCCCUUCGCCUCUCCUUCACCAUCCCUCUCUCCUUCGCUCCUCUACCGGGCCCUUUUGCCCUCUUUCGCUGUCCCCCCCCCCCUCCCCCUAGGUUCACUCCGCCUCCCGCGUCUUUUCAUUCUCCGGCACUGGCCUGCUCCCCCCCCCCCAUCCGCUCCUCUCGCCUCUCUCCUCCGUCGCCGUCCCCCCUGCCCUUCUGUCCCUCGGCCUUUUCCGCUUCUCCCCUCCCUCCCCCUCUCACCCCUCGACUGCUUUUCCUUUUCCCCCCCUCACUCCUCCCCCCUGAGCUUUUCUCCUUGUGUGCCUAGGUCCCACCACCCGCCCCGUCGCGUGCUCCUUCGCUUGCGCCGCCCGGCGUUCCCCGGUCUCACCCUCCCUCACCGUCUUCCCGGCCCGCGCCCCCCGGGCCUUCCGCUCCCUCUCAGUCCCCCUUCCCCUAGCCGCCCCCCCCGGGCCACCCCCCCGCUCCCGCGUCCACAUCGCUCUCAUCCGCUCACCCCGGCCGCUCGCCUCCUUCCCCUUCCCCGCCCCGGCCGGUCUCCUCCCCGCCUCUCCCUCCCCCGCCCUCGCUCCCCCUCCCCCCUCCCCCUCAGUCCCCUCUCGGGUUUCCCUACUCGCCUCCCCCGUCCCCCUUGCCGCUCGCGGGAGCUGCCCUCGUCGCUUCCCUUCUUCGCCGUCCUCCCCGCUCUCCACCUCUCCCCGUCCCCCGCUCUUCCCUGCCCCUCUGGGCUCCCAUCCCACGCUCCCGCUUCCCCCUGGCGGCCCCCCCCCAUCCCCGGGGCCCCGCCCUUCCCUCCCCCGCUCCCCCGCGCUCCCCUCCCCCGGUGCCGGGUUACGCGGUGCCCUCCCUGGUCUCCCCUCUCUUUCUCCGCUCCCCGGGGCGCGCCCUCGGGCGGCGUGGUGCUGCUCUCCGCCGGCACCCAUCGCCCACCCUCCCCUGCCCUCCCCCUUCCGCUUCUGUUCCCUGCGUCCCGGUCCCUCGGCUCCCGUCCGUCGUCCCCCCCCGCCCCUGCCACCCCCGCCUCGGUCUUGUGUGGCCCCCUGCUGUGUACCGGUACUCCCUCCCGUCCCGUCCGGCCCUCCCCGGCCUGACCGGUCGACUUGCCCUCCCCCCUGUCCCCCGGUCCCCGCCUGCUCCGCUCCCCGAGCGGCUGCCCCCCCCUUUUGCCUUUUUUUCGGCUUUUCUUGUGCUCGCGCGCCUUCCCCCAGUCACUUCUCGGCUACGCGCGCCCCCCGGUUCGGCCCCCAGUCCCCGACCCUCCCCGCCCCUCUGGCCACCGCUCCCCCCCCCAUGCCACCUCCCCUCGAACCUCCUCCCUUCGCGCACGGCCCGUGUGUCUCCCGCCCUCGGGCGCGGGCCGCUUUUUUUUUUUUUUUUUGUUUCCCCUGCUUCGGGCUGGUCCCCCCCUCCCCUACGUUGGCGCCGCUCCCCCUCGCGCGCCUCGCCCCUCAGCCCCUCCCGCUUCGCCCUCCACGCGUGGCACUGCGCGCGCCCCCUUCGCUGCGCUCAUCUUCGCCCCCCUCGCCGCCUCGUCGCCCCAGUCUCGCCGCCAGGGCGCCGGGGCGUCUCGCUCCUCGGCCGAUUCGGUUUCUGCCGCCCCUACUUUCGCUCGACCACCCGCUUAUCUGCGCCCCCUCCACUGGCGGCGCCUCGCUCCCCCUGGCGCCCUUCUCGAGUUUCGCGCCUCGAUUCACACGCUCCCCGCUCCUACCUUCUCUCCUAGGUUCCCACCCUCUCCCCGCUCUCCCCCCCCCCCUCGGCCCUCCCCCUUGUCAGCCGGUAGACGCUUACUUCCCCGCUUUGCUCCCCACGCGGCCGACGACUCGAUGAUGGUGAUCCUCCUCUUCCUUGCUCUCUUCUCACUUCUUCUCUUCUUCUUCACUUCUCUUCUUUCUCCUUCUUGCGAGAGAGAGAGCAAGAGUUUAUAGAGAGGGAGAGAGAGAGAAAUGUUUAAGGGUUGGUUGAGAGAGAAGAAUAGAGGAGGGAGCCUCUGCUCACUCUCAUAUAGGCCUCAACCUAAACAACAAUUGCAUGAAAAGCCCUCAACUUCCAUCUGAUGAGAUAGCCCAUGUAUUGGGCAAUAUUCGGGGUAACAGGGGUCCAGACCGUAGACUAGGGUCCAGACCCCAGAAGUUGAAGAAACUUUGAAAUUGCAAUUUUUGCAAUUCUCACAACCAAGUGGGUAUUUCGCACUAGGGGUCUAGACUCUAAACCACUAGGGAUCCGGACCCCGAGAGUCACCCAAGUGUGCAAGGCUUGCAAACUUGAAAUUCCAACUCUCCAAGGUCCACCAAUAAUGCACUUUUUCGCAUUUCAUACGCAUUCGGAUCUCUCCGAAGGCCUCACCAAGUAAACGAAUAGUCUCGAUUCCAAACGAAGUCUAACUCUCGGAUUUCGAGAAUUCACUUCCUUACAUCGUCCCUUGUGACUUGAUGUUGGUGUUGUCUUGCGUGAAGGAUGAAAGGAGCAGCACCUAUUUCCAGAAGAGAUAUAUUGACCAGAAGCACUACUAACAUGUUGAUUUGCUCUCUUGACUGGCGUAGGUGUAGGAGAGCAUGAUGUGGUGUCGGCUACAUUGUUGUUUCGUAGCGACUUUGUGAUGGGUACUGUGUCACGCCCCGGACCGGCAGAGGCCCUCCCGGUAGCGUGCCCAGACCCACCAUAUGUCAACACAUAUAAGGCGUCUAGAUCAACAGCGGAAAUAAAAGCGAGAAAUAAUCUAUACCUAGAGAUAUCAGAGCAUAAAAGAUCUAUCAUCUACAGUAAGGAAAAAGGAUAAUACUAUAACAAUAAGAGUGAAAUAUAAAGUAAUACAAUAUCUGUCCAAAAAGUACACAAAAGGGUGGUCUCUAGUACACCGGUAUAGCUCUCAACCUCUCCAAAAUAAAAUAUAUCGAGAGGUAGACCACCUAGCAACUCCUCACUCGCUGAAGAGCUAGCCCAAAGCCACGCCCUUCCCACGGUCCCUAGCCUCUCCCGGCGUGGAAGGCUCUGAAAGAAAACAUAAAACAGAGGGCGUGAGAACUAUAAUUUAUAGUUCCCAGUGGGCAAUUACUGACCUCAGCUCAAUGCACCACUAGGCCCCAAAAGAAAAGGGUAAGUACGGUAAACAGCAAUAAUAAUAAUGAUAACUGCGGUAUGAAAGUAUGCAUGUUUACUAAGCUUACUAUACCAUAACCAUUACGAUGUCAAUGCUUUACAUUUACUCUUUCAUAAUAAAGAAUGUUCAAAGCGUAAGUAAUAUGCCUCAACAUGGCCACAGGUAAAUGUCACGGCCUACUUUAUGAAGUUAUAAAGAUCAUGCUUUAUCAUGGCAACAAUGUAUACAUGGAUGCAAUAAGCAACAUCUCCUAGCAUACUACAUGUAUGUAUGUCUACUCAAGUGUCCAAAACUAUGCUAGAAGUGAGUCCAAGCAGUCCAACUACUAUUCUCUAUCUAGUAGUGAUUAUAACACACACAACACCGUGUCGAUUUCCAAUUCCAAUUAAGGACCUACCCAAGGUAGUCCAGCUUGUGCCGCCUAAGUGCCUGUGGUAGCCCAACAUCCCUACUCUUGGAAUGUGUCUGUCCCACUCGACCCGGUAGGCUUCUCAAUACCGCACGAGCGAACAUAGGUCGCGUAGGCUAACUCCGGAGUGCCGGCUUGUAGGGAGCGACCCUCACAAGCAUGUGCGAAUGAGCACAAAUGGCAAGCAAGCGUAGUCAAAGGCUCAAGUAUCCAACCCUCAUGUCUCAAACAUGGCAAUAGCUACUAGUAACCCAACGGUCUAGCUCUAUGUCACAAUGUGAUAUCCCAACACUCACUUGCUUAGUGCCUCUUUAUGACACUUAAGCACCACAACCAGUCAAAGCCCAAAUCAUAUUCUAUGUUCUCAUAUAAGACAUAAUACCAAUGCUCACUAAGGUCGGAGCCCAAUGCCUCUUUAUGACAUUGGCCCAAGAUCUCAAAUAGUCUAAGUCCCCAAGCCUCUCUAGGCUUCCAAAGUCUCUAAUGUCACAAUUGGGCAAAAAGGUUAAAUGCAUGAAGGCAAUGUUUAUUUUCAUAAUAGGAAUUAUGGUUUCAAGUUUCAACUAGAAUGCUAUAUCUCACAUGCAUGCACCCUACCACAUGGAGGUCCCAAAAAUUUACUAUACAAAACAUACGCAUGUUAAGCAUUCUAAAAUGCAUGUUUUAUCAUUUAACGAUACUCAAAACAUCACGAAUGAGAUUUUCUCAUUGUGUGGCUAGGUCAAACCCACCGAACCGUCGCAUAGUGUCUCGAUCCGCCGAACGGAGUUGUCCACGAGUCUCCAAAUACCCUAAAAGUAUUGAGCGAGAAGAUACACGGGCAUUACGAUCAACUAUAAGACCAAACAUUAACCAAUCAAGGCAAAAAGGCUAAAACUCACCAAGGGAGUAGAAAUUCUCUCUCAAGCUCCAAAAGAAGGCUAGGAUCCUUCCAAAGCAACCUAAACCAAGGUUCUAAUCUCAUUAGAUUAGCCAAAAAGCCUUCAAUCAAAAAGUCCCAAAUAAACCCUAGAUUUUCCAUUCUAGGGUUUCAUCCCCCCAAAAUCUACCAAAGCUAGGUCUAGAGGGAAGAAACAAACAACCAACCUCAAGAGAACUCCAAUCCAAGCUCCAAGGGUGAAGAUCUCCUCCUUUGCAAGCUCCAAGUCCAAGCUCCAAGCACCAAGGAAGAAGAGGGGGUGAGGAAGAUGCUCCAAGCCCACUAGUUGCUCUUAAUCUUCUUCUUCUUCCCCCCUUCUUCUCCUUCUCCUUCUUCUUUUUCUUCUCUAUCAAGGGUGUAGAGAGAGUUGAGAGAAGAGAAAUAAGGAGAAGAGAGAGUGGAUGGGUCAUAUAGACCAUCUAUUGCAACAAAAUCCAGCUAGGUCCCUCAAAAAUCCAAAAUCGCAUCAGCCUGGUCUGGGCAAUUUUCGCCCAGAGGGACCGGUCUCUCCCUGCAAGGGACCGGUCUCUCAUGUCGAACCCGAGAAACCAACGUUCGGGAACCGGUCUCUCCCCGCGCGGGACCGGUCUCUCACUGCGAAGACGCGCUCGGGGACCGGUCCGCCCGCCAGGGACCGGUUGCCUCGCCGACAGCGUAACACUGUUCACUGGGGGACCGGUCUCUCCAAUCAGGAACCGGUCCCCGAGAGUAAAAACUCUCAGGUUUUGUCCAAAACUCAAGUUUUCGAACUUCUUGGGUCGGAAAACAUUCUACGACCCUUCACCAAGUGUGGAGAAGCUCGAAACACAACCCAUCACUCGAACCUCGCAAUUUGCACAGGUCCAAUGUGUUACAUACUGGUUGAGGAGUAGACGUUUGGCUGGCUCCAGAUGCACUGUCACGCCCCGGGACCGGCGGAGGCCCUCCCGGUAGCGUGCCCAGACCCGCCAUAUGUCAACACAUAUAAGGCGUCUACAAUAAAGCGGAAGUAAAAACAAGUAUUAAAACAAGUAGAAGGAGUGAAAUAACAGUAACUAAUGAUAUCAGAGCAAAUAUAGUUCUAACAUCUACACCCAAGUAAGGAGAUAAGGAUAGACAAAAAAAAGAAAAUCAUAAGUAGUACAAUAUCAGCCUCUAAUACAAAAAUGGUGGUCUCUAGUACACGGGCAAAAACUCUCAACCUCUCCAAAAUAGAAUACAACGAGAGGUAGACCACCUAUCGAACGAUCCCUCGGUAAGCACGCAAGCCCGAGGCGAUACCCUUUCCGCGAUCCCUGGCCUCUCCCUGAGUGGAAGGCUCUGAAAAACAUCGAGAAAAGAGGGCGUGAGAACUAUAAUUUAUAGUUCCCAGUGGGCAAUUACUGACCUCAGCUCUUGCCCCACUAGGCCCCACAAACAAGGGUAAGCAACGAAUAUAAUAAAAGCAAUAUGGAGCAUAUACAUAAACUGCUGAAAGAAAGCAUAAAUGAAAUGCUAGUCUACUGUGUCUCAAAUAAGCAAGAUGUCAACCAAAAUGUACCUCUAUUCUAUCAUUACAAUUAAGUCCAAUCACACUAGAUUAAUGCUAUUAACCCUUGUCAAUACAUGGUGUAGAAAUUCUAAUAUGGCAACCAAGUAUACUACAUGUCUCACACUAUGCUAAAAGCAUGUAAAUGUAACCCAACUACUAAGUCUAUCUAGUAGUGAUCAUUCAUCCUCAACCCCGUGUCGAUUUCCAUUUCCAAUUAGGAACCUACCCAAGGUAGUCCAGCUUGUGCCGCCUAAGUGCCUGUGGUAGCCCGACAUUCCUACUCUUGGAAUGUGUCUGUCCCACUCGGCCCCGUAGGCUUCUCGAUACCGCACGAGCGAACAUAAGUCGCGUAGGCUAACUCCGGAGUGCCGGCUUGUAGGGAGCGACCCUCACAAGCAUGUGCGAAUGAGCACAAAUGGCAAGCAAGCAUAGUCCAAGUCUNNNNNNNNNNNNNNNNNNNNNNNNNNNNNNNNNNNNNNNNNNNNNNNNNNNNNNNNNNNNNNNNNNNNNNNNNNNNNNNNNNNNNNNNNNNNNNNNNNNNNNNNNNNNNNNNNNNNNNNNNNNNNNNNNNNNNNNNNNNNNNNNNNNNNNNNNNNNNNNNNNNNNNNNNNNNNNNNNNNNNNNNNNNNNNNNNNNNNNNNNNNNNNNNNNNNNNNNNNNNNNNNNNNNNNNNNNNNNNNNNNNNNNNNNNNNNNNNNNNNNNNNNNNNNNNNNNNNNNNNNNNNNNNNNNNNNNNNNNNNNNNNNNNNNNNNNNNNNNNNNNNNNNNNNNNNNNNNNNNNNNNNNNNNNNNNNNNNNNNNNNNNNNNNNNNNNNNNNNNNNNNNNNNNNNNNNNNNNNNNNNNNNNNNNNNNNNNNNNNNNNNNNNNNNNNNNNNNNNNNNNNNNNNNNNNNNNNNNNNNNNNNNNNNNNNNNNNNNNNNNNNNNNNNNNNNNNNNNNNNNNNNNNNNNNNNNNNNNNNNNNNNNNNNNNNNNNNNNNNNNNNNNNNNNNNNNNNNNNNNNNNNNNNNNNNNNNNNNNNNNNNNNNNNNNNNNNNNNNNNNNNNNNNNNNNNNNNNNNNNNNNNNNNNNNNNNNNNNNNNNNNNNNNNNNNNNNNNNNNNNNNNNNNNNNNNNNNNNNNNNNNNNNNNNNNNNNNNNNNNNNNNNNNNNNNNNNNNNNNNNNNNNNNNNNNNNNNNNNNNNNNNNNNNNNNNNNNNNNNNNNNNNNNNNNNNNNNNNNNNNNNNNNNNNNNNNNNNNNNNNNNNNNNNNNNNNNNNNNNNNNNNNNNNNNNNNNNNNNNNNNNNNNNNNNNNNNNNNNNNNNNNNNNNNNNNNNNNNNNNNNNNNNNNNNNNNNNNNNNNNNNNNNNNNNNNNNNNNNNNNNNNNNNNNNNNNNNNNNNNNNNNNNNNNNNNNNNNNNNNNNNNNNNNNNNNNNNNNNNNNNNNNNNNNNNNNNNNNNNNNNNNNNNNNNNNNNNNNNNNNNNNNNNNNNNNNNNNNNNNNNNNNNNNNNNNNNNNNNNNNNNNNNNNNNNNNNNNNNNNNNNNNNNNNNNNNNNNNNNNNNNNNNNNNNNNNNNNNNNNNNNNNNNNNNNNNNNNNNNNNNNNNNNNNNNNNNNNNNNNNNNNNNNNNNNNNNNNNNNNNNNNNNNNNNNNNNNNNNNNNNNNNNNNNNNNNNNNNNNNNNNNNNNNNNNNNNNNNNNNNNNNNNNNNNNNNNNNNNNNNNNNNNNNNNNNNNNNNNNNNNNNNNNNNNNNNNNNNNNNNNNNNNNNNNNNNNNNNNNNNNNNNNNNNNNNNNNNNNNNNNNNAGCACAUGGCCAUGCGCUCGCGCGCCUGUCGUCCCGACAAAACCUUUUAGCCUUUUAACUCCCCGAGAAAUCGUAAAACAAUGUUAUCUCCUGAAUUGGGGGAGAGAGUGUCGGUAGAGGAGAGUGAGAGAGGAGUCGAGUGAGAGAGAGAUCGAGGGAGAGAGAGAGAGAUUGUUUCGCGUACCGGUACACGGCCUGGCAGACAGCCAACCCGAGAGCUACGCAGGCUGCCCGCGAUUGCUGUACCGGUACAGCCAUCAACCCUGUACCGGUACAGAAGCUCCAGAGUGCUAUUUUUCACUCCGUUUUGAUUUCUUUUCGCGUCCAACAACGCUAAAACUAUUCCAACCCUUUUGGAACUCAUUUUUACUCUUCCAAACAUGUUGAAAUACCGAAUGGAACUUGUCCAAAUCGUUUAAUCGCCCACUUUGGCCCAUUUGGCCAAAGUUAGCCAAUAUCGUCAAAUUUCGAUAUCUUACAAUUAAAAUAAUUGAUAUUAAUAUUAUGAGCAAAUUGAAAUAAACAUUAUUUAAUAACGUACAAAAAUCACGAUAUCCUAAUCACUCGGGUUACCAGCGGUCAGAAUGUUGCGAUCAUAGUCCCAACCCCAUCCGCUCUUUUUAGUCAAUGUUUGGUACAUGACAAAUUAGCGCUUCAAAACUUUCAACUAAUUUUGUAAGUGGCUUUUGAUGAAGUUGAGUUUUGUUCGCUUAUUAAAAUCAUGAACAAUCGUACUCCACACCAAUGUAGUAAAACUUUCAUUAAUGAAAUUACCCAGAACAUGUUCCUCAAUCAUCAAGUUCAACAUUGUAGAGUCCAUAAUCUCAAUCCAAUUUUCGAAGUGUACUCUGAUUUUUGAGGUCUCUGGACAUGAAAUUUCAAGGCUUUGGGUGUCGGUUGAGGCAACAUCAAAGGAGUUAGGGUAUUUUCUUAUCAUACGUUGUGCCGUCUUAUUUUGGGCGGCCAGCGAAAGUAAACAAAAUUGUAUAUCAUGAAAAAAAUCAAGUAUAUAGAUUAGGAAAAAGUAUAGGUUAGAGGGUAUUUUCCUUGAAGGGAAGAAGUGCAUCACGAUUCCAUGGUGGCUGCAUGUAUUUAAACUUACCACCCAACCAUAGACAUGUAACACUUUUCCCGUGCAUCAUCAUAGUUGAUUGUUUCAUAUGACUCCAAAAGCAAUAAGGAAUUUUACAUCUCAACCAACACCAGUUCAGAUGAAAUUAGUAUUAAUUGUGAAAUUGGUCAAAUCCCAAAAAUAUUUUGUAAUGUAUAAAGAUCGAUAUAUACAGACACAUAUGAAUGAAAAGAUAGAAAUAUUUGGUGAUAUACACAUUUCUAACAUAUUUCAUGUGUUGCCAAACUUUUUCAAUUUUAUGCUAUCUGUGGCAACAUAUAUGAAAUAAUUUGUAAAUGGCAUAAGCCACACGGCUCAGCAUGAAUGGGUCGUCAUAGGUUUAACUAUGGCAGCUGCAUAGAAAUAUUUCUAACGCCUCCAAGCCAUUAAUACAUCCAAAAUCCAUCAUGCAUCACUACUAAAAACACCCAAUGCAUGAAACAUCAUUAUGCUAGAGUGGAAAUUGUAUAUGUCACGCCCCAGAGCCGCCAAUUUGGUCGGUUCGGGCACGCGAACAGACGCCGAACGGACAGCACAUCCCCUAUCCACCCAAGGCUCCAAUAACAUGUAUAAUAUAAACAAUUCAAUACAAAUGAACGCAAUUAUACAAGGUUUGCACGAGGGCAAACAACAACUAAGUCACAUGUGAAAGCAUCGAAACUAACUAAACAUACAACAUACAAGUCAUUUGAUUUCCUUUGAAUCAAACACAAGUAAAUUUAAACUAUUACAUUCAUAUUCUUUUUCAUUCACACUUACAUCACAUUAGCUUUCAUCCAAAUACAUCAAUUACAUCAUUUUACAUUUCUUGUUAAACAUACAAAAGUUGAUUACUAAAACAUAGGGUAUGCCUAUAAACUCCGAGGCCGCUAUCUACAGUGCGAUACCCUUGCCUCGAUCCUCCGCCGCCCCGCUCGCGCACGGAUCUGCAGGGUUAGUGGUAAUGAGAACUAGAAGAAGUUCCCAGUGGGUUCGGCCGCCGACUGCGCCGACUCGCCCACUAGGUCUAUUCAGGCAUAUGUAUUUCAAUAAGGAUAGAUAUUCAAACCAGCUAAUGCAACUAAUACAAUGCCUGCAAGAAAGUAGUCAGCAGAUUGAUAACCCAUAAUCAUGAUAAUUAUGUGUAAGGGAAGUGAAUUCUCGAAAUUCGAGGAUUAGACUUCGUCUGGGAUCGACUAGUUGUCAAGUGUGUAAGCUUCGGAAAGCCUGAAGGUGAGUAAAAUGCCUGUAGUGCAUUAAGGAAGAGUCCGCGAGAGAACCAGUGCAAAAUCUGCACUGGAGCAGAAAAGCUCUCGGGGACCGGUCCCUGGCAGGGAGGGACCGGUCCGUGGCAGGGAGGGACCGGUCCCAUCGGGCUGGGCUGCGGGGGUCUCUGAUGAGACCGGUCCCUGGCAAGCAGGAACCAAUUCCCGAACGUUAGCCUAGCGAGAAUUAACCGAAAUUUGGCUUAGUCCCGAGAACCCAGCUCUCGGGAACCGGUCUCUCGGACAAGGACCGGUCUCCCAAGGACCGGUCUCUCGAGCAAGGACCGGUUCCCGAACGCGAAAACCCCUCUGCUCGAAAUUGCAGCUCUCGGGGACCGGUCUCCCCGACCUGGGACCGGUCCCUCACUGCGAAAAUGGCCCAGGGAGGGCUGUUUCAGGAAGUGGAAAGUUGAGGGGCUUAUUUGCAAAAUGGCUUAUAUGAGAGGCUUGGGGACCCUCUCUCCCUCUCAGUUGCUCUCUCCCUCUCUCACACUAUUUCCCUCUCUCUCUCUAGGAAAGAAAAGAAGGAGAAGAAGAAGAAAUGGAAGGAGAGGAAAAAAAGAAGAGAAAGAGGAAGGAGAAGACUAAGAAGAAGAAGGGGAUCAUCUUCUUCUCUCCCUCUUCAAGCUUGGAGCUUUGUUUAGAGGUAAGCUCCAAACCCUUUUAUGGUGGGUUUUGUAAGCUAGGGUUUAAUAGCUUGGAAUUGGUUCAAAUGGAACCUAUUGAAGUUAAGGAGUUGGCCCGAGCUCGAAAUUGAAGCUCGCGCCAUGGAUUUCGCCACCGUUGCCAACCUAGGGCACGGAUUUGGGAUUUUUGGAAUCUAAGGUUUUGAUCUAAUUUGAGAAGUUGUAAACCUAAUUGCUAGGUCCCUGAACGCGUCGGCGAAGACGGUUCGUCGAUCCGUCGAGUAGGUGCGGAGUUAUUGUCAAAGGCGACCCUCAGAGCUUCGUUCUCGCUUAGAAGGCCAACGAGGCGUCGAAACGUCGGCGAAUCGCAUUUGAAGAGUCACGGCAUCACCACAAGGUGGGGGAGUGCCAUCCCGAAGCAGUCGAACUGCUUUUUAUGUCUGAGUACUAAUGUCGAUCAAUUACAUAUUGUGAUAUAGCAUUAUAGGGUGUUAAAUGUAAUUGUACAUAUCUUUGCAUGCUAGUAAUAGUUUGGGUUGUGGAUACAAUGAAUGAAAAACCUAGUAUGCAUGAGUGGAAUACUAUGAGAUAGUUCGCCCUAUAUGUGAUGAAUAUGUCUAUGUGAAUAAGAACUUGUCAAGAGAACGAGUGGCAUCUAGUAAACAGUGAACCCAGAACGAGUGGCACCUAGUUGGCAUUGAACUUGAGAACUUUAGUGUGGUUGAGACCCUAUGAGAUUGAGCAGAUGAACACCUGAUGUUAUAGUGACACCAAUUCCAGUUGGUUAGGGUGUUCCCAGUUUAUGAGAUUGGAUCGAGCUUACUUAGCCUGUCUGCACCUGUGGAGGUAGCUCCUCACAGGUAGUGCACUCCAGAGUUUGGCGCGCGAGGGGGCCAAUGUAGUGCCCUUGGACCAGUGUAGUGUCCGCAGGCGGUCUCGGGGAAGGUGAAUAGCUAGCCACCUCCCCUAGGAGACUUAGAGAUGUGAGACUAUGGGCGAGCCUUGCGUUCGCCGAGAGAUUGGGUAAUCAGAUGAAUGGUUUCGUUAUUGAGCAUGGUAGUAUGAUAGCCAGCCUUCUCACUAUGAGUCCCAUGCAUGCAUCAUACUGGAUUGAGGCAUUGAUAGAUCAUAGUUCAUAGUUGCUCAUUACUGUUAGUGCUUUCAGUUUUAUAUACCUAUCUAUUUGCAUAUCUAUCUGUGCCUGCUUAGACCUAGUGGGGAGAUCGGCGGAGUCGGCGGCCGAACCCACUGAGAACUAUUCGUAGUUAUCACUCCACCAUGUUGCAGGUCCGAGUUCGAGCGCCCUUGGUGAGGAUCGCGGCAAGGGCGUAGCGCCCUAGUGAUAUUAGCAGAGGUUUACUUCCUUUAUGCAUUAGUUAUACCCUGUACCUAUUUUGAGAGUAGAUUGAUGUAUAGGAUGAGGUUUUGAGAGUAGAUUGAUGUAUAGGGUGAGGUUUUGAGAGGAUUGUAUGUAUUGUACAGGUUUGGAAGAAUGCAGGAUGUAAUAAUUGUAUAAAGUUAAAUGAGUUAAUAGUUAAGUGCAUCUCUCUUUUAUCACUUGUAUGCUUUACAUGUGUUGCUUGCUCUUAGUUCAUAAGCACUGUUUGUGCUCUCGUGGUUGUUGCAUGAUUGUGUAUGUAUUCAAGUUAUUUCCUGGGAACUUGUUGUACACAAUCUAGUAGUUCAAGCCUUGGGCGGACAGAAGAGGCGCUGUCCGUUCGGCGGUCCGUUCGCCGCGCCCGAACGAUACCCAAAUGGGUAGCGGCCUCGGGGCGGGGGCGUGACAUUAUGCAUGGAUGUUCAUGUCUCAUUCUCUUUGGCCUUUACCCAAUCAUUCCGGGGUGCUCCUGGUUUACCCCAAACUCACACUCCACACAUACCGUCUACCGAGGGAGGCACAAGGCUCAACCACCCGAGGGGUCUUCGUCGGGGUACUCUCCCCGUGGUGUCUACACUCCGGAGUACACCGCUUGAGGAGGAGCUACCUCUCUCAAGCCGGAACAAAUGUGUGAGUACGAUCCAAUCCUCAAUUUGAAGACGUAGCCAAACCUGUCUCAAUGCACAAAGCCUCAAUGUCACGCCCCAGGACCCAGCGGAAGCCCGCCCGGCGCGUGCCCAGACCCGCCAUAUGUCUACAACAUAUAAGGCGUCUAAAAACAACAACAAUAAAAGCAAUAAUAAAAGACAUCUAGGAGUAUCAGAGCAUAGUAAAUGUCUAAUUGCUACAACAAGAGAUAUGGAUAAAACUGUAAAUCCACUAAAUAAAACAUAAAGCGAGUACAAUAGGAAAUCCCAAAUACAAGUACUAUAGGUUGGUACAUAGGUGGUCUCUAUACAUGGAUACAAAAAUCUCACACUCUCUCAAAAUACAAAAGAAAGAGCAAACCACCUAAGUAAGAACCGCUCCUCGCUAGCUAGCUAAGCGAUCCCCUUGCCGCGAUCCCGUGCCUCCGCCGGUGCCGAAGGCUCUGAAGAGAAAACCAGAAAACANGUACACCUUGUGCAGAAUGCAAUCCGAGAAUAGGCUAAGUCCAACUUUUUAGUGACCUUAGCGCUACAUAAAAUACUACAAUUCUCGGGAUGCGAGCCAUAGGUCGGAACACUGUCAACGACCCACCAGAAAGUCUGAAAAAACUCGGGACACAGUCCAAACACUCGAACCUCGCAAUUUGCGAAGGUCCAGUGCGUCACACUCAAUGCCCAUGAUAGGUUAUUACCAUAUCAUAUUUCCACUAUACCUGAGCCACAAUGGUCCUGAUGCCACAAUACGCUAAACCCUGUUUAGUCAUUUACAUUCUCGGUGCCAAUCUGGUCACUAAUGUCAUUAUCACCUUUAUUUACUAUUGUCAUAGUCUGUUCUCGCACUCACAUACACAUAGGGUUCUUUCAUACAUGGUUCACAUGGUUCUUUAUCGUUUCACAUAUUUUUUAAGCGCCUAAAUGCAAUUCAACCAAGAACACAUAUCACAUUACCCUAUAUGCAUGAAUGCUAACGCCAAUAUGCUCAAAGAAGGUAACAUAGACAUAGAGAGAAAUCCGUUGUUUUCGGACAACACCCCCCACCUUUUGGUGAUGCCAACAUGCCGUAAUCCAAUUUUUCGUGAUUUUUAGACCUCUACGCCGCAAGCUGCGACGAUCUGUACCAAUUUAGCCCGUUUCUCCAAUUUCUCUGCGCACGCUCGUCGUAUCGCCGAACCGAGUGCACUAACGCAUUCAUUGACCUACCAAUUAGGUUAGAAAAAGAUCAAUCCCAAGAUUGAACCUCAAAAUCCAAAAAUCAUAAGUUUAGGUCCUUGUACAUUAUCAUCUUCCCCAAACUAGUCCUUGUACAUGAAUACCAUGGGGGAAAUCCUCUAAUUCAUCUCCUAAAAGCAUACUAGAAGGAAUCAAACCAAAACCUAGCUUAGAAACCAAGAAAUCUCACCUUUGGUUCAAGCUUUUCCUUGUACACUUGCACUCUUGCAAGCAACACCCUCUACUUGAUCUUCUUCUCCACCAAGAUCCUUCCAAAACCCUCCUUGGUCCAAGCCCUAGAGAGAGAGGAAGAGAGAAGAGAGGUUUUUAGAGAGAGAGGGAGGGAGAUAUCUUAUGUUAGGGUAAAGAGAAAUGAGCCCUAAGACAUAAGCCCUCUCAUCUAUACUCCCAUCUCAUGUGACAUUUGCACCUUAGCCCCUCACAUUUCACUAUUUCCAAUCAGCCCUCACUGGGCAUUUUUCGCAUACGGGGACCGGUCUCUCCCCGCAGGGACCGGUCCCCGAGAGUGGGUUUUCCAGGACUUAGCCACUGGGGGCCAUUUUCGCUUACGGGUAUCGGUCUCUCCCCGUAGGGACCGGUCCUCGAGAGUACUACUCUCAGGACUUAGCCAAAUUUUCACCUUUUUGGCUGGCUACGCAUACGAGGACCGGUCUCUCCUCCAGGGACCGGUUCCCGAGAGCACGAUUUUUAGAACUUAGCCGUUGGGCAAUUUUCCAACCUACGGGGACCGGUCUCUCCUCUCAUAGACCGGUCCUCGAGAGCAGAAUUGCUGGGACUUAACCAUUUUCCCAACAAUCACUUUCCCGGGUCCCUUUACUCUAUACCAAGGUUCCAAUGUGCUUAGAACCCAGUGUAACUUGUUCCACUCCGCGUUCUGCUCAUUUUGACGGAACUCAGCAUGUUUAAUAGGGAUGCGAUACGUUACAGUAUAUGAAAACCGAACCUCUGCAAGAUGGAAAAGGAAAACUACUAUUUUGGAAUACAAUCUGAGUACAAAGGCAGCAAACUUUCUCAAAUGCGUUUUUUGGCUCAAGGGGUAUGUAAACGAGCAUACUGUAUCCUUAUAUAAAAGAGUAUAUAACAUAGCUUACCUGUGCAGGUUGAAUAAGGAGAAAAACAGAGUAAAAGGAUGCGACUUGACAAGUCGAGGUGACAAGGAGAUUGCCAAAGAUUGCCAACUCUAGAAAAUCUUAUUGCUGCUCUCUCACCGAGGGGGAUCUCCUCGAUUACUAAACGAUCUGUAACACGAAUUGUUCUUCAGAUUUGGUAGGUAAGAUGGAAACUCAAGAAGAUCUCCGAACACAACCUCAUUUAAUGGAGGUUUUCAUGCAUACACGAUGAUCACGCAAUUGCAGUUGGUAAAAUAUGGAGUAAAGAUGAUCGAUGAUGAAGAUACAACCUAGGGAAGACGCAAAGUUGAAGCAAAGAGCUGGGAUAGAGAGGAAAGAGAAAUCACUGGCUUCCUAGGGAAGAGAAGUAGGUAUAGCAAGGGGGGUGGAGUAAAUGGAAGGGAGUGACCAAGAUUUCCAGAUAGGUUAGGGUUAGGGUUAGGGCUAGGGGGUGAAAUGGAGUAAAGAAGGGGGGAAGAAAGAGCCUUCUCUCCCUUUGUGAUUAAGGUUAGGUAGCAAGUUGUAGUAAAGAGUAGGGAGAGAGAAGAAGACGUGUUCAGGUAGUAAAGAGGAAGCGAAAGACGAAGAGCCAUUUUGGGAAGGCGAUAAGCACGAAAUAGGCAGGCGCGUGAUGCGAGGCGCCAAUUUUCAAUAGAUGCCUCUGGAAUAAAUUCCAAAACACACCAAUUCUAGGGAUGUUGGGGAAUAGUGCUUACCGGGUAAUUCUAGAAUUAGGACGGAUUACCCGCUUUGACCGAGAUUAUUUAGUCCUGCCAAUUUUACACCAUCAGGCAUAUUUUAAAGAAUAAAAAAUCAUAUUCCAUCUUUACCCUGUUACCAAACAGGGGCCUUACUGAGUAUAGCAUACGCGUAAUAGAACAAUUUAGGACUAAAUGGUCUACAUACUGGUGGAGAUGACAAUCGAUUUGUUUUUUUGGGUUCACAAAAAUUGAUGACCUUCACAUUUAUACUAAACAAAUGAAUCCCAUUUUCAGGUUUACAAAUACCAAUAAAUCUUUAUCAGGGCUUACAUAGUGGAAAUAUAGUUGCUGAUAGAAAUUACAUCCUGCAAAAUAUGAACAGUAUCUUCUUCUAGGAAAAAUGACUAGUCUAAUGCCGUGAGUUCUCCAACUAGCGAAGUAGACGCCCAGAUUUUACAGUUGAAGUUUACUCAUACACACACACACACACACACACACACACACACAGUUUGACCUGGAACACUAUCACUAGCAAAUAGACUCCGUUGUCAUCUAUUUAUUUUCGAUGAUGAAGCCUCCAAAUCGACGAUCGGCACUGUUAAAUAUAAUCUAUAUCAUUUGAAGCAUCUAGAAACCAAAUUUCAUACUUUUCCGAUAUUAUUCUCUUUUUCAUCAAGUGGACACAAAAAUGAACAGCUGAAAAUAAAUAUCCUUUAAAAAGUGAUAAUAGGAGUUUUAUAAUUAAGAUCAAGAGUACUGAUCUUGUUUUAAAUAGUUUUAAAAAAUUUUAUAACAAAAAUUCAAUUGAUUUGAAUAUCUUUACGUCGUUAAAUGAGAAAAUAUCUCAUAUUGACCAUUAAAAUUAUAAGUUUUGAAAUCCUUUGAUCAGUAAAUCAUAAUGUCGAAAAGAUUUGAAAUUUCUACAUAUUUCAAGUGGUAUAGAUCUAUUCAACGGCACCGAUUGUCGAUUUGGAAACUCCAUCAUCGAAAACAAAUGAGUAGCAGAAUCCGUUUGCUACUGAUAGCAUUCCAACUCAACUCUCUCUCUCUCUCUCUCUUUAUAUGAGAACCUGCAGCAACUCUACAAGAAAUAUAAUAUAGCAUCAAAACAAACAAUGACCCCUUUAUUAUAUUAACCUUAUCAUAGGAGAAUGAAUAAGAAAUACAACGAAAAUGAUGGCUGUCGAAGGCUAAGAGAAAAGUGAAGAUAAUUCUAUUUACAUUCUAUCGUUUGGAGAAUGUCGGCUAUGAGGCGAAUGGAGGACAACAUUUCUCAAAAAGUGAAAGCAGCCAAUGGAAUGGGUUAGGAUUGUCAGGUUCAUCAAGCAUGGUCGGAGGGAGCGGCAACUCUGGAGGCAAGUGACGGUGGAACGCAUCCACAGCGGCCGCAACACCAUCCUCGUUCUGUACUUCUCUUGCUAAUUCCAUUGCACGUGACUUGACCUGUGAGAACAAAGAAAACCAAAGAUGAGAAUUAAAGGAGAAUGAAGGGAAAGAUUCGAUAAGGGAUGGCCUCAUAUAUGCUAUUUAGGUCUGUCUGCACAUGCAUUAAAACUUCUGUAAGCCAUCUCAAACGAUUCUAAGAACAGUUACAGAAAAGAAAAGAUUGGUUAGAAAUUUGGUCCAAUUUCAAUUAUAGUCUGAGAGUUCCAAUUUGAAUGAUUUAUUCCCUAAGUUUGCCCUGCAUAAUAAUUAAGUCCUGCGUCCGAAAAACUGAUACCACAUUUGCACCAAAGGUAGAGAUACUUGACAUGGUAGCUCUUUGAGUUUCCCCUGGCCAAAAAAACUAAUGUUGAUGCCCUCUUUUUUCCUUCUUUUUUUUUUUUUUCUUUUUUUCAGAUUGUACGAGUCAGACUUAAAUUUAUCACACAGAACCAACUUCCAGUACUAAAUUGUUAAGACAUAACUGAAAUUUAAGCAGCCUGUAGGAACUAAAUUAGGAACGCACAGAAAAACAAACUCACGACAUGAUAAAGAUACAGAAAAAAAAUUUUACCUCUGGGUCAAGCAUAUAUUUUAUAGCAUUGGCAAGGCGUUCAACACUCAGUUCUGAUAUAGGGAUGGGUAUGGGUCCCACUCCUUGUGCAUGAAUCCUUUCACCCCAGAAAUACUGAUCCCCAAAAAAGGGAACUAUGGUGGUAGGACACUGUCAUAGAUGCAGCAAUGAGUUCAGAAGGUGCUUGGAUACGUCAAAACCAACAUAAAUAAUCGACAAGGAGUUGCCAAAGAUGAGCGCUAGCAAAUCAGGCAUAGCAACCAUGAAGGUUCAAUAAAAAUGCAAAUGCUAAAGACAAACAUAAGCUCUUUUUUCACCCACUUUGCAUAGUGAAAGCAAAUGCUGUUGCAAGGUCAUAUUACAACAGUUAAUAUACCAGUUUCUCACUGAAACAGAUUUUGCCUAGAAUACUACUAUUUUGAGUAAACAGAACACAUAGUACCCUCUGAACAAAAGAUGUAGCAAUUCAUUCAAAUUCUGAAAGUUGUUCAUCAAACGGGUGGUGGAAAGUCAAAAGGUAAUAGUUUACCACGUAAUAGAAUUAUGAGAAUUAUUAGGUAUCACGCCAUAAUUGGUCAUUAUGUUAGAGUUUUUGCUUUAUUUUUAAUAUAUUUUUGUUACAGGCAGUUAUACUGCUGAUUACUAAUCUAACCCUAGCUCCUUUUCUUCGCAUAAAGUUAACAUGCUGCAGAAUAAUGCAGCCCCACAGAUGGUUCUUUCAGAAUUGAAAUAGAUUCACAUUUCAAUUGACCUUUUAGGACCUGUGGUCAUGCAGUUGUGCAUGCAUGCACCCAAUGACAUCAACAGAAAACACUGAAAAACAAAAAAGAAAUCAACUUUUAAUGGGAUAUGAUUGAUUAAUACCAGAUAGCGACAUUUUGAUCAGUUCAAACAUUUUUUUGCCUGAAAAUUUUGUAUCAUGAAAACUGUAUAAUAGGAUCAUAGGAGAAUACAAAGGUUUGCGAAACAUUUCUCAAUUUUUCAUCGUAAAAUUUAAAAGAAAAAAAGAACAGUUCAGGCACCUUGAUCUUUUAGUUUAGACACCACCUCAUAUGCAUUGAAUUGCUUCAAUCGAUACUGAAGAAGCACCCAAGUCAAAUGGUUUUAAUUUGUAGCAUUUUAAGUGACACAGUUUAUAUUAAAUGAUUUUUUAACCCAUAUCCCUGUCAAAUGUUUUUUUACUCUAGUUUCUCUUCUGCAAUCCAUGCAAUAUGAUGAACGAGCAAAGGAUCUCCAAAUUAAUAUAAUUUCAACUUAAAGUAGUUUUCAGGUCAACAUCAUGACAAAAGCAUGGGAUCUAUGAUUAGGUUUAGUCUAACAAGGUUUUACAGAAAGUAUGUGCUCUAUAUGUCCUCUGCCAAUAUACAUAAUACAUAGAAUGUGAACAAGGAAAAGCCACCACUAUAGAAAAUUACCCCAGAUCUCAACCCUGCAGCUGUAGUGCCAGCUCCACCAUGGUGAACCUGAGUUAAAACAAAGGUGACAAAAUGAUAGAGUGAAAAAGUUCAAACUAGUUUCAAUAUAAGAGCGCAAAAUAGUUCAAACAACCAGUUUAAUAUCACAUACAGUUUAAAAUUAUUUAAGCUGAUAACUUAAAUUAAAGGACAAUGUAGUGAGAUCAAUUUGCAGUGUUGCAAAAUUUAAACAUAGUUUGGCAUAGAUUUCCAAUUUGAAUUACAAAUUAUAAGUCCCAAUUGAUAGAUAGUUGGAUAUUAAUUAAAAAGUAGCAUACAAUUGUAUUAAACAAAAUCGUGUAUAGUAAAAACAGAACGCAUAACUAACCACUGCAGCGCAAUGAGGAAACAACCAGUCAUGAGGGCAAUCCUCCAGUAGAUAAACAUCAACAGGAACCUCAGAAACUGCAUUAUUAUAGUGGGGAAAAAAGUAAAUAGCGUGGAAAACUUGAUGUCAACAAGCACACACCAUUCCAUCAGCAUGAUGAAAAGAAAAGAAGAAGAAGAAGAAGAAGAAGAAGAAGAGAGUACAUAAAAAAUUGUUAUGAGUGCAGUAUACAUAAAAGAUUUAAUAGGCCCCCCACCCUAGUAUUUAACCUAAAGCCGAAGGCAAUGCACCCCUAAAUAAAAGUGCAAAGACGGCUAGAAUACCAGACGUAUGAUGGCAUCCUGAGUGCCUUAAAGUACUGGGCUACUGGCGAUUGGCUACACAAGUAAUAACUACACAAAUGAAAGCUAGCCUUGUUUGUCAUUGUUGCCCUUAUUUUUAUUUGUUUUAAACAUCAAUUUAUAUAAUUUGACACACCGAUGGAAAGACUUCUCUCUUAUUGUCAUAAUUGUUUAGCUUGCAUUGCACCCUAGCCAAGUGGGCACAUGACAACUUGUUUAAAAAAUUUUGAAAGCAAAAGUUGUUGUUUCCAAGUUUCUGUUUUUGGUUAACAAAUAAACACCUUAGAUGCAAAGAAUGCAAACAAUUCGUUCUCCACCCUAUACUUUUUUUAUGUAAAAUUUCUAUUUAACAAAUAAAAAAACAAACACGACAACAAAUGAGGCCUACAACUUUGUAAUUUCAUUUUGUUAUGAUGGACCAAGGAAAGAAAUUAUCAUAGACAAUCUCCCUAGCAGUUAUAGGUAAAUGAUUCAAUAGAACAUAAAUCACGCUUGUUUAGUAAGAAUUGAGGAUCAAGGUCAUAACUCAUAAACCAUCUAAAGUUACUUUAUAAAGUCCAUCUCUUGUGUGACCGUUAAAGGAUGAGAUUAUUAACAAUAAAACAUUUUAGUAAGUUGUAACAUGGAAGAAUUUAUUAACAAUAAAACAUUUUUGUGUGUUGUAUAACAUGGUACAUGCUCAACUUUGGCUGGUUGAUGUUAGAAUUGAUAACUGAAGCAAGAACCAAAAAAGAAGAAAAUGCCUACAGCUUCCAAGAUCUCCCCAUCCACGACCAAUGAUACCCCUCUGUCCUGUUUCUUUUAGGGCACCUAUGAUGAUAAUCAUUAUCUUCCUUUCAUCUUCGAGAGGCUUCAGAAACAUGAAAUUAAUCGAUUUUAAUAUAUGAAAUAUAGAUUAUGCUCAAAAGAGAAGCAAAAGAAAAUAUUAAAGAGCUGGAUGACAGAUGAUGUAGAUGGAAGUCUAAAGCAUACACAGUAUUCAGGGGGAAGAACAUAAGAGAAAAGAAGGCAGUUAACAACAUCCCAUGAUUCCUCCUUUUACUAGACAACUUGAACAGCGCCAAAAGGAGCAAUCUAUGCGUUUCAAUCAAGUUGCCUUAUUUGCACCAAUUCAAGCUCAUCUGCUCAUUGCAGCCACUUGAGAUUCCAGUCUAGCUCAUUUAAGUUACUGCAAAAAUUUCUUCAACUAAAUUUUAGAUAAUGAUCUAGAACAGGUUUUAAUGAAAGACUGUAGAUCUUCAGGUUGGUGCAGAAAGCAAAACGAGUUUAUCAGAGCACGAAAAUAUUGGGACAAUUUUAACUUGAUAGGGCUUCCUCAAAUAGCUCUCACUGAAUAAGCAAUUCUCAGUUACAACCAUGCCAAAGAGGAGCUAUAGUGGGCAGCUGUCGAGCGUAGAGAUAUUUGUGCUUCCCAAAUUACUUACUUGAAGAGCAAUUGUCUGGCAACUCUAGCCAUGCCAAUUGUUAAUAAGAAGCAUACAUCUUUUUACCAGAAAAAUUAAUCUUAACAGAAACUGCCUCCUUGCAAGGUUCAGAACAGAGCUCGAUUACGAAAGAGAACAUAAGUGUGUCGCCUACUCAACCUUUUCAGUGGAUAAGAUAUCUUUAUUGUUUUUUUUCCAUUCAAGGGUAAGGGUCUUUCUUCAAUUACUAGACUCUAUUCAUUCCGAACUAAUCUUAACCUUAAUUUAUUGAUAACCUUCAAUUUGGAGCAUACAUAUCUGAAAAAAAUGCUCUCUGUUAUAUAGCCAAUAUUGCUAACGGAGUCCUAAUACAAGAAUAAAUCAAAAACACUAGCAUGUACCAAAAUCAAAGCUUUACCAACAACACUUCCAGCACGAGUUGUCUUCUGCAAUUGAGUUAAUGCAAUCAGAACAUCUAUGUAGAAAAAAGAUAAAUUAAUCAUGUUGAACGUGUUAACUUCGUAACAAAAUGUGCAAAUCUCAGAAAACUACUAGCUCAUUCAACACCUGGCUAAUUAUAUCACUUUCAUAAAGAUCUACAUACCAUGCUGCCAAACCCAAUAUAUAUUGGCUUCGGUCCUUGCUGGAUCCAUUCUGCAAGCUCCUUUGGUGGUUGAUACUUUGUUCCAAGGUUCAAAAAACAAUAUCCAACUACAUCCACUAAAGAACCCCAGUCUGCAGGAAAUGAGAGCAAUUAGAUCAACCUGAAAAACUUGCAAACUUACAAACAUAAACAAUGAAAUAAUUUAUCAACUUUAAAUAGCAUUGCAUUGUACAAUGAAUAAGAGAAAUGCAUUAGCAUUAAAUUUGAAACAUGAAUUUUUCAUCUUGAAUGCACAUAAUUUGCAGUUAGACACAAUAACUAAAGUAAUCAUGCAUGCAAACCUAAGCUACUAACAAGACAUUUAUUCAAAAAAAUAAGAAUAAUUAAAAACAAGAGCCAAUGCAAUUGACAAUCCCUUAAGUGUUGACCAAGGUUCACUUUGAUCCUCAAACUUCUGAGUUUGACGUUUGAGAACUAAACUUCGAAAAUGUUUCAUUUUAGCAGUUACCUUCAAGAAAAAAAUUAUUCCUUUCAUCUAGUUCAUCCGAUCAUGAAUCCAUCAGUCAAACCAUCCAUCUUUACUUCCAAUUCAAUGCGCCAAUAUCUAGACAGAUAAAAUGUGGAACUCAAUAUGUAACAGGAUUGAAAUAUAAGACGAAAUUAAGGGAUGAUGGAUGCAUGAUGCCUGAACAUACAGAUGCACUAGUUGGAGGCGAUAAUUUUUUAUCUGGUGAUGAAUAAGGAUUAGGACUAAAGUGACAACUCCGAAGAGUUUGGGGUGUCAAAUAUCUAAAAUUAAAAUAUGAGGACCAAAGAGAAAUUCGGCCAAAAAGUCAAGAAUUAGUGAUCCAAUUUUCCUGUUGAUGAGCUAAAACUUCAUCAGAGUAUGCAGUUUCCCCUACAAAUUUAAGAGGGACAAUGUAAUAUAUUGAAUCCCUGUUUGUUGUACCAAACUUUGGCCAAAUUGACCAAAGUGUGGUAUGGGGGCGAUUGGUGAAGUCUCCGUAUUGCUUCGGAGGCUUUGGGAUAGUUAGCAGUGAGUUUUGGGAGUGUUCGAGUGUUUUUGGCGCAAAUUGGACGCGAAAACGGACUCCGAGAUGUUAAGUCUGCUGAAAUUGCAAGUUUUGUGUUGAGUACCGAAACUAGGAUGGAGUACCGGUACGCAAUACAAGUGCAGAAAAACCAGCUCUCGGGUUUUGCGGAAUUGAGCCUGGGUAUCGGUACCAGAAGGCCACGUACCGAAACCCAAUAGAUAGCCUAAAAAUCCAACGUUUGGGUUCAGGAACCAAGUUGUGGGUACCGGUACUGGAGGGCUCGUGUACCGGUACGCCAGUUCGAGUACCGGUACUCAGCUCUGCAAAGUGCUGAAUCCGAACUGUUGCAAUUGUUAAAAGAUUGAGGGCUUGUUUACAAUUGUAAGAACCUAUAAAUAGGUCCCAAUGCAUUCUCGCCCUUUUGUUUGAGAAACCCUUCUCAUUUUCUCAUUUUUCCACAACUCUUCUCCUUCUCUCUCUAGAAUCUCUCCAACAAGAGCACAUUGGAGGAUUUGUGUAUGUGAACCCUAGGACCAUAAUUUGGAUUUUGUGAAAAAUGAGGUCUAUGGUGAAAUUGAUCUCUUACUUUACUAAUAGAAGGGUAAAUCGACGCAUUGGGCAACUUAGAUUGGAGUUUUUACAAGCCUACGGCGUCCUAUUCGGAAAAGUUGCCGGUUUUGCUUUCGUUAGUGUUGGGUCGAGCUAAAUCGACGACGAUAAAUCGCGGGACUUGGGUUCUCGUAUCUUGGCAUCGACUCAAGGUGGGUGGUGCUAUCUGAAACGGUUGAAUUUCUCUUUAUGUCUAAGUCACCAUAUUGAUCAUGUAUGUGCAUAUUUAGAGAUCAUGCAUAGUAGGAGUUAUAUGGUAUUAUGUUGUGAAUUCUUGCAUAUUCCUAAAGUAAAGUCAAUGAUUUGAAUUGAGAAUUGAACUUUGGGUACAUGAGAACCCUAUAGAUGCAUGAACCAAAAUGUGAACCCAGACAGUAUAGUAAACUAUGGUGACAUUUAUGACUAUACGAGUUAUUUAGCACCUUGUAGCAUUGAAUGCUAGGGAAUGGUACAUCCCGAGUAGUAUGACAUAGGCUGGACAUACUCACAUAUAGUCUGAUUAGCUUAAGGGUGGUCGUGCCACCUCAAACAGUGAGCUCCGGAGUUAUCACAUCUGGGCGGUAGCGGAAUUCUCCCAAGUAGACGGUCCUAGCGGGUUGUAGCGAAAUUCUCUCCGACUAAAGGGAUUUGAUUUGGUGAGUUGGGCUUAACCUACGGGUUGGCCGAGAUGAUUGGGUUAUGGCAUGGACAUGACAUGCAUCAUGAGCAUAGUAGCUUAUUUGUUUACAGUUUUAUGUUACAGGCAUAGUAGAUGCAUUAGUUAUGAAUUAUAUUUCCUCUCUUUACUACUCAUGCCUAAUUAGACCUAAUGGAAAAGUCGGCGGGGUUCGCGGCCGAAUCUACUAGGAACUUCUUUAGUUCUCACCCUAUUAUUUUCCAGAUCCUAGCGAGAGCGAAGCAGUCGAGGAUCACGGCAAAGGUAUAGCGCCCUAGGUAGAGGACCUCUAUGCUUUAGUUCUACCCUAUGCUACUAUCUUGUACAUGAUGAUCGAACUCGUAGAGGUCAUAUUUUGAGAGAUGAAAAAUAUAUGUAAUGGCAAUUGAAGAAAGUUAUAUUUUGGCUAAUGUAAGUAAAGCUUGGUUGUUUGGUUGUAAUAGCUAGUUAUUACUCUCACUCGCUCUUGUAUAUUUGUCUUUGUGCAAAUCAUGUAUAUUGUUGUUUUUCCUGGGCAAACUCUUUAUACAUGUUAUUUGUUAAGCCUUGGGCAUACAGGGGAGGCUCUGUUCGUUCGGCAGUCUGUGCGUGUGCCCGAACCGACCAAACACCGUUCUUGUAGUCAGACAUACAGUGGUAAAAAACAAAUGAACUAUGCAUUGCGAGUUUCUUUAAUCAAGCAAACACACAUUCUUUAUAAUUUAUGCCAAAUGUUAUUGUCCAAUAAUUAUGACCAAUUCUGUAACAAAAAAAAACGUCAGCAACUUAGCUAUCAAAAUGGUGAACUACAUACAAGACAUGAAGGAGUAGCACAAACUACUGAAGUCAUUUUUGUGCAGCCACACAAAAGUAGGUAGUAUUAUCCACACUAACCUGAAAUGGCAUCAUUUAAUUGGCUUGUAAUAUAUUAAACAUGGUAGAACUGCUACACAGAAGACUUUCUUAAAUUUUGGGGCUUUCAACCCUACACAUCCCAAUAUUCUAUAAUUAUUAUAUGGUUUCUCUCUAUCUGCAUUAGUAGGUCAGAUGUUGUUUUUACAUCUGAUUUUGUUAGAUCCUAGAAGAUUUAUACAUGGAAGUCUUAAAUAUGGUUUCUUCUUUUCCAACAUGCAUUAAAAAAUGAAUAUAAUUAUGAUUUCUACCAUGGAAUAUCUUCCAAUUUACAGAUUUUGUUAGCUUGUUUUAGGACUAGAAAAAAUUCACUUCAAAGUAGAACAUGAGAAGGGUGCCAAAUGGAAAAUAGAAACCAUUAUUCUGACUGUCAGUUGAAAGUAUCCAUGCCAGCUGAAUAAUGUUCUAUAUGUUAGGAAAAUUAUGCGAAAUAUGAUCAGUGGUGUUGAUUCGAAUUGAAAAUGCCCAAAAGUUCCUUAAUGUACUUCAACUCAUACAAUUUAUUUUAUGGCCUAUCGUUAUAUUAGAAGGAUAUCAACACAUUGCAUGAGGAAAGAAUCACUAAACAAGCAGUAGUUCACUUCAAUUCAUAAACCAUCCAAAUCGUAACAAACAAAAAGGACCAUAAGUGAACUUACCACUCGGCUUCUGCACAAGUUGUGGGCUCCACAUGUAGCCCGUUGGUAGAUGUGAUAUGGAUCCAUGGUAAGUACUAAAAUAUGCAAUAGGAGGCAAUUUUAACUUCUUUCUUCUGAACUCAUUUAUGAAUCCCCUAAUGCCCCACCAGACUAUCAGGUCCACAAUAAGAUACGAUAGCUGAAUUGUACAAAUUAUAAUUACUUUAAUGCAAAAGUUAAUAUAAGGGGAAAGAAAAAUAAUGCCAGGGGCAAAAAGCAAAAUAACAUAUAUAUAUAUAUAUAUAUAUAUAUAUAUAGAGAGAGAGAGAGAGAGAGAGAGAUGAGCUAGAAUACUAUCGAUAGCAAACGGGCUCCGUUGCCACCCAUUUGUUUUCGAUGAUGGAGCCUCCAAAUCGACGAUCGGCACCGUUGAACAGGAUCUAUACCACUUGAAGUGUUUAGAAAUCAAAUUUCAUACAAUUUCAAUAUUGUUCUCUUAUCCAUCGAG
rnacentral:lncRNA from 1 species